UCUCGAGUUUCGAAUUCUCCUCACGCUUUUUCCAUCACGAUUUUCUCUUCGAGAACACUCGCCUCGUCGAUUCUUCCCCUCGUUCUUUUUAUCUUGGACAUUGAGAUGUUCAUGCAAAGCAUUCUUUUCUACCCUAUGUAGGCGACACAAGCUACGGAGCUGUAGACUUAAGACCUAAGGAUAUUUCUUUGACGGGUGAUCGGGUCUUAGAAUCCUCAGGAAAGUGUAAGCACCUGUAUACAAUUUCUAUUUUUCUUUCUAUAUAUAGAUAUGGCUUUCUCUUGAUGGAAUAUACCAAGCUAAAUCUUCUUUUUAGAACCACAACUCAGUGAAGUAGGCGACAACUGCUAUUAGGGUCUGUCUUAAGGCAUUGGCUCUCUAAAAAAAGGAUUUCCUAUCGUUGCAUGGGUUCGUUUUUGUAUAAAACAUAUUGACUACAAAUUGAACUAAAGAAAGAAUGUUGACUGUUCGACAACGUGAAGACCGCAAUCUCGACUUAGAAUAAUCAAACGCCCAUCACGAGUCACAUGGGCACCCCCACCAGGUAGAAUAGUUGUGAUAUCCCCAUCAAGAUCUAACUCUAAGAGGAUACUAUUCAUUUCUUCUUCACACUGCUGCUCGCUUUGGAGACUAAACUAUGUAAAUAAUACGUAACAGUAACCCAAGUAACGAUAAUAAGAAAGACUAGGGUAUAGCUGUUUAAAUCCCCGGUCGAAAUCAUCCAACAUCAAAUUGUAUAAGACCUUAGUGAUUAACCCAGCGUGUGGGAUCCCAACUUCCGUAAUAGAACAAUUAAUUCCAUUUUGGUCAUUGGUAUCUUUAAAAAGGAUGAAACUAAGGAUAUUACGUAGCUAUCACGCACCAAGGGUGCCAGCUUUCGUAAAAUUCUUUUAUGAGGAAUAGUACCUUGUGAGGGUGCUAGAUUCAAGAUGAAAAUAGUUAUAAUCUUCCCCACUCCACCUAAUUUGGCAAAGAACUCACGGCGAUCUCUGGGAAAACCACACGACUGCUCCUGAAAGAUAGAUGAACGCAUAAAACAACUAUUCAACAUAUGCGUCAGAGCGAUUAAAAGGAGAGCGUCCCUUUCACCGGGACAAACAACCCAUUUAUGAUCAGGGUCCCCUGGCUGACAUAAAGUUUCAACAUAAAAAUAAAUCGCCUCGUCUUUGGGAAUACUUAAUAACUUAAGUGGGGACAAUGCAUACCUCUCUUCUGAGAUAAGAAUGAUUAUAUCACAUACGCUUAAAGGGGGCAACGAAAAUAGAUCACCAAGUUUAGCAUAGACAUAUAAUAUUGACCGGGCAAGUUGCUGUGCGGAGCAUGAAUAAGGUGGAUUUUUCCGUGGGUCCUCGCCAUCUGAAUCAAUUCUGAACGAACAGUAUCUCUAUCUGGCUUUGUUAUUAUUACAGUGUUAUCUGCACCCAGCCAGUAAGUAGAGAUAUGGAGAGAGGGGACAGCUUUGUCGCGGACCUUUCUUUGCUUUCUUUUAUGAACUCCACUGGUCGUCCAUGGAUUAUAGGGGCUUUCCAUUGUAUAUAAAUACACUUUCCUAUCCUACUCUGCAAAUCCCAUUUUCCUUAAGCAUAUAGAAACCUAUGAUUCCAAUUUGCAUAUGCUGCUGCUUUGGUGAGUUUAGUGAUCAUGGCUGGCUCACCUGAUCUAUCAGCUGAGUAGUAAGCCUCCUUGGGAUAAUUAUCAAUAUCUCUUCCUAUCAAAAUGAGAUUAGGAGGGCGCCCUUUUUAAAGAGCCAGCCUGUCUUUCAAUAGAAACUAUUGGCAAUUGCCUUAGUCAUUCUCUUAUAUAGUGUAGUCCCCAUAGCAAUGGGCCUCGGUCUAGUGAGGUUUUGCUUUUUUGGGAAUCAUUGCUAGGAAUAAGGAUUGAAUUGCACCUGGUUUGCUCCUGUUUGACUUCAAUUACCAUAUGGAAAUGGAGAUCGUCCAACAUUAUGUUCCAGCACUGCCCCUGAAUUAAUCAACCAAGUAGAAGUUGAAGUUCAGUUGGAAUCCAUAUAGUCUAGUAGUUUUUUACUAUGAAUAGCCCCCUAUUGUUGAUAGAGAGCUUACCGCCCCGCCCUUUAUAGUCGCGACUGUUGUCAUGGAAAAAGAGUUUGUUUUCUGUCAAAGAAGCAUGCUUAACACAGCCUAUAGCAUAAAGGCAUUCGAGCCGCGUCUAAACUAAAUGGUGGGCAAGGGCCCGUACUCUCUCUUCUGUGGAUACGCUAUCCCUUCCGGCUAUGGUAUGGGGAAGGGGAGGUGAGAUCUACUCAUUGAUUUUAUAUUAGAUGAGCGGCCGUACUAUGAUCGUUCGGGAGACAUGGGCCCACGGCGCUACACACAAGAAUGAAUUGUUAUGCGGUCGGUAAACUCUUUCCUUUCUGCGGGCAGCCUAUCAAAUCGGAUCACGUAUUUUGGAAUAUGUCGUUACAUCAUGUACAUGUAUUCGCCUUUCCAUUAUUUUGGAUGUUCCUGCUCGUGCCCGGAUAGAGAAUGGGCACGACUCCCCCUCUCCCCGUUCUACCGUCCAAACAGGCCGGCCGUUCUAAGUUCCGGGGUUGGGUCGGAUAGGACCAGAUCCAAUCGGAUCUGAUCGUAGCUUCGAGUUCAGGUGCCGUACUGCGGCCGGACCGGAAAGGAGGGGGACAGCGAACCUCCUGCCAAGAGGCCAAGGUUGCUUGCUAACUCUCAGCCACUUGUUAGAAGGAAGUGCAGCUUGAUUGUCGGGGGGAAUCAACGGGAAGGAAAAAAGAAGGUAGAUUAUUCUAUUCUAUUUCCUCCUUUGGUAAGGAUUGGCUUUUUGUUCAAGGGUAUGUUAAAAACCAUCGUCUUUUCUUUGUUUGUAUCACCGAGACACCCGAAGGGCCGGCCAUAUGUACCUCGGGAGCCCCGGCCCAUUCAAAUCAAAAUAGAACGAGCACCUACGACUAAGGGGAAUGGAAUGUCGACCACAGGGUGAGAGAAUCUUAUAAUACGAGGGCUAGUGACUGGUCAAGUCAUUAAACUUAGUCAUUUUGAUCAACAUGGCUGCAAGUGGACUGGGUUUAUGGGGCUAAACUGACUACGACCAAAGUCGUGGCUACUUCAACCAAAAAAAGGGCGACCCCCUAUUCAAACCAAAAGAAGUACCUCACCUCACUUACGAAGAAGUUGUUGGAGCUGGGCUCCGAACUAUGAGAGUUUGCUUUUUCUCUUUCUCAGAGCGGUCUGAUCAAAUAGGGGAUCAGACCACUCCUGGUGUUUUAACUAGUCAUUAAUGGUCGGCUUAAUUAGUACCCUUUCGGUAUGUGUUGCGAACACUUUCAUUUUUAGCCUCUCAUCUUCUCUAGAGAAGCAAAACUCGAACGGAUAGAACAGAUGGUCCAACUACAUAACUUUUUCUUUUUCAUUACUUCCGUGGUCGUGCCUCGUGGCACGGCAGCACCCGUACUAUUGAAAUGGUUCGUCAGUAGAGAUGUUCCCACAGGUGCCCUUUUUUCCAAUGGUACUAUAAUUCCUAUUCCUAUCCCUUCAUUCCCUCUUUUGGUCUAUCUACAUUCCAGGAAAUUCAUACGCUCCGCGGACGGAGCAAAAAGUGGAGUCUUGGUCAGAGCAAGCCGCCCUAUUCUAUUACCAGACAUAAUUGGGAGAAGCUCAUCCGAAACUAGAGCUAGAAACGCUUUAUUUCGUUUCGUUCCCGUUCUUCAUUUCCUUCUUCUCGAAUCCAAGGGGGACUUCUCAUAUUUCGAAUCUUUCUGCGGUGUGCUCCGUUUACUAUUCUUUCGUACUUUCUUCUUUUUACCACGCGAUAGGUCAGCGAAGCCUGAGCGGGCGCGGAGAAGGAAAGGCCAAACACUUCGGCCUAACGGGAAUGAGCAACGACGAAAUGAGAAGAUGAGGUGCCUCGGGCACCCCCAUUUAGAAAGAAGGGUCGAAGGUUUUGGGCCUGUAGCUUUCCCCGUCCCCCCUUCGUCGGGCGGUGCUUGUGUGGAGGGUGCGCCACCUGAAAUCGGGCUUGAAGCUCUCACCUUACCAACAAGCCGAGAGCUGAUGGCUGUUGGUCACGACUACUAUCAAAAAGCUCCUAUGAAGAUGAAUAUUUCACAUGGAGGAGUGUGCAUCUUUAUGUUGGGUGUUCUUCUGUCGUGCGACCCGGCGGCUUAUGUGCGACCUGUGGCCCACGCCUCCUAUUUGUUCAGGGCGGGCGGCGUGAACUCUGAUUCGAUCCGGGUAUUCAAUCCCGCCGCUGAGAUGCUCAGUUGACUCCUUAACCUUGAUAGGAAGAUGGCUUAUUCAAUAAUUCGUGCAUAAGGGUAAGGAACUUUGGAUGAACUAAUGCGAAUGGGUGUAAGCCUCGCUGCUCGGAAACACCCAGUGCUGACCACACUGAGAGACACGAAAGCGCAGGUAACGCCAGUUGGCGAAGUGGCGUUAAGCAUCCCUAGCGGUACGAAAAGAGGGGUCGUGAUGAUAUCAUCUACGUCCGUACCGCUCCUCGUGGAGUAGAUCCCGCAUCCAACCAAGUCUUUGACCAGGGAACGGGAGAAUUCCCACUACCGCUGGAAGGCCAGCCGGGCCGUGAGCGCGGUGGGAACGGGCUUCCCAAGAAGCCAGCCCGGGCCGGGGUCAGCAUAGAAUGAAGGGGACGGCCCUAAUCUUGUGUUGGCUUUGCCAACUUAUUGGGUUGCGGGCGGAGAAAAGCGGACGUGGGGACUCGGGUCGGGGCGCAGCGUAACUAAGAGAGCCAUUCCAUUUAGGGCGAGACAAAAUGGGCGGGCACGGGCGGUCUGGUGUCCGAGCCGAUUGGUCAGACGACGACUACUUCACUUAUUAUUUAAGUAUUAGCCGCCUAUCCCGGAAUGGGAUGGAAUAGAAAGAACGCGAAGCGCUAGCGCUACAGGGUCGGUUUUUUGGGGGGGAUAGGCUUGUGAAGAAGCAAGCUUAUCCCCGCCCCGACCGGCAGCUGCUAGGUUUCCCCAUCUCUUCUAAACUUCCCCCGGUCUUCGGCCCGAGCUGUAUGAGGCAAAAACUCGUCCCACGUACGGUUCGGAGGCCGAGCCCCACCCCAGCAGUAAGGGUGCGGCUUAGGUCAACUAACACAAAAAAGAUACAGUUCACUCAACGAUUGCCUUUGGGUUCCGAACUCCAUAUGGGGAAGGAGCGUUGUUGUUUGCGAGGUCUUGAUCAUUUACAUGGACCCACUUUUCAUUCCAUUUGUGGGAAUUUUAUGAUCUAUAAACCGUCCCUAACGAGCGAUCGGCUCAUGUUUGAGCAUGAUGAAUCACUUCGUGCCGACCUGUUCCCAAUCCACUUUCCGGCCUCAUAUGAGAAUGGAAAACUGGAGCAUUUUAUCCAUCGGUGGAUGAAGAAUCGCGAACAUAAUAAUUUCUGGUUGACCAUGUUCCCAGAAAAAAGAUACUUUCGAGAAAGGACGAGCACGACUGAAGUGGCUAUACAUACAAAUCUAUUUACGGAUCUAUAUGCUUCGAUUGGAACUGGAAGUUCCAGAACAGGUGGCUGGUAUACCACAAUAAUCAAACUUCCUUUUCUUUUUUUUAUUCGGAUCGGAUUUAUGUUGGCUUCGUUGGGAGGCUCGCGUAGUUUGUUACGUCAGCUCCAAAAGGAUAAGUUGCGUUGGAAUUGAUAAAGUUCCGUGGAGUUCAUAAUUGCAUAAAAGGAGCCAAAGUAGUGGCUGCGGCGCGUUGAGGCACUUCUUCGACGGUCCCCGUACGCCUGGCCUGCCGGCCCGCUCUGAAGAAUUCAUGAUUUAUAUAUGUUUCAGGCCGGUGAGAGGGAGUGCGGAAUAAGGAUUGAUUUCACUGUAUCCAUCGUAGCCCACCCCAUCUACCUAUUGUCGGAGGUCAAUUGUUGCUCCCUCUCUCGAGAUUGCAAUCCCUAUCGAGUCGGGAAGGAAUGAGUAAUGGGUCGGGGAAUCGGGCAUCGGCCCUCUUGGAUCCGGUAGGAGCAGGAGUAGGUAAGUUAGUAUCGAUCCGGUGAAGAAAAGAGAAUUUAGUUGAUAGAGACGUUAGAUCUGGAGGAAGCAUCUGGUCACAUAUCCCAAAACCUUCACGGGAAAGGAACGGACUCACUCGCCCUACUUCUAAAGAUAGAUAGAAAAGGUUAGGGAGUCCCAGCUGCUGAGGUGGCGUAGUGAGAGGUGAGAGCAAUAACAACAAAAGCGGCGGAAGAUCCUGCAGUAGUAUAUUCGGUUGUUUGCGGUGGAAUAGAUUCAAGCGUCCGGGCCAGUAGAUCCACAGCAAAUAGGCGUUGACUUAGUUGCUUUUGCAGUUUAUUUUAAUCCCGAUGUUGAUCCGACGCAACUUACCGGUGAUAGUCGCAGCACCAGGAGCUUUCAAGGGAGGGGGCCAGGAUCUCUAGUUCUGUUCUGGAAUCAAAACAAAAAAUGUAACUAAAUAGGCAGCGAGCCGUUCAGAUGAGACCCGAAGACCAGGAAGAAUAAAUAAGCAAAGGGAGGGGCUUCUUCCUUCAACAGAGGUAAUGCUUAUUCUUCUCCUUCCUGGUACUCUUGAAUAAGGCAAGGCUUUUCCCUAUUCCCUAUCAAAAGCACUUUCAGUAGAAAAAUGAAUUCCUCUAGAUAAGUUCCCUGUCGAGAGGGAAGAAAGGAGAAUUUACUUCGGGGCUUAAGGUAGUUCAGUCACCCUCAGGUCAUAAUAGAGUCUAGUAUGACAUCGGUAGGAAGAUAAUGCAGCUAAGCCGAGACUUGCUUCUGAGGCAUUUCAGACUUUACUUGCUGUUGCCGAUAUGAUCUUUUCUCUUGUUUCAGAAGUGGAGUUUGCUGCUAUCGUAGAUAAGAGUGACAGAAUUGAUAGAGCGAAAUCCAAUUCCCUAGCUAGGUUUGAAAGGAAAGAGGAACUGCAGCUCGAUUUGAGAUGAAAUCUGGCAAUAGCUCUAGGGCAUCGUACUCAGGGGAUACGCACUCGGCUCGCUCAGGAUUCUGUCUUUAGUCAGUUGGUAACUUUCUGAGCCUUAGUGCGCAUGGCCUUGCUUCCUUUGCGCUCACCAAUGAGCAGUGAAAGUCCCGGAACUUGUUAAUUGACUGGCUGGCUUCCGAAAGGAACCGGAGCUCUUCUAGCCACUAACGGCUCAUAGGCCUCCUCAUCCCGAAAGGGAAAGGGAGCAGAGGGUAGGAUAUGAUCACGUGAGGGACACGAAGGCAUUAAGAAAGCAAUCGCCCCCCCCUUUGAUACUUAGGUUCGGCUGGCCUUUCACUUGCCCAGGCCAGUACACAUCUCUUCUGGGCGCUAGCCGGUUCGCUUUUCUUUUAGCAAUUUAAGGCAGAACCGGGUGCAUUCACUUAAAGACUGCCUUUUCUUUCGACGUAGGCAUUUCGGGCCUUAUUCCUUUCCGAUCGCACUCAAAGUUGUCACAGAAUGGGAUUAGGAUUUGCAUCAAUCAACUAUAGUAUAACCAAUGGUGCCGAUCACCCCUAAAAUGGUUCGAAGUCCCUGACUGAGGUCGUUGCAUUACCUAAAGCCUCCUAGCGAGGAAAGCAAAAUCUGUUCCAGAGAUACCAUGGUAGUAAGGCCAUGAAGGUCUUCACUUGGUCACCACCUCCUUUGCUGCAGGUGAGAAAGGGCCUUUUCAAUUUAUUCGUCCUCGGGGACUCUUCCGUUAACUGCGGCGACAAUACGUUCUUGUACCCGAUUCUCAGAGGAAUCUCGUCGUCGUCUUACCUUUGGAAUGCCGUCGAUCUCCGCCUCAUUCCUGAUCUCCUCGCUAAGCUUUUCUUCUCUCUCUAGGUUCCAUUUCUUUGAUCUUCUCUGCUUUUUUUUUGAAUUUCCUUUACCUUGGACUAGCCAUUUAACAGAUGAAAAAGGACCGGAGUCGUUCAAAGCGAAAGAAGUUCCGAUCACAGCUUCUCAAACAAAAUGAAUUAGGGAAAAAAGAGCAUUCGUAGCAUCCAUUCCUUUUCCUUGCUUGCCUCCGUUGAUUAGACCUCCUGAUCCUAGUCCUACUCCUUUUCCUUCAGUCCUAGUGCUAAGAGGGCAUAUUCCUUAUACUUAAGCAUUCAGUUCCCUUUCAACCGGUAAAAGCUUGGUCCCAAAAAAGCAUGAGAGAGUAGACUUAAGAAGAGCAGGGAAUAUGGAAAACAAAGACCCAUUCCGUCUAAUUGCUAAAAUGCCCUUCAACAAGAAGAUUCAAUAGCACCCUUUCUUCCUAUUCCGGAAAAACUAGCUGCUGACUCAACCUCCCCUCGGGUCUACGCACUCUUUGUCUUUGUUUUUAGCAUCGGCGAUUGAAAGAGAGUAGGAGCCCAUUCUAUUCUAUCUAUCUCAGAAAGAAAGUCUCAACCCUUUGGUACGAAAGUAGGCCCUAGCUUCUCAAUAAGUCAUUCAAUGAACUAACUAUACUUAAGAUGUGAGCUAUACCUAUUCCUUCUUUUCUUAUCUCUUCCCUUUCGGGCCGGAUCGGAUAAAGAAAGGAGCUAAAGAAUGAAAUAUUCAUCAAAGUAGUCCUUACAUCCCUCCGCAAGCAUAAGAAGAGUCCGAUAAUGGCUGGUCUUUAAAGGCCAUUAAGAAAUUACAUAAGUCAAGUUCUUGUGCUAUGUCAAAAGUGAAGUUCUCCCCGCCCUGGAAUCACUUCACUCCCAACCAACAAGCUUCAAACUAGAGGUCGCCAAGCCCAUCAUCUUUCAAUAGUUCUAGACUUCUCACUAUCAGUCUCUAAAGCUCUAUCAUCUUUCAAUAGUUCUAGACUUCUCACUAUCAGUCAGUUUUCCCACGUCCGGUAGACUUUCUUUCAAAAACCUUGACUAAUAGAAUAGUGAAAUUAGAAUAGGCUGAGAAAAGGGCUAAGAGAGAAGCUUAGGAUAUUACUUAAGUAAAGGGGCGUAGCAGUUCUUCCGUGAUCAAUCUCGUUCCUUUCGCUUUGCUUAAGCGACUACGUACCUUAAAUUGUUCUUACUCGUUUCGUUUAGGUCAACUCGUCACGUCAAUCCGUAUCUAAUAGCCGCGCCAAAGCUUCACUCCAGGUCGAACUCACUUCCAUUUACAAUUCCCCAAUUCCACUUUUAUGGGAGUUUACGCCCUUUCUCGACCCUAUCGAGCUCUUCCCGAACCUCCGCCUCUCCUCAACGAAGUCAUUAAAGUGGGGCAACUCGUAUUCGCUAACUAACUUAGGGAACUUAGGCACGUCACCCCACUGUGAAUCUAUCUUUCUUUAUCGCGCUUUUGAUCCUCUCGAUGGGAGAAUGAAUUAGUGGAAAGAUCUGUUGUUCGAUCUGCUGGGGGGCGAUGAAACCAAUAUAGUAUCGUUAAUCCCCCUGGCCUGCCUUUCGAAUGAAACAGUUAUGAAAUAUCCGGGCCGGGUCUUGGGUCCAACAGCCGGAUCGAUUACAAGUCAUCUCCUAGCCUUCUUUCCUUGUUUUGUUGCACUCAUUCACUCCGAAAUUCCAUGCCCUAAAGUAAAGGGCAGGAGAGAGGGCAAAAGAAGGAAAGUUGCUUGCCCGAAGGGGAAGGAAGAGGGGCUUUUCUUUGCUGGCCUUUUCAUCGAGAGAUGCGGCCGUUGUUGUCUCUAUGCCUUUUUGCCUAUCUUACUCUUUCUCAAGGGACAGAUGUCGACAAUGCUAUCAUUAACAUCUGAUCUUUUUUAUCUUCUCGAGAGAAGCCCAAGAAUUCCGGCUCGGAACUUGACUCCUGCUUUUGUUAAAAAGUCCAUACUUAACUUCAUUUCAUGUCCGAGUUCGUCAUUGUCUUACCUGCUUUCCUGCAGCCUACUUAAGCCCGGAGGAGAAUGCUUGCUGUCAGCUUCUAUUCUCUAUUCCUAUCCGAGUCUAUCUUUCAGAGAGAACCUACCCCUUCCACGGUACCCACCUUCAAACAAACUUAUACUAAUGAAAAUGAAGUAAAUAUGUCAAUCUUGAUCUCGCCUAACUCAGUGUACUCUUGAGCCUUUCACAAAGGGAAUUCAUGCAGGCAGUUCAUGGAUAGUAUAAACAUUAGGCUCCGGUUUGCCCUGCCUUUGUCUAAUUCCAAAGAGUUUAAAGUAGAUUUCAGACUUCAAUAAGUUUCCCUCAAUGAAAGCGGGGAUUUCUGCCUAGCAGUAGGUGUCAGGUGAAGGGGCAGAGACGUCCUCUUUCUACCAGACUUGUCUCAUUAAUGUGAAAACUGGCAAGCCCACGGAGCGGUGCCGGUGCGCUAGCUUAAGGAAAGCAGUUCGUUCAGGAUGUUAAACUUCGUAUUCAAUCGGGAAACCUUUAACAUAUUCUUCUUUUUUCUCUCUAUUUGUGACCAUUCCCACUUCAAAGUCAAAGAUUAGGAAGAUUCUCCUGAUUUUUGAUGUUAUGGCCUCCUACAAAACUAGAAACGAAUUGGCUUAGCUCUCGAAACUACCGGCGAAGGAGAAAGUUGUCCGCAAUUCAUUGCCUAUUUUGAGGCUAUAACUGUAAUGAAAAUAUCAGAUGGGAGAAGGAGAACCGGUUCGGCAAUAAGACCUGGGAAGGGAGAUCACAUGGCCGGUCUGCGAAGAACAAUCAAAGGAGUUUUCACUUCCUCAAUUUAGGGCAUUCUAGUUAGACAUGCUACCUUCUCGAUGUAUCGAUUCUUGGUAGACAAGGCUGGUUUAGAUUGAGACGCCCACCUUUCGGUCCGGGGCUGCAGUUUUCUCUUUCUGUCGGAAAACGAGCUUCGCUUCUGGCAAAACAUCGGGAGGGAGUGCUACUGCUUCCUUAAUUCAUCAAUUCCCAUCUAUGAAAGGGAUCCAAUUCGGUAUCUUGCGUACGAAUUCAUGUUGUCAACGAGGAUCUUAGCCCCUUUCCUUGUUGUUUUCCCGUAAAAUGAACAAAAAAAGGAAUGCCUUUGAGUGAGAGCAGAAUGUAGGAACGAAGCUUCCCGGAGUCCAUCGAUUCAUUCCCAAUCCCGUCCCGUUCUCUCACCAACUUGAAUAGCUUAUUUUCCUUCUCAACUCAAGGUGAUCUAAAUAUCAUGUCUACGACCCUCACCUCCCCGGAAAGCGCCUUCGUUCCGCAUCAAUUGUACAAUAAAAUAUAUCUCGAUUGGACUAAGGAAGAACAAAAAAUCUUCGCUCGAUUAUUAUUUAGUUUCUCCUGUUACCUUGUUUCAAAGCUAGCGCCCCUGCUCUUUCUAUGAGUUGGCUACUCCGUUGUACGCUAUCUUUCUCUUCACACCUGGCCACCCACCCCGGUUCCUUUCUGCUUUUUUUCUUGCUACGGGAUUAGCCUGUUUGGCGUGGUUUGUUACCUAAAAACACCAUCCUUUCUUAUUGGCGUUAGGGAAAAGUAGAAUUUCUUUUUGAAUCCCUGGGGAGUUUCACGCUCGAGACCAAUCAUCUAUGUAAAAUAGAUGAGAGCGAGAAAGAAGGCUCGAGAGACCUGUCUGGAAUCAAUCAACAAAAGCUUCACUUCACCUGCACAAGCACACGGUACUAUACUAAUGGAAGCCCUACCUACCGAGGAACCACAUGAAACGAAGAAUAAAACUUAAAACUCGAUAGAAUGCAAUGUAAGGGUUACGACGGAUGGGACCUUAAUAAGGCAAUUUCUAAGAUAAGACGGACGACUCGGCUGCCUUCCCCGCUAAAAAUCUUUCCCGACGGUCGCUCAAGCACUUUCACGCAACAAGAAAGCAAAGCCUAUCGUAUCUCGCGCCAUCUGAAUAGGUUUCAAAGCAAGCAGUACGGCGCAACAGAGGAGCCCAUUCAGUAUCGUCUUUGUUUUAGAAUAUUAAUGCGUCCUGUCUUCAUGUUGUAUUAUUCCCAUUGACUGUGACCAAACUGCGUUCCGAGUGUCUUUGUAGAGAAGAGAUAAAUCUUCCCCUAAGAUAGUCAGGGAUAAACCGCUCUACAGAACAGGGAACAGGAAGGAAAGUAAAAACCCCCGAUAAGAAAAAGCAAUCAGCCGCUGUCACCGACCGGGACUCAGAUCGGAUGGUGGAGUACUAUUCUACCACAACGAGACAGGUAUCAUCGAAUCGAAGGCCGAAUAGAAAGCAUUCCCCCAGUUAAGAGUGCUUCUGCCCCGCCAACAGCGUCUCCCCAGGUGCUCAUGUUACUUAACAAAAAAGCAUGAAAAUGAUGACGUAGGGUGGAAACCCUUCGUGACUGCAAUCGUACGUUUUCGUCUUAAGAGAAACAACCUCUGAAUCCGGUUUUGUCAUUAGGAUAGGAGGGAAAUCGACAGCUCGACGGAGAGCUUGCCCGGCCGCCAUGGAUGACUUGGGGAACCUUUAUGUCGUCGUUCGCCUCUGAAAUCCCGGGUUUUUGAAAACGAAUUUCUUGAAUUUUCAUAUAUCUAUUUUUCAUAUAGAUCUAUGGGUACACUGAUCUCCGUGUGAGAUUUCUUUUGUCAUUUUCUUUAUACUCAAUUUCUACUCAUCAGCUUGAAAAGAAGCCUCUCUUAAGUUCAAGAGUUUAGAAAGGCUCUUAGCAUGGGAAGGAGCUCAGACUUCCUUAGAGGGAUAUAAGCUAGAACGACCUUAUGUACGGGUCUCGGUCAUUAUCAUUAUAUAGACUAGAUCUAGAUAAAAUAGGGCAAUGAGUUGUUAGAAUGAAUGAAUGAGGUCGCCGCUUCGCCCUAUGGAAACUAACCUUAGUGUCCAUGUCGCGGGAAAGAAGCUUUUUGAAUCAAUAAAGGAAGCCUAUUGAAUCAGCUUUUGGGAAUAGAAGGGGAAGGGGAAUAUGCCAAUGAACUUGUUGCAGGGGACAAAGCUGGGGAUGGCAAGGUUCUUUAUCAAUGAUGCGGCAUUACCGCAGUUGUAUGUACUUGCAUUUCUUUUCUGCUGUUAGCAUGCUUUGAUGGCAUAGAAUCAAUAGUUGACACGCACAAAACAGAAUAGAAAGAAGGGCUCUUUGAACGACUCCGGUACUAUCUCAUCCGCUGCUCUAGCUAAUUGUCCCCCCUUUCCAAGUGUGAUUUCUAUCUUAUGUAUGGCCGUGCCUAAGGGCUAGAUUCUUCUUUUGAUCAAUUCCCAAACAGUUUUUCGAGCUUCUUCCAAAGCAUAGGGCUUUCUGGAUGUAGAUGAUGAUAUCUAUAGAGAUGGAUCUUAUAUAUAUCGUAGAAUGAAGUAGCACAUGGGUGGAUAUAUAUAUAUCCAAAUCUGCCGAAUCACUCAUGUUAUGAUCUUCUACAUCCUGGGUCUUCCCGUUCCGUCAUCUGACUUAUGUUCUUCAUCUAGCAUUCAGACCGAAUGACUCUAUGAAAUUAGGUCGAUACUUCCACAUAUUAUGGGUAAGGUAGGAGACAUCUCUAUUUUUCCCCGGGGGAAUCUUUUGAAUUCCCACUGCUUAGCUUUCAAUUCGCCUCUGACCAUCAAAUGAAAUGUGAAUAACCCGUCCUACUCUCUUUGAAAGAAGGGGCGCUUCCGGUUCUGUCGGUGCUUGAAAGAAUUUUAUCUUCUCCAUAUUACUAUAUCUCGUCAGUCAAUAAUUUUUUAUGAGGAACUACUGAACUCAAUCACUUGCUGCCCUUACUCUUCAGUUUUCUGUUGAGGUCUAUCCUGCAGAGGUACUCAAAUUGGAUCAGUGAUCGAUUUCUAGGUUUCGUCGUAAACAAAAUUUUUUAUUUCAAAUUACGUAAAUCAAUAGUUCAAACCGCACUCAAAGGUAGGGCAUUUCCCAUUUUUAUAGGAACUUCUGUACCAGAAAGAAUGGUAUCUCCAAUUAUAGCCCCUCUGGGAUGUAAAAUAUAUCUCCUCUCACCAUCCCCAUAGUGUAUGAGACAAAUUUAUGCAUUUCUAUUAGGGUCGUAUUCUAUGGUUACGAUUCUACCAUAUAUGUCUUUUUCAUUCCGUCGAAAAGAGAUUUUACGGUAUAGACGCUUAUGACCUCCCCCUCUAUGCCUUGCGGUAAUGAUUCCUCUGGCAUUACGACCUUUACCACAACGAUGCUGUCCAUAGAUCAAAUUAUUUCGUGGAUUGGAUUUCACUUGACUGUCUACGGUUCCAUUGCGUGUGCUCGGGGUAGAAGUUUUGUAUAAAUGUAUCGCCAUGCUAUUAAGUAUUUUGAUUUAAGUUCUUUUCUUUAUAAGAGUUGGAAUAGAAUAACCCGGUUGAAGCGUAAUGAUCAUACGUCUGUAAUGCAUUGUAUGUCCCAUAAUAGGCCCCAUUCUUCUACUCUUUCCCGGAAGUCGAUGACUAUUGAUAGCUAUUACCUUGACACCAAAGAAGAGUUCGACCCAAUGCUUUAUUUCUGUCCUAGUUGAUCCUGAUUCGACAUUAUAAGUCUAUUUAUUUUUCCCCAAUAACCGAAUACUUUUGUCUGUAAAUACUGCAUAUUUGAUUCCAUCUAUAAAUCUAUUUUCUUCCCUAUGAGUGAAAGUCUCAAUAAGAAUGCUAGUUCUUACUGUUCAUUAUGAUAUGAAUAUACCCCAUCAAUUCGUUAUGUAUGGAUGAUGAGAUUCCAUUGAUACAGAGCCAAUUCCAAUAGACUUAUUGAUUCCAAUAGACUUAUUGGAGGGUCCCAUUGGUGUGCAUCCAGUAGGAAUUGAACCUACAAAUUCGCCAAUUAUGAGUUGGGCGCUUUAACCAUUCAGCCAUGGAUGCGAAGCGAGUGAAAUAGGUUUUGGUAUUCUUUUUAUGAGUUGGGCGUUUUAACCAUUCAGCCAUGGAUGCGAAGCGAGUGAAAUAGGUUUUGGUAUUCUUUCUCGAGCUUCUAUUUCUUCCGUUAAAGGAGAUUCGAGAAAAGAUGGAAUAGGAAGACGUGUUUCCAGAACGAACAGGAUACGGGUUGAGAAGGGGGAGUUAGCAAAGUUGGACAAGAUUGGAAUGGGCAUAGGAAUAUGUAUUGAUGUACCGGAUCGGCUAAUGCUCCCAGGUUGAUGCAAUGUGUUCCACCAAUUGACUGAAGACUUGAUUAUUGGUAUAUCGAUCGGUCCAGCACGGAUUGAAAUAGGAGCCGGUUCGACAGAAAGCUUUUGAAAACGCAGUGCACCCAGGUAAAUAAGGAACAAGAUGAAUACAGAGGUUAAACGAGCAUCCCACACCCAAAAGGUGCCCCACAUGGGUUUCCCCCGAAACCCCCCAGUAACUAAGGUAAACAACGUAGAAAAAGCACCUAUUUCUGUACCGGUUCCGGAAGAGCGAAGAAAAAGGGGAUGUUUUGUUAAUAGGAAGAAAAAAGUGUUUAUAGCCGUAACGAUAUAAACAAGAAUACUCAUCCGAGCUGCAGGAACAUGUACAUACGGAAUACGAGAAUUUCCACCUUGUAAAAGAUCUAGUGGUGCUACCCGAAGACUUAAAUAAAUAGCCAUCGCUGUUAAGAACAACCCCAAUCCAAUGAGAAUUUGCGCGUAGCUUCUGGUCUUUGACAUCAAAAAAGAAGGUUGGAAUGACGAAUGGGACAUGUGAGAAUUUGGUCUUAGCUAGUGGAACAAGAAAGACAUGGAUCUAUAUUCAAUACGCAAUCAAAGGAUUUCUCCCCAAAAAAGAGAAGAAUUUCCCUUGCUUUCUUUUUGCUCCGCUUGUGCGUGGCACUCCUUGCUCGCGGAGCGGCAUACCGAAAAAAAGAAAAGCUGACUUAUGGCGACUACCUUAGUUUUACUUUAUAUAGCUUUUCCCUUAAUUCCCAAAUCGAAGGCGAAGCUUGCAGUCUACAAAAGCAGUUAUAAUGCGUUUGUAGGGUGGGCUCUGGUCUGGCCCAACCCUUUCAAUUAUAUCUAUAUAGCUCUUGUAUGUCGUGGCAGCGAGGGGUCGCCCAUACGGAUAGAAAGCGAUCCCUCGUAUUUUUCCCAUUUCGUUGAGAAUCGAUUCUGGGCUAAAGCCAUUGGCCAGUAAAGCGCUCUCCAUUUGUUUUUCUAACAAGAAUUGUUGUUCCAACGUAGCGUUUAUUUGCCCUUCUGUCCAGUUUUUUCCGAUCAAGUGCAAGUGGAACGACAGCCGGCUAUCUAGCUCCUGACGCCUUAGGGCAUCCUGUAACAAUGGGAAUGGUUGGAUCUCCGCCCCAACACCAACCGCUGCUGCUGCGGGGGCAUUUUGUUGGGCUUCGUUCACACUCGAUUCCGAUUCCGAGCGAGAAGUUCCCCAAUCUGCAAGCGCGGCAGCCCACGAAGACGAUUGCGUUCGAGAAGUUCCCCAAUCUGCAAGCGCGGAAGCCCACGAAGACGAUUGCGUUCGGUCAUCAGAGGGAGAGGGGACCAGUACUGGCUCUUUGUCGGGGCUUUGUGGGAUUAAUUGAUUGGAUACCCGAGAGCCAUAAUCUUUCCUAGGAACAGCUUCUACGACGAUAGGCAUAAAGGCAUGAUUAGUUCCACAAAUCUCACUGCACUGACCAUAGUAAACUCCUUCUCGUUGUACCGAAAUAGAGGUCUGAUUUAAACGACCCGGUACAGCAUCACAUUUGACACCUAAGGAAGGUACAGCCCAACUAUGAGGUACAUCAGCAGAUGUUACAAUAAAACGUAUAGGGCUCUUUGCUGGUAGAACCACUCUAUUGUCGACUUCUAAUAAACGUGAUUGACCCAAUUCUAGAUCAUCUUCUGGAAUCGUAUAACUGUCAAAAGUGAGUGACUGUUCAUCGGAACUGUUAUAGUCCGAAUACUCAUAAGGUAGGGUCGACGCCCGCCUCCCCCCAAACUGUACUUGCAAGUUUCCCCGCAAAAAGCUCUCCACGCCUACUCUUAGAAAGAACACUAUUUUUCUUUAGUUAGGUAGUUCUCCCGACCGUAAGACCCUUUAUGAGUAAGGUUAAUCGAAGGCCGGGGAAAGUUUAUUGGCAAGAGGGAACCAUUUCUCACCCAGCCCUACCUACCCUAUGUAUUCGAGGGAGAGGCUGGAACCGAAAAAGACCAGGUUCCACACAUAUGAGACAGGCAGAAGGUAUGGGACGAGCAGUUUCUUGAAGAGCGAAUUCGAUCCUAUAGUCGUCUUCUUUGUUCGAAAAAUGCACAGUGGAAAGGGAUGCUAGUCGGCUCGGCGAAGUUGUAGCCCAAAAAAAGAAGAUCCAGAGUGAUUCCUCACCUAUCCUGUCAGGGGCCCAGUGGAACGCUCGAGUAUAGAUUCCCUAUGCUCAUGUAAACGGCCGGGGCCGGCCGGCCCGUAGAUCUAAAAGGAUCCAGCCAUAGGCCUGACCGGAUAUCGUUUGUCCACAAACAAAACAAAAACAAGGUUGGUUUUUAGUAGUAGUUCAUGAGACCUCGAAUUCCCACGUUCCAGCGUGCAUUAUGCCAACAGGUCCCACCACCAACUCUAGCUGAGAAGUUGAGUCACCCUUCUUUUUUUUUUUCAGAAAUAGAAUAGAAUAAAGAAUGAGAUAGUCUAUAUCCUGUAUCGAUCAUAGGAUCACUCUAUGAAUAGGUCAAUUCUCUGUGACCUCCCACCGUUCACGACAUCCCUUGCUUCUCGCAAGAACGGCUCCUCGGUGGAGGAGUAGAAGCGCUGGUCCCCUUCGGUCAACUUGCUUGUGCCUGCUGUUACCUACCGUAGGACCUCCGUCCCCGAAGCGAAGAAAGAGGAGCAGGAACAAGAGGUUGUCCUCUCCUUACAGUCAAGUGGCUUUCCGCUCCUCUCCCGGCCCAGUAGUUCCGCAACUACUACCGUGGUUGUUGCCAACGGGGAUCCCCCAUUCCGAAAGGUUACUAGGCCGGCCGUUAGGUCCAAAGUUGUAUACCACUGCUAUGGUGCCGAUAGAUUCACUACUUCAGCGCCGUUAUCGGACAUUGCAGGCUGAGCAUCUAUUUCUCGUAUAUCGUUCCACACCGAGAAGAGGGAUGUGUACCUCCAGCAACAACAAGAAUGGAACCAUAGGCUCCUAUGCUGGGAGCAUUUCGGGGUAUAGGUCUAACCACCUCAACUCCCCGUUUCUGGCAUGCUAUAGUUAUUAAAGUCUCUCGACGGCGGGAAUGGGAGAUUACCGGUAAGCCAGAUGCUUCGCGAACCCUAUUCAACUUUAAGGCAUUUCGUUGCACUUUAAUCACCCUCGUGAAGAGGCGCACUCCGAUACCAUUGAUGUCCAAUAGCUUUUAUAGUAAUGGCUGGAUCUACUACUACCUCGUCCAUUGAGUAUAACAGAGCAAAUGAUGGUAUAGCAAUGAACAUAGGGAUGAUACUAGGAAAUAUGGUCCGAAGAAUCUCGAUAGUAGUUCCAUGAACAAUCCUUUGCGGGAUUGGAUUUUUUUUAUAGUGGAAAUGCCAUAAAGCGCGACCCAAGAUCCAUGAUACGAAAACCAAAAUCAGAAUAACGAAGAAAAAGACAUCGUGAUGUAAGUCUGUUAUUCCUUGCAUUAUAGGUGUUGCUGCGUCUUGAGAUCCUAAUUGCCAUGGUUCCGCUGCAUCACAAGGAGCAAUUGUGAGGAAUAGCCAUUCUAGAACAAUCAUUUGGUUUGGUUCAUUCUUUGACUGCUCUGCUCCCCCCAAAAAAAGAGAGACUGAAUUUCUUCCACCUUCCCUGUAGGAGUAGUGAAGAAGUAUAGAUUUAGUUGGUUGUUGACCAACGGAAAGCAUGGGAUCAAAAAAGGCAGAAUUUACGCAAUUUCUUUUCUAAGAAAGAGAUCAUAGUGAUUGAUGGCUCUUUCAAUCCGGCGAAAUGGAAUUGGCGUGUACCAAUUUGGGUCAGAUUAAUAAGCUUACGACCACUGAACAAACUUGGUUGACGAACAUAGUUUAUGCGCCGCUAAUGUAGCGGCUUGUCGAGCAUUUGACAAACUCACACCAUCCAUUUCAAAUAGGAUUUGUCCCCUGGACACACGAGCAAUCCAACCCGUAGGAUUUCCUUUUCCUCUUCCCAUUCUUACUUCUGUAGGUUUCCCGGUAAUAGGGAUAUCUGCGAGAACUCUUACCCAUAUCUUACCAUUUCUUCGGAAUUGUCCGCUCAUAGCACGAUGGAAGUGUCCGAUUAUAGCACGACGCGCUGCUUCAAUGGCUCGAUAUGAAAGACGACCAGCUCUACAACUUUUAGUGCCAUAUCUUCCAAAACCAAGUUGUGUACCGUCCGGUUUGCAACCCCUACUACAUCUGCCUUUACGAUAUUUACUAUAUUUCGUACGUUUCGGAUAUAGCACGUCCCCCCUUUUUUUGACUAUAUGAAAUCCACACUUUGACACCUGAGAUUCCGUAACGAGUAGAUACUUCCGCAGGAGCAUAAUCUAUUUUCUGGUUAAAUACAUUACGAGAUGUUUUUCCAUACUUUCCGCAUUCAGUUCUAGCUAUUUCUGCACCUUCUAAUCGACCUGAACAACAUAUACGGAUCCCCUCCACCCCCUUUUUCAUUACUAAUGGAAUAUCCUUCACUAUUUGACUAAAAAUGGAACGAAAUGAUCUUGUUUUGUUCCUCGGUUGAAAAGAGAUGUCUUGAGCAAUCGGAGAAGCACUUUGAUAAACAGAUUUGAUCUUGACCGAUUCAAUUAAGGUAUUAGUGUUUGUUCUAUUAUACAACAAAGAUCGCAUUUUUUGCACUUCGUUCAAAUAAUAGUUGUACCCGUACGGAAUUCUUCUGUUUCUCAGUAUGAUCUCUAUCAUCAUCUCUAUUCCCCUUAUCAAUUCUCCUAUCCUAUUUAGGUCUAUGAAUUUCUCUAUCAAUUCCAUUACCUUAUCCUUACCCAUGAGGUUCCAACAUUUUCUCCUUAAUUGACCUAGGAGUUGUUCCCGGGCAUCCUCAAAAAAAAGGUUAUUAUACACCCCAACCCCAUCCCUUGGAAAAAAAAAGGUAGCACCGAAGAAAGGAAAGAGCGAGAUGGUGGUUUUUGUUGUUCCCGCGAAGCGAAGAUCAUUCGCUUGGCGAAUAAAGUGGGUCACCCUCUUUUUGGCUUCGGCCAAACACUUUUUCUCGCUGGUCGAGCUUUCUACAAAAAAAGCGAUGCAAGAACGUAUUCUUUUAUCUAAGCUUCUUCCCUGUGCAUUAGCUCCCCCCAUCGUAGAUGGUUCAGCCACGCCCGGUGCCACGAAAUGAUUGAGAACUACGACGGGGUCGAAAUGCAUUUUCUUCUUUGUAUUCAAUAAGUAUUGCAUGACCGAAUAAUUCAAGGAAGGGCGGACUGCGGGGAGGGUCCUUUUAAGUAGAUGACUCGUCGGGCGGUCGGAGCGGGACUUCUUUGGGAAAAAGAACUUGAAUAAGUUUGUUUUUCUGAAGGAGUCGUCAUUUUCUAUCAGGAACGCUAUGUCAUUUUCAAUCCCGGCGUAUUUCGGAUGCUUGAAGGCCCCGCUGACACGAAGUGAUUUAGAAAGAUUCUUCUUUAUCGAUGGUGAUCGGUCAUGGUAUCCAUAGCCUUGCUUCUUUUUCGGCCAAAUCCUGAUUUCGUUUUGCUUCUCCCGAUCGUCGAGCCUGAUCGACUCGACUCUUUUCCCUGCCCCCCGGCCUCUCACUUCGUUUCGUUCUUCUUCUGUACCGUCGCUUGAAUGAAGACACCCGAUCGGCCCGACUUUCCCAAAUGCCCCCCACCGGCCCUUCUCCUUUACGGGUCUGGAUUUUUCGCGUCGUUUCAGUCGUCGUGGUCGACGGGGAAGAAAGAAAUGAAUGAAUGUUCUUUUGGGAAAAUGUAUAAUAAUACACCUACCGAGACGAAAGCCAAAGGUGAGUCUCGUAGGUGGACGUAUCGAACCGAAAUAAGAUCUCAGAUUGACAUCUUGAUACACUGAUUUACCAUAAUAAUAAAUAGAGUCAAUGGUGACUCCGCCGUGGGAAGAGCCGCUUCCUUCUUGCUUGAUAGGGGGGGCUUCCAUUCACCAGCGCAGACUAAAAGUGCUCUCCGAACCGUGCUGGAUAGUCACCCAUCACACGGCUCUCAAACCCAACCUGUGGUGGAUCCCGGGAGACAAAGUCAAAACGCAACAUCCUUUGCCCCAUACUUUGAGAUGCUCUUCUCCUGUUUUACGAAUCCUACAACUCUCUUUACUGAGCGAGACUCCAUCCAUAUCCCUACUAGUGGUUUUUCUUUCAUUCAAUCAUCACUUGUUUGACAGCUUAAACUAGGCUCCACUUUAGAGAUAGGUUUUUGGUCUUAAUCAAAAUAGGUCAAGGGCGCGUCGGAACGGUCGGUAGCUGCUUAGUCUCAUCCGAGAGUUUAAUCUCCUUACUCCUUACUGCUUUUUUCAAAGAAAAAAAGAAGGGGGUCGAUUUAGGCUCCUUCCCUUCCACUGCGUAGCCGCGCUAGCAGGUACUACGAGCCCUCUGUCCCACGCAUCUAACCAGCUCGCGUGGUUCACCGGUUCCACCGAAAACUCUCAUUUGUUGAAGCGGAGCAUAGUGCGCUUUAGGCGCUGAGCGAGAAAGGUCUCUUCUUUCCUUUCGGUUUAUUCACUGAUCUGAAACUUAGCACUUGUUUUCUUAUUGAUUCCCGGGGCGGUGGCAUUCUUGAAUGAAGUCUAUCCGAACCGAAUUAGCACUUCUCAGAUCAGGCUAGGCCUCUCCAGCUGAGCUGGGCGCCGGGGCCCUGGAUGCGCUAGCGAUUGGCACAUAGGGGAAUGGUUGCCCGGGUUUCUCGGCCUGGUAUCCUGCACCUCGCGUUCAUGAUAUCUACAUUCAACUGUGCCCCGGAGACACGGUCGAAGCACGCCCGUCCAGUGUGCUUCUUUCACGACAUGCUAUAGUCCUGGGUGUCUUCCAGUGGUCUUCUAGCCUUAGAAGAAGUCGUGUCCGCCCCCGGCAUCUGCAACGUCCUCCUUUGAUAUUCUAAUCUGGGAGAACUAAAAGACUGACCCAUUCGGUGACUUUCGCGGUCGCCCUCACUAAACCAACUUGAAUCUGAACUACGAUUCAGAUCAAGUCUUACCGAAAUAGGAUUUCCUUUUCGUGCCAUAUGCGCUUAGACUUUACUUUUUCCCCCUUUUUCUUCCCGGUCCAAUAUUUGUUCUCGAAGGUCUUCGUUUCCGUGUAGAAGCAAACUCUCCAAAUUUAUGACCAACCUUUCCUUCAGUAAUCUUACAACGAACAGGAGUUUUUCCAUUGUAAAUUCGUACGGAGCAAUCAACGAAUUCCGGCGAAAUAGAAGAUCUACGUGACCAAAUUUUCCUGUUAAAAAGAAGAUCUCUCUUCUUCUUCAUUCUCAAGAGGAAUGCAUCAACAAAACUGCCCUUCCAUAUAGAUCGUCGUGGCAUGAACGAAUUUCUUCGCUUCGAUUCCGCCCCUAAAGCUAGCUCCUACUCCUCCUCCUUCUCCUUUAGGAUAGGAUCCUCCUUGGUCCUUUUUACAUAACACUCUCGGCCGCCCAAGAGGACUGGCUAUCUUUCUCUUUAUACGCAAUAUCUUGAAAGGCAAAGAAAAAGAUCUACCGUGGCCUUAUGUUGGCAUGGGAUUUGGGUUACAAGCAGGUCAUUCUUGAAACAGAUUUUGAAUAUUGUUUGCAUGCUGUGAUUCAUUUGAUUUCCUCUAAUCACCCUCAAGCACAACUGAUCCAAGCUUGCAGGAAUCUUGUUCAAAGGGAUUGGCAGUGCUUUUGUAAGCAUACUCAUAGAGAAGAGAGAAGGUAAGAUCGCGGCCGACUGGUUGGCAUCUGAAGCUCUGAAGCAGCCGCCGGGUUAUCAACAGCUUUUGACCUGUCUGCCUGGACAUAAGAUACCUAAAAAAGAAGAAAGAAAAGGAAAACGUUAUUGUAAAUGGCACGAGAAAUGGACUCACUCUACAAAUAAUUGUGUAAAUUUCAGGAAUCUGAUUCAAGAUUACUUGGACAAAGGUUUGUUCCGGAUAGCAGACCGACCAAUGGGAAUCGAGACAUCACCGUUUGCGGGAGCAGUAGAGAGAUCAAUAUGAUGUCUGCUGACUUAAGGAAGUUGUCUGACCCACAGAAAGAGUUGGAGGCGGCUGAGCACAUCCCAUCCCACAAGAGUCAAGCCCUUCAACGGGUUAAACGUGCCAUAAAUGGGCUUUUAGUGGACUCAAAAAAGAAAUCUUGAUAUAAUAGAUAUCCCGGUAAGAGGAGGAUAAAAAAAGCUUAUGAUGAGCCCAUCACAGAGAUGCACAGAGGAAGAGAACGAACGUCAGUCUCUUGAGCGACCGAUCAAGAAAUGCAAAGAUAAGGGGAAUGGUUAGUGAUGAGGGCAUAGGACAGAGAAAGUUCCUUCUCACUCUUUUGAAUCCCAGGGAUUGCCUCAGGGAAGAGGCCAGUCCCUGAAAAAGCCAUCUCGAUUGGUAUCAUUCAAAUGCGAAUAUAGGCCUGAUUGAAGCAUAAAAGUGAAAUAAUAAUAAUGAGAGGCUUUUGUCCGUUGAUGGUCAUCUUACCUGUCUCCUACGCUACGCUCUCAACUGGAUCAAUCGCUUUGUCCUGAUUUAUUGAAGAGGUGCCCUGUGGAACAUGUUUUAUGGAAUUGAACUCUUUAUUCCAUAUUUCUUUUCUUACUGAUUGAAUGAAACUUAUGUAGUCGAUCAUGAUGGGAAGAUCCCGCUAGGAUCUCGGCACCCCUCCUCUGCACUUAUUCCAUCUAUUUAGUCAAUGACUCAGCCUUUAGUCUGCUUUGAAUGAUCCUAUCUGCACUUAUUCCAUCUAUUUAGUCAAUGUAAGUGAUUUCAUACGUCAAAGUCUAAUGAGAAGAUAUUAAGAGUCAAUGUAAGUGAUUUCAUACUCCACAAAUAUCAACUAGAAUAGUUGGCAAAGGCAAUCUUUCGUUGAAAGUCAUUUCAGUACAUAUACACUAUAGAUUCUCUUCGUUAUAUCACUUUUCUAUCUCAUCUAUCUUACUUCUUGAUUAAGCAGCCCUGGAAUCACUUCACUCCGGGCGACAAGCCUACUCAUCAUCAAAGCAAGUCCAAGCCCAUGCAAAAAUGGCCUCAUUGUCAUGGGAGCCCUUUCCUUACUCCUCAAUAUAGUCGUUCUAUACAUUAAGAUUUGCAGCACCUAUUCAGGAGCUGGGGAAUCGGCUUGCAAGGAAAAUCUUGAUUGAAAGUCCAUAUCUUUCUAUUUUCCUCUAUCUCCGGCUAGAAAAGAAUGUAUGCGUCAAACUUUGAUGUCUCACUGGUUUAGAUACGACGAGAUAAUCAUCAAAGUUCGGGAAUCUCAACGGGAAUACCUCACUGCACCGGUACCGGUUAUGAGCCACAUUCAGCGAAGAGUUUCUGGUCUUUGUCCCCUUAAUGCAUUAUAAAUUGCAAGGAAAAAUGAAAAAAAAGUGGAAUUCUAUAGGUUUAGCUAAGACGAUUUCGGAAAUUCGAAACUUAUUCCUUUUUUGUUUGGUGCGAGCUCAACUUAAGCUAUACAUUGCCCGAGAAGAGCGGUUUGGGUGCACCCAAACCGCUCUUCAACCACUUGCGGCAGAAUUUCCAAAUCUAUUUAGUAUGGAGAUGUUGGCACAAGAAGGCGAACUCUCAUUAUAUAUCAAUCUUUUGCUCUGGCUGCUAUUGACUUGACUACAUUGUCUCACUGAGCAGUGUUUUCUCAUGGAGGAAAGAAAGAUGGGCCAAAUCAUGCGGGUAAGUGCCCAAGAAAUUUCAUACUAGCUACUUCCACUACUGUCACCCCUAAGUAUUGCAUUAUUUGUGAGAGUUCGGCCAUUUGAAGAAAAGACAUCGGAUUAUACAAAGUGCCCCUAAUGCUAUGAUGUUGACACAAUCUGGUUGGCGGCAUUUUCAAAUGAAAAACAUAAAAGAUUAUUUGGAUCAUUGUUCCAAUGUAUCUCAGCCUUUCUGCAAGUUCCAAUUUAGAAGGCUGAAAUUGACCAUUAGAAAACAAAACAAUGGCCAAUAAAAAGAAUUCUCCUUUGAAGUUGAUUUUAAUGAGCAUAAAACCAGGCGAAGAGUCUAAUUACUGCUUUUUGUUUCACUUUAUAGGGUAGGGUCACCGUGCCUAUGUGGGUCAUAGAAAAGAAAAUACAUAAAGCCUAACAAGCGAGCCAUGCUUCCUUGAAAUUUGCCAGAACUGUCAUCACCUAUGGUUGAUUAAGAAAAAAAACUGGAAACAAGAGACCUGGUUUUUUUUCCAGUUUCUGAUUCCAGAAUGUCUGCAUCUAUUGUUCUUGUUAUAGAUGAAUGUUUAGAUGAACUACACCUCCUGAAUUACAUCCCUCCUUGCAUGCAUUUGUUGAUUCACUUCCCUCGACAACGAGAAUUUAGAGUAUAUUGUAUGGCCGCACAGUAUUUUUUGAUUUUUCGGAGGAAUUUAUAGCAUCCAUCUGCUAAUGUGUAAUGUGCUGCCUGGUGACAAAUCACCAACUCAGGAGUCCUUGAAAGCCUUGAUCUACGGAACUGACAUAUACUUGUCCCCAAUGCAUGCAUCAUCAGAAGUGGCACACAAAAUAUUCUCAUCACUGAGGCCAUACAAAUUGAACAUUCCAGAAGCUUCUAGAGACCGGCGCCUGGGUACGGCAAUUGAGGUUGCUCCUGCUAUAAUUCAAGGGCCAUCAGCAGAAAUGUCUCGAGGAGUAGUUAAACGGGCAGGAGAUAAUAACAGAAUAAUUGUGUGCACUGGUGGACCUAAUACUUAUGUACCCGGGCUAGCGCCCUCUCUCUUCUGUGCCCUCUCUCUCUAGCAGAAUGCUAUCUGUUCUUAUUCAUAUAUUACCUUCCAUUAGAAAAAAAAAAAAAAAAAUGAAAAAUGUUAAGAUAUUCUUAAUGAUAUUCGGGCUUCUACCCAGCAGAGUCUUCCAUAACUGACCGACCGGUGAAAGGAUAGCCGGACCCGUUGAAAGCCGGCAGUUAUUGAUGGCUUGGAAAGAAAGCUGGGCUAGGUCUUCUUCCCUUAGAGAGGCUUAUUCUCCUUUCCCGAGUUCUCAAAUAUUUGCUUUUGUCUCUGUUUAUUCUAUUAUUAGUUCUAUUGUUCCGAUCCGCUUGUGUUUCAGGAAAUCAAACCGAAGUCAAUUCAUUCAACAAGAUCUGUUCGGAUCAGAUCUACCAGCGACCGGUUUACGGAACAAGGAGUUAAGCAAGGGCCAGGAGAUUGAUAAAAGAACCUGGCCGAAGUAAGUCUUGUGUUCAAUUCCGCGGUUGGAAGGAUUUCUUUCUGCCAUCUGUCUUUCCCUUCUCUCUCUUCUCUUAGCAAAGGUAGGUGAAAGUCAAACCUUUGGCUUGCGGGCUCAGGGACUGCAGUCAGCUGCUUCCCCUGUAGCCGUCAGCUCGUUCUUGACAGAUCCGAUCGGGUGUUCAUAAUCUGGAGUAAAAGGAUUCGAACCUUUGCAUGCCGGUACCAAAAACCGAUGCCUUACCACUUGGCUAUACUCCAUAGGCCUGUUUUGGACGGUAGGAACGGGGAGAGGGGGAAGGGAGAAGCAGGGCUCGAAGAACGAGCCGAGCCGUGCAAGGACGCGGGGAUAUAGCAAGUAAGCAGCAAGGUUCUCCCCUUAGGACCGACUACAACAAGCUCGCGACUCUAAUAGAAAGAAAGGGUAAGCUCUCUGCUCUAUUUGCUUGCAAUGCUAUGCCUAUCAAAGUUGGCGAAGGCUUCUGUAACCUUAGACUCGUUACGCUGUUCGACCGAACUCGUUGGCUCCGCGUCCACCGAAAGUCGGUAACCUUCGUCACCGUCAGCAUUUGGUACUCUCUCGAUAGCUUCAAUAGUUCACUGAAAGCCUUUGGUGUAAUAAACCGCAAGCCCUUCAGAAAGAAAGACAUAAUAUAAUAAUGAAUUAAUUAAUAAACAUUAAUAAUUCAAAAAAGAAAGGGUUGGUUAAGAACUAUUGACUGUAAACCAUAGCAGUUACAGUCACUCAAUGGAGAUGUUCGCCUUUGUUUGGAAUGAAGAUGGAUGAACAGGCACUUGAGCCUGGAACUGAUGAAAUUCGGGGAAAACAUGGAAGCGGUCACUAUACUGGGGGGGGCAAGACAUGACCGCGACUUAAGAAAAAAGUACCCUUGAAAAGACUAAAGGAACGGGGGAAUGACUACCUGUAAUAAAGCACAGGCUAAUACGAGCCGACCAGAAGAAGCAAGGCUUAGAUUACCAGAUCCUGGACACAAUCUUCCUAGAGAUGGAGAGCCACUUGACUGUAAGGAAAGGGCCCUUGGGCCACUUGCCUCGCCCUUUUUUUUGCACCUAUCCUUCUUGCUUGCUUACCUAUAGCUCUCUUGUCUUAGUGACUCUUCCUCUUUUCUAGGUUUUUUUUCUGAGUGUUAAAACGAUAGAUUUUUCAUUUGCCAAUGAAUUGGAUCCGCCCCGAUUCGAUCAAUAAUGGGAUUCUUGGCUAGAGAAAGGUUCUGUGACAUGGACGCCCAGCCCAACUCGGUCGGUCGGUUGGCCCACCUAACAGAUGAUGAUAUUCUCGAUCGAUUUGAUCGAAUUUCAUUCUUUCUCACUAUUCAGAACAGUGGAGCUUUCGAUCAAGAUCUUCUCGCCUCACCCGUUUGGGCUCUCGCUCGAAUCGGAACCUUUAUGCGUAGGUAGGCUUUCGACUCAAUCUAAUAGCCUACCUAUCGGGCGCCAAUAAAAGAGAAAGUUUUCGCAUGGGCUCAUCAUCUGAUGCAGAACCGAUGCGAGAGGGAGAAGCGGGGAUUGAUAGCUUUCAAGAACCAGUGGAAAGGAAAGACUUCUUCCCUGCAUUCCUUCCUUUCCAAAAAAAAGGAAAUUUCUUUGGGCAAAACCUUGGUAGUUUUCAAACAAAUCCAAUGUUGGGCCAAGCCUUGCCAGCCGGUAAUAGCCGAAGGCAUAAAAGGGGAGAUAGGGAAGAGGAGAUUAAGGAUAGUCACUCCACUCCAUAGAUAGUGCACACAGAUUCUUCUUUCAUUUUCCAUUCCUUUCGGGUCGGAAACGCGGGCUGCUAGUGGGGCUGUGCCCAUUCUCCCUCUUCUUCCGCUUUACAACCGGAAUAAGGAACCUUAGAAUUCACCCUACCUGUCGAUGAAAAAAUGGGAUUUGAGAGGAGCUGAAAGCCACUUGACUCUAAGGAGAGGACCACCCGCUAGCGGAUCAGAAAGAUUUGUAUGGAAUGUCCUACUCCUGCCUGAGCUUUCCGAUCAACCAAUCCCCUAUUUCAGGGACAUCUGUGUUAGGUAGGCCCAGGGAUCACUGAUUAGUCGAAUGAGCCCAUCUCUCUGGCCUAUCAUUUGUUGGUCGAUCCGGCUGGCGGCUCCUGCAUCUCCUGCCUCUCUAUGGGGGCCCCUUUUUUAGACUAGUUUGCUGCUAGGAGUCCCUAGAGUCGAAUUAAUAAUCANNNNNNNNNNNNNNNNNNNNNNNNNNNNNNNNNNNNNNNNNNNNNNNNNNNNNNNNNNNNNNNNNNNNNNNNNNNNNNNNNNNNNNNNNNNNNNNNNNNNCAUUCAACCAUGAGUGUUUUAUAUGGGCUAUGAUGGCAUUACACGGAUGACGUUGUCCAACCGUCUAUGCUAGAGAAGGGCUACGCGGGCAUGUUAUAGCGUGACUCAUUCUACCGUGUGCGCUGGUCCAAGGGGUGAUGAUGGCAUGCCACGGUUAAUGUUGUUUUCGACCAUGUAUACCCAUUCACACGCGAUGAUGGAAUGCCAAGCCCUCAUCAUUUAUUUCAUCGUGUGCAUUAUAGAGCGAUGAUGGCAUGCCAGGACAGACGUCAUUCGACAUUGGUGUUAUUCAAUGUAUUAUUAUGAGAAUGCCAUGCCGACAUCAUCCUAUCAUGUGUGCUGUCCCAGGGCUAUGAUGGCAUGCCACGCUUGACGUCAUAUGAAUGUAUGUGUUGUACAUGGCUAUGCGUAUUACCACACCCUAUAUCAUCCACUGACUCAUGUGUGGUCCAGAACCGUGAUUGCAUGCCACGCCCUGAUGUCGUCCGUCUCUGUGUCAUGUCCAAGGGCAAUGAUAGCAGCAUUGCUCAAACGUGGAGCGUCCGUGUGUGUUGUUCAAGGGCCAUGAUAACAUGCCACUUCUAAUGUCGUUCAAACCGUAUAGUGUUGUCAAAGGGAUAUGUUGGCUUACACGCCCGACGUCAUCCUACCGUGUGGCUGUUUCAAAGGGCCAUGAUGGCGCAUACACACACCCGACGUCGUCCGAUCGUAUGUGCUUCCAAGGGAUGAUGGCAUGGCAUUCCCAACAUGGUCCAUCUGUGUGUAAGUUUAAGAGUUAUAAAGGCAUUCCACACCCGACGUAUUAUGAUAUUCUUUAUCCUUUCCAAAGGCCAUGAUGGCAUGCAACUCACAAUGUCGACCGACCUAUUUGAUAUCGAAGGUCUUUGAUGGAAAUGUAACUACUGCUGUCGUCUGACCAUGUGUGUUGUCCAAGGGUUACGUAGACAUGCAACGCCUGACUUCGUCUUACCUUUGUGCUGUCCAAGGGCUAUGAUGGCAUGUCAAGCACGACAUAGUGCGAUCGUGUUUGCUCUCGAAGGUCUACGCUGGCAUGCCACACCAAACUUCGUUCGACCGUGUGUGCUGUCCAAUAGCGAUGAUGGCAUGCUAUGCCCAACGUUGCCCAACCAUGUGUCUUGUCCACACGCGAUAAUCAAAUAACACACCAAACAUAGUUCAUUUGUGUGGGAAGUACAAGAGCGAUUAUUUUAUGCAAAGCACGACGUCGUCCGUUCCUGUUUCUUGUCCAAGGGAUAUGAUGUCAUGACGUGCCUGACUUCAUCGGACCGUGUGUGCUUUCCAAAGGCCAUGAUUGCAUACUAUGCACAACAUCGUCAGUCUGUGUGUGCAAUCUAAGGUCUAGAAAUGCAUCCACACCCGACGUUGUCCGACUAUGUGUCCUAUCAAAGGUCCAUGAUGGCAUACCAUGCUUAAUGUAGUCCAACAGGUUAUAUUGUCUAAGGACAUUGAUGACAUUCACGCAUGCUAUUUUUUAACCAUGUGUGCUUUCGAAGGACUAUGCAGGCAUGUAAUGCCUGACUUCAUCCGACCUCUGUACUGUCCAGGAAAGAUAAUGGAAUGCCACAGUCAAUUUUGUUUGUUCGUGUGUGCGGUAAUAUGGUGAUGAUGGAAUGACAUUUCCGACGUCAUCUUACCGUGUGAGACGUCCAAGGGCUAUGAUGUCACGCCACACAAGAUGUCGUCCGAUCGUGUGUUUUGGUUAGGGCUAUGAUGGCAUGCCACAUCCGAUGUCGUCCGAUUUUGUGCACUAUCCCAGGGCCAGGAUGGCUUGCCAUGCCCGAGUAUGUCUGACCAUCUGAUGCAUCUGUGGAGUCCAAGUACUUUUUUGGCAAUCAACACCUGACAUUGUCCGUCCGUGUGUGCAGUCCAAGGGCGAUGAUGGCAUGUCAUACCCAACUUUGGCCGACCGUGUGUGUUGUCCAAGGGAUAUGAUGAAAGGCCACGACCUAUGUCGUCCCACCAUGUGUGCUGUCCAAGGGGUAUGAUGUUAUCCACGCCUGACAUCGUUCGACCGUGUAUGUUGUCCAAGGGCUACUAAACAAUACAACACCAUAUGUUGCCCGACCAUGUGUGUAGUUCAAGGGCGAUAAUGACAUGCGACACUCGACGUUGUCUAACCGUCUGUGAUGUCCAAGGUCCAUGAUGCAUGCCACGUCCGACGUUGUCCUAAUGUGUGUGCUUUAAGACGAUGAGGACAUGCCACACCUGACAUGAUCUGUCUAUUUAUGCAGUCUAAGGGCUGAGGGAAUGCCACGACCAAGGCGGACCGACCGUGUGAUAUCCAAGGGACAUAAUUACAUGCCACACAGAGCUUCGUUCAACUGUUAGUGUUGUCUAAGGUCUAUGAUGGCAUGCCACAUACGAUGUCGUCCGAUUGUGUGUGCAUUCAAAGGGCUAUAAGGGCAUGCCAUGCUCGACAUUAAUCGAUCGUGUUUGCUUUUAAAGGCGAUGAUGGUUUUUCACGCCUGAUAUUUUACGACCAUGUGUAUUGUGCACAGGCGAUGAUGGAAUGCCACGCUCUACAUCGUUAAUUUCUAUAUGUAAUACAAGAGCGAUGAUGGCAUGCCAAGAAUGUCAUCUUUCGAGUGUGUGUGCUUUCCAUAGGCGACGAUGGCAUGCCAUGCCCGAAUUCAUCCAUCUACGUGUGCAGCCCAAGGGCGAUGAUGGCAUGCCACAUCCACGGUCGAGCGACGUCGUGUGUUCUAUCCAAGGGCUAUAAUGACAUUUCACGCCCAACGUCGUUCAACCGUGACUGUUUUCUAAGGGCUAUGAUUCCAUGCCACACACGAAUUCGAGUGAUAAUUUUUGCAGUCGAAGGGCUACGCAGGCAUGCCACGACCAACUUUGUUUGAUCGUGUGUGCUGUCCAAGGGGGAUGAUGGAAACCCACGUCCGUCAUCAUUUAUUCGUGUGUGCAGUAUAAGAGCGAUGAUGGCAUGCCAUUCCUCACGUCAUCUGACAUUGUGUGUUGUUCAAUGGCUAUAAUGAGAAAGCCAUGCCCGACAUCAUCUUUUCGUGCGUGUUGUUCCAGAGCUAUGAUGGCAUGCCACGCUUGACAUCGUCUGAAUGUGUGUGUUGUACAAUAGAUAUGCGUGAUUACCACACCUGAUAUCGUCCGACUGUGUGUGUUGUCCAGAACCAUGAUUGCGUGCCAUGCCUGACGUCGUCUGUCUAUGUGUCAUGUCCAAGGGCAAUGAUAACAUGCAUCGCCCGACGCUCAGCGCUCGUGUGUGUUGUUCAACGACUAUGAUAACAUGCCACUCCUCAUGUCGUCCAACCGUAUAUGUUGCCAAAGGUAUAUGAUGGCAUGCCACGCUCGACAUCAUCCUACCGUGUGUGCUUUCCAAAGGCCAUGAUGUCAUACAACACCCGACAUCGUCCGACCGUAUCUGCUUGCCAAUGUCGAUGAUGGCAUGCCAUUCCCAACAUGGUCCAUCUGUGUGUCACUCUAUGAGCUUGAAAGGCAUGCCACACCGACGUUAUGCGAUUAUGUAUCUUGUCCAAGGGACAUGAUGGCAUACAACUCCCAAUGUCGACCGACCAUAUGUGCAUCUCACUCCCGCUGUCGUCUGACUGUGUGUUCUUUCCAAGGGUAACGUAGACAUGCAACGCCCAACUUCGUCUAACCUUUGUGUUGUCCAAGGGCAAGAAUUACAUACCACACCCAACGUCGUCUGACUGUGUGUGCUAUGCAAGGUCUACGCAGGCAUGCCACGCGUGACGCUGUUUAAUCGUGUGUACUUUCCAAGGGCUAUGAAGGCACGCCACGCUCGACAUCGUCCUGAGUGUGUGUUGUCCACGAGAUAUGAUGACAUGCCAUGCCCUACAUUGUUAGAUCCUGUGUACUGUCCAAGUGCCAUGAUGGAUACCACCCCGACGUCAACGAUCAUUUGUGCAGAUAAGUACUCUAAUGCCAUGCCAUGCCUUACAUCGUCCCAUCAUUUCUGCAGUCCAAGGGCGAUAAGAGCAUGACACACCCGACAUCGUCUGAUUGUCCAAGGGCCAUGAUGGCAUGCCACGACCGACGCCGACCAACUAUGUGUGCUUUCAAAAGAGAAUGAUGGCAUGCAACACCUUACAUUAUCCGUCUGUCUGUGCUUUCCAAAGGCGAUGAUGGCAUGCCACGUCUGAGGUCGACCGACCGUGUGUGCUGUCCAAGGCUAUGAUUACAUGCCACGCUCAACAUCGAUAAACUGUGAGUGUUGUCCAACGGCUUUGAUGGCAUGCCAUGCACGACAUAGUGCGAUCGUGUGUUCUCUCAAAGGUCUACGCUGGCGUGCCACGUCCAACUUUGUUCAACCGUGUGUGCUGUCCAAGGGCGAUGAUGGCAUGCUACGCCCGACGUUGCCCGACCAUGUGUCCUGUCCAUGCUCGAUAAUCAAAUAACACGCCAGACAUCGUUCAUUCGUGGGCAGUACAAAAGCGAUGAUGUCAUGCAAAGCACGACAUUGUCCAUUCUGUAAGUUGUCCAAGGGCUAUGAUAGCAUGACGCGCUCGAUGUUAUCGGACCCUGUGUGCUUUCCAAAAGCCAUGAUGGCAUACCACGCCCAACAUCAAAUGUCUGUGUGUGCAAUCUAAGUUCUAGAAAUACAUUCACACCCGACGUUAUCCGACUGUGUGUUCUAUCAAAGGUCUAUGAUGGCAUACAACGCUUGAUUUCAUCCGCUAAGUUAAAUUGUCCAAGGACUUUGAUGACAUGUCAUGCCCGCUAUUGUCUGACCAUGUGUGCUUUACAAGGACUACGCGGGCAUGUAAUGCCUGACUUCCACCGACCUGUGUGCUGUCGAAGAAAGAUAAUGGAAUACCACGGCCAAUUUCGUUCGUUCGUGUGUGCGUUAAUAGGGUAAUGAUGGAAUGCCAUUCCCGACGUCAUCUGACCGUGUGUGCUGUUCAAGGGCUAUGAUGGCAGGCCACACCAGAUGUCAUCCAAUCGCGUGUUCUGUGUUAGGGCUAUGAUGGCAUGCCACGCUCGAUGUCGUCCGAUCUUGUGUACUGUCCCAUGGACAUGAUGGCAUGCCACACCCAAUGUCGUCUGACCAUGUGUGCAGUCCAAGGACUUUUAUGGCAUACCACACCUAACAUCGCCCGUCCGUUGUGUAGUCCAAGGGCGAAGAUGGCAAGUCAUACCCUACUUCGUUCGACUGUGUGUGUUGUCCAAGUGAUAUGAUGACAGGCCAUGCCCGACAUCGUUCGAUCGUGUGUGCUGUCCAAGGGCUAUGUUGUCAGCCACGCUUCAUAUCCUCUGACCGUGUAUGUUGUCCAAGGGCUACUCCAGGCAACCACAAUCCUGCCUGACUGUGUGUGUAUAAAGGGAAAUAAUGGUAUGGCACAUCCGACAUCGUCUAACCGUGUGUGAUGUCCAACGGACAUGAUGGCAUGCCACGUCUGAUGUCAUCCUACUAUGUGUGAUUUCCAAAGGCGGUGAUGGUAUACCACACCCAACAUCAUCCCUCUACGUGUGCAGUCCAAGGGCGAUGAUGGCAUGCCAUGUCCAUGUGGUCUAUAAUGACAUGCCAAGCCCAACGUCAUUCACCGUGAGUGUUGUCCAAGGGAUAUUAUGGACAUGCCACACACGAUGUCGUCUGAUCUUGUGUGUUUUCAAGGGCUAUGAUGCAAGCCAUGCCUGACUUCUUCGACCGUGUGUGUUGUCAAAGGGAUAUUGACGCAUGCCACACCCGACGUUGUCGACCAUGUGUGAAGUCCAAGGGCAUGAUUAAGCCACACCGACAUCAUUGAUGUCCAAGUCCGAUGAUGGCAUGCCAAUCCCGACGUCGUCCGACUGUGUGUGUUGUUCAAGGCGAUGAUGUAUGCCACGCCUGACAUCUUCCCCGUGUGUGUUGUCCAAAGGCUAUGAUGGCAUGCCACGCCCGACAUCAUUCUACCGUUUAUGCUUUCCAAGGGCCAUGAUGGAAUACCACGCCCAACAUCGUCUGUCUAUGUGUGCAAUAUAAGGGCUAGAAUGGCAUGCCACACCCGACGUUGUCUGAUUAUGUGUCCUAUCAAAGGGCCAUGAUGGCAUGCCAAUCCUGAUGUCGUUCGAACGUUUGUGAUGUUCAAGGACUUUUAUGUCAUGUCACGCCCGCCGUCGUCCAUCCGUGUGUGCUUUCCAAGAACUACGCAGGCAUGCAACGCCCGACUUCAUCCAACCUGUAAGCUGUCCAAGGGCGAUAAUGGCAUGCCAUGCCUAAUUUUGUAUGUUUGUGUGUGCGAUAAAAAGGGAAUUAAUGGCAUGUCACGUGCAACAUCAUUCGACUGUGUGUGUUGUGCAAGGGCUAUGAAGACGUGCCACUCCCAACAUUGAUUGAUUGUGUCUACUAUCUAUGGUUUAUGAUGGCAGGCCACACCCGACGUUGUCCGAUCGUGUGUGCUAUCGAAGGGCUAUGAUUGCAUGACACGCUCGAUGUCGUCAAAUUAUAUGUACUUUCCAAGGGAGAUGAUGUAUGCCAUGCCCGAUGUCGUCUUACCAUGUGUGCAGUCAAAGGACCAUUAUGGCAUGCCACGUCUGACAUCGUCCAUCUGUGUUCGCAGUCCAGGGGGAUGAUGGUAUAUCAUACCUGACUUCGUCAGACCGUGUAUGUUGUCCAAGGGCCAUGAUGGCAUGCCAUGACCGACAUCGUCUGCUUGUAUGUGCAGUCCAAGGACAAUAAUGGCAUUCUAUGGCCUAGUUCGACUCAUCUUGUGUGUUGUCCAAGGGCUAUGAUAACAUGCCACGCCCUACGUGUUCAGUCGUGAUUGUUGUCAAAGGGUUAUAAUGUCAAUCCACGCAUGACGUUGUUUUGACCGUCUGUACUUGAGAAGGGCUACGAAGGCAUGCCACGCUGGACUUCUUUCUACCGUGUGUGUUGUCCAAGGUUGAUGAUGGAAUACCACGAUUAUUGGUUUUCGACCAUGUGUAACAUUCACGCGUGAUGAUUGAACGACACGCCCGUCAUCAUUCAUUCAUGUGUGCAGUAAAAGAGCAAUAAUGGCAUGCCACGACUAACAUCAUCAGAAAUUGUGAGUUGUUCCAUGUCUAUGAUGGAAUUCCACGCCCGACAUCAUCUUACCAUGUGCGCUGUCAAAGGAUCUAUGAUGGCAGGCCACGCUUGACGUCGUCCGAAAGUGUGUGCUGUCCAAUGGCUAGGCGUGUCCACACCUAAUGUCGUCCGACCGUGUGUGUUGUCCAAGGGAUAUGAUGGCAUGCCAAGCCUGACGUUGUCCGUCUUUGUGUAAUGUCCAACGGCUAAGUGGGCAUGCCACCACCCGAUAGUCACUUGACCAUGUGUGCUUUCAAAGGGCCAUGAUGGCAUGCCACACUAACGUCGUUGGACUUUAUAUGUGUCUAAGGUCUAUGAUGCAUGCCAUGCACGACGUUGCCCUAAUGUGUGUGUCCAAGGGCGAUGAUGACACACCACACAGACAUCGAUCUAUCCGUGUGUGCAGUCCAAGGGCUGAUGGAAUGCCACAUCCAAGGACCGACUUUGUGUAUAUAUCCAAGGGAAUGAUGGAAUGCCACACGGACGUUCUUUCAAGUGUUAGUGCUAUCUAAGGGCUAUGAUGGAAUGACACAUACGACGUCGUUCGAUUAUGUGUGCAUUCAAAGGGCUAUAUGGGCAUGCCAUGCUCGAUUCAAUCGACCGUGUGUGCUUUCCAAUGGGCGAUGAUGGUUUGCCACGCUCAUAUUGUACGACCAUAUCUACUGUCCACGGGGAUGAUGGCAUGCCACGCUCGACAUCGUUAACUUCUAUCUGUAGUACAAGAGCGAUGAUGGCAUGCCAAGCAAGACAUCGUGCGACUGUGUGUGCUUUCAAUAGGCGAUGAUGGCAUGCCAUGCCGAAUUCAUCCGUCUAUGUGUGCAGUCCAAGGGCGAUGAUGGCAUGCCACAUCCAAGGUCGUCCAAUCGUGUGUUCUGUCCAAGGGCUAUAGUGACAAUCCACGCCCAACAUUGUUCAACUGUGAGUGUUGUCUAAGGGCUAUGAUGGCAUGCCACACACAAAUUCGAGUGAUAAUUUUUGCUGUCGAAGGGCUAUGCAGGCAUGCAAAGGCCAAGUUUGUUCGACCGUUUGUGCUGUCCAAGGGGGAUGAUUGAAAGCCACACCCUACAUUGUUGAUGCCUAUGUGUAGUAAAAGAGCGAUGAUGGAAUGCAAAGCCCGAUCAUGCCACACCUGACGUCAUAUGUCUCUAUGUGUAGUCCAAGGGCAACGAUAACAUGCCACGCACAACGUCGAUCAACCGUGUGUGUUGUUCAAGGUCUAUGAUGACCGCGUGUGCUGUCUAAGGGCUAUGAUGGCAUGCUGCACCCGACGAUGUCCGACCGUGUGUAUCGUAAAAAGGCUACGCGGGCAUGCCAUGCCUUACUUCAUCAGACUAUAUGUGUUGUCCAAGGGCAUUCAUGGCUUUCCAAUUCAAACAUAGUCUUACCGUGUGCGUAGUCCAACGAAGAUGAUGGCAUGCCUUGCCCCACGUCAUCUAUUCUUGUGUUUAGUACAUUAGGGAUGAUGGAAUGCCACGCCGACAUCGAGUGAUCGUGUGUGUUAUCUAAAGCUACGUGGCAUGCGAUUCAUGAUGUCGUUCAACCGUGUAUCGUGUCCAAGGUCCAUGAUUGCAUGCCACGACCGACGUCGUCUGACCGUGUGUGCUCACCAAAGACUUUGAUGACAAGUCACGCCAGACAUCGAUCGAUUGUGUGUGUUGUCCAAGGGUUACGCAGGCAUGCCGUCAUGUGUGGCUUUUAAGUGCUAUAGGGGCAUGCCGUGCUCGAUAUGUACAGACCGUUUAUACAGACCAAAGGAAAUGUUGUCAAGCCAUGCCCGACGUCAUUCGAUCGUGUAUGUUAUCCAAGGGUGAUGAUGGCAUUCCACUCCCCACAUCGUACGUUUGUGUGUGUAUCUAAUGGCUAUGAUCAUAUGACAUGCCUGAUUUUGUUCGACCGUGUGCUAUCAAAGGGCUAUGAUGAAGUCCGACUAUUGUAUCCAAGAUCUACGUUGACAUGCCAUGCCAGACGUCGUUUGAGCGUGUGUCCCGUUUAAAGGACCUUAAUGUCAUGCCACGUCAAACAUAGUCUGGCCGUGCAUGCUUUCUAAGCGUCAUGAUUGCAUGCCACGUCAAACUGUACGUCUUGUCCAAUGGCCAUGGUUGCAUGCAACGUGUGACAUCAUUUGACCUUGUGUGCUGUCCAAGUUCCAUUUUGUCAUGCCAUGUCUGACAUCGUCCUACUAUAUGUGCUGUCCAAGGGAGAUGAUGACAUCCCAUGUCUGACAUCAUGCUGUCCGAUCGUGUGUGUUGUCCAAUCUAGUGUACUGUCCCAGGGCCAUGAUGGCAUGCCAAGCCAAAAGUCGUCUAACUAUGUGUGCAGUCCAAGGACCAUUAUUUCAUGCCAUGCUUGACAAGAACCGACCAUGUGUGUAUUACAAGGGCGAUGAUGGAACGUCAUGCCCGACUUCUUCGGACCAUGUGUGUUGUCCAAGGAAUAUGAUGACAGGCCAUGCCCGAUGUCGUUCGACCGUAUGUGUUGUCCAAGUGCUAUGAUGUAAGCCACGCCUGACAUCCUCGGAUCAUGUAUGUUGUCCAAUGGCUACUCAGGCAUUCCACACCCAACAUUGCCUGACCGCGUGUGAAGUCCAAGGGUGAUAAUAGUAUGCCACUCCUGACAUCGCCUAACCACGUGUGACGUCCAAGGGCCAUGAUGGCAUGCUAUGUCCGACGUCAUUGUACUGUGUGUGCUUUCUGAAAGCGGUGAUUGUAUGCCAUGCUCGACUUCAUCCCUCUAUGUGUGCAGUCCAAGGGCGAUAAUGACAUGUAACGCCCAACAUCGUUCAACUGUGAGUGUUGUCUAAGGGCUAUGAUGGCAUGCCACACACAAUGUCAUCUAAUCGUGUGUACUGUCGAAAGGCUACGCGGGCAUGCCAUGCCUGACUUAUUUCAACCGUGUGUAUUGUCCAAGGGUGAUGAUGGCCUGACACUCCCGACGUUCUACGACAAUGUGUACUAUCCACGGGCGAUGAUGGAAAUCUACGCACGACAUUGUUGAUUCUUAUGUGCAGUAGAAGAGUGAUGAAGGCAUGCCAUGGUUAACGGUUUUCGACCAUGUGUAACAUUCACGCUCGAUGAUGCAAUAACAAGCCCGUCAUCAUUCAUUUGUGUGUGCAGUACAAGAGCGAUAAUGGCAUGCAACAAUUGAUUUCAUCCGACAUUGUGUGUUGUUCCAUGUGUAUGAUGAGAAUGCCACGCCCGACAUCAUCGUGUGCGCUGUAAAAGGGCUAUAAUGGCAUGCCACAUUUGACGUCGUUUGAAAGUGUGUGUUGUACAAUGGCUAUGCAUGAUUACCACACCUGAUGUCGUCCGACUCUGUGUGUUGUCCAAUGUCCAUGAUGGCAUGCCACGCCCGAUGUCACUUGACAUUGUCUGCUUUCCAAGGGCCAUGAUGGCAUGCCACAACUAACGUCGUCCGACCUUGUAUGUUUUCUAAGGUCUAUAAUGUCAUGCCAUGUAUGAUGUUGCCCGACCAUGUGUUGUCCAAGGGCGAUAAUGGCAAGUCAUGCCACACGUCGUUCGACCGUGUAUGUAGUCCUAGGGCAGUGAUUUCAUGCCACGCUCAAUGUCAUCUUUUUGUAUAUGUAGUCCAAGGGCGAUGAUUGCAUGCUACGCCCGACGUUGUCUGACUGUGUUUGUUGUCCAAGGACUAUGUUUACCAUCCAUGCCCGACGUCGUCCAAACGUGUGUAUUGCUGAAGGGCUAUGAUAGCAUGCCAUGUCCGAUAACAUUCGACCGAGUGUGCUGUCCAACGAAAAUGAUGGCAUGCAAUGCCUGAUGUUGUCCGACCAUAUCUGUUCUCUAAGGGCGAUGAUGGCAUGCCAUGCCCUUCUUAGUCCUUUCAUGUGUGCAGACCAAGGGCGAUGAGGGCAUGCAACACCCAACAUCGUUUGGCUGUGAAACUAUCUAAGGCCUAUGAUGACAUGUCAUGCCUGACGUCAUUUGAUCACGUGUGCUAUCCAAGGCCUUUUAUAUAAUUCCACACCCAAUGUCGUCCAAUCAUGUAUGUAAUGCAAGGACUACGCGAGCAUGACACGCUUGACAUUUUCCAAUUGUAUGUUAUGUCCAAGGGCCAUGAUGGCAUGCCAUGCCUUACGUAAUUUUCCCUUGUGCGCUGUCCAAGGGCCAUGAUGGCAUGCCACGUUCGACAUCAUACGUAAGGAUGUGCAGUCAAGCACGAUGACGGCUUGCCAAGACAAACAUCGUCCAUCCACUUUUACAGUCAAAGAGCGAUGAUGGCAUGCUACACAUGACGUUGUCCGACCGUGUGUGUUGUCUAAAGGCAAUGAUUACUUGUCAUGCCAAGCGUCGUCCGACCGUGUGUUCUCUCUAAGAGCUAUGAUUGCAUGCCGCGCUCGACACAGUCCAACCGUGUGUACUGUCCAAAGGCUGCGCGGGCAUGCCUCGCCUAACUUCGUCACACUGUAUGUGUUGUCUAAGGGCAUUGAUGGCUUUCCAAUCCUAACGUAGUCUUACAGUGUGCGCAGUCCAACGGAGAUAAUGGCAUGCCUUGCCCAUGUCAUCCAUUCCUUUGUUUAGUGUAUGAGGGAUAAUGGCAUGCCACGCCUAAUAUUUUUUGUUUUUGUGUGUGAUAAAAGGGAAAUGAUGGCAUGCCACGCGCCACGUCGUUUGACUGUGUGUGCUGUGAAAGGGCUAUGCAGACAUGCCACUCCAGACAUCUUUUGAUCGUGUCAGCUAUCCAUGGUUUAUAAUGGCAGGCCACACCCGACGUUGUCUGAUCGUGUGUGCUAUCGAAGGGCAAUGAUUGCAUGCCACGCUCGAUGUCGUCGAAUUGUAUGUACUUCAAAGGGAGAUGAUGGCAUGCAACGCCUGAUGUCGUUUGACCAUGUGUCAUUCCAAGGACCAUUAUGGCAUGCCACGUCUGACAUCGUCCAUCCGUGUUUGCAGUCUAAGGGCGAUGAUGGCAUGUCAUACCUCACUUCGUCUGACGGUGUAUGUGGUCCAAGGGACAUGAUGGCAUACCACGCCCGACAUCGUCUGUUUGUAUAUGCAGUCCAAGGACAAUAAUGGCAUUCUAUGUCCUAGGUUGACCGACUGUGUGUGUUGUCCAUGGGAUAUGAUGACAUGUCACGCUCAACGUCAUUCAAUCCUAAUUAUUGUUUAAGGGCUAUGAUGGUAUGCCACGCACGACGUGGUCCGACCGUCUGUACUAGAGAAGGGCUACGUAGGCAUGCUAUGCCGUACUUCACUCUACCGUGUGUGCUGUCCAAGGGUGAUGAUCGCAUGCCACGAUUAACGGUUUUUGACCAUGUGUAACAUUCACGCGCAAUGAUGGAAUGACAUACCCGUUAUCAUUCAUUCAUGUGUUUAGUACAAGAGAGAUAAUGGCAUGCCACGACUGACAUCAUCCGACAUUGUGAGUUGUUCCAUGUCUGUGAUGAGAAUGCCACGCCCGACAUCAUCUUACCGUGGGCGCUGUCAAAGGGCUAUGAUGGCAUGCCACGCCUGACGUCGUCUAAAAGUGUGUCUUGUUCAAUGGCUAUGCCUGAUUACCACACUUGAUGUCGUUCGACUGUGUGUGUGGUCCAAGGUCAAUGAUGGCAUGCCAUGCCUGACAUUGUCCGUCUUUCUGUACUGUCCAAUGGCUAUGUGGGCAUGCCACGCCUGAAGUCACUUGACCGUGUGUGCUUUCAAAGGAUCAUGAUGGCAUGCCACACCUAACGUCGUUGGACCUUGUAUGUGGUCUAAGGUCUAUAAUGUCAUGCCAUGCACGACGUUUCCCAACCAUGUGUUGUCCAAGGGCGAUGAUAGCAAGCAAUGCCAGACGUUGUUUGACCUUGUAUGUAGUCCUAGGUCUAUGAUUUAAGGCACGCUCAAUGACAUCUUUGUGUAUAUGUAGUCCAAGGGCGAUGAUGACAUGCUACGCCCAACGUUGUCUUACUGUGUGUGUUGUCAAAGGGCUAUGUUUAACUUCCACGCCCGACGUCGUCCAAAUGUGUGCAUUGUUGAUGGUCUAUGAUAGCAUGCUAUGCCCGAUAACAUUCGACCGAGUGUGCUGUCCAAGGAAUAUGAUGGCAUAAAAUGCAUGAUGUUGUCCAACCAUGUGUUCUCUAAGGGCGAUGAUGGCAUGCCAUGCCCUACAUAGUCAUUUCGUGUGUGUAGUCCAAGGGAGAUGAGGUCAUGCAACGCACGACAUCGUCUGGAUAUGUGUACUAUCAAAAGGCUACGCGAGCAUGCCACGCCUAACUUCGUUAGACUGUUUGUGUUGUCCAAUGGCAUUGAUGGCUUUCAAAUCCAGACGUAGAAUUACCGUGUGCGCAAUCCAACGAAGAUGAUGGCAUGCCUUGCCCCACUUAAUCCAUUCCUUUGUUUAGUACAUGAGGGAUGAUGGCAUGCCACGCCGACGUCGACUGAUCAUGUGUGUUGUCUAAAGCUACAUGGCAUGCAAUUAAUGAUGUCAUUCGACCGUGUAUCCUGUCCAAGGUCCAUGAUGGCAUGCCACGCCCGACGUCCUCUAUAUGUGUUUGCAAUAUAAAUAGUAGAAUGGCAUGCCACACACGACGUUGUCCAACUAUGUGUCCUAUCCAAGGGCCAUGAUGGCAUGCCAUGCCCGAUGUCAUCUGACCAUUUGUGUUGUCCAAGGAUUUUUAUCGCAUGUCACGCCCGCUGUCGUCCGUCCGUGUGUGUUUUCCAAGGACUACGAGAGCAUGCAAUGCCAGACAUCAUACGACCUGUGUGCUAUCCAAGGGAGAUAAUGGAAUACCAUGCUUUAUUUUGUUAGAUCGUGUGUGCGGUAAAAGGGAAAUGAUGGCAUGCCAUACCCGACGUUGUUCGACUGUUUGUGCAGUAGAAGGGCUAUGCAGGCAUGCCACUCCUGACCUCAUCUGAUUGUGAGUGGUUUCCAAGAGUUAUGAUGGCAGGCCACACCCGACGUCGUUCGAUUAUGUGUGAUAUCCAAGGGAUAUGAUGGCAUACCACGCCCGAUGUCGUUGAAUUGUAUGUACUUUCUAACGGACAUGAUUUAAUGCCACACCCGACGUUGUCUGACCAUGUGUGCAGUCCAAGGACCAUUAUUACAUGCCAUGCCUUACAUUGUCCGUCUUUGUAUGCAAUACAAGGGCGAUGAUGGCAUGUCAUACUCGACUUCGUCUGACCGUGUGUGUUGUCCAAGGGAUAUGAUGAUAGGUCAUGCCCGAUGUCAUCCGACCGUGUGUGAUGUUAAAGGUGUAUGAUGUAAUCCACGACCAACAUCGUCCGACCGUGUAAGUUGUCCAAGGGGUACUCAAGCAUGCCACACCAGACGUUGUCCGACCGUGUGUGCAGUCCAAUGGCGAUAAUGAAAAGACACACCUGACGUUGUCUAACCGUGUGUGAUGUCCAAGGGCCAUGAUGCAUGCCAUGUCCGACGUCGUCCGACUGUGUGUGCUUUGCAAACACGAAAAUGGCAUGCCACGCCCGACAUGAUCUGUCUAUGUGUGUAGUCCAAGGGCUGAUGGAAUGCCACGUCAAAGGUCGAUCGACCGUGUGCUUUCCAAGGGAUAUAAUGACAUGCCACACCCACCGUCUUUAAACUGUUAGGGCUGUCUAAGGUCUAUGAUGGCAUGCCACAUAUAAUGUCGUUCGGUCAUGUAUGCAGUCAAAGGGCUAUGUGGGCAUGCCAUGCUCGACAUAAAAUGAUCGUGUGUGCUUUCAAAGGUCGAUGAUGGUUUGCGACGCCCAACAUUUUACCACCAUGUGUACUAUCGAUGUGCGACAAUGGAAAGCCAUGCCAGACAUCGUUGAUUUGUAUGUGUAGUAAAAAAUGGAUGAUGGCAUGCCCUGCCCGAAUUCAUCCGUCUAUGUGUGUGCUUUCCAUAGGCCAUGACGGCAUGCCCCGCCCAAAUUCAUCCGUCUAUGUGUGUAGUCAAAGGGCAAUGAUGGCAUGCCACAUCCAAGGUCAACUGACCGUGUAUGCUGUCUAAGGGCUAUAAUGACAUUCCACGCCCAACGUCGUUCAACCGUCAGUUCUAUCUAAGGGCUAUGAUGGCAUGUCCAACACGACGUCCUCUAAUCAUUUGUGCUGUUGAAGGGCUACGUGGGCAUGCCAAGCUCAACAUUGUUCGACCAUGUGUGCGGUCCACCGGUGAUGAUGGCAUGUCACGCCCAAUGUUGUAAGACCAUGUGUAUAGUCCACGGGCGAUGAUGGAAAGAUACGCCUGAAAUCAUUGAUUCUUAUGUGCAGUACAAGAGCGAUGAUGGAAUGCAAUGGCCGACGUCGUCUGACCCUAUAUGCCUUUCUAACGUGAUUAUGACAUGCCACACUUGACGUAAUAUGUCUCUAUAUGUAGUUUAAGGGUAAUGAUAGCAUGUCAUGCCCGACGUCGAUCGAUCAUGUGUGUUGUUCAAGGGCUAUGAUGACAUGCCAUGCCUAACGUCAACGAGCGGUGUGUGUUGUCCAAGGCUAUGAUGGCAUGCCACGCCCGAUGAUAUCCGACCGUGUGUGCUUUCCAAGGGUCAUGAUUGCAUACCACGCCCGACGUCGUCCAACCGUGUGUGCUUCUCGAUGGCAAUGAUGGAAUGCCAAAGCCAACAUCAGACGUCUGUGUGUGCAAUCUAACGGUUAGAAAGGCAUGUCACACCCUACGUUCUCCGACUGUGUAACCUAUCAAAGGGCCAUGGUGGCAUGCCCCGCCCGAUGUCAUCCGACCGUUUGUGCUGUUGAUGGACUUUGAUCGCAUGUCACACCCGCCAUUCUCCAUCCACGUGUUCUUUCCAAGGACUACCGGUGUGUUGCCGAAAGGCGAUAAUGUAAUUCCACUUUUAAUUUCCUUUGUUCGUGUGAGCGGUAAAAGGGCAAUGAUUGCAUGCCACGCCCGACAUCUUCCAACUUUGUGUUUUAUGCAAGGGCUAUGCAGGAAUGCCACUCCCGACUUCAUCCGAUCGCGUGUGCUGCCUAAUGUCUAUAAUGGCAUGCCAUGCCCGACGUCGUCUUACCAUGUGUGUAGUGCAAGGACAAUUAUUGCAUGCCAAGCCUGACAUCGUCCAUCCGUGUUCGCAGUCCAAGGGCAAUGAUGGCAUGUCAUACCCUAGUUCGUCUGACCGUGUGUGUUGUCCAAGGGAUAUGAUGACAGUCCAUACCCGAUGUCAUCCGACCGUGUGAGUUUUCCAAGGUCUAUUAUGUAAUCCAUGCCCGAGAUCGUCCGACCAUUUAUGUUGUCCAAGCACUAAUCAGGCAUGCCACACAAGACAUUGCUCGAUUCUGUGUGCAGUCCAAGUGAGAUAAUUGUGUGGGCUGUCCAAGGGCCAUGAUUAAAUGCCACGUCCAACGUCGUCCGAGUGUUUGUUCUUUUCAAAGGCGAUGAUGGCAUGCCACACCCUACAUGAUUCAUCUAUUUGUGUAGUCCAAGGGCUGAAUGUAUGCCACGUCCAAGGUCGACCAACCGUAUGUGCUGCCCAAGGGAUAUAAUGACAUACCACGCCCAAAGACGUUAAACUGUAAGUGCUGUCUAAGGUCUAUGAUGGCAUGCCACACAUGACACCAUCCUAUCGUAUGUGCAGUCGAAGGGCUACGUGAGCAGGCCAUUCUAAACUUUAUUUGAUCGUGUGUGAUUCCAAAGGGCGAUUAUGGCAUGCCACACCUUACAUUGUACGACCAUGUGUACUGUCCACGGGGGAUGAUGGAAAGCCACGCCCGACAUCGUUUAUUUAUAUGUGCAGUACAAGAGGGAUGACGGCAUGCCAUGCCCGACGUCUUCUGACCCUGUGUGCUUACCAAAGGUGAUGAUGGUAUGCCACGUCUAACGUCAUCCAUCUAUGUAUGUAGCCCAAGGGCAAUGAUACCGUGGCACGCCUGACGUUGAUCGACCGUGUUGUUCAAAUUCAAUGAUCACAUGCCACACCUAACAUCGUCUAACCGUGUGCAUUGCCAAAGUUUUAUGAUGGCAUGCCAAGAUCGAUGUCCUCCGACCGUAUGUACUUUUCAAUGGCAAUUAUGAGAUGCCACACCCAACAUCGUCCGUUUAUGUGUGCAGUCUAAGGGUUAUAAAGUCUUUCCACACAUGACAUUGUCUGAUUUUUUGUCCUGUCCAAGGGUUAAGAUGGCAUACCGUGCCCGAUGUUUUCUAACCGUGUUUGUUGUCGAAGGACAUUAAUGGCAUGUCACACUCGUUGUCAUCUGACCAUGUUUGCUAUCCAUGGGCUACGCAGCUCGACUAUUUCCUUCUUUUGUGUUAUCAAAGGUCGAUAAUGUUAUGCCACUCCUAACUUCAUCCGUUUGUGUGUACAGUAAAAGGGCAAUUAUGUCAUGCCACUCCCGACGUCGUCCGAUUAUGUGUGAUGUGCAAGGUCUAUGCAGGAAUGGUACGCCCGAUAUCAUUUGAUCGUGUGUGAUUUCCAAGGGUUAUUAUGGCAGGCAAUGCCCCAUGUCGUCCGAUCAUGUGUGUUUUCCAAGGUGUAUGAUGGCAUAGCACUCCUAACGUCGUCCGUUCCUAUGUACACUCCAAAGGCCAUGAUGGCAUGCAAAGCUCGACGUCGUCCGACCGUGUGUGCAAUCCAAGGACAAUGAUGGCAUGCCAUGCCUGACAUUGUCCAUCCAUAUGUGCACUCCAAGGGCGAUGAUGGCAUGCCAUACCCCACUUAAUCUGACUGUAUGUGUUGUCCAAGGUCUAUGCUUUAAAACACACCCGACGUCAGCCGGCCGUGUGUGCUAUCCAAGGGAUACUCAGGCAUUCCAGGUACGAUAUUGACCGAAUUGUGUGUUGUCCCAGGGAGAUAAUGGCUAGCCACACUCGACGUCAUCAGACCGUGUUUAAUGUCCAAGGGCCAUGAUGGCAUGCCAUGCCCGACAUUUUCCAUUUGUAUGUGUAAUUCAAUGGCGAUGAUGGCAUGCUAUGUUCGAGGUUAACCAACCGUGUGUACUGUCCAAGGGCUAUGGUGACAUGCCACGCCCAACAUCGUUCAACAGUGAGUGUUGUCUAAGGGUUAUGAUGGCAUGCCACGCACGAUGUUGUCCGACCAUCUGUACUGGAGAAGGGCUAUGCGGACAUGUUAUGCCUGACAUCCUUCUACCAGGUGUAUUGUCCAAAGGAGAUGAUGGCAUACCAUGCCACGCCUUACAUUGUCCGUCCGUAUGUGCAGUUCAAGGGUGAUGAUAGCAUCUCAUACCCGACUUUGUCCGAUCGUGUGUAGUGUCCAAGGGAUAUGAUGAUGGGCCAUGACCCACGUUGUCCAAUCGUGUGUGCUGUGCAAGGGGUAUGAAGUAAUCCAUGCCUGACAUCGUCCUACCUUGUAUGUUGUCCGAGGGCUACUCAGGCAUGCCAACACCUGACGUUGCCCGACAGUGUUUGCAGUCCAAGAGCGAUAAUGGCAUGCCACACUCGACGUUGUCUAACCGUGUGUGAUAUGCAAGGGCCAUGAUGCAUGCCACGUCCGACGUUGUCCGACUGUGUGUGCUUUCCAAAGAUGAUGAUUGCAUGCAACACCCGACAUGAUCCGUCUAUGUGUGCACUCCUAGGGCUGAUGGAAUGCCACAUCCAAGGUCGACAAACCGUGUGUUGUCCAAUUGAUAUAACUACAUGCCACGCCCAGCGUUGUUCAAAUGUUAGUUCUAUCUAAGGUCCAAAGUCCAUGAUGUCCAUCUACGCCCGAUGUUAUACGACUAUGUGCUUUGUCCAAGGUCUAUGAUUUUAUGUCUCGCCCGACAUCGUCUGCAUGUGUGUAGUACAAGGACAAUGAUUGCAUGCCACGCCCGACAUCGUUCUACCAUGUGUGCUGCCCAAGGGAUAUUAUGUCCUACCAUGCUCGAAGUCCUCCAAUCAUGUGUGCUUUCAAAGGGCUAUGAUGGCAUGCCAUGCGUGAGAUCGUCUGAUCGUGUGUCUUGUCAAAACGAAUCGAUGAAAUGACACGCCCAAUUUUGUCCGACCCUAUGUGUUUUCCAUGGGCGAGGAUGACAUGCCACGCCCAACAUAAUUCAUUCCUGUGUAUAGUCCAAGGGGGAUGAGGACACUUAAGGCCUGACAUCAUCCGAACGCCUGUGCUGUUCAAGGGAUAUGAUUGAAUGCCAUGCCCGAUGUCAUCUUACCAUGUGUGCUUACCUAGGGCUAUGAUGUCAGGCCACGCCCUACGCCAUCCUACUAUGUUUGUUGUCCAAGAGCUAUGAUGACCUGCCAUGCCCAAGGUCGUCCAAUUUUGUGUGAUGUCCAGGGUAUAUGAUGGCACGCCACACCCGACGUCGUUUGACAAUGUUUCUUGUCAAAGGGAAAUGAUGUAAUGUCACAACCAAUUUUAUUUGACCGUGUGGGUUAUCCAAGGUCUAUGAUGGUAUGGCACGCCCGACAUCGUCCGUGGGUGUGUGCAAUAUAAGGGUGAUGAUGGCAUGCCACACCCGAUGUCAUCCGUAUAUGUGUGCAGUUGGCGAUGAUGGCAUGCUGCACCCGACGUAGUCCGACCAUGUGUGCUGUGUAAAGGAGAUGAUGGCAUGCCACAAGCGAUAUUGUUCAUUUGUGUGUGCAGUAAAAGCGCGAUGAUGACAUGCCAUGACCGAAAUUGUUCAACUGUGUAUGUUGUCCAAUAACUAUUAUGACAUGCUACGCAAGACGUCGUUUGACCGUGUGUACUGUCUAAGGGCUAUGAUUGCAUGCGAAACCGAACAUCGUCCAACAGUGUGUGUCAAACGGCUAUAGGGGCAUGCCACUCUUAAAAUCAUCCGCCCGUUUGUGCUGUCAAAUGUCCAUGAUAGUAUGCCACGCCUGACAUCGUUCGACCGUGUGUUCUUUCCAACAGAUAUUUAGUAAUGCUACGCCUAAUGUCAUCCAACCGUGUUUGUUGUCCAAGGGUUAUGUUGACCUGCCACGCAUAAAGUGGUCAUAUUCUUUGUGAUGUCCAAGGACUAUGAUGGAAUGCCAUACCCGAUGUCGUCCGACCAUGUGUCUUAUGAAAUGGCAAUGAUUGAAUAACACGCCCAAUUUCAUAUGACAAUAUUUGUUGUCCAAGGUCGAUGAUGAUAUUAAACGCUCGAGAUCGUACAAUCGUGUGUGCUGUCCAAGGGCCUUUAUCGAAUGCCACACUGGAGAUCGUCCAACCGUGUGUGCAUUCCAAAUGAAAUGAUGGCAUGCCACGCCCGACAUUAUCCGUCUGUGUGUGUAGUCCAAGAGCGAUGAUGGAAUGUCCUUUCCUAUGUCAUCUGAUCGUGUGUGCUAUCCGAGGGCAUGGAUGGUAUUCCACGCCCGACGUCGUCCAACCAUGUGUCAAGUCCAAGGGCCAUGAUGGCAUGCAUGCCUUACAUUGUCCGACUGUGUGCACUUUCCAAGGACAAUGCGGGCAUGCCGCAUCCUGACUUCGUUUGACCGUGUUUGCUUUCCAAGAGCGAUGAUGGCAUUCCAUGGUCGACGCUGUCCCACUUUGUGUGGUUUCCAAGGGCGAUGAAGACAUGCCUUGCCCGACAUUGUUCAUGAGUGUUUAGUACAAGGGUGUGAUGGCAUUCCAAGACCCACGUAAUCUGACCGUGUGUGUUGUCCAAUAGCUAUGAUGACAUGUACGCUAGACUUCGUCCGACCGUGUGAGUUGUCAAACGGGUAUGAUUCCAUGCCAUAAUUGACGUUGCUCGAUCGUGUGUGCUGUCCAAGGACUAAAAUAGCAUGCCAGGCAGACGUCGUCCAAUUGUGAUUGAUGUCUAAGGGAUAAGAUAUCAAGCUACGCUCGAUGUUUUAUGACCCUGUGUAUUGUCCAAGGACUAUGAUGGCAUGCCACGCCUCACGUCGUACGUGUAUAUGUGCAUUACAAGGGCAAUUAUAGCAUGCCAUGCUCAUCGUCGUCAGACCGUGUGUGCUGUCCAAGGGCAAUGACAACCAGCCACGCCUGAAGACGUCCAAAUGUGUGUGCAAUCCAAGGGCUAUGAUGGCAUGCCAUGCCCUACAUCGUCUUACCAUGUAUGUUGUUAAAGGGCAAUGAUGGAAUACCAUGCCCAAUUUCGUCAGACCGUAUCUGUUGUCCAAGGGUGAUGAUGGCAUGCCAUGCCCGACAUAGUCCAUUCGUGUGUGUAUUCCAAAGGCAAUGAUGACAUUCAACAUCUACCAUCGUCCAACUGUAUGGUGGUUCAAGUUCCAUUACAGCAUGUCAUAUAUGAAUUCGUCCAAUUGUGUGUUCUUUCUAAGGGCUAUGAUGUCAUGCCACGUCCAAUGUUGUUCGAUUAUGUGUUUGUCCAAGGGCUAUGAUGCCCUUUCACACCCGAACUCAUCCAAUCGUGUGUGAUAUCCAAGGGUUAUGAUGUCAUUCCAUUUCCGAAGCUGUCCAUCUUUGUUUGUUGUCAAAGGUCUAUGAUGGCAUGCCACGCAUGAUAUCGUCUGUUUGUGUGUGCAGUCAAAGGAUAAUUAUGGCAUAUAACGCCCAACGUCGUCCAACUGUGUGUGCUGUCCAAGAGCGAUGAUGGCAUGCCACGCCCGACGUAAUCCUACCUUUUUUGCUGUCCAAAGGUGAUGAUCGCACGCCAUGCCCGACGUUGUUCAUUUGUGUGUGUUGUACAAGGGCGAUGACGGGAUUCCACGACAAACAACGUUCCACCAUCUGUAUUAUAGAAUGCCAAUGAUAACAUGCCACGCUCGACGUCAUGGGACCAUGUGUUCUGUCCAAGGGCCUUGGUUGCAUGCAAAGAUUGACGUGGUCUAACCUUAUGUGGUGUUUAAGGUAGAUGAUUAUAUUCCACGACGGAUGUUGUCCGUCUAUGUGCGCAGUCUAAGGGAAACAAUCGCAUGCCACGCCUUAAGUUGUCCAAUCUUGUUGGUAGGGAAAGGGCGAUGAUGGCAUGACACCCCCGACGUUAUUCAACUGUUUGUGUUGUCCAAGGGAAAUGAUGGUAUGUCACGCCCGACGUCAUCGGACCAUGUGUUCUUUCCAAAGGCGAUUAUUGUAUGUCACGCCCAACAUAGUAUGUCUGUGUUUUAAGUGAAAUGGCGAUGAUGGCAUUCCACGCCCGACGUUGACCGACUGUGUGUGCUAUCCUAGAGGUUUGAUGGCAUUCCACGCCAGACAUCGUUCGACCGUGUGUGCUGUCAUAGGGUUACGCGGGUAUGCCACGCCUGACUUUGUUUGACCGUGUGUGCAGUUCAAGGGCUAUGGUGGCAUGCCACACCUGACGUAGUCUUGUCGUGUGUGUUGUUCCAAGGACGAUGAUGGCAUACAAUGCCGGACAUUGUUUAUUUGUGUGAGCACUACAAAGGCAAUAAUGGUAUGCCACGAGUGACGUCUUCCAACUGUGUCUGUUGUCCAAUAGUUAUAGACAUGGAACGCCCAACACCGUAUGACCGUGUGUGACUUUUAAGGGAUAUGAUUGCAUACCAAUCUCAACGUCGUCCGGCAGUGUGUGUUGUCCAAUCGCUAUGUGGUCAUGCCACGACCGAUGUCGUUUGACCGUGUAUGCUUUCUAAGGGCCAUUAUGGCAUGCCACACCGACGUCGUCGGACUUUGAUUCUAUUGUAGGUAUGGGACUACAAUAAAUCAUUGAACUUGCAAGUAAAUGAUAAGACAAAAGAGAUCUUUAAACUAAACAGCAAGAAGAAGAAAAAGAUUGAAAAAUUGAACUAAGGCUAAGAAGAAAAAGACUGAAAAAGAAACCAAGGCAUGGGGAAAGGGCUCUCGGGUUAAAGACGAGUAAAAACAUUAUUUUUGAUCGAGUUGUUCUAAAAUUAUGUUCAUGAUUCUGAUAUCUUAUGUUUGUAUAAAAUAUGAGUUGUAUGACUUAUUUGCAUGAGAACGUGUCAUAUUCACCAUAAAUCAUAAGUAACGAUUUAAGAAAGUAAAGUGACUUAACUUUGUAGUAACGACAUGUUGCAUUAGGAAUAUCUUUUCUAUAUCAUGCAUAGUACUUAUGUGUUAUGUGCCUAACCCAUAUUUAGUACAAGUGUCUACUAACCUCAUAUAAUGUUACUAUUUUUAUAAACGCGGGUUCUGCAAAAGAUUGAAGAUUCGACGAAGCAGUUUUUACUAGUGAUCUCAAGACUUUGGUAGGUCCUCUUGAGUUUGAGGAUGGUACGUUUGUUAUUCUAGCUUUAGUGCAUUAGAUAUAGAUAGUGGAUAUUUUCCCUAGCAUUACUUUAAAAUAGUUGUUCUAAGAUUUUGUAUUGAGUUUGAUUGGCAAACUAUUAUUAUUAUUAUGAUUCUCUAUUUCGAUUUUUCAAUUUCAAAUAGAUGGUUAAUUUAGUUUGAUCUUGUUAGAAAAUCACUCUUAUCCAGAAAUUAUAUUAUGUCUAUGAAUACUUCAUUAUGUUUUAAACUGUAUGAUUGUGAAUGAAAGAUAAGAAGAGGCUUGUCUGUGAACACAAAGAGAUUAAUGGAGCAGGUCACAUUCAAGUUCCAUAAGCAGUGUGUUACAAAGUCCAAGAGCAGUGAUGGCAUUACCACGCCCAACGUCGUCCGACCAUAUAUGAUGUCCAAGGACUAUAUUGACCUUCCAUGCCCUACGUUGUCCAAAUGUAUGUGUUGUAAAAGGUCUAUGUUGGCAUGCCACGCCCGACAUCGUCCGACCAUGUAUACUAUCCAAGGGCAAUAACGGCAAUACAACGCCCAAUGUCUUUUGAUUGUAUGUGUUGUCCAAGGGCGAUGAUGGUAUGCCAUGCCCUACAUAGUCCAUUUGUGUGUGCAGUCCAAGGGAGAGUAUGGCAUACACACCCGACAUCGUUCAUUGGUGUGUGCAAUACAAGAGCGAUGAUCGCAUUCCUUAACUGAUGUUGUUACACAAUGUGUGUUGUCCAAUGUCUAUGAUGAGAAUGCAACGUCUGACGUCAUCUAACCAUAUGUAUUGUCCAAGAGCUAUGAUGGCAUGCCACUCCCGACAUCGUCCUAUAGUGUGUGAUGUCCAAUGGCUAUGAGGGCAUGACACACCUGAAAUCGUUCGACCGUGUGUGUUGUCAAAGGGACAUUAUGACAUGCCACACCUGACUUCAUAAGAUUGUGGGUACUAUCCAUAGACUAUGAUAGCAUGCCACGCCCGACGUCGUCUAAAUGUGUGUGAUAUCCAAGGGAGAAGAUAUCUAGCUACGCCCGAUGUCAUCCGAUAGUGUGUAUUAUCUAAAAGCUAUGAUGGCAUAACACACUCGACAUCAUCUGUGUGUGUGUGUAGUACAAGGGCGAUGAUAGCAUUCCAUGCCUGUCGUCGUCUGACCGUGUGUGCUAUCAAAGGUUUAUGAUGGCAUGCCAUGCUUGAACUCGUCCAAAUGUGUGUGCUGUCAAAAGGCCAUGAUGGCAUGCCACGCCCGACAUCGUUCGAUCAUGUGUGCUUAACAAAUGAGAUGAUGGCAUGACAUACCCGACAUCGUCUGUCUGUCUGUGCAACCAAAGGGUGAUGAUUGAAUGCCAUUGCCAAGGUCAUUAACCUCUAUGUGCUAUAAAAGGGCUAGGAUGUUAUGACAUGCUCGACAUCGCCCAACUGUGUGUCUUAUCAAAGGGCCAUGAUGGCAUGCCAUGCCCGACGUAAUCUUAUUGUGUAUGCUUUACAAGGGCUACGCGGGCAUGUCAUAUUCUAAUUUCGUUUGACCGCGUGUGCUGUUCAAGAGUGAUGAUGACAUGCAACGCCCGACGUAGUCCAACCAUGUGUGUUGUUCUAGGACGAUGAUUGCAUGCCAGGCCCGACAUUGUUCAUUCGUCUUUGCAGUAAAAAGGUCUCAGUGUGCUUUUCAAGGGCUGUGAUGACUUCCAUGCCCAACGUUAUUCAACCGACUAUGUGUGCUUUCUAAGGUCGAUGAUGAUUUCCACGCCCAACUUCGUGCAACUGUGAGUGUUUUCUAAGGGCUCUGAUGGACUGCCACGCAUGACGUUGUCCGACCAUCUAUGCUAGAGAAUGGCUACGCGGGCAUGUUACGCCUGACUUCGUUCUACCAUGUGCGCUGUCUAAGGACAAUUAUGGCAUGCCAAGCCUGACAUCGUCCAUCCGUGUUCGCAGUCCAAGGGCAAUGAUGGCAUGUCAUACCCUAGUUCGUCUGACCGUGUGUGUUGUCCAAGGGAUAUGAUGACAGUCCAUACCCGAUGUCAUCCGACCGUGUGAGUUUUCCAAGGUCUAUUAUGUAAUCCAUGCCCGAGAUCGUCCGACCAUUUAUGUUGUCCAAGCACUAAUCAGGCAUGCCACACAAGACAUUGCUCGAUUCUGUGUGCAGUCCAAGUGAGAUAAUUGUGUGGGCUGUCCAAGGGCCAUGAUUAAAUGCCACGUCCAACGUCGUCCGAGUGUUUGUUCUUUUCAAAGGCGAUGAUGGCAUGCCACACCCUACAUGAUUCAUCUAUUUGUGUAGUCCAAGGGCUGAAUGUAUGCCACGUCCAAGGUCGACCAACCGUAUGUGCUGCCCAAGGGAUAUAAUGACAUACCACGCCCAAAGACGUUAAACUGUAAGUGCUGUCUAAGGUCUAUGAUGGCAUGCCACACAUGACACCAUCCUAUCGUAUGUGCAGUCGAAGGGCUACGUGAGCAGGCCAUUCUAAACUUUAUUUGAUCGUGUGUGAUUCCAAAGGGCGAUUAUGGCAUGCCACACCUUACAUUGUACGACCAUGUGUACUGUCCACGGGGGAUGAUGGAAAGCCACGCCCGACAUCGUUUAUUUAUAUGUGCAGUACAAGAGGGAUGACGGCAUGCCAUGCCCGACGUCUUCUGACCCUGUGUGCUUACCAAAGGUGAUGAUGGUAUGCCACGUCUAACGUCAUCCAUCUAUGUAUGUAGCCCAAGGGCAAUGAUACCGUGGCACGCCUGACGUUGAUCGACCGUGUUGUUCAAAUUCAAUGAUCACAUGCCACACCUAACAUCGUCUAACCGUGUGCAUUGCCAAAGUUUUAUGAUGGCAUGCCAAGAUCGAUGUCCUCCGACCGUAUGUACUUUUCAAUGGCAAUUAUGAGAUGCCACACCCAACAUCGUCCGUUUAUGUGUGCAGUCUAAGGGUUAUAAAGUCUUUCCACACAUGACAUUGUCUGAUUUUUUGUCCUGUCCAAGGGUUAAGAUGGCAUACCGUGCCCGAUGUUUUCUAACCGUGUUUGUUGUCGAAGGACAUUAAUGGCAUGUCACACUCGUUGUCAUCUGACCAUGUUUGCUAUCCAUGGGCUACGCAGCUCGACUAUUUCCUUCUUUUGUGUUAUCAAAGGUCGAUAAUGUUAUGCCACUCCUAACUUCAUCCGUUUGUGUGUACAGUAAAAGGGCAAUUAUGUCAUGCCACUCCCGACGUCGUCCGAUUAUGUGUGAUGUGCAAGGUCUAUGCAGGAAUGGUACGCCCGAUAUCAUUUGAUCGUGUGUGAUUUCCAAGGGUUAUUAUGGCAGGCAAUGCCCCAUGUCGUCCGAUCAUGUGUGUUUUCCAAGGUGUAUGAUGGCAUAGCACUCCUAACGUCGUCCGUUCCUAUGUACACUCCAAAGGCCAUGAUGGCAUGCAAAGCUCGACGUCGUCCGACCGUGUGUGCAAUCCAAGGACAAUGAUGGCAUGCCAUGCCUGACAUUGUCCAUCCAUAUGUGCACUCCAAGGGCGAUGAUGGCAUGCCAUACCCCACUUAAUCUGACUGUAUGUGUUGUCCAAGGUCUAUGCUAUAAAACACACCCGACGUCAGCCGGCCGUGUGUGCUAUCCAAGGGAUACUCAGGCAUUCCAGGUACGAUAUUGACCGAAUUGUGUGUUGUCCCAGGGAGAUAAUGGCUAGCCACACUCGACGUCAUCAGACCGUGUUUAAUGUCCAAGGGCCAUGAUGGCAUGCCAUGCCCGACAUUUUCCAUUUGUAUGUGUAAUUCAAUGGCGAUGAUGGCAUGCUAUGUUCGAGGUUAACCAACCGUGUGUACUGUCCAAGGGCUAUGGUGACAUGCCACGCCCAACAUCGUUCAACAGUGAGUGUUGUCUAAGGGUUAUGAUGGCAUGCCACGCACGAUGUUGUCCGACCAUCUGUACUGGAGAAGGGCUAUGCGGACAUGUUAUGCCUGACAUCCUUCUACCAGGUGUAUUGUCCAAAGGAGAUGAUGGCAUACCAUGCCACGCCUUACAUUGUCCGUCCGUAUGUGCAGUUCAAGGGUGAUGAUAGCAUCUCAUACCCGACUUUGUCCGAUCGUGUGUAGUGUCCAAGGGAUAUGAUGAUGGGCCAUGACCCACGUUGUCCAAUCGUGUGUGCUGUGCAAGGGGUAUGAAGUAAUCCAUGCCUGACAUCGUCCUACCUUGUAUGUUGUCCGAGGGCUACUCAGGCAUGCCAACACCUGACGUUGCCCGACAGUGUUUGCAGUCCAAGAGCGAUAAUGGCAUGCCACACUCGACGUUGUCUAACCGUGUGUGAUAUGCAAGGGCCAUGAUGCAUGCCACGUCCGACGUUGUCCGACUGUGUGUGCUUUCCAAAGAUGAUGAUUGCAUGCAACACCCGACAUGAUCCGUCUAUGUGUGCACUCCUAGGGCUGAUGGAAUGCCACAUCCAAGGUCGACAAACCGUGUGUUGUCCAAUUGAUAUAACUACAUGCCACGCCCAGCGUUGUUCAAAUGUUAGUUCUAUCUAAGGUCCAAAGUCCAUGAUGUCCAUCUACGCCCGAUGUUAUACGACUAUGUGCUUUGUCCAAGGUCUAUGAUUUUAUGUCUCGCCCGACAUCGUCUGCAUGUGUGUAGUACAAGGACAAUGAUUGCAUGCCACGCCCGACAUCGUUCUACCAUGUGUGCUGCCCAAGGGAUAUUAUGUCCUACCAUGCUCGAAGUCCUCCAAUCAUGUGUGCUUUCAAAGGGCUAUGAUGGCAUGCCAUGCGUGAGAUCGUCUGAUCGUGUGUCUUGUCAAAACGAAUCGAUGAAAUGACACGCCCAAUUUUGUCCGACCCUAUGUGUUUUCCAUGGGCGAGGAUGACAUGCCACGCCCAACAUAAUUCAUUCCUGUGUAUAGUCCAAGGGGAUGAGGACACUUAAGGCCUGACAUCAUCCGAACGCCUGUGCUGUUCAAGGGAUAUGAUUGAAUGCCAUGCCCGAUGUCAUCUUACCAUGUGUGCUUACCUAGGGCUAUGAUGUCAGGCCACGCCCUACGCCAUCCUACUAUGUUUGUUGUCCAAGAGCUAUGAUGACCUGCCAUGCCCAAGGUCGUCCAAUUUUGUGUGAUGUCCAGGGUAUAUGAUGGCACGCCACACCCGACGUCGUUUGACAAUGUUUCUUGUCAAAGGGAAAUGAUGUAAUGUCACAACCAAUUUUAUUUGACCGUGUGGGUUAUCCAAGGUCUAUGAUGGUAUGGCACGCCCGACAUCGUCCGUGGGUGUGUGCAAUAUAAGGGUGAUGAUGGCAUGCCACACCCGAUGUCAUCCGUAUAUGUGUGCAGUUGGCGAUGAUGGCAUGCUGCACCCGACGUAGUCCGACCAUGUGUGCUGUGUAAAGGAGAUGAUGGCAUGCCACAAGCGAUAUUGUUCAUUUGUGUGUGCAGUAAAAGCGCGAUGAUGACAUGCCAUGACCGAAAUUGUUCAACUGUGUAUGUUGUCCAAUAACUAUUAUGACAUGCUACGCAAGACGUCGUUUGACCGUGUGUACUGUCUAAGGGCUAUGAUUGCAUGCGAAACCGAACAUCGUCCAACAGUGUGUGUCAAACGGCUAUAGGGGCAUGCCACUCUUAAAAUCAUCCGCCCGUUUGUGCUGUCAAAUGUCCAUGAUAGUAUGCCACGCCUGACAUCGUUCGACCGUGUGUUCUUUCCAACAGAUAUUUAGUAAUGCUACGCCUAAUGUCAUCCAACCGUGUUUGUUGUCCAAGGGUUAUGUUGACCUGCCACGCAUAAAGUGGUCAUAUUCUUUGUGAUGUCCAAGGACUAUGAUGGAAUGCCAUACCCGAUGUCGUCCGACCAUGUGUCUUAUGAAAUGGCAAUGAUUGAAUAACACGCCCAAUUUCAUAUGACAAUAUUUGUUGUCCAAGGUCGAUGAUGAUAUUAAACGCCCGAGAUCGUACAAUCGUGUGUGCUGUCCAAGGGCCUUUAUCGAAUGCCACACUGGAGAUCGUCCAACCGUGUGUGCAUUCCAAAUGAAAUGAUGGCAUGCCACGCCCGACAUUAUCCGUCUGUGUGUGUAGUCCAAGAGCGAUGAUGGAAUGUCCUUUCCUAUGUCAUCUGAUCGUGUGUGCUAUCCGAGGGCAUGGAUGGUAUUCCACGCCCGACGUCGUCCAACCAUGUGUCAAGUCCAAGGGCCAUGAUGGCAUGCAUGCCUUACAUUGUCCGACUGUGUGCACUUUCCAAGGACAAUGCGGGCAUGCCGCAUCCUGACUUCGUUUGACCGUGUUUGCUUUCCAAGAGCGAUGAUGGCAUUCCAUGGUCGACGCUGUCCCACUUUGUGUGGUUUCCAAGGGCGAUGAAGACAUGCCUUGCCCGACAUUGUUCAUGAGUGUUUAGUACAAGGGUGUGAUGGCAUUCCAAGACCCACGUAAUCUGACCGUGUGUGUUGUCCAAUAGCUAUGAUGACAUGUACGCUAGACUUCGUCCGACCGUGUGAGUUGUCAAACGGGUAUGAUUCCAUGCCAUAAUUGACGUUGCUCGAUCGUGUGUGCUGUCCAAGGACUAAAAUAGCAUGCCAGGCAGACGUCGUCCAAUUGUGAUUGAUGUCUAAGGGAUAAGAUAUCAAGCUACGCUCGAUGUUUUAUGACCCUGUGUAUUGUCCAAGGACUAUGAUGGCAUGCCACGCCUCACGUCGUACGUGUAUAUGUGCAUUACAAGGGCAAUUAUAGCAUGCCAUGCUCAUCGUCGUCAGACCGUGUGUGCUGUCCAAGGGCAAUGACAACCAGCCACGCCUGAAGACGUCCAAAUGUGUGUGCAAUCCAAGGGCUAUGAUGGCAUGCCAUGCCCUACAUCGUCUUACCAUGUAUGUUGUUAAAGGGCAAUGAUGGAAUACCAUGCCCAAUUUCGUCAGAUCGUAUCUGUUGUCCAAGGGUGAUGAUGGCAUGCCAUGCCCGACAUAGUCCAUUCGUGUGUGUAUUCCAAAGGCAAUGAUGACAUUCAACAUCUACCAUCGUCCAACUGUAUGGUGGUUCAAGUUCCAUUACAGCAUGUCAUAUAUGAAUUCGUCCAAUUGUGUGUUCUUUCUAAGGGCUAUGAUGUCAUGCCACGUCCAAUGUUGUUCGAUUAUGUGUUUGUCCAAGGGCUAUGAUGCCCUUUCACACCCGAACUCAUCCAAUCGUGUGUGAUAUCCAAGGGUUAUGAUGUCAUUCCAUUUCCGAAGCUGUCCAUCUUUGUUUGUUGUCAAAGGUCUAUGAUGGCAUGCCACGCAUGAUAUCGUCUGUUUGUGUGUGCAGUCAAAGGAUAAUUAUGGCAUAUAACGCCCAACGUCGUCCAACUGUGUGUGCUGUCCAAGAGCGAUGAUGGCAUGCCACGCCCGACGUAAUCCUACCUUUUUUGCUGUCCAAAGGUGAUGAUCGCACGCCAUGCCCGACGUUGUUCAUUUGUGUGUGUUGUACAAGGGCGAUGACGGGAUUCCACGACAAACAACGUUCCACCAUCUGUAUUAUAGAAUGCCAAUGAUAACAUGCCACGCUCGACGUCAUGGGACCAUGUGUUCUGUCCAAGGGCCUUGGUUGCAUGCAAAGAUUGACGUGGUCUAACCUUAUGUGGUGUUUAAGGUAGAUGAUUAUAUUCCACGACGGAUGUUGUCCGUCUAUGUGCGCAGUCUAAGGGAAACAAUCGCAUGCCACGCCUUAAGUUGUCCAAUCUUGUUGGUAGGGAAAGGGCGAUGAUGGCAUGACACGCCCGACGUUAUUCAACUGUUUGUGUUGUCCAAGGGAAAUGAUGGUAUGUCACGCCCGACGUCAUCGGACCAUGUGUUCUUUCCAAAGGCGAUUAUUGUAUGUCACGCCCAACAUAGUAUGUCUGUGUUUUAAGUGAAAUGGCGAUGAUGGCAUUCCACGCCCGACGUUGACCGACUGUGUGUGCUAUCCUAGAGGUUUGAUGGCAUUCCACGCCAGACAUCGUUCGACCGUGUGUGCUGUCAUAGGGUUACGCGGGUAUGCCACGCCUGACUUUGUUUGACCGUGUGUGCAGUUCAAGGGCUAUGGUGGCAUGCCACACCUGACGUAGUCUUGUCGUGUGUGUUGUUCCAAGGACGAUGAUGGCAUACAAUGCCGGACAUUGUUUAUUUGUGUGAGCACUACAAAGGCAAUAAUGGUAUGCCACGAGUGACGUCUUCCAACUGUGUCUGUUGUCCAAUAGUUAUAGACAUGGAACGCCCAACACCGUAUGACCGUGUGUGACUUUUAAGGGAUAUGAUUGCAUACCAAUCUCAACGUCGUCCGGCAGUGUGUGUUGUCCAAUCGCUAUGUGGUCAUGCCACGACCGAUGUCGUUUGACCGUGUAUGCUUUCUAAGGGCCAUUAUGGCAUGCCACACCCGACGUCGUCGGACCUUGAUUCUAUUGUAGGUAUGGGACUACAAUAAAUCAUUGAACUUGCAAGUAAAUGAUAAGACAAAAGAGAUCUUUAAACUAAACAGCAAGAAGAAGAAAAAGAUUGAAAAAUUGAACUAAGGCUAAGAAGAAAAAGACUGAAAAAGAAACCAAGGCAUGGGGAAAGGGCUCUCGGGUUAAAGACGAGUAAAAACAUUAUUUUUGAUCGAGUUGUUCUAAAAUUAUGUUCAUGAUUCUGAUAUCUUAUGUUUGUAUAAAAUAUGAGUUGUAUGACUUAUUUGCAUGAGAACGUGUCAUAUUCACCAUAAAUCAUAUGUAACGAUUUAAGAAAGUAAAGUGACUUAACUUUGUAGUAACGACAUGUUGCAUUAGGAAUAUCUUUUCUAUAUCAUGCAUAGUACUUAUGUGUUAUGUGCCUAACCCAUAUUUAGUACAAGUGUCUACUAACCUCAUAUAAUGUUACUAUUUUUAUAAACGCGGGUUCUGCAAAAGAUUGAAGAUUCGACGAAGCAGUUUUUACUAGUGAUCUCAAGACUUUGGUAGGUCCUCUUGAGUUUGAGGAUGGUACGUUUGUUAUUCUAGCUUUAGUGCAUUAGAUAUAGAUAGUGGAUAUUUUCCCUAGCAUUACUUUAAAAUAGUUGUUCUAAGAUUUUGUAUUGAGUUUGAUUGGCAAACUAUUAUUAUUAUUAUGAUUCUCUAUUUCGAUUUUUCAAUUUCAAAUAGAUGGUUAAUUUAGUUUGAUCUUGUUAGAAAAUCACUCUUAUCCAGAAAUUAUAUUAUGUCUAUGAAUACUUCAUUAUGUUUUAAACUGUAUGAUUGUGAAUGAAAGAUAAGAAGAGGCUUGUCUGUGAACACAAAGAGAUUAAUGGAGCAGGUCACAUUCAAGUUCCAUAAGCAGUGUGUUACAAAGUCCAAGAGCAGUGAUGGCAUUACCACGCCCAACGUCGUCCGACCAUAUAUGAUGUCCAAGGACUAUAUUGACCUUCCAUGCCCUACGUUGUCCAAAUGUAUGUGUUGUAAAAGGUCUAUGUUGGCAUGCCACGCCCGACAUCGUCCGACCAUGUAUACUAUCCAAGGGCAAUAACGGCAAUACAACGCCCAAUGUCUUUUGAUUGUAUGUGUUGUCCAAGGGCGAUGAUGGUAUGCCAUGCCCUACAUAGUCCAUUUGUGUGUGCAGUCCAAGGGAGAGUAUGGCAUACACACCCGACAUCGUUCAUUGGUGUGUGCAAUACAAGAGCGAUGAUCGCAUUCCUUAACUGAUGUUGUUACACAAUGUGUGUUGUCCAAUGUCUAUGAUGAGAAUGCAACGUCUGACGUCAUCUAACCAUAUGUAUUGUCCAAGAGCUAUGAUGGCAUGCCACUCCCGACAUCGUCCUAUAGUGUGUGAUGUCCAAUGGCUAUGAGGGCAUGACACACCUGAAAUCGUUCGACCGUGUGUGUUGUCAAAGGGACAUUAUGACAUGCCACACCUGACUUCAUAAGAUUGUGGGUACUAUCCAUAGACUAUGAUAGCAUGCCACGCCCGACGUCGUCUAAAUGUGUGUGAUAUCCAAGGGAGAAGAUAUCUAGCUACGCCCGAUGUCAUCCGAUAGUGUGUAUUAUCUAAAAGCUAUGAUGGCAUAACACACUCGACAUCAUCUGUGUGUGUGUGUAGUACAAGGGCGAUGAUAGCAUUCCAUGCCUGUCGUCGUCUGACCGUGUGUGCUAUCAAAGGUUUAUGAUGGCAUGCCAUGCUUGAACUCGUCCAAAUGUGUGUGCUGUCAAAAGGCCAUGAUGGCAUGCCACGCCCGACAUCGUUCGAUCAUGUGUGCUUAACAAAUGAGAUGAUGGCAUGACAUACCCGACAUCGUCUGUCUGUCUGUGCAACCAAAGGGUGAUGAUUGAAUGCCAUUGCCAAGGUCAUUAACCUCUAUGUGCUAUAAAAGGGCUAGGAUGUUAUGACAUGCUCGACAUCGCCCAACUGUGUGUCUUAUCAAAGGGCCAUGAUGGCAUGCCAUGCCCGACGUAAUCUUAUUGUGUAUGCUUUACAAGGGCUACGCGGGCAUGUCAUAUUCUAAUUUCGUUUGACCGCGUGUGCUGUUCAAGAGUGAUGAUGACAUGCAACGCCCGACGUAGUCCAACCAUGUGUGUUGUUCUAGGACGAUGAUUGCAUGCCAGGCCCGACAUUGUUCAUUCGUCUUUGCAGUAAAAAGGUCUCAGUGUGCUUUUCAAGGGCUGUGAUGACUUCCAUGCCCAACGUUAUUCAACCGACUAUGUGUGCUUUCUAAGGUCGAUGAUGACUUCCACGCCCAACUUCGUGCAACCGUGAGUGUUUUCUAAGGGCUCUGAUGGACUGCCACGCAUGACGUUGUCCGACCAUCUAUGCUAGAGAAUGGCUACGCGGGCAUGUUACGCCUGACUUCGUUCUACCAUGUGCGCUGUCUAAGGGUGAUGAUGGGCAUGCUACGGUUAAUGUUGUUCGCCCAUGUCUACUGUUCACACGCGAUGACGGAAUGCCACGACCAUCAUAUUUUAUUCGUGUGUGCAGUAUAAAAGCGAUUCUGAAUCGUGAUGGCAUGCCAUGCCUGACGUCGUGAUUACCACACCUUAUAUCAUCCGACUGGGUGUGUGGUUCAGAACCGUUAUGGCAUGCAACACCUGACGUCGUCCGUCUCUGUGUCAUGUCAAAGGGCAAUGAUUUCAUGCAUCGCCCAACGUGGAGCGGCCGUAUGUGUUGUUCAAGGGCUAUGAUAACUGUCCACUCCUAAUAUCGUCCAACCUUAUGUGUUGUCAAAGGGAAAUGAUGGCAUGCCACGCCCAACAUCAUCCUACCGUGUGUGCUUUCAAAGGGCCAUGAUGGCUUACAACACCCGACAUCGUCCGAUCGUAUGUGCUUUCCAAUGGCGAUGUUAGUAUGCUAUUCCCAACAUGGUCCAUCUGUUUGUGAGUCUAAGACCUAGAAAGGCAUGCCACACCCGAUGUUAUGCGAUUGUGUAUCCUUUCCAAGGGCCAUGAUGGCAUGCCACCCCUAAUGUCAACCGACCGCAUGUGAUGAUGAAGGACUUUGAUGGCAUGUCACUCCCGCUAUCGUCUGACAAUGUAUUCUGUCCAAGGGUUACGUAGACAUGCAACGCCCGACUUCGUCUUACCUUUGUGCUUUCCAAGGGCAAUAAUGGCAUACAACGCCCAACUUUGUCCGUUCAUUAGUAAGGUAAAAGAGCGAUGAUGGCAUGACAGUCCCAACGAAGUCCGAUUGUGUGUGCUAUGCAUGGUCUACGCAGGCAUGCCACAUGUGACGUUGUUUAAUUGUGUGUACUUUCCAAGUGCUAUGAAGGCACGCCACGCUCGACAUCGUCUUACUGUGUGUUGUCCACGAGAUAUGAUGACAUGCCAUGCCCGACAUCAUUUGAUCCUGUGUACUGUCCAAGUGCCAUGAUGGAAUACCUUGCCCGAUGUCGCCGAUCAUGUGUGCAAUUAACUAAUCUUAUGGCAUGCCAAACCUAACAUCGUCCCACCGUGUGUGCAGUCCAAGGGCGAUAAUGGAAAGCCACGCCAAACAUCGUCUAACCAUGUGCGAUGUCCAAAGGCCAUGAUGUCAUGCCACGCCCGACGUCGUGCAACUGUGUGUGCUUUACAAAAACCAUGAUGGCAUGCCACUCCUUACAUCGUCCGACUGUGUGUGCUUUCCAAAGGCAAUGAUAGCAUGCCACGUCUGAGGUCACCAACCGUGUGUGCUGUCCAUGGCUAUGAUUACAUGCCACGUUAAACAUCGAUCAACUAUGAGUGCUCUCCAAGUGCUAUGAUGCCACGCGAAGCACGACACAGUGCCAUUGUGUGUGCUCUCAAAGGUCUAUGCUGGCAUGCCACGCCCAAUAUCCUUCUACCAUGUGUGCUGUCGUAAGGAGAUGACGGCAUGCUAUGCCCGACGUUGCCCGACCAUGUGUCCUGUCCACGAGCGAUAAUCAAAUAACACACCAAACAUCGUUCAUUCGUGUGGGAAGUAUAAGAGCGAUGAUGGUAUGCAAAGCACGACGUCAUCCGUUCCUGUUUGUUGUCCAAGGGCUAUAAUUUCAUGACGUGCCUGACGUUAUCACACUGUGUGUGCGUUACAAAGGCCAUAAUGGCAUACCACGCACAACAUCGUCAGUUUGUGUGUGCAAUCUAAGGUCUAGAAAUGCAUCCACACCCGACGUUGUCCAUAUGUGUGUCCUAUCAAAGGUCCAUGAUGACAUACCAUGUUUAAUGUAGUCCGACAGGUUAUAUUUUCCAAGGAAAUUGAUGACAUGUCACGCCCGCUAUUGUCUUAAAAUGUUUGCUCUCGAAGGACUACGUGGGCAUGUAGUGUGUGACUUCAUCUGAUCUGUGUGCUGUCCAGGAAAGAUAAAGGAAUGCCACAGCCAAUUUUGUCUGUUCGUGUGUGCAGUAAUAUGGUAAUGAUGGAGUGCCAUUCCCGACGUCAUCCGACUGUGUGCUGUCAAAGGGCUAUGAUGGAACGCCACUCCAGAUGUCACCCAAUCGUGUAUUUUGUGUUAGGGCUAUGAUGGAAUGCCACGUCUGAUGUCGUCCGAUCUUGUGCACUAACCCAGGGCCAGGAUGGCAUGCCACGCCCGACGUUGUCUGACCAUCUAUGCAGUCCAAGGACUUUUAUGACAUACCAUGCGUGACAUCGCCCGUUCGUGUGUGUAUUCUAAGGGCGAUGAUGACAAGUCAUACCCUACUUCAUCCGACCGUGUGUGUUGUCCAAGGGAUAUGAUGAGAGGCCAUGCCCGACGUCGUUCAACCAUGUGUGCUGUCCAAGGGCAAUGAUGUAGGCACGCCUGACAUCCUCCGACUGUGUAUGUUGUCCAAGCGCUACUUAGGCAUGCCACACUCGACAUUGCCCGACCGUGUGUGUAGUGAAAUGGCGAUAAUGGUAUUCCACACGCGAUGUCGUCUACCCAUGUGUAAUGUCCAAGGGACAUGAUGUCAUGACACGUCCGACGUCGUCCUACUAUGUGUGAUUUGCAAAGGCGAUGAUGGCAUGCCACGCUUGACGUCAUCCGUCUCUGCGUGAUGUCCAAGGGCAAUGAUAGCAUGCCACACCUGAUGUCGAGAAGCGGUGUGUGUUGUUCAAGGGCGAUAAUGGCAUGCCACGCCCAACAUCAUCUGAUCGUAUGUGAUUUCCAUGGGAUAUGAUGGCAUGUGACGCCCGACGUUUUCCAACUACGUGUGCUUUCGAAUGGCGAUGAUGGCAUGCCAUACCUUACAUCGUGCGACUAUGUGUGCUUUCCAAAGGCGAUGAUGGCGUGCCACAUCUGAGGUCGACCGACCGUGUGUGCUGUCCAAGGCUAUGAUGACAUGGCACGCUCAACAUCGAUCAACUGUGAGUGCUGUCCAACGGCUAUGACAGCUAGCCAAGCACGACAUAGUGAGACCAUGUGUGCUCUCAAAGGUCUACGUCGUCAUGCCAAGCAUAAUUUCGUUCGACUGUGUGUGCUAUCCAAGGGCGAUAAUGGCAUGCUACACCCGACGUUGCCCGACCAUGUGUCCUAUCCACGUGCGAUUAUGGAAUACCACACAAAACAACUUUCAUUUGUGUGGCAGUACAAGAGAGACGAUGACAUGCAAAGCCCGACGUUGUUCGACCCUGUUUGUUGUCAAAGGGCUAUAAUGGCAUGCCAUGCCCGACGUCAUCAAACCAUGAUUUCUUUCAAAAGGACAUUAUUGCACACCACUCUAGAAAUCGUCCAACCAUGUGUGCUUCCCAAUGGAAAUGAUGGCAUGCCACGCCCAACAACGACCGUCUGUGUGUGCAAUCUAAUGGCUAGAAAGGCAUGCCAAACCCGACGUAGUCCUACUAUGUUUCUUAUCAAAGUUCCAUGAUGGCAUAUCACGCUUGAUGUCGUCCGAUAGGUUGUGCUGUCCAAGGACUUUGAUGACAUAUCACGCUUGCUAUUGUUUUACAAUGUGUGCUUUCCAAGGACCACGCGGGCAUGCAAUUCGCGACUGCAUCCAACCUUUGUGCUAUCCAAGGAAGAUAAUGGAAUGCCACGGCCUAUUUCAUCCGUUCGUGUGUGCGGUAAAAGAAUAAUAAUGGCAUGCCAUUCCCAACGUCAUCUUAUCGUGUGUGCUUUCCAAGGGAUAUGAUGGUAGGCCACACCCAAUUGUCUCCCGAUCUUGUGUGUUUCCCAAGGUUUAUGAUGGCAUGCCAUGCCCAAUGUCGUCUGAUCUUGUGUACUAUCAAAGGGCAAUGAUGGCACAACACGCGCGAUGUUGUCUGACCAUGUCUGCAGUACAAGGACUAUUAUGUCAUGACACGUCUGACAACGUCCAUCCAUGUGUGUAGUCCAAGGACGAUGAUGGAAAGUCAUACCCGACUUCUUCCGACCGUGUGUGUUGUCCAAGGGAUAUGAUGACAGGCCACGCCUGACAUCGGUCGACGGUGUGUGAUGUCCAAGGGCUAUGAUGUAAGCCACGCCUGACAUCCUCUGAUCGUGUAUAUUGUCAAAGGGAUAUUGAAGCAUGCCACACACGAUGUUGCCCGACCAUGUGUGAAGUCCAAGGGCGAUAAUAAUAUGCCACACCCGACAUCUUCUAAUAGUGUGUGAUGUCCAAGAUCCAUGAUGGCAUGCCACAUCCGACGUCGUCCUACUGUGUGUUCUUUCCAAAGGCGAUGAUUGUAUGCCACGCCUGACAUCUUCCCUAUAUGUAUAUAGUCCAAGGGAAAUGAUGACAUGCCACAUCCAACAUCGAUCAAUCGUGAGUGUUUUCUAAGGGAUAUGAUGGCAUGCCACACACAAUGUUGUUUGAUCAUGUGUGCUUCCUAAGGGCUACCCGGGCAUGCCGUGCCCGACUUCAUUUCACCAUUUUGUACAACCAUGAUUACUAUUCACGGGUAAAGUUUUACGAUCAUGAGUAAUAUUCACAUGCGAUGAUGGAAAGCCACGCCUGCCAUCGUUUCAUUCUUAUGUGCAGUACAAGAGUGAUGAUGGCAUGCAAAGCCCGAUGUCGUCCAACCGUGUGUGCCUUCCAAAGGUGACGAUGGCAUGCCACACCUGACGCCAUCCAUCUCUAUGUGUAGUUCAAGGGCAACGAUAGCAUGCCAUGCCAGACGUCGAUCGACCGUAUGUGUUGUUCAAGGGCUAUGAUUAUAUGCCACGCCUAACGUCGUUCAACCUGUGUGUUGUCUAAAGGCUAUGAUAGAAUUCCAUGCCCAAAGUCAUUCGACCGGGUAUGCUUUCAAAGAGCCAUGAUGGCUCACCAUGCCAAACAUCAUCUGUCAGUGUGUGCAAUCGAAGGGCUAGAAUUACAUGUCACACCCGAUGUUGUCUGACUAUGUAUUCUAUCCAAGGGCCAUGAUGGAAUGUCACGCCCGAUGUCGUCCGACCAUUUGUGCUGUCCAAGGACUUUUAUACCAUGUCACGCCGGCUUUCAUCCGUCCGUGUGUGCUUUUCAUGGACUACGCAGGCAUGCAACACCUAACUUCAUCCGACCUGUGUGCUGUCCAAGGGUUAUAAUGGCAUGCCAUGCAUAAUUUGGUUUGUUCAUGUGUGCGGUAAAAGGGAAAUGAUGACAUGGCAUGCCCGACAUCAUUCGACUGUGUGUGCUGUGCAAGGGCUAUGCAGGCAUGCCACUCCCGACAUUGUCUGAUCAUGUGUGCUGUCCAAGGGUUAUGAGUGCAUGCCAGACUCGACGUUGUUCGAUCGUGUGUGCUAUCCAAGGGAAAUGAUGGCAUGCCACACCCAAUAUCGUCGAAUUAUAUGUACUAUCCAAGGGACAUGAUGGAAUGCCACGCCCGACAUCGUCUUACCAUGUUUGCUGUCUAAGGAUCAUUAUGGAAGGCCACACCUGACGUUGUCCGUCCGUGUGUGCAGUCCAAGGGUGAUGAUGGCAUGUCAUACCUAACUUUGGCCGACCGUGUGUGUUGUCCAAGGGAUAUGAUGACAGGCCAUGCCCGAUGUCGUCCGAGCGUGUGUGCUGUCCAAGGUGCCCGACAUCGUCCGACCGUGUAUCUUGUCCAAGGGCUACUAAAGCAUACCACACCAUACGUUGCCCGACCAUGUGUGCAGUCGAAGGGUGAUAAUGACAUGCGACACUCGAUGUUUUCUAACCGUCUCUGAUGUCUAGGGUCCAUGAUGCAUGCCACGUUUGACGUCGUCCUAAUGUGUGUGCAUUCAAAAGAAGAUGAUGACAUGUCACACCCGACAUGAUCUAUCUAUGUGUGCAGUCCAAGGGCUGAUGGAAUGCCACAUCCAAGGCGGACCGACCGUGUGAUAUCCAAGGGAUAUAAUUACAUGCCACACGGAGCUUCUUUCAAGUGUUAGUGCUAUCUAAGGUCUAUGAUGGAAUGACACAUACGACGUCGUUCGAUUAUGUGUGCAUUCAAAGGGCUAUAUGGGCAUGCCAUGCUCGACUUCAAUCGAUCGUGUGUGCUUUCAAUGGGCGAUGAUGGUUUGCCACGCUCAAUAUUUUACGACCAUGUGUACUGUCCACGGGCGGUGAUGAAAUGCCACGCUCGAUAUCGUUAAUUUCUAUCUGUAGUACAAGAGCGAUGAUGGCAUGCCAAGCAAGACAUCGUGCGACUGUGUGUGCUUUCAAUAGGCGAUGAUGGCAUGCCAUGCCGAAUUCAUCCGUCUAUGUGUGCAGUCCAAGGGCGAUGAUGGCAUGCCACAUCCAAGGUCGACCGAUCGUGUGUUCUGUCCAAGGGCUAUAGUGACAAUCCACGCCCAACUUUGUUCAACUGUGAGUGUUUUCUAAGGGCUAUGAUGGCAUGCCACACACAAAUUCGAGUGAUAAUUUUUGCUGUCGAAGGGCUAAGCAGGCAUGCAAAGGCCAAGUUUGUUCGACCGUUUGUGCUGUCCAAGGGGGAUUAUUGAAAGCCACACCCUACAUUGUUGAUGCCUAUGUGUAGUAAAAGAGCGAUGAUGGAAUGCAAAGCCCGAUCAUGCCACACCUGACGUCAUAUGUCUCUAUGUGUAGUCCAAGGGCAAUGAUAACAUGCCACGCACAACGUCGAUCAACCGUGUGUGUUGUUCAAGGUCUAUGAUGACAUGCCACGCCUAACGUCGUCCAACCGUGUGUGUUGUCCAAACGCUAUGAUGGCAUGCCAUGCCUUAUGCUAUCCAACCGUGUGUUCUUUUCAGAGGCUAUGAUGACAUACCACGCCCGACGUCAUCCAACUGUGUGUGUUUCCAAAUGGCAAUGACGGCAUGCCACGCCCAACAUCAUCCAUCUGUGUGUGCAAUAUAAGGUCUAGAAAGUCAUGCCACACUUGACGUUCUCCAACUGUGUGACCUAUCAAAGAUCCAUGAAGGCAUUCCACGCGCGAUGUCGUCCGACCGUUUGUGUUGUCCAUGGACUUUAAUGGAAUGUCACACCCGCCGUCGUCAUCCUUUUGUGCUUUCCAAGAACUACCUGUGUGUUGUCCAAGAGCGAUAAUGGAAGUCCACGCCUUAUUUCAUUUUUUCGUGUAUGCGGUAAAAGGCCAAUGAUGGCGUGACAUGCUCGACAUCGUCCGACUUUUUGUGCUAUGCAAGGGCUAUGCAGGCAUGCCACUCCCGACGUCGUCCGCUCAUGUGUGUUGUCCAAGGGUUAUGAUGGCAGGCCGCACCUGAGGUCAUCUGAUCAUGUGUGCUGUCCAAGGGCUAUGAUUGCAUGCCACGCCCGAUGUCGUAUGAUCCUAUGUACUCUCGAAGGGACAUGAAUGGCGUGCCACGCCUAACAACGUCGGACCAUGUGUGCAGUGCAAAGACAAUUAUGGCAUUCAACGCCUGACAUUGUAUGUCCGUGUUCACAGUCCAAGGGUGAUGAUGGCAUGUCAUAAUUUACUUUGUUCGACUAUGUGCGUUGUCCAAGGGAUAUGAUGACAGCCCAUGCCCAACGUUGUCCGAGCUUGUGAUCUUUCUAAGGACUAUUAUGUAAUGGAAGACCGACAUCGUCCGACUGUGUAUGUUGUCUAAGGGAUACUCAGUCAUGCCAACAACACGUUUCUCGAUCGUGUGUGUAGUCCAAGAGAGUUAUUGGCAUGACAAACACAACGUUGUGUAAACGUGUGUGAUGUCCAAGGGCCAUGAUUGCAUGCCAAGUCUGAGGUCGUCUGGGUGUGUGUGCUUUCCAAAGGCGAUGAUGGCAUGCCACACCCAACAUGAUUCGUCUAUCUGUGUAGUCCAAGGGCUGAUGGCAUGCCACGUCCAAGUUUGACCGACUGUGUGUGCUGUCCAAGGGAUAUAGUGACAUACUACGCUUAAAGUUGUUCAACUAUUAUUGUUGUCUAAGGUCUGUGAUGGCAUGCCACACACGACGUUGUACCACCAUGUGUGUAGUCGAAUGUCUACGUGGGCAGGCAAAACUCAACUUUAUUAGAUCGUGUGUGUUCCAAAAUGUGAUGAUUGCAUGACAUACCUGACGUUAUACGACCAUGUGUUCUAGCCACGGGCAAUGGAAAUCCACGCCCUAGAUUGUUUAUCCAUAUGUACUGUGCAAGAAGGAUGAUGGCAUGCCAUGCCCGACGUUGUCCGACCCUGUGUGCUUACCAAAGGUGUUCAAGGCUUGCCACGUCUAACGUCAUCCUUUUACGUAUGUAGUCCAUAGGCAAGAUAGUGUGCCACAUCCGACAUUGAUCGACCUUGUAUAUUGUUAAAAUGUUAUGAUCACAUGACAUGCCUAACGUUGUCUAACCCAGUGUGUUGCAAAAGGGAAAUGAUGGCAUGCCACGCUUGAUGUCGUCCGAUCGUGUGUACUUUCCAAUGGUAAUUAUGGCAUGCCACACCCAACAUCGUCCGUGUGUGUGUGCAGUCUAAGGGAUAGAAAGGCAUGCCACACCCGACGUUGUCCGAUUAUGUGUCCUGUCCAAGGUCCAUGAUGGCAUACCACGCCCGAUGUUGUCCGACCGUGUUUGUUGUCCAAGGACAUUGACGGCUUGUCACCCUCAUCAUCGUCCGACUAUGUUUGCUUUUAAUGGGCUACGCAAGUCGACUUCGUCCUACCUCUAUGUUAUCGAAGGGCGAUAAUAUCAUGCCACUCCCAACUUUGUUCGUUCGUGUGUACAGUAAAAGGGCAAUUAUUGCAUGCCACUCCCAACGACGUCCUACUGUGUGUGCUGUGCAAGGGCUAUGAAGGAAUGCUAAGCCUGAUGUUUUCGAUCGUGUGUACUUUGCAAGGGCUUUGAUGGCAGGCAAUGCCUGAUGUCAUCGAUCAUGUGUGUUUUCCAAUGUCAAUGAUGGCAUGCCAUGCCCGACGUCGUUCGAUCCUAUGUACUGUCCAAGGGCCUCGAUGGCUUGCCAAGCUCGACGUCGUCCAACCAUCUGUGCAUUCUGUAGACCAUGAUUGCAUGCCACGCCUAACAUCGUCGGUCCAUGUGUGCAGUCCAAGGACGAUGAUGCCAUGCCAUACCCAACUUCAUUUGACCGUAUGUGUUGUCCAAGGUCUAUGAUGUAAGCCAUGCAUGACGUCAUCAGACUGUGUGUGCUGUCCAAGUGAUACUUUAGCAUUCCACGCUUGAUAUUGCCCGACCGCGUGUGUUGUCCAAGGGCGAUAAUGGCAAGCCACACCCAAUGUCGUCAGACCUCGUUUAAUGUCAAAGGCCAUUAUGGCAUGCCAUUCCAGAUAUCGUCCAUUUGUAUGUGCAUUCCAAGGAAGAUGAUGGCAUGCUAUGUCUGAGGUCGACCGACUGUGUGUGCUAUCCAUGAUUUAUUAUGGCGGGCCACAACCGACGUUGUCCGAUCAUGUGUGAUAUCAAAGGGAUAUGAUGGCAUACCACGCUCGAUGUCAUUGAAUUGUAUGUACAUUCUAGGGGAGAUAAUGGCAUGCCACGCCCGAUGUCGUCUGACCAUGUGUGCAGUCCAAGGACCAUUAUGGCAUGCCACGUCUGACAUCGUCCAUCUGUGUUUGCAGUCCAAGGUUGAUGAUGGCAUGUAAUACCUAACUUCGUCUGACCGUGUAUGUGGUCCAAGCGCCAUGAUGGCAUGCCACGCCCGACAUGAUUUGUUUGUAUGUGCAGUCCAAGCACAAAAUGGCAUUUUAUGUCCUAGGUCGACCGGUCGUGUGUGUUGUCCAAGGGCUAUAAUGAUACGUCUCGUUCAACGUCCUUCAAUCAUGAUUGUUGUCCAAGGGCUAUAAUGACAUGCCACGCACGACGUUGUCCGACCGUCUAUACUAGAGAAGGGCUACGCAGGCAGGCUAUGCAAGACUUCUUUCUACUGUGUGUUGUCCAAGGGUGAUGAUGGAAUGCCAUGAUUAACGGAUUUCAACCAUGUGUAACAUUCACACGGGAGGAUUGACUGACAUGCCCGUCAUCAUUCAUUCGUGUGUGCAGUACAAGAGGGAUAAUGGCAUGCCACGACUGACAUCAUCCGACAUUGUGAGUUGUUGCUUGGCUAUGAUGAGAAUGUCACACCUGACAUCAUCUUACUGUGUGCUCUUUCAAAGGGCUAUGAUGGCAUGCCACGCUUGACGUCGUCUGAAAGUCUGUGUUAUACAGUGGCUAUGCCUGAUUACCACACCUGAUGUUGUCCGACUGAGUGUGUUGUCAAAGGUCCAUGAUGGCAUGCCACGCCUGACAUCGUCCGUCUUUGUAUAAUGUCCAACGACUAAGUCGGCAUGCCACGCCUGAAGUCACUUGACCGUGUGUUCCUUCCAAGGGCCAUGAUUGCAUGCCACACCUAACAUCGUCAGACCUUGUAUGUGGUCUAAGGUCUAUAAUGUCAUGCCAUGCACGAUGUUGCAAGACCAUGUGUUGUCCAAGGGCGAUGAUGACAUGCCAUGACAGACGUUUAUUUACCUUGUAUGUAGUCCUAGGGCUAUGAUUUCAGUCCACGCUAAAUGACGUUUUUGUGUAUAUGUAGUCCAAGCGCGAUGAUGGCAUGCUACUCCCAACAUUGUCUGACUGUGUGUGUUGUCAAAGGGCUAUGUUUAACUUCCACGCCCGACGUCGUCCAAACGUGUGUAUUAUUAAAUGGCUAUGAUAUCAUGCCAUGCCCGAUAACGUUCGAUCGAGUGUGCUGUCCAAGGAAUAUGAUGGCCUGCAAUACCUGAUGUUAUCGGACCAUAUCUGUUCUCUAAGGGCGAUGAUGGCAUGCCAUGCCCUACGUAGUCCUUUCGUGUGUGCAGUCCAAGGGAGAUGAGGGCAUGCAACGCCCGACGUCAUCUGGCAUUGUGUACUAUCAAAAGGCUAUGCGGGCAUGCCACGCCUAACUUUGUCAGACUGUAUGUGUUGUCCAAGGGCAUUAAUGGCUUUUUAAUCCUUACGUAGUCUUACCGUGUGCGUAGUCCAACGAAGAUGAUAGUAUGCCUUGCCCCACAUCAUCCUUUUUCUGUGUUUAGUACAUGAGAGAUGAGGGCAAUCCUCGUCUACAUCAAUUGAUUGUGUGUGUUGUCUAAAGCUACGCACCAUGCAAUUCGUGAUGUCGUUUGACCGUGAAUCCUGUCCAAGGUCCAUGAUGAAAUGCCACGCCCGACGUUGUCUGACCUUGUGUGAUCACCAAAGACUGUGAUGACAAGUCACGCCCAACAUCGUUAGAUUGUCUGUGUUCUCAAAGGGAUAGGCAAGCAUGCCAUCAUGUGUGGUGUUUAAGGGCUAUGCGUGCAUGCCACGCUCUACAUCUACAGACCGUGUAUGCAGUCCAAAGGAAAUGAUGUCAUGUCGUGCCCGACGUUAUUCAAUCGUGUAUGUUAUCCAAGGGUGAUGAUGGCAUGCCACUUCCCACAUCGUACGUUUGUGUGUGCUAUCUAAUGGCUAUGAUCAUAUGACAUGCCUGAUUUUGUUCGACCGUGUCCUUUCAAAGGGCUAUGAUGAAUUAUCACGCUUGACAUCGUCGGACCAUUUGUGGUAUCCAAGAUCUACGUGGACAUGCCAUGUCGGACGUCGUUUGAGCGUGUGUCCCAUUUAAAGGACAUUAAUGUCAUGCCACGUCAAAAGUCUUCUAACCAUGCGUGCUGUCUAAAGGCCAUGAUUGCAUGCCACGUCCAAUUGUGUGUCUUUUCCAAUGGCCAUGGUUGCAUGCAACGCGUGACAUCAUCUGACCGUAUGUGCUAUUCAAGGUACAUUAUGUCAUGCCAUGUAUGACAUCGUCCUACUAUAUGUGCUUUCCAAGGGAGAUGAUGACAUUCAAUGUCUAACAUCGUGCUGUCAGAUCGUGUGUGCGGUCCAAUCUAGUGUACUAUCCCAGGGCCAUGAUGGCAUGCCAUGCCAAACGUUGUCUGACUAUGUGUGCAAUCCAAGGACCAAUAUUUCAUGCCACGCCUGACAACAACCGCCUAUGUGUGUGUUACAAGGGCGAUGAUUGCAAGACAUGCCACACUUCUUCGGACUGUGUGUAUUGUCCAAGGAAUAUGAUGACAGGCCAUGCCUGAGGUCGUUAGACCGUAUGUGCUUUCAAAGUGCUAUGAUGUUAGCCACACCUGACAUCCUCCGAUCCUGUAUGUUGUCCAAGGGCUACUCAGGCAUGCGGCACUCGACGUUGCCUGACCAUGUGUGAUGUCCAAGGGUGAUAAGAGUAUGCCACACUUGACAUCGUCUAACAGUGUGUGAUGUCCAAGGGCCAUGAUGGCAUGCCACGUCCGACGUCAUCCUACUGUGUGUGCUUUCCAAAAGCGAUGAUGGUAUGCCACGCCCGACAUCAUCCCUCUAUGUGUGCAGUCCAAGGGCGAUGAUGACCUGUCACGCCUAACGUCGUUCAACCGUGAGUGUUGUCUAAGGGCUAUGAUGGCAUGCCACACACGACGUCAUCUGAUCGUGUGUGCUGUCGAAGGUCUACGUGGGCAUGCCAUGCCUGACUUAAUUAAACCGUGUGUGCUAUCCACGGUUGAUGAUGGCAUGCCACGCCCGACGUUGUACGACAAUAUGUACUAUCCACGAGCAAUGAUGGAAAUCCACACCCGACAUUGUUGAUUUGUAUGUGCAGUACAACAGUGAUGAUGGCAUGCAAAGCCCGACGUUGUUCGAUCCUGUGUGCCUUCAAAAGGUGAUGAUGGCAUGCCAUACCUGACUUCAUCCGUCUCUAUAUGUAUUUCAUGGGCAAUGAUAGCAUGCCACGCCUGACAUCGAUCGACUGUGUGUGUUUUUCAAGGGAUAUGAGAACAUGCCACGCCUAACGUCAUCCAACUGUGUGUGUUGUACAAAGGCUAUGAUAACAUGCCACACCUGGCGUCAUCCGACCGUGUAUGCUUUCCGACGAACAAUAUUGCAAACCACGCCUAACAUCUUCCGUCUGUGUUUGCAAUCUAAAUAAUAGAAUGGCAUGCCACACCUGACGUUGUCUGACUAUGUGUCCUGUCCAAGGGUCAUGAUGGCAUGCCACGCCCAAUGUCAUCUGACCAUUUGUGCUGUUCAAGGAUUUUUAUGGCACGUCACGCCUGCCGUCGUCCGUCCGUGUGUGUUUUCCAAAGACUAUGAGAGCAUGCAACGCCAGACUUUAUCUGACCUAUGUGCUGUCAAAGGGCGAUAAUGGAAUGCCAUGCCUAAUUUUUUUAGUUCGUGUGUGCGGUAAAAGGGAAAUGGUGGCAUUCCACGCCCGACGUUGUUCGACUGUGUGUGAUGUAGAAGGGCUAUGCAGGCAUGCCACUCCUGACAUCGUCUGAUCCUGAGUGGUUUCCAAAGGUUAUGAUGGCAGGCCACACCCGACAUUGUUCGAUUAUGUGUGCUAUCAAAGGGAUAUGAUGGCAUACCACACCCAAUGUCGUUGAAUUGUAUGUACUUUCCAAAUGACAUGAUUUGAUGCCACUCCCGACGUCGUCUGACCCUCUGUGCAGUCCAAGGACCAUUAUUGCACGCCACGCCUUACAUUGUCCGUCCUUGUAUGCAGUCCAAGGGCGAUGAUGGCAUGACAUACUUGACUUCGUCUGACCAUGUGUUGUCCAAGGGAUAUGAUGACAGGUCAUGCCCGAUGUCGUCCGACCGUGUGUGAUGUCCAAGGGGUAUGAUGUAAUCCACGACCGACAUUGUCCGACCGUGUAUGUUGUCCAAGGGGUACUCAAGCAUGCCAAACCAGACGUUGCCCGGCCGUGUGUGCAGUCCAAGAGAAAUAAUGACAUGACAUACCCGACAUUGUCUAACCGUGUGUGAUUUUAAAGGGCCAUGAUGCAUGCCACGUCGAACGUCGUCUGAGUGUGUACGCUUUCCAAAGACGAUGAUGGCAUGCCACGCCCGACAUGAUCCGUCUAUGUGUGUAGUCAAAGGGCUGAUGAAAUUCCACGUCCAAGGUCGAUCGACCGUGUGCUGUCAAAGGGAUAUAAUGACAUGCCAUACCCAGUAUCACUAAACUAUUAGUGUUGUCUAAGGUCUAUGAUGGCAUGCCACAUACAAUGUCAUUCGAUCGUGUAUGGAGUCUAAAGGCUAUGUGGGCAUGCCAUGCUCGACAUAAAAUGAUCGUGUGUGCUUCACCAUGUGUACUAUAGACGUGUUAUGAUGGAAAGCCACGUGCGACAUCAUUUAUUUGUACGUAUAGUACAAGAGGGAUGAUGGAAUGCCCCGCCCGAAGUCAUCCGUCUAUGUGUGUGCUUUCCAUAGGCGAUGACGACAUGCCCUGCCCUCAUUCAUCUAUGUGUGUGUAGUCCAAGGGCAAUGAUUGCAUGCCACAUCCAAGGUCGACCGAAUGUGUAUGCUGUCUAAGGGCUAUAAUGACAUUCCAUGCCCAACGUCGUUCAACUGUCAGUUCUAUCUAAGGGCUAUGAUGGCAUGACAAACAUGACGUCUUCUGAUCAUUUAUACUUUUGAAGGGCUACGUGGGCAUGCCACGCUCGACUUUGUUCUACCAUGUGUGCGGUCCACGGGCAAUAAUGGCAUGUCAUGCCCAAUGUUGUAACACAAUAUGAAUAGUCCACGGGCGAUGAUGGAAUGAUAUACCCGACAUAAUUGAUUCUUAUGUGCAGUACAAGAGCGAUGAUAGAAUGCAAACCCGACGUCGUCUGAUCCUAUGUGCCUUCCAAAGGUGAUGAUUGCAUGCCACACUUGACGUCAUCUGUGUCUAUUUGUAGUUUACAGGCAAUGAUAACAUGCCACGCCCGACGUCGAUCGAACGUGUGUGUUGUUUAAGGGCUAUGAUGACAUGCCGCACCUAACAUCUUCGAACCAUGUUUGUCAUCCAAAGGCUAUGAUGGCAUCCCACGCCCGAUGAUAUCCGACCGUGUGUGCUUUCCAAGGGCCUUGAUGGCAUACCACGCCUGACGUCGGUCUAUCGUGUGUGCUUCUCGAUUGCAAUAAUGGCAUGCCAAGCCCAACAUCAGCUGUCUGUGUGUGCAAUCUAAUGUCUCGAAAGGCAUGCAACACCCUACGUUCUCGAACUGUGUGACCUAUCCAAGGGCCAUGAAUGCAUGCCCUGACUGAUGUAAUCUGACCAUUUGUGUUGUCGAUGGACUUUGAUGGCAUAUCACACCCGCCGUUCCCCAUCCAUUUAUUCUUUCCAAGGACUACUUGUGUGUUGUCCAAGGGCGAUAAUGGAAUUCCAUGCUUAAUUUCGUUUGUUCGUGUGAGCGGUAAAAGGGAAAUGAUUGCAUGCCACGCCCGACGUCAUCUGACUUUGUGUGUUAUGGAAGGGCUAUGAAGGAAUGCCACUCCUGACAUCGUCUGCUCGUGUGUGCUGUCCAAGGGUUAUCACGGAGAGCCAUACCCGACGUCGUCGGAUCGUUUGUGCUCUCUAAUAGCUAUAAUGGCAUGCGACACCUGAUGUCGUCCGAUCCUAUAUAUAUUGUCUAAGGGACAUAAUGGCAUGCCACGCCCGACUUUGUCUUACCAUGUGUGUAGUGCAAGGACAUUUAUUGCAUGCCACGCCUGACAUCGUCCAUCUGUGUUCGCAGUUCAAGGGCAAUGAUGGCAUGUCAUACCCUACUUCGUCCGACCGCGUGUGUUGUCCAAGGGAAUUGAUGACAGUCUAUACCCGACGUCGUCCGACUGUGUGAGUUGUCCAAGAUCUAUUAUGUAAUCCAAGCCCGACAUUGUCCGACCAUUUAUGUUGUCCAACCGCUACUCAGGCAUGCCACACAAGACGUUGCUCGAGUGUGUGUGCUGUCCAAGGGAGAUAACGGCAUGCCAAACCCAACAUUGUCUAACCAUGUGUGUUGUCCAAGGGCCAUGAUUACAUGCCACGUCCGACAUCGUCCGAGUGUGUGUUCUUUCCAAAGGCGAUGAUGGCAUGCCACGCCCGACAUGAUUCAUCUAUGUGUGUAGUCCAAGGGCUGAUGGCAUGCCACGUCCAAGGUCGACCGACGGUGUGUGCUGCCCAAGGGAUAUAAUGACAUACCACGCCCAAAGUCGUUAAAUUGUUAGUGAGCAGGCCAUUCUCAACGUUAUUUGAUUGUGUGUGCUUCAAAAGUGCGAUGAUGGCAUGCCACACCUGACAUUGUACGACCAUGUGUACUAUCCAUGGGCAAUAAUGGAAAGCCACGCCUGACAUCGUUCAUUUAUAUGUGUCGUACAAGAGGGAUGAUGGCAUGCCAUGCCCGACGUCUUCCGACCCUGUGCUUAUUAAAGGUGAUGAUGUCAUGCCACGUCUAACGUCAUCCGUCUAUGUAUGUAUUCCAAGGGCAAUGAUAGUGUGCCACACCCGAUGUUGAUAGACCGUGUUGUUCAAGUUCUAUGAUCACAUGCAACACCUAACAUCGUCUAACCGUGUGCGUUGUGAAAGUGUUAUUAUGGCAUGCCAAGGUUUAUGUCCUCCGACCAUGUGUACUUUUCAAUGGCAAUUAUGGGAUGCCACGCCCAACAUCGUCCGUUUAUGUGUGCAUUCUAAGGGCUAUAUAGUCUUUCCACACACGACAUUGUCCAAUUUUUUGUCCUGUCCAAGUGACAUGAUAGCAUACCAUGCCCGAUGUUGUCCGACCGUGUUUGUUGUCCAAGGACAUUAAUGGUAUGUCACACUCAUCGUCAUCCGACCAUGUUUGCUAUCCAUGGGCUACGCAGCUCCACUUUGUCCUAUCUUUGUGUUAUCCAAGGUCGAUAAUGUCAAGCCACUCCCAACUUCGUCCGUUCGUGUCUACAUUAAAAGGGCGAUUAUGGCAUGCCACUCCCGAUGUCGUCCGACUAUGUGUGAUGUGCAAGGUCUAUGCAGGAAUGGUACGCUCGAUAUCAUUCUAUUGUGUGCACUUUCCAAGGGCUAUUAUGGCAGGCAACGCCCCAUGUCGUCUGAUCAUGUGUGUUUUCCAAGGUCUAUGAUGGCAUAGCACGCCUGACGUCGUCCGAUCCUUCGUACUCUCCAAGGGCCAUGAUGGUAUGCCAAGUCGAAGUGUCCGACCGUGUGUGCAAUCCAAGGAAAAUGAUGGCAUGCCAUGCCUGACAUUGUCUGUCAAUGUGUAUUCCAAGGGCGAUGAUGGCAUGCCAUACCCCACUUAAUCCAACUGUAUGUGUUGUCAAAGGUCGAUGCUGUAAACCACACCCGAUGUUUAGAUUUUUCAACAAAAUAACUGUAUGAGUGUGAUGAAAGCUAAGAAGAGGCUUGUCUGCGAACACUAAGAGAUUAAUGAAGCAGGUCACAUUCAAGUUCCAAAGGUCGUGUAUUACACAGUCCAAGAGUAGUGAUGGCAUUACCACGCCCAACGUCGUACGACCAUGUGUACUGUCCAAGGGCAAUGACGGCAAUACCAUGCCUAAUGUCUUUUGAUUGUAUGUGCUGUCCAAGGGAGAUGAUGGUAUGCCAUGCCCGACAUAGUUCAUUUGUGUGUGCAGUCCAAGGGAGAUGAUGGCAUGUACACCCGACAUCGUUCAUACGUGUGUGCAAUACAAGAGAGAUUAUUGCAUUCAUUGACCUACGUUGUCGGACAUUGUGUGUUUUCCAAUGGCUAUGAUAAGAAUGCAACGCCCGACUUCAUCCGACCAUAUGUAUUGUCCAAGAGCUAUGAUGGCAUGCCACCCCUGACAUCGUCCUUUAGUGUGUGAUGUCCAAUGGCUAUGAGGGCAUGAAACACCUGAAAUUGUUCGACUGUGUGUGACGUCCAAGUGACAUUAUGGCAUUACACACCUGACUUCAUCCGAAUGUGGGUGCUAUCCAUAGACUAUUAUAUCAUGCCACGCCCGACGUCGUCUAAAUGUGUGUGAUGUCCAAGGGAGAAGAUAUCAAGCUACGCCUGAUGUCGUCCGGCACUGUGUAUUUUCCGAUAGCUAUGAUGGCAUAACACACUCCACGUCGUCCGUGUGUAUGUGUAGUACAAGGGCGAUGAGAUCAUACCAUGCCCAUCGUUGUCUGACCGUGUGUGCUAUCAAAGGGUUAUGAUGGCAUGCCACACCUGAACUCGUCCAAAUGUGUGUGCUAUCAAAGGAUCAUGAUUGCAUGCCACGCCUGAACUCGUCGAAAUGUGUGUGCUGUCAAAGGGCCAUGAUUGCAUGCCACGCCUGACAUCGUUCAAUCAUGUGUGCUUUCCAAAGGAUAUGAUGGCAUGACAUACCCGACAUCGUCCAUCUGUGUGUGCAAUCAAAGAGUGAUGAUGAAAUGCCAUUGCCAAGGUCAUUAAGCUCUGUGUGCUAUCAAAGGGCUAGGAUGUUAUGACAUGCUCGAGCUCACCCAACCGUGUGUCCUAUCAAAGGGCCAUGAUGGCAUGUCAUGCCCGACGUAAUCUGAUUUUAUAUGCUUUGCAAGGGCUAUGCGGGCAUGCCAUAUCCUGACUUUGUUGGACCGCAUGUGCUGUUCAAGAGUGAUAAUGGCAUUCAACGCCCGACGUAGUCCAACCGUGUUUGUUGUCCAAGUGCGAUGAUGGCAUGCCAGGCCCGACAUUGUUCAUUCGUCUUUGUAGUAAAAAGUUAAUGAUGGCAUGCUACAAGCAACGUUGUUCGACUGUUUGUGUUUCCAAAUGACUAUGAUGACAUGCCAAGCGUGACGUUGUUUGACAGUGUGUACUAUCGAAGGGCUAUGAUUACAUGCCACGCCUUACAUCGUCCAACAAUGUGUGUCAAAUGCUACACGGACAUGCAACUCUCGAUGUCGUUCGCUCAUAUGUGUUUUAAAAGGGAUAUAAUGUCAUGUCACUCUUCAUGUCAUCCAACCGUGUGUGUUGUCCAAGGGCUAUGAUGACCUACCACGUCCGAAGUCGUCCUAUUGUGUGUGCUGUCAAAGGGCUAUAAUGGCAUGCAACGCCCAACAUCGUCCGACUGUGUGUCUUGCCAAAGGGAAUGUUGGAAUGCCAUGCCCGAUUUUGUCUCAUCGUUUGUGUUUUCCAAGGGCGAUAAUUUCAUGUCAUGUCGGACACCUUCCGUUCGUGUGUGCAGUCCAAGGUUGAUGAUGGCAUUCAAUGUUCGAGAUCAUCUGACCGUGUGUUCUGUUUAAGGGUCUUGAUUUUAUUCCACGCUCCAUGUCAUCCAACUAUGUGUGCUUUCCAAUGGCGAUGAUUGCAUUCCACGCCCGACAUCAUUCAUGUGUGUGUGAAGUCCAAGAUAGAUAAUGGAAUGCCAAGUCCAAUGUUAUCUGACUGUGUGUGCUAUCUAAGGGCUAGGAUGGCAUGCCACGCCCGACAUCGUCUGAAUGUGUGUCCUCUCUAAGGUCCAUGAUGACAUGCCACGCCUGACGUCAUCUAACUGCGUGCGCUUUUAAAGGGAUACGAGGGCAUGUUACGUCCUAAAUUUGUUCGACAGUGUAUGCUGUCCUAGAGCAAUGAUUGCAUGCAACGCCCAACAUAGUCUAAGCAUGUGUGCUUUAUUAGGGCGAUGAUUGCAUGCCACACUCAACAAUGUUUAUUUGUGUGUGCAGUAGUAUGGUGAUGAUGGAAUGCCAUGACCGACGUCAUCCGACCGUGUGUAUUGUCCAAUGGCUAUGAUGACAUAACACGCAUGACAUCAAUCGACCGUGUGUGCUUUCCAAUAGCGAUGAUUGCAUGUGACGCACGACGUCAUUCGACAGUGUGUGUUGUCAAACGGCUAGACAUGCAUGCCAGACUCGAUGUUGUCUAACAAUUUGUGCUAUCUAAGAGCCAUGAUGGCAUGCCACGCUCGACUUCAUCCCGUUCGUGUGUACAUUCCCAGGGAUAUGAUGCCAUACAAUGCGCAAUGUCAUACGAUCCUAUGUUCUGUCCAAAGGCCAUAGUUGGGUGCCACUUUCGCUGUCGUCUGACCGGGUGUGCUAUUCAAGGGCUAAAACGGGAUGCCACGCCCGACAUCAUCCUACAGUGUGUCCAGUCCAAAAACCAUUAUGACAUUCCAUGCCCCACAUCAUCCAACGGUGUGUGUUAUCCAUAGGUUUUGAUGGCAUAUCACGACCGAGUCAUCUUACCAUGUGUGUUGUCCAAGGGCUAUGCAGGCAUGCAACGACAGACUUCAUCCGUCUAUGUGUGAAGUCCAAGGGCGAUGUUGACAUGCCACAUCCAAGGUCGACCUAUCGUGUGUGCUGUCCAAGGGCUAUAAUGACAUUCCACGCCCAACGUCAUUCAACCGUGAGUGUUGUCUAUAGGCUAUGAUGGCAUGCCACACAACUUCAUGUGAUAAUUUUUGUUGUCUAAGUGCUAUGCAGGCAUGCCAUGCCUAACUUUGUUUGACCGUGUGUGCUGUCCAAGGGGGAUGAUGGCAUGCCAAGCCUGACGUUGUACAACCAUGUGUACUGUCCACGGGCGAUGAUGGAAAGGCCCGCCUAACAUUAUUGAUUCUUAUGUGUAGUACAAGAGCGAUGAAGGAAUGAAAAGCCCGAUCAUGCAACACCUGACAUCAUCUGUCUCUAUGUGUAGUCCGAGGGCAAUAAUAGCAUGCCACGCCUGACAUCGAUCGACCGUGUGUGUUGUCCAAAGGCUAUGAUGACAUGCCACACCUAAGUUCAUCCAACCGUGUGUGUUGUCCAAAGGCUAUAAUGGAAUGCCACGCCUGAUGCUAUCCAACCAUGUGUUCUUUUAAUGGGCCAUGAUGGCAUACCACGCCCGAUGUCGUCCAACCAUUUGUGUUUCCAAAUGGCAAUGAUGGCAUGCCACGCCCAACAUUGUCCGUCUGUGUGUGCAAUCUAAUGGCUAGAUAUUCAUGCCACACUCGACGUUCUCCGACUGUGUGACCUAUCAAAGGUCCAUGAUGGCAUUCCACGCCCGAUGUCAUCCAACCAUUUGUGCUGUUCAUGGACUUUGAUGGCAUAUCACCCCAGCCAUAGUCCAUCUAUGUGUGCUUUCCGCGGACUACCUAAGUGCUGUCGAUGGGCGAUAAUGGUAGUCCACGCCUAAUUUCAUUUGUUCGUGUGUGCAGUAAAAGGGCAAUGAUGGCAUGACAUGCCCGACGUCAUCUGACUUAGUGUGCUGUGAAAGGGCUAUGCAGGCAUGCCACUCCCGACGUCGUCCGCUCGUGUGUGCUGUCCAAGGGUUAUGAUGGCAAGCUACACCUGAGGUCAUUUUAUAGUGUGUAUUUUCCAAGGGCUAUGAUGUCAUGCCACGCCCGAUGUCAUCUGAUCCUAUGUUCUGUCGAAGGGAAAUGAAUGGCGUGCCACGCCUAACGUUGUUUGAACAUGUAUGCAGUGCAAGGACAGUUAUGGCAUUCAACUCCUGAUAUCGUCCGUCCGUGAUCGCAGUCUAAGGGUGAUGAUAUCCUGUCAAACCCAACUUCGUCCGACUAUGUGCGUUGUCCAUAGGAUAUGAUGAAAGGCCAUGCCCGACGUCGUCCAACGGUGUGAGCUGUGUAAGGGAUAUUAUGUUAUGCAAGACCGACAUCGUCUGACCGUGUAUGUUGUCCAAGGGAUACUCAGGCAUGCCACACUACACGUUGCUCGACAAUGUAUGCAGUCCAAGGGAGAUAUUGGCAUGCCAAACCCAGUGUUGUCUUAACGUGUGUGAUGUCCAAGGGCCAUGAUUGCAUGAAAUGUCUGACGUCGUCUAAGUGUGUGUGCUUUCCAAAGGCGAUGAUGGCAUGCCACGUCCAACAUGAUUCGUCUAUGUGUGUAGUCCAAGGGCUGAUGGCAUGCCACAUCAAAAGUUAACCGACCGUGUGUGCUGUCCCAGGGAUAUAGUGACAUACCAUGCUUAAUGUCGUUCAACUUUUAUUGUUGUCUAAGGUCUAUGAUUGCAUGCCACACACGACGUCGUCCCGUCAUGUGUGUAGCCGAAGGUGUAUGUGGGCAGGCCAUGCUCAACUUUAUUCAAUUGUGUGUGCUUCCAAAAGGCGAUGAUGGCAUGCACACCUGUCAAUGUACGACCAUGUGUACUAUCUACGAGCAUUGAUGGAAAGCCACGCCCGAAAUUGUUUAUUCGUAUGUACAGUACAAGAAGGAUGAUGGCAUACCUUGCCCGAGGUCAUCUGACCCCGUGUGCUUACCAAAGGUGAUGAUAGCAUGCCACAUCUGACGUCAUCCUUCUAUGUAUGUAGUCCAAGGGCAAUGAUAGUGUGCCACAUCCGACGUUGAUCGAUCGUGUAUGUUGGUAAAAUAUUAUGAUCACAUGCCACACCUACUAUCGUCUAACUCUAUGUGUUGCAAAAGGCAUAUGAUGUCAUGCCACGCUAGAUGUCGUCCGACUGUGUGUACUUUCCAAUGUUAAUUAAGGCAUGCCACAACCAACAUCGUCCGCUUGUGUGUGCAGUCUAAGGUAUAGAAAGGCAUGCCAUACCGGACGUUGUCCGAUUUUGUGUCCUGUCCAAGGUCCAUGAAUGCAUACCACGCCCGAUGUUGUCCGAUCGUGUUUGUUGUCCAAGGACUUCGAUGGCUUGUCACCCUCAUCAUUGUCCGACCAUGUUUUCUUUUUAUGGGCUGCGCUGCUCAACUUCGUCCUACCUCUGUGUUAUCCAAAGGCGAUAAUGUCAUGACACUCCAAACUUCGUUCAUUCGUGUGUAUAGUAAAAGGGCGAUAAUGGCAUACCACUCCCGACGUCGAUCUUUUGUAUGUACUGUGCAAGGGCUAUGCUAGAAUGGUACGCCCAAUGUCGUUCGAUCAUGUUUGCUUUCCAAGAGCUAUGAUGGCAUGCGAUGCCUGAUGUCGUCCGAUUAUGUAUGUUUUCCAAGGGCUAUGAUGGCAUGCCACGUCCGACAUCGUCCGAUCCUAUGUACUGUCCAAGGGCCAUGAUGGCAUGCCAAGCUCGACGUCGUCCGACCAUGUGUGCAUUCCAAGGACCAUGAUGGCAUGCACAUCAUCCGUCCAUGUGUGCAGUCCAAGGGCGAUGAUGUAAUGUCAUACCCAACUUUAUCCGACCGUAUGUGUUGUCCAAGGUCUAUGAUGUAAGCCUUGCCUGACGUUAUCUGACCGUGUGUGCUGUCCAACGGAUACUUUGGCAUUCCACGCUUGAUAUUGCCGGACCGUGUGCGCAGUCCAAGUGCGAUAAUGCCAAGCCACACCCAAUGUCGUUAGACCUUGGUUAAUGUUAAAGGCUAUGAUACUAUUCCAUGCCCGACAUUGUCCAUUUGUAUUGGCAGUCCAUGGGCUUUGAUGGCAUGCUAUGUCUGAGGUCGACCGACUAUGUGUGUUGUCCAAGGCCUAUGAUGACUUCCACGCCAAUCUUCGUUCAACCAUGAGUGUUUUAUAUGGGCUAUGAUGGCAUUACACGGAUGACGUUGUCCAACCGUCUAUGCUAGAGAAGGGCUACGCGGGCAUGUUAUGCGUGACUUCAUUCUACCGUGUGCGCUGUCCAAGGGUGAUGAUGGCAUGCCACGGUUAAUGUUGUUCGACCAUGUAUACCAUUCACACGCGAUGAUGGAAUGCCAAGCCCGUCAUCAUUUAUUCAUGUGUGCAUUAUUAGAGCGAUGAUGGCAUGCCAGGACAGACGUCAUUCGACAUUGUGUGUUAUUCAAUGUAUAUUAUGAGAAUGCCAUGCCGACAUCAUCCUAUCAUGUGUGCUGUCCCAGGGCUAUGAUGGCAUGCCACGCUUGACGUCAUAUGAAUGUAUGUGUUGUACAAUGGCUAUGCGUUAUUACCACACCCUAUAUCAUCCUACUGUAUGUGUGGUCCAGAACCGUGAUUGCAUGCCACGCCUGAUGUCGUCCGUCUCUGUGUCAUGUCCAAGGGCAAUGAUAGCAUGCAUUGCUCAACGUGGAGCGUCCGUGUGUGUUGUUCAAGGGCUAUGAUAACAUGCCACUUCUAAUGUCGUCAAACCGUAUGUGUUGUCAAAGGGAUAUGUUGGCAUUACACGCCCGACGUCAUCCUACCGUGUGUGCUUUCAAAGGGCCAUGAUGGCAUACAACACCCGACGUCGUCCGAUCGUAUGUGCUUUCCAAGGGGAUAAUGGCAUGGCAUUCCCAACAUGGUCCAUCUGUGAGUAAGUUUAAGAGUUAUAAAGGCAUUCCACACCCGACGUUAUGAUAUUCUUUAUCCUUUCCAAAGGCCAUGAUGGCAUGCAACUCACAAUGUCGACCGACCUAUUUGAUAUCGAAGGUCUUUGAUGGAAUGUAACUACUGCUGUCGUCUGACCAUGUGUGUUGUCCAAGGGUUACGUAGACAUGCAACGCCUGACUUCGUCUUACCUUUGUGCUGUCCAAGAGCUAUGAUGGCAUGUCAAGCACGACAUGGUGCGAUCGUGUUUGCUCUCGAAGGUCUACGCUGGCAUGCCACACCCAACUUCGUUCGACCGUGUGUGCUGUCCAAUAGCGAUGAUGGCAUGCUAUGCCCAACGUUGCCCAACCAUGUGUCUUGUCCACACGCGAUAAUCAAAUAACACACCAAACAUAGUUCAUUUGUGUGGGAAGUACAAGAGCGAUGAUGUUAUGCAAAGCACGACGUCGUCCGUUCCUGUUUGUUGUCCAAGGGAUAUGAUGUCAUGACGUGCCUGACUUCAUCGGACCGUGUGUGCUUUCCAAAGGCCAUGAUUGCAUACUAUGCACAACAUCGUCAGUCUGUGUGUGCAAUCUAAGGUCUAGAAAUGCAUCCACACCCGACGUUGUCCGACUAUGUGUCCUAUCAAAGGUCCAUGAUGGCAUACCAUGCUUAAUGUAGUCCAACAGGUUAUAUUGUCUAAGGACAUUGAUGACAUUCACGCAUGCUAUUUUUUAACCAUGUGUGCUUUCGAAGGACUAUGCAGGCAUGUAAUGCCUGACUUCAUCCGACCUCUGUACUGUCCAGGAAAGAUAAUGGAAUGCCACAGACAAUUUUGUUUGUUCGUGUGUGCGGUAAUAUGGUGAUGAUGGAAUGACAUUUCCGACGUCAUCUUACCGUGUGAGACGUCCAAGGGCUAUGAUGUCACGCCACACAAGAUGUCGUCCGAUCGUGUGUUUUGUGUUAGGGCUAUGAUGGCAUGCCACAUCCGAUGUCGUCCGAUUUUGUGCACUAUCCCAGGGCCAGGAUGGCAUGCCAUGCCCGAUAUUGUCUGACCAUCUGUGGAGUCCAAGUACUUUUUUGGCAAUCAACACCUGACAUUGUCCGUCCGUGUGUGCAGUCCAAGGGCGAUGAUGGCAUGUCAUACCCGACUUUGGCCGACCGUGUGUGUUGUCCAAGGGAUAUGAUGAAAGGCCACGACCUAUGUCGUCCCACCAUGUGUGCUGUCCAAGGGGUAUGAUGUUAUCCACGCCUGACAUCGUUCGACCGUGUAUGUUGUCCAAGGGCUACUAAACAAUACAACACCAUAUGUUGCCUGACCAUGUGUGUAGUUCAAGGGCGAUAAUGACAUGCGACACUCGACGUUGUCUAACCGUCUGUGAUGUCCAAGGUCCAUGAUGCAUGCCACGUCCGACGUUGUCCUAAUGUGUGUGCUUUCCAAAGACGAUGAGGACAUGCCACACCUGACAUGAUCUGUCUAUUUAUGCAGUCCAAGGGCUGAGGGAAUGCCACGACCAAGGCGGACCGACCGUGUGAUAUCCAAGGGACAUAAUUACAUGCCACACAGAGCUUCGUUCAACUGUUAGUGUUGUCUAAGGUCUAUGAUGGCAUGCCACAUACGAUGUCGUCCGAUUGUGUGUGCAUUCAAAGGGCUAUAAGGGCAUGCCAUGCUCGACAUUAAUCGAUCGUGUUUGCUUUUAAAAGGCGAUGAUGGUUUUUCACGCCUGAUAUUUUACGACCAUGUGUACUGUGCACAGGCGAUGAUGGAAUGCCACGCUCUACAUCGUUAAUUUCUAUAUGUAAUACAAGAGCGAUGAUGGCAUGCCAAGAAUGUCAUCUUUCGAGUGUGUGUGCUUUCCAUAGGCGACGAUGGCAUGCCAUGCCCGAAUUCAUCCAUCUACGUGUGCAGCCCAAGGGCGAUGAUGGCAUGCCACAUCCACGGUCGACCGACCGUGUGUUCUAUCCAAGGGCUAUAAUGACAUUUCACGCCCAACGUCGUUCAACCGUGACUGUUUUCUAAGGGCUAUGAUUCCAUGCCACACACGAAUUCGAGUGAUAAUUUUUGCAGUCGAAGGGCUACGCAUGCAUGCCACGACCAACUUUGUUUGAUCGUGUGUGCUGUCCAAGGGGAUGAUGGAAACCACGUCCGUCAUCAUUUAUUCGUGUGUGCAGUAUAAGAGCGAUGAUGGCAUGCCAUUCCUCACGUCAUCUGACAUUGUGUGUUGUUCAAUGGCUAUAAUGAGAAAGCCAUGCCCGACAUCAUCUUUUCGUGCGUGUUGUUCCAGAGCUAUGAUGGCAUGCCACGCUUGACAUCGUCUGAAUGUGUGUGUUGUACAAUAGAUAUGCGUGAUUACCACACCUGAUAUCGUCCGACUGUGUGUGUUGUCCAGAACCAUGAUUGCGUGCCAUGCCUGACGUCGUCUGUCUAUGUGUCAUGUCCAAGGGCAAUGAUAACAUGCAUCGCCCGACGCUCAGCGCUCGUGUGUGUUGUUCAACGACUAUGAUAACAUGCCACUCCUCAUGUCGUCCAACCGUAUAUGUUGCCAAAGGUAUAUGAUGGCAUGCCACGCUCGACAUCAUCCUACCGUGUGUGGUUUCCAAAGGCCAUGAUGUCAUACAACACCCGACAUCGUCCGACCGUAUCUGCUUGCCAAUGUCGAUGAUGGCAUGCCAUUCCCAACAUGGUCCAUCUGUGUGUCACUCUAUGAGCUUGAAAGGCAUGCCACACCGACGUUAUGCGAUUGUGUAUCUUGUCCAAGGGACAUGAUGGCAUACAACUCCCAAUGUCGACCGACCAUAUGUGCAUCUCACUCCCGCUGUCGUCUGACUGUGUGUUCUUUCCAAGGGUAACGUAGACAUGCAACGCCCAACUUUGUCUGACCUUUGUGUUGUCCAAGGGCAAGAAUUACAUACCACACCCAACGUCGUCUGACUGUGUGUGCUAUGCAAGGUCUACGCAGGCAUGCCACGCGUGACGCUGUUUAAUCGUGUGUACUUUCCAAGGGCUAUGAAGGCACGCCACGCUCGACAUCGUCCGAGUGUGUGUUGUCCACGAGAUAUGAUGACAUGCCAUGCCCUACAUUGUUAGAUCCUGUGUACUGUCCAAGUGCCAUGAUGGAAUACCACGCCCGACGUCAACGAUCAUUUGUGCAGAUAAGUACUCUAAUGCCAUGCCAUGCCUUACAUCGUCCCAUCAUUUCUGCAGUCCAAGGGCGAUAAGAGCAUGACACACCCGACAUCGUCUGACCGUGUGUGAUGUCCAAGGGCCAUGAUGGCAUGCCACGACCGACGCCGACCAACUAUGUGUGCUUUCAAAAGAGAAUGAUGGCAUGCAACACCUUACAUUAUCCGUCUGUCUGUGCUUUCCAAAGGCGAUGAUGGCAUGCCACGUCUGAGGUCGACCGACCGUGUGUGCUGUCCAAGGCUAUGAUUACAUGCCACGCUCAACAUCGAUAAACUGUGAGUGUUGUCCAACGGCUUUGAUGCAUGCCAUGCACGACAUAGUGCGAUCGUGUGUUCUCUCAAAGGUCUACGCUGGCGUGCCACGUCCAACUUUGUUCAACCGUGUGUGCUGUCCAAGGGCGAUGAUGGCAUGCUACGCCCGACGUUGCCCGACCAUGUGUCCUGUCCAUGCUCGAUAAUCAAAUAACACGCCAGACAUCGUUCAUUCGUGUGGGCAGUACAAAAGCGAUGAUGUCAUGCAAAGCACGACAUUGUCCAUUCUUGUAAGUUGUCCAAGGGCUAUGAUAGCAUGACGCGCUCGAUGUUAUCGGACCCUGUGUGCUUUCCAAAAGCCAUGAUGGCAUACCACGCCCAACAUCAAAUGUCUGUGUGUGCAAUCUAAGUUCUAGAAAUGCAUUCACACCCGACGUUAUCCGACUGUGUUUCUAUCAAAGGUCUAUGAUGGCAUACAACGCUUGAUUUCAUCCGCUAAGUUAAAUUGUCCAAGGACUUUGAUGACAUGUCAUGCCCGCUAUUGUCUGACCAUGUGUGCUUUACAAGGACUACGCGGGCAUGUAAUGCCUGACUUCAUCCGACCUGUGUGCUGUCGAAGAAAGAUAAUGGAAUACCACGGCCAAUUUCGUUCGUUCGUGUGUGCGUUAAUAGGGUAAUGAUGGAAUGCCAUUCCCGACGUCAUCUGACCGUGUGUGCUGUUCAAGGGCUAUGAUGGCAGGCCACACCAGAUGUCAUCCAAUCGCGUGUUCUGUGUUAGGGCUAUGAUGGCAUGCCACGCUCGAUGUCGUCCGAUCUUGUGUACUGUCCCAUGGACAUGAUGGCAUGCCACACCCAAUGUCGUCUGACCAUGUGUGCAGUCCAAGGACUUUUAUGGCAUACCACACCUAACAUCGCCCGUCCGUGUGUGUAGUCCAAGGGCGAAGAUGGCAAGUCAUACCCUACUUCGUUCGACUGUGUGUGUUGUCCAAGUGAUAUGAUGACAGGCCAUGCCCGACAUCGUUCGAUCGUGUGUGCUGUCCAAGGGCUAUGUUGUCAGCCACGCUUCAUAUCCUCUGACCGUGUAUGUUGUCCAAGGGCUACUCAGGCAUACCACAAUCGAUGUUGCCUGACUGUGUGUGUAGUUAAGGGAAAUAAUGGUAUGGCACAUCCGACAUCGUCUAACCGUGUGUGAUGUCCAAGGGACAUGAUGGCAUGCCACGUCUGAUGUCAUCCUACUAUGUGUGAUUUCCAAAGGCGGUGAUGGUAUACCACACCCAACAUCAUCCUCUACGUGUGCAGUCCAAGGGCGAUGAUGGCAUGCCAUGUCCAAGGGCUAUAAUGACAUGCCACGCCCACGUCAUUCAACCAUGAGUGUUGUCUAAGGGAUAUUAUGGAAUGCCACACACGAUGUCGUCUGAUCUUGUGUGUUUUCGAAGGGCUAUGCUUGCAUGCCAUGCCUGACUUCAUUCGACCGUGUGUGCUGUCAAAGGGCGAUUACGGCAUGCCACACCCGACGUUGUACGACCAUGUGUACAAUCCACAAGCAUUGACGGAAAGCCAUGACCGACAUCAUUGAUUCUUAUGUGCUGUACAAGUGCGAUGAUGGCAUGCAAAUCCCGACGUCGUUCGACUGUGUGUGUUGUUCAAGUGCUAUGAUGACAUGCCACGCCUAACAUUGUCCAACCGUGUGUGUUGUCCAAAGGCUAUGAUGGCAUGCCACGCCCGACAUCAUUCUACCGUUUAUGCUUUCCAAGGGCCACGAUGGAAUACCACGCCCAACAUCGUCUGUCUAUGUGUGCAAUAUAAGGGCUAGAAUGGCAUGCCACACCCGACGUUGUCUGAUUAUGUGUCCUAUCAAAGGGCCAUGAUGGCAUGCCAAUCCUGAUGUCGUUCGAACGUUUGUGAUGUUCAAGGACUUUUAUGUCAUGUCACGCCCGCCGUCGUCCAUCCGUGUGUGCUUUCCAAGAACUACGCAGGCAUGCAACGCCUGACUUCAUCCAACCUGUAAGCUGUCCAAGGGCGAUAAUGGCAUGCCAUGCCUAAUUUUGUAUGUUUGUGUGUGCGAUAAAAAGGGAAUUAAUGGCAUGUCACGUGCAACAUCAUUCGACUGUGUGUGUUGUGCAAGGGCUAUGAAGACGUGCCACUCCCAACAUUGAUUGAUUGUGUCUACUAUCCAUGGUUUAUGAUGGCAGGCCACACCCGACGUUGUCCGAUCGUGUGUGCUAUCGAAGGGCUAUGAUUGCAUGACACGCUCGAUGUCGUCAAAUUAUAUGUACUUUCCAAGGGAGAUGAUGGUAUGCCAUGCCCGAUGUCGUCUUACCAUGUGUGCAGUCAAAGGACCAUUAUGGCAUGCCACGUCUGACAUCGUCCAUCUGUGUUCGCAGUCCAAGGGGCGAUGAUGGUAUAUCAUACCUGACUUCGUCAGACCGUGUAUGUUGUCCAAGGGCCAUGAUGGCAUGCCAUGACCGACAUCGUCUGCUUGUAUGUGCAGUCCAAGGACAAUAAUGGCAUUCUAUGGCCUAGUUCGACUCAUCGUGUGUGUUGUCCAAGGGCUAUGAUAACAUGCCACGCCCUACGUGUUCAGUCGUGAUUGUUGUCAAAGGGUUAUAAUGUCAAUCCACGCAUGACGUUUUUUUACCGUCUGUACUUGAGAAGGGCUACGAAGGCAUGCCACGCUGGACUUCUUUCUACCGUGUGUGUUGUCCAAGGUUGAUGAUGGAAUACCACGAUUAUUGGUUUUCGACCAUGUGUAACAUUCACGCGUGAUGAUUGAACGACACGCCCGUCAUCAUUCAUUCAUGUGUGCAGUAAAAGAGCAAUAAUGGCAUGCCACGACUAACAUCAUCAGAAAUUGUGAGUUGUUCCAUGUCUAUGAUGAGAAUUCCACGCCCGAUAUCAUCUUACCAUGUGCGCUGUCAAAGGUCUAUGAUGGCAUGCCACGCUUGACGUCGUGUGAAAGUGUGUGCUGGACAAUGGCUAGGCGUGAUUACCACACCUAAUGUCGUCCGACUGUGUGUGUUGUCCAAGGUCCAUGAUGGCAUGCCAAGCCUGACGUUGUCCGUCUUUGUGUAAUGUCCAACGGCUAAGUGGGCAUGCCACGCCCGAAGUCACUUGACCAUGUGUGCUUUCAAAGGGCCAUGAUGGCAUGCCACACCUAACGGCGUUGGACUUUAUAUGUGGUCUAAGGUCUAUUAUGUCAUGCCAUGCACGAUGUUGCCCGACCAUGUAUUGUCCAAGGGCGAUGAUGGCACACCAUGCAAGACGUCGUUCGUCCGUGUAUAUUGUCCUAGGGCUAUGAUUUCAUGCUACGCUCAAUGACGUCUUUGUGUAUACGUAGUCCAAGGGCAAUGAUGGAAUGCCACGCCCGACGUUGUCUGAUUGUGUGUGUUGUCCAAGGGCUAUGUUUAUCUUCCACGCCCGACGUUGUCCACACGUGUGUAUUGUUGAAGGGCUACGAUAGCAUGCCAUGCCCGAUAACAUUCGACCGAGUGUGCUUUCCAAGGAAAAUGAUGGCAUGCAAUGCCUGAUGUUGUCUGACCAUAUCUGUUCUCUAUGGGAGAUUAUGGCAUGCCAUGCCCUACAUAGUCCUUUCGUGUGUGCAGUCCAACGGCGAUGAGGGCAUGCAACGCCCGACGUCGUCUGCUAUGUAACUAUCUAAAGCCUAUGAUGAAAUGUCAUGCCAGAUGUCAUUUGAUCACGUGUGCUGUCCAAUGUCUUUUAUAUAAUUCCACACCCGAUGUCGUCCAAUUGUGUGAGUAAUUCAAGUGCUACGCGUGCAUAACACACUUGACAUUUUCCGACUGUGUGUCAUGUCCAAGGGACAUGAUGGCAUGCCAUGCCUUACGUAAUUUUACCUUGUGCACUGUCCAAGGGCUAUGACGGAAUUCCAUGUUCGACGUCAUCCAUCAAUAUGUCCAGUCCAAGCACGAUGAUAGCCUGCCAAGACUAACAUCGUCCAUCCACUUUUGCCUUCCAAGAGCGAUGAUGGCAUGCUACAAAUGACGUUGUCCAACCGUGUGUGUUUUUCUAAGGAAAUGAUGACUUGCCAUGCCCAACGUCGUCUGACCGCGUGUGCUGUCUAAGGGCUAUGAUGGCAUGCUGCACCCGACGAUGUCCGACCGUGUGUAUCGUAAAAAGGCUACGCGGGCAUGCCAUGCCUUACUUCAUCAGACUAUAUGUGUUGUCCAAGGGCAUUCAUGGCUUUCCAAUUCAAACAUAGUCUUACGUGUGCGUAGUCCAGCAACGAAGAUGAUGGCAUGCCUUGCCCACGUCAUCUAUUCUUGUGUUUAGUACAUUAGGGAUGAUGGAAUGCCACGCCGACAUCAAGUGAUCGUGUGUGUUAUCUAAAGCUACGUGGCAUGCGAUUCAUGAUGUCGUUCAACCGUGUAUCGUGUCCAAGGUCCAUGAUUGCAUGCCACGACCGACGUCGUCUGACCGUGUGUGCUCACCAAAGACUUUGAUGACAAGUCACGCCAGACAUCGAUCGAUUGUGUGUGUUGUCCAAGGGUUACACAGGCAUGCCGUCAUGUGUGGCUUUUAAGGGCUAUAGGGGCAUGCCGUGCUCGAUAUGUACAGACCGUUUAUACAGACCAAAGGAAAUGUUGUCAAGCCAUGCCCGAUGUCAUUCGAUCGUGUAUGUUAUCCAAGGGUGAUGAUGGCAUUCCACUCCCCACAUCGUACGUUUGUGUGUGUAUCUAAUGGCUAUGAUCAUAUGACAUGCCUGAUUUUGUUCGACCGUGUGCUAUCAAGGGCUAUGAUGAAGUCCGACUAUUGUAUCCAAGAUCUACGUUGACAUGCCAUGCCAGACGUCGUUUGAGCGUGUGUCCAUUUAAAGGACCUUAAUGUCAUGCCACGUCAAACAUAGUCUGGCCGUGCAUGCUUUCUAAGCGUCAUGAUUGCAUGCCACGUCAAACUGUACGUCUUGUCCAAUGGCCAUGGUUGCAUGCAACGUGUGACAUCAUUUGACCUUGUGUGCUGUCCAAGUUCCAUUUUGUCAUGCCAUGUCUGACAUCGUCCUACUAUAUGUGCUGUCCAAGGGAGAUGAUGACAUCCCAUGUCUGACAUCAUGCUGUCCGAUCGUGUGUGUUGUCCAAUCUAGUGUACUGUCCUGGGCCAUGAUGGCAUGCCAAGCCAAAAGUCGUCUAACUAUGUGUGCAGUCCAAGGACCAUUAUUUCAUGCCAUGCUUGACAAGAACCGACCAUGUGUGUAUUACAAGGGCGAUGAUGGAACGUCAUGCCGACUUCUUCGGACCAUGUGUGUUGUCCAAGGAAUAUGAUGACAGGCCAUGCCCGAUGUCGUUCGACCGUAUGUGUUGUCCAAGUGCUAUGAUGUAAGCCACGCCUGACAUCCUCGGAUCAUGUAUGUUGUCCAAUGGCUACUCAGGCAUUCCACACCAACAUUGCCUGACCGCGUGUGAAGUCCAAGGGUGAUAAUAGUAUGCCACUCCUGACAUCGCCUAACCACGUGUGACGUCCAAGGGCCAUGAUGGCAUGCUAUGUCCGACGUCAUUGUACUGUGUGUGCUUUCUGAAAGCGGUGAUUGUAUGCCAUGCUCGACUUCAUCCCUCUAUGUGUGCAGUCCAAGGGCGAUAAUGAUAUGUAACGCCCAACAUCGUUCAACUGUGAGUGUUGUCUAAGGGCUAUGAUGGCAUGCCACACAAAUGUCAUCUAAUCGUGUGUACUGUCGAAAGGCUACGCGGGCAUGCCAUGCCUGACUUAUUUCAACCGUGUGUAUUGUCCAAGGGUGAUGAUGGCCUGACACUCCCGACGUUCUACGACAAUGUGUACUAUCCACGGGCGAUGAUGGAAAUCUACGCACGACAUUGUUGAUUCUUAUGUGCAGUAGAAGAGUGAUGAAGGCAUGCCAUGGUUAACGGUUUUCGACCAUGUGUAACAUUCACGCUCGAUGAUGCAAUAACAAGCCCGUCAUCAUUCAUUUGUGUGUGCAGUACAAGAGCGAUAAUGGCAUACAACAAUUGAUUUCAUCCGACAUUGUGUGUUGUUCCAUGUGUAUGAUGAGAAUGCCACGCCCGACAUCAUCUUAUCGUGUGCGCUGUAAAAGGGCUAUAAUGGCAUGCCACAUUUGACGUCGUUUGAAAGUGUGUGUUGUCAAUGGCUAUGCAUGAUUACCACCACCUGAUGUCGUCCGACUCUGUGUUUUGUCCAAUGUCCCAUGAUGGCAUGCAACGCCCGAUGUCACUUGACAUUGUGUGUUUCCAGGGCCAUGAUGGCAUGCCACAAUUAACGUGGUCCGACCUUGUAUGUUUUCUAAGGUCUAUAAUCUCAUGCCAUGUAUGAUGUUUUGCCCGACAUUGUGUUGUCAAGGGCGAUAAUGGCAAGUCAUGCCACACGUCGUUCGACCGUGUAUGUGUCCUAGGGCAGUGAUUUCAUGCCNNNNNNNNNNNNNNNNNNNNNNNNNNNNNNNNNNNNNNNNNNNNNNNNNNNNNNNNNNNNNNNNNNNNNNNNNNNNNNNNNNNNNNNNNNNNNNNNNNNNUUGACCUUCCAAAUGGCCCAGAAAACCCGUGAUGGCCAACCGUAUGCAUAGACAACGUCUUGACGGACGUCCACGAACAAAUUUGGCAUUUUUGACGUCGGAAUCCCGAUCACCCAAAAAAUGGUGUGCAAUAGCACACGAAAAUCGUCAAAAUGAGGCGUAUGCUCGCUCCGGGGCUCGUUUGACCUUCCAAAUGGCCCAGAAAACCCGUGAUGGCCAACCGUAUGCAUAGACAACGUCUUGACGGACGUCCACGAACAAAUUUGGCAUUUUUGACGUCGGAAUCCCGAUCACCCAAAAAAUGGUGUGCAAUAGCACACGAAAAUCGUCAAAAUGAGGCGUAUGCUCGCUCCGGGGCUCGUUUGACCUUCCAAAUGGCCCAGAAAACCCGUGAUGGCCAACCGUAUGCAUAGACAACGUCUUGACGGACGUCCACGAACAAAUUUGGCAUUUUUUGACGUCGGAAUCCCGAUCACCCAAAAAAUGGUGUGCAAUAGCACACGAAAAUCGUCAAAAUGAGGCGUAUGCUCGCUCCGGGGCUCGUUUGACCUUCCAAAUGGCCCAGAAAACCCGUGAUGGCCAACCGUAUGCAUAGACAAACGUCUUGACGGACGUCCACGAACAAAUUUGGCAUUUUUGACGUCGGAAUCCCGAUCACCCAAAAAAUGGUGUGCAAUAGCACACGAAAAUCGUCAAAAUGAGGCGUAUGCUCGCUCCGGGGCUCGUUUGACCUUCCAAAUGGCCCAGAAAACCCGUGAUGGCCAACCGUAUGCAUAGACAACGUCUUGACGGACGUCCACGAACAAAUUUGGCAUUUUUGACGUCGGAAUCCCGAUCACCCAAAAAAUGGUGUGCAAUAGCACACGAAAAUCGUCAAAAUGAGGCGUAUGCUCGCUCCGGGGCUCGUUUGACCUUCCAAAUGGCCCAGAAAACCCGUGAUGGCCAACCGUAUGCAUAGACAACGUCUUGACGGACGUCCACGAACAAAUUUGGCAUUUUUGACGUCGGAAUCCUGAUCACCCAAAAAAUGGUGUGCAAUAGCACACGAAAAUCGUCAAAAUGAGCGUAUGCUCGCUCCGGGGCUCGUUUGACCUUCCAAAUGGCCCAGAAAACCCGUGAUGGCCAACCGUAUGCAUAGACAACGUCUUGACGGACGUCCACGAACAAAUUUGGCAUUUUUGACGUCGGAAUCCCGAUCACCCAAAAAAUGGUGUGCAAUAGCACACGAAAAAUCGUCAAAAUGAGGCGUAUGCUCGCUCCGGGGCUCGUUUGACCUUCCAAAUGGCCCAGAAAACCCGUGAUGGCCAACCGUAUGCAUAGACAACGUCUUGACGGACGUCCACGAACAAAUUUGGCAUUUUUGACGUCGGAAUCCUGAUCACCCAAAAAAUGGUGUGCAAUAGCACACGAAAAUCGUCAAAAUGAGGCGUAUGCUCGCUCCGGGGCUCGUUUGACCUUCCAAAUGGCCCAGAAAACCCGUGAUGGCCAACCGUAUGCAUAGACAACGUCUUGACGGACGUCCACGAACAAAUUUGGCAUUUUUGACGUCGGAAUCCUGAUCACCCAAAAAAUGGUGUGCAAUAGCACACGAAAAUCGUCAAAAUGAGGCGUAUGCUCGCUCCGGGGCUCGUUUGACCUUCCAAACGGCCCAGAAAACCCGUGAUGGCCAACCGUAUGCAUAGACAACGUCUUGACGGACGUCCACGAACAAAUUUGGCAUUUUUGACGUCGGAAUCCCGAUCACCCAAAAAUGGUGUGCAAUAGCACACGAAAAUCGUCAAAAUGAGGCGUAUGCUCGCUCCGGGGCUCGUUUGACCUUCCAAACGGCCCAGAAAACCCGUGAUGGCCAACCGUAUGCAUAGACAACGUCUUGACGGACGUCCACGAACAAAUUUGGCAUUUUUGACGUCGGAAUCCUGAUCACCCAAAAAAUGGUGUGCAAUAGCACACGAAAAUCGUCAAAAUGAGGCGUAUGCUCGCUCCGGGGCUCGUUUGACCUUCCAAAUGGCCCAGAAAACCCGUGAUGGCCAACCGUAUGCAUAGACAACGUCUUGACGGACGUCCACGAACAAAUUUGGCAUUUUUGACGUCGGAAUCCGAUCACCCAAAAAAUGGUGUGCAAUAGCACACGAAAAUCGUCAAAAUGAGGCGUAUGCUCGCUCCGGGGCUCGUUUGACCUUCCAAACGGCCCAGAAAACCCGUGAUGGCCAACCGUAUGCAUAGACAACGUCUUGACGGACGUCCACGAACAAAUUUGGCAUUUUUGACGUCGGAAUCCUGAUCACCCAAAAAAUGGUGUGCAAUAGCACACGAAAAUCGUCAAAAUGAGGCGUAUGCUCGCUCCGGGGCUCGUUUGACCUUCCAAAUGGCCCAGAAAACCCGUGAUGGCCAACCGUAUGCAUAGACAACGUCUUGACGGACGUCCACGAACAAAUUUGGCAUUUUUGACGUCGGAAUCCCGAUCACCCAAAAAAUGGUGUGCAAUAGCACACGAAAAUCGUCAAAAUGAGGCGUAUGCUCGCUCCGGGGCUCGUUUGACCUUCCAAACGGCCCAGAAAACCCGUGAUGGCCAACCGUAUGCAUAGACAACGUCUUGACGGACGUCCACGAACAAAUUUGGCAUUUUUGACGUCGGAAUCCUGAUCACCCAAAAAAUGGUGUGCAAUAGCACACGAAAAUCGUCAAAAUGAGGCGUAUGCUCGCUCCGGGGCUCGUUUGACCUUCCAAAUGGCCCAGAAAACCCGUGAUGGCCAACCGUAUGCAUAGACAACGUCUUGACGGACGUCCACGAACAAAUUUGGCAUUUUUGACGUCGGAAUCCCGAUCACCCAAAAAAUGGUGUGCAAUAGCACACGAAAAUCGUCAAAAUGAGGCGUAUGCUCGCUCCGGGGCUCGUUUGACCUUCCAAACGGCCCAGAAAACCCGUGAUGGCCAACCGUAUGCAUAGACAACGUCUUGACGGACGUCCACGAACAAAUUUGGCAUUUUUGACGUCGGAAUCCUGAUCACCCAAAAAAUGGUGUGCAAUAGCACACGAAAAUCGUCAAAAUGAGGCGUAUGCUCGCUCCGGGGCUCGUUUGACCUUCCAAAUGGCCCAGAAAACCCGUGAUGGCCAACCGUAUGCAUAGACAACGUCUUGACGGACGUCCACGAACAAAUUUGGCAUUUUUGACGUCGGAAUCCCGAUCACCCAAAAAAUGGUGUGCAAUAGCACACGAAAAUCGUCAAAAUGAGGCGUAUGCUCGCUCCGGGGCUCGUUUGACCUUCCAAACGGCCCAGAAAACCCGUGAUGGCCAACCGUAUGCAUAGACAACGUCUUGACGGACGUCCACGAACAAAUUUGGCAUUUUUGACGUCGGAAUCCUGAUCACCCAAAAAAUGGUGUGCAAUAGCACACGAAAAUCGUCAAAAUGAGGCGUAUGCUCGCUCCGGGGCUCGUUUGACCUUCCAAAUGGCCCAGAAAACCCGUGAUGGCCAACCGUAUGCAUAGACAACGUCUUGACGGACGUCCACGAACAAAUUUGGCAUUUUUGACGUCGGAAUCCCGAUCACCCAAAAAAUGGUGUGCAAUAGCACACGAAAAUCGUCAAAAUGAGGCGUAUGCUCGCUCCGGGGCUCGUUUGACCUUCCAAACGGCCCAGAAAACCCGUGAUGGCCAACCGUAUGCAUAGACAACGUCUUGACGGACGUCCACGAACAAAUUUGGCAUUUUUGACGUCGGAAUCCCGAUCACCCAAAAAAUGGUGUGCAAUAGCACACGAAAAUCGUCAAAAUGAGGCGUAUGCUCGCUCCGGGGCUCGUUUGACCUUCCAAAUGGCCCAGAAAACCCGUGAUGGCCAACCGUAUGCAUAGACAACGUCUUGACGGACGUCCACGAACAAAUUUGGCAUUUUUGACGUCGGAAUCCGAUCACCCAAAAAAUGGUGUGCAAUAGCACACGAAAAUCGUCAAAAUGAGGCGUAUGCUCGCUCCGGGGCUCGUUUGACCUUCCAAACGGCCCAGAAAACCCGUGAUGGCCAACCGUAUGCAUAGACAACGUCUUGACGGACGUCCACGAACAAAUUUGGCAUUUUUGACGUCGGAAUCCUGAUCACCCAAAAAAUGGUGUGCAAUAGCACACGAAAAUCGUCAAAAUGAGGCGUAUGCUCGCUCCGGGGCUCGUUUGACCUUCCAAAUGGCCCAGAAAACCCGUGAUGGCCAACCGUAUGCAUAGACAACGUCUUGACGGACGUCCACGAACAAAUUUGGCAUUUUUGACGUCGGAAUCCUGAUCACCCAAAAAAUGGUGUGCAAUAGCACACGAAAAUCGUCAAAAUGAGGCGUAUGCUCGCUCCGGGGCUCGUUUGACCUUCCAAACGCCCAGAAAACCCGUGAUGGCCAACCGUAUGCAUAGACAACGUCUUGACGGACGUCCACGAACAAAUUUGGCAUUUUUGACGUCGGAAUCCUGAUCACCCAAAAAAUGGUGUGCAAUAGCACACGAAAAUCGUCAAAAUGAGGCGUAUGCUCGCUCCGGGGCUCGUUUGACCUUCCAAAUGGCCCAGAAAACCCGUGAUGGCCAACCGUAUGCAUAGACAACGUCUUGACGGACGUCCACGAACAAAUUUGGCAUUUUUGACGUCGGAAUCCCGAUCACCCAAAAAAUGGUGUGCAAUAGCACACGAAAAUCGUCAAAAUGAGGCGUAUGCUCGCUCCGGGGCUCGUUUGACCUUCCAAACGGCCCAGAAAACCCGUGAUGGCCAACCGUAUGCAUAGACAACGUCUUGACGGACGUCCACGAACAAAUUUGGCAUUUUUGACGUCGGAAUCCUGAUCACCCAAAAAAUGGUGUGCAAUAGCACACGAAAAUCGUCAAAAUGAGGCGUAUGCUCGCUCCGGGGCUCGUUUGACCUUCCAAAUGGCCCAGAAAACCCGUGAUGGCCAACCGUAUGCAUAGACAACGUCUUGACGGACGUCCACGAACAAAUUUGGCAUUUUUGACGUCGGAAUCCCGAUCACCCAAAAAAUGGUGUGCAAUAGCACACGAAAAUCGUCAAAAUGAGGCGUAUGCUCGCUCCGGGGCUCGUUUGACCUUCCAAAUGGCCCAGAAAACCCGUGAUGGCCAACCGUAUGCAUAGACAACGUCUUGACGGACGUCCACGAACAAAUUUGGCAUUUUUGACGUCGGAAUCCCGAUCACCCAAAAAAUGGUGUGCAAUAGCACACGAAAAUCGUCAAAAUGAGGCGUAUGCUCGCUCCGGGGCUCGUUUGACCUUCCAAAUGGCCCAGAAAACCCGUGAUGGCCAACCGUAUGCAUAGACAACGUCUUGACGGACGUCCACGAACAAAUUUGGCAUUUUUGACGUCGGAAUCCCGAUCACCCAAAAAAUGGUGUGCAAUAGCACACGAAAAUCGUCAAAAUGAGGCGUAUGCUCGCUCCGGGGCUCGUUUGACCUUCCAAAUGGCCCAGAAAACCCGUGAUGGCCAACCGUAUGCAUAGACAACGUCUUGACGGACGUCCACGAACAAAUUUGGCAUUUUUGACGUCGGAAUCCUGAUCACCCAAAAAAUGGUGUGCAAUAGCACACGAAAAUCGUCAAAAUGAGGCGUAUGCUCGCUCCGGGGCUCGUUUGACCUUCCAAAUGGCCCAGAAAACCCGUGAUGGCCAACCGUAUGCAUAGACAACGUCUUGACGGACGUCCACGAACAAAUUUGGCAUUUUUGACGUCGGAAUCCCGAUCACCCAAAAAAUGGUGUGCAAUAGCACACGAAAAUCGUCAAAAUGAGGCGUAUGCUCGCUCCGGGGCUCGUUUGACCUUCCAAAUGGCCCAGAAAACCCGUGAUGGCCAACCGUAUGCAUAGACAACGUCUUGACGGACGUCCACGAACAAAUUUGGCAUUUUUGACGUCGGAAUCCCGAUCACCCAAAAAAUGGUGUGCAAUAGCACACGAAAAUCGUCAAAAUGAGGCGUAUGCUCGCUCCGGGGCUCGUUUGACCUUCCAAAUGGCCCAGAAAACCCGUGAUGGCCAACCGUAUGCAUAGACAACGUCUUGACGGACGUCCACGAACAAAUUUGGCAUUUUUGACGUCGGAAUCCUGAUCACCCAAAAAAUGGUGUGCAAUAGCACACGAAAAUCGUCAAAAUGAGGCGUAUGCUCGCUCCGGGGCUCGUUUGACCUUCCAAAUGGCCCAGAAAACCCGUGAUGGCCAACCGUAUGCAUAGACAACGUCUUGACGGACGUCCACGAACAAAUUUGGCAUUUUUGACGUCGGAAUCCCGAUCACCCAAAAAAUGGUGUGCAAUAGCACACGAAAAUCGUCAAAAUGAGGCGUAUGCUCGCUCCGGGGCUCGUUUGACCUUCCAAAUGGCCCAGAAAACCCGUGAUGGCCAACCGUAUGCAUAGACAACGUCUUGACGGACGUCCACGAACAAAUUUGGCAUUUUUGACGUCGGAAUCCCGAUCACCCAAAAAAUGGUGUGCAAUAGCACACGAAAAUCGUCAAAAUGAGGCGUAUGCUCGCUCCGGGGCUCGUUUGACCUUCCAAAUGGCCCAGAAAACCCGUGAUGGCCAACCGUAUGCAUAGACAACGUCUUGACGGACGUCCACGAACAAAUUUGGCAUUUUUGACGUCGGAAUCCCGAUCACCCAAAAAAUGGUGUGCAAUAGCACACGAAAAUCGUCAAAAUGAGGCGUAUGCUCGCUCCGGGGCUCGUUUGACCUUCCAAACGGCCCAGAAAACCCGUGAUGGCCAACCGUAUGCAUAGACAACGUCUUGACGGACGUCCACGAACAAAUUUGGCAUUUUUGACGUCGGAAUCCUGAUCACCCAAAAAAUGGUGUGCAAUAGCACACGAAAAUCGUCAAAAUGAGGCGUAUGCUCGCUCCGGGGCUCGUUUGACCUUCCAAAUGGCCCAGAAAACCCGUGAUGGCCAACCGUAUGCAUAGACAACGUCUUGACGGACGUCCACGAACAAAUUUGGCAUUUUUGACGUCGGAAUCCCGAUCACCCAAAAAAUGGUGUGCAAUAGCACACGAAAAUCGUCAAAAUGAGGCGUAUGCUCGCUCCGGGGCUCGUUUGACCUUCCAAACGGCCCAGAAAACCCGUGAUGGCCAACCGUAUGCAUAGACAACGUCUUGACGGACGUCCACGAACAAAUUUGGCAUUUUUGACGUCGGAAUCCUGAUCACCCAAAAAAUGGUGUGCAAUAGCACACGAAAAUCGUCAAAAUGAGGCGUAUGCUCGCUCCGGGGCUCGUUUGACCUUCCAAACGGCCCAGAAAACCCGUGAUGGCCAACCGUAUGCAUAGACAACGUCUUGACGGACGUCCACGAACAAAUUUGGCAUUUUUGACGUCGGAAUCCCGAUCACCCAAAAAAUGGUGUGCAAUAGCACACGAAAAUCGUCAAAAUGAGGCGUAUGCUCGCUCCGGGGCUCGUUUGACCUUCCAAAUGGCCCAGAAAACCCGUGAUGGCCAACCGUAUGCAUAGACAACGUCUUGACGGACGUCCACGAACAAAUUUGGCAUUUUUGACGUCGGAAUCCCGAUCACCCAAAAAAUGGUGUGCAAUAGCACACGAAAAUCGUCAAAAUGAGGCGUAUGCUCGCUCCGGGGCUCGUUUGACCUUCCAAAUGGCCCAGAAAACCCGUGAUGGCCAACCGUAUGCAUAGACAACGUCUUGACGGACGUCCACGAACAAAUUUGGCAUUUUUGACGUCGGAAUCCUGAUCACCCAAAAAAUGGUGUGCAAUAGCACACGAAAAUCGUCAAAAUGAGGCGUAUGCUCGCUCCGGGGCUCGUUUGACCUUCCAAAUGGCCCAGAAAACCCGUGAUGGCCAACCGUAUGCAUAGACAACGUCUUGACGGACGUCCACGAACAAAUUUGGCAUUUUUGACGUCGGAAUCCCGAUCACCCAAAAAAUGGUGUGCAAUAGCACACGAAAAUCGUCAAAAUGAGGCGUAUGCUCGCUCCGGGGCUCGUUUGACCUUCCAAACGGCCCAGAAAACCCGUGAUGGCCAACCGUAUGCAUAGACAACGUCUUGACGGACGUCCACGAACAAAUUUGGCAUUUUUGACGUCGGAAUCCUGAUCACCCAAAAAUGGUGUGCAAUAGCACACGAAAAUCGUCAAAAUGAGGCGUAUGCUCGCUCCGGGGCUCGUUUGACCUUCCAAAUGGCCCAGAAAACCCGUGAUGGCCAACCGUAUGCAUAGACAACGUCUUGACGGACGUCCACGAACAAAUUUGGCAUUUUUGACGUCGGAAUCCCGAUCACCCAAAAAAUGGUGUGCAAUAGCACACGAAAAUCGUCAAAAUGAGGCGUAUGCUCGCUCCGGGGCUCGUUUGACCUUCCAAACGGCCCAACUAUGAUAUACUCACUGGAUGGGUAAUAGGACGGUGGAAGUGGGUCUGAUGGAUUGAGAGGUGUUGAAAAAAGGAUUCCUUGAUAGGCUCUAAAAACCCAAGUCUUUAACAUAAAUUAUAAUGUAAUGACAAAUGAACUACGAAUUGUCUAUUCAUACUAUAAAAACAAUUGAGGUGGAUGUAACAACCCUCAAAACGAACUAGGUUAAAAUAGAGCCUCUCAUGUGCUUAAAGAGUUAAAAUGAAUAACGUGUCUCCUUAGAAUUCGUAAAUUGUGAAAAACUAAACCAUAUUAAAUAGCUGACCACGUAGAUCUAGAAAAAAUAUGCAGAAAAAAAAAAUCGCGUGAAACGGAUAUUGGAGGCAAAAGUUUCAAUCAUUUGAAGUUUGACCCAAUUAAAGAGUGAAACUCAAAAAAAGUUAGUUGUAAAUUUUUUUGUCCUUUUGUUUGCAUCUUUUUUUUCUCCCUUUUUUAGCAUUUUUUUGCUUAUUUUAUUUUGUCAAAUUUUUUUAUGCGAGUUUUUUUUUGCAUCCCUGUUUUUUGGCGUUUUUUUUGGUAAUUUUUUUAUCCGGUUUUUUUUUGUGUUUUUUUAUAUCUGGGUUUUUUAUUUUUUGCGUAGCUUUGUUUUUUUUGGUAAAUUAUUUUUAUUCGUUUUUUUUGUUUUUUUUUCCGGCGGUUUUUUUUUAAUUUUGGUAAAUGUUUUUUAUUCGGGUUUUUUUAGCGUUCUCUUCAAUUUUGUGUGAAAAAUCCACAUUGGAUCACCACUAACAUGUCUGUUCCAACACUGUUCCACAGUUGAUAAAAAUGUUUCAUUCUCAGUCCAGCAAUUGAGGAAUUUGAAAUAUUUAAUCACUGGUAUCUGAUUAUUACACAUUUCCAUAAAUAAAGGAGAGUGAUAUGAUCCAACUGAAGGAAGAUGAGUGAUAGUACUUUGAGGCAUCCUAUCAAGCCAUUUGUCAUUAACCAUACCCCUAUCUAACCUUUUCCAAAUUCUAGCACCAUCCUUCCUGUGGUUACACCAUUUAUAAUGCUGACCAUUAUACCCCAUAUCAACUAAGCCACAGGCCUCAAUAAUACUAAUAAAUUCAAGACUCUUAUUCAUAUUGUAUUCUCUACCCCCAAGUUUUUCUUGAGUAGAGGAGAUAACAUUAAAGUCUCCAAUAGUUCACCAAGUCUCCAAUAGGGUUUAGGGUUUAGGGUUUAGGGUUUAGGGUUUAGGAUUUAGGGUUUAGGGUUUGGGGUUUGGGGUUUGGGGUUUGGGGUUUGGUGUUUGGGGUUUCGGGUUCGGGGUUCGGGGUUUGGGGUUUGGGGUUUGGGGUUUGGGGUUCGGGGGUUGGGGUUUCGGGGUUCGGGGUUUGGGGUUUGGGGUUUGGGGUUUGGGGUUUGGGGUUUGGGGUUUGGGGUUUGGGGUUUGGGGUUUGGGGUUUGGGGUUUAGGGUUUAGGGUUUAGGGUUUAGGGUUUAGGGUUUUUUUUUUUGGUAAACGACCCUUUGAGUGGGUCAGGGGCUUAGCAACACCCCCAGGCCUUAACAUAUAUAUGAACAAAAUUUUACAAGAAGGGGGGAAUUGACCUUACCUUCUAAAAUUUGGUAGGUAUGUAAUUGACUUAUCUACUAAGAUAGUCAAUUACACCCUUAUACAAUAAGAUGCACAAUUAGAAAGUAAUACCUAGAGAGGACUCCUCUCUUAAUACAUUUUCUAAUAAGCAUAAAUGAGGGAGACUCUCCCCUUACAUGGAUAAUGAAAUUAAUAAACCUAUUCUACCAACUAAAACAGUCAAUGAAUAAGUUUAAUGACAUUAGAAUUACAACUUAAGUAUAGAAAUUGUAUCUAGGGAGGAUGUUUUAUUCUCUUGAGUUUCCUUCUUCUAAAAUUCUGGAUACCCAUCUUCUCCAAUAUAUAACUUCCUCUAAUUGCUCCCUUGAGUUGUGUUGUUGUAUAAAAAUGUUGAAGUAUUUCCAGCUUGUGGCUCCAUUUAGCUAGCAUGUCUGCAGUACAGUUUGCUUCUCUGUAUAUGUGAUGACACUGAAAAUGAUCCAAUUUCCUAACUAUUUGUUGAAUUUGCUGGAUAGUUUCUUCAUAUCUCCAUGGUAUCUUGAUUGUAUUAUUGAUCCAAUUGCACAGCAGCUCUGAAUCCACUUCUAACUCAAUGUUUUUGUAGCCAUGUUGUUCACUCCAGUCCAGCCCAUAUAGUGCAGCCUUGAUCUCUGCAAUAUUAUUAGUACCAAGACCUAGAGGUAAAGAAAAAGCAUAAACUAUUUUACCUUGAUGAUUUCUUAGUAUUCCACCUCCUCCAAUCUUACCUGAAUUCUGUAGGGCACUCCCAUCUGUGUUUAAUUUGUAAAUACCUAAGUCUGGCUUAUUCCAGCUUACCAUUACAAUUUUAUAUUGCUGUUGACAAUGCUCUAUUAUAUUCAUCAGAUUAUUCCAACUAGAUUGCCAUGGUAUAAUAGGAAAUACAGUUUUAAUAAUAUGCAUAACAUCCUUGAAUAUUCCAUACUGAACUCUAUGUAUGCUGGAACUUUUCUUCCCAUAUUUGACUGUACACCUGUUUUUCCAAAGAUUCCAACAAAUAAUAUUAGGUAUAAUAUGGAUGAAUAAUUUAUAUACCUCAUUAGUAGCUUGCUGAUUCCUCCAGUGUAGUAAUUGAUCUCUUAAAGUAGUAUUAACUGGCACUACUCCAACUGUGGAUGCAUGAAACUUCCAUAUGUAUUUAGCAAAGUUGCCAUUAAUCAAUAUGUGAUUAAUGUCAUCUUUGCCUUUACUGUGACAACAAUAACAAUCUGAAAUAUCUUUUCCAAAUUUCUGCAAAAUUUCAUUAGUAGGUAACUUACCUUUUAAAGCUCUCCAAAUAAAGAAGGAUAUUUUAAAAGGUAAGUGUUUAUGCCAUAUUAAGUUAUUAAUAGGGUCUAUAUGUCUCUUCUUUCUAAUACACUCCCAUGCAGAUGCAAUAGUAAAGUUACCAGAUUCAGUAGGCAUCCAACUUGCAGUAUCCUUUUUCCCAUCUUUAUAAUUGAAAUUAGUUUGCAAAAUCUUGGGUAUCAACAAAGAUGGAACAUGCUGUCUAAGUAAACUUUCAUUCCAUUUACCAUCCUUUAAGAAAUCAGCUACAACACUGUUGUUAAUACUAGAAAUAUGAUCACAAUGAUAGGCAAUAGAUUCAUUAUCUAACCAGUUAUCCCACCAAAAGCUGCUAUUACCUGAAUGAAUAUGCCAUUUAAUGAGAGAUUCCACCUUAGUUCUAUUUCUAGUAAGAUAUCUCCAGACUAUAGAAUCACCAGUGUCAUAUUUUUUGGCCACAGGAUUGGCUCUUUGACAAUACUUGGCUUUUAUAAAAAGACUCCACAAAGAGUUUUUGGUUCUAAAAUUCCACCACUGCUUAUAUUGAAAAGCAGUACAUAUAUCUUCAAGCCUUCUCACUCCAAUGCCUCCUUCCAUAAUAGGAUAAGCCAUAUUCUCCCAUGAAGACCAAUGGUAUUUCUUACCAUCUUUAUCUAUACCCCAAAAGAAAUCAGCCAUUACCUUUUUAAUACUAUUUAAAGUAGUUUUGGGAGGUGAAAUAGCAGCAAGUGUAUGAAUUGGAAUGGAUUGCAAUACAUGCUUCACUAAGGUAGUUUUGCCUCCAAAAUUUAACAUUUUUGAAUGCCAACCUGCAAUUUUUUUUAUCACCUUAUCAAUCAUCUCACAGUAAUAUAUAAUCCUUUGCCUACCAAUAUACAAAGGACAUCCAAGAUAAUUGAUAGGGCUGUAUUUUCUACUAAAACCAGUAGCCCUUUUGAUUUCCUCUAUGGUAUCUUGACUAGUAUUAGAGGUUACCAUAAAGAAACUUUUGAGUUUAUUUACUUUCUGAUCAGACACUUCUUCAUAUUCUUCAAUAGUCUUCAUAAUGAGAUUAAGAGAGUUACUAUCAGUAGAGGUAAAAAUAAUUAUAUCAUCAGCAAAGCUAAGAUGGUUAAUUUGGGGACCAUUGUUUUCCAUAUAAAAUCCUCUGUACAACUUAUUUUGGUAUAGAAGACUAAGCUGUCUUGAAAGAACUUCAGCACCUAAAAUAAAUAAUGCUGGAGACAAUGGAUCACCUUGUUUAAGUCCUCUCUUAGAAUGAAAAAAUCCAUGUCUCUUCCCAUUAAUGACUAUAGAGUACCAAUUAUUACUCAUAAUCCUCCACACUCUAUCAAUAAACAAUUCACUAAAUCCCAUUUUUCUUAACACAAUGCAAGUAUAAUUCCAUGAAACUCUAUCAUAUGCUUUCUCCAUGUCCAGUUUAAUGACUACAUUACUACCUUCUCUUGGUUUCUUAAUCCCAUGAAUAAUUUCCUGAGCCAACAAAAUGUUCUCAGAAAUGUUCCUUCCUUUGACAAAACCUGAUUGAGUUUCUGAAACAAUACAAGGUAAAAUGGAUGCCAAUCUAGUGCUCAUAAUCUUAGAGAUGAUUUUAUUGGAAAAAUUACUAAGGCUUAUAGGUCUGAACUCCUUAAUUUUACAGGGAUGGUCUACUUUAGGCAGUAAUAUGAGACAAGAGUGAGUCAUAUAUUUUGGCAUAGGGUUACCACUAUAAAAGUACUUAACAGCAGCCAACAGAUCAUUUUUUAUAAUACCAAAGCAACUUUGGUAAAAUUUUCCUCCAAAACCAUCCGGACCAGGUGCAGAAUUAGGAUUCAUACUCAUUAUGAUCUUUCUCAACUCAUCUUCAUUAGGCAGCCUAUCUAACUUCUUAUUUUGUUCUUGAGUGAUUGAAGUAUUGAUACACUGAAGAGUUUCUUCCUUAAUUUUCUCAUUCUUACCAGUAAAAAUCUCCUCAUAAUAAUCACAAGCAUGUCUGGCAAUCUGUUCUUCUCCAUUAAUCCAGUUCCCACUGUCAUCCAUCAACUUAUGAAUAGCCAUUCUAUUUCUUUUACCUCUAAUCAAAGCAUGAAAAUAUUUGGUGUUUGCAUCACCCUCUUUUAGCCAAUGUAACUUAGUUUUCUGCUGGAGAACAUUAUAUUCAACCUUCAAAAAUUUAAUAUAAUUAGCAUUCACAGCAUUCAACUUUUCUCUAUUUUCAACACAAUUAUUGAGGACCAUAUCAUUUUCAGCUUGUUUUACCAGCUCCUCAUAGUGUUUUACCCUUUCAAAAACAUCACCAUAUUCCUGUUUUGACCAAUUUCUCAAGGUAUUAGUUAAUCUCCUCAAUUUUGUAUGUAAAAUCCACAUAGGAUUUCCAGUGGCAGCUCUAUUCCAACAUUGUUCCACAGUUGAUAAAAAAGAAUCAUUUUCAGUCCAACAAUUCAGAAAUCUAAAAUAUUUAAUAAUGUUGGAUUGAAUAUCACCAAUUUCCAUUAAUAAAGGACUAUGAUCAGAUCCAAUUGAAGGAAGAUGAGUAAUACUAGAAUGAGGCAUUAUGUCAAUCCAUUUAUCAUUAGUCAUACCUCUAUCCAAUCUUUUCCAAAUUCUUGCACCAUCCCUCCUAUGAUUACACCAUGUAUAAUUUUGACCAUAAUAACCCAUGUCUACUAAUCCACAAGCCUCAAUAAUACUAAUAAAUUCCAAACUCUUGUUUAUGUUAUAAUCUCUACCACCCAGUUUCUCACUAGUAGAAGUUAUAACAUUAAAAUCCCCUAAUACACACCAAGGAUUCAUACUUUCAGAUCUCUUUAGCAUAACAUCCCAAAGAGGUUUUCUCAACUGAUCCUUACACUUAGCAUAAACAUAAGUCAUGUUGAAUUUCUCCCUGCAAGUUUCAUGUCUAACCUCACAAGUCACCUGUUGUUGAUCACUUUCCAGGAUAUCACAAGUAAUUUCAUUAGACCAAAAAAGCCAAAUUUUGUUAUUAGAAUUACUAUAACUAUGAUCCAUGAGUAAUUGAAGUCUGUAAGCAUCUAUAUGAUCAUAACUGGAAAAAGGUUCUAAAAUAGCCAUCAUAGAAAUAUUAUGAAGUUUUUUGAGAUUAAUCAGCCUCUCAAGAGCACCAAAAGUAUUGAUACUCCUAACAUUCCAACAUAAAAACUUAAUCAUUAAAUUCCUCUACUUCUAGCUCUAGUAUUAGGUUUACUAGUACUAGUAAGUUUAUUUUGCUUCACAAGCUUUCUUCCUCUAGGUGAUAGACCCUGUUUGCCAGUUACAUCUCUAAUUUCAUCUACAUUAGAAGGCUGUAACAUAGGAUCUUUUUGAAUUUGGUCAGAAGUGUUAAGUUCCUCUCCUGGUUCUAUACCCUCUCCUAAAGAUUGAGUAUCCACAUCAUACUCAUCUUCAGAAUCAGGCUCCCUAUACUCAUCAAAAUUACUUUGAUGAUCAGUAGGGACAUUACCAGAAGUAGAAGGAUUUUUAUUAUUAUUUUUUAAAUUAGUCUGUAGAAGAGGAUUAUGAAUAUUUUUAUCAGGGGGUUCUUUUGCAACAUUGCUACAUUCCCCAUAUUCAAAAACUUUAUCUUUGCCUUUAUCAAAUCUAGUAUGUUGAGACCUAUUAUCCACCUGACCUCUUCCAACCUCACCUCCAUCAGCUACUCCAAUAUUGUCACUACAAAGGGCUGCAGGGGAGGGGAGCAUUGAGUCAAUACCUGAUUUAUUAAUAUUUGCUUGAUGAUAAACCACUUGUUGAGUAUUAGUGGCCUGACUUUCCAACCUUGGUUGUUUAUUUCUUUUUUCCUGCUGUACAUGAGCUCUUUCUGAAUAUGCAUUACUUUGUUCAUGCACUUGAUCAUUGUGUUGCUCCAUUACUUCUCCAGCAGGUGUUAGUUCCUGUGAUUCAAGAUCAAUAUAGGUGUUUUUAGUAGGGAUAUUAAUUAUACCUGCUUGAAAUUGCUAUGCUUGGUGAACAGUCUUUUCAUUGUUGAAUCUAACUUGUUGAUUGUUAUUCUUUCUUCUUUGUGUUUGCCAUGUAUCUUGCAUACCAUGCUGCUGAGUUUCAUCACCUUGCUGUCUUGGUUGAUUGUAAUCUGGCUCAUUUCUACCAGUUUCCUUGUUCUGAUCAAUCUGUAAUUCUGCAUGGACAGUUUGAGCAAUGUCUUUCCUAUUCUUGUUUUUAUCUAACUCUUUUCUUUUUUUAUUUUCCUCAUCCCUUUGUUUUAUAAUACAGUCAGACUCCUUGUGACCUUGAUGUUUGCAAUAAAAACAGUAAUUUGGAAUACUAUCAUACUCAAUCUUUUGCCACCUCCCAUCAGUAAUAUCUUCACCUAUAUACCCCAUCCAAAUGUGAGGGGGUCUGUCCUUUGUUAAGUCCACUUGCACUUUAACUCUAGCUUGACUCCCUCUUGUUUUAUUAAUAGAGGCAGAAUCAAGAUACAAAACUCUACCUAUGGGUGAAAGAAGACUAGUAAUGAAUUGUUUAUUGUAACAAUGCCAUGGCAAUUCAGGCAAUGAAAUCCAUAUUGGAACUAGGGGUGUUUCUUCCUCAGGUGUAAAAUUAGGUGUCCAGGCUUGGAUUCUCAUUACUUGACCUGCUAUAGUCAUUCUUUGUUUAGUCCAUACCAUAUUAUAGUCUAAUUCAUUAUCAAGAUCAAUGUAGACAUGUCUUGAAUUAAAGUGAGCUAUUUUAACUUCCCCAGACAAUUGAGUUUGUAAUAUAAAAUUUUUCCUAAUUAACUCAAUUCUAGGCAUGGUAUAGAUGAAUUUUCCUAUCAAAGUGAAUUUACAGGUAGCAGCUAGGUUUUUAACUACUUCUACCUUAACAUAUAACACAGCUGGGAGUCCUUGCUUAGUAGUAAUCUCAGGUUCAGUAAGCUUAAUGCUCUCCCCUUUCUUGGAUUGAUUAUAUCUAAGUCUAUCAGCAUAUGUUUGAAUGACAGUAUAAGGGGCAGGUUCAGGUAUUUGGUCCUUCUUAUUGAAAGUGUUAGUUUCUGAAGAAGGAUCAUGAUUUGCAUUCUUAGUUCGAGGUAAAGGUCUAUCAAAAUUACUAGACACUUUAGGAAAAUUUUGUUGAUAAUCAAGAUUUCUAACAGAAUCAAUGUUAAUUCUAUCAGUAAUAUUCACCAAGCUAUCAUUCUUGGAGUUGAAAUUGGUAGAAACUAGAUUACCUUGCCCAUUAUUAGCUCUAACAAGAAUUUCAGAAGAAGGCAUACCAGAUUGACGAAUUUGAUAAGGAUGAACAGCAUCCUUAGAAGCAAGAAUUCGUGUAGUCCUUGGAUUUUGUUGUUCCAUAUCUUUUUCUUUAUUGAAAUUGAAAUUUCUUUGUUGAUUUGUAACAGAUCGAUUCACCUGUUGAUGUUGACCAUCACUAAAUUGUUGUUCCCUUCCUUGCGAAUCGAUCUUCUCACCUCCCAGUCGUAAAUCAACUAAUCUAUCAUCUUUUGCUCCACCAAUCUGUUGAAUAUGUGAAUCGCGACCUAGAUUGUGCGAUUCUUGUCGAUUAUCAUACGAAUGAACUGGUGUUGAGCUCGAUUUUGCCGCCGCUGCUUGCGAUGCAAUUUUUCCAUCGCCCAUCUGUUCUUCACCACUUUCAAUUGCGCCUUCUUUACGAUUAAGAUUGUAAUCUUUUUCAGUGUUGUGACGCGAAGCAUUAAUGUCAGCCUCUAUCGUCGCUACCUGGAUCGCUUCUUCCUUCCUUUGCGACGAGGAAGACGAUGCAGAAUCCGUCACUUCGUGGAUUUGCGAAUGAAUUGUUGGAUUUCCAGUUUCUAUCGGAGGAUCUGGUGGCUUAACACGCUCAUCCACUGGAUUUCCAUCCAUUACAACUCACAAUUUUCCAGGAAAUUAGCUGAUUAACUAAUUCUUACGACGAACACCUUGCAAAAUUUUUAGAGAGAGAAAAUUUCCGUGAAAUGAGAAAGCGAUAGGGUUUAGGGUUUAGGGUUUAGGGUUUAGGGUUUAGGGUUUAGGGUUUAGGGUUUAGGGUUUGGGUUUAGGGUUUAGGUUUAGGGUUUAGGGUUUAGGGUUUAGGGUUUAGGGUUUGGGGUUUGGGGUUUAGGGUUUGGGGUUUGGGGUUUAGGGUUUAGGGUUUAGGGUUUAGGGUUUGGGGUUUGGGGUUUGGGGUUUGGGUUUGGGGUUUAGGGUUUAGGGUUUAGGGUUUGGGGUUUGGGGUUUGGGGUUUGGGUUUGGGUUUGGGGUUUGGGGUUUGGGGUUUAGGGUUUAGGGUUUGGGGUUUGGGGUUUGGGGUUUGGGGUUUAGGGGUUUUUUUUUUUUGAACGACCCUUGAGGUGGGUCAGGGGCUUAGCAACACCCCCAAGCUUUACCAUUGAACAAAUUCAAAAUUACAAGAAGGGGGACAUGUACCUUACCUUCUAUGAUAUGAUAGGUAUAAGCUGAUUUAUCUACUAAGAUGAAUCACUUAACCUUUUCAAUUAGAUGCACUCUAUAUAAAACCUAAUACUAAAAUGCUUAAAUGAGGGAGACUCUCCCUUUACAUGAAUAAAGAAAAGUCUAAUAAAUUUGAAUUACAUCAAAAAUUAUUAAUGUAAAGUAUUAAUUGAUACAACAAAUGUUUAAUGACUUUGUAGAAUCUAAGGAGGAUGUUUAAUUCUCUUUGUCUUCCUUCUUCUGAAAUUGUAUGUUCACAUCUUGUCCAAUAUAUAGCUUCCUCGGAUUGGUCCAUUGAGUUGUUGAGUUGUAUAAAAAUGUUGUAUAAUAUCCAUUUGGUGACUCCCUUUUGAUAAUAAGUCUGCAGUGGCAUUAGCUUCUCUAUAUACAUGAAUGCAUUCAAAGUGAUCCAAUUUUUUGCUAAUGGCUUGAAUUUGCUGUAUUGAAUGUUGACAUCUCCAUGGAAUGGCUAUUGUAUUGCUUAUCCAUUUGCAUAGUAUUUCAGAAUCUACUUCCAAUACAAUGCUUCUAUAACCAUGCUCUGCACACCAAUUUAAUCCAUAUCUUGCAGCCUCUAUCUCUGCAAUAUUGUUAGUACCUAAACCCAAAGGUAUUGAAAAUGCAUAAUGAAUGUUACCUUUGUGAUCCCUUAAUAUACCUCCUCCUCCAAUCUUUCCAGUACUUGAAAUUGCACUCCCAUCUGUAUUAAGUUUAUAAUGGCCAUUGUGUGGUUUUUUCCAGUUAACCAUGAUCACCUUUAGCUGCUGUUGACAUUGUUCAACUAGGUUGAUCAAGCUGUACCAGCUAUGUUGCCAUGGUAUACUUGGAAAGGCUAUUUUAAUGGUAUACAUAAUAUCUUUAAAAAUUCCAUAUUGAACUCUAUGGAUACUUGAUUUCUUGUCACCAUAUUUCACAGCACACCUGUUUUUCCACAAAUGCCAACAAAUAAGAUUAGGUAAAACAGAAAUAAGAAAUUUAUGUACCUGAUUUAGAGAAGGCAGUGUCCUCCAAUAAAUUAACAGACUUCUCAAAUCUGUAGUAGUUUGUAUGGCCCCAAUAGUAGAUGAAUAGUAUCUCCAUAUAUGUUUAGCAAAGUUGCCAGUGAUUAAUAUAUGGUUGAUGUCAUCAUUGCCCUUUCUAUAACAGCAGUAACACUCAGUUGCAGUUCUUCCAAACUUCUGUAAAAUCUCAUUUGUUGGAAGCUUGCCUCUCAAAGCUCUCCAAAUAAAGAAACUUAUCUUGAAAGGGAUAUUUUUAUGCCAAACACUGUUAUUGAUGAUAUCUAUAGGCUUCUUCUUUCUAAUAAGUUCCCAAGCUGAAGCAAUAGAAAAUCUGCCAUUGUCUGCAGGUGUCCAAAUAGCUUGAUCAUCUAUAUCAAUAUCAUACUUAAACUGAGCUUGCAGAAUCUGAGGUACCAAAAUUGGAGGAACCUUUUGCCUAACAUAUCUCUCAUUCCAUAUACCAUUGUCAAGGAAUUUAGAAAUUGGGAUGUUAUUAAGGCUAGAUAUAUUAAUACAAAGAUUAGCUAGAGCAUCAUUUCCUAACCAAUUAUCCCACCAAAAGCUGCAUGAACCAGAAGUAAUAUUCCAUUUAAUACGAGCUUCCACAGCCUGUCUAUUUCUAGUGAAGUAUCUCCAAACCAAAGAGUCUCCAGUGUCAUAUUUCUUAGCCACAGGGUUGGAUCUUUUGCAGUACUUAGCUCUAAGAAAAUUACUCCACAAAGAAGUUUUAGUCCUAAACUCCCACCAGUGUUUAUACUGAAAAGCUACACAUACAUCAUCAAGAUUUCUUACUCCAAUACCACCUUCUUUAGUAGGAUAAGCUAAUGUUUCCCAAGAUGCCCAAUGGUAUUUUUUGCCAUCUCUAUCAAUACCCCAAAAGAAUUCAGCAAUAACCUUUUGAAUCUGUUUGAGAAUAGUUUUAGGAGGAGAUACAGCAGCUAAAAUGUGUAUUGGAAUAGACUGUAAUACAUGUUUUAUUAAAGUAACUUUGCCUCCAAAGUUUAAUAUUUUUGCUUGCCAUCCACCAAUCCUUUUGAUAAUUUUUUCCACCAUACCAGAGAAAUAUAUAAUUCUUUGUCCUCCAAUGUAUAAAGGACACCCAAGAUAAUUAAUAGGACUGUAUUGAAUACCAAAACCAGUUUCAUAUCUUAUAGUCUCAAUAAUAUCCUGAUUAGUGUUAGUAGUAACCAUAAAGAAACUCUUAUCUUUAUUUACCCUUUGAUCAGAAACCAAUUCAUAUUCUCUAAUAGUUUUCAUAAUAAUCUGUAGAGACAACCUAUCAGUAGAUGUAAAAAUGAUAAUAUCAUCAGCAAAAGAUAGAUGGUUAAUUUUAGGGCCUUUCCUAUCCAUUUGAAAACCAAUGUAUUCAGGAUUAUUAUAUAGAGAAUUAAGCUUUCUAGAGAAAACCUCAGCACCCAAAAUAAAUAAUGCUGGGGAUAAAGGAUCACCUUGCUUUAAACCUCUAGUAGAAUGAAAGAACCCAUGUCUUUUACCAUUAAUAACUAUAGAGUACCAGUUGUUACUCAUAAUUCUCCAGAUUCUGUCAAUAAACACUUCUCCAAAACCCAUUUUUCUUAACACCAAACAAGUAUAAGUCCAAGAAACCCUGUCAUAAGCCUUAACCAUAUCAAGCUUAAUAACCACAUUCUUCCCUUCUUUAGGUAACUUUAUUCCAUGAAUCACUUCCUGAGCCAACAUAACAUUUUCAGAAAUACUCCUUCCCUUUACAAAUCCUGACUGAUUUUCUGAAACAAUGAGAGGUAAUAUAGGAGCCAAUCUAGUACUAAUAAUCUUAGAAAUAAUCUUAUUAGUAAAAUUACUAAGACUAAUAGGCCUAAAAUCUUUUAAUUUAGAAGGGUGUUCAACUUUAGGAAGAAGGAUUAAACAAGCAUGAGUCAUAUACUUAGGCAUUUCAUACCCAUUAAAGAAAGCUUGAACAGCAGCUAAGAGGUCAUCUUUAAUUAUAUCAAAGCAACAUUGGAAAAAUUUACCCCCUAUACCAUCAGGUCCAGGUGCAGAAUGAGGAUUCAUAUUCAUCACCACCUUCCUCAGUUCUUCCUCAGUAGGCAUUCUCUCCAAAAUAGAAUUAUGUUCCUUAGUAAUCAACUUAGGAAUACAAUUAAGACUGACCUCAUUAAUUCUAUCAGAACUUCCAUUGAAAAGAUCUUUAUAAUAAUCACAGGUUGUUCUAGCAAUGUGAUCCUCUCCUUGGAUCCAUCCACCCUUUUCAUCCAUAAUUUUGUGAAUAAACAUUCUCUUCCUUUUUCCUCUAAUAACAGCAUGAAAAUAUUUGGAAUUAGCAUCACCUUCCUUUAACCAAUGUAACUGAGUCUUUUGUUGAAGAAUGGCAUGCUCCAAUUUCAAAUAUUUAAUAUAAUGAGCAUUAAUAGCAUACAACUUCUCUCUAUUUUCCUUACUAUUAUCCCUGAUAUAAUUACCUUCAGCCUCUUUAACCCCUUCUUCAUAUUGCUUAACUUUCUCAAAAAUAUCACCAUAUUCUUUUUUUGACCAGUCUCUUAAGGUGUUAGUUAAUCUUUUCAUCUUAGUGUGUAAAAUCCACAUAGGAUUGCCAAUAACAGUCUUAUUCCAACACCUUUCAACAGUCUGUAAAAAGGUGUCAUUCUCAGUCCAACAAUUGAGAAAUUUGAAAUACUUAAUCACAGUCUCCUUGUUGUCAAUUACUUCCAUUAAUAAAGGGCAAUGAUCAGACCCCACAGAAGGCAAAUGAGUAAUGAUAGUAGAUGGCAUCUUAUCCAGCCAUUUAUCAUUAACCAGGCCUCUAUCUAACCUCUUCCAAAUCCUAGAACCAUCUUUCCUAUGGUUACACCAUGUAUAUGGUUGACCACUAUACCCCAUAUCCAACAGACCACAAGAAUCAAUAACAUUAAUAAACUCAAGGCUUUUGUUAAUAUUAUACUCUCUGCCUCCAAGUUUUUCCUGAGUUGAAGAAAUCACAUUAAAAUCCCCUAAAAUACACCAAGGAUGCAAAGUGGUGGACCAUCUUAGCAUACUAUCCCAAAGAGGCUUCCUCAAAUAGUCUUUACACUUUGCAUAGACAUAAGUCAUAAGAAAUUUAUCACUAUAUCCUUCAUAAGUAAUUUCACAAGUAACCUGUUGUUGAUCACUCUCUAAAAUGUUACAAGUUACUUCAGUAGACCAAAAUAACCAAAUUUUAUUGUUUGGAUUAUAAUGCCCCUGAUUCAUUAAAAGCUGCAGUCUAUAAAAAUCCAGUUGAGAAGGAUUAGUAAAAGGCUCUAAGAUUGCAAUCAUAGCCAACUUAUGAAUUUUCCUAAGAUUAAUAAGUCUUUGAAGAACACCAAAUGUGUUAAUGCUUCUAGCAUUCCAACAGAGAACUUUAAUCAUCAAAAACCUCUACUUCUAGCUCUUGUAUUAGGUUUACUAAUGCUGGUAUUCUUAUUUGGCUUUAAUACCUUCCUACCUCUAGGAGAUAGACCUUGUUUACCAAUGACAUCCCUAAUUUCAUCCAUAUUAGAGUUAUCUAGUAAAAGGUCUUUUUGAACUUGAUGAUCAGUACCUCUCUCUUCCCCAGGUUCAAUACCUUCCACUAAGGAUUGAGUAUCACCAUCAUACUCAUCCUCAGAAUCUGGUUCCUUAUAUUCAUCAAGGAUAUCUCCUUGGGAAUUAUUAGGAUCAUUGAUAGGAUUAGAAAUAUUACAAGUACCAGUCUUAUUACUAGGCUGUAAGGGAUUAUAAGUAUUAGUUUUAUCAGGGGGUACUUUAUCUUGUAAGGGAUCCUGUUCACCAAUUUUACCUUUUCCUUUAUCUAUCCUAGAUACAUUAGUUCUUAUUGUCUCCUGACCACUUCCAACCACACCUCCAACAGCUACACCAGCAUUAUCAACAGCUAUACCAGUAGAAAUAGUAAAGGGUGCAGGGGAGGGGAGCAAAGAGUCAAUACCUGGUCUGGUGAUUGAUACAUGUUGAUCACUAGUUUGUUUAUGUCUAGUCACUUGAGAAUCCUUCAGUUGUUGUUUAUUCCUGUGAAUUCUUUGCUCAUUGGAGUCAGUAAUAUGGAUAGAGUCCUGAGAUGGCCUGUUUAGGGAAAUAGACUGUUGCCUAUGUUCUGGACCUUUGUGUGCCUCCAUUUCUUUGUCAUCAUUUAUGAAUUCCUGCACUUCCAAGUCAAUAUAAGUAUUUCUAGUAGGAAGAGGGACAAUACCUGUUUGAGUCUGCACUUGCUGAGUUAGAACUUUGUCUGCAUUGAAUCUAACUUGAUGAGACUGAUUCCUUCUCUUUUGUGUAUGCCAUUCCUCUUGUAUCACCUGUGUUUGAGUUACUUGAGUUUGUUGCCUUUGUUGGAUAUGAUCCAACUCCCUUCUACCAGUUUCCACCUCCUUAUGACUCUGAGUAUUUUCCUGAUUAUGAUAACCAGUGUCUUGUUUGUCUUUGUUUUUUUCCAAUUCUUUUUUCCUUUUGUUUUCAACAUCCUUUUUCUUUAUAAUGCAAACAGAUUCCUGAUGACCUUGAUGCUUACAAUAGAAACAAUAGUCAGGGAUAUUGUCAUAUUCUAUUUGUUGCCAUCUCCCAUCUGUAAUGUCCUCACCAAUGUACCCCAUCCAAAUAUGUGAAGGUCUAUCCCUAGUUAAAUCUACUUGAACCUUAACUCUAGCUUGGCUACCUCUUGUUUUGUUAAUAGAAGCUGAAUCUAAGUAUAAAACUCUACCAAUUGGGGAUAACAGGCUGGUAAUAAACUCCUUGUUAUAGCAGUGCCAAGGUAAUUCAGGUAAAGAUAUCCAUAUGGGAACUAAGGGAGUUUCUUCAUCAGGCUUGAAAUUAGGAGUCCAAGCCUGGAUUCUCAUGAUUUGACCAGCAAUAGUCAUUCUCUGUUUUGUCCACACCAUAUUAUAAUCCAAUUCAUUGUCCAAAUCUAUAUAAACAUGCCUAGAAUUAAAGUGUGCAAUUUUUACCCCCCCUGAUAGUUGAGUUUGGAGGAUGAAGUUCUUUCUAAUAAGCUCAAUUUUAGGCAUAGUAUAGAUGAAUUUUCCAAUUAAUGUAAAUUUGCAAGUUGAAGCCAAUUCCUUCACUAUUUCAUUCUUAACAUACAGUACAGCUGGUAAACCUUGCUUGGUAGUAAUCUCAGGCUCACUCAAAGUAAUACUUGCACCUUUUUUGGAUUGAUUAAAGCGAAGUCUAUCUGCAUAGGUUUGAACUACUGUGUAUGGAGCAGGUUCUUGUUGUUGAUCAUUCUUAGGCAAUUUCUCAACAUUGUCUAUGGGAGUAUCAGUCUUAUCCAACCUAUUACGAUUACUAGGCCUAUCAAAAUUACUAGAAAUCUUAGGAAAUUCAGUUUGAUACACCUGAGUUCUAGCAGUAUUCCUUCUACCAUUAUCUUGCAAAUUUACAUCAGAAUUGGAAUUAGGAUUAGUAAUAGGGACAUUACCUUGAUUUUGUCUUUGUUGACUAGGAAUAUCAGAUGAAUUAUCAGUUAUGUGAUGAAUUGCAAUUCUCGAACCUGGAGUUCUUGUAGUAGUAUUGAAGGAUUGAUGUUGGUGAUGAGGAAUGUCUUGGUCCUUAUUCAGAUCGAGUUGUCGAUGUUGAGAUUGUAUAGAUGAAUCAAGAUGAGGACCCUCGCGAUUCCCUUGGUGUGGAACAUCACCUGUAUCUUGAAUGUUCAUCUGCGAUUUCCCCUGUUGACCUUCAUAUCGCGAUUCUACCAAACCCUCAUUGCGCGACUCGAUUCGAUCCUUCGUCGUAAUACUCUUUUGGUGAAUAUGUGAAUCAAUCAUAGGGGAGAUUACUCCAGUAUCUAAAUCUUGACGAUUAACUUCUAAUUGAACUUGUACUGGAUGCGAUUGCGCUGCAUUUGGCACCUGAGAAUCGUUUCGACCUAAUCCCACUCGUACAUCGAUCCUUGAUGUUCCUCCAGUCGAUUCACUCGUAUUUCGCUUGUUUUCAGUAGUGCGACGAAUUUCAUCCAUCUCCGCUUCUAUCGUAGCCAUUUGGAUCGCUUCUUCUCGCAAAUGUGACGAAGUAGAAGACGAUCCAUCCGCCGCUUCAUUGAUUUGUGACUGCGCAUUAGGGUUUUCCGCCUCUACCAAUGGAUCCGGUGGGCGGAAUCGUGCAUCAGGUGGAUUAACAAUCAUUCCAACACGAUUACCUAAUCAAAUGCUCCGAUUAUCAGCGACGAACACCAGAUUUCGUGAAAAUUUCUAGAGAGAGAAAAAAAUUUUAGAGAGAGAAAAUUUUAGAGAGAGAAAAAAUUUGAGAAAUGAAAAAGCGAUAGGGUUUAGGGUUUGGGGUUUGGGGUUUGGGGUUUUGGGGUUUGGGGUUUGGGGUUUGGGGUUUGGGGUUUGGGGUUUAGGGUUUAGGGUUUAGGGUUUAGGGUUUGGGGUUGGGGUUUGGGGUUUAGGGUUUAGGGUUUAGGGUUUUUUUUAUUAAAUUGACCCUUGUAGUGGGUCAGGGGCUUAGCAACACCCCCAGGCCUUAACAUAUAUCAAAAACAAAGUAUUACAAGAAGGGGGGCAUUUACCUUACCUUCUACUAUUUGGUAGGAAUGUAAUUGACUCAUCUACUAAGAUAGUCAAUUCAUCCUUAUACAAUAAGAUGCAAAAUUAGAAAAAGAAAACUAGAGAGGACUCCUCUCUUAAUACAUUUUCUAAAAGCAUAAAUGAGGGAGACUCUCCCCUUACAUGGAUAAUGAAAAUAGUAAACCUAUUCUAUCAACUAUUCUAUUAUAAAACAGUCAAUGGAAAAGCUUAAUGACAUUUGUAUUCCUAUAAAAUUGUAAUAAGAGAAUUUUUAAGGAGGAUGUUUUAUUCUCUUGAGUUUCCUUCUUCUAAAGUUUUGGAUACCCAUCUUCUCCAAUAUAUAGCUUCCACGAAUUGCUCCCUUGAGUUGUCUUGUGGUAUAAAAAUGUUGAAGAGUUUCCAGAUUGUGGCUCCACUUUGACAGCAUGUCUGCAGUACCAUUGGCUUCUCGAUAUACAUGCCUGCACUCAAAGUGAUCCAAUUUUCUACCUAUGUCUUGAAUUUGUUGUAUUGUGUGUUGAUAUCUCCAUGGAAUUGAUAUUGUAUUGCUUAUCCAUUUACACAGAAUUUCAGAAUCUACCUCUAAUAUAAUGUUUCUAUAACCAUGUUGUUCACACCAAUGCAAUCCAUAUCUUGCAGCCUCAAUCUCUGCAAUGUUAUUAGUGCCUAAUCCAAAUGGUAUUGAAAAUGCAUAAUGUAAAUUACCUUUGUGAUCCCUUAAUAUGCCUCCUCCUCCAAUCUUUCCAGAAUUUGGGAGUGCACUUCCAUCAGUAUUAAGUUUGUAGAUACCUUCUUGUGGUUUGUUCCAGCUAACCAUUAUCACACUUAGUUGUUGUUGACAUUGUUCAACAAAUUUGAUUAAACUGUACCAGCUAUGUUGCCAUGGAAUAUUUGGAUGAGAUACUUGAAUGGUCUGCAUAACAUCUUUAAAGAUGCCAUAUUGAACUCUAUGGAUACUUGAUUUCUUAUCACCAUAUUUCACAACACAUCUAUUUUUCCACAAAUGCCAACAAAUAAUAUUAGGUAAAACAGAAGUAACUAAUUUAUAUACCUGAUUUAGAGAGGGUAGAUUCUUCCAAUAUAAUAACAAGCUUCUCAAAUCAUUAGUUGUUUGUAUUGCUCCAAUUGUAUCAGUAUAGUAUUUCCAUAUAUAUUUAGCAAAGUUGCCAGUGAUCAAUAUAUGUUGAAUAUCAUCAGUGCCCUUUUUAUAACAGCAAUAAUACUCUACAGCAACUUCCCCAAACUUUUGUAUUGUUUCAUUUGUUGGAAGUUUACCUCUCAAGGCUCUCCAAAUAAAGAAGGCUAUUUUGAAAGGUAUUUGUUUAUGCCACACACUGUUAUUAAUGAUAUCUUUAGGCUUCUUCUUUCUAAUGAUCUCCCAAGCUGAAGCAAUAGUGAAUUGGCCAUUAUCUGUAGGAGUCCAAAUAGCCUGAUCAUCUAUGUCUAUUUUAUACUUGAAAUGAGUUUGCAUUACCUGAGGUACCAAUACUGGUGGAACAUGUUGCCUAAUUUGCCUUUCAUUCCACAUACCAUUAAUAAGAAAAUCAGCAACAAUUUUGUUAUUAAGGCUGGAAACAUUAAUACAAAGAUUAGCUAGGCUAUCAUUUCCUAACCAAUUAUCCCACCAAAAGCUAUAAGAACCAGACUUAAUAUUCCAUCUAAUAUAAGAUUCCACAUCCUGUCUAUUUCUAGUGAAAUAUCUCCAAACCAAAGAGUCUCCAGUAUCAUACUUUUUAGACACAGGAUUGGCUCUUUUGCAGUAUUUAGCUUUAAGGAAUUUGCUCCAUAAGGAAUUUUUAGUCCUAAACUCCCACCAAUGUUUAUAUUGGAAAGCUGUGCAUAUAUCAUGAAGACUUCUUACACCAAUACCACCUUCACUAGUUGGAUAAGCUAGAGUUUCCCAAGAUGCCCAAUGGUAUUUUUUGCCAUCUUUAUCAAUACCCCAAAAGAAAUCAGCAAUCACUUUAUGAAUGUGUUUGAGAAUAGUUUUAGGAGGAGAUACAGCAGCUAAUAUAUGUAUUGGAAUAGACUGCAAUACAUGUUUCACUAAAAUAACUUUGCCUCCAAAAUUUAAGAUUUUAGUUUGCCAUCCAGCUAUUUUCUUUAUAAUCUUUUCCACAAUAUUAGAGAAAUAGAUAAUCUUUUGACACCCAAUGUAUAAAGGACAACCAAGAUAAGUAAUAGGGUUGUGCUGUAUACAAAAACCAGUUUCAUUUUUUAUAUUAUCUAUAAUAUCUUGAUUAGUUUUAUCAGUAACCAUAAAGAAACUCUUAUCUUUAUUUACCCUUUGAUUAGAAGUCAAUUCAUAUUUCCUAAUAGUAUUCAUUAUAAUCUGUAAAGAAAGUCUAUCAGUAGAUGUAAAAAUGAUAAUAUCAUCAGCAAAAGACAGAUGAUUAAUCUGAGGCCCUUUGCUAUCCAUCUGGAAACCAAUAUAAUCAGGAUUAUUAUAAAGAGAAUUAAGUUGUCUAGAAAAAACCUCAGCACCUAAGAUAAAUAGUGCUGGGGAUAAAGGGUCACCUUGCUUUAAACCUCUAGUAGAAUGAAAGAAUCCAUGUCUUUUACCAUUAAUCACCACUGAAUACCAAUUGUUGCUCAUAAUUCUCCAGAUUCUGUCAAUAAACACUUCUCCAAAACCCAUUUUUCUUAGCACUAAACAGGUAUAAGUCCAAGAGACCCUAUCAUAAGCUUUGAUCAUAUCAAGCUUAAUAACCACAUUCUUUCCUUCCUUAGGUAGCUUUAUACCAUGAAUAACUUCCUGAGCUAGCAUAAUAUUUUCAGAAAUACUUCUUCCCUUCACAAAUCCUGACUGAUUUUCUGAAACAAGGAAGGGUAAUAUAGGAGCCAAUCUAGUACUAAUAAUCUUAGAAAUAAUCUUAUUAGUAAAAUUACUAAGACUAAUAGGCCUAAAGUCUUUAAGUUUGGAAGGGUGAUCAAUUUUAGGUAGAAGGAUUAGGCAUGAGUGAGUCAUAUACUUAGGCAUUUCAUAACCAUUAAAGAAGGCUUGCACUGCAGCUAGAAGGUCAUCUUUAAUUAUAUCAAAACAACAUUGGUAAAAUUUUCCACCAAUGCCAUCAGGUCCAGGUGCAGAAUGGGGAUUCAUAUUCAUCACCACCUUCCUCAAUUCUUACUCAUUAGGUAUUCUCUCCAAAUCAGAAUUCUGUUCUUUGGUAACCAACCUAGGAAUACAAUGAAGAUGCUCCUCAUUAAUUUUAUCAGCACUUCCAUUGAAAAUAUUUUUAUAAUAAUCACAGGUUUCUCUAGCUAUAUGAUCCUCUCCUUGGAUCCAUCCACCCUUCUCAUCCAUAAUUUUGUGGAUAAACAUUCUCUUCUUUUUACCUCUAAUAACAGCAUGGAAGUAUUUAGAAUUAGCAUCACCUUCUUUUAACCAGUGUAACUGAGUUUUUUGUUGAAGAAUGGCAUGUUCCAAUUUCAAAUAUUUAAUAUACUGAGCAUUAAUAGCAUACAACUUCUCUCUGUUUUCCUGACUAUUAUUCAUGAUAUAGUUAUCUUCAGCCUCUUUAACCCCUUAUUCAUAUUGUUUUACCUUUUCAAAAAUACCUCCAUAUUCCUUUUUUGACCAUUCUCUCAAAGUGUUAGUUAAUCUUUUCAUCUUUGUAUGUAAAAUCCACAUAGGGUUACCAACAGCAGUCUUUUUCCAACACCUUUCAACAGUAUGUAAAAAAGUGUCAUUCUCAGUCCAACAAUUGAGAAACUUAAAGUAUUUAAUCACAGUCUCUUUGGUCUCAAUUACUUCCAUCAAUAAGGGGCAAUGAUCAGAUCCCACAGAAGGCAAAUGAGUAAUGUUGGUAGAGGCAUUUUAUCAAGCCAGUUAUCAUUAACCAGGCCUCUAUCUAACCUCUUCCAAAUCCUAGAACCAUCUUUCUAUGAUUACACCAUGUGUAUGUCUGACCACUAUAUCCCAUAUCUAACAGACCACAAGAAGCAAUAACAUCAAUAAAUUCCAGGCUUUUAUUAAUAUUGUACUCUCUACCUCCCAGUUUUUCCUGAGUUGAAGAAAUAACAUUAAAAUUUCCUAAAAUACACCAAGGAUACACUGUUGUAGACCAUCUUAGCAUACUAUCCCAAAGAGGCUUCCUCAAAGAAUCUUUACAUUUUGCAUAAACAUAAGUCAUAAGAAAUUUUUCACUAUAACCCUCAUAACUAAUUUCACAAGUAACCUGUUGUUGAUCACUCUCUAAAAUGUUACAAGUUACCUCAGUAGACCAGAAUAUCCAAAUUUUGUUGUUAGGAUUACAGUACCCCUUAUUCAUUAAAAGCUGUAAUCUAUAAAAUUCCAGUUGAGAUUGAUUAGUAAAAGGCUCUAAAAUUGCAAUCAUAGCAAGAUUAUGAAUUUUUCUGAGAUUAAUAAGUCUUUCCAGAGCACCAAAUGUAUUAAUGCUCCUAGCAUUCCAACAGAUCACCUUAAUCAUCAAAAACCUCUACUUCUAGCUCUAGUAUUAGGUUUACUAAUGCUAGCAUUUUUAUUUUGUUUUAAUAAUUUUCUACCUCUUGGAGAAAGACCCUGUUUACCAGUGACAUCCCUAAUCUCAUCCAUAUUAGAGUUAUCUAGCAAAGGGCCUUUUUGAAUUUGAUGACCAGUACUUAUUUCUCCCCCAGGUUCAAUGCCUUCCACUAAGGAUUGAGUAUCAUCAUACUCAUCCUCUGAGUCAAGUUCCUUAUAUUCAUCAAGGAUCUCACCUUGAGGAUUAUUAGGAUCAUUGACAGGAUUAGAUAUAUUAGUAGUACCAGUCUUAUUACUAAUCUGUAAGGAAUUAUGAGGAUUAGUUUUAUCAGGGGGAAUUUUAUCUUGUAUGGAAUUCUGAUCACUUAGUUUACCUUCGCCUUUAUCUAACCUAGAUAGAUUAGAUUUUAGUGUCUCCUGACCAAUCCCAUCCUCACCUCCAUCAGCUACACCAACAUUAACAACAUCUAUACUAGUAGAAACAUUAAGGGGUGCAGGGGAAAGAGUUAUAGAAUCAAUACCUGUUCUGGUGAUUUUCACUUGUUGAUCACCAGUUUGUUUAUUCUUUUGAUUCUUUUGUUUAUUGCCUUCAGUAAUAGAAGAAGACUGAUGUCUAUUUUCUAGAUCAUUAUGUGCCUCCAUUUCUCUGUCUGCAGUAUUAAAUUCCUGUACCUCCAAAUCAAUAUAAGUGUUUUUAGUAGGAAGAGGGACAAUACCUGUCUGAGUUUGUACCUGUUGAGUUACAACUCUAUUGACAUUGAAUCUAACUUGCUGAGAUUGAUUCCUUCUCUUUUGUAUCUGCCAUUCCUCUUGUAUUGGCUGUUGUUGAUUGUCUUGAGUUUGAUAGCUUUGUUGGAUAUGGUCCAGCUCCCUUAUAUCAGUUUCUACACCCUUAUGACUCUGUAAAUCUUCAUCAUUAUGAUAAACAGUGUCCUGCUUGUCUUUGUUUUUGUUUAAAUCUUUUUUCUUUUUGUUUUCAACAUCCCUUUUUUUUAUAAUACAAACAGAUUCAUUGUGACCUUGAUGCUUACAAUAGAAACAGUAAUCAGGGAUAUUGUCAUACUCAAUUUUUUGCCAUCUUCCAUCUGUAAUGUCCUCACCAAUAUACCCCAUCCAUAUAUGGGAGGGUCUGUCCCUAGUUAAGUCUACUUGAACCUUCACUCUAGCCUGGCUACCUCUUGUUUUGUUAAUAGAAGCUGAGUCUAAAUACAAUACUCUACCAAUUGGGGAUAAAAGACUGGUAAUAAACUCCUUGUUAUAGCAGUGCCAAGGUAAUUCAGGUAGGGAUAUCCAAAUGGGGACUAAGGGAGUCUCUUCAUCAGGCUUGAAACUUGGAGUCCAAGCCUGGAUUCUCAUUAUUUGACCAGCAAUAGUCAUUCUCUGUUUUGUCCACACCAUAUUAUAAUCCAAUUCAUUAUCCAAAUCUAUAUAGACAUGUCUAGAGUUAAAGUGAGCAAUUUUAACCCCCCCAGAUAGUUGAGUUUGAAGGAUAAAAUUCUUUCUAAUAAGCUCUAAUUUAGGCAUUGUAUAGAUGAAUUUUCCAAUCAAUGUAAACUUACAGGUUGAAGCCAAUUCUUUAACAAUUUCCUCCUUAACAUAAAGGACAGCUGGUAAACCUUGCUUGGUGGUAAUCUCAGGCUCACUCAAAGUAAUACUCACACCCUUUUUGGAUUGAUUGAAUCGAAGUCUAUCUGCAUAGGUUUGAACUACAGUGUAUGGGGCUGGCUCUUGAAUUUGAUCUUUCCUAUUCAAUUUAUCAGCAUUGUCUAGGGGAGGAUCAGUCUUAUCAAUUUUAUUUCGAUUGUUAGGCCUAUCAAAAUUACUAGAAAUCUUAGGAAACUCUGUUUGAUAAACCUGAGUUCUAGCAGUAUCCAAAUUCCUUCUUCCAUUAUCUUGUACAUUAAUAUCAAAAUUUGGAUUAGUAUUAGGAAGAUUACCUUGAUUUUUCCUUUGUUGAAUAGGAAAUUCAGUUGAAUUAUCAGGUAGAAUAUUGAUUGCAACCCUCGAGCUUGGAGUUCUUGUAAUGAUAUUCGAUGAUUGAUGCUGAUGUGUAGGAAUUCCUUGUUCACUUGUUCAAAUUAAGAUUUCGAUGUUGCGAUUGUAUAGAUGAAGAAUCAAGAUGAUGACCAUCGCGAUUACCUUGUUUUUGCACAUCGACCGUACCCUGUUCUUGAGUAUUCAUCUGCGAUUUUCCCAAGUGACCUUCCUGUAUCGAUCUUACCAGAUCUUCAUUGUGCAACUCGAUUCGAUCCCUUGUAACAUUCCCCCUUUGUUGAAUAAGUGAAUCGAUAGUAGGCGAAACUUCCCCAGUAUCUAAUUCUUGAAGAUUACUCGUUAAUUGACCUUUAGGAGAUUGCGAUUGUGCCGCCUUUGGUGCCUGAGAAUCGCUUCGAUCCCCUCCCACUCGUACAUCGAUCCUUGAUGUUCCUCCCAUCAUUUAACUCGUAUUUCGAUUUUUUGCAGUAGUGCGACGAAGUUCAUCCAUCUCCGCUUCAACUGUAGCCAUUUGGAUCGCUUCUUCUCGCAAAUGUGAAGAAGUAGAAGACGAUCCAUCCGCCGCUUCAUUGAUUUGUGACUGCGCUUCCACCCCUAUCAAUGGAUCCGGUGGACGGAAUCGAGCAUCUGGUGGAUUACCAGUCAUUCCAACAACGAUUUGUUAAUCAAAAUCUCCAAUUAACAGCGAUGAAUAACCAGAUUCGUGAAAAAUUUCUAGAGAGAGAAAAAAAUUUUAGAGAGAGAAAAUUUUUAAAGAGAGAAAAAAUUUGAGAAAUGGAAAAGCGAUAGGGUUUAGGGUUUAGGGUUUUUUUUUAGGGUUUAGGGUUUAGGGUUUAGGGUUUAGGGUUUAGGGUUUGGGGUUUGGGGUUUGGGGUUUGGGGUUUGGGGUUUGGGGUUUGGGGUUUGGGGUUAUGGGUUUGGGGUUAUGGGUUUGGGGUUUAGGGUUUAGGGUUUAGGGUUUGGGUUUGGGGUUUGGGGUUUGGGGUUUGGGGUUUGGGUUUGGGUUUGGGGUUUGGGGUUUGGGGUUUGGGGUUUGGGGUUUGGGGUUUAGGGUUUAGGGUUUAGGGUUUUUUUUUUAGUUGAAUAACCCUUGGAGGGGUAGGGGCUGAGCGACACCCCUAGGCCUUAUCAUUAAUACCAAAAAGCAAAAUACAAGGAGGGGGGCAUAAACCUAACCUCCAAUCCUAAGUGGUUUGGAGUCAACUCUCCUAAUGAAUGUUAACUCCUCCCCUUACAUAAAAAGAUGAAACCUAAAUACUAAGCACCUAAGGAGAGGACUCCUCUCGUUACAAAGCAUCUAGGGAACAUAAAUUAGGGAGACUCUCCCUUUUACAAGAAAGCCUAUGUUAAUCUAAUCCUAUACCCCUAUUCAAAGUAGCUAUAUCACUUGAACAUAGCCAAGUUGAAUAGGAAAAUCAAGGCGGAUCAAAAAUUUUCUUAGUCUUCUUUCUUCUAAAGCUCGGCAUGUUCCGAAGGUCCAUUUGAUAGUAGGCUUGAGCUUCUCUAGGUAGUUGAGUGCUGCUGAAGUAAACCUGCGGGGCCGGUAUGUUGUGACUGUGUUUUGACAAUGCGUCUGCAACCCAAUUUGCUUCUCUGAAAAUAUGAGUACACUUGAAAUUUUGAGUCUGCAUGAUAAGAUGUUGGAUUCUCUCGAUUUGAUUAAUAACACUCCAAUGCGGUACUUCUUUCCUGGUGAUCCACUUCACUACCAACUGUGCAUCUAACUCAAUUAGUAUAUUUCUGUGUCCCAAUUCCAGUGCCCAUGACAAACCAAAAAGAACAGCCUCGGCUUCCGCUAUGUUGUUGGUGCCUUCUCCUAGAGGUGUUGCAAAUGCCAUUACCAUUUUGCCUUCCUUGUCUCUAAGUAUACCUCCCGCCCCGGUUUGUCCCGGAUUAGUAAGAGCGCUUCCAUCUGUGUUUAUUUUAAUCCACUGUUCCGAAGGUCUGUUCCAAGUUACCAUGCUUACUUUGAUUUCAUGUUUGCAAUUUUCAGCUUUUUGGACUAGCGCUGCCCAGUUUCCUGGCCAAUUAAUGUGUGGGAAUGCCAUCUUCAACAUCUUGAAAGUAUCCUUGUAGACUGCGUAUUUGACACGGCUAAUGUUGGUUGAUUUGCCUCCAUAUUUGCAUGCGCAUCUGUUUUUCCAUAGAUUCCAAACAAUAAGAACAGGCGUGGCUUGCAGCAGCAGCUGGUGGCCUUCAUUGCGUGGUCUAGCUGUCCACCACUGUCGCAGCUUCGCCUGCAAUGGAGCUUGAUCUGCCUGCAGCCCUGCUCCUGCUGUAAAGGACUUCCACACGCCAGCUGCAAAAGGUCCAGAGUUGAAGGUAUGGUCGAUGGUGUCCAUGCCUGCUCUAUCAAAACAACAAAAACAAGGUGAUGGCUCAAUGCCAAAGUUAGUAAGCUUUUCAUUUGUAGGAAGUUUGCCUUUUAACAUUCUCCAUACAAGAAAUGAAGAUUUAAACGGGAUGAAAUUAUGCCAUAAUAAAGAAUUGAAUUUAUUCCGAGGCUUCUUGUGCCUGAUUUCCUCCCAAGCCGUGGAGCAAUUGAAUUUGCCAUCGCUGCUAAGUUUCCAAAUGGCUUGGUCCUGCUUGUGCUGCUGUUGGGGAACUGCAGUAGCCAUGAUGCUACUCAAUUGACUGGCUAGAGCAUGUUUUACCAAUUUCCUCCAAUUCCAUCCUCCAUUGUCCCAAAAAUCAGCAACUUUGAUGUUGCUAAACCUGCUGCACCUGCUGUUAUGGUGGGAUAAUGGCCCUGUUCCCAACCAAUUAUCCCACCAAAAGGAACAUUCUCCGGCUUGAAGUCUCCAAUGAAUGUGUUGUUCCAUUUUUUGCCUAAUAAAAAGCAUGUGUUUCCAGGUUAAGGAUUCUCCCGUAUCCCAUUUUUUGCUCACCGGAUGGGAUCUUUGGCAAUAUUUCGCUUUCAAAAAUUCUCCCCACAAAGUUUGCUUGGUUCUAAAUGUCCACCAUUGUUUGAAUUGGAAAGCUCUACAAACAUCAUGUAGGUUUCUCAUCCCUAUUCCAUCCUCCUCAUAUGGAUAACUUAAAUUUUUCCAAGAGGACCAAUGAUAUUUUUUUUUAUUGUUAUGCCAUCCCCAAAAGAAAUCUCCAAUGAUCAUUUGGAUCUGUCGAAUGAUAGACUUUGGUGGAGUUACAUCGGAUAAAAGAUGUAUAGGCAAAGCUUGGAGAACAUGUUUAGCCAACACUGCCCUUCCACCAUAGCUAAGUUGCUUCGUUUGCCAACCUGUAAUUCUGGAGACAACUUUAUUAAUAAGAUCUGAGAAAUAAACAUUUUUAGGUCUGCCAACAAAUAAAGGGCAGCCUAGAUAGGUGAUAGGGCCUUGUUUCUCUUUAAAACCUGUCAGCCUUUUAAUCCUCUCCUUAGUGUUAUUGAAUGCACUAGGGUGAAGCAUAAAGAGGCUUUUAUCCCCAUUGAUAAUUUGCCCCGAGAUCUUUUCAUACUCCUUUAGAGUAUUCAUAAGGAGUUUCAGGGUUUUGGUUCUUCCCGAAGUGAAUAAAUAAUGUCAUCUGCAAAACUGAGAUGAUUCACCUGGGGCCCCCUUUUUUCCAUAGUGAAACCCUGAUAAUCAGGAUGCAUGUGAAGCCUAUUAAGAGAUCUCGACAACACCUCGGCACCUAAAAUAAAUAAGGCCAGGGAUAGUGGAUCACCCUGUUUGAGGCCUCUACUAGAUCGGAAGAAGCCAUACCUGUUGCCAUUGACAAUAAUGGAGUACCAAUUAUUAGCCAUGAUUCUCCAAAUCAUGUCAAUAAACACCUCACUGAAACCAAAUUUUCGUAGAACCAGACAUAUAUAUGACCAAGAGACCCUGUCAUAAGCUUUUGCCAUAUCUAGUUUGAUAACUACAUUACUUCCAAUAUUGGGUUUUUUGAUUUGAUGAAUGAUUUCCUGGGCAAGCAUGAUGUUUUCAGAAAUAUUUCUCCCCUUUACAAAGCCAGAUUGGUUGGUAGAGAUCAAGAACGGAAGGAUAGGGCUAAGUCUCUUACUUACUAGUUUAGAUAUAAUCUUACUAGUGAAGUUGCUCAGACUUAUCGGCCUAUACUCCGUAAGUUUGUUUGGAUUGUUCACUUUGGGGAGCAACACAAUGCAAGAAUGAGAGAAGUACUUAGGGAUCAUUUGUCCACUGAAAAAAGCAUGAAGUACUUCCAUCAAAUCUCUCUUGAUAAUGUUCCAGCACUUCUGAAAGAAGUACCCGUUCAUACCAUCAGGACCAGCUGCAGAAUUAGGAUUCAUGGAAAAUACAACUUCUUUAAGCUCAUCCAUAUCCGGUAGUGCUGUAAGCUGAUUGUUUUGGUCCUCAUUGACUACCUUUGGGAUGCAAUCCAAGUUGUGAUCAUUAAUAUACGUAUUCUCGCCUGUAAAAAUAGUGUUGAAAUGAUCACAAGCCUCCUUAGCUACAUUGUUUUCACCUUGUAUCCAAACCCCAUUUUCAGUAACAAUUUUAUGAAUGAAAAGUUUCUUUCUCCUUCCUCUUAUAAUAGAGUGAAAAUAUUUGGAGUUGGUGUCACCAUCUUUAAACCAUUGAAGCUGAGUUUUUUGUUUCAAAAUGAUGUCCUCAAUUUUAAGAAACUUGAUAUAUUGAGCAUUGAGUUCAUGGAGGGUCAUCCUAUUUGACUCACUUUGGUUUAGGAUGUAGCUUUCUUCCGCUUCAUGCACUUGGUCCUCAUACAUCCUAACCUUUUGAAAGAUAUCCCCAAAAGCCUCUCUGGACCAAACACUUAGGGUGUUAGAAAGUCUUUUCAUUUUCUGGUGAAACCUCCACAUGGCAUGACCUUCCACAGGUCUAUCCCAACAAUUCUUAACAGUAAGUAAAAAAUUUGGAUUGUCAACCCAACAGUUAAGGAAUUUAAAGUAUUUGAUGUGUUCAGCUUCAGUGGAUACCAUUUCCAUGAGUAAAGGACAAUGAUCUGAACCUGUGGAAGAUAGGUGUGUUAUAGUGGUUUGAGGCAUCUUUUCAAGCCAAGAGUCAUUCACCAAAGCCCUGUCUAGCCUCUUCCAAAUUCUGUGAUUGAUGCCUCUCUUAUUAGACCAUGUAAAUCUGUGACCAUUGAACCCUAUGUCUAUAAGACCACAUGCUUCAGUUACAGCAAUGAAAUCCAUACUCUUUUUCAUAUUGUAGGGUAGGCCACCUAGUUUUUCCUCCACAUUUGAAAUAACAUUGUAGUCCCCUACUGAACACCAAGGAUUAGUACUGGCAUUGGCUUGAUGAAGUAAUUUCUCCCAUAAAGGUCUCCUGAGAUACUCUUUGCACUUUGCAUAAAUAAAGGUAUUAGUAAAUUGAUAUUGUAAUUCAUUGUGUUUAAUGUUACAAGUAAUUUGCUGUUCAUCUUCAUCAAGAAUAUUAUAGUCAAUAUCACUGUUCCAAAAAACCCAAAUCUUACUAUUACAAUUACUAAUAGCGUUAUCCAUGUUCAAUUGCAUUUUGAAGCUCUGAAUAUUAACACUAUCAGAGAAAGGUUCCAGAAUAGCAAUAAUAGACAGAUGGUGCAUCUUUCUAAGCAUUUUGAGUCUUUCCAACACUCCCUGAGUGUUGAUCCCCCUAACAUUCCAUAUUAUUGUACUAAUCAUUGGGAGGAUCUGGAUGAAAAAAGUCUAGUGUUAGGUCUUCCAGCAGUGACAGUUUUGGCAUCUUGCUUAGUGAAGUGGAAUCUGUCUUUUUGGAAACUCCUUGGAGAUAAGCUCUGAUUUUUAGUCAACUGUUGGACCUCAUUCUCCAUUGUCUGAUCAGUAUAAGGACUGAAGGCCCUAAUCAAUGCCUCACUAGUCUCAUCAUUAUCAUCAGAGUCCUGUCUAGAUUGAUUAUCUUCUCCAAGCUCAUCCUCAGAAUUGAUCACUCCAUAUUCAUCCAAACCUUGUUCAGUAUUGAAUCUACAUUGUUGCUGCAUUUUGUACGGGGAGUCUGAUGUGUGAGGAGCCAUGUAAUGCACUUGUAAGGGAGGAAUAUUUAAACCAUGGUUAUCAUCCACCAUCACAAAUUUGUUGCAAGAUUCCUCCCUUACUUCAUGGUCUUGUUCCAUAUCUUUGUCAAGUUGCCUAUUUUGUCUUUUUUUUUCAGCAUCCCUUUUCUGUUUACUAGGUUUAUUCUUACUCUUACGAGAGCUUUCUUUAACCAUAGUAACAUUCUGUUCCACAUGAUCCUUGUCAACCAAAUUUUCAACCUGUUCCUUUGUUGUUUCCUUGGCAGCUUGUUUUUUGAUGUCAUUGUUUUGAGCUUGCUGCUGUGUUUGAUCUCUUUGUGCCUGGUUUUUGUCAACAUUCCUAAUGGCUCUAUGGGCUGUCCUAGGGUCAACCAACCCCUCAUGCAAAACAUGAGGCAAAUUCCCCCCUUUGGAGUCCCCUUCCUGCAAGUUAAUGGCUAUCUCCUGACACCCCCCAUCCAUACCUCCAGCAACUUCAUCAGUAAGACCAUCAUCAACAUUACAGUUAUUGGGGGAUUGGGGUUUGGGAGAGAUAAGUCAAUACCUGUUCUCUUGUUUUUGUUGGUGUCAGCAGUGUGCUGAAUGGACCUGUUGCGUUUACUUGGAUUGUUCUUGUUAGGUUGUACAUUUAAUUGGUUUUUAUCUGAUUGAUUUGCUUGAUCUGCUUCAUCCUUGCUCCCAAUCUGCUCACCCUGCUGCUCCAUCUGUGUUUCCUGCACUGAAUUCUUCUUGUUGUUGCUUUCUCUAUUUUGCAGCUUGGUUGUUUUACCAUUGUUGUGAGUGUCCUUAACAUUUUGUUCAGCACUGCUUAUAUUUGUUCCUUCCCUUGAGUCCUGCUUCCUAGCUUGUUGGUUGUCCUGAUUUUCCUGCAUGUCAAGCUGUGAAAAAUUAUUUUGAAUUGGGAUUUUAGAUAUACCUGCAUUUGCUUGCUCUUGCUGCUUGCUGUCAUUGAAUCCUUGUAUUGUUUGGGUGACUGGCCUCCAAACAGGUUUGGAGCUGUUUUGGUCUUGCUGUUUUUGAUGUUUUUUCUUUUGUGUUUGCCAUUGUUCCUCAUUUUUCUCUCCCUGUUGCCCUUGUGUAGCCUGAUCAUGCAUUUCUGUGUGAUGUUGCUGGCUAUUUUUGUGUGGUUUGGUUUGAUUUAAUUCACUUUCUUGCACUGUGGAUUCCUUCUGGUUCUUUGUUGAUUUGGUGCCAUUUUUUUCAGUAUCUUCCUUUGCAUUAUAUUCUUGUUCCUGAAUGUUUCCAGCUCCCAUUUCUUUAUUGUUUCUGUCUACUUCCAGAUCCUUUUUCCUCUUGAUUUCCUCAUCUCUUCUCUUGAUUGUACAGUCUUCAUUUUUGUGUCCUUGAUGUCUGCAGUAGAAACAGUAGCUAGGGAUACCCUCAUACUCUACUUUCAGCCAUCUUCCUUUGUUGGGAUUGGAAUUUUUAAAUCCCAACCAAACAUGUGCUGGCCUUUCCUUGGUAAGAUCCACUUGGAUUUUCACCCUGGUGGUACUACCUCUUGUUCUUUGGGAUGUAGGUGAGUCUAGGAACAAAACCUUCCCAAUACUUUCCAAGAUAGUAGAUAGAAACACCUUGUUGUAGCAAUGCCAAGGUAAGCCUGGUAUAGACACCCAUAUAGGUACAAUAGGUGUUUCUUCUUCAGGUGUGAAAUCUGGUGUCCAGACUUGUAUUCUCAUUGCUUGGCCUUCAAUAGUCAUUUUCAACUUAGUCCACACUGUUUGGUAAUCAAGUUCAUUAUCUAGGUCAAUGUACACGUGUCUAGAGUUAAAGUGAGUGAUCUUAACUCCCCCCAUCAAUUGGGUUUGAAGGAUAAAACUUUUUCUCACUUGUUCCAUUCUUGGCAUGGUAUUGGUAAACUUUCCAAUAAGAGUAUAUUUGCAGAUUUCAGCCAACUUCACAUAAUAAUCGUUUUCAUCAAUGAGAACAGCAAGGAAACCUUGUUUAGUAGUGUGAAUAGGCUCAUUAAGGCUAAUGGGAGUUUCACUUCUGGCCUCGUUAUAUCUUAGCCUCGCAGCAAAGGAUUGAACUACUGUAUAAGGUGCAGGUUCUGCAUUUUGCUCAGAAAUAUUGUUGUUCUUACUCUGUUGCGCCUGUUGUUGAUUUGGAAGCUGUCUAACAUUGGUUUGAUUGACCUGUCCAUCCUGACUAAUAGUUCUAUCAGUUUGAGGUGUGUGAUCAUACCUUGAAAAAUUGUUGGAAAUCUUUGGGAAGUUAUUAUGGUAAGUCCGCUUAUCCAUUUGUUUACCACCGAUGCCUUCCUUUUGUUUAUUGGUGUGAGUUUCUUGUUCCAUCUGUUUGCCAUUGUUCUUUUGUGAAUGGAUUGAUUUUGUUCCUGUUAGCUUCUUGUUACUCUCCUCCAAUUGUUGUUCCUGCUGGUUUGUAUGUUGCUUAUUUUCCUUGUUUUGAUCCUGUCCAUGUUCAUCUAUGUUUCCAUCCAUCUUGCCAUUGUCUCCUUUGUUGUAUUUCCUUGAUGAAUUAUCUGCACGAAGAUUAGGUGUUAGCUGUGGUGAAGUAUCAGUAGCAACAAGGGGAAAAUUAGAGUUUUUGUUAGUUGAAUUGGUUGAUUGUGUGCUCGUGGCUUCCAUGGUAUUGCCCUGUUGAUCGACCAACUUCUCCCCCUGUUCAGUGUUGAUCUCCUUGUUCUUAGAUUUUGCCUCCAUUGCUGAAGUAUCUUGUGUUGGAUCCUGCUGUGUACCCCUUCGACUACAGCUUGAGUGUUCCCCUGCAUUUUCGAAACUUUGAUGUUGAUCAUCUCGUUUAUGAUCAGCUUGAGAGGAAUUGGUGCUGUUCUUGUCCAUUUCUCGACCCUUUUGAGAAGGUUGGGUUACUACCCCCAUGCUUUGACCAUGAUUGUCCUUUUUUUCCAUUGUGACUCCAUUAGUUCCGACGAUAUCAGGUGCAGGGUCACCGGAAUUUUCGCCGCCGGUGAUUUGACCGUCUAUCUACUUCGAGCUUGGACAUAAAGAUUCCUCUUCCAUUAGAGAACAAACCCCAGUGCUCAAAUUCUUUCGAAAUUGGCUGGAGGGUGGUCGAAAUUUGGGCCGCAGCUCAGGCGAUUCAGUCGCGAUUUCGUCAAAAUUCGCCUCAAUCUCCUGAUCAAUUGGAACGGUAGAUUGAGUUGAUUUUUGGAUUGAUGACAGAUCUUGAUGGGGAGAUUUCACUUCUCUACUUGAUUCCUCUCGAUUCUUCCCAGAAUUUCUUGAGGAAGUGAUUUGGCGACCUUCAACGAGUUGCCUGUCACUAAUCGCAGUUUCCAUCGCAUCUUCCUUCCACGAUUUCAAGGCGCUCUGAGGUAGUACUAGGUGCAUAUUAUUCUGUAAGAUGGAGCUUACACCUGGGCGCUCCUCUUGGUUGUGUUCCGUCGGCCAUGUGACAUCAGCCGCCGUCCCACGCGCCGUAGCGGCGCUGGGAGAUUGUGGUUCGUUUGCCGUUGUGAGAGAGCGUCUGCGAGGAGAGAGAAAUUUUUUGAGAGAGAAAAAAUUCAGGAAAUGGGGCGCGAUGGGGUUUAGGGUUUAGGGUUUUUUUUUUUGGGUUUAGGGUUUAGGGUUUAGGGUUUAGGGUUUGGGGUUUGGGGUUUGGGGUUUGGGGUUUGGGGUUUGGGUUUGGGGUUUAGGGUUUAGGGUUUGGGGUUUAGGGUUUAGGGUUUGGGGUUUAGGGUUUGGGUUUGGGGUUUUUUUUUUAUUUAGUCGACCCUUGGAGUGGGUCAGGGGCUUAGCAUCACCCCCAGGCCUUACCAUUUAUUUUAAAAAAUAUACAAGAAGAAGGGGGGCAUUAUACCUUACCUUCUACUACUUAGGUAGAAUGUAAUUGACUUAUCUACUAAGAUAGUCAAUUCAUCCUUAUACAAAUUGAUGCAUGUCUAUAGAGAUACCUAACGAAAGCAUAAACUAGGGAGACUCUCCCUUUACAUGGAUAAUAGAAAGUAAAUCUAUUCUACUAACUAAAAACUAGUUAAUGAAUACAUUUAAUGUCAUUUAUAAUAUACUACAUUUAUAACUUGUAAUAUAUCUAAGGUGGAUGUUUUAUUCUCUUUAGCUUCCUUCUUCUAAAAUUUUGUGUGCCCAUCUUCUCCAGUAGAUAGCUUCCUUUAAUUGCUCCCUCAAGUUGUCUUGUUGUGUAAAUGUGUUGAACUAAUUCCAGGCCAUGGCUCCAUUUGGAUAACAAGUCUGCAGUGCUGUUUGCUUCCCUGUAGAUGUGGUGACAUUGAAAGUAAUCCAUUUUCCUAAUUAUUUGCUGGAUUUGUUGGACAAGAUCUUCAUAUCUCCAUGGGAUUUGUAUUAUGUUUUUUAUCCAAUUGCAUAGCAGUUCUGAAUCAACUUCUAAUUCCACUCUUUUGUAUCCAUGUUGUUCACACCACUCCAGCCCAUAUAGAGCAGCUUUUAUCUCUGCAAUAUUGUUAGUUCCAAAACCAAAAGGUAUAGAAAAAGCAUAAACUAUUUUACCUUGAUGAUCCCUUAAAAUACCUCCACCUCCAAUCUUGUUUGAGUUCUGUAAAGCACUCCCAUCUGUAUUAAGUUUGUAAUUGCCUAAAUUUGGUUUAUUCCACCUCACCAACACUAUGUUAUAUUGGUGUUUGCAAUGCUCGACUAUGUUAAUUAAUUUGCUCCAACUAGACUGCCAUGGUAUACUUGGAAACUCCAAUUUGAUAACCUGCAUUACAUCCUUAAAUAUGCCAUGUUGUACUCUAUAUAUGUUAGAGCUCUUCUUUCCAUACUUGACAGCACACCUGUUUUUCCACAAAUGCCAACAAAUUAGAUUAGGUAAAGUUUGAACAAUUAUUUUUGUACCUCAUUGUUAGUUUGCUGAUCCUUCCAUUGCAAUAGUUGUGCUCUAAGUGUGGUAUUGACUGUCCUUACUCCAAGUGUUGCAGCAUGUGUUUUCCAUAUAUGUUUAGCAAAGUUGCCAUUAAUCAAAAUGUGAUUAAUGUCAUCCUUGCCUCUAAUAUAGCAACAAUAACACUCAGAUAUAGGUUUGCCAAUUUUCUGCAAAAGUUCAUUAGUAGGCAAUUUACCUUUUAAAGCUCUCCAAAUAAAGAAGGCUAUUUUAAAAGGUAAUUCUUUAUGCCAAAUAAUAGUAUUAAUAAUGUCAAUAUUUCUUUUCUUUCUAAUACACUCCCAUGCAGUAGCUAUAGUAAAUUUGCCAUUUUCAGCAGGAGUCCAUAUUGCAGUGUCAUCUUUUCCAGUAGUAUAAUUGAAUUUUGUCUGCAAAAUUUUAGGUAUUAGUAAAGGUGUCACUUGUUGUCUAAUAAGUAUUUCCUUCCACUUGCCAUCCUUUAUGAAAUCAGCAACCAAACUAUUAUUUAAACUAGAUAUUUGACCACUUUGGCUGGCAAUAGUUCCACUAUCCAACCAAUUAUCCCACCAAAAACUACUAGUACCAGAAUGUAAUUGCCAUUUAAUAAGAGAUUCCACCUUAAUCCUAUUUCUAGUUAAGUAUCUCCAAACCAAGGAAUCUCCAGAAUCAUACUUUUUAGCCACUGGAUUGGCUCUUUGACAGUAUUUAGCUUUUAAAAACUGACUCCAUAAGGAUUUUUUAGUUCUAAACUCCCACCAUUGCUUAUAUUGGAAGGCUGUACAAAUAUCUUCAAGUAAUCUCACUCCAAUACCCCCUUCUUUUGUUGGAUAUGCCAUGUUUUCCCAUGAAGACCAGUGAUAUUUUUUUCCAUCUCUAUCACUUCCCCAAAAGAAAUCAGCAAUAAGCUUUUGAAUACAAUGUAAGGUAGUUUUUGGAGGUGAGAUAGCAGCAAGUGUAUGUAUUGGUAUAGAUUGCAAAACAUGUUUUACCAAAGUAAUUUUACCUCCAAAAUUUAAGAUUUUGGAAUGCCAACCUGCAAUUCUUUUAAUAACCUUUUCAACCAGCUCAGAGUAAUAUAUAAUCCUUUGCCCUCCAAUAUAUAAUGGACACCCAAGAUAAUUGAUAGGGUUGUUCUUCCUAUUAAAACCUGUAGCUAUCCUAAUCUCUUCUAUAAUGUCAUGACUAGUGUUAGAAGAUACCAUAAAGAAACUUUUUUCUUUAUUCACCUGCUGAUCAGAAACUUCUUCAUAUGCCUCAAUAGUUUUCAUAAUAAGAUGAAGGGAAUUACUAUCAGUAGAAGCAAAUAUAAUUAUAUCAUCAGCAAAACUAAGAUGAUUAAUUUUUGGACCAUUUCUUUCCAUCUGAAACCCUUUAUAUUGAUAGUUUUGAUAGAGAAGAUUAAGUUGUUUUGACAGUACUUCAGCCCCCAGAAUAAAUAAUGCUGGAGAUAGAGGAUCACCUUAUUUAAGACCUCUCUUGGAAUGAAAAAAACCAUGCCUCUUUCCAUUUAUUACAAUAGAAUACCAAUUAUUACUCAUAAUCCUCCAAACUCUAUCAAUAAACACUUCACUAAACCCCAUUUUCCUUAAAACCAAACAAGUGUAAGUCCAAGAUACCCUAUCAUAAGCUUUAACCAUGUCUAAUUUAAUUACCACAUUACAGCCUUCUUUUGGUUUUUUAAUACCAUGGAUAAUUUCCUGAGCUAAUAAAAUAUUCUCAGCUAUACUCCUCCCUUUAAAAAAACCUGAUUGAUUUUCAGAAAUAACACCAGGUAAUAUGGAAGCCAGUCUAGUACUAAGUAUUUUAGAUAUGAUUUUAUUAACAAAAUUACUAAGGCUAAUAGGUCUGAAAUCCUUAAGUCUGCAAGGAUGAUCAAUUUUGAGGAGUAAUAUUAGACAAGCAUGUGUCAUAUAUCUAGGCAUACUAUUACCAAUAUAGAAAUGAUUAACAGCAUCCAAGAGAUCUUUUUUGAUAAUAUCAAAACAUACUUGAUAAAAUUUUCCUCCAAAACCAUCAGGACCAGGUGCUGAAUGAGGAUUCAUACUCAUAAUAAUCCUUCUCAAUUCAUCCAUAUCAGGUAGUCUAUCUAAACCAUCAUUUUGUUCCUGAGUAAUCAUAGGAUUAAUACACUGCAGUAUAUCUUCCUUAAUUUUCUCAUUUUUACCAGUAAAAAUCUCCUCAUAAUAAUCACAUGCCUUUUUAGCAAUAUCUUCUUCCCCUAUUAUCCAGUUUCCACUGUCAUCCUUCAACUUAUGAAUUGCCAUUCUAUUUCUUUUACCUCUAAUCACAGCAUGAAAAUAUUUAGUGUUAGCAUCACCCUCUUGUAACCAAUGUAACUGAGUUUUCUGCUGAAGAAUCUUAUAUUCCAACUUUAAGUACUUAAUAUACUUAGCAUUCAUAGCAUUAAGCUUCUCUCCAUUUUCAAUACUAUAAUUACUAAUCAUAUCAUUUUCAGCCUUAUUCACCAAUUCCUCAUACUGUUUAACCUUUUCAAAUACAUCACCAUAAACCUGUUUUGACCACUCUCUCAAAGUCUUUGUUAACCUUUUUAAUUUUGUAUGAAACUUCCAUAUAGGGUUACCAAUUACAUCUAUUUUCCAACAAUUUUCUACAGUUUUGAGGAAAGAAUCAUUCUCAGUCCAACAGUUCAGAAAUUUAAAAUAUUUAAUGGUAUUAGAUUGAAUAUCACAUAUUUCCAUCAAUAAUGGGCAGUGAUCAGACCCUACAGAAGGAAGAUGAGUAAUAUUUGAGUGAGGCAUUGUUUCAAUCCACUUAUCAUUAUUCAUGCCUCUAUCCAGUCUUUUCCAUAUCCUUGCACCAUCUCUCCUAUGAUUACACCAAGUGUAAUCCUGACCAUAAUAUCCCAUAUCAACUAAUCCACAUGCCUCAAUAAUACUAAUAAACUCUAAACUCUUAUUAAUAUUAUAGUCUUUACCACCCAACUUUUCACUAGUAGAAGUGAUAACAUUGAAAUCACCUAAAAUACACCAAGGAUACAUUGUUUCUGAUCUUUUAAGCAUAACAUCGCAAAGAGGCUUCCUUAAUUGAUCCUUACACUUUGCAUAUACAUAGGUCAUAAUGAACUUCUCACUACAGUUCUCAUGUCUGAUUUCACAAGUCACUUGUUGUUGGUCACUCUCCAAAAUGUCACAAGUAAUCUCAUUAGACCAAAACAGCCAGAUUUUAUUAUUAGAGUUACUAUAACUAUGGUCCAUGAUCAAUUGCAUUCUACAAGAAUCAAUAUGAGCUUGAUUAGAAAAAGGUUCUAAGAUAGCCAGCAUAGACAGAUUAUGUAAUUUCAUGAGGUUAAUCAGUCUCUCAAGAGCACCAAAAGUAUUAAUGCUCCUUACAUUCCAACAUAACAACUUAAUCAUUAACUUCCUCUACUCCUAGCUCUAGUAUUAGGCUUGGUAGAACUAAUAAGUUUAUUUUGUUUUACAGGCUUCCUACCUCUUGGUGAUAGACCUUGUUUGCCUGUUACCUCUCUAAUUUCAUCCACAUUAGAGGAAUGAAACAAGGGGUCCUUAUGAAUUUGGUCAGAGGUGUUAAGUUCCUCACCUGGUUCAAUACCUUCUUUUAAAGAAUGAGUAUCCACAUCAUCUUCAUCCUCUGAGUCUGGUUCCCUAUACUCAUCAAAAUUUUCAUCUCUUUGUAUAUCAGUUGGUUCAUUACCAAUAGUUUUGUUGUUAUUCUUAGUGAUAAUGUGUGAAGGAACUUUAAUAUUUUUAUCAGGGGGUCCUUCUUAAUAUUACUAGGAAUCCCCUGUUCAACAGCUUUAUUUUUUCCUUUAUCAUAAUUAACAUGUUGAGAUCUAAUUUCCACCUGACUCCUUCCAGCCUCACCUCCAUCAGCUACACCAGUAUUAUCACUAUUAGGGAUUGCAGGGGAGGGGAGCAUUGAUUCAGUACCUUCUUUGUUAAUGUUGUCAUAUUGAUGGUCAUCCUGUGGAUCCAUAGUGACCUGAAUUUCCACUCUUGAUUGCUUCCUUUUUUCCUUCUGUACAUGAGUUUCUUCAUGCUGAUAAUCCAUGUAUUGAUCCCUUCCAUCUCCAACAGGUGUAUGAUCCUGUGUUUCAAGGUCAAUAUAGGUAUUUUUAGUAGGAAUAGGAAUCAUACCUGUGUUAGACUGGUGUUGAUGUGAACCAGUCUUCUCAUUUAUAAAUCUAACUUGUUGGUUGGUGUUUCUUCUCCUUUGAACUUGCCAUUCAUCUUGUGUACCUUGUUGCUGAUUUUGAACAUCUUGUUGUCUUGAUUGAUCAUGCUCCAUGUCACUUCUACCAGAGUCCAUAUGUUGAAUAAUCUGUAAAUCUGCAGGGACAUGUAUAGUAUUGUCUUUCCUAGGCUUAUUUUUUUCAAUCUCUUUCCUUCUUUUAUUUUCCUCAUCCCUUUGCUUAACUAUACAAUCUGAUUCCUUAUGGCCUUGGUGUUUACAGUAAAAACAGUAAUUAGGAAUGUUAUCAUAUUCAAUCUUUUGCCACCUACCAUCAGUAAUGUCUUCUCCUAUGUAUCCCAUCCAAAUGUGUGGAGGUCUUUCCUUGGUUAAAUCUACCUGAACUUUAACUCUAGCUUGACUUCCUCUAGUUUUGUUUAUUGAGGCAGAGUCAAGAUAUAAUACCCUACCUAUGGGUGAAAGCAGGCUUGUGAUGAAUUGUUUAUUGUAACAAUGCCAAGGCAAUUCAGGCAAUGAAAUCCAAAUUGGAACUAGAGGUGUUUCUUCCUCAGGUGUAAAAUUGGGAGUCCAAGCCUGUAUUCUCAUUACUUGCCCUGAUAUUAUCAUCCUUUGUUUUGUCCAAACCAUGUUGUAGUCAAGUUCAUUAUCAAGAUCUAUAUAAACAUGUCUAGAAUUAAAAUGGGCUAUUUUAACACCCCCAGACAACUGAGUUUGUAGUAUAAAGUUCUUCCUAAUUAACUCUAUUUUAGGCAUGGUGUAGAUGAACUUUCCUAUUAAAGUAAACUUACAGGUUGAAGCCAGGUCUUUAACUACUUCCUCUUUAACAUAUAACACAGCAGGUAAACCUUGCUUAGUAGUAAUCUCAGGUUCUGUCAAUUUAAUGUUCUCCCCACGCUUGGAUUGAUUAUAUCUAAGUCUGUCUGCAUAGGUUUGUAUAACUGUAUAUGGAGCAGGUUCAGGUAUAUGAUCUUUCUUGGGAAAAUUGUUAGUUCCUAAAGGAAGAUCAUUCUUAUCAAUUUCAGUUCUAGUCAAGUUUCUAUCAAAAUUGCUAGUUAGUUUAGGAAAAUUUUGUUGGUAAUCAAGAUUUCUAACAGAAACAGUGGUAUUUUUAUCAGUAACAUUCAUUAGAUUAUCAUUCUUGUAAUUAGAAUUGGUGGAAACGAAAUUACCUUGACCAUUAUGAGCUCUAGUAGGAAUCGUAGAAGAAGGAAUACCAGAUUGCCUAUUUUGUGAUAUGAACAGCAUCCUUAGUUGCAAGAGGUCGUGUUGACCUUGGAUUUUGCUGUUCAAUCUCGAAUCCCUUGUUAGAAUUGGGAUUUCUGUGUUGUUCAAUCUCCUUUUCCUUAUUAAAUCUGGGAUUUCUUUGCUGAUUUUGAGCAGAUCGAUUCACCUGUGGGUUUUGACCAUCGCGAUUUCGAUUUUGCGAUUCCUGUCGCGAAUCGUGUAUUCGGUCCUCUAUUGCUCCACCAAUCUGUUGAGAAUGUGAAUCUUGACCUAAAGAAGAUUCCCCAGUGCAAGAUUCUUGUCGAAUGUUAUGCGAUUGAACUGGUGUAGAGAUCGAUUUCGCCGCCGCGUCCUGCGAUGUUAUUUUUCCAUCGUCCAAAUGUUCUUCGCCUUUUUCAAUUGCGCCUAAUUGACGAUUGAGAUGGUAAUCUUGUUCAACAUUGUGACGCGAAGCAUCGAUAUCAGCCUCUAUAGUCGCUACAUGGACCGCUUCUUCCCUUCGUUGCGACGAGGAAGACGAUGCAGAUUCCGCCACUUCGUGGAUUUUCGCAUGAAUUGUUGGAUUUCCAGCUUCUAUCGGAAGAUCUGGUGGCCUAUCCGCCGGAUUUCCAUCCAUGACAACUCACAAUUUACCCAGAAAUUAGUCGAUUAACUAAUUCUUGCUAUGAACACCGUACAAAAUUCUAGAGAGAGAAAAUUUUUUAGAGAGAGAAAAUUUUUAGAGAGAGAAAAUUUCCGUGAAAUGAGAAAGCGAUUGGGGUUUGGGGUUUGGGGUUUAGGGUUUAGGGUUUAGGGUUUAGGGUUUAGGGUUUAGGGUUUAGGGUUAAGGGGUUAGGGUUUAGGGUUUAGGGUUUAGGGUUUAGGGUUUAGGGUUUAGGGUUUAGGGUUUAGGUUUUUUUUUAGGGUUUAGGGUUUUCAAUUUGUGUAAUACGGAGAGAACGCAGCUUUGAAACCAAAUGGAACUGGGGUUUAGGGUUUAGGGUUUAGGGUUUAGGUUUAGGGUUUAGGGUUUAGGAUUUAGGGUUUAGGGUUAGGGUUUAGGGGUUUGGGGUUUGGGGUUUGGGGUUUGGGGUUUGGGGUUUGGGGUUCGGGGUUUGGGGUUUGGGGUUCGGGGUUCGGGGUUUGGGGUUCGGGUUCGGGUUCGGGGUUCGGGGUUUGGGGUUCGGGGUUUGGGGUUCGGGGUUCGGGGUUCGGGGUUCGGGGUUGGGGGUUCGGGGUUCGGGGUUCGGGGUUGGGGUUCGGGGUUCGGGGUUCGGGUUUGGGGUUUGGGGUUUGGGGUUUGGGGUUUGGGGUUUGGGGUUUGGGGUUUGGGGUUUGGGUUUGGGGUUUGGGGUUUGGGGUUUGGGGUUUGUGGUUUGUGGUUUAGGGUUUAGGGUUUAGGGUUUAGGGUUUAGGGUUUAGGGUUUAGGGUUUAGGGUUUAGGGUUUAGGGUUUAGGGUUUAGGGUUAGGGUUUAGGGUUUAGGGUUUUAGGGUUUAGGGUUUAGGGUUUAGGGUUUAGGGUUUAGGGUUUAGGGUUUAGGGUUUAGAGUUAGGGUUUAGGGUUUAGGGUUUAGGGUUUAGGGUUUAGGGUUUAGGGUUUAGGGUUUAGGGUUUAGGGUUUAGGAUUUAGGGUUUAGGGUUUAGGGUUUAGGGUUUAGGGUUUAGGGUUUAGGGUUUUUUUUUUUUAAGUUGAAUAACCCUUGGAGGGGUAGGGGCUGAGCAACACCCCCAGGCCUUAUCAUUAAUACAAAAAAGCAAAAUACACGGAGGGGGGCAUAGACCUAACCUCCAAUCCUAGGUUGUUUGGAAUCAACUUUCCUAGUGAAUGUUAACUCCUCCCCUUACAUGGAAGGUGAAACCAAAAUACUACGCACCUAAGGAGAGGACUCCUCUCGUUACAAAGUAUCUAGGAAACAUAAAUUAGGGAGACUCUCCCUUGUACAAGAAAGUCUAUACGCCUACCUAUACCUAUUCAAAGUAGCUAUACUAUUUGAGGAUAGCUAUGUUGAAAAGAUAAUUACAUCAAGGUGGAUCAAAGAUCUUCCUAGUCUUCUUUCUUCUAAAACUCGGCAUGUUUAGUAAGUCCAUCCGAUAGUAUGCUUGAGCUGCUUUAGGUAGUUGAGUGCUGUUGACGUAUAUUUGAGGGCUUGAGGUGUAGUGGCUAUGUUUGGAGAGUGAAUCUGCUACCCAGUUUGCUUCUCUGAGGGUAUGCUGACAUUUGAAGUUCUGUGUUUGCAAGAUAAGGAAUUGGAUUUUUGCAAUUUCGUUUGAAACAUUCCAAUGGUGGGCUGACUUUUUGUUUAUCCAAUGCACAACCAGUUGUGAAUCCAGCUCCAUUAUUAUAUUCUUGAAGCCCAAUUCUAGAGCCUUAACCAAUCCAAAUAGUGCAGCCUCAGUUUCAGCUUUGUUGUUGGAGCCUUCACCAAGAGAUGUUGCUAAUGCUAGUAUCAGUUUUCCAUCCUUGUCUCUGAUUAUACCCCCCGCUCCAAUUUUUCCUGGGUUGGUGAGGGCGCUUCCAUCCGUGUUUAUCUUGAUCCAUUCUUCUGGAGGUCUGUUCCAUGUUACCUUACAUACUUUGAUUUCAUGUUUGCAUCUUUCGCUUGUAGUGAUGAGAGCUGUCCAGUGAGCAGGCCAAUUGAUAUGGGGAAGGCAUUCUUCAUCAUCUUGAAGUUGUCCUUGUAGAUUGCGUAUUUAACCCGGCUGAUGUUGGUUGCUUUGACUCCGUAUUUGCUAGCACAUCUAUUCUUCCAUAAAUUCCAACAGAUGAAGAUUGGAGUGGCUUGUAACAGCAGCUGGUGGCCUUCAUUUCGAGGGCUGGCUGUCCACCAUUUUUCCAGCCUUGCAUGCAGUGUUGUUUGGUCAUGUUGCAGCCCUGCACUUGCUGCAAAUGAUUUCCAUACUGUACCUGCAAACUUACCCGUACUGAAGAUGUGAUCAAUGCUAUCCAUCCCUGCGCUAUCAAAACAACAAAAACAUGGUGAUGGCUCAAUGCCGAAGUUAGUUAAUUUUUCAUUAGUAGGGAUUUUUCCUUUUAAAACUCUCCAUAAGAGAAAAGAUGAUUUAAAAGGAAUAUAAUUAUGCCAUAAAAGUGAAAAGAAACUGCUUCUACUCUUCUUGUUUCUGAUAGCCUCCCAAGCUGACUUGCAAGUGAAUUUGCCAAGAUUGUGUAGCUUCCAAAUAGGCUGGUCUGGUUUCUGUUGUUGUUGAGGGAUUGCUGUGGCCAGUAUUCUGUCCAGCUGACUUGCAGGGGCCUGUUCUUGUAAUUUUCUCCAACUCCAAGCACCAUUUUCCCAAAAUUCUGAAACCUUGGUGUUGUUAAGUCUGAUGCUGCUGCUAGUGUACUGUGCUAAUGGACCUGUGCCAAGCCAGUUGUCCCACCAAAAUGAACAAUUCCCUAUGUGAAGUUGCCAAUGAAUGUGUUGUUCUACCUGUUGUCUAGUGGUUAACAUGUGUUUCCAAGUUAAGGAUUCUCCAGUAUCCCAUUUUUUGCUUACCGGAUUGGAUCUUUGACAGUAUUUAGCUCUCAAGAAGUCCCCCCAUAAGGUUUGUUUUGUUCUGAAUGUCCACCAUUGCUUGAAUUGGAAGGAUUUGCAUACAUCACUUAAGUUCCUCAUCCCAAUCCCCUCUUCUUCAUAAGGAUAACUUAGGUUUUUCCAAGAGGACCAAUGGUAUUUCUUGUUGUUGUGUUGCCAGCCCCAGAAAAAAUCUGCAAUCAGCCUCUGGAUUUGCUUAAUGAUAGUCUUUGGAGGGGUUACAGCACUUAGAAGGUGUAUAGGUAGUGCUUGGAGGACAUGUUUGGCAAGCACAACCUUUCCACCAUAACUCAGUUGUUUAGCUUGCCAACCUGUAAUUCUGGAUAUGACUUUGUUAAUAAGAUUCGAGAAGUACACAUUUCUAGGUCUACCAACAAAUAAAGGGCAACCUAGAUAUGUGAUAGGCCCUUGUUUCUGUUUAAAACCAGUCAGCCUUUUUAUUCUAUCCCUAGUGCUAUUGAAAGCACUAGGGUGUAGCAUAAAAUGGCUUUUAUCCUCAUUGAUAAGUUGUCCGGAUGUUUCUUCAUAAGCCUUUAGAGUACUCAUGAGGAGUUUCAAAGUUUUACUCCUUCCAGCAGUAAAGAGAAUAAUGUCAUCUGCAAAGCUUAAGUGGUUUACCUGAGGCCCUCUUUUUUCCAUGGUAAAACCUUGAUAAUGCUGAUGAUUAUGAAGUCUAUUGAGAGAUCUCGAUAAUACUUCGGCACCUAAAAUAAAUAGGGCCGGAGAAAGAGGAUCGCCUUGUUUUAGACCUCUAGUAGACUGAAAGAACCCAUACCUUUUGCCAUUGAUGAUAAUGGAGUACCAAUUGUUGGCCAUAAUUCUCCAACACAUGUCAAUGAACAUCUCAUUAAAACCCAUUUUCCUCAAGACUAUGCAAGUGUAUGACCAAGACACCCUGUCGUAGGCUUUUGCCAUGUCUAAUUUGAUGAUCACAUUACUUCCAAUGUUGGGUUUCUUGAUAUGGUGAAUAAUUUCCUGCGCAAGCAUGAUGUUUUCAGAGAUGUUUCUCCCUUUCACAAAACCAGAUUGGUUAGUGGAAAUUAAGGAAGGAAGUAUAGGACUAAGUCUAGUACUUACUAGCUUAGAAAUGAUCUUACUAGUAAAAUUACUAAGAAUUAUUGGUCUAAACUCCGUGAGUUUGUUUGGAUUAUUGACUUUUGGGAGCAACACUAUACAGGAAUGAGAGAAGUACUUCGGAAUCAUUUGACCACUGAAAAAGGCAUAUAUUACUUCUAACAUAUCAUUUUUGAUGAUGUUCCAACACUUCUGGAAGAAAUACCCAUUCAUACCAUCGGGACCUGCUGCAGAAUUAGGGUUCAUUGAAAACACUACUUCUUUCAGCUCCUCCAUAUCCGGUAACUUUGUAAGCUGAGUGUUUUGGUCCUGAUUGACCAUAUUUGGAAUGCAAUCCAAAUUAUGUUCAUCAAUAUGUUUAUUCUCUCCUGUGAAGAUGGUAUUGAAGUGUUCACAAGCCUCAUGAGCAAUGUUGUUCUCACCUUGUAUCCAUUCCCCUUCAUAUUAACAAUUUUGUGGAUGAAUAGUUUCCUCAUCCUCCCCCUUAUAAUGGAAUGAAAGUAUUUAGAAUUAGUAUCUCCAUCUUUGAACCAUUGAAGCUGAUUCUUUUGUUUCAAAGUGGUAUCUUCCAGUUUGAGGAACUUGAUAUAUUGAGCAUUUAAUUCAUGGAGGGUACUCCUAUUUGACUCCGUUUGACUUUGGAUGUAUUUUUCUUCCGCAUCAUGCAUUUGUUCUUCAUACAUCCUAACCUUUUGAUAGAUAUCUCCAAAUUCGUUUCUAGACCAAACACUAAGGGUAUUAGAUAAUCUUUUUAUUUUCUGGUGGAAUUUCCACAUAGCGUUACCCUCCGUAGGUCUAUUCCAGCAGUCUUUGACAAUAUUCAUGAAAUCAGGAUUAUCAACCCAACAAUUAAGAAACUUGAAAUAUUUGAUGUGAUCAGUUUCAUUAGCUACCAUUUCCAUCAACAGGGGGCAGUGAUCAGACCCUGUAUUUGCUAAAUGGGUUAUGGUUGUUUGUGGCAUCUUUUCCAGCCAUAAAUCAUUAAUCAAAGCUCUAUCUAAUCUCUUCCAAAUUCUAUGAUUGAUACCCCUCUUGUUAGACCAAGUAUACUUGUGUCCACUAAAACCAAUGUCCAUCAGGCCACAGGCUUCAAUAGUAGCAAUAAAGUCCAUGCUUUUCUUCAUAUUGUAUGGCAAUCCUCCUAGUUUUUCCUCAACAUCAGUAAUAACAUUGUAGUCCCCCACUGCGCACCAAGGAUUGGUACUCACAGAGGCAUGAUGAAGCAUUUUAUCCCAAAGAGGUCUUCUCAGAUACUCCUUACACUUUGCAUAGAUAAAAGUACCAGUAUAUUGGUAUUGCAAUUCAUUGUGUUUCAUAUCACAAGUGAUUUGCUGUUCAUCUUCAUCAAGAAUAUUACAGUCAAUAUCACUGUUCCAAAAAACCCAAAUCUUAUUAUUGGAGUUACUAGUAGCAUUAUCCAUGCUCAAUUGUAUCUUGAAAUUUUGAAUAUUAACACUAUCCGAGAAAGGUUCCAAAAUGGCAAUAACUGAUAACUGGUGCAUUUUCCUGAGCAUUUUGAGUCUCUCCAACACUCCUUGAGUGUUGAUCCCCCUCACAUUCCAUAUAAUCGUACUAAUCAUUGGGAUGAUCUGGAGGAAAAGAGUCUGGUAUUCGGUCUGCCUGUCGUGACAGUAUUGGCAUCUUGCUUUCUGAAAUGAAACCUGUCAUAUUGAAGGCCCCUUGGAGACAAACACUGGUUGUUGGUUACUUGUUGAAUUUCAUUCUCUAGAGUUUGAUCAUUAUGUGGACUAAAGGCCCUAAUAAGGGCCUCACUAGUCUCAUCCUUAUCAUCAGAAUCUUCUAGAUAUUGGUUAUCCCCAACAAGUUCAUCUUCAGAGUUAAUUAUAGCAUAUUCAUCCAGGAUAGGUUCAGUAUUAACCCUACACUUCUGUUGCAUCUUAUCUGGAGGUUCUGAACUGGGGGGAGGGGUCAUGUACUAAACCUGUAAGGGAAGAAUAUUCAAACCUUGGUUAUCAUCAACCAUUACAAAUUUGUUGCAUAGUUCUUCCCUUACUUCCUGCACUUGUUCAAAAUCCUUUUCUUGCUGUUUGUUUUGCCUUCUUUUUGCAGCGUCUCUUUUUUGUUUACUGGGCUUAUUCUUACUCUUGGGAGUGCUUUCAGUACCCAUAGAAACACUUUGCUUCCUUUGAUCCUUGUCAUUCAUUUUUUCAACUUGUUCUUCAAUUUUUUCUUUGGCAGUCUGUUUUCUGUUGCCACUGUUCUGCACAUGCUGCUGAGUAUGUUCUUUUUGUUGCUGACUGUUCAUAGCAUUCUUAGAGGCUCUAAGGUCUGUCCUAGGGUCAGAAACCAACCCCUCAUGCAUAACAUGAGGCAAAUUCCCCCCUUUGGUAUCCCCUUCCUGCAUGUUAGUGGCUAUCUCCUGACACCCUCCAUCCAUACCUCCAACAACUUCAUCAGUAAGGCCAGCAUCAACAUUAAAAAUAUUGGGGGCUUUGGGGAUUGGGAGAGAUAAGUCAAUACCUGUUCUCUUGCUUUUGUUGCUGUCAGCAGUCUGUUGAUGAGGAGACUUAUGGUUAUUUGGAUUGUUCUUGGCAGGUUGAUCAUUUAAGUUUCCAUUGCUGGGUUGGUUUAUUUGACUUGCUGCUUCCUUGAUUCCACUCUGUCCAGCUUGCUGCCUUUCCUGUUUUUCCUGCACUUCAAGAUUUGUAAAAAUAUUUUGAGUUGGUAGGAUAGAUAUACCUGUAACUCCUUGUUUAUGCUGCUGGCUGCUACUGUUUCCUUGCAUUGGAGGAGUGACAGGUCUCCACACAGCUUUGGAGAUGGCUUGUUCCUGAGUUUUUUGGUGCUUCCUUCUUUGGAUUUGCCACUGUUCUUCUUGUAUUUCCUCUUGUUGCCCCUGCUCCUCUUGAUUCUGUAUAUUUUCCUUUUGUUGUUGACUUGUCAUGUGUGUUUUUGGUUGAGUCUGAUCCUCAUUUUUUUCAUUGCCUCCCUUUUGUUUUUUGUUUGGUUGGUUUGGAGUCUUUGUUGUAUCCUCCUUUUGAUCUUUCCCUUGUUCAUGCAAUUUUCCAGAACCCCUUUCCUUACUGUUUUUUUCCACCUCCAGCUCCUUUUUUUUCCUACUCUCCUCAUCUCUUCUUUUGAUUGUACACUCCUCAUCCUUGUGGCCUUGGUGUUUACAAUAAAAACAAUAGCUAGGAAUUCCUUCAUAUUCAACUUUUAACCAUCUUCCUUUGUUGGGGUUGGAAUGUUUAAAACCCAGCCAAACAUGGGAAGGUCUUUCUUUAGUUAGGUCGGCCUGAACCUUAACUCUAGUGGUGCUGCCUCUAGUUCUCUGUGAGGUAGGUGAGUCUAAAAACAAAACUUUCCCAAUGCUUUCCAAAAUAGUUGUUAAGAAAACUUUGUUGUAACAGUGCCAGGGGAGGCCUGGGAUUGAUACCCAAAUUGGAACAACAGGUGUUUCUUCUUCCGGAGUAAAAUCUGGGGUCCAAGCUUGUAUUCUCAUAGCUUGACCCUCGAUGUUCAUUUUCAGUUUCGUCCAAACAGUUUGAUAGUCCAAUUCAUUGUCAAGAUCAAUAUAGACGUGUCUAGAAUUGAAGUGUGUGAUCUUAACUCCCCCCAUCAAUUGAGUUUGCAAAAUAAAACUUUUCCUAACAAGCUCCAUUCUAGGCAUAGUGUUUGUAAAUUUGCCCACAAGCGUAUAUUUACAAAUCUCCGCUAAUUUAACAUAGUAGUCAUUCUCAUCAAUAAGAACAGCGGGGAAACCUUGUCUAGUGGUAUGAACAGGUUCAUUCAAAGUAAUGGGAGUUUCUUUUUGAGCCUGAUUAUAUCUCAACCUAGCUGCAAACGAUUGUAUCACAGUAUAUGGGGCAAGUUCUGAAUUUUGCUCAUUUUUGCUGUUGUUAUUAAGUUGCUGGCCCUGUCGCUGGUUGUUUGGAUUUCUAGUAUUGUCCUGAUCAGCCUGGCCAACCUGUUUGCGAGUGUUAUAAUUCUGAAGUUUAGGAUCAUACCUUGAAAAGUUGUUGGAAAUUUUGGGGAAGCUGUUAUGAUACUGCUCCCUUGCCUUGUUAGGUUGAUCAUCAGACUUCCCUCCUCCUUUUGUAUAGCUUUGCUUGGUUUGAUCAGUAUGCUCUUCAGCAUUCACUUGUUUUUGAUCUAAUUUGCUUCCUUCCAAGCUCCUCUUUUCUUUUUCAGGUUGCUGCUUUUGCUUAUGAGAUUGAUCCAGCUUUUCCUUAGUUUGUUCAUGACUAUGGUCAUGUGCUUCCUCAUCUCCUCCAUCUUUGUCUUGCUGAUUAUGCUUUCCUGGUGGAUUACCUGCAUUGAGAUGAGGGGUUAAGCGUGAUGAAGUAUUUGUUAUUGCAAAGGAAAAGUUAGAAGAUCCUGCUGCUGAUGCUGCAGGUUGUGUGGCCAUGAUCAUCGUGCUGUUGCCCUGCUGUUCAUUGGAAGUUUUCUUCUGGAGAUUGUUGUUGUCUUUGGUCAUGGUUUUUGCUUCACUUUCGUGUGGCACGAUUGCAGAAUUAUCUCGUUCUUCUCCUCGAUCACCACUCGACAUUUCCCCUGUUCUUCCAUGUCUUCCAAGAUGAGUUUGUGGGUUGAGAUUUAUGGAAGAUGCUGGAUCAUUGGUGUUGAGGUCUCCACUGUUAGGACGAUUGCUUAGGAGUGUUACUUGAGUAUUUUGAUCUUGGGAGACCUCCUCUUUCGCCGAGCUUCCAUUAAUUCCGACGCAUGGAACAGUAAGUUCGCCGGAAUUUUCACUACCAGCGAUUCGACCAACAUUUUGCUUCAAAUUUUGGCUGGAAGGGUCGUCAUCCUUAUAGGAACAAACCCCAUAAGUCGAAACCCCACGAAUUGACUCGGAAGUUUGUCGAAUGUCGAUGCGCAACUCAGGCGACUUCUUCGCGAUUUCCUCUAAAUUCGCCUCUUUCGUCUGAGCGAUUGGGACGGUGGAAUUGGCUAAUUCUUGGACAGGUAAUAGAUCCUGAUGAGGAGAAUCCAUUUCCCUACUUGAUUCCUUUCGAUUCCAUCCAGAAAUCCUUGGGGAAAUAUUUUCGCGAUCUUCGACGAACACCCCUUCGACAACAGCAGGUUCCAUCGCAUCUUUCUCCUGCGAUUUCGAGGCAUUCUGAGGUUGUUCCUGGCGCGUAUUAUGCUGGGAUAAGGAGCCUACAUGAGAGCGCUCCUUUUGGGUUAGGUCCGGAUGCCAUUUGACGGCUACCGACGGCCCACGCGCCAUUGCGGCGCUGGGCGAUUGAGGUGAGUCAGCCGUUGUGAGAGAGAGCGCGUGCGAGGAGAGAGAAAAUCUAGAGAGAGAAAAAUUUCAAGAAAUGGGGCGCGAUGGGGUUUAGGGUUUAGGGUUUAGGGUUUAGGGUUUAGGGUUUAGGGUUUAGGGUUUAGGGUUUAGGGUUUAGGGUUUUUUUUUUGUUAUAAACGACCCUUGAGGUGGGUAGGGGCUAAGCAUCACCCCCAGGCCUUAACAUUUAUAUAAGAAAAAGAUACAUGGAGGGGGACAUAGAACCUUACCUCCUUCCUAAGUUGAGUUAACUGAAUUACCUACUAAGGUUAUCAAUUAACUCAUUACAUUUGUUGUAUUCUAAAACAAAGCACCUAGAGAUACCUCUCAAAAUUACUAAGUUCUAGAAAAACUUAAACAAGGGAGACUCUCCCUUUACAAGUUAUGAUAAAAGAGAUAACCUACUUUAUUAACAUAUAAAAUAGAUUUUAAGUCAAUGAAAUUGAUUGAACAAAUACAAGAUUGUCAUGGAGGAUAUUUAAUCCUCUUGAUCUUCCUUCUUCUAAAUAGUUGCAUGCCAAUUUUGUCUAAUAUGUAAUUUCCUUUAAUAGCACCUCUAAGCUGCUGAGGGGUGUAAAAAUGUUGAAUUAUAUCCAUCUUGUGACUCCCUUUUGCUAGUAAGUCAGCCGUGGCAUUUGCCUCUCUAUAAAUAUGUUGGCACUGAAAAUAUUCCAUGUUCUUGCUUAUGUCUUGAAGCUGCUGAAUGUCUUGUUGACUUCUCCAUGGAAUGUACUGUGUGUUGUUGAUCCAUUUGACCAGUAGUUCAGAAUCUACUUCCAAUAUGAGCCUCUUGAAUCCAUGUUGUUGACACCAAUUUAAUCCAUAAAGAGCAGCUUGUAUUUCUGCAAAAUUAUUAGUACCAAAAGCCAAAGGAAUAGAAAAAGCAUAAAUAAGUUUACCUUGAUCAUCUCUAAGUAUACCUCCACCACCUGUUUGACCUGUAUUGUGGAUGGCACUGCCAUCAGUAUUAAGUUUAUAGAUACCUGAGGGUGGCCUGUUCCAUCUCACUAAGGUUAUUUUAAAAUAUUGUUGACAUUGAUCAACAUAUUGAAGAAGCCUCUCCCAACUGUUGAACCAUGGUAUAGUUGUAUAUACAGAUUGAAUGAUCUGCAUACUAUCUUUAAAGAUAGCUAAUUCUACUCUUGAAAUGUUUGAUUGUUUACCUCCAUACUUAACUGAACACCUGUUUUUCCACAACUUCCAACAAAUAAUGUUGGGUAAAAUGAUAAAAAGAAGUUUUUGUACCUCAUUACUAGUUUGUAGAUUUUUUCAUUGAAGUAACAGACUUCUGAUAGAAGUACUGUCAAUUACUAAUCCCACUCUUUGUGAGUGACACUUCCAAAUAUAUUUAGCAAAAUUACCAGUAAUAAGAAUAUGAUUUAAAUCAUCUUUGCCCUUCCUAUAACAACAAUAACAGUCUUCCUCUUCUUUUCCAAAUCUAAUCAGACUAUCAUUGGUAGGUAGUUUAUUCCUCAAAGCUCUCCACAUAAAGAAGGAAAUUUUAAAAGGAACAUUUCUAUGCCAGAUACUAUUAUUAAUUAUAUCAGGUUCUUUUUUCUUCCUUAUACUCUCCCAUGCAGAUGAAAUUGAAAAUUGACCAUUAUCUUCUAAUCUCCAAUAAGCUAAAUCAGUACUACCCUCUUUAAGUUGUAAUCUAUAAGUUAGAAUCAUUGAAACAAGAGGUGGAGGAAUAUGUUGCCUUAUAAAUGACUCAUUCCACUUUCCAUCUUCAAUGAAAUCUAAUAACUGAGUAUUAUUUAGACUGGAAACAUAGUCACAAUAGGUUGCUAUUGCACCAUCUCCAAGCCAAUUAUCCCACCAAACACUGCAGUUACCAGAUUUUAUAUUCCAUGAAAUAUACCUUUCCACAUCAUAUCUGUUUCUGGUAAGAUACCUCCAGACCAAGGAAUCCCCUGUAUCAUAUUUCUUUGCCACUACAUUAGACCUUUGACAGUAUUUUGCCUUCAAAAAACAACUCCACAAAGACUUUUUAGUUCUAAAUUCCCACCAGUGUUUGUAUUGAAAAGCAGUGCAUAUAUCUUCUAAUAAUCUAACUCCAAUACCACCCUCUAUAUAAGGAAAAGCUAAACUCUCCCAUGAUGCCCAAUGAUACUGUUUUUUAUCCCUAUUAGUGCCCCAGAAGAAGUCAGCUAUAACUCUUCUAAUAUAUCUAAGAGUAGUUUUAGGUGGUGAAACAGCAGCCAAUGUAUGAAUAGGCAUAGACUGCAAAACAUGCUUGACCAAAGUAAUUUUACCACCAAAAUUCAAAAUUUUAGUAUGCCAACCUUUAAUUUUUUUAAUGAUUUUAUCCACCAAUUCAGAAUAGUAAAUUAUUCUUUGUCCUCCAAUAUACAAAGGACAACCUAAAUACAUAAUAGGGCUAUGCUUCCUUCUAAAACCAGUUUCCUCAUUGAUGACUUCAAUAACACUCUGAUUAGUAUUAUUAGUAACCAUAUAGAAGCUCUUUUCCUUAUUCACUUUCUGAUUAGAUACUUUCUCAUAUUCAGCAAUAGUUUCCAUAAUUAGUUGGAGAGAAUUUCUGUUUGUGGAGGUGAAUAUUAUUAUAUCAUCAGCAAAACUUAAAUGGUUAAUCUGUGGUCCUCUCUUCUCCAUAUAGAAACCCCUAUAAUCCUGAUUCUGAUAAAGAUUGUUCAGCUGUCUAGAUAAUACCUCAGCUCCCAAAAUAAAUAGGGCUGGUGAUAAGGGAUCUCCUUGUUUAAGACCUCUAGAAGAAUGGAAAAAACCAUGUCUUUUUCCAUUGAUAACAAUGGAAUACCAAUUAUUACUCAUAAUUCUCCAAGUUCUGUCUAUAAACAAUUCACCAAAGCCUAAUUUUCUCAAAACUAAACAAGUGUAAGCCCAAGAAACUCUAUCAUAAGCUUUAACCAUAUCAAGUUUAAUAACCACAUUAUCUCCUUCAUGAGGCAAGUUAAUUCUAUGGAUAAUUUCUUGUGCCAGCAUUAUAUUUUCAGAAAUACUCCUUCCUUUUACAAAGCCUGACUGGUUUUUAGAAAUAAUACUAGGUAAAAUAGGUGCCAGUCUAGUACUCAUAAUCUUAGAAAUGAUCUUGUUAGUAAAGUUGCUUAAACUAAUAGGUCUAAAGUCUUUUAGCUUAUUAGGAUAUUCAACUUUAGGGAUCAACACCAAACAAGCAUGAGUCAUAUACUUAGGCAUGUCAAAACCAUUGAAAAAGUGUUGAACAGCAGCCAAAAGAUCAUCUUUUAUUAUAUCAAAACAUACCUGAAAAAAUUUCCCCCCUAUACCAUCUGGUCCUGGUGCAGAAUUGGGAUUCAUAUUCAUUAUCACAUUCUUCAAUUCAUCUAUAUUAGGCAUCUGUUCCAGCUUAAUAUUUUGUUCAUCAGUAAUGAUUCUACUAAUACACUGAAGACUAUCCUCAUUAAUAACCUCAUUUUUGCCAGUGAAAAUUUGUUUAUAGUAAUCACAAGCAGUUUUAACAAUAUUCUCUUCCCCUUGUAUCCAUUCACCAUUCUCAGACUCAAGCUUAGUAAUACACAUUCUUUUUCUUCUACCUCUCAUAAUAGUAUGAAAAUAUUUGGAGUUGGUAUCACCUUCCUUUAACCAAUGAAUCUGUGUUUUUUGUUGCAUAAUGUCAUAUUCUAAUUUCAUGUAUCUAAUGUACUGAGCAUUUAAGGCCUGCAGUUUCUCUCUAUUUUCCUGAUUAUUUUCCUGAAUAAUAUUCUCCUCAGCAAGUUUAACCAUCUCUUCAAACUGUUUGACUUUGAUGAAAACAUCCCCAAAUUCUUUUUUGGACCAAUUCCUCAAAAUAACAGUAAGUCUCUUCAUUUUAGUAUGUAAUAUCCACAUAGGACUACCUACCACCUUUUUAUUCCAACAAUUUUCCACAGUUGAGUAAAAAGUCUCAUGCUCAGUCCAACAAUUAAGGAAUUUAAAAUAUUUUAUAGCAUUUUCCUUAUCACUCUUCAUCUCCAUUAAUAAUGGACAGUGAUCAGAACCCACAGAAGGCAAAUGAGUGAUAGAAGUGUUAGGCAUAAUCCUUAACCAAUUAUCAUUGACCAAUCCUCUAUCCAAUCUUUUCCAUAUUCUAGCAUCACCCUUCCUAUGAUUACACCAUGUGAAAGGCUGACCACUAUAUCCUAAAUCAAUUAAACCACAUGAUUCUAUUAUGUUGAUGAAAUCAAAACUUUUAUUGAUAUUAUAGUCUCUUCCACCCAAUUUUUCAUCAGUGGAGGAUAUCACAUUAAAGUCUCCAAUGAUGCACCAAGGUUUAUCCACAUCAGACCAUUGGAUUAACCUAUCCCAAAGAGGUUUCCUCAGAUGUUCCUUACACUUUGCAUAAACACAGGUAAGUAGAAACUUAUCACUACAUUCUUCAUGAUAAACUUCACAAUUGAUAAGUUGUUCAUCCAUGUCAAUUACUUUACAAUUCAUAUCAUUAGACCAAAAAAGCCAUAUUUUAUUAUUAGAAUUACUAUAACAAAAAUCCAUCAACAAUUUCAAUCUAUAAGCUUCCAACUGAGAACUAUUAGCAAAAGGCUCAAGAAUAGCAAUCAUAGUGAGCUUGUGAAUUUUCUUUAAGUUGAUUAAUCUUUCAAGAGCACCAAAUGUAUUAAUGCUCCUAGCAUUCCAACAUAUGAGACUAAUCAUUAAACACCUCUACUUCUAGCUCUAGUAUUAGGUUUACUAAAACUAGCAGUCUUGUUUUGUCUAGAAACUUUCCUACCCCUAGGAGACAAGCCCUGUUUGCCAGUCACCUCUCUAACUUCCUCAAAGUUAGUAUUAGGAAGCAUGGGGCCAUGUUGAGCUUGUUUUGAGGUUAUUUCUUCCCCAGUAUUAGUGCCUUCAUCUAAGGAUUGAGUAUCUAAAUCAUCCUCAUCCUCAGAAUUCAGAACACCAUAUUCAUCAAUAUGAUCCUCACUAGUCUUUUGACCAGUGUCAAUUAGAGUAGUAUUUUUGUUAGUUUUAGAUUUAUCAAUCUUAUCUUUAUCAGGGGGUUCUCUAUCAUCCCUUAUCAGAAACCCCUGAUCAUCUACUUUUUCUUUUCCUUUAUUAAGUCUAUCAAUGUGCAACCUUUUAGAACCCUGACAAUCACCAGCCUCACCUCCAACAGCUACACCAGCAUGAGUAGUAAUAGUAAGGGGAAUGGGGGUAGAUCUAUUAAACUCAAUACCUGUAAUAUUAGUAGAAUCAUGUUGAUUCCCACCUUGAAUUAAUAUAUUGCCUUGAUCAGCUCUUCUUUGUUGAACACUGUUAUCCUUUUUAUGAUUAUUUCUUCCUGCUCUAUCAUUAUGCAUUGUAUUUUCCUGAUGAGCCCUGUUUAUACCUGUCUUCUGCUGUAGCCUUUGAUUUUGAGUGUCAAUCAUUUGUUCCUCCCCUUCAUCCUCAGAUGGACUAUUACCCUGCAACUCUAAAUCAAUGUAAGUAUUUUUUGUUAUAACAGGAAACUGACCUUGUUGAUUAUGGUGUUGUUGUUUUUGUCUAUCCAUAUUUCUAUUAGAGUUUCUAUCAGCAUCCCUUCUUCCCUGUUGAUUAUUAUUCCUUCUUUUUUGGGUUUGCCAUUCCUCUUGAUUGAAUAGCUGUUGAUUAUCAACCUGUUGAUAUUGUUGAUCAUGUUCAACCUCAAUUCUACCUAUGUCAUUAUCCUUAGCACUCUGCAACUCUGUAUUGACAUUGUGAGCAGAAUCUUUUCUAUUCCUAUUUUUUUCCUGUUCUUGUCUUUUUUUAUUUUCCUCCUCUCUUUGUUUAACUAUACAAUUAGACUCCUUAUGGCCUUGAUGUUUGCAGUAAAAACAAUAGUCAGGAAUACUAUCAUAUUCAAUCUUUUGCCACCUCCCAUCAGUAAUGUCUUCUCCCUUAUAACCCAUCCAUAUGUGAGGUGGUCUUUCUUUAGUUAAAUCCACCUGAACUUUAACUCUUGCUUGACUACCUCUUGUUUUAUUAAUAGAUGCUGAAUCAAGAUAAAGGACUCUACCAACAGGGGAUAACAAGCAGGUGAUGAAUUCCUUAUUGUAACAGUGCCAUGGUAACUCAGGUAAUGAAAUCCAAAUUGGUACAAGAGGUGUCUCUUCUUCUGGUUUAAAAGAAGGAGUCCAGGCCUGUAUUCUCAUUAUUUGACCAGCUAUAGACAUUCUUUGUUUAGUCCAAACCAUAUUGUAGUCUAGUUCAUUAUCUAGAUCAAUAUACACAUGUCUUGAAUUAAAAUGUGCUAUUUUCACACCUCCAGAAAGUUGAGUUUGGAGUAUGAAAUUCUUUCUAAUUAACUCUACUCUAGGCAUGGUGUAUAUGAAUUUACCAAUAAGAGUAUACUUACAAGUCGAUGCUAAAUCUUUGACAAUCUCAUCCUUAACAUACAGAACAGCUGGUAAUCCUUGUUUAGUAGUUAUUUCAGGUUCACUUAAUUUGAUACUAACUCCUUUCUUAGAUUGAUUAUAUCUCAGCCUGUCAGCAUAGGUUUGAAUGAUAGUAUAGGGGGCAGGUUCAGGUGUUUGAUUCUUCUUAGGAAAACUGUUAGAAUUGCCUAUAGGAUAAUCAUUUUUCUCAGGUAAAUUUCUAGUGACAUUACGAUCGUAAUUACUAGUAAUUUUAGGAAAAUUAGCCUGAUAUUCCUGAUUUCUAACUGUUUCUUUACCAGUUCUAUCAUUUUCCUUCAAUCUAUUAUCAGAAUUGUGAAGAGCAUGCAUAGAAGACUGAUUACCUUGAAUUUGUUCAGGAAUAGGAGUUAAACCACGCAAAUACUCACCUGCUUCCUUAUAUUUGGAGAAUUGAAUUUCAUCUACCUGAGUUCUUGGUGUGUUCAUUGUAACUCGUUGCGAAGGAUGAACUUCAUCUUGUAAACUAGGGUUUCUUGUAUUUGGAAUCGUAGUUUGUUGAUAGCUGACUGGUUCCUUGUUCAAUUGGCUAUUGUUAUUGUAUCGAUUACUCAAAUGUUGCCCCUCCAUAUUUCCUUGUUCUUGAAUGUUCAACUGCGAUUUCCCCAUGUAACCAUCGUGUCGCGAUUCUACCAGUUCUCCUUCUCGCUGCGACUCAAUAUUUCGAUCCUCUUUAUCUCUCCCAAGUUGUUGAGUAUGUGGAUCUGUAGUAUGUGAUAGUUCUUCAGUACCAGAUCUUUGUCGAUUGCUACCCGAUGAACCUGGGUGAGAACUCGAUUUCGCCGCCAUCGCUUGCGAUCUCAUCACUUCCAUCGCCUGCGAUUCUACUCUUCCCGAACUCGUUUGUUUUUCCCCAAUUACGUUCGUAUUUCGACUCGUUUCUAACUGGCGACGCAAUUCAUCCAUCUCCGCCUCUACCGUCGCGACUUGGAUCGCCUCUUCCCUCAAGUUCGCAGAGGAGGACGAUGAUCCUUCCGUCCCUUCAAUAUUUGUGGCCUGAACAUUCAAUUUUUCACCUCCAACCGCAGAAUCUGGAGGUAUAAAACGUUCAUCACCAGGAUUUCCAUCCAUUACAACACUAAUGCCAAUCAAUUUCUUCGAUCAGCACUAUUCACGCGUAAGUUCUUGCAAAAAAUUAUAGAGAGAGAAAUUUUUUAGAGAGAGAAAAUUUUUAGAGAGAGAAAAAAUCUGAAAAAUGAAAAAGCGAUAGGGUUUAGGGUUUAGGGUUUAGGGUUUAGGGUUUAGGGUUUAGGGUUUAGGGUUUAGGGUUUAGGGUUUAGGGUUUAGGGUUUUAGGGUUUAGGGUUUUAGGGUUUAGGGUUUAGGGUUUAGGGUUUAGGGGUUAGGGUUUAGGGUUUAGGGUUAGGGUUUAGGGUUUAGGGUUUAGGGGUUAGGGUUUAGGGUUUAGGGUUUAGGGUUUAGGGUUUAGGGUUUAGGUUUAGGGUUUAGGGUUUAGGGCUUUAGGGUUUAGGGUUUAGGGUUUAGGGUUUAGGGNNNNNNNNNNNNNNNNNNNNNNNNNNNNNNNNNNNNNNNNNNNNNNNNNNNNNNNNNNNNNNNNNNNNNNNNNNNNNNNNNNNNNNNNNNNNNNNNNNNNUGAAAAAUUUGUCAUUAAAGUGAGAGUUAUGUUUCAUUACAUUAAUUAUAUGUUAGCUGUUACAUUCUUUUGAUGGAUGAACGUAAAUGAUUUUUCUAUUUAAAAUAUCAUUUGGGAGCUAAACAUAGAGAAGAAAAAUACAAGUCAUAUCUUUUUUUUCUCCCUCAACUAUUUCCUUUUUUGGCUUGAAUAUCCGUCAUCCCAUUGAGGAUUUCUGGGCAAUUAUUUAUGUGCAACUCCAAACUUUCAGCCACGAGUGCACAUGUUUGAGAGUGACUGUAGAACCUUGGAGAGCAACAGGCUACAACGAUUUGCACCAGAGUUGAGCCGAAAAUGCUUUCAAGGCAGUGGAUUUCCAUGACACAGUGUUUGUGAUAAGCUAUCAAUAGUGUAGUAUUUUUCCCAACAGACAUAAAUGAUUAAAUAGUACUGAGGGCAUAAUCUAAUGAAUAAUAAAAAUGCAAAUUGAUAGAGAGGAAAAGAGAUGUAGGAACCGGAAAAAGCUUGAUACACAUACAAGGAGUUUACUCGGGUAAUAUACAGAUGGGUAUAAAGAAAGCUAAUGCCCAUAAAUUAUGUCAAAAUGAAUGCAAAGAAAACUACAGGUCUUAAGGGAAGUAAUGAGAAUUCCUUGCACAGAAAAAAAAUCGAAGGCCACAAAGGAGUCAAUACCAUACAAGUUGGAACAAAAGAUAAGGUAUGUACUUUUGCUCUUGAGGAUUAUUUUGAGAACUUAUCUCAGUCGUUAGCAUUUGAACGCUGUAAUAAAAAUAAUAAGUUUAAGCAACUAAGGAAUGACAAUCAGAAUGAAUGGAAAAAAUGGAUAAUUGGAAACAGAGGACUAGAUUAGUUGGUGUUUCUAAUAGUUUAAAGAAGAAUACAAAAUUAAAGAUAACGGAAAUUGUGGUUAGUUUGUUAUCAUAGAGAAAGGAGUACAAGCUACAGGGAUAAACGAAAGAAUGGCAAAUGCUUUCAGUAUUGAUAUAGAAACAAAAAAACAAAUAAAAUCAUGGCAGAGACAAAGAGAGGCCAACCCUAAUUUGCUUCCCUUUUGCGUAGGAGAGAGGAGGGUAUGUAAAACGAGACAGAUUGAAGAGUCUUUAACAAAAGGCGGGCGGGGGGGCGGGGGGGGACAGAGACGGAGCUUCCUUCUUGUCUUUAACAUUUCAAGAAAGCUUAUCUGAGCAGAGAAUUAUUGCUUCCCUCUUCACAAUGAGGUCUAUGGUGUGGAAUUGUCGAGGCCUGGCAAGAUCCUUGACAUUUUCUUUUUGAACGAGACAAUGUGUCUUCACUCUCCAAGUAUGAUUUUCUUAAGUGAAACAAAAAAGUAGAGAAAGCACGGUUAUGAGGUUACAAAGACAAGUAAAUAUGGUGCACGUUGUAACUGUGGAGCCCAUGGGUUAUUAGAAGGUCUAGCUUUAUUUUGGAAUGACACUAUCCAGUUAUGUGAAUCACAUUCUUGUCCUUUUACAUCGCAACUUUUAUAAAAGAUGGCUCAGCUGAUUGCAAAUAUUGGUGUUUAUUUGUGUAUGUAAGUACAGAUAGAGUCACUUGUAGAUAUCAUAUGCAAGAAUUAGUUUAAAAAUGGAUAGACACUUUAAUGAUAUUAUUGAUGGAUCGGAAAAACAAGGAGGAAGAAGUAGAGACUCUUGGACCUUUAGAGACUUUAAGAAGUUUAUAUAGAACUUAUGUGCAAUUGACUUAGGUUAUAAAGGAAAACCUUGGAUAUGGUGGUGCUACAGGGAAAAUAAGGGUAUAAUCCAGGAAAAGCUAGAUUGUGUCUUAGUAUAUCCUAAUUGGAAAAUUAAAUUCGAGAAUGCGAAUGUGCAACAUAUUGAAACUGAGUCAUCGGAUCAUUCUUCCUUGAUGUUAUCUUCUGAUGCUGAACCAAUUAGGAAGAAAAAACGAUUUUACUUUGAUAGAAGGUGGAUUGAGCGUGAAGGAGUUCUGAAUAUUAUUUCAAAAGCUUGGUCGUAUGAUUGUAAUGGCUUUGAGCAAUCUCAAGUUAGCUUUAAAAGCAUACAUAGUCGUGACCUUUGGAGAGAAUUAUUGACAUUGAGGGGAAUAUUACAGCCCUUAGGAACAUCCCCUCCUGUUGUUAUUACCGCUGGUGAUGCUACUGCCACCAACAGCAGUGCUUCGGCUGCUUUACCUAUAAUUCACGUGGUAUAAUUCAAUCCCGCGUCUCAGUUAACUAUCAAACUACAAGGUAACGUCAACUUCUCAACUUGGAAAGCACAACUUGUGAUGCUACUCAAUGGCCAUCAACUCAUGCGACAUCUUGACGGAUCAAACCCGGUACCACCAAUGCCUCUUGCACGAGAUAACCUUACGAAUCUAGAACCCAUAUACCAAAUCUGGUUCUCUCAUGACCAACUGAUCCAACAAGCAAUGAUGGCAUCUGUCGAUCCCACCAUUACACAGAUUGUUGCCACAACUCCAACUUCUCAGACAGUGUGGGAACUUCUUCACAUGGCUUACGCAAAUAAGAGCCACACUCGUUUUUUAGCUUGUAGGAACAACUGCAAAAUAUUAAGAAAGCGUCUAAAUCGGGUACAGAAUUCUUACAAGAGGUUCGAUCUGUUUCUGAUGCUCUUAAUGUUGUUGGUUCACCAGUACAAGAUGACGAACUUAUUGUAAAGAAUUCUAAGCGGCUUGGGCCCCGAGUUCCUGGAGAUUUCUGCUUCCAUAAGAGCACGUGACUCUUCCUUGUGUUUUGAAGAAUUGUUUCACAAGCUCAAAGAUCAUGAGCUCUUCCUCAAGCACCAAGACCUUGAGAACUCAUCUUCCAAUAUCACAGCUGCAGUAGCACAGAGGACAACCAUGACAUCCCGGUCUAACAGGAACAAUCGUCGCUUUAAGAAUAAAAAAUGGAACCAAUCUCUCGACAGUCAAACUUCAACAAUCAACAAUGGAACCAAUCUGCUUUUCAAUUUUCCAACUGCAACAAUCAGCAAAAUAUGAGAUCAAAGUUGUGACAAUUCGUUCGAUUCCAAUUGUGCUAAAAAUUUUGAAGCUAAGGCCAACUUUUCCUCUAAUUUGCAGUCAAUGGACAAUUCUUGGGUUCUCGAUUCCGGUGCGACUCAUCAUGUCAAGGCUGAACCUCAUAAUCUUGAAGAGUAUACAGGAAAUGAGGAAAUAUCUAUGGGUGACGGUAAAACCAUACCUAUUACUCAUACUGGUUUAACUCAAAUACAAACACCGAAUUAAUUAUGCAUUCAGGCUUUCUAACACUCUAUGUGCUCCAUCAAUUAAAAAAACCUUAUUUGUGUAGCCAAGUUUUUUCAAGACAAUCUCACAUUUGUUGAAUUUUUUCCUUUUGCUUUUGUUGUGAAGGCCCUGCAUACAUGAAGCCGCUGGUAGAAGGCCGAAAUAAGAAUGUACUCUAUGAAUGGGCCGCAUCCAUCAAUCUCUCCUCCACAAAGGUUCCUUUUCAGCUAUCGCAUAGUCGCUAGGGUCAUCCUCGUUCAACGAUUUUAAACUUUGUUUUAAAAAAAAUUUCUUUACCUGUUGCUACUAUAGAAAAUUUGAAUUUUGUAAUGCAUGUUCUUCUAAAAAAGCACAUUGUUUUCCAUUUGAACGAAUCACUUUAUCCAAUAAUGUACCUCUUGAGGUCAGUUUUAGCGAUUUAUGGGGACCAUCCCCCAUUUUAUCAGUAGACAAAAAAUUAUGUUAUUGUAUCUUUAUUGAUAAAUACACCAAGUAUACUUUGUUGUAAACACUUAAAAAUAAAAGUGAAGUCGCCUCUUUGUUCCAAACCUUUCGCCCUUUAGUAGAUAAUUUUUUCAAAACAAAAAUUAAAUAUCAUUAUACUGAUGGAGGAGGUGAAUACAAAAGUGUUGAGUCCUCUCUUCAAAAAAAUGACGUUGAACAUUUAGUUUCACCUCCAUACACGCCACAACGUGUUGCCAUAGCUGAACGUCAUCAUCGUCAUAUUGUUGCGACAUCCAAGACACUUCUCCAUGAGGCAUCCCUACCACCAAACCUAUGGUCUUUUUCCUGCCAUCAUGCUGUUUAUCUCAUUAAUUGGCUACCCAAUCCCAUCUUACAUAAUGCGUCACCCUUCCCACAAUUAUUUGGUAAACCACCAAACUAUGCCAAUUUUAAAUUUUUGGUUGUCUCUGUUAUCCAUGGCUUAAACCCUAUACCAAAAAUAAGUUGGAGCCUCAUUCCACCCCUUGUGUGUAUUUAGGUGUUUCACCAAGAUAUCAUGCAUACCUUUGAUUUCUCCCAAAGGCGGUCAAAUAUUAUUUUAUAAGUCGUGAUGUUCUCUUUUAUGAUUUUUUUUUUACUUUUAAAAUAAUGUUUCUACAGAUAAGGAAAAACAUUUGUCAACUGACCUGGGAAGACGUUACUCCAAGGAGGAAACUCAGAAGUCAGUUUCCACUCCAACUCCGUCUCAUGGUAUACUACAACCUAUACCAUUGUCCUUAGAAUCCAGGUAAUUCUAAACUUUCUUCUACUUCUUCCCAGCACAAUGCUUUCCUACAGGGCCAGUUGAUUGAAGAGGUUUUUAUGUCUCAGCCUCAAGGAUUUGUUAACUCAUAAUUCCCUUUCCAUAGAUUAAAAAAAGUCAUUUAUAGACUUAAAUAGGCACCACGGGCUUGGUAUACUGCACUACAUGAUCAUCUACAGAAAUGGGAUUUAUUAUGUCAAUCGGACACCUCUUUGUUUAUUUUGAAGAAUCUAGUUGUUACUGUCUAUGUGCUCGUCUAUUUUCUAAUGCUUUCUUACUCCUCCUUUUCAUCUCAACUUGGAAUUUGGUGUAAGGCAAGUUCCUAACUUAUAGUAGUGUGUAAUGACUUUCCUAAUGUGAUUUGGACUUAUCAAGUUGAAUUUGGUCUGAUGCUAAUUAAGAAAUUGAAUGUGAUUUUUUGGAUUCUCAUAUUAUUGGAUGGCGAAUUCUUGUAGUACAUAUUUACACCACCACCGUAGCUAAGGAAACUUCAUUGAUAUGUCGAAUUCACUACUCCUUCAAUGAAAACAGAGUUUGUAAUAUUAGUUCACAAAUUUUCAAAAAAUUAAACCAUGAAAGAGAUUUUGAAAUGAAUAGAAAAUUGUAGUACCUGGUGCACUACUGGUUCUUCAGCAUCAACAUUGCCAUGGAAAACCACAUAUGCAAUAUCAACAAUGUAAAAAUUGUAUCAAAGAGAAGCUUUGGUUUAUCCUUUCACCGGAUUGUGACAAUAGAGUAGUCUUUAUCUUACAAAUUAAGAACACUCACAUUAGGCCUGUCUUUUUCAUUAAAUCCUUUACCAGCAGCAUGUUCAUAAUCUAGGUAUGCAAACAUUAGUUGGUGAUUGUCUUCUCUCAAUAUUUGAGAGACCCUUGGAAUUCCUUAAUUAAUCACUACCUCUAAGUAUAUUUCACAAUAGUUGAUUCAUCAUAGACAAUUUUUUUCGGAUCAUUUACUGUACCUCCCGUUUCCUCAACUAGCAAUUGUUGGGCGUUAUGAGACCACACAUUAGCAUUAACCACAUUGAAUUUGAGAUUCGUGAGGACACUUAUAACACCUCGUAGCCAAAAUAGACCAAAAAGCAUCUUUACAGAAAGAUCUACAGGUGCAACCAACGGUGGCAUCGAUGGACCGUAGCCUGACCUACGGUCCGUCCUGCACAACCGUCUAUGAGAUCAGAAACUCCCAAAAACAUCAGCCUAGAAAAAUUGGUUAAGUCUUGGACGACGGACGACUUACGGUCCGUAUGUCAGACGACAGUCUGUAGUCCGUGACCAUUGAUAGAGACCCCCAUUCACCCACUCUUUGACAAGAUCUAUGGAUGACCAGCAUUGUUGGUAGUUGGACCUACCGACCGUAGGUCUGACCGUAUGUGGAAAAUUUGCAAACAGUUAAGGGGAAAUGUAGUUGGGUCAACUUCAAAUGGUCAUAACUCUUAUCAGACGACGGAACGUUAGUCCUGGCCAUCGUUUAUCCAACAGCAACUUAACCAGGAGUCUUUUGGUCUUUUUCCAUCGUUUAAACACUAAGUUGCGUCGUUUUGACCCUAAAAUCAUAAGAUUUUAUUUAGUUUAAGCCUAGAAACAUAACUAAAACAUAUCUAAGUCAAAUCGUUGAAUGAAAACUUAGAAAAUUAGAAGCAAAAAAGGAAAAAAAACUCAGCAACCCUAGUUCAAGAAGGCCACAAGCUCCAGCAGUUCUAGCCCAAAAAUUAGGUAUUUUUCCGUGGAUUUCAUCACCAGGCAUGUGGGAUUUCACUAGUGGGUUCCUUUCACCCAUUGGGUCCCUCGUUUUUAGUCAGAUUUUUUAUUCACAUGUCAUGAUUAGAUCUAGGGUUUCUAGAACUUCACGAGAACUUCAUGAACUUAUUAGUUAAAUGUUCCAAAUCAGAUUAACAUGUUAUUAUUAGUUAUAUGUUUCAAAUCAGAUUAACUUGUUAUUAUUUAGUUUAUUGCAUCAAUUUCAGAACCCUAGCUAAGUAGUUCUUUAGUUCUUUAAUUACACAUGCUAGGUCAGAUAUUUCAGACCUUUCACAUAUAUAUGCCUAAGUUUUAAAUGCAUAAUUACCAGAUAAAUUGUUGCAUUCUCAGUUUGCAUGUUCAGUUUAGAGCUAUCCAGUAUUUACAGAAACUCAGACAUAAUCAAUUAAUUUACAGAAUUCAUUGAGAGUAGCAUAAUAUCGAGCUGAAAUAGGGUUCAGCGUACCCAAUUAGUCCCAAAACUACUAGACAAGUAGGUUGUAAGUCCCCUCUGUGGGCAAUCAGUUGAGUGAUCACGCCAGCAUUCCUUUAUACCUCUGGCAAGGUAUACUGGGUCCUCUCGAUGGGGCGUAUAUAUCGGACGCCAUAUUUAUUUCAUGUUGUUAUAUUAUCGGUUAUUAGUAGCUCCCGCAGUUCAGUUUAACUCUUUACAUUGACCAAUUAUCAGUAUAUUAAGUAUUCAGUUUCAGCAUGUUAUAAAUUGGUCAUUGCAUCUAGUUAGCUUAGAAUUCUGUUUAUCAUGUCAAAUUUUUAUACUUGCUAUUAUGCUUGUUCAGUUAUGUUUUAUUUCAUCUUUACUCUAUUCUACAUAUUCAGUACCUUUACACAUACCUGUGGUACAUCUUCUUGUGAUGUAGGUUUAGGUUCUCAGCAUCCAGAUCACGCAUAGAUCGAUUUUCAAUCUUCAGUUCAGCAGAUUUAGUGGUGAGUCCUCAUUCUCCGAGGACAAUAGUCAUGAAUUUUAUUUCAGUCUUUAGUCAUUUAGUUUCAGUUUUUGCUAGAUCUAGCUAGGGCUUGUCCCCGUAUUUCUAGUCUAGUUUAGAGUCUUAUUUCUGACAUAGUUAGAUUCAACUUAGUAUUGAGUUAAUAUUUCCUUUGUAUUAAACUCAUUUUUUUCAUAUAUAUCAGUUUUAGCAUAUGAGUAUUCUCCAUCUUUGCAUUAUAAGUUAUGAUUUAGCUUCCGCAUCACUUUACUAACUUUAGUUUGCUCAUGAUCAUGCCAGCAGGGUUAGCUUGGAUCACUUGCGGUCCUACGUUCCAUGUUUGCGUCUCGGGGGUGGCUCGGAGCAUGACAACACUGCUCACCUGAGACAAUAGCCCUGGUCUAUCACUCGAGCUAUUGACUGAGGCACGAUCAUUAGUUGUUUUAAAGAUUUUCUUGGUAUGCUAUAAAAAGGAGUAAGACUAUUCCAAAUAUAAUAACUUGGACACAUUGUCAAACACCUUGAAUGUAUACUCAAACAAGUUUAAUUUUGUACAUUAUCCAGCUGAAGCAGACUAAAGGUUUAUAGUGACCCCGAGAACAUGUUGAGUUUUGCCUUAGCUUGUCCACUCUUGUGCUUUCUUUAAGUUGACAUAAUUAUAACCCUGCUUUACGUCUAAAUAUUACAACUUUUUAAUUCCACGAUUAUAGGAUAAUAGGAAUACCGACAAUACAUUAUAUCUUAUUUGUAAAAAUUUCUACAUAUGCAAAACCUAAUUCCAGGAAACUGAAGAUCAUGAUAAGUGUGCAUUUUUCCAUAUACUUUUUGUUUAUUUAUUUGCAACUUGCAAGCUCGUCCUUUACUCUAUUUUUUCAAAUAAAAUGAAACUGUAUAAACUUUGUAUUAAAGAAACUAACAAGUGUUCGUUUUAGCAGGAGCCUAAUAAAAUAGAAUAACAUGUGUUUUGUAGUAACAAUAUAUAUAUAUAUAUAUAUAUAUAUAUAUAUAUAUAUAUAUGCUCACUUGUAUUACUUCUCAUAUGCAAAUGAAUUUUUUAAGAGCUCAGAAUCAUUAUCAGAGUGGAAAAGCAUGGCUUUUCUCGAGAUCUCAUCAUAUCCCCAAUUAGUAAACACAAAAAAUCUGUGUGUGAAAGUGAGAGAGAAGUAGUAGCUGAGAUUUCAUGCAAAUGGAUAUUGGAUUUCACACAUCAAGGUAAAUAGAAAAUAACUUAUAAACUGACAGACCUCACUGAUCAUAACAACAUACAUAGAGUCCUAGUAGCCUCUUAUAAUUCUCUACAAUAAUACAAAAACAUGAAAUAUCAAAUUCGAAUAUAAUCAACUGAUAUCGUGAGGUUAAAGCUAAAGUUGUUUCUGGUAAUCUAACAGAAGGCGCAUAUAAAUUUACCUGUAUAUCUAGAACGUUGAGGCAACAACGAAAUUUGAAUAACCAACGUACCAUCUUUGUUAGUUCAGUCCAUAUAGUUCCUAUUGAUGGUUUUCACUACCGAGUGCCUAUAUUGAAUUCUUCAAAAGUAAUGUAUUUUUGAAGAAUUCGACAUGGAUGUGUCAACGUAAGGGAAGAGACCGUGCAACCUAGAUGAGAGAGACUAUAUCAUUCAUCUGAGAGCCCAAACUUAUUUGUCUUUUUAAGAACUAAAAUUUUCUAAAUGAGGAAGAUAUGUUUUUCUAUUGGACAACAUAAGCACAUUCAAGACAAUGGGGAAAGUAGCAAAUCUAAGUGACAUUAUAUUUCAGUCAAUAUUAAUUCAAAAGUCAGGGGAAGUAACCAAAUUUUAACCAUAGUUAGUUAAGAAGACUCGCCUUUUGUUCUUUUUGAUGGUAUGAAUGUUUCAAGUUUCAGACCUGCGCUUGAAGAUCCAAAUAGAACAACUUUUGCAUUCAUUUCAUCCAUGAGUAACAACUUGGUGGAGUUCCUCUGGAAAACCUUGGAUAUCCCUUACCAGCAUCAUGUGACUCUUUUCACUACUCUUUCCAACUCUAGAAUCAACAUGUUCCGACAUGGCAUCAUUUCAUUUCUUGAAUCUUAACCAUCCUUUAAAAAUCUUUCUAUAUAUCUUCACUUUGUCGUGUCUAUCAUAUAGGUCCUACUAGUAUUUGGAAGUUCUCUAUUUAUUUGUAUUUUGCAUAUUUAAUUUUUACUUAAAACAUACAAUUUUAUGGUCAGUCAAUGCUCCAGAAGAACAUGUAUAGGUCCUUUUUUCCAGUUCCUCCCCUCCCCCAAAAGGAUCAUCUUCAGUAACAUAUCAAGAUUCACAUUGAUUAGAAAAAGAUAAAAAAAUUUUAGAGGUGUCUAUCAUGAAGAAAAGAGGUUAAAAACAAUAAAAUACAAUAUCGAUUAUGAGAAGCCCUGCCAGAGAAGAAAAUAGCGAGAGGAAUAUCAAGGGAAAAACAAUUUUUAAACAUGCAUGAGUAAAUAAAAUUCAAUUAGAAACAUGAAAUUACAAAAUUCUACAAUAAACUACUCAAAAAGCGGAGAAUGCACAAUAAAAGAGCAGAAAUUAAAUACCUAACAGAUUGUAACUAUCAAAAACGUAACUUGCCAAGGAAAAAAAAAGAUAGAAGUGAGAAGAAUAAGAACGGGACGAACAACAAUUAUCAAGCAUCUAUGAGUAUAAAUUAAACUAAAUUAGGAACAAGCAAGAACAAAAUCCUACCAGAAUAAAAAUAAUCUAAUAAAUAACACUGAAGAACUGAAUUUGAGAUUGAGGGAUAAACAUUGAAGAGAAAAAAAUGAAAAAAAAAGUUAAAAAGGCUUACCUAUUCCAGGACUCAGAAGAUAAAGUAAUAGAAAAUCAAACUAUCAUAGAGAAGAGAUGAUUUCAGUUUCUUACACAUGUAUAUAAAAGGACUAUGGCUAGUAAAAUUGGUCUAGACAGAGCAAAAUAUUAAAGCAUUCACGGUAUACUUUAGAAUGCUUUUUGUACUACUAUAUGAUGCCAUGUUCGUCCCUCUCUUACUCGCUUAUAUUUAAGGGUAAUGUAAUCAUCUCAUUAUUGUUAUUAUACGCUAGUACAAUUUUCACUGGCUUGAAAGAAUUUAAUACAUUUUGUUCUAACAAAUGCUUCCAUACCAUAUCGAUUCCCGUUGAAUCAGAUUAAAUUCAAAUUAACAUCUUGAAUUAAUUAUUGAAUAUCAACAAUACAUCAGUUUUAAUUUUCAAAGUGGGGACGGCUAUAGCCGAUGCCGUACUACGAUUGCAAUUAAGAGAGCAAAACAAUGAUUUAUCGGAAUAGAAAUAUUGUCAAUGCAAAAAAUGCUUCAUCAAAAUUCUAAGGAAAAUUUCCUUUCAAGCCAAAAUCUGAUUCUAAUGUGUUAAAAGUCUACGUCUCAAGGAGUGAGUGCUUUUGUUUAAACAGCUGCGCAACUGCCUUUGUCACUUGUUCCCUGUAUUCUCAAAAAAAGCCUUUUUGAGUCAUGUCAUAUUUAUGUUCCCCACUUUACUUCAGUCUCUUUGAAUCCCGAUCUGCUGAUGUCUUCCCAAACCUCUUUUUACCAGAUAUAUCAUGCAGGAAAUGACAAGAGAAUCCUUUACGACAUCCCUUAGGUUUAUUAAAGAAAAUACAAGGUGUCCUGCUGCACGAAAUUGGUUUUUGUAAGCUUUCAUCAACCAUAGACUCAGUUUUUUCUCCACGUUGCUUGAUCAGAGAAUUGCAGUAAUUGUUGAUAUCUUUGUGAGUAUUCAUCUUGGAGGAAGGGCCAACAUUUGGUGAAAGAGUCAACUCAGGCUGCAAGGUGAUAGGACCAUAUCUGGAAACCAACUCAGAAAUUUCUCCUCAUGCAUUGUAAUGUACACCAUAUUUGCUAAUGAUUUCUUGAUAUUUUUGAGAUCAAGCUCUGAAGUUGAAUAGAUUAUUGACUUACUCUCUCUAAUGUUAGGCUUAGUCAUUGUCAAGGGCACAGAUUUUGCAGAUUCUGCAUGCGCAGCAUUGAGAGAAACAACAUUGGUAGCCAUGCCACGUUCAUUCAUCCGGUUGAGGAGAAGCCUAACAAAUAAAUUGGCAUCAAUCAGACUACCCUGCUCUUGAAGUGCAGCUACAACUGUGGCUAUAAGAACUGUCAAAUCAUGCAAUGGUGCUUCUUCUUCUAUAGAAAUGGUUCUGACUAUUUGAGUUUGACUAUCAUCAUAACCUUGUUCCAGGUUAGACAAGUUGUAAGAACUGUUAAAAAAGAAAGAAAAAUAUUCACAGAUUAAAACCAAGUAAAAUUAAGACAACGAAAGCUACGAAACAUUUAAAAAAUAAUCCAAAAAUUAGUUACUUUGGAGGAAUUGCAAACUUGUUAGGGAAAACUGCCUCAAUCACCCUCAUUUUCCUAUUCUCCUGCUUACUAGCGUCUUGACUCUCCUCACCAUCAUCCACUAGCCAUUUCUCAUUUAACUGGAACUACAAAUAACAACAGUUAAUGGGGUUAUCACAACAAUGUGUACAUAAACUAAUCAAAUAAAGGAAAUUCCUAUCAUCUAAUCUAAGAUUACCUUGGGAGGGCAUUUCCAUAUAGCCAAAUAUUUUGAAGAAAGUCUCUCUUCUGACUUCUUCAAGCAAUCUCUUCUUUUAGAUGAUGAUCCGUUGAUGCUUUGAUGUGUAUGUUGUUGAGAUCUGCUCCUAACUUCUGAUUGGCAAUCCUCUUUUCGAUAAGUUUUACCUGUUCAGUGGCAAAUUAUAAAAACUCGUUAAGGAGAAAUUUGAAGAAAAAAAUUCCCUGCUGUGUAAGAAAAUUACAUCCCUCUUUUCAAAUUUUUGGUGGGACAAACAGAGGAGAAAAAAAAAAGAUGCAUUAUGAGAAAUGGGAUAGAUUAUGAUUCUAAAUUGUACAUUAUGAGAAAUGGGAUAGAUUAUGAUUCUAGAUCAAUUUAGCUAUCUAAAAACUUUUAAUAUGGAUCUAUUAGCUAAGCAAGCUAGGCGGUAGGGGUGGGCAUAAACACCGAAAAAAUAGAAACACCGAACUGAACAAAUUUUUUCAAAAUUUCGAUUUCGGUUUUCGAUUUACACUUUUUUUUAUUUUUCAUUGCAGGUUAUAACGAUAGGUUAAUAUGUCACUAUACAAAAAUAGGAAACUUUGAAGUUAAGUAAGGUUACUACAUCGCAAAGGAUUUGAUCGGUAAGACAUUGACAAACUCCAAAGCUCAAGUGAGUAGUCACUCUUUUUCCAAAAUGCUUUUGGGACUUCUCGUGGAAGUUGGGAGUUAAAAAUAAGCUUAAACACUUUUUGAGAAAAUAUGUACUUGACUCUUUACCCAUCCAUAGUAAUUUAGCAAAAAGACUUACACAAUGUAGAUGAGACUUAGGGAAGAGUCUGUGCUACCUAGCCGAGAUAGACUAUAUCAUUCAUUUGAGAAUCCAAACUUAUUUGUCUUUUUAAGUACUAAAAAUUUCAAAAUGAGGAAGAUAUCUUUUUAUAUUGGACAACAUAAGCACAUUCAAGACAAUGGGGAAAGUAGCAUAUCUAAGUGACAUUAUAUUUCAAUCAAUAUUAAAUCAAAAGUCAGGUGAAAGAACCAAAUUUUAACCGUAGUUAGUGAAGAAGAUCACCUUUUUUUGUUUUUGAUGGUAUGAAUGGUUCGAGUUCCGGACCUGUGCUUGAAGAUCCAAACACAACAAUUUUUGCUUUCAUUUCCUCCAUGAGCAAAAACUUGGUCGAGUUCCUCAAGCAAAUCCUUAAUAUUCCUCACCAGCAUCAUGUGACUCUUUACACUACUCUUUCCAACUUUAGAAUCAACAUGUUUCGCCAUGGCAUCAUUUCAUUUCUUUAAUCUUAACCGUCCCUAAAAAUCUUUCUAUGUAUCUUCACUUUGUCGUGUCUAUCAAAUAGGUCCUACUAAUAUUUGGAGUUUUCAAUUUAUAUGUAUUUUGCAUAUUUAAUUUUAAAUUAUCACAUAUAAUUUUAUGGUCAGUCAAUGCUCCAGAAGAACAUGUAUAGGUCCUUUUUUUUUCGAGUUCCUCCCAUCCCCCAAAAGGAUCAUCUUCAGUAACAUAUCAAGAUUCACAUUAAUUAGAAAAAGCUAAAAAAAAAAUUAGAGGUGUCUAUCAUGAAGAAAAGAGGGUAAAAACAAUAAAAUCAAAAAUCGAUUGUGAGAAGCCCUGCUAGAGCAGAAAAUAGCGAGAGGAAUAUCAAGGGAAAAACAAUUUUGAAACAUGCAUGAGUAAAUAAAACCCAAUUAGAAACAUGAAAUUACAAAAUUCUACAGUAAACUACUCAAAAAGCGGAGAAUGCACAAUAAAAGAGGAAGAAACAGAAUACCUAACAGAUUGUGGCUAUCAAAAACGUAAACUUGCCAAGGAAAAAAAAGAUAGAAGUGAGAAGAAUAAGAAGGGGAACGAACAACAAUUAUCAAACUUCUAUGAGUAUGAAUUAAGCCAAAUUAGGAACAUGCAAGAACAAAAUCCUACCAAAAUAAAAAUAAUCUAAUAAAUAACACUGAAGAACUGAAUUUGAGAUUGAAUGAUAAACACUGAAGAGAAAAACAGAUGCAAAAAAAACGUUAACAAGGCUUACCAAUUCCAAGACUCGGAAGAGAAAGUAAUAGAAAAUCAAACUAUCAAAGAGAAGAGAUGAUUUCAGUUUCUUACACAUGUAUAUAAAAGGACCAUGGCUUGUAAAAUUGGGCAAGACAGAACAAAAUAUUACUUUAUACUUUAGAAUGCUUUUUGAACUACUAUAUGAUUCCAUGUUCGUCCCUCUCGUACUCGCUUAUAUUUAAGGGUAAUGUAAUCAUCUCAUUAUUGUUAUUAUUUGCUAGUACUAUUUUCACUGGCUUGAAAUAAUUUAAUACACUUUGUUCUAUCAAAUGCUUCCAUACCUUAUUGAUUCCCGUUGAAUCAGAUUAAAAUUCAAAUUAACAUCUUGAAUUCAUUAUUGAAUAUCAACAGUACAUAAGUUUUAGUUUUUAAAGUGGGGACGGCUAUAGCCGAUGCCAUACUGCGAUUGCAAUUAAGAGAGGAAAACAAUGAUUUAUCGGAAUAGAAAUAUUGUCAAGGCGAAACAAUGCUUCAUCAAAAUUCAAAGGAAAAUUUCUUUUCAAGCCAAAAUCAGAUUCUAAUUUUUUAAAAGUCCGCGUCUCAAGGGAUGAGUGCUUUUGUUUAAAUAGUUGCGCAACUGCCUUUGUCACUUGUUCCCUGUAUUUUAAAAAAAACCUCUUUGAGUCAUGCCAUAUUAAUGUUCCAUACUUUACUUCAGUCUCUUUGAAUCCUGAUCUUCUGAUGUCCUCCCAGACCUCUUUUUACCAGAUAUAUCAUGCAGAACGUGACAAGAGAAUCCUUUACGGCAUCCCUUAGGUUUAUUAAAGAAAAUACAAGGUGUCAAGCUGCACGAAAUUGGUUUUUGUAAGCUUUCAUCAACCACAGACUCAGUUUUUUCUCCAUGUUGCCCUGAUCAGGGAAUUGUAGUAAUUGUUGAUAUCCUUGUGAGUAGUCAUCGAUGAGGAAGGUCCAACAUUUUGUGAAAGAGUCAACUUAGGCUGCAAGGUGGUAGGAGAAAGAAAAGAUGCAUUAAGAGAAAUGGGAUAGAUUAUGAUUCUAGAUCAAUUUAGCAAUCUAAAAACUUUUGAUAUGGCGCUAUUGCUAAGCAAGCUUGGCGACUUCUAAUAGCAAGAGUUCUUAAAAGCAAAUAUUUUCCAAACUCACCUUUCUUAAAGCUUCAACAUCAUCUUCUGGUUCUUGGAUAUGGGAAAGAUCUUUUGACUAAAGGAUUAAGAAGGAGGAUUUAUGAUUGAAAAAAUAUUAAUUUUUUGAUCGACCCACGGAUACCAAAUAAUAAUGGUUUCAUCCCUAAAAGUAUCCAUGGGCAUAGAAAUUUAGAUUUAGUAGAUGGUUCAAUUGAUAAGAAUAUGCACUCAUGGGAAAUACAAGAGAUAAAUCCAUUGUUUGAACUAGAAGAUGAUAGUAAUAUAUUGUCUAUCCUGAUUUCUAUUGCAUGUUAUAAUGAUAGGUUAAUAUGGCACUAUACAAAAAUAGGAAACUAUGAAGUUAAGUCAGGUUACUACAUCACAAAGGAUUUGAUCGGUAAGACAUUGACAAACUCGAAAGCUCAAGUGAGUUGUCACUCUUUUUUCAAAAUUCUUUUGGGACUUCUUGUGGAAGUUGGGACUUGAAAAUAAGCUUAAACACUUUUUGAGAAAAUAUGUACUUGACUCUUUACCUAUCCAUAGUAAUUUGGCAAAAAGACCAACACAAUGUAGAUGAGACUUGUAAGAUUUGUGUUUUUGGACCUGAAGAUAUAGAACCUAUGUUAUUCAAACCUUGGUCUCAACUUGUAGUGGAGGCAUUGUUCUAUAAAUUUGCCUGAUAUAGGAAAUAUUACUGAUUUUUCAAUCUGAUGGUAUGACUUGUUCUUAAUUACCAAAUCUUUUCCUGAAUUUAUUGACUUGUUAAACUUUAGCGCUAACAUUAUUUGGCAAAUAGUUGGUUGUUUGAUCAAGAAAGGUUAGAACCAAGAGAUAUUGUUUCUACAUAUAUGUUUGAUUAUAAAGAGUAUAAAGAGUUACUAAAAAAAUGUAUUUCGUCUAGUUCCUCAAUAAAUUAUCUUGUGAUUAAAGUAACAAAAUUGCAAGAUGACAUUUUAUUGUUUACAGAUGCAGGAUUGAAGAAUGACGAUGGAAGGGCAAGUAUCGGUAUUGUGGCUAUGGAUAGCGUUGGGAACCUGCCUCAUGCGUGCUGAAGCAAUUGCUAUUGGGAAAUAUUUUGAAUCUUCUAUCAUUAAGGGAUGAAAGAGAGUGAAGAUUUAAUCAGAUCAUCGAAGGAAAUAUCUUGGGAGAAGAUUUUAUCAAGUUUGAUCAUCCAGGAUGCAAAAGAUAUAUUUAGACUAUGUAUUUUGUUGAUGCAAUAAUAAAAGGUGGUUUGUUUCGGAGAAAAAAAACCACUAACCCUUUAAAAGAGGGAUUAAAAAAAACUAUUUAGAAAAUAAUGAUAUCUCAAAUGUCUAAGUUGAGUAAUUUUAUUGAUACAAAAUAAAAUCCGAUGACUUUACUAUACAUAAUCCUAAAGUUGAGUGAUCAUUAGAAAUAUCACAUCUCUGAGAGACAAAUAUUUGAAAGUUAACUAUUUUAAGUAUUAAAUCUUCAUUUGACAUAUGCUUUGAUAACUUGAGGAAAAAAUUUACAUUUGAUUCUAUCAAAAUGAGUUUGAUUGGUUAUGAACGCCAUGAUUUACUAUAAGUAGCUACUAGGGCAUAAAUUUGUUUUUGACAUAUUUAAAUAUUUUGGGAGUUAGUCAUGUUUAUAUAGAUUGACUUCAGAUAAAUUUUGAUCGUUAUCUUGAAACUACACCUGUCGGUGUAUACUUUGACUCUACCUAAUAAGGUUGAGUCGAUUCGUGCAACACUACGCGAAGAUGACUUGAACAUGAGCUAGUAGGUUCUAUGAUAUUUGUCACAAAGUUGAUCACCUAUUUGGCCUUGGAUAUUGUGUUGGUAAUAGUAUAUUACUCCCCAAUAAAGGUACAAAAGAUUUUAAAACGUUUAGAUGAUUCUUAUGAUUCAAUUAAAUUUAAAUGGGAUUUGAUGAUUUUCUUUAAAUUAUCUUGUGAAUGGAAUUGAAAGUAUGUACGGUUGAGUUGAAUCAAAUUUACACUAGAUCCUCCGCGACUCAAAUAUAAAAUAAAUUAUUAUGUGACAUUUAAUGCAGUUUAUUCUACGUCAAAUAAUACUUGUAUUGAUUUCCUAACAAAGUUGGUUGACACUUUGUUGUGUUUCUUUAUGGUAUUCAUCCUUGUAAGGCUCUUAGAAUCACAUCCACAACUCUCCCUAUGAGUCGAGCCUCCUUUUCAGUCGAUCUUAGUUAGUUCCAUCUCUUAGUAGGGUAAUAACAGUACUAAAAGUCGGAUCUUUUAGUAAACCGGAGUCAAUAAUACUUAUUUGAGUAUUUUGAUGGUCUACUGAACCCUCUUUAAGGGACCCUCUAUUUUCCAUAUUUAAGGAUGAGGCGUGGCAAUUAAUUAGAGGACAAGGCUAAGUUACUCUUUUCUUGAGAUAUAUGUUUAGGAACAACUUUUAUUUUAUGUUAGCUAGUAUAUGUUUUUUUUUUCUUUUUGUCAGAAAUUGUCUUAAUAGUUUAUAUUUAUAUUCAAUUAUCAUAGAGAGGCUUCCUAGACCGAUGGUUGUAUUGAGUUGUAACAACAGAAAUGUACAUGACAUACAUGGAAAAACACAUUUAUUUUUCUUAUAAAAUGUAUAAAAAAAGUACAAAUUGUUUUCGCGGUCGAGGUGUGGAUUUGAUUAACACAUGUAGUCGAAUUCUAGUCACGUGGAUUUAGGGCGUAUUAAGUAAUCUUUCUACCAAUGGGCUAUCCAAAUAUUCUUUUGUGUAUGGGAAUUCAAAGUCUCAUAUAGUUAUGUCAAAGACCAUCGCCUCUUUCCCGGUAUGUUUCAAAUUUUAUCAAAAUCCUUUUGUCCUUCUUGCCUUUCACAUUUCAGGAAUGCUUAUUUGAGCAGAGAAUUAUGGAUUUCCUCUUCAAAAUGAGGGCUAUGGUGUGGAAUUGUUGAGGCCUGGCAGGAUCCUUUACAAUUUCCUUUUUGAAGGUGACAAUGAGUCUUCACUCUCCAAGUAUGAUUUUCUUAAGUGAAACAAAAAAGUAGAGAUAGCAUGGUUAAGAGGGUACAAAGACAAGUAAAUAUGGUGCACGUUGUAACUGUGGAGCCGAUGGGUUAUUAGUUGGUCUAGCUUUAUUUGUGAACGAUACUAUCCUGGUAUGUGGAUCACAUUCUUCUCCUUUUAUAUCGCAACUUUGAUACAAGAUGGCUCAGUGGUUGAAUAUUGGUGUAUAUUUGUUUAUAUAAGUACAGAUAGAGUCACUUGUAGAUAUCAGAUGCAAGAAUUAGUUAAAAAAUGCAUAAGAGACUUUAAUGGUAUUAUUGAUGGAUCGGAAAAACAAGGAAGAUGAAGUGGAGAUACUUGGACCUUUAGAGACUUGAAAAUUUUUUAUCUGGAACUUAGGUGCAAUUGACUUAGGUGAUAUAGGAAAACCUUUGACAUGAUGGUGUUAUAGGGAAAUUGAGGGUAUAAUCCAGGAAAGGCUAGAUUGUGUCUUAGUCUCUCCUAAUUGAAAAAUUAAAUUCGAGAAUGCUGUUGUGCGGAAUUCGAGAAAAUAUAAAUGUGAAAAACUAGACAACAGAUUUACGUGGUUCACCAAUAAAUUGGCUACGUCCACGGGAAAGAGAGGGAGCAGUUUUAUUAUGGAGAGACAAAAACAGAAUUCAGAAUAGGGUUUGCCAUAGCGUCUAUAUAUAGUGCUAAGCUACGCCCUAACAGGCUUGGGCCCAAAAUAUAGAAUUGACAGAUAAUUAAGGGCCCAAACUGACCCCCGUUCUUUCUGUUGUAACGGGUACGAUUCAAGGCAUUCAACAAAUCUCCACCUUGACUUGAAUUCUCCAAACAGAUUCUUCAGACGCACUAUGAUAGUUCCAGGCCUCCCCCUCUUCCUCAGAAUUGCCCCGCAGGGCAAUUAACAGCUUCUGAUGUCGAGCAAGUCCAAACAGUGUUGAAAGUUGCUCUGUGGAACCAGCUUUGUGAACAUAUCAGCAGGAUUAUCAGCAGUUCCUACUUUCUUCACCUUGAUUCUCUUCUCACUUCUCAGAAAAUGAUACCUCACGUCAAUAUGCUUGGUUCUCUCAUGAUGGACUUGAUCCUUGGCUAGACAAAUUGCGCUCAAACUGUCACAAUGCACCGUAGCCUGAUCAUGAUGCAGACCAAGAUCACUAACCAGCCCUUUCAGCCAAAUCCCUUCUUUUGCAGCCUCUGUCAAGGCCAUGUACUCCGCUUCCGUAGUAGACAAAGUCAUUGUAGGUUUCAAAGUUGCCUUCCAACUGAUGACAGAUCCUCCAAGGGUAAACACAUAGCAAGUCAUCGAUCUUCUUAUGUCAACAUCUCCAGCAUAGUCAGAAUCAGAAUAGCCAGUAACAAAGCACUGAGUAUCACUUCCAUAAAUGAGACCAACGUCAGAUGUACCUCUAAGGUACCGGAAAAUUCUCUUCACACAGCCUGCCAAUGUUCUCUCCCUGGUUGUCCCAUGAAUCUGCUCACUACACUGACUGCAUGUGCUAAAUCUGGCCUUGUACAGACCGUAGCAUAUAUCAAACUUCCUACGACACUAGCAUAAGGGACUCGUGACAUAUACUCCUUCUCUUCUUCUGACUGUGGAGCGAACAUGGCAGUGAGAUGGAUAUUGGCAGCACUGGGGGUAUCAAUAGGCUUAGAUGAAGACAUGCGAAACCUCACCAAGACCUUCUGAAUGUAGCUUCUCUGUGACAAGAAAAGUUAUCUUCUCUCUCUGUCUCUAAUGAUCUCCAUCCCUAGAAUCUUCCGAGCGGCUCCCAGAUCCUUCAUCUCAAACUCAGCACUAAGUAAACCCUUCAGCUUCUGAAUGUCAUACUUCUUCUUUGCAGCUAUCAGCAUAUCAUCUACAUAAAGCACCAGAUAGAUGAAUGAAUCAUCCUUGAGCCUAUUGUAGUAGACACAACAAUCAUAUGAGCUCCGAGUAUAGCCCAACUUCACCAUAUAAUUGUCAAACCUUUUGUACCACUGCCUUGGAGACUGCUUAAGUCCAUAUAAGGACUUCUUCAACUUGCAGACGUGAUUUUCCUUCCCUGGAGCUUGGAACCCAUCCAGCUGAGUCAUGUAUAUCUCUUCCUCCAACUCUCCAUGUAGUAACGCUGUCUUCACAUCAAGUUAUUCAAGUUCCAGAUUCUGAUGUGUAACUAUCGCUAGUAAUACUCGGAUGGAAGUAUGUCUGACCACUGGUGAGAAGAUCUCAUUGUAGUCCACUCCCUCUCUUUGGUUGAAACCUCUGGCAACAACCCUGACUUUAUACUUGACUCCUUCUGCUGGUGAUAUCCCUUCCUUCUUCUUGAAAACUCAUUUGCAAGUAAUAAUCUAUCUCCCCGAAGGUUGUAUGACCAAAUCCCAUGUCUGAUUCUUGUGUAGGGACUCCAUCUCAUCUCCCAUAGCAAGAAACCAUUUUUUAGAAUCAGGACUUAAAAUGGCUUCUUUGUAAGUAGACGGCUCAGAUGUAUCUACCUCUUCAGCAACCUGCAGUGCAUAACCCACACUGUCCUCAAAACCAUACCUCGUAGGUGGCCAAACUCCAACCCUCCUUGGCUGAUCUUGAGCUAUACUCUGAUGGAUAUCUGAUGGCAUAGAUUCUGGAAUAUCAGUUUCUGUCUGUGGCUCUUGAUCCUCCUCUUCAGGUUCUUUCGAAUCGCUCUCAUUCUGAAUGACUUUAAACUCCACCUGUUUAUCAAGACUCCCAGUUUCUGACGUAGUUGUAGGCUUCACAAUGGUUCUAAGCAGAGAACUUUCAUCAAAGACAACGUUCCUGCUCAUAAUAACCCUCUUUUCUGCUGGAGACCAGAUUCUGAAACCUUUCACUCCAUCUCCGUAGCCCACAAAUACUCCCUUUUUAGCUCUUGGUUUUAACUUACCUUCACUGACGUGAUAGUAAGCCGUACAACCAAAAGCUUUCAGAUUUGAAUAAUCAGCAGCUUUUCUUGACCACAUCUCCAUAAGUGUCUUGCACUGUAUGCUUUUAUGUGGUCCGCGGUUAACCAAGUAGCAAGUUGUACUAACCGCUUCUGCCAAGAAUCAUCUAUCUAGCCCAGCAUUAAAGAGCAUGCACCUUGCUCUCUCCAGAAGUGUUUGAUUCAUCCGCUCAGCUACACCAUUCUGCUGUGGUGUAUUUCUGACUGUACGAUGUCGAGCAAUCCCUUCACCCUUACAGAAUUGAUCAAAUUCAGACCAGCAGAAUUCCAGCCCAUUAUCAGUUUGCAACCUCUUGAUCUUCUUCCCUGUUUGAUUUUCCAUCAAAAUUUUCCACUCCUUGAACUUCUGGAAAGCUUCACUUUUAUGCUUCAUCAUGUACACCCAAGUCAUCCUUGAGUAGUAUUCAAUAAUGGACACAAAAUAUUUGCAGCCUCCCAAAGACUCAACACGGCAUGGACCCCAGCAAUCAGAAUGGAUGUAAUCAAGUGUGCCUUUUGUUCUGUGAAUGGACUUUGGAAACUUGUUGCGAUGUAGUUUUCCAAAGACAUAAUGUUCACAAAACUCUAGGCUCUUAACCUUAUGACCAGCAAGAAGAUCCUCCUAUGACAGAAUUUGCAUCCCUCUUUCACCCAUAUAACCAAGUCUCAUGUGCCAUAACUUAGUCAUAUCCUCCUGGUGAACUUCUGACGAUGCAACAUGGGCUGAACCUGUAACCGUGGAACCUUGUAGAAAAUACAAAGUACCACACAUGACACCUUUCAGAAUCAGAUUUGAACCCUUCCAGACCCGCAAGACUCCAUCUUUUCCCAACCAGUUGAAUCCCUUGUUGUUCAAAAAACUGAGAGAUAUCAGAUUUUUCGUCAUCACUGUAACGUGCCUAACCUCGUUCAAUGUGCAGAAGCUACCGUUAUGUGUCCUUAUCUUGAUCGAGCCUGUCCCAACCACCUUGUAGACAGAAUUGUUGGCCAUCGAGAUACUGCCUCCGUAUACCUGCUCAUAAGUCGUGAACCACUCUCUCCUAGGACAGAUGUGAUAGGAUGCCCCAGAAUCGAGAACCCACACAUCUGAAUGAUGAGUGUGCUCAUCCGCAACUAGGGCAAUGUCUUCUUCAGAAUUGGUGUCUUCUUUAGCAAUAGCAGCAGAAACUGAUUGUUUUUCCGAUUGCUUCUUCUUCUUCGGACAAUCAAAUUUCCAAUGUCCCUUCUCCUUGCAGUAAUUACAAACAUCAUCCGGCUUUGCACCCUUCGACAUCGGCUUAUUUUUUUUCCGCCUUUUUUCCUUUCCUUUCCGCUACUGGUGAAUAGACCGGAAGGCUGUAUGUUCGUACUUGUGCCGUUAUCCUUAUGUCGUAAUUCCCUGCUAUGAAGGGCCGAUCUGACUUCUUCCAGCGACACAGUAUCUUUCCCAACAAUGAAUGAUUGAACAAAAUUCUCAAACGAUAUUGGGAGAGAUACUAACAGAAUCAGGGCAGCAUCUUCAUCUUCGAUCUUCACAUCGAUAUUACGCAAUUCUAAUAACAAAGUAUUCAAUUGCUCUAAAUAUUCCCUGAGUUGUGUACCUUCAACCAUUCGUAAACCGAAUAGACGUUGUUUCAGAAGCAGCUUGUUGGUUAGAGAUUUUGUCAUGUACAAACUCUCCAGCUUCAACCACAGACCAGCAGCAGUCUCUUCAUCCGAGACCUCUGUGAUGACGUCAUCCGCGAGAUACAGCAUGAUCGUCGAGUGCGCCUUUUUCUUCCAGAAUCGCCAUCUCAGGAAUAACGACGGCGUUCUUGUCUUUCGACAACGGCGCCCAGAAGCCUUGCUGUUUCAACAAAGCCCGCAUCUUGAUCUUCCAUAAACUGAAACUGUUCCUCCCUGUGAAUUUGUCGAUUUUCACGUUCAAAGCAGACAUAUCGAAUUCUUCAAGAACACCAAUUAAUCGAGAGGCUCUGAUACCAAUUUGUUAUGCGGAAUUCGAGAUAAUACGAGAAAAUAUAAAUGCAAAAAACUAGACAACAGAUUUACGUGGUUCACCAAUAAAUUGGCUACGUCCACGGGAAAGAGAGGGAGCAGUUUUAUUAUGGAGAGACAAAAACAGAAUUCAGAAUAGGGUUUGCCAUAGUGUCUAUAUAUAGUGCUAAGCUACGCCCUAACAGGCUUGGGCCCAAAAUACAGAAUUGACAGAUAAUUAAGGGCCCAAACUGACCCCCGUUCUUUCUUUUGUAACGGGUCCGAUUCAAGGCAUUCAACAAAUGUGAAUGCGCAACGUAUUGAAACUCAGGCAUCAGAUCAUUCUUCCUUGAUGUUGUCUUCAGAUGCGGAACCAAUUACGAAGAAAAAAUGAUUUUACUUUGAUAGAAGGUGGAUUAAGCAUGAAGGAGUUUAGAAUAUUAUUUCAAAAGCUUGGUCGUAUGAUUGUAAUGUCUUUGAGCAAUCUCGAGUUAGAUUUAAAAUCAUACAUAGUCGUAUACCUUUGGAGGCUUGGAGGGGGGAGUAAUGGGAAUGCAAUAAAGACAAUUAUUGACAUUAAGGUGAACAUUACAGCCCUUAGGAACAACACUAGUAAUUUUGACUGGAGUAAAUUAAGGUUACUAAAAAGGGAACUAAUCAAAACCUAUAACGAUGAAAAGAACUUUUGGAAACAGAAGUCUAGAGCAUUAUGGUUGCUGGAUAAAACUACUUCAAUACUUUCACAUGGCAACCCAACAGACAUCUGAUGGGAAGUGGAUGGUAGACCAAACUAAUAUAAUCCAAGAAGUUGAGCAAUAUUAUAAUAGUUUGUUCUCUGUGUAAAUAAAAUCUUGGCAACAAUUAAUUUGACAGCCAUACUUGUUGAAAUUACUAUCUACAAAUGUGAAAACUGGUAUGCACCAAUGUGAAAAUUAGUAUCCACAUUUGUGGAAGUAUGUAGUCAAAGUUUGGUAGAGUUUGGCAGCCAAUUUCUUUGUGGAAAUUGGCUACCACAUUAUGCCAUUAAUGAUGUAAUCAAGUCUUCAAAAAAAAUCUAUAAUAGAGUUGUAAAUGAACACUUGAAGACACAUCAAAAUAGAGAAGCAAUAGAGAAUAGAGAGAGUAAUCCACACACUACUUCUUUGUUGUGAGAAAAUAGUGUGGAAGUAAUAUUAUUUUGAUUUUUAAGAAAUAAAAGAGUGUUGAGUAGUAGUCUUUUGGAACUACCAAGUUUUUCAUCAAGAUUAUUGCAUUACAUAUUCAGGCAUCAUAUUUCCCAUUUUAUAUUUGGUGUCGUUAUUACUCUCUUCCUAUUGCUAUUUAGUUUGGAAAUUAUCAUGGGUGUGAUUAUCAUUUUUCCCAACAACGUGGUAUCAGAGUCAUGACGAAUAGUAGUCCGUAGUCCUUUCAGCACCCAUGUCUCACAAGAGAAAAUUAUGAAAAAUGAUGUCUAUGAAUGAAAGUCAUUCUUGGCUAUCAACAUGUUUGGGAUAUUGUAGACAAAGGGUAUACAAAACCCGCAAAUGAGGAAACUUUUCCCUCAAAUGAAAAAGAGGUCUUGUUAAAGACAAGAAAGAAAGAUUAACAUGCCCUCACUCUUAUCCAUCACUGUUUGGAUUUGUUAAGUUUUGAGGGGUAGGUGGUUUAGGAAUCAUGUAAGAGUGUUGGAGAUCUAGCGUAUCUUGGUAUGAUGUUGUAGAGGAGGCAACCACCUCAAAAGAAGCGUGGGAGAUUUUACAAAUUUCUCUCCAAGGAGUUGAUAUAGUAAAGAAGGUACAACUUCAAACUCUAAGGGCUAACUUUGAAGUUCUAAAAAUGAUAAAAUUCGAAACCAUUUUGGAUUUCUGCUAAAGAUUGAUGGUUCUUGUAAAUUAACUAAGAAGAUACGGGGAGGAAGUAGAUGAUGUGCGUACGGCAGAAAACAUCCUUUGUCAUUAACAUCUAAAUUUGAUUAUGUGGUGUGUGCUAUUGAGGAGUCUAAAGAACUAGACUCUAUGACGGUAGAACAAUUGGAAGGUUCUUUACUAGCCUAUGAAGAGAAAAUGAAAAGGAGAAAAGAAGAGCAACUUCUUAAACUCAUACAUCCUUCAAAGGAUUUGAAGGUUACAAAAGUUACAAAGGAAAUGGACAAUGGCGAGGCCUUUGAGGUCUUGGAAGAGGAAGAAGUUGUACCAAUCAUUUCAACAAUGAAGAUAAAGGUCACCAGUCAUUCAGAGGUCGUGGUCAUGGUCAAUGAGGAGGCAAAGUACGUGGAUCCUAUCAACGUACAAAUGAAAUGAGGUAUGACAAAUCUAAGUGUUAUAACUGCCAUAAAAUGGGACAUUACUCUUGGGAAUGUCAGAGUAAUGUUGAAGAGAAAGUUAAUCUUCUUGACAACAACAAAGAUGAAGAUGAGCAACAUUCUUAUUAACACUCAAAGAAAAGGAUAAAGAUGAUUGCAGCUCAUGAUAUCUUGACAAUGGAGCAACAAAUCAUAUGUGUGGCCACAAAGAUGAAUUUGUGGAGAUAAAUAAGACCGAAAAAGGUAAUGUGUCUUUUGGAAAUACCUCAAUUCCAAAUUGAAGGGAUAGGUAUGAUUCUGAUAUCCUGUAAAGAUGGUGGUCAUAAAUUGAUUACUAAUGUUUAUUAUGUGCCAAAUUGAAAAGUAAUAUUUUGAGUUUUGGUCAACUUAUUGAAAAGGAUAUGAUAUUCAUAUGAAAAAUAUGCAUCUUUGGCUAAUAGAUUCAACUAACAACUUAAUUGCUAAAGUUCAUAUGGAAAAGAAUAGGUUGUUUCCUUUGAAUCUUCAACCUAUCGAAGCAAAGUGUUUGAAGGCUAAUGUGCAAGAUGACUCAUGGUGCUGGCAUAUGAGAUUUGGACACUUGAACUUUGAAACGUUCAAACCAAUGGGAGACAAGAACAUGGUUGAUGGGACACCAUCAAUCAACCAUCCAAAUCAAUUGUGUGAAGCUUGUAUUCUUGGAAAAGAUGAAAGGAGGAGUUUUCCAAAGGAGACUACAUCAAGAACAAGUAAGCCACUUCAACUUGUACAUACUGAUGUGUGUGGUCCAAUCGAUCCACCAUUCUUUUGGUAUAAAAAAUACUUCUUGCUCUUUAUUGAAGAUUUCAGUAGAAAGACUUGAGUAUACUUCUUGAAGCAACAAUCUUAAGUUUUUGUUUCCAUUAAAAAUUUCAAAGCACUUGGAAAAAAAGAAAGUGGCUAUGAAAUAAGAGCAUUAAGGUUUGAUAGAGGAGGUGAGUUCACUUCAAAAGAAUUUAAUGACUUUUGUCAAUCUCAUGAAAUUCGUCGCCCUCUAACGGUACCUUACUCGCCCCAACAAAAUGGAGUUGCAGAAAGAAAGAAUAGAACAAUUCUUAAGAUGGCUAGAUGUAUGUUGAAAGCGAAACAUCUACCAAAAGAAUUUUGAGCCGAGGCUGUUUCUUUUUCAAUUUAUUUGAGCAAUAGGUCUCCGACAAAAAAUGUAAGAGAUCAAACACCUGAAUAAGCAUGGAGUGGAAGAAAGCCAAUUGUUAAGCACUUGAGAAUCUUUGAGAGCAUAGCCUAUGCUCAUGUUCCACAUCAAGGGACAAUUAAACUUGACUAUUGGAGUGUCAACUAUGUGUUUAUUGGCUAUGACGCAAGUUCAGAAGGCUACAAUUUGUACAAUACAAGCAAUAAAAAGUUGGUGGUGAGUCGUGAUGUUAAAUUUGAUGAACAAGCAUAAUGGAACUUGGAGGAUCUGGAAGAAAAAAAAUAUGAUUUUCUUCUAUACUUCGAAGAUGGAGAAGAACAAGAGACCAUGGCACCUGCAAAGGAUACAACCCCGCCUCCUUCACCAGCAAAUGUUGCAUCUCCAUCUUCAUAAGAGAUUUCAAGUGAAAGACAACAUAGGAUAAGGAGCAUUCAAGAACUCUAUGAUGACUCAGAAGAAAUUACUAAUUUUGAUUUUUUUGUGUUCUCUCUUUGCUGAUAGUGAACCAAUGAAUUUUGAUGAAGUUAUUACUAACAAAAGGUGGAGACAAGGGAUCGAGGAGAAGAUCCAGUCAAUAGAAAAGAACAACACUUGGGAGCUAACAAUUCCUCCCAAGGACCAUUGAGAAAUUGGAGUCAAAUGGAUAUACAAGACGAAGAAAAGUGCCCAUGGAGAAGUAGAAAGACACAAGGCAAGACUUGUGGAUAAAGUCUACAAACAAAGGCAUGGCAUUGACUAUGAGGAAGUCUAUGCACCUGUUAGCUACAUGGAGACAAUCCGUCUAUUGUUCUAUUUAGCGGCGCAAAUAAAGUGGAAGACCCAUCAACUAGAUGCCAAAUCGGUAUUGUUAAAUGGAUAUCUUGUAGAAGAAAUCUAUGUUGAGCAACCAUUGGGUUUUGUGGUUAAAAAUCAUGAAGAUAAGGUGAUGAGGUUGAAGAAAGACUUAUAUGGGAUGAAGCAAGCUCGACGAGCUUGGAAUAGUUGCAUUGACAAUUACUUUCAAGAUAACGAGUUAACUCCUUGUCUCCAUGAAUAUGCUCUUUACAUUAAAGUUCAUACUAAUAGAGAUAUUCUUUUUUUUUAUUUAUGUUGAUCAUCUCAGUCUAACGGGUAACAACACAGCUUUGUUUGAAGCUUUCAAUAAAAGUAUGUCCCUUGAGUUUAAGAUGACGGAAAUAGGGCUCAUUUCCUAUUACUUAGGCUUAGAAGUGAAGAAAAUGGAGGAAGGCCUCUUCAUAUCUCGAGAAAUUUGUACAAAGGAGAUUUUGAAGAAGUUCAACAUGUUUUAUUGCAACCCUGUGAACACCCUAAUGAAAAGUGGAACAAAAUUGUCAAAGUUUGACGAUGGAGAAAAAAUUGAUUCAACUUUGUUCAAAAGUCUCAUUGGAAGUCUGAGGUACUUGACAUGUACGAGAACAUAUAUAAUCUUUGCAGUUGGAGUAGUAAGUCGCUUAAUGGAAGCUCCUACCUCCACUCACUUGAAGGUCGCUAAAAGAAUUAUUCGCUACCUAAAAGGUAUAAUCGACCUUGGACUAUUUUAUUCUUCUUCUGACAAUUUUAAUCUUAUGGGAUAUUGUGUUAGUGACUAUGCGGUAGAUGUUGAUGAUAGAAAAAGCACAUCAGGUUUUGUGUUUUCUUAGGUUAUUAUGUUAUUUCUUGGAGUUAAAAGAAACAAUCAAUUGUUACUCUCUCGACUUGCGAAGCUAAAUAUGUGGCAGCGACAUCAUAUACCUGUCAUGCUAUUUGGUUGAGAAGAUUGUUGAAGGAACUCCAUUUGCCACAAAUUGAAGCCAGAAUGAUUUGUGUUGAUAACGAAUGUCCGCAAGCACUAGCAAUGAAUCUAGUGUAUCAUGAUCGAAGCAAGCAAAAACAUAGACACAAGGUAUAACUUUAUCCAAGAAUGCAUUUCCAAGAAAGAGGUAGAGCUCAAGUAUGUGAAAUCUCAUGAUCAAGUUGCGGAUAUCUUACAAAGCCUCUCAAGUUUGAAGAUUUUCAGAGAUUGAGAUCAAGCCUUGGAGUAAAGAAUAAAAAUAAGGGAGGGAGUUGUGUAAAUAAAAUCUUGGCAACAAUUAAUUUGUCAGUCAUACUUGUUGAAAUUACUAUCUACAAAUGUGAAAAUAGGUAGCCACAUUUGUAGAAGUAGGUAGUCAAAGUAUUUUAUAAGUUUGGUAGAGUUUGGCAGCCAAUUUUUUUGUGGAAAUUGGCUACCAUAUUAUUUCAUGAAUAAUGUAAUGAAGUCUUCAAAAAAACUCUAUAAAUAGAGUAGUAAUUGAACACUUGAAGAAACACCAAAAUAGAGAAGCAAUAGAGAGUAGAGAGUAAUCCACAAACUACUUCUUUGUUUGUGAGAAAAUAGCGGAAGUAAUAUUAUUGUGAGUUGUAAGAAAUAAAAGAGUGUUGAGUGGUAGUCUUUUGACGCUACCAAGUUUUUCAUCAACAUUAUUGUAUUACUUAUUCGGGUAUCAUAUUUACCCAUUUUAAUAUUUGGGGUCUUUGUUACUCUCUUCCUAUUGCUAUUUAGUUUGGACAUUAUCAUGGGUGUGAUUAUCAUUUUUUCCACGUUCUCUACAUCUAACCCUAUAGACUAGGACUGUAUUUUGAAUCAUGUUAAAGUGAUUGUUAGUGAUUCUAUAAAUCAGAGUUUAAUUAAGGAAGUUGAUGAUGAGGAAAUAAAAAAUGUGGUGUUUGUGAUGCAUCCUCUUGACGCACCUGGUCGAGAACCUAUGACAAAGUAAAUAAAAAAUGCCUUGUUUAAAAGACAAAUGCAAGUGUAGGCAAAAAUAUAUGGCUAUAAAAUUGGAUAUGUCGAGAGCCUAUGACAGAGUCAAAUGGAUUUAUUUAUAAGAAAUGCUUUUACGAAGGGAAUUACAUAAAAGAUUUGUCAAAUGGAUUAGCCUACCAGAGGGAUAAGACAAGGGGAUCCACUGUCACCAUAUUUUUUUUAAUAUGUUAUGAAGGUUUAUCUAUAAUGAACAUAUUAGAGGAACAAAAUGAAAUCCAAGAGAUAAAGUUGAAUAGUCAUUGGCCGAGCGAAUCUCAUAUUUUUGCUGAUGACUCCUUUAUAUUUUGUUCAGCUAUAAAUUGAAAUGCAAGUUGUGUAGACAAUAUCUUAAAGAAAUAUGAACGAAGCUCUAGGCAAGUGGUAAUCUAGAUAAAUUAACUAUAUGUUUUAAUAAAAAUGUGAGAGAGGAGGAGAAAGUUGAGAUAUCGUCGUUGCUUGGACAAUGACAAAGAAAUGACAUGGGUAUGUAUUUAGGCUUACCGGUUGUUUGUGGGACGUUGCAAGAAAAAGGAUGCUAGAGUUUAUAACAGUAUGAGUCAAAGACGAAAAUAAAAGGAUGGAAGGGAAAAUUUUUAAGUACUGGGGGAAAAGAAAUUAUGCUUAAUUCUGUGAUCCCUACAUUUGCUUUGUCUUUUUUCCAAUGGUUUGUGUAAGGAAAUUAUAUCCCUCUUUUCAAAAAAAAAUCUGCGAACAAACAGAAGAAAAAAAAUGCAUUUUGAGAAAUGGGAUAGAUCGAUUAUGUGAUUCUAAAUCAAUUUAGAGAUCUAAAAUCUUUUAAAAAGCUCUAUGAGCUAAGCAAGCUUGGCGACUCUUAUCGCAACCAGAUUCUUGGAUAGAUCGAUUAGGUGAUUCUAAAUAAAUUUAGAGAUCUAAAAUCUUUUAGUAUGGCUCUAUUAGCUAAGCAAGCUUGGCGACUUCUAUUGCAACCGGAUUCUUUAAUAGCAAGAGUUCUUAAAAGCAAGUAUUUUCCAAACUAAACCUUUCUUAACAUCAUCUUCAGGAUCUUGGAUAGGAAAGAGUAUUUUGCGGAGAGAUCUUUUGACUAAAGGAUUAAGAUGGAGGGAGGAUUUCUGACGAAAAAAAUAUUAAUGUUUGGAUUGACCCUUGGAUACCAAAUAAUAAUGGCUUCAUCCCUAAUAUUAUCCGUGGUCAUACAAAAAUAGGAAACUAUGAAGUUAAGUCAAGUUACUACAUCGUAAAGGAUUUGAUCGGUAAGACAUUGAAAAACUUGAAAUCUCAAGUGAGUUGUCACUCUUUUCCAAAAAGCUUUUGGUACUUCUCGUGGAAGUUGGGAGAUAAACAUAAGCAUAAAUUUUUUUUGAGAAAAUGUUACCCGUAUUAAGCAUAAUUAUUUAAUCCUAUAAUAAGUUAAUGCCUUUUAGUAUCUGUAGAAGACUCCUACUAUUGUAUGAGUUUAUUGUUGUUGUAUAUUUGUAGAAGAGUCCUCCAUCGGUUAGGAUUUUAUGUAGCAAUUAGCUUCCUUAAGUUUAGCUAUAGGUUUUUGUUAUUGGUUGUAUUUAACGCUUCGAUGCUGAAAUAAUAAAAUCAUCUUUUGACUAUUUUUGUCUAUCUGAUUUUAUAGGGUAUCAGAGCCUCUAGCCUCUUACGAGGCAGAUCCUUUCUGUUUUUUUUCUCAUCCCCACUAUGACUACAUUUCAAGAAACUCCUCCUCUUGUUAUUACAGCUGGUGAUGAUACUUCCACCAACAGCAGUGCUUCGGCUGCUUCACGUGUAAUUCAUGUGGUAGAAUUCAAUCCCACGUCUCAAUUACCUAUUAAACUACAAGGUACCCUCAACUUCUCAACUUGGAAAACACAACUUAUGAUGCUACUAAUGGACAUCAACUCAUGUUGUUGGGUUUUAAAGGUGUGAAUGGAAAAUGAAGAUUGCGACUUUUAUGAAAAGUUGUGACUUUUAUGAAAGGGUGCGACUUUUAUGUAAAGUUGUGACUUAUAUAAAAAGUUGCGACUUUCAUGAAAAGUUUUACUUUUAUGAAAGGUGACGACCUCUCCGAAAGAUUGUGACUUUUCCAAAGUUUUGUGACCUUUCUGAUAAGGCACAAUAAGGAUCUUUUCGCACAUUCCUUUUUUUUCUAUAAAUUGAGGGAUUUCCUCUCAUUUUAAAAAUAGAAUUUAUGGACUUCUUCUACUACUACUAAAUCUAGUAUUCUAAGUGUACUUUACUGUCGUUGAGUGAAUCGUUGAGACUAGCGUUUUGGGUAUCAAUACAUUGGUGAUUGAGAUCAUUCUAUCUUGGUAUGACAUAUUCCAAAUCAAAUCUCGGAUACUAGAGGGGAAUAACUUUUCUUAAGGGGACACUGUGUAUUCUUUGGGCUUGAUCUUCUUUCUAUUUUUUCCAGAUUCUGGUAUGUGUUACAAAUUUUAGAUUUGUGAAUUAAUUUUUCUUCUUCUAUUAUUUUGUUCUUCUCUGGUUCAUUAAACUAUGGUAAUUUUUGUUUCUGCAAAGUUUGUUGGAAGCAGUAAGAUUCUUUAGACAAAGAUUAAAAAUAAUUCUUCUUUAAGAGAAAUAUUUCGUAUUUCUAAUAUGUUUCUGUUUCUAGUUUUGCCACUAGUUUUAAUUUUCUAGUUGUGAAAAUAUUCUUAAACUUUGUGUUCUUAAAAGUUAUUCAAAGUCUUAUUCUAAGUAUGUUAGGAAUACAAGAUGAACAACACAUGGGACAUCUUGACGGAUCAAACCCGGCACUACCAAUGAUUGUUACGCGAUUUAAUCUUACAAUUCCAGAAACCAAAUACCAAAUCUGAUUAUCUCAGAACCAACUGAUCCAACAACCAAUGAUGGCAUCUGUCGAUACCACCAUUGCGCCGACUCUUGCCACAGAUACAUCUUCUAAGACAGCCUGGGAAUUUCUUCACAUGGGUUACACGACCAACUGCAAAAUAUUAAGAAAGCCUCUAAAUCGGUUACAGAAUACUUGCAAGACGUUUGAUCUGAAUGUGAUGCUCUCAAAGUUGUUAAUUCACCAGUACAAGAUAAUGAACUUAUUGUAAAGAAUUCUAAGCGUCUUAGGCCCCGAGUACGGGGAGAUCUCUACUGCCAUAAGAGCACGCGACUCUUCCUUAAGUUUUGAAGAAUUCUUUCACAAGCUCACAGAUCGUGAGAUUUUCCUAAAGCACCAAGACCUUGACAAAUCAUCUUCCAAUAUCACAGCUGCAGUAGCACAGAGGACACAUGACAUCCCAGUCUAACAGGAACAAUCGUCGCUUUAACCAUGAAAAUUGAAUCAAUCUCUUAACAGUUCAACUUCAACAAUCAACAAUGGAACCAAUCUGUGUCUCGACAGUCCAACUCCAACAAUUAGCAAAACAUGAGAUCAAAUUCGAGACAAUUGGUUCGAUGCCAUUUGUGCCAAAAAUUUUGUCACCCUGCAGAUGUAUGUCGUUCCAAAUCGCAGAAUCAAUUUGAAGCUAAGGCCAACUUUGCCUCUAAUUUGCAGUCAACAGACAAUUCUUGGGUUCUCGAUUUUGGUUCGACUCAUCAUGUCAUGGUUGAACCUCAUAAUCUUAAAGAGUAUAAAGGCAAUGAGGGAAUAUCUAUGGGCGAAGGUAAAACCAUUCCUAUUACUCAUACUGAUUUAACUCAAAUAUAAGCACCUAAUUCUUCUUUCAGUCUUUCUAACACUCUAUGUUCUCCAUCAAUUAAAACAACCAUAUUUGUGUAGCCAAGUUUAGUCAAGACAAUAUCACAUCUGUUGAAUUUUUUCCUUUUACUUUUCUUGUGAAGAACCUACAUACUCAGAAGUCGUUGGUACAAGGGAAGAAUAAGAAUGGACUCUAUGAAUAGGCCAUAUCUACUAACCAGACAACCAAUAUCAAUCAAUCUCGCCUCCACAAAGGUUUCAUUUCAGCUAUGGCAUAGUUGCUUGGGUCAUCCUCAUUCGAGGAUUUUAAACUUUUUUUUGAAAAAAAUUGCUUUACAUGUUGCUACUACAGAGAAAUUUGAAUUUUUUAAUGCUUGUUCUUCUAAUAAAGCACAUCAUUUGCCAUUUCAACGACUCACUUUAUCCAAAAUGUACCUCUUCAGGUCAAUUUUAGCGAUUUAUGGGGACCAUCCCCCGUUUUAUCACUAGACAAAAAGUUAUAUUACUGUAUCUUUGUUGAUCAAUACACCAAGUAUACUUGGUUGUAUACACUUAAAAUAAAAGUGAAGUCACCUCUUUGUUCCAAACCUUUCGUCCUUUAGUAGUGAAUUUUUUCAAAACAAAAAUUAUAUCUCUUUAUACUGAUGGAGGGAGUGAAUACAAAAAUGUUCAGUCCUAUCUUCAACAAAAUGGCAUUGAAGAUUCAGUUUCAUCUACAUACACGCCACAACGUGUUGCCAUAGCUGAACGUUGUCAUCGUCAUAUUGUUGAGAUAGCCAAAACACUUCUCCAUGAGGCAUCCCUACUACCAGACUUAUGGUCUUUUGCCUUCCAUGAUGUUGUUUAUCUCAUUAAUCGGCUACCCACUCCCAUCUUACAUAAUGCGUCACCUUUCCAACAAUUAUUUGGUAAAUUACCCAACUAUGCCAAUCUUAAAAUUUUUGGUUGUCUCUGUUAUCCAUGGCUUAAGCCCUAUACAAAAAAUAAGUUGGAGCCUCAGUCCACCCCUUGUGUGUAUUUAUGUGUUUCAUCAAGCCAUCAUGCAUACCUUUGCUUUGACCCAAUAUUGGUCAAAAAUAUUCAUAAGUCCUGAUGUUCUCUUUUAUGAAUUUUUUUUCCUUUUAAAACAAUGUUUCUACAGAUAAGGAAAAACUUUUCUCAACUGACUUAGGGCUUGAUUUUGUGCCAACAUUUUUCUUCAUUGUGAUUAGUCUUUUUGCAAACUUUACAAAAAAAAACUAGAGUUUUUCACCUUUUUCUUCAACUUUCUUGGAAGAACCAUCAUGAUCCUGCUUCUUUUUUGGCUUGUGAUUCUUCUACUUAUGAUUUUUUGAGAAAUUUUGAGAAUUUUCAUUUGUUUUAGACAGGAAAGUCGUCUCUUUGGGUUGAUCUUCACGAAAAAAUCUUCGCUUAUCGUGUGCACGAAAUGAUCCAACUUGCUCAAUGAAUUUUGUAUCACCGUUCAAAAUAUUCCCACAAUAUUUUGUGACAAUGUUUGUGUCACUUAUCUCCAGUGUUCCAUAUCCGUAUGAAACAUACUUCUGUGGACUUUUGCUAUGCUAGGAACCAAGUUCAAGCACAUCGAGUUCUUGUCAAACACACUCAUGCUUGGGAUCAACUUGCUGAUACAUUUACCAACCCAUUACCACCACCAGCCUUUGCAAGGUGUCUUUCCAACUUAGGUGUUAUUGACCCACACCUAACUUGAGGGGAUGUAUUAAGAAUAAUUUAAUUUAUCUUAUAAUAAGUUGUUGUUAUAGUUACUGCCUUUUAGUAUCUGUAGAAAACUCCUCCUAUUGUAGGAGUUUAUUGUUGUUGUAUAUUUGUAGAAGAGUCCUCCAACAGUUUAGGAGUUUAUGUAUCAAUUAGAUUCCUUAAGUUUAGCUAUUGGUUGUAUCUAACAAUUCGAUGCUGAAGGAAUAAAAUCAUUUUUCGACUACUUUUGUCUAUCUGAUUUUAUAACACGUCCAUAGUAAUUUAGCAAAAAGACUUACAUAAUGUAGAUGAGACUUGUUAGAUUUGUGUUCUUGGACCUGAAGCUAUAUAACAUAUGUUAUUCAAAUGUCCUCGGUCUCAACUUGUGUGGAGGUAAUGUCCUCCUAUAAAUUGCCUGAUAUAGGAAAUAUUACUAAUUUUUCUAUGACUUGUUCUUAAAUACCAAAUUUUUUCCUGAAUCUAUUGACUUAUUAAACUUGAGCGCUAACAUUAUUUGGCAAGUAAUUGGUUGUUAUUAAUUACGAAAGGUUAGAACCAAGAGAUAUUGUUUCUAGAUCUAAGUUUAAGUAUAAAGAAUAUAAGGAUUUACUAACAAAAAGUCUUCCUUCUUGUUCCUCAAUAAAUCAUCUUGUGAUUAAAGUAACAAAAUUGCAAGAUGGCAUUUUAUUAUUUACAUAUGCAGGAUUGUGGCUAUAGAUAGCGUUGGGAACCUGCUUCAUUCCCAUGGAUCCCCAAUCUAAUUUGUUGGGGAGGUCAUGACUGCUGAAGCAAUUGUUAUUGGGAAAGCUCUUUAAUAUGCUAUUAGUAAGGGAUGAAAGAGAGUGAAGAUUUAAUCAAAUUGUUGAAGGAAACCUCCUGGGAGAAGAUUUUCCCUAGUUGGAUCAUCCAGGAUGCAAAAGAUAUGUUUAAACUAUGAAUUACGUUGAUACAACAAUAACAGGGGUUUUGUUUCGGAGAAAAAAAAAGCAAUAACCCUUUUGAAGAGGGAUUAGAAUAGGGAUUAAAAAAGACUAUUUAGAAAAUAAUGAUAUCUCAAAAGUCUAAGUUGAGUAAUUUUAUUGAUACAAAACAAAAUCCAAUGACUUUAUUAUAUAUAUUCCUAAAGUUGAGUGAUCUUUAGAAAUAUCAUUUCUCUGAGAAACAAAUAUCAUAAAUUUGUUUUUGACAUAUUUAAAUAUUUUGGGAGUUAAUUAUGUUUAUCUAGAUUGACUUCAGAUAAAUUUUUAUUGUCAUCCUGAAACUACACUUGUCGGUGUAUACGUAGAGUCUACCUAAUAGGGUUGAGUUGAUUCAAAUUCGGUUGACACUAUUGUAUUUCUUUGUGAUAUUCAUCCUCAUAACGCUCUUAGAAUCACAUCUACCGCUCUCCCUGUGAGUCGAGCCUCCUUUUCAGUUGGUCUUGGUUAGUUCCAUCUCUUUGUAGGGUAAUAACAUUGAAAGUUGAGAAUUUUAGUAAACGAGUAUUGUGAUAGUCUACUCGUGGCAAUUGAUGAGUGGACAAAGCUAAGGUUACUCUUUUCCUGAGAUAUAUGUUGAAGCACUUUUAUUACGUAUAAGCUAGUAUAUGUUGUUCUUUUUUCUUUUUGUCAAAAAAUCCUCCAAGAGUUUAUAUUUAAAUUCAACAAUCAUGUAGAGGUUUCCUAUACUGAUAGUUGUGUUGAGUUGUAAUAAUAGAAAUGUACAUGACAUACAUGAAAAAAACACAUUUAUAUUUCUUAUGAAAUUAGUUUUGUAUAGUUCUAAUUUGAGACACUUGAUGAUUAAUUUGAAAAUAUAAAAAAAAAUUGAAAUGGUUUUCGCGGUCGGUUCAAAUGUGCGGUUGAUGUGUGGAUUUGAUUCGCUCAUAUAGUUGAAUGCUAGUCACGUGGAUUUAGGACUACUCUUUCAACCAAUAGGUCACCCAAAGUGUCUUUUGUCUAUAGAGAUUCAAAGUCUCAAAUAGUUAUCUCAAAGGACAUUGCCUCUUUCCCAGUAUGUUUCAAAUUUUAUCAAAAUCCUUUUUUCUUUUGAUAGUAUCGAAAUCCUUAUUUUCCCUUGUCUAAAUUUUUCUAGAUUCCAUUGAUUCAUUCAUAACAUAGUAUCCGAUCCAAAUCAAACUAACAAAAAGAAAAGAAAAUUCAUGUGUGUGCAGACUAGACACUGAUGUAUAACUUAAAAUGAAUAAAAAUAAAUAAUUAUGUGUAUACCUGACAAAAAUCAGGUCUAGUAACCCAUGUAACCUUCUUCAAAGUCAUGAUCAAAAUUCACCUUUUUAUCUGUUAAUGCAAAUCUGAAACAGAAACAGAAACAGAAAUUGAUAUUGGAAUCCUAUAACUCGUGAAGAAAUCAAGAAUGAAAACGAUGCGUCGUUGCAGCCUGCGGGAGGAAGGGAGGGAGUGAGUUAGUAAAAUGUAGCUUCGGUUUUUGUAUUAUGUCCGUAGCAGGAAAAACUCGUUACAUGCCUUUUUACUUUUUCAUUACGUCAUGUCUUUUUAUUUUUUCAUUUAGGGUUAAUUAGACCAAAAUACCCCUAUACUGCAACUUAGUUACGGAUACAUCCAUUAAUCAAUUAUAUUGAUGUUAUUAUUAUCCUCCGAUUUAAUUUUAUUUCUCAUUUCUUAGAAUAGAUUUUUAUAUUUACCUUAUUACUUUUGACAUAAAAAAAGAUAAUAUUUUAUUUUCAUGUCUGACCAUCAACAUUAAAUAGUUAUUUUUCAAGACAUCAUUUAAUAGAAAAUAUUUUGAUAAAAUAUCUAUACCACUAAUUAAUGGGUGUCUUGAGUCAAAUAGUGGCAAAUAGAAGUGAACAGAGAGAAGUAAAAGACAAAUUAAAAGUAAUUAUAAACAUUCAAAUAGAUUUAUUUGUAUGAAAUUUUAAAUAGAACGGUAAAUUUUUUUCAUAAUUGAUUAAGAUAAGAGAAUAUAUUUUUUGAAAUAUUAAAUUAAAACUCGUAAAUAGAAAAUUAAAAUAAAUAUUCAAUAAGAUAUAAUCAAUUAUUAGUAGUAACUUGCCAGUAUCCUCCAAAACUAAUCGAGUUACACACGAUUUCUCUCAACACCACCGAUUACAAAUUAAAAGGAAAUGAAUAAUAUGUGUUUGGCUAUUGAGUGGUAAACCUUUUUGAGAAGAAAAAUAGCAAUUUCCAUUUUUUUGAUACGGUAAUAAAUUUUAUGAAAAUCUCACGUAGACAAGAAAAGUCUCUCCCAUCUCUUCCUUCUCUGGCUCUUGAAGAAAGAUUCAUUACUGGCCGCAAAAGUAUCUCUAAACUUCUAGUUUACUAGACCAUUUGUUUUUGAGUUUGUAUCAUUAAAAAGAGGCGAAUCUGUUGGUUUUUAUUUGCCCUAAAUUUCUUACCAUAAAUAGCUUUUCCUUGUAGGAAAAUGUUUUGGAUUGACUAACCAUUUUCUUGUAGGAAAAGGUUUAGGACUCUAUAAAUAGAUGCAUGUUCCUUCUAACUUAAUCAACAUUCACAAUAUAGUCUUAAGGGCUUUGAGAGUUUUGGUUAGGGGAGAAUUUAUGGGUCACAAGUUUGAUACACUAUCACUUGUGUGAACCUUCCAUGUAUUCCGAGUGAAUUGGUUGAGGUUGUUUCUCCCUGUAUUUUGUAAUCUCAUAUUUAUAGUGGAUUGCUCAUCUCCUUUGUGGACGUAGGUCGAUUGACCGAACCACGUUAAAUCUUUGUGUCUUUUGGUAUAUUUCUCGUUGUCUUCUUACUUGUGGUCUUUUGAGGUUUGCCUUGCUAGCUUCCGCGUUUACACCUGCUUAUUUCCGGUCCUAACAAGUGGUAUCAGAGCCAGAUUCAAUGAUGGAUUCAGGUUCAGUGGUUCGAUAAUCGAUUAUUGAAACAGGUUAGAAAGAGGUGUUCAUCUUGAUGGGUAUAGUUCUAGCUGCAACCUUUUUUAUAGUAAUGGAGAUUUUUGUUGGAGAAAUUGUUUCAGAGAGAUUCUUUGUGUUGAGACAUAAAUUUUGCAAAGGAUAUUAUGGAGAGGAGAAGCAAGUUGUUGAAGAUUAAGUCAAGAAGGUGGACAAAUUUAUUUUUUCAGAAAUUCAGGCCAAGGGGGAGAUUUGUUGGGUUUUAUUUGCCCUAAAUUUCUUACCAUAAAUAGUUUUUCCUUGUAGGAAAAUGUUUUGGAUUGACUAAUCAUUUUCUUGUAGGAAAAGGUUUAGGACUCUAUAAAUAGAGGCAUGUUCCUUCUAACUUAAUCAGCAUUCACAAUGUAGUCUUAAGGUCUUUGAGAGUUUUGUUUAGGGGGAGAAUUUAUGGGUCACAAGUUUGAUACGUUAUCACUUGUGUGAACCUCCCAUGUAUUCCGAGUGAAUUGGUUGAGGUUGUUUCUCCCUGUAUUUUGUACGCUCAUAUUUAUAGUGGAUUGCUCAUCUCCUUUGUGGACAUAGGUCGAUUGACCGAACCACGUUAAAUCUUUGUGUCUUUUGGUAUAUUUCUUGUUGUCUUCUUACUCGUGGUCUUUUGAGGUUUGCUUUGCUAGCUUCCGCGUUUACACCUGCUUAUUUCCGGUCCUAACAGAAUCUAGGAUUUCAAGAAAAAGGGUGAACCAUGCUUUAAAGAUAGGAUAAAAAAAUUUAUAACAAUAACUAAGCAGCAAUACAUGAGAAUUACAUUAUCACAAAAAAUAUCAUCAGUUUACAAUUGUACUCGACGAGACUUUAUAUUUUGAAAACAAUCAAUAAUAGCAUCAUUACUUACAUUUACAAAUAUCUUCCGCUCUAUCUUAUAAACUAAAUAACCAUUCAAAAAUUCAUCACCAACUGUAAAUACCCUUAAUCACCACUAAAAUAUUAGCACUCCCAUUUUUUUAUUAAGAAUUGAACCUAAGAACAUAAGACUGUUGAUUACUUCCAUGAUUAUAUGUAGAUAUGUAAAAAUUGAAUCAACUAAAAAGAAUAUUACAGUAUAAAUUUAUUGGUAGUGAAUUAUUAUGCUAACAUUUUUUAAAUGGUUUUGUAAUUUUUUUUUUUGGAAAAAAUAUCUAAUUAGAUUUACAGUUAUAUAAUAUCUACUAAUUCAAUUUAAGCUUUUAAAUAAUUAUUUAUUAAUGGAAAAAAAUAUAUCGUCAAAUUAUCGUAAAUGGUAUGGAGAUAAUCUUCGUCAUACUUUUGGGACAUUUGUGUCCCUACCGUAUAAAAACUAGAGCAUAUAUGCCGUUCACUCUAAUGGAGGACUAAAUAGGGACACAUGACACAAUCUUAUCCAUCUAUCCGAUAUUUAAUAAAUGUCAGAUCGGUGCAGAAGAUGAUGACAUGUGUUUGCCCGUUAGUAUAAAGGGUAUAUGUGUUAUAGUUUUUGGACGGCAAUGACACCAAUAUCCCAAAAGUAUAAUAGAGCACAUUUGCAUACCAUUUAUAAUAGUUCGAGAAUAUAUUUAUCUUUUUCCAUUUAUUAAUUAUUUAUCAGAUGAAUUGAGAUACAUCAAAAUACAUCACUUUUUAAAAAUAGCCUAAAGUAAAGUUUUUCCCACAUAAUUAUCUCCCUAAGAUAAAGUUCUUUCACUCAAAUAUUAUCCUAAAAUAAAGAUUAACACCUAAUUAUUUUCCUAAAAUAGAGCCUUACUCGCUUAAUUAUCUUCCUAAUUUGUUCUUAUUUCCAUAAAAUAAAGUCCCUCGACUUAAUUAUUUUCCUAAAACAGAGUCCUACCACUUAAUUAGUUCCCUAAAAUAGAGUUUUACAUAUUAAUUAUCUCCUUAGUUUAUUGUUUUCACUCCAAUAGGAGUGUGCAAUUGUCUCUUCCCAUGUUCAGACUCCAAUGUGCAAAAUUCGAAAUGGAAAAAUGUUAUUAGUUUAUUAUUGUUGGGUUAAGGGGUUAAUGAUUUUAUAAAAAAGAAUUAUCAGAUUAUCAAUUCAAUUUUGAUAGUUUAUAUUAGUUUAUUGGGUGAUCAAAUAACUCAUUAAGACUAUAAAAAUUUACUAUUUUAUAUCUACAUAAAUAUAAAAUAUUAAUGUCAAUACCUUGAAUAAUAUUGUUUAUGUUUUUUAUUGCAUUAUACAAAUGAAAUAGGAUAAAUAUACCUCCGAAAUAUCGUAAAUGGUAUGCAUAUACCCUCCAUCAUACUUUUGGACAUUGGUGCUCAUCCCGACAAAAAACUAGAGCAUAUAUGUCAUUCACUCUAGCGGAACAAUCUUAUCCGUCGAUAUCACAUUUAAUAAAUAUCGGGUCAGUGGAUAAGAUUAUGACACGUGUAUGUUUGUUAGUAUAAAGGUUAUAUAUGCUCUAUUUUUGGACGGUAGGGGUACCAAUGUCACAAAAAUAUGACAGAGGAUAUAUGCAUGCCAUUUAUAAUGGUUCUGAGGUAUAUUUUUUCUUCUUCCCUUGUACAAAAGGUCAAAAUCUAAAGUGAGAUCCUUAUUCCUCUUAAUUUUUCUUGUGUUAUGCUUGUAUAGUAAUAUUCAUGGUAGUCAUUACAAUUAUAUUUUAUGAGUGUUUGUAAAGCGAUAUUAUUGUUUUGUCGUGUCAAAUUGUUGGAGAAAAUAUAUUUGUUCUAUAAAUAUUUUUUUAUUGGUUAAAUAAAAAAUCAAACAAUUAAGAAUGAAAAUCAAUAAAUCGAAAACUGAAACAAAAUAUCUUUUUGUUUUAAUUAUUAGUUUAUGGUAAAAUGAAAUGUCAGUUGUAUAACUCCAACUCCCAAUCAAAAAUUUUCUAUCAAAUUACUCCGAAAUCGUUUGGUGUGAAGGAUACUAUCGUAUAAUCCUGAGAUUAAACUUCAUUUUCACAUUACUUUUUACAUUUGUGUAUAUUUACAUUAUUUUCAAUAUCAUGUAUAUAAAUAACAUUCACAAUCUUUGCUACUUAUUUUUAUGAUAAUUCUUGAUAUAUUUCUAUUAAUAGAUUACACAACAUAAAUAUAAUUUUCAUCUAUAAAUUUAAUAGACUAAUAUAUAUAUAUAUAUUACUUUCUCAUAAAACUCUUUUACUUUAACAAACUUAAGGUGAAUUUUUUUUAUGUAGAUAGAAAGAAAUUUUUGUUUUUAAAAAUGCCCUUAAACUAUGCGAAAAAAUAAAAAAAUGUCAUUCGUUUGUAGUUUAAUCCAAAAAUGUCCUUCUGUCAAUUCUUUGAUCCACAAAUUAUCUUUUUUUAUUUAAUGGGACAAAAAUACUCAUUUUUCAAAUAUAAUAUAUUAUUAAUUUUCUUUUUUUAAUACAUUCUUUUCCUAAUAGUAUCUUUUAAAUUAGAAAAUAGUUAUCUUACUUAAAUUCACAUAAAAAAAUAUUUCUUAUGAUGAAUAUAUAUUUCUAAUGGACAUUUUUGAACCAAAGCAUUGAAGGUAAGGAUAUAUAUGUUUAAGCCAACCUAUAAACGAACAACAGUUUUGUUCGUUGCACAUCGUUUAAGGACAUUCUUAAUCCUUAUUCCUUUAAAUACAUACUGUACUAUAUAACAUAAAAUAUAAACAGUAGAAUAUUUAAGCUAAAUAAAAUGAAAAAAAAAUUAAGAAUAAAUAACAAAGAGUUUGUUUGGAUGGGAGCUCUAAAGCUUGCCAACAUUAAAAAUUUAUAUCAUGCAUAUUAUUUUGCCAACAUAAAAAAUUCUAUUUGUAUUCAAACCAAACGAUUCCUUCAUUGAUUUCAUCCCAUGCAUCAAUGAUCAAUGUCCAGUUGCCUACCAUACAUGAACUACAGUUAAACUACAUUCUGCUUCACUAACUUAUUCGCCCUGCCAUUCUCGCUCUUCCCAAGGCUACCUCGCUUCUUUUUCUGCUGAAUUGAACCCAUAUUGCCCGAUUCAAGAACAUGCGUAGGAGCAGAUAAGGGAUCGGAAUUAUGAACCGGAUUAGUUACCAAAUCAGUAGGGUACCCGAAUAGUUGUUUAAUAACCUCAACAACUUGAGAAUUCUCUGUGCUAUUAUUGUUAAGAGAUGGAGGAUGACGGGUAUAGGUACGGGUACGGCUGGAGGAGGAAGCAGGGGGAGCAUAAGUGAUACGUGAAUAAGUUUGUUUGCGGGACGCAACAUAUUCGUUGAAAACAGAACGGUCAAUUUUAGGGAUAAUGAAAUCGUCAUCCCGACAAGGAUUGUAAUCAGUGGUGGAACAGAGGGAGAGGGAGUAAAGUUCAGAUUGAGAAAGGAGGCGGAGAUCAACGGUUCGGAUUGAUUUCGCUUCAAGUUCUCCAUCAGCUACGGUGGGGGAAGAAGCCAUGAAAAUGAUUUUUAUAAGUUUUGGGAGAGAAGAAGGAUAUAAUUAUACUUUUACUGUUGUUUUGUAAACUUGUUUAUAUAAUAUCACAUAACUCUAUCUACCAAAUCAUAUUCACAUUUCUCUUUUGAAAUAUGUUUUAUUUCUCUUAAUAUUCACAUUUAUCUUUUGGAAUACUUUUUAUUUCUCUUAUUAUUCACAUUUCUCUUUUGGAAUACUUUUUAUUUCUCUUAAUAUUCACAUUUCUCUUGUGGAAUAUCUUUUAUUAAGUUUUUAAUCUAAAAACUCAAGAUUGUCAAUUUACUUUAUUGAACAUAAUGUAAAAAUGCAACAAACUUAAUUGAUAAAAUAAAAAAAUUACCAAAUCAAUAUAGGUGAAAUCAUGAAUAUAUGAAAAUCAUUAUAUUUUACUAAAUUAUGUAUCAUAUUUAUUGAAUUCAUGAUUAUACAUUAAGUAUAAUGUAUGUGCAUGAUUCAUUGUCAUAUAUUUUUUAGUUAAAUGAUAAUUGUAAAAUAAAUUAAGCAAUUCAAUGAUUCAUUGUAAACAUAAAAUCAUUAUUCAUAAUACUUAUUUUUUCUUAAUAAUCAAAUAUUAUUACUUGUUUAUUUACUCAAAAUAUUCAAUGUGUGAUGGUAAGAGAAUAAAUUAUAUAAGCAACAUAUUAAAUAUCUUUAAACCAUAUCCAAAAAUGCUUCUCAAUUCAAAUGUGUCACAAAAUCAAUAAUGAUUAGUGACAAACUAAAUAUGUGAAAACAUUAUGUGUGUACAAAAGAGAUCAUUCUACAUGCAUCUAUUAAGAUUUCUUGUGGUUGCAACACUAUAACUUUUGAAUGCAAUUAGAAAAAUUAAAGAUGAAGUUCAACCUUAUUUAAAUUUUACUAAUAAUAAAAAAACACAAUAGAAUCACAUUUCACUAAAUAGACUUAGAUAUGUUUGUGCUUUAUAUAUUACUUAAUUUUGUAUCAUAUUUAUUGAAUUUUAUUAUACAUGAAGUACAAUAUAUCUGUAUGACUCGUUAUAAUAUAUUUUUUAGUUAAAUGAUUAAUCGUAAAAUAAAUAAAACAAUUCAGAUUCAUUGUAAACAAAAAUUCAUUAUACAUAAUAUUCAUUUUUUCGUAAUAAUAAAAUAUUAUUCAUUGCUUAUUUACUAAAGUAUUCAAUAUGUGAUGGUAAGAGAAUAAACUAUAUAAACAAUAUAAGAAAUUUCUUGAAACGAUAUCCAAAAAUGACUUCUCAUCUAAAAGUCUCAAAAUACAAAAGAGACCAUUCCACAUGCACACAAAAAAAAACUUUUUGUCGUGGCAACACUAAAACUUUUGAAUGCAAUUAGAAAAAUUAGAGAUGAGUUUAAACUAGAUGUAAUUUUUACAACAAACAAAAUAUAAUGGAAUCAUAUUUCACUAAAUAGUUUUAAAUAUAAUUAUACUUUUGUAUAUUAUUAAUUUAUAAUAUUAAUGGAAUUAUAUAUUGAUAUAUGGUUCUUUUGGAAACAUAUUAUUGAAACAAGUGAUUUUUUCAAUUGACCUAAGUUGGGACCGGUACUUUAAAUAGAUUAUUAAUGAAACGGGUAUUAAUUUAAUGAGAUUCAUAUUUAUAUUCAUACAAAUUAGAAUGGGAUAAAUCAAGAAUAAAUAAUUUAGAAGAGCAUUUUUUAUCAGUUAAAUAAAAAAUCCAACUCUUAAGGAUCAAAAGUUGAUAAUCAUGAUCUAUAUUUUUGGUUAUCGAUUUAGCAUAUUUAUAACAUUGACAAAUCAAUCGAUAAUACAUAAGUUCAAACUUAACCAACCAAUAAGCACCUAGAACCACUAGGUCACACCCUAGAAUUCAAACUUAUUGUAAUUGUCAUUUUACCCGUUUUACGUUUAUUAAAAAGGUAAUAUUCGAAAAUAGUCUCUUUACUUUCACGGGAUAAUAUUAAGAUCUGUGUACACUCUACACUCCCUGAGAUCACCUUCUGAGAUUUUAAUAAGUGUGUUAUUAUUGUAUUUAUCAGUUUCAAAACUUUUACUCGAUUUCAUAUUACUCGUUUAUAUGUAAAAAAUCAGUUUCAAUAUCGAAAGUAAUUUUCAACACAUACCAAUCAUGUUUAAGUAGCUAACCUAUACAUGCUCUUACACUAUUGGCGUGCUUUAUUAAUUGAUUUCUCUCACUGUGUUUGUUAUAUUAACUGGAAUACAAUUAAAUGUGGAUUAAUGUCGAAAAAACUCAACUCCCACUAACAAAUAUGAUCUCAUAUCUAGAAGACUCAAAUUCAAAAUUAUCGGAUUAAAAAUAAAGCAAUACUUACUGCUCCAUCAUAACUCUUACUAGUACACAAUUAACAUAUCAUUUGUAAGAUAAGUCAAAUUUAUUCAUAACUCAAGAGAAACAUUUUAUUUUUGAUAAGACAACAUAUAUUCAAAGUUCGCCAUAUUAAUUAUUGUAAUUUUUUAAUUUUCAAGGCCGGAAGUUUAAACUGUAGUCCACGAGACACAUUCAUUAUUUUGUCUGUGUCCCGAUAGCGGCGGAAGUCGGAGCAGGGUUUUACCUUGUGCGCAUCCUGAUAGCAGCGGAUGGAUAGUCUCGAUUUGCAAGCUUAGCCAUGCUUGCUUAAGUUGUACCUAAAAACCAUAACCCAAUAGCUAUAUUUGUAGGAUUGUCCCUUCAUGCUUAAAUUGUUCCCCAAAGCCCUUACACAAUACCCUAGAUCCACCGACUUGGCCAUUCAUGCUUAAAUUAUUCUCAAAAACCCUUAUCCAAUACCCUAGAUCCACUGACUUGACUAUUCAAUGUUAAAUUGUUCCUCAAUUCCCUUACCCGAUACCCUAGAUCCACCGGUUUGGACAUGCGUACUUAAAUUGUUCUCGAAAACCCUAACCUCAUACCCUAGAUCCGCCUCUUCCCUCAAGUAUGAUGGCCAAGCGACUUUGUAGAUCUGAAUAAACUGCAGUUCUUUCAUAUUGUGGUAAGAUUUUUACUAGCUUAGUAGGUGAUGUUUAUUGGUGAUCCGACUUCUCUAUUUCGCUAGAAAAGGGGCAUCAAGUAGCCAUGGAAGCAUUCAAAAUCAGAAGGCAUCUGAUCAAACCCAGGUUUCUCCUAAACCACAUGUCAGUUACAACUAUGUUCCCUAGCAUGGGUCGACAUCUAAAAAUAUCGGAACUCUGGCAGAAACUUUUUCCAUACUAACUAACUAAUCAAAAUUAUGGGCCUAAGUAUGAACAAUAUGUGAAAACCAGAAUAUUCUCUAGCUCAAGUCUUAAGUUUCUGGUUUUCACAUGUUGUUUGAUACUAGGGCCCAUUGUUUUCAUGAGCUGGUUGGUGUAGAAAAAUCUUAGUUUGAGUGCCGAUACUUUUAAAUGUAGGCCGAUACUGGGGAAUAAAGUUGUAACUAACGGGUAUUUAAGGAGAAAAAUGCUUAAGUUUUAUAUAUAUUUGAAAAUUCCAUAAAUUAUGCUGUAAGAAAAUAUAGAUAUCUAGUAAUCUUAAAGCAACAAGCAAAGUGAAACCAUGCACUCACAAAGAAGAUUUGUUUUUCAUCAAACUUGAAAUGUAAAUUUAGUGAGGAUUUGCUUAAAAGGAAAAAAGUGUGCUAUUAAACUAUACAAGAACAUUCACCAAAGGAGAUAUUAUAUCACAAUUUAUAAGUAGAGCAAGACUAAAAAUGGAAAAACUGGAUUUUGGACUUGCCCCUUGCUACGUGUCCAUUGGACCCACUGCCUGCCCAUCACCCGUGGAAGCAAGCUCCCUUUGUUGGAAAUUUGGGGGAAGAAUGCACAGAGGAAUUUAACAUGAAAAAUAAGUGGUCUAAGAAGACGCCAUUCAUAACUCCCAACAAAUAUAAAUGGUUCACAAAACAGUAUUCAUAGUUAAAACCUUUAAUAUAAGAUUAACUUGGACAUUUUUGGUGAUCUCAAAUGACCGAUUGUGAUAACUUAUUCAUCAUGCUACUAAUGUCACAAUGAUUAGAAUCAAUUCAAAAAUAACAAAAUAUAGUGCUAAAACUUUGGAAUGUAAAGAAAGAUUGAUAGAAGCUGUAGGUUGAUCAUUCUACACUAUGAUUGAUUAGCAAAAAUAUAUGUAAUAGAAAACUUGUUUGACAAAAAUGUUCAACUAUAUUGUCCACAUCUAAUUAAAAAUCAAAUGAACAACAUAGAAUUCUAGAAAAUUUUGAGAUUUGUAUUCAAGAAUUUCCAUUCAGGAAGAAGACAGAGACAUCAAUUAAAAAGUUUCAUGUAAUAAAUAGCUAUAAAACAACUUUCAUUAUGUGUUAUAGCAUGAACCUUGAAGAAAGGGGAGAAUUGUACAAGUCUUAUACUCCUAUGUGUAACGAAGUUAUUCUCCUUUUGUUUUUCACCGUGCUCAUUUUUUCUUGUGCUUUCUUACUCUUUCUUUUUAUCUCAGCUUUAAAUUUGAUGUAAGGCAAGUUCCUAACUUAUAGUAGUGAGUAUUGACUUUUAUAAUGUUAUUUUGACUUAUCAAGUUGAAUUUGGUCUGAUGCUAAUUAAGAAAUUGAAUGUUAUUUUUUGGAUUCUCGUAUUAAAGGAUGGUGAAUUAUAGUAGUACAUAGUUCAAAAAUGUCUAAUGCAAUACUCCUUCAAUGAGAACUGAGUUUGUAAUAUUAGUUCAAAAAAAAUCAUAAAAUCAAACAAUGAGAGAGAUUUCGAAAUUAAUAGAAAAUUGUAGUACUUGGUGCACUACUGGUCCUUCAGCAUCAACAUUGCCAUAGAAAACCACAUAUGCAAUAUCGGCAAUGUAAAAAUUGUAUCAGAGAGAAGCUUUGGUUUAUCCUUUCACCAGAUUGUCACAAUAGAGUAGUCUUUAUCUUACCAAUUAAGGACACUCACAUUAGGCCUCUCUUUUUCAUUCAAUCCUUCACCAGCAGCACGUUCAUAAUCUUGGUAUGCAAACAUUAGUUGGUGAUUGUCUUCUCUCGAUAUAUGAGAGACCCUUGGAAUUCCAUAAUUCAUCGCUACCUCUAAGUAUAUUUCACAAUAGUUGCUUCAUCAUAGACAAUUUUUUUCGGAUCAUUAACUGUACCUCCCGUUUCCUCACCUAGCUAUUGUUACGCAUUGUGAGCCGACACAUUAGCAUUAACCACAUUGCAUUUGAGAUUCGUGAGGACACUGCUCACCUGAGACAAUAACCCCAGUCUAUCACUCGAGUUAUUGACUCAGGCACGAUCAUUAGUUGUUUUAGAGAUUUUCUUGGUAUGCUAUAAAAAGGAGUAAGACUAUUCAAAAUAUGACAACUUGGACACACUGUCAAACACCUUGAAUGUAUACUCAGACAAGUUUAAUUUUGUACAUCAUCCAGCUAAAGCAGACAAAAGGUUUCUAGUGACCCGAGAACAUGUUGAGUUUUACCUUUAGCUUGUCCACUCUUGUGCUUUCUUUAAGUUGACAUAAUUACAACCCUACUUUACGUCUAAAUAUUACAACUUCUUAAUGUCGCGAUUAUAGUAUAAUAGGAAUAGCUACGAUACAUUAUAUCAUAUUUUAAACAUUUCUAAAUAUGAAAAACGUAAUUCCACGAAACUGAAGAUCAUGAUAAGUGUUCUUUUUUCCAUAUACUUUUUGUUUAUUUAUUUGCAACUUUCAAGCUCAUCCUUUACUCUAUUUUUUCACAUAAAAUGAAACUGUAGAAACUUUGUAUUAAAGAAACUAACAACUGUUAGUUUUAGCAAGAGCCUAAUAAAAUGAAAUAACAUGUGUUUUGUAGUAACAAUAAAUAAAUAAAUAAAUAAAUAUAUAUAUAUAUAUAUAUAUAUAUAAAUAUAUAUAUAUAUGCUCACUUGUAUUAGUUAUCAUAUGCAAAUGAAUUUUGUUAAGAGCUUAGAAUCAUUAAUCAGAGUGGCGCAUGAAUUUUCUCAAGAUCACAUCACAAAAUUAUACAAAAAACGUCUCAAAAAGUAGAGAAUGCACAAUAAAAGAGGCAGAAACAGAAUACCCAACAGAUUGUGACUAUCAAUAACGUAAACUUUCCAAAGAAAAAAAAGGAUAGAAGUGAGAAGAAUAAGAAGGGGAACGAACAGAAAUUAUCAAGCAUCUAUGAGUACGAAUCAAACCAAAUUAGGAACAUGCAAGAACAAAAUCCUACCAAAAAAAAAAUAAUCUAAUAAGUAACACUGAAGAACUGAGUUUGAGAUUGAAUGAUAAACAUUGAAGAGAAAAAACAGAUGAAAAAAACGUUAAAAAGGCUUACCAAUUCUAGGACUCGGAAGAGAAAGUAAUAGAAAAUGAAACUAUCAAAGAGAAGAGAUGAUUUCAGUUCUUAAACAUGUAUAUAAAAGCAUUAUGGCUAGUAAAAUUGGGCCAGACAGAGCAAAACAUUAAAGCAUUCACGGUACACUUUAGAAUGCUUUUUGUACUACUAUAGGAUGCCAUGUUCGUCCCUCGCUUACUAGCUUAUAUUUAAGGGUAAUGUAUUCAUCUCAUUAUUGUUAUUAUUCGUUAGUACAAUUUUCACUGGCUUGAAAGAAUUUAAUACACUUUGUUCUAUCAAAUGCUUCUAUACCUUGUUGAUUCCCGUUGAAUAAGAUUAAAAUUCAAAUUAACAUCUUGAAUUCAUUAUUGAAUACCAAAAGUACAUAACUUGGACAUUUUAGUUUUUAAAGUGGGGGACGACUAUAGCCGAUGCCAUACUGCAAUUGCAUUUAAGAGAGAAAAGCAAUGAUUUAUCGGAAUAGAAAUAUUGUAAAGGCAAAACAAUGCUUCAUCAAAAUUUAAAGAAAUUUUUUUUUCAAGCCAAAAUAUGAUUCUAAUUUUUUAAAAGUCUGCAUCUCAAGGAGUGAGUGCUUUUGUUUAAAUAGUUGUGCAACUGCGUUUGUUACUUGUUCCCUGUAUUUUAAAAAAACUCUUUGAGUCAUGCCAUAUUAAUGUUCCCCACUUUACUUCAGUCUCUUUGAAUCCCGACCUUCUGAUGUCCUCCCAGACCUCUUUUUACCAGAUAUAUCAUGCAGGAAGUUACAAGAGAAGCCUUUAUGGCAUCCCUUACGUUUAUUAAAGAAAAUACAACGUGUCAAGCUGCACGGAAUUGGAUUUUGUAGGACAUCAUUAACCAUCGACUCAGUUUUUUCUCCACAUUGCUUGAUAAGGGAAUUGCAGUAAUUGUUGAUAUCCUUGUGACUAGUCAUCAAGGAGGAAGGCCCAACAUUUGGUGAAAGAGUCAACUUAGGCUGCAAGGUGGUAUGACCAUAUCUGGAAACCAACUUAGAAAUUUCUCCUCUUGCAUUGUAAGGUACUCCAUAUUUGCUAAUGAGUUUCUUGAUAUUUUUGAGAUCAAGCUCUAAAGUGGAAUAUGUUAUUGACUUAUUCUCUCUGAUGUUAGGCUUAGUCAUUUUCAAGGGCACAGAUUUUACAGAUCCUGCAUGGGCAGCAUUGAGAGAAACAACAUUUGUAGCCAUGCCACGUUCAUUUAUCAAGUUUAGGAGAAGCCUCACCAAUAAGUUGGCAUCAAUCAGACUACCCUGCUCUUGAAGAGCAGCUACAGCUGUGGCUACAAGAACUGUCAGAUCAUGAGUUGGUUCUUUUUCUUCUAUAGAAAUGGUUCUGACUACUGGAGUUUGACUAUCAUCAUAUCCUUGUUCCAGGUCAGACAAGUUAUAAGGACUGUUAAAUAAAAAAAGAAAAAUACUCACAGAUUAAAACCAAGUAAAAUUAAGACAAUGAAAGCAACAAAACAUUAAAAAAAAUAAUCUAAAAAUUACUUACUUUGGAGGAACUGCAAACUUGUUAGGGAAAACCGCCUCAAUCACCCACCUUUUCCUAUACUCCUGCUUACUGGCUUCUUAACUCUCUUUAUCAGCAACCACUAACCAUUUCUCAUUCAAUUGGGACUACAGAUAACAACAAUUAAUGGGGUUAUCAAAAUAAUGCGUAUAGAAGCUAUUCAAAUAAAGGUAAUUUCUAUCAUCUCCACUUAAGAUUACCUUGGGAGGGAAUUUCCAUAUAGCCAAAGAUUUGGAAGAAUGUCUCUCUUCUGACUUCUUCAAGCAAUCUCUUCUUUCAGAUGAUGAUCCAUUGAUGCUUUGAUAUGUAUGUUGUUGAGACUUGCUCCCAACUUCUGAUGGGCAAUCGUCUUAUCGAUAAUGUUUUACCUGUUGAGUGAAAAAUUAUACAAACUCGUUAAGGAGAAAUUUGAACAAAAAAAAAUCCCUGAUGGUCUGUGUAAGAAAAUUACAUCCCUUUUUUCAAAUUUUUGGUGGGACAAACAAAGGAGAAUAAAAAAAGAUACAUCAUGAGAAAUGGGAUAGAUUAUGACCCUAUAUCAAUUUAGAGAUCUAAAAACUUUAAAUAUGGCUCUAUUAUCUAAGCAAGCUUUGCGACUUCUAAUAGCAAGAGUUCAUAAAAUCAAAUAUUUUCCAAAUUCAACCUUUCUUAAAGCUUCAACAUCAUCUUCAUGUUCUUGGAUAUGGGAAAGAACUUUUGACUAAAAGAUUAAGAUGGAGGAUUUCUGAUUGAAAAAAUAUUAAUGUUUGGAUUGACCCACGGAUACCAAAUAAUAAUGGCUUCAUCCCUAAGAGUAUCCAUGGGCAUAGAAAUUUAGAUUUAGUAGUGUCUGAUUCAAUUGAUAAGAACAUGAACUCAUGGGAAAUACAAGAGCUAAAUCCAUUGUUUGAAGUAGAAGAUGUUAGUGUUAUAUUGUCUAUCCCAAUUUGUAUUGCAGGUUCUAACGAUAGGUUAAUAUGGAAAUAUACAAAAAUAGGAAACAAUGAAGUUAUGUCAAGUUACUACAUCGCAAAGGAUUUGAUCUGUAAGACAUUGACAAACUCGAAAUCUCAAGUGAGUUAUCACUCUUUUCCAAAAUGCUUUUCGAACUUCUCGUGGAAGUUGGGAGUUAAAAGCUUAAAUACUUUUUAAGAAAAUGUGUACUUGACUCUUUACCCAUACAUAGUAAUUUAGCAAAAAGACUUACAAAAUGUAGAUGAGACUUGUAAGAUUUGUGUUGGGGAAGUCAUGCCUGCUGAAGCAAUUACUAUUGGGAAAGCUCUUGAAUAUCCUAUCAGUAAGGGAUGAAAGAGAGUGAAGAUUUUAUCACAUCGUCGCAGGAAAUCUCUUUGGAGAAUAUUUUACCGAUUUGGAUCAUCCAGGAUGCGAACGAUAUUGGGAUGAAAGAGAGUGAAGAUUUUAUCAGAACGUCGAAGGAAAUCUCUUUGGAGAAUAUUUUACCGAUUUGGAUCAUCCAGGAUGCGAAAGAUAUGUUUAAACUAUGUAUUCCGUUGAUGCAAUAAUAAAAGGGGUUUUGUUUCGCGGAAAAAAAAAAACAACUAACCCUUUUGAAGAGGGAUUAGAAUAAGGAUUAAAAAAGACUAUUUCAUAAAUAAUGAUAUCUCAAAGGUCUAAGUUGAGUAAUUUUAUUGAUACAAUACAAAAUCCAAUGACUUUACUAUAUAUAUUCCAAAAGUUGAGUGAUCUUUUGAAAUAUCAUCUCUUUGAGACAAAUAUUUGAAAGUUAAUUAUUUUAAGUAUUAAAUCUUCAUUUGACAUAUGCUUUUAUAACUUUAGUAAAAAAGAAUUACAUUUGAUUCUAUCAAAAUGAGUUGGAUUUGUUAUGAACGCCAUGAUUUACUAUUAGUAGCUACUAGGCCAUAAAUUUUUUUUUGACAUAUUUAAAUAUUUUGGGAGUUAAUUAUGUUUAUGUAGAUUGACUUCAGAUAAAUUUUGAUUGGCAUCUUGAAACUACACUUGUCGGUGUAUACGUCGACUCUACCUAUUAGGGUUGAGUCAAUUCGUGCAAUAGUACGCGGAGAUGACUUGAACAUGAGCAAGUAGGUUCUAUGAUGUUUGUCACAAAGUUAAUCACCUAUUGGCCUUAGAUAUUGUGUUGGUGAUAGUAUAUUACUCCCCAAUAAAGGUACAAAAGAUUUGAAAACGUUUAGAUGAUUCUUAUGAUUAAAUUCAAUUGAAAUGGGAUUUAAUGGUUUUCUUUAAAUUAUCUUGUGAAUGGAAUUGAAAGUAUAUAAGGUUGAUUUAAAUCAAAUUUACACUAGAUCCUCCGCAACUCAAAUGUAAAAUAAAUUAUUAUGUGACAUUUAAUGCAUUUUGUUCUACGUCAAAGAAUACUUGCAUUGAUUUCCUAACAAAGUUUGUUGACACAUUUAUUUUUCUUAUGAAAUUAUUUAUGUAUAGUUUUAAAUUUGAGAACACUUGAUGAUUAAUUUGAAAAUGUAUCAAAAAAUUCAAAUGGUUUUCGAGGUCGAGUCAAAUGUGCGAUCGAGGUGUAGAUUUGAUUAGCUCAUGUAGUCAAAUGCUAGUCACGUGAAUUUAGGGCGUAUUAAGUACUCUUUCGACCAAUGAGUCAUCCAAAUUUUCUUUUUGUAUAGGAAUUAAGAGUCACAUAUAGUUAUCUCAAAGGGCAUUACCUCUUUCCCGGUAUGUUUCCAAUCUUAUCAAAAUCCUUUUGUCCUUCUUGCCUUUCACAUUUCAGGAAAGCUUAUUUGAGCACAGAAUUAUGGCUUCCCUUAGCACAAUGAGGGCUACGGUGUGGAAUUGUCGAGGCCUGGCAGGAUCCUUGACAGUUUCCUUUUUGAAGGAGAUAAUAGGUCUUCACUCUCCAAGUAUGAUUUUCUUAAGUGAAACAAAAAAAGUAGAGAAAGCACGGUUAAAAGGGUACAAAGACAAGCAAAUAUGGUGCACGCUGUAACUGUGGAGCGGAUGGGUUAUUAGGAGGUCUAGCUUUAUUUUGGAAUGACGCUAUCCAGGUAUGUGAAUCACAUUCUUCUCCUUUUAUAUCAAAACUUUGUUACAAGAUGGCUCAGGUGAUUGCAAAUAUUGGUGUUUAUUUAUGUAUCUAAGUACAGAUAGAGUCACUUGUAGAUAUCAAAUGAAAGAGUUAGUUUUAAAAAAUGCAUAAGAGAAUUUAAUAAUAUUGUUGAUGGAUCGGAAAAUCAAGGAAGAUGGAGUAGAGCUACUUGGACCUUUACAGACUUCAAGAAUUUUAUCUGGAACUUAGGUGCAAUUGACUUAGGUUAUAUAGGGUAUAAUCCAGGAAAGGCUAGAUUGUGUCUUAGUCUCUCCUAAUUGAAAAAUCAAAUUCGAGAAUGCGAAUGUGCAACAUAUUGAAACUGACGCAUCGGAUCAUUUUUCCUUGAUGUUGUCUUCAGAAGCAGAACCAAUUAGGAAGAAAAAAUGAUUUUACUUUGAUUGAAGGUGGAUUGAGAGUUAAGGAGUUCAAAAUAUUAUUUCAAAAGCUUGGUCGUAUGAUUUUAAUGGCUUUGAGCAAUCUCGAGUUAGCUUUAGAAUCAUACAUAGUGGUAGAGCUUUGGAGGCUUGGCUUGGGGAGGUGAUGGUAAUGCAAUAAGGAGAAUUAUUGACAUUAAGGGGAAUAUUACAGCCCUUAGGAACAACACUAGUAAUUUUGACUGGAGUAAAUUAAGGUUAUUGAAAAGGGAACUAAUCCAAGACUAUAACGAUGAAGAAAAUUUUUUGAAAAAGAAGUCUAGAGCUUUAUGGUUGCUGGAUAAAAAUACUUCAAUACUUUCACAUGGCAACCCAUCAGACAUCUGAUGGGAGGUGGCUGGUAGACCAAACUGAUAUAAUCCAAGAAGUUGAGCAAUAUUAUAAUAGUUUGUUCUCUGUGGAAAUAAAAUCUUGAACAAUUAAUUUUGACAGCCAUACUUGUUGAAAUUACUAUCUACAAAAAUCGGAAAAUUGGUAGGAACCAAUGUAAAAAUUGGUAUCCACAUUUGUGGAAGUAGGUAGUCAAAGUUUGGUAUAAGUUUGGUAGAGUUUGGCAGCCAAUUUUUUUGUGGAAAUUGUCUACCACAUUAUUUCAUUGAUGAUGUAAUCAGGUCUUCAAAAAAACUAUAUAAUAGAGAAGUAAUUGAACACUUGAAGACACACCAAAAUAGAGAAGCAAUAGAGAAUAGAGAGAGUACUCCACAAACUACUUCUUUGUUUGUGAGAAAAUAGUGUGGAAGUAAUAUUAUUGUGUGUUGUGAGAAAUAAAAGAGUGUUGAGUAGUAGUCUUUUGAUACUACCAAGUUUUUCAUCAAUAUUAUUGUAUUACUUAUUCGGGUAUCAUAUUUACCCAUUUCAAUAUUUGGUGUCGUUGUUACUCUCUUCCUAUUGCUAUUUAGUUUGGACAUUAUCCUGGUUGUGAUUAUCAUUUUAUCCAACAACGUGGUAUCAGAGCCAUGAGAAUAAUAUUCCAUAGUCCUUUCAGUACCCCCUUCUCACAAAAGAAAAUAAUGGAAAAUGGUGUCUACGAAUGAAAGUCAUUCUUGGCUCUCAAGAUGUUUGGGAUAUUGUAGACAAAGGGUAUACAAAACACGCAAAUGAGGAAAGUUUUCCCUCAAAUGAAAAGGAUAUCUUGUUGAAGACAAGAAAGAAAGAUCAACAGGUCCUCACUCUUAUCCAUCAGUGUUUGGAUUUGUUACGAUUGGAGGGGUAAGUGGUUUAGGAAUCAUGUUAUAGUGCUGGAGAUCUAGCAUAUCUUGGUAUGAUGUUGUAGAGGAUGCAACCACCUAAAAAGAAGUGUGGGAGAUUUUACAAAAUUCUCUCCAAGGAUUUGGUAAAGUAAAGUAGGUAAAACUUCAAACUCUAACGGUUAACUUUAAAGUUUUAAAAAUAAUUGAUUCGAAUCCAGUUUGGACUUCUGCUAGAGAUGGAUGGUUGUUGUAAAUUAACUAAGAAGAUAUGGGGAGGAAGUAGAUGAUGUGCACGCGGUAGAAAAGAUCCUUCUUUCUUUAAAACCUAAAUUUGAUUAUCCGGUGUGUGUUAUUGAGGAGUAUAAAGAUCUAGACUCUAUGACGGUAGAACAAUUGAAAGGUUCUAUUCUAGCCUAUGAAGAGAAAAUAAAAAGGAGAAAACAAGAGACACUAGAGCGAAUUCUUAAAACUCAUAUAUCCUUCAAAGGAUUUGAAGAUGAGAAAAGUUACAAAGAAAAUGGACAAUGGCAAGGCCGUGGAGCCUAUCAAGGUACAUAGAGGAGGCAGAGUACAUGGAGCCUAUCAAGGUACAAAUUAAAUGAGGUAUCACAAAUCUUAAAUUGAGUGUUAUGACUGUCAUAAAAUGGGAAAUUACCCUUGGGAAUGUCGGAGUAAUGUUGAAGAGAAAGUUAAUCUUGUUGACAACAACAAAGAUGAAGAUGAGUCAACAUUCUUAUUAACACUCAAAGAAGAAAAUAAAGAUGAUUGCAGCUCAUGGUAUCUUGACAAUGGAGCAAGAAAUUAUAUGUGUGGCCACAAAGAUGAAUUUGUGGAGAUAAAGAAGACCGUGAAAGGUAAUGUGUCUUUUGGAAAUACCUCAAUGAUCCAAAUUGAAGGGAUAGGUAUGAUUCUCAUAUCUUGUAAAGGUGGUGGUCAUAAAUUGAUUACCAAUGUUUAUUAUGUGCCAAAAUUGAAAAGUAAUAUUUUGAGUUUGGGUUAACUUCUUGAAAAAGGAUAUGAUAUUCAUAUGAAAAAAUAUGCAUCUUUGGUUAAGAGAUUCAACUAACAACUUAAUUGUUAAAGUUCAUAUGGCAAAGAAUAGGUUGUUUCCUUUGAAUCUUCAAACUAUCAAUGUAAUGUGCAGGAUGACUCCUGGUGUUGGCAUAUGAGAUUUGGGCACUUGAACUUUAAGCGCUCAAAUCAAUGGGAUACAAGAACAUGGUUGAUGGGAUACUGUCAAUCAACCAUCCUAAUCAAUUGUGUGAAGCUUGUCUUCUUGGAAAACAUGAAAGGAAGAGUUUUCCAAAGGAGAGUACAUCAAGAACAAGUAAGGCACUUCAACUUGUACACACUGAUGUGUGUGGUCCAAUCGGUCCACUUCUUUAGGUACAAAAAAUACUUCUUUCUCUUUAUUGAUGAUUUAAGUAGAAAGACUUGGGCUUGGAGAUAAAUCUUAAGAUUUUGUUUCCAUUAAAAAUUUCAAAGAACAUGUAGAAAAAGAAAGUUGCUAUGAAAUAAAAGAAUUAAGGUUUGAUAGAGGAGGCGAGUUCACUUCAAAAGAAUUUAAUGACUUUUGUCGAUCUCGUGGAAUUCACAGCCCUCUAACGGUACCUUACUCACCCCAAAAAAUGGAGUUGCAGAAAGAAAGAAUAGAACAAUUCUUAAUAUUGCUAGAUGUAUGUUGAAAGCGAAACAUCUAACAAAAGAAUUUUGGGCCGAGGCUGUUUCUUUUGCAAUUUAUUUGAGAAACAGGUCUCCAACAAGAAAUGUACGAGAUCAAACACCUCAAGAAGCAUGGAGCGGAAGAAAGCCAAGUGUUAAGCACUUGAGAAUCUUUGGGAGCAUAGCCUAUGCUCAUGUUCCACAUCAAGGGAGAGUUAAACUUGACGAUCGAAGUGUCAAGUAUGUGUUUAUUGGCUAUGAUGCAGGUUCAAAAGGCUACAAAUUGUACAAUCCUAGUAAUAACAAGUUGGUGGUGAGUCGUGAUGUUGAAUUUGAUGAAGAAGCAUCAUGGAACUAGGAGGCUCCGAAAUAAAAAAAACAUAUGAUUUUCUUCUAUAUUUGAAGAUGAAGAAGAACAUCAGACCAUGGCACCUGCAUAGGAUGCAAUGUUACAUCUCCAUCUUCUAAAGAGAGUUCAAGUGAAAGACCACAUAGGAUAAGGAGCAUUCAAGAACUCUAUGAUGACACAGAAGAAAUUACUAAUUUUGAUUUUUUGUGUUGUCUCUUUACUGAUAGUGAACAAUGAAUUUUGAUGAAGUAGUUACUAACAAAAGGUGGAGACAAGUAAUCGAGGAGAAGAUCCAGUCAAUAGAAAAGAACAACACUUGGGAGUUAACAACUCCUCCCAAGGACCAUUGAGAAAUUGGAGUCAAAUGGGUAUACAAGACGAAGAAAAAUGCCCAUGGAGAAGUAGAAAGACACAAGGCAAGACUGGUGGCUAAAGGCUACAAACAAAGGCAUGGCAUUGACUAUGAGGAAGUCUAUGCGCAUGUUGCCCAUAUGGAGACAAUCCGUCUAUUGUUCUAUUUAGUGGCGCAAAUAAAGUAGAAGAUCCAUCAACUAGAUGCCAAAUCGGUAUUCUUGAAUGGAUAUCUUGAAGAAGAAGUAUAUGUUGAGAAACCAUUGGUUUUUGUGGUUAAAAACCAUGAAGAUAAGGUGUUGAGGUUGAAGAAAGCCUUAUAUGGGUUGAAGCAAGCUCCACGAUCUUGGAAUAGUUGCAUUGACAAAUACUUUCAAGACAACGGGUUUACUCUUUGUCUCCAUGAAUAUGCUCUUUACAUGAAGUUCAUACUAAUGGAGAUAUUCUUCUUGUUUUUCUUUAUGUUGAUGAUCUCAUUCUAACGGGUAACAACCCAGUUUUGUUUGAAGCUUUCAAGAAAACUAUGUCCCUUGAGUUUGAGAUGACGAAAAUAGGGAUCAUUUCAUAUUACUUAGGCCUAGAAGUGAAGCAAAUGGAGGAAGGCCACUUCAUAUCUCAAGAAAGUUAUACAAAGGAGAUUUUUGAAGAAGUUCAACAUGUUUUAUUGCAACCCUGUGAACACCCUAAUUAAAAGUGGAACAAAAUUAUCAAAGUUUGAUGAUGGAGAAAAAGUUGAUUCCACUUUGUUCAAAAGUUUCAUUGGAAGUCUGAGGUACUUGACAUGUACGAGACCAGAUAUACUCUUUGCACUCUGAGUAGUAAGUCAAUUCAUGGAAGCUCCUGCCUCCACUCACUUGAAGGUCGCUAAAAGAAUUCUUAGCUACCUAAAAAGUACAAUCGACCUUGGGCUAUUUUAUUCUUCUUCUGACAAUUUUAAUCUUGUGGGAUAUUAUGAUAGAGACUAUGCAGUAGACGUUUUUGAUACAAAAAGCACAUCGGGUUUUGUGUUUUCUUGGUUGGUUGUGUUAUUUCUUGGAGUUAAAGGAAACAAUCAAUUAUUACUCUCUUGACUUGUGAAGCUAAAUCUGUGGUAGCGACAUCAUAUACCUGUCAUGCUAUUUGGUUGAGAAGAUUGCUGAAGGAACUAGAUUUGCCAUAAAUUGAUGCCACAAUGAUUUGUGUUGAUAAUAAAUCUGCGCAAGCACUAGCAAUGAAUCUAGUGUAUCAUGAUUGAAGCAAGCACAAAGACACAAGGUAUCACUUUAUUGGAGAAUGCAUUUCGAAGAAAGAGUUAGAGCUCAAGUAUGUGAAAUCUCAUGAUCAAGUUGCGGACUCAAGUUUGAAGAUUCUCAGAGAUUGAGAUUAAGCCUUGGAGUAAAUAAGAAAAAUCAAAAUUAAGGGAGAGAUUUGUGGAAAUAAAAUCUUGCCAACAAUUAACUUGGCAGUCAUACUUGUUGAAAUUACUAUCGGCAAAUGUGAAAAUUGGUAGCCACAUUUGCGGAAGUAGGUAGUCAAAGUAUUGUAUUAGUUUUGUAGAGUUUGGCUGCCAAUUUUUUUGUGGAAAUUGGCUACCACAUUAUGUCAUUAAUUAUGUAAUCAAGUCUUCAAAAAAACUCUAUAAAUAGAGUAGUAAUUGAACACUUGAAGACACACCAAAAUAGAGAAGCAAUAGAGAGUAGAGAGAGUAAUCCACAAACUACUUCUUUGUUUGUGAGAAAAUAGCGUGGAAGUAAUAUUAUUGUGAGUUGUAAGAAAUAAAAGAGUGUUGAGCAGUAGCCUUUUGACACUGCAAAGCUUUUCAUCAAUAUUAUUGUAUUACUUACUAAGAUAUCGUAUUUACCCAUUUUAAUAUUUGGUGUUGUUGUUACUCUCUUCUUAUUGCUAUUUAAUUUGGACAUUAUCCUGGGUAUGAUUAUCAAUUUGUCCACAUUCUCUACAUCUAACCUGACAGACUUGGACUAUAUUUUGAAUCACGUUAAAGUGAUUGUUAGUGAUUCUAUAAAUCAGAGUUUAAUUAAGGAAGUUUAUGAUAAGGAAAUAAAAAUGUGGUGUUUGUGAUGCAUCCUCUUGAAGCACCUGGUCGAGAACCUAUGACAAAGUAAAUAAAAAUUACGGUGUUUAAAAGAUAAACGCAAGUGUAGACAAAAAUAUAUGGUUACUAUUGUAGGAGUUUAUUGUUGUUGUAUAUUUGUAGAAGAGUCCUCCAUCGGUUACGAGUUUAUGAAGCAAUUAGUUUCCUUAAGUUUAGCUAGGUUGUUGUUAUUGGUUGUAUUUAACGCUUCGAUGCUGAAAUAAUAAAAUCCUGUUUUGACUAUUUUUGUCUAUCUGAUUUUAUAUGGUAUCAGAGUCUCUCGCCUCUUAUGAGUCAGAUCCUUUCUUUUUUUUCCUCGUCCUAACUAUGAAGGCAUCUCAAGGAAUAACUCCUCCUCUUGUUAUUACUGCUGGUGAUGCUACUGCCACCAACAAUAGUGCUUCGGCUUCUUCACCUAUAAUUCAUGUGGUACAAUUCAAUCCCACAUCUCAGUUACCUAUCAAACUACAAAGUAACCUCAACUUCUCAACUUGGAAAGCACAACUUGUGAUGCUACUCAAUGGCCAUCAACUCAUGGUGUUGGGUUUUAAAGGUGUUAAUGGAAAAUGAAGAGUUGCGACUUUUAUAUAAAGUUAUAACUUUUAUGAAAGGUUGUGACUUUUAUGAAAAGUUUUGACUUAUAUGAAAAGUUGCGACUUUCAUGAAAAGUUGUGACUUUUAUGACAAGUAGUGACUUUUAAGAAAGAUGACGACCUCUCUGAAAGAUUGUGACUUUUCCAAAUAUUUGAGACCAUUCCGAUAAGGCACAAUAAGAAUAUUUUCGCACAACCAUUUGUUUUCUAUAAAUUGAGGGAUUUCCUCUCAUUUUCAAAAUAGAAUUUAUGUUCUUCUUCUACUACUAAAUUUAGUAUUUUAUGUCACGCCCCGAGCUACCCCCGAGACGUGGACACGGAACCUAGGAACACAAGUUAUCCCAAGAUAACCCUGCUGGCAUGAUCAUGAGCAUACUAAAGAUAAUAAAUUGUUGCGCAAGCUAAAUCAUACUUAAAAUGAAAAGAUGGGGAAUACCCAUAUUUUAUAAAUGGGAUAUUUGAAAAUAAUGAGUUUAAUACAAAAGAAAUAUUAACUCAAUACUAAGUUGAAUCUAACUAUGUCCGAAAAUAACCUCUAAACUAGACUAGAAAUACUGGGAAAAGCCCCAGCUAAAUCUAGCAAAAACUUAAACUAAAUGACUAAUGAUUGAAAUGAAACUCAUGAAUGUUGUCCUCAGAGAUUGAGGGCUCACCACUAAAUCUGCUGAAUUGGAGAUCAGAAAAUCGAUCUAUGCAUUAUCUGGAUGCUGAAAACCUCAACCUACAUCACGAGAAGAUGUAGCACACGUAUACGUCAGUACUUGAAAGGUACUGAGCAUGUAGUAUAGAGUAAAAGUGAAAUAAAACAUAACUGAACAAGCAGAAAACAAGUAUAAUAAUCUGAACAUGAUGUGCUGAUUUCUGAGCUAACUAUAUGCAAUGACCAAUUUAUAACAUGCUGAAACUGAAUACUGAAUAUACUGAUAAAUGGUCAAUGCAGAGAGUCUGACUGAACUGUGGGAGCUACUAAUAACCGAUAAUGAAAGCACAUGAGUUAAAUGUGGAGUCCAAUUUAUAUGCCCCAUCGAGAGGACCCAAUAUACCCUGCCAAAGGUAUAAAGGCAUGGUGGCAUGAUCACUAAACUGAUUGUCACAGAGUGGACUUACAACCUACUUGGCUAAUAGUUCUGGGACUAUUGGGUACGCUAAACCCUAGUCCAACUCGGUAUUAUGCUACUCCCAAUAAAUUCUGUAAAUUUACUGAUUAUAUCUAAAUUUCUGUAAAUACUAGAUAGCUCAAAACUAAACAUGCAAACUGAGAAUACAACAAUUAAUUUGGUAAUCAUGCAUUUAUAACUGAGGCAUGUAUAUCUGAAGUGUCUGAAAUAUAUGACCUAGCAUGUGUAAUUCAAGAACUAAAGAAAUACAAAGCUAGGGUUCUGAAAUUUAUGCAAUAAACUGAAUAAAAAUAUGAUAAUCUGAUUUGGAACAUAAAACUAAUAAAUUCAUAAAGUUCUAUAAAAGUUCUAGAAACCCUAGGUUUAAUCAUGACUAGAGAAUCAAGAAUCUGACUAAAUACUAGGGACCUAAUCGGUGAAAGGAACCCACUAGUGAAAUCCCACAUACGUAGUGAUGAAAUCCACGAAACAAUACUUAUGUUUCGGGGCUGGAACUGCUGAAGCUUGUGGCGUUCUUGAACUAGGGUUCUUGAGCUUUUUUUUCUCCUCUCUUGCUUCUAAUUUUCUAAAUUUUGAUUUAAUGAUUUGACUUGGAUAUGUUUUAAUUAUGUUUCUAGGAUUAAACUAACUAAAAUCUAAUGAUUUAGGGUCAAAACGACGUAACUUAGGGUUUAAACGGAGUGGGAAAGGUCAAAAAGACCCCUGGGAAGGUUGCUGUCGGGCCUCAAGACGGCCAGGACUGACGGUCCGUCGUGCGCCCGACGCCCCAUCGUUGGGUCCGUCGUGAGGGCCUGUUCGACAUGACAGGGCUUUACUAAAAUAAGCAUAACUUUUUACUCUGAGGUAUGAUUUUAUAAAGGUCGGUGUCUAUGGAAAGAUAAUUCAAUUAUCUAUCUGUGGGUGGGUGGGUCAUGGGAGACCAAGUUAAUUUUGUGCUAAGAGUUAUGAUCAUUUUAAGUUGACCCAACUACAUUUUCCUUUAACUGGCUGCAAAUUUUCCCCCUAAGGUCAGACCUACGGACCGUAGGUCCACCUACGAACCAUGCUAGCAUCCAUAGCUCUUGUCAUAGAGUGGUUGAAGGGAUUCUUGAUCGACGGUCACGGACCACGGACCGUCGUUUAACCUACAGACCAUAAAUCCGUCUGUCGUCCAAGACUUAACCAAUUUUUCUAGGCUGAAGUUAUUGGGAGUUUAUGAUCCCAUCGACGGUUGUGCAGGACAGACCGUGGUUCAGACUACGGUAUGUCGAUGCCACCAUUUGUAGCACCUGUAGAUUUUUCUGAAAAACUAAUUUUGGGUCUAUUUUGGCUACAGGGUGUUACAUUCUAAGUGUACUUUACUGUUGUUGAGUGACUCGUUGACACUAGAGUUUUGGGUAUCAAUACAUUGAUAAUUGAGAUCAUUCUAUCCUGGAAGGACAUAUUCCAAAAACAUACCUCGGAUACUAGAGGGGAACAAUUUUUCUCAAUGGGACACUGUGCAAUCAACGGACUUGAUCUUCUUUCUAUUUUUCCAGAUUCUGGUAUGUGUUACAAUUUUUAGAUUUGUGAAUUAAUUUCUGUUUUUCUAUUCUUUUGUUCUUCUCUGGUCCAUUAAACUAUGAUAACUUAUGUUUCUGCAGAGUUUGUUGGAUGCAGUAAGAUUCUUUAGACAAAGAAUAACAACACUUCCUCUUUAAGAAAAAUAUUUCGUAUUUCUAAUAUGUUUCUAAUUCUAGAUUCGCCACUAGUUUUAAUUUUCUAGUCGUGAAAAUGUUCUUAAACUUUGUUUUCUUACAAAUUUAUUCAAAGUUUUGUUCUAAGUAUGUUAGGAAUACAAGAUGAACUACACAUGGGACAUCUUGAAGGAUCAAACUCGGUACCACUAAUGAUUGUUACACGACAUAACCUUACGAUUUGAGAACCCGGAUACCAAAUCUGGUUCUCUCAGGACCAACUAAUCCAACAAGCAAUGAUGGCAUCUCUCGAUCCCACCAUUGUGCCGACUGUUGCCACAGCUCCAUCUUCUAAGACAGCCUAGGAACUUCUUCAUGUGGCUUACGCAAAUAAGAGCCACACUCUCAUUUUUAGCAUAUGUGACCAGCUGCAAAAUAAGAAAGCCUCUCAAUCGGUUACAGAAUAAUUUAAACUAUAGUUAUGAUACGUAAAUAGGUAAACUAUAGUUAAGCAGACUUAUUAUGUUUCCUAUUGUAGUUCUUUGUGAAAUUUUCCCUAGAUAAUAUAAAAGAAACGGUUCAGUCAAAACAUGAAAAAAGUGACAACAAUCAAUUCAAACAAAAAUAGAUAGAAUCAAUGACAUUACAUAACUUUCAACCAUCGAGUUUACUAUGAAUAAAGCCUAAAAGUUCAUUAUUUUGGCUUAGAAAGAAGAGAGUUGUCAUAUACAUGAAACUGAUAAGAUAAAUAUAUUCACCUUGACAUUAUUACUUUCAUAAGUAAAUUAUAAAUAAAUUUUAAUGAAACACGUAUAAGAUCUUUAAAAUUGUUUAUAAAAAUAAUAUAUUAUGUAUAUAUAAUAAUAAAAUAUACGUGUAUAUUGUCGGUUCGGUUAUUUCUUCGGAUUUUUUUAACAAAAUUAUAAUCAACUCAAAUAAUAUCAAUUUUUAUAAAUCUAAAAAAAAAACAAAUAGAAUCAAUUUAUUUAAUCGAUUUGAUUAGAUUUAAAUCGAUUUUUAUUCCAAUUAUAAAUACCCUUAAUAACCAUUAAAAAAUUACCAAUCAAAUUUUUUUUAUCAAGAAUUGAAACUAAGAACAUAAGACUGUUGAUUACUUCCUUGAUUAUAGUUAGAUAUGUAAAAAUUGAAUCAACUAAAAAAAUUUUAAAGUAAAAAUUUAUUGGUAGUGAAUUAUUAGGCUAACAGUUUUUAAAUGGCUUCGUAAGUUUUUUUUUCUGGAAAAAAUGUCUCAUUAGAUUUACAGUUAUAUGAUAUCUACUCAUUCAAUUUAAUCAUUUAAAUAAAAUUUUAUUAAUGGAAAAAAUAUAUCGUCAAGUUAUUGUAAAUGGUACGAAGAUAAUCUCCGUCAUACUUUUGGGAUAUUGAUGUCCCUACCGUCUAAAAACUAGAGCAUAUAUGUCAUUCACUCUAGCGGAAGACUAAAUACGGACACAUGGUGCAAUCUUAUCCAUUGAUCCAUAAAUGUCGGAUCGGUGAAGAAGAUGAUGACACGUGUAUGCCCAUUUGUAUGAAGGGUAUAUGUGUUGUAGUUUUUGGACGACAAUGACACCACAAUCCCAAAAGUAUAACAGAGGACAUCUGCAUAUAAUUUAUGAUAGUUCGAGAAUAUAUUUAUUUGUUUUCCAUUUAUAAAUUAUUUUUCAGAUGAAUUCAGAUACAUUAAAAUACAUCACUUCUUAAAUUAUCUUCCUAAUUUAUUCUUAUUUCGAUAAAAAAGAGUCCAUCGACUUAAUUAUUUUCCUAAAACAGAGUCCUACCACUUAAAUAUUUCCUAAAAUAGAGUUUUACAUACUUAAUUAUCUCCUUAGUUUAUUGUUUUCACUCCAAAUCAGCUCAAUGUUUCUCCUAAUUUUUCACAUCCCAUGUCCCGAAUCCAAUAUAGGAGUGUUCAAUUAUCUCUUCCCAUGUUCGGACUCCAAUGUGUGAAAUUCAAACUGGAAAAAUGUUAUUAGUUUAUUAUUGUUGGUUAAUGGUAAUGAUUAUAAACAAGAAUUAUCAGAUUAUCAGUUCAAUNNNNNNNNNNNNNNNNNNNNNNNNNNNNNNNNNNNNNNNNNNNNNNNNNNNNNNNNNNNNNNNNNNNNNNNNNNNNNNNNNNNNNNNNNNNNNNNNNNNNACUUAAUACAGCACGAAGCAUAUUACUUUUCUAGUUUUACAUUAAUAUAUCUAUAUAAAUAAGAUUUAUUAUUACUUUAUUAGAAAAAAUUACACCAAAUUAUGGAUAUGACAAAGUAUAUCUAAAAAAUAUGGAGAAUGAAAACAAAAUUGUGUCAAACGGAUAUUCGAGCCAAAAGUUUCAAAUCUUUUGAAGUUUCACUAAAUCAGAGAUUGAAGCUCAAAAAAAGUAGUUGUAAAUUUGUGAAAUUUCAAGCGGCCAAAAUUUUGACUCGGAUGAUCGAUUGACGUAAAUUUUUAUCUCAGUAUGGUUAUUUUUUUAGAUCUACCAAACAAAUCUCCAUAGGCUAUUUGGACGAGUAAAUUUUCCAAAAACAUCUUUUAGACCAUUUAAUUUUGAAUUUCCCCAAUUUUAAAAAAAAAUAGUUAUUCUUUAUUGCUAUGAAUCUGAUAAAAGAACAUAGAUUUUUGAGUUCGAAAUACCUUGGUAAAACAUCUGAGAAUUUCAAGUUUAAUGUUAGAUAACAUAUUUUAUGAUUAAAAUGUUUUAUCCCGUUCAAUUUAACAUUUCCCUUAAUUGUGUACACAUGGUCGGACAAUGUCGAGAAUGGCAUACCAUCAUCGGCAUUGGGGCAGCACACACAGUCGGACGACAUCAGGCGUCAAAUGCCAUCUUUUCCCUUGGAUAGAAAAACACGAUGGGAAAACUUCGGGUGUGGCAUGCCAUCAUCGCUCUUGGACUACACACAUAGUUAGAUGAAGUUAGCGUUGCAUGCCAUCAUGUCCCUUGGACAACACACACGGUAGGACUACGUAGGGCGUGGUAGGCCAUCUUCUCCCUUAGGAAGUAUACACAGGGUCAAUGAUGCCGGUCGUGGCAUGCCAUCAUCUCCCUUGGACAACAUACACGAUUGGAAGACGUCGGGCAUAUCAUGUCAUCAUCGCCCUUGGAAAGCACACACGAUUGCUCUAUGUUUGGCGUAGCGAUGCUAUAAUAACCCUUGGGAAGCACAAAAGGUCAGACGAUGUCAAGCGUUAAUUGCCAUCAUUUCCUUUGGACAGCAUGAACAGUUGGACUACGUCGGGUGUGUCAUGUUAUCAUCUACCUUGGAAGCAUACAAGAUUGAAUGACAUAAGGCGUAACAUGUUAUCAUCGCCCUUGAAAUGCACACACGAUUGGACAACGUCAGGCGUGGCAUGCCCGUAUGGACCUUAGGCGGCACACACGGUUAGAUGACGUCGGGCGUGGAAUGCCAUCUUCACCAUUGGGAAACACACACGGUCGGACGACAUUGGGCGUGACAUGCAAUCUUUGCCCUUGAAAAGCACACACUGUGGGACGACGAUGGGCAUGGAAAGCCAUCAUUGCCCAUACACAGCAUACACGGUUGGACUACCUCAAGCGUUGCAUGCCAUCAUGGCCUUUGUCAAGGACACAUGAUCGUUCAAUGUCGGUCAUGGCAAUGCAUUCAUCGCUCUUGGAAUGUACACAUGGUCAGAUGACGUAGGACAUGACAUGUUAUCUUUGCCAUUUGAGAGGACACACGAUCGGACAACUACAAAUGGUUAGAUGAGGUUGGGCGUGGCAUGUCAUCAUCGCCAUUCGACAGCACAUACAGUCAGAAGUGGCAUACCAUCAUCUCCAUUGGGCAGCAAACUCAGUUGGACGACGUCAGGCGUGACAUGCCAUCAUCGCCCUUGGACAACACACAUGGUGGGAUGACAUCAGGCGUCUCAUGCCAUCAUCACCCUUGGAAAACAUACACAGGGAUAGACGAUGUCACGCAUGGCUUGCAUUCAUCGCCCUUGGAAAGCAUACACGGUUGAAGGAAGUCGGGAGUGACAGUUUAUCAUUGCCUUUGGACUGCACAUACGCUCAGACGACGUUAGGUGUGGUAAUGUUAGAAUCUCCCUUGGGCAGCAAACAUGGUCGGAAAAAGUAGGGCGUUUAAUGCCAUCCAAUAUUUCCCUUUGGAAAGAACACAUGGUAGGACAACGACUACAUGACAUGUCUCAUCGCCUUUAGACUACACACAUUGACGGACGACGUCAAGCGUAGCAUGCCCGCAUAGACUUUGGGUAGCACACACAAACAUAUGAUGUCGUGCGUGGCAUGCAAUUAUCUCUAUUAGGCAGCACAUGCGACUAGACGACAUAAAGCGUGGCAUGUCCGCAUAGCCCUAGGGUAGCACACAUGGUGAAAUAAUGUCGGACGUGGCAAUCCAUCAUUGCAAUUGUGCAGCACAUGUGGUCGGACGACAUCUUGCAUGGCAUGCCCUCAUGGACCUUGGCCAUCACACCCAGUCGAAUAACUUCUGGUGUUGCAUGCCAUAGUGGCCCUUGGCCAGCACACAUGGUCAGACAGCGUAUGCCAAUGCUAUCAUUGCCCUUGGGUAGCAUACACGGUUGGACGACGUCGGGCAUCAAAUGUCAUCAUUGCCCUUUGGAUAACAUAAAUGGUAUGACAAAGUCGACGUGGCAUGCCAUCAUCGCCUUUUGACUACACACACAGAUAGUUUACGUCGUGUGUGACAUGCUAUUAUUGUCCUUAUGCAGCACACAGGUUGAACUACAUCGGGCGUUAGAUUCCAUCGUUUCUCUUAGACAACACACACGGUUGGAUGACGUAGACCGUGGCAUGUCAUCAUCUCCCUUUGACAGCCUACGAGAUCGGACUAUGUCGGGCGUGGCAUGCCAAUCUCCCUUGGAAAGCACACACCGUUGGGCAAUGCCGGGCGUGGCAUCCCAUCAACACCCUUGGAAAGCAUACACGAUCCGAUGAAAUCGGGCGUGGCAUAUUAUCAUCGCCCUAUGACUGAACACAUGAUUCGACCACGUAGGGCGUUACAUGCCCACAUGGCCCUUGGGCUGCACAUGCAAUCGAAUGACAUCGGGCAUUGCGUGCCAUUAUCGCCUCGUGCAGCACACACGUUCGGACAUCUUUAGGAAUGACAUUCCAUCAUCGCCCUUGGGAAGCGCACAUGGUCAGAAAACGUCAGGUGUGGCAUGCCAUCAUCGCCCUUGGAAAGAAUACCAAGUCUGACGAUGUCGGGCAUGGCAUGCCAUAAUCGCCCUUGAACAACAUAUAUGGUUGGACUACGUCGAGCGUGGCAUGUGAAUUUCUCCCUUUGAAUGAACACACAGUCAGAGGAUAUUGGGCGUGGCAUUCCAUCAUCGUAAUUGGAAAAUAGAAACAGGGUCAAACGAUGUCGUGUGUGGCAUUCCAUCAUCGCCCUUGGACAUCAUACCGUAUCAGACGAUGUCAAGCAUGCCGUGCCAUCAUUUCCCUUGGGAAACAGCUAGAAUCAGAUGAAGUCAGGCGUGGUAUGGCAUCAUUGCCCUUGGGCAGCAUACACGGUCGAACUACGUCGGGCGUGGCAUGCCAUCAUUGCCCUUGGAUAACACAGAUGGUCCUAUGACAUCAGGCGUGUCAUGUUAUCAUCACCCAUGGUUAGCAGACACGGUGAGACGACAUCGUCCAUUGAAUUGCCAUCAUUCUAAUUGGACAGCACACAUGAUCAGACUACGUCGGGCAUGGCAUGACAUGAUGUCCCUUGGGCAGCAUACAUGGUCGGACGACAUCGACCAUGGCACUGUCAUCAUCGCCCUUGGUAUGCACACAUGGUCGAACGACGUCUUGCUUAGCAUGGCAUCAUCUCCCUUGAAAAGCAUACAUGAUCGGACGAUGUUGGGCGUGGUAUGUUAUCAAUGUUCUUGAAGAGCACACAUGAUUGAAAGAUGUCGGUCAUGUCAUGUCUGGAUGGACCUUGGGCAGCAUACAAGGUCGUAUGAUGUGAGGCAUGGCAUGCCAUCAUCUACUUUGUGCGGCACACGUGGUUUGAGAAUGUUGAGCAUGACAUGCAAUCUUCGUCCUUGGACUGCACACACAGUGGGACGACGUCGAGCGUGACACGCCAUCAUCUCCCUUGGACAACAUACACGGUCGAACUACUUUGGGAGCGGCAUUCCAUCAUUGCCCUUGGACAACAUAGACAAGGAGAGACUACGUCGGGCGUGACAUGCCAUCAUCUCUCAUGUCUGCAUGGCCCAUGGGAAGCACACAUGGUCGGAUGAGGUCGGGCGUGGCAUGCCAUUAUCUCCCUUGUAAAUCACACACGUCCGAACGACGUCGGGCGUGACAUGCAAUCAUAGCCCUUUGGAAGCACACACAGUCAAAUGACGUUGGGCGUGGAUUGCCAUAAUCGCCCGUGGAAAGCAUACACGAUUGAAGGACGUCAGGCGUGGCAUGCCAUCAUUUCCCUUGGAUAGAAGAGACAGUCAUACAACAUAGGACAUGGCAUACUAUCAUCGCAAUUGGGUAGCACACACGUUCGGAUCACAACGGGCGUUAGAUGCCAUCAUUACCCUGGGGCAGCACACACGGUAGAACUACGUCAUGCGUGGCAUGCCAUUAUCGAUCAUGGUUGUAUCAUUCGUACUUUUCUAAUAUAGCUUCUUGAUUUUCCCAUCUUAUUGUACUAGUCUUUCAUUUUAAUCUUAAUAAGGCGUGAAGAAUAUUAGCUUUCUAAUUAACAUUUAUAUUAUAAUAGAUAAAUAAAAUUUAAUAAUAUUUUUUUUAAAAAAAAGCAAAACAAAAUGAAGGAUAUGACCACGUAGAUCUAAAAAAUAUGCAGAAUAAUUAUUUUUUUUUUGCGUAAAACAGAUAUUCUACCCAAAGUUUCAAUCAUUUAAAGUUUAACCAAAUAAAAGAUUGAAACACAAAAAAAGUGGUUGUAAAUAUGUGAAAUUACAAAAAGCCAUAACUUUUGACUCACAUGUCCGAUUGAGGCAUUUUUUUCUCUAUUUUGUUGUUUUUUUGAGAUCUGGUGAAAGCAAACCCUCAAAGGCGGUUGGGACAAGUCAAUUAUCAAAAAAACGUGUUUUAACCCAUUCAAGUUUUAAUUUCCCAUAAUUUUCAAGAAAACUGUAAUUUUUUAUUGCUAUGAAUCUUAUAACAGAAAAUAGAUUUUUUUGUUCGAAAUACCUGUGUAACACAUAUCAAAAUUUAUAGUUUAACGUCAGAUAAUCAAUUUAAUGAGAAAAAUAUUUUAUCCCAUUUAAUAUUUUUCCCUUAAUUUUGCCCACACUAUCAGACAAUGUCGAGCGUUGCAUGCAAUCAUCGCCAUUGGGUAGCACAUGUUGUCUGACGCCGUUAGGCCUGACAUGCCAUCUUCGGCCUUUGAAAACACACAUGGUGGGACGACGUCGGGCGUGGGAUGAUAUCAUCGCCCUUGGACAACUUACACUGUUGGACAACGUCGAGCAAUGCAUGCCAUAAUGUCCCUUGGACAACACACACGGCCGGACUGCGUCAGACGUACCAAGACAUCAUCGCCCUAGCGAAGCAUACACAGGGUCAUAUGAUGUGGCGCGUGGCAAGUCAUCAUCUACCUUGGACCGAAUACACGGUCGAACAAUGUCUAGCAUAACAUUUUAUCAUUGCCCAUGGAUAUGACACACGAUCGAGCGACAUCGGGCUUGGCAAUGCUAUAAUAAACCUUGGGCAGCAUGAAUAGUUGGACGACAUCGGGCGUUAAAUGUCGUCAUUGCCCUUUGACAGCAUACACGGUCGGACUAUGUUGGGUGUGGUAUGUUAUCAUCGCCCUUAUAAAGCAUGCACGAUCGGAUGAUGUCAGGCGUGCCAUGUUAUCAUCGCCCUUGGACAACACACACGAUAGAACGACGUUAGGUGCGACAUGCUUGCAUGGCCCUUGGGAAGCACCCACAGCCGGAUUACGUCGGGCGUGGCAUGCCAUCAUUGCCCUUGUACUAAACACACCAUUGGACCAGGUAGGGUGUGGCAUGCCCACAUGGCCCUUUGGCAGCACACAUGGUUGAAUGAGGUCGGGCAUGGCAUGCCAUUAUCGUCCUUGUGUAGCAUACACGUUCGGACGACGUCGGUCAUGACAUGAUAUCAUAGCCCUUAGAAGCAUAGAGGGUCGAACAACGUUGGUUUUGACUUGCCAUCAUCGCCCUUUGGACAACCUACAUGGUCAGACGAUGUCGAGCGUGGCAUGGCAUCAUGACCCUUGCACAACACACAUGGUCGGACUACGUCAGGCAUGGUAGGCAUUCAUCGCCCUUGGGAAGCAUAAAUAGUCAUUGAAUGUUAUCAUCGGCCUUGGAUCGAAUAUUACGGUGGAAUGACAUCAUAAAUGACAUGAUAUCAUCUCCCUUAGAUAGCAUACAUGAUCGGACUACAUCAGCCUUGGCAAUGAAAUAAUCGCCCUUGGGCAGCACACACAGUUGGACAACGACGGGCAUUAAAUGUAAUUAUUGCCCUUGCACAAUAUACAUGGUCGGGCUACAUCGGGUGCGACAUUUUAUCAUCUCCCUUGGAAAGAAUACACGAUCAAACGAUGUGGAUCAUGGCAUAUUAUCAUCUCCCUAUGACUGAACACAUGAUUGGACAACGUAGUGCAUUACAUGCAAACAUGGCCCUUGGGAAGCACACACGGUCAAAUGACGUUGGGCAUAGCACACCAUCAUUCCCAUUGGGCAGCACUCGUCGUCAGACGAUGUCGGACAUGACAUGUCAUCUUUGCCCUUGUACAGCACACAUGGUGAACGGUGUCGGCCGUGGCAUGCCAUUAUCGCCCUUUAACAACAUACACGGUCAAAAUACGUCAGGUGUGGCAUGCCAUCAUUGCUCUUGGCAAGCACACAUGGUAACACGAUGUCAGCCAUUACAAUGCCAUCAUUGUUCAUUCAAUCCACACACGAUUGAAUGACGUUAGGCGUGCCUUGCCAUCAUCGCCCUAGUAAAGCAUUCAUAAUUAGAUGACAUCGGUUGUGGCAUGUUAUCAUCGCCCUUUGACAACACACGUAAUCGGAUGAAGUCGGGCGUGGCAUGCUCAUAUGUCCCCUAGGAAUCACUCACAAUAAGAUGAAGUCGGGCGUGGCUUACCAUUAAUGCCGUUAGGCAGCACAUGCUGUGGGACGACGCAAGGCAUGACAUUCCAUAAUCACAAUUGGGCAGCACAAGCAGUCCAACAACGUCAUGUUUGACAUGCAAUCUUCGACUUUGGAUAGCACACACGGUGGUAAAACAUUGAGUGUGGCAUAUCAUAAUUGCCUUUGGAUAGCUUACAUGGUAAGACUAUGUCGAGCAUGGAAUGCCAUCAUGGCCCUUGCACCGCACACACGGUCGGACUGCGUCAGGCAUGGAAGGCAAUCAUCGCCCUUGGGAAGCAUACAUGGUCAUGGAAUGUUAUCAUCGCCCUUGGAUAGAAUACACGGUCGAACGACGUCAGGAAUGAAAUGAUAUCAUCUCCGUAGGACAGCCCACAUGAUCGGACUACGUCAGCCUUGGCAAUAUUAUAAUCGCCCUUGGGUAGUACACACAGUCAGACGACGAUGGGCGUUAAAUGUGAUUAUUGCCCUUGGACAAUAUGCAUGGUUGUACUAUAUCGGGUGUGAGAUGUUAUCAUCUCCCUUGGAAAGAAUACACGAUUUGAGGAUGUCGGGCAUUACAUGUUAUCAUCACCCUUGGACAUCACAUACGAUCGGAAGAUGUCGGGGCGUGGCAUGCCCGCAUGUCCCUUCGGCAGCAGACAUGGUUGGAUGGCAUCCGGCGUGGGAUGCCAUUAUCUCCUUCGGACAACAUACGUGGUGGGACGAGAUUGCGUGCUAUGCCAUCAUCGCAAUUAGGAAGCACACGCAAUCGGAUGAUGUCAGGCGUGACAUGCCGUCUUUGCCCUUGGACAACACACACGGUGCAACGACUUUGGAUUGGUAUUCCAUAAUCACACUUGGACAACAUAUACGGUUGGAGAAUGUCAGGCGAGGCAUACCAUCACGGCUCUUGUCCAGAACAAACGGUCAUACGACGUCGGGCGUGGCAGUCAAUCAUCGCCAUUGAACAAUAUAGACAGGGUCGAAUAACGUCGGAUGUGGCAUACCAUCAUCGCCCUUGGACAACAUACACAGUCGUACGAUGUUGAGCGUCGCAUGUUAUCAUCGACCAUGGACUGCACACACCGUCGGACGACGUUGGGAAUGGCAAUGGUAUCAUCUCCCUUGGGCACCACUCACAGUCGGACUUCGCCGGGCAUUAAAUGCCAUCAUUACCUUUUGGAGAGUUCACACGAUCAAAUGACGUCGACAUGGCAUGCCCUUAUCGCCUUUGGAUUGCACACACCAAUGGACAACGUCGGCCGUGGCAUGCUUUCAUCGCCCUUGGAUACCAUAUAUGGUAGAACUAUGUCGGGCGUGGCAUGCCAUCAUCGCCCUUGUAAUGAACACAUGGUCCGAUGAUGUCAGGCAUGUAAUGCCAUCAUCGCAAUUGGAAAACAUACACAUGUUCGAAAUACGGCAGGCGUGGCAGGCCUUCGUCGCCCUUAGGAAGAAUACACAGGGUUUCACAAUGUAGAGCAUAUAAUGUAAUCAUCGCCUUUGAAUAGAAUACACAGUUGGACGACAUCAGGAAUGACAUGUUAUCUUCUCCCUUGGACAGCACACACAAUCGGACUACGUCAGCCUUUCUAGUGCUAUAACGCCCUUGGGCAGCACAUACAGUCUGACGACGACGGGCGUUAAAUGUGAUCAUUGCACUUGGACAAUAUACAUGGUCGGACUAUGUCGGGUGUGACAUGUUAUUAUCACCCUUGUAAAGUAUACACGAUCGAACGAUGUCAGGCAUUACAGGUUAUCAUUGCCCUUGGAAAUCACAAACGAUCGUACGAUGUCGGGCGUGGCAUGCCUGCAUGGCCCUUGGGCGGCACACAUGGUUGGAUGACGUCAGGAAUGGGAUGCCAUCAUCGCCAUUGUACAACAUACAUGGUGGGACGAGAUCGUGCAUUCUAUUCCAUCAUCGCCAUUGGGAAGCACAAGCGGUCGGAUGACGUCGGGCGUGACAUGCCAUCUUUGCCCUUCGACAGCACUCACGGUGGGACGACUUCGGUGAGGUAUGACAUCAUCGCACUUGGACACCAUAUACAGUUGGAGAACAUAAGGUGAGGCAUUCCAUCCUGGACCUUGGCCAGAACACACGAUCGAACGACAUCGUGCGUGGAAGGCCAUCAUCUCCCUUGAACAACAUUGACAAGGUCCAAUAAUGUCGGGCUUGGCAUACCAUCAUCGCCCUUGGACAACAUACCCAUUCGGACGAUGUUUGGCUUUGCAUGUUAUCAUCACCCUUGGACUGCAUAUACGGUCAGAUGAUGUUGGGCAUGGUAAUGCUAUAAUCGCUUUGGCACCACACACGGUCGGACGUCGGUUGGCGAUAAAUGCCAUCAUAUCCUUGGACAGCAUAAACGGUUGGACUACGACGGUUGUGUCAUGUUAUCAUCUACCUUGGAAGCAUACACGAUCGAACAACGUCAGGCGUAACAUGUUAUCAUCUUCCUGGGAAUGCACACACUAUUGGAAAACGUCGGGCGUGGCAUGCCCGUAUGGACCUUGGGCGGCACACACUGUCAAAUGACGUCGGGCGUGGAAUGCCAUCUUCACCAUAGGGAAGCACACACAGUAGGAUGACGUUGGGCAUGACAUGCCAUCUUUGCCCUUGGACAGCACACACGGUGGGACGACAUUAGGACUAUCAAGCCAUCAUCGCCCAUAGAUAGCCUACACGAUUGGACUAUGUCAGGUGUGGCAUGCCAUCAUGGCCUUUGUCCAGGACACACGAUAAGACAAUGUCGGUCCUGGCAAUGCAAUUAUUGCUCUUGGAAUGUAGACACGUUCAGAUGAUAUUAGACGUGACAUGUUAUCUUUGCCAUUUCAGAGCACACACGAUCUGACGACUUCAGGUAUGGAAUGACCCCAUGGCUCUUUGGCAGCACAAAUAGUUAGAUGACGUCAGGCGUGGCAUGCCAUCUUCGCCAUUCGACAGCACAUACGGUCAGAAGUGGCAUACCAUCAUCUCUAUUGGGCAAUAUACGCAGUCGGAUCACGUCAGGCGUGACAUGCGAUCAUCACCCUUGGACAACAUACACAGGGAUAGACAAUGUCGAGCAUGGCUUGUCAUCACCGCCCUUGGAAAGCAUACAGUGUCAGACGAAGUCGGGAGUGACAUUUUAUGAUUGCCUUUGGACUACACACAAGCUCACACGACGUUGGGUGUGGUAAUGUUAGAAUCUCCCUUGGGUAGCACACGUGGUCGGAAAAAGUAGGGCGUUUAAUGCCAUCCAAUAUUUCCCUUUGGUAAGAACACAUGGUAGGACAACGACGACAUGGCAUGUCUCAUCGAGUUUGGACUGCACACAUGGACGAACGACAUCAAGCGUGGCAUGCCGCAUAGCCCUUGGGUAGCACACACGAACGGAUGAUGUUGUGCGUUGCAUGCCAUUAUCUCCAUUAGGAAGCACAUGCGAUCAAACGGCAUUGGGCGUAACAUGUUAUCAUCGCCCUUUGAAAGCUGACAUGAUCGGACGACGUCAGGCGUGACAUGCCACCAUGGCCCUUGGGAAGCACACACGGUCUAAUGACAUCGGACUUGGCAAUCUAUCAUCGCAAUUGUGCAGCACACGCAGUUGGAUGACAUCUCGCGUGGCAUGCCCUCCUGGACUUUGGCUAGCUCAUCCGGUCGAACGACGUCUGCGUGGCAUAUCAUCGUGUCCCUUGGCCAGCACACGGUUAGACAACAAUUGCCAAUGCUAUCAUCACCCAUGGGUAGCAUACACGGUUGGACGACGUCGGGCAUCACAUGUUAUCAUUUCCCUUUAGACAACACAAAUGGUAGGACGACGUCGACGUGGCAUGCCAUCUCCUCUUUUUGACUACACACAUCUAUAGUCUACGUCGUUUGUGAAAUGACAUUAUUGUCCUUGUGUAGCACACUCGGUUGAACAACGUCGGGCAGUAGAUGCCAUCAUUGCUGUUAGACAACACACACGUUCGGAUGACUUCGAUCGUUGCAUGCCAUCAUCGCCCUUUGACAGCUUACAUGAUCAAACUAUGUCAGGCGUGGCAUGCCAUGAUCUCCCUUAGGGAUGCACACAACGUCGGGUAAUAUCGGGCGUGGCAUCCCAUCAACACCCUUGGAAAGCAUACACGAUCCGAUGACAUCGGGCGUGGCAUAUUAUCAUCGCCCUAUGAGUGAACACGUAAUUGGACCACGUAGGGCGUUACAUGUCCACAUGGCCCUUAGCAUCACACAUGGUCGAAUGACGUCAGGUGUGGCAUGCCAUUAUCGCCUCGUGCAGCACACGCGUUCGGACAACGUCAGGAAUGACAUGUUAUCAUAGCCCUUGGGCAGACGACGUCGGGCGUGGCAUGCCAUCAUCGCCCUUAGAAAGAAUACCCAGUGAGACGAUGUUUGGCUUGGCUUGCCAUAAUCUCCCUUGAACCACAUACAUGGUUGGACUACGUCGAGCGUGGCAUGUGAUAUUCUCCCUUGGAAUGAACACACAGUCGGAGGAUAUCGGGCGUGGCAUUCCAUCAUCGCAAUAGGACAGCAUAAACAGGGUCAGACGAUGUCGGGCGUGGAAUGCCACAUUGCCCUUGGACAGCUUACCGUGUCAAACGACGUCAAGCAUGCCAUGCCAUUAUUGCCCUUGGGAAAUACCAGAGUCAGACAAAGUCUGGUGUGGCAUGGAAUCACUUCCCUUGGGCAGCAUACACGGUCGAACUACGUCGGGUGUGGCAUGCCAUCAUUGCCCUUGGACAACACAGAUGGUCGUACGACAUCAGGCGUGUCAUGUUAUCAUCACCCAUGGUUAGCAGACAAGGCGAGACGACGUCGUCCGUGGCAAUGCCAUAGUCACACUUGGACAGCACAAACGAUCGGACUACGUCGGGCAAGGCAUGACAUGAUGUCCCUUGGGCAGCAUACAUGGUCGGAUGACGUCGACCAUGGCAAUGUCAUCAUGUCACUUGGAUUUCACACACAGUCGAACGACGUCAAGCGUGGCAUGCCAUCAUCGCCCUUGGAAAGCAUACACGGUGGGACGAUAAUGGGCGUGGUAUGUUAUCAAUGAUCUUGAAGAGCACACACGAUUGAAUGAUGUCGAGAAUGUCAUGCCGGCAUGCACCUUGGGCAGCAAACAUGGUUGUACGAUGUCAGGUAUGGCAUACCAUCAUCUACAUUGUGCGGCACACGCAGUUGGACAAUGAUGAGCAUGACAUGCAAUCUUCGCCCUUGGACUGCACAAACAGUGUGACGACAUCGGGCGUGACAUGCCAUCAUUGCCCUUGGACAACAUAAACGGUCGAACUACUUCGGGCAUGGCAUGCCAUUAUUGCCCUUGGACAACAUAGACAAGGACACACUACGUGGGGCGUGGCAUGCCAUCAUCACCCUAGGAAAGUAUACACGACCAAAAACCGUCGGGUGUGGGAUAUUAUCAUCGCCUUUGAAAUGCACACACAUUCUCAUAAUGUUGGGCGUUGUGAUGCUAUCAUUGCCAUUGGGCAGCACACACGGUCGGACUACGUAUGACGUUUAAUACCAUCAUUGCCCUUUUGACAGCACACAAAGUCGGACGACGUCGACAUGGCAUGCCAUCAUCACCAUUGGAUUGCACACACAGACGAACAAUGUCGGGCGUGGCAUGCUCGCAUGGCCAUUGGGCAGCACACACAGUCGGAUGACGUCGGGCUUGGAAUGCCAUCAUCGCCAUUGGGAAGCACAUGUGGUUGGAUGACGUCGGCCGUGUCAUGCCAUCUUGACCCUUGGAACACACAUACGGUGGGACAAUGUCGGGCAUGGCAUGCCAUCAUCGCCCUUGGACAACAUACACGGUCAGACUAUGUCAGGCGUGGCAUGCCAUCAUGGACCUUGUCCAGCACAUAUGGGUGGAAGAGGUUGGGCGUGGUAGGACAUCAUCGCCGUUGGACAACAUACAUAGGUUUGGACACGUCGUGCGUGGCAUGUUAUCAUCGCCCUUUCAUAACACACGCAAUCGGAUGAAGUCGGGCGUGGCAUGCUCUUAUGGCCCCUAGGAAUCACACACGAUAAGAUGAAGUCGGGCAUGGCUUACCAUUAUCGCCGCAGGAAGCACCUGAUGUGGGACGACGCAAGGCAUUGCAUUUCAUAAUCACAAUUGGGCAGCACACGCGGUCGAACAACGUCAUGUUUGACAUGCCAUCUUCGACUUUGGAUAGCACAGACGGUGGUAAAACAUUGAGUGUGGCAUAUCAUAAUUGCUUAGGAUAACUUACAUGGUAAGACUACGUCAAGCAUGGCAUGCCAUCAUGGCCCUUGCACAGCACACACAGUCGGACUACGUCAGGCGUAAAGGCAUUCAUCGCCCUUGGAAAGCAUACAUGGUCAUGGAAUGUUAUCAUCGCCCAUGGAUAGAACACACGGUUAGACGACGUCAGGAAUGAAAUGAUAUAAUCUCCCUAGGACAGCCCACAUGAUCGAACUACGUCAGCCUUGGCAAUCUUAUAAUCGCCCUUGGGCAGUACACACAGUCCGACGAUGAUGGGCGUUAAAUGUGAUCAUUGCCCUUGGACAAUAUACAUGGUCGUACUAUAUCGGGUGUGAGAUGUUAUCAUCUCCCUUGGAAAGAAUAUAGGAUUGGACGAUGUCGGGCGUUACAUGUUCUCAUCGCCCUUAGACAUCACACACGAUCGAAGGAUGUUGGGUGUGGCAUGCCCGCAUGUCCCUUGGGCAGCACACAUGGUUGGAUGACAUAAGGCAUAGGAUGCCAUCAUCGCCUUUGGACAAACUACAUGGCGGCACGACAUCGUCCAUGCUCUGCCAUCAUCGCCAUUGGGAAGCACACUCGGUCGGAUGAUGUCGGGCGUGACAUUCCAUCUUUGACCUUGGAUAUUACACACUGUGGGAUGACUUCGACGUGGUAUGCCAUCAUCGUAGUUGGACAGCAUAAACGGUUGGAGAACGUUAGGCGUGGCAUGUUAUCAUUGACCUUGGACUGCACACACGGCGUGGCAUGCUAUCAUCUCCCUUGGAUAGCAUAUACAGUAGAACUACAUUGGGCGUGUUAUUCCAUCACCGCCCUUGGAAUGAAAAUACGGUAGGAUGAUGUCACGCACGGCAUGCAAUCAUUUUAAUUGGACAACAUACACACGGUUGGACUACGUCAGGCGUUGCAGGAAUUCAUCGCCCUUAGAAAGCAUACACAGGGUCGCACGUUGUCGAGCAUAUAAUGUAAUCAUCGCCCUUGGAUAGAAUACACAGUUGGAUGAUGUAAGGAAUUACAUGAUAUCAUCUCUCUUGGAAAGCACACACGAUUGGACUAUAUCAGCCUUGGCAAUGCUAUAAUCACCCUAGGGCAGCACAUACAAUUGGACGGCGACGGGCGUUAAAUGUGGUCAUUGCACUUGGACAAUAUACAUUGCAAAACUACGUUAGUUGUGACAUGUUAUUAUUACCAUUGGAAAGUAUACACGAUGGGACAAUGUCGGGCGGUACAUGUUAUCAUUGCCCUUGGAAAUCACAAACAAUCAUACAAUGUCGGGCGUGGCAUGCCCGCAUGACCCUUGGGCGCCACACAUGGUUGGAUGACGUUAGGUGUGGGAUGCAAUCAUUGUCUUUGGACAACAUACAUGGUGGGGCGAGAUCGUGCGUUCUAUGCCAUCAUCGCUAUUGGAAAGCACAAGCGGUCGGAUGACGUGAGGCGUGACAUGCCAUCUUUGCCCUUGGACAUUACACACGGUGGGACGACUUCGGCGUGGUAUGCCAUCAUCGCACUUGGACAGCAUAUACGGUUGGAGAAAGUUAGGUGAGGCAUACCAUUAUGGCCCUUGGGCAGCACACACGGUUGGACGACGUCGGGCGUUAGAUGACCAUUUCCUUGGGGCAGCACAGACGAUCGAAAUAUUCCGCGCGUGGCAUGCCAUUAUUUAUCAUGGUUAUCGCAUUUUAACUAAUCCAAUAUAUCUUCUAGAUUUUCCCAUCGUGUUGUAGUAGUCUUUAAUUUUUAACUUAAUACAGCACGAAGCAUAUUACUUUUCUAGUUUUACAUUAAUAUUAUUCUAUAUAAAUAAAGAUUUAUUAUUACUUUAUUAGAAAAAUUACACCAAAUUAUGGAUAUGACAAAGUAUAUCUAAAAAAUAUGGAGAAUGAAAAAAAAAUUGCGUCAAACGGAUAUUCGAGCCAAAAGUUUCAAUCUUUUGAAGUUUCACUAAAUCAGAGAUUGAAGCUCAAAAAAAGUAGUUGUAAAUUUGUGAAAUUUCAAGCGGCCAAAACUUUUGACUCGGAUGAUCGAUUGACGUAAAUUUUUAUCUCAGUAUGGUUAUUUUUUUAGAUCUACCAAACAAAUCUCCAUAGGCUAUUUGGACGAGUCAAUUUUCCAAAAAACAUCUUUUAGACCAUUUAAUUUUGAAUUUCCCCAAUUUUUUAAAAAAUAGUUAUUCUUUAUUGCUAUGAAUCUGAUAAAAGAACAUAGAUUUUUGAGUUCGAAAUACCUUGGUAAAACAUCUGAGAAUUUCAAGUUUAAUGUUAGAUAACAUAUUUUAUGAUUAAAAUGUUUUAUCCCGUUCAAUUUAACAUUUCCCUUAAUUGUGUACACAUGGUCGGACAAUGUCGAGAAUGGCAUACCAUCAUCGGCAUUGGGCAGCACACGCAGUCGGACGACAUCAGGCGUCAAAUGCCAUCUUUUCCCUUGGAUAGAAAACACGAUGGGAAAACUUCGGGUGUGGCAUGCCAUCAUCGCUCUUGGACUACACACAUAGUUAGAUGAAGUCUAGCGUUGCAUGCCAUCAUGUCCCUUGGACAACACACACGGUAGGACUACGUAGGGUGUGGUAGGCCAUCUUCUCCCUUAGGAAGUAUACACAGGGUCAAUGAUGCCGGUCGUGGCAUGCCAUCAUCUCCCUUGGACAACAUACACGAUUGGAAGACAUCGGGCAUAUCAUGUCAUCAUCGCCCUUGGAAAGCACACACGAUUGCUCUAUGUUUGGCGUAGCGAUGCUAUAAUCACCCUUGGGCAGCACAAAAGGUCAGACGAUGUCAAGCGUUAAUUGCCAUCAUUUCCUUUGGACAGCAUGAACAGUUGGACUACGUCGGGUGUGUCAUGAUAUCAUCUACCUUGGAAGCAUACAGGAUCGAACGACAUAAGGCGUAACAUGUUAUCAUCGCCCUUGAAAUGCACACACGAUUGGACAACGUCAGGCGUGGCAUGCCCGUAUGGACCUUAGGCGGCACACACGGUUAGAUGACGUCGGGCGUGGAAUGCCAUCUUCACCAUUGGGAAACACACACGGUCGGACGACGUUGGGCGUGACAUGCAAUCUUUGCCCUCGAAAAGCACACACGGUGGGACGACGACGUGCAUGGAAAGCCAUCAUUGCCCAUACACAGCAUACACGGUUGGACUACCUCAGGCGUUGCAUGCCAUCAUGGCCUUUGUCCAGGACACAUGAUCGUUCAAUGUCGGUCAUGGCAAUGCAAUCAUCGCUCUUGGAAUGUACACAUGGUCAGAUGACGUAGGACAUGACAUGUUAUCUUUGCCAUUUGAGAGCACACACGAUCGGACAACUACAAAUGGUUAGAUGACGUUGGGCGUGGCAUGUCAUCAUCGCCAUUCGGCAGCACAUACAGUCAGAAGUGGCAUACCAUCAUCUCCAUUGGGCAGCAAACUCAGUUGGACGACGUCAGGCGUGACAUGCCAUCAUCGCCCUUGGACAACACACAUGGUGGGAUGACAUCAAGCGUCUCAUGCCAUCAUCACCCUUGGAAAACAUACACAGGGAUAGACGAUGUCACGCAUGGCUUGCAUUCAUCGCCCUUGGAAAGCAUACACGGUCGAAGGAAGUCGGGAGUGACAGUUUAUCAUUGCCUUUGGACUGCACAUACGCUCAGACGACGUUAGGUGGUAAUGUUAGAAUCUCCCUUGGGCAGCAAACAUGGUCGGAAAAAGUAGGGCGUUUAAUGCCAUCCAAUAUUUCCCUUAGGAAAGAACACAUGGUAGGACAACGACUACAUGACAUGUCUCAUCGCCUUUGGACUACCCACAUUGACGGACGACGUCAAGCGUAGCAUGCCCGCAUAGACUUUGGGUAGCACACACAAACAUAUGAUGUCGUGCGUGGCAUGCAAUUAUCUCUAUUAGGCAGCACAUGCGACUAGACGACAUAAAGCGUGGCAUGUCCGCAUAGCCCUAGGGUAGCACACACGGUGAAAUAAUGUCGGACGUGGCAAUCCAUCAUUGCAAUUGUGCAGCACAUGUGGUCGGACGACAUCUCGCAUGGCAUGCCCUCAUGGACCUUGGCCAUCAUACCCAGUCGAAUAACUUCUGGUGUGGCAUGCCAUAGUGGCCCUUGGCCAGCACACAUGGUCAGACGGCGUAUGCCAAUGCUAUCAUUGCCCUUGGGUAGCAUACACGGUUGGACGAUGUCGGGCAUCAAAUGUCAUCAUUGCCCUUUGGACAACAUAAAUGGUAUGACAAAGUCGACGUGGCAUGCCAUCAUCGCCUUUUGACUACACACACAGAUAGUUUACGUCGUGUGUGACAUGCUAUUAUUGUCCUUGUGCAGCACACAGGUUGAACUACAUCGGGCGUUAGAUUCCAUCGUUUCUCUUAGACAACACACACGGUUGGAUGACGUAGACCGUGGCAUGUCAUCAUCUCCCUUUGACACCCUACGAGAUCGGACUAUGUCGGGCGUGGCAUGCCAAUCUCCCUUGGAAAGCACACACCGUUGGGCAAUGCCGGGCGUGGCAUCCCAUCAACACCCUUGGAAAGCAUACACGAUCCGAUGAAAUCGGGCGUGGCAUAUUAUCAUCGCCCUAUGACUGAACACAUGAUUCGACCACGUAGGGCGUUACAUGCCCACAUGGCCCUUGGGCUGCACAUGCAAUCGAAUGACAUCGGGCGUUGCGUGCCAUUAUCGCCUCGUGCAGCACACACGUUCGGACAUCUUUAGGAAUGACAUUCCAUCAUCGCCCUUGGGAAGCGCACAUGGUCAGAAAACGUCAGGUGUGGCAUGCCAUCAUCGCCCUUGGAAAGAAUACCAAGUCUGACGAUGUCGGGCAUGGCAUGCCAUAAUCGCCCUUGAACAACAUAUAUGGUUGGACUACGUCGAGCGUGGCAUGUGAUUUUCUCCCUUUGAAUGAACACACAGUCAGAGGAUAUUGGGCGUGGAAUUCCAUCAUCGUAAUUGGAAAAUAGAAACAGGGUCAAACGAUGUCGGGUGUUGCAUUCCAUCAUCGCCCUUGGACAUCAUACCGUAUCAGACGAUGUCAAGCAUGCCGUGCCAUCAUUUCCCUUGGGAAACACCUAGAGUCAGACGAAGUCAGGCGUGGUAUGGCAUCAUUGCCCUUGGGCAGCAUACACGGUCGAACUACGUCGGGCGUGGCAUGCCAUCAUUGCCCUUGGAUAACACAGAUGGUCGUACGACAUCAGGCGUGUCAUGUUAUCAUCACCCAUGGUUAGCAGACACGGUGAGACGACAACGUCCAUUGAAUUGCCAUCAUCCUAAUUGGACAGCACACACGAUCAGACUACGUCGGGCAUGGCAUGACAUGAUGUCCCUUGGGCAGCAUACAUGGUCAAACGACAUCGACCAUGGCACUGUCAUCAUCGCCCUUUGUAUGCACACAAGGUCGAACGACGUCACGCUUAGCAUGGCAUCAUCUCCCUUGAAAAGCAUACAUGAUCGGACGAUGUUGGGCGUGGUAUGUUAUCAAUGUUCUUGAAGAGCACACAUGAUUGAAAGAUGUCGGGCAUGUCAUGUCUGGAUGGACCUUGGGCAGCAUACAUGGUCGUAUGAUGUGAGGCGUGGCAUGCCAUCAUCUACUUUGUGCGGCACACGUGGUUUGACAAUGUUGAGCAUGACAUGCAAUCUUCGCCCUUGGACUACACACAGAGUGGGACUACGUCGAGCGUGACAUGCCAUCAUCGCCCUUGGACAACAUACACGGUCGAACUACUUUGGGCGCGGCAUGCCAUCAUUGCCCUUGGAAAACAUAGACAAGGAGAGACUACGUCGGGCGUGACAUGCCAUCAUCUCUCAUGUCUGCAUGGCCCAUGGGAAGCACACAUGGUCGGAUGAGGUCGGGCGUGGCAUGCCAUUAUCUCUCUUGUAAAUCACACACGUCCGGAUGACGUCGGGCGUGACAUGCAAUCAUAGCCCUUUGGAAGCACACAGUCGGAUGACGUUGGGCGUGGAUUGCCAUAAUCGCCCGUGGAAAGCAUACACGAUUGAAGGACGUCAGGCGUGGCAUGCCAUCAUUUCCCUUGGAUAAAAGAGACAGUCGUACAACAUAGGACAUUGCAUACCAUCAUCGCCAUUGGGUAGCACACACGUUCGGAUCACAACGGGCGUUAGAUGCCAUCAUUACCCUGGGGCAGCACACACGGUAGAACUACGUCAUGCGUGGCAUGCCAUUAUCGAUCAUGGUUGUAUCAUUCAUAGUUUUCUAAUAUAGCUUUUUGAUUUUCCCAUCUUAUUGUACUAGUCUUUCAUUUUAAUCUUAAUAAGGCGUGAAGAAUAAUAGUUUUCUAAUUAACAUUUAUAUUAUAAUAGAUAAAUAAAAAUUUAAUAAUAUUUUUUUAAAAAAAAGCAAAACAAAAUGAAGGAUAUGACCACGUAGAUCUAAAAAAUAUGCAGAAUAAUUAUUUUUUUUUGCGUAAAACAGAUAUUCUACCCAAAGUUUCAAUCAUUUCAAGUUUAACCAAAUAAAAGAUUGAAACACAAAAAAAGUGGUUGUAAAUAUGUGAAAUUACAAAAAGCCACAACUUUUGACUCACAUGUCCGAUUGAGGCAUUUUUUUCUCUAUUUUGUUGUUUUUUUGAGAUCUGUGAAAGCAAACCCUCAAAGGCGGUUGGGACAAGUCAAUUAUUAAAAAAACGUGUUUUAACCCAUUCAAGUUUUAAUUUCCCCUAAUUUUCAAGAAAACUGUAUUUCUUUAUUGCUAUGAAUCUUAUAACAGAAAAUAGAUUUUUGUGUUCGAAAUACCUGUGUAACACAUAUCAAAGUUUAUAGUUUAACGUCAGAUAAUCAAUUUAAUGAGAAAAAUAUUUUAUCCCAUUUAAUAUGUUUCCCUUAAUUUUGCCCACACUAUCAGACAAUGUCGAGCGUUGCAUGCAAUUAUCGCCAUUGGGUAGCACAUGUUGUCUGACGCCGUUAGGCCUGACAUGCCAUCUUCGGCCUUUGAAAACACACAUGGUGGGACGACGUCGGGCGUGGGAUGAUAUCAUCGCCCUGGACAACUUACACUGUCGGACAACGUCGAGCGUGGCAUGCCAUAAUGGCCCUUUGACAACACACACGGCCGGACUACGUCAGACGUACCAAGCCAUCAUCGCCCUUGCGAAGCAUACACAGGAUCAUAUGAUGUGGCGCGUGGCAAGUCAUCAUCUACCUUGGACCGAAUACACGGUCGGACAAUGUCUAGCAUAACAUUUUAUCAUUGCCCAUGGAUAUCACACACGAUCGAGCAACAUCGGGCUUGGAAAUGCUAUAAUAAACCUUGGGCAGCACAAACAGUUGGACGACAUCGGGCGUUAAAUGUCGUCAUUGCCCUUUGACAACAUACACGGUCGGACUACGUUGGGUGGGUGUUGUAUGUUAUCAUCGCCCUUGAAAAGCAUGCACGAUCGGAUGAUGUCAGGCGUGCCAUGUUAUCAUCGCCCUUGGACAACACACACGUUAGAACGACGUUGGGUGCGACAUACUUGCAUGGCCCUUGGGAAGCACCCACAGUCGGAUUACGUCGGGCGUGGCAUGCCAUCAUCGCCCUUGUACUAAACACACCAUUGGACCAGGUAGGGUGUGGUAUGCCCACAUGGCCCUUUGGCAGCACACAUGGUUGAAUGAGGUCGGGCAUGGCAUGCCAUUAUCGUCCUUGUGUAGCACACACGUUCGAACAACGUCAGUCAUGACAUGAUAUCAUAGCCCUUAGAAGCAUAGAGGGUCGAACAACGUUGGUUUUGACUUUCCAUCAUCGCCUUUUGGACAACCUACAUGGUCAGACGAUGUCGAGCGUGGCAUGACAUCAUGACCCUUGCACAACACACAUGGUCGGACUACGUCAGGCAUGGUAGGCAUUCAUCGCCCUUGGGAAGAAUAAAUAGUCAUUGAAUGUUAUCAUCGGCCUUGGAUCGAAUAUUACGGUGGAAUGACAUCAUGAAUGACAUGAUAUCAUCUCCCUUAGAUAGCAUACAUGAUCGGACUACGUCAGCCUUGGCAAUGAAAUAAUCGCCCUUGGGCAGCACACACAGUUGGACAACGACGGGCAUUAAAUGUAAUCAUUGCCCUUGCACAAUAUACCUGGUCGGGCUACAUCGAGUGCGACAUUUUAUCAUCUCCCUUGGAAAGAAUACACGAUCAAGCGAUGUGGCUCAUGGCAUAUUAUCAUCUCCCUAUGAGUGAACACAUGAUUGGACAACGUAGUGCAUUACAUGCAAACAUGGCCCUUGAGAAGCACACACGGUCGAAUGACGUUGGGCAUAGCACACCAUCAUUCCCAUUGGGCAGCACUCGUCGUCAGACGAUGUCGGACAUGACAUGUCAUCUUUGCCCUUGUACAGCACACAUGGUGAACGGUGUCGGCCGUGGCAUGCCAUUAUCGCUCUUUAACAACAUACACGGUCAAAAUACGUCAGGUGUGGCAUUCCAUCAUUGCUCUUGGCAAGCACACAUGGUAACACGAUGUCAGCCAUUACAAUGCCAUCAUUGUUCAUUCAAUCCACACACGAUUGAAUGACGUUAGGCGUGCCUUGCCAUCAUCGCCCUAGUAAAGCAUUCAUAAUUAGAUGACAUCGGUUGUGGCAUGUUAUCAUCGCAAUUUGACAACACACGUAAUCGGAUGAAGUCGGGCGUGGCAUGCUCAUAUGUCCCCUAGGAAUCACUCACAAUAAGAUGAAGUCGGGCGUGGCUUACCAUUAAUGCCGUUAGGAAGCACAUGCCUUGGGACGACGCAAGGCAUGACAUUCCAUAAUCACAAUUGGGCAGCACAAGCAGUCCAACAACGUCAUGUUUGACAUGCAAUCUUCGACUUUGGAUAGCACACACGGUGGUAAAACAUUGAGUGUGGCAUAUCAUAAUUGCCUUUGGAUAGCUUACAUGGUAAGACUAUGUUGAGCAUGGAAGGCCAUCAUGGCCCUUGCACCGCACACACGGUCGGACUGCGUCAGGCAUGGAAGGCAAUCAUCGCCCUUGGGAAGCAUACAUGGUCAUGGAAUGUUAUCAUCGCCCUUGGAUAGAAUACACGGUCGAACGACGUCAGGAAUGAAAUGAUAUCAUCUCCGUAGGACAGCCCACAUGAUCGGACUACGUCAGCCUUGGCAAUAUUAUAAUCGCCCUUGGGUAGUACACACAGUCAGACGACGAUGGGCGUUAAAUGUGAUUAUUGCCCUUGGACAAUAUGCAUGGUUGUACUAUAUCGGGUGUGAGAUGUUAUCAUCUCCCUUGGAAAGAAUACACGAUUUGAGGAUGUCGGGCAUUACAUGUUAUCAUCACCCUUGGACAUCACAUACGAUCGGAAGAUGUCGGGGCGUGGCAUGCCCGCAUGUCCCUUCGGCAGCAGACAUGGUUGGAUGGCAUCCGGCGUGGGAUGCCAUUAUCUCCUUCGGACAACAUACGUGGUGGGACGAGAUUGCGUGCUAUGCCAUCAUCGCAAUUAGGAAGCACACGCAAUCGGAUGAUGUCAGGCGUGACAUGCCGUCUUUGCCCUUGGACAACACACACGGUGCAACGACUUUGGAUUGGUAUUCCAUAAUCACACUUGGACAACAUAUACGGUUGGAGAAUGUCAGGCGAGGCAUACCAUCACGGCUCUUGUCCAGAACAAACGGUCAUACGACGUCGGGCGUGGCAGUCAAUCAUCGCCAUUGAACAAUAUAGACAGGGUCGAAUAACGUCGGAUGUGGCAUACCAUCAUCGCCCUUGGACAACAUACACAGUCGUACGAUGUUGAGCGUCGCAUGUUAUCAUCGACCAUGGACUGCACACACCGUCGGACGACGUUGGGAAUGGCAAUGGUAUCAUCUCCCUUGGGCACCACUCACAGUCGGACUUCGCCGGGCAUUAAAUGCCAUCAUUACCUUUUGGAGAGUUCACACGAUCAAAUGACGUCGACAUGGCAUGCCCUUAUCGCCUUUGGAUUGCACACACCAAUGGACAACGUCGGCCGUGGCAUGCUUUCAUCGCCCUUGGAUACCAUAUAUGGUAGAACUAUGUCGGGCGUGGCAUGCCAUCAUCGCCCUUGUAAUGAACACAUGGUCCGAUGAUGUCAGGCAUGUAAUGCCAUCAUCGCAAUUGGAAAACAUACACAUGUUCGAAAUACGGCAGGCGUGGCAGGCCUUCGUCGCCCUUAGGAAGAAUACACAGGGUUUCACAAUGUAGAGCAUAUAAUGUAAUCAUCGCCUUUGAAUAGAAUACACAGUUGGACGACAUCAGGAAUGACAUGUUAUCUUCUCCCUUGGACAGCACACACAAUCGGACUACGUCAGCCUUUCUAGUGCUAUAACGCCCUUGGGCAGCACAUACAGUCUGACGACGACGGGCGUUAAAUGUGAUCAUUGCACUUGGACAAUAUACAUGGUCGGACUAUGUCGGGUGUGACAUGUUAUUAUCACCCUUGUAAAGUAUACACGAUCGAACGAUGUCAGGCAUUACAGGUUAUCAUUGCCCUUGGAAAUCACAAACGAUCGUACGAUGUCGGGCGUGGCAUGCCUGCAUGGCCCUUGGGCGGCACACAUGGUUGGAUGACGUCAGGAAUGGGAUGCCAUCAUCGCCAUUGUACAACAUACAUGGUGGGACGAGAUCGUGCAUUCUAUUCCAUCAUCGCCAUUGGGAAGCACAAGCGGUCGGAUGACGUCGGGCGUGACAUGCCAUCUUUGCCCUUCGACAGCACUCACGGUGGGACGACUUCGGUGAGGUAUGACAUCAUCGCACUUGGACACCAUAUACAGUUGGAGAACAUAAGGUGAGGCAUUCCAUCCUGGACCUUGGCCAGAACACACGAUCGAACGACAUCGUGCGUGGAAGGCCAUCAUCUCCCUUGAACAACAUUGACAAGGUCCAAUAAUGUCGGGCUUGGCAUACCAUCAUCGCCCUUGGACAACAUACCCAUUCGGACGAUGUUUGGCUUUGCAUGUUAUCAUCACCCUUGGACUGCAUAUACGGUCAGAUGAUGUUGGGCAUGGUAAUGCUAUAAUCGCUUUGGCACCACACACGGUCGGACGUCGGUUGGCGAUAAAUGCCAUCAUAUCCUUGGACAGCAUAAACGGUUGGACUACGACGGUUGUGUCAUGUUAUCAUCUACCUUGGAAGCAUACACGAUCGAACAACGUCAGGCGUAACAUGUUAUCAUCUUCCUGGGAAUGCACACACUAUUGGAAAACGUCGGGCGUGGCAUGCCCGUAUGGACCUUGGGCGGCACACACUGUCAAAUGACGUCGGGCGUGGAAUGCCAUCUUCACCAUAGGGAAGCACACACAGUAGGAUGACGUUGGGCAUGACAUGCCAUCUUUGCCCUUGGACAGCACACACGGUGGGACGACAUUAGGACUAUCAAGCCAUCAUCGCCCAUAGAUAGCCUACACGAUUGGACUAUGUCAGGUGUGGCAUGCCAUCAUGGCCUUUGUCCAGGACACACGAUAAGACAAUGUCGGUCCUGGCAAUGCAAUUAUUGCUCUUGGAAUGUAGACACGUUCAGAUGAUAUUAGACGUGACAUGUUAUCUUUGCCAUUUCAGAGCACACACGAUCUGACGACUUCAGGUAUGGAAUGACCCCAUGGCUCUUUGGCAGCACAAAUGGUUAGAUGACGUCAGGCGUGGCAUGCCAUCUUCGCCAUUCGACAGCACAUACGGUCAGAAGUGGCAUACCAUCAUCUCUAUUGGGCAAUAUACGCAGUCGGAUCACGUCAGGCGUGACAUGCGAUCAUCACCCUUGGACAACAUACACAGGGAUAGACAAUGUCGAGCAUGGCUUGUCAUCACCGCCCUUGGAAAGCAUACAGUGUCAGACGAAGUCGGGAGUGACAUUUUAUGAUUGCCUUUGGACUACACACAAGCUCACACGACGUUGGGUGUGGUAAUGUUAGAAUCUCCCUUGGGUAGCACACGUGGUCGGAAAAAGUAGGGCGUUUAAUGCCAUCCAAUAUUUCCCUUUGGUAAGAACACAUGGUAGGACAACGACGACAUGGCAUGUCUCAUCGAGUUUGGACUGCACACAUGGACGAACGACAUCAAGCGUGGCAUGCCGCAUAGCCCUUGGGUAGCACACACGAACGGAUGAUGUUGUGCGUUGCAUGCCAUUAUCUCCAUUAGGAAGCACAUGCGAUCAAACGGCAUUGGGCGUAACAUGUUAUCAUCGCCCUUUGAAAGCUGACAUGAUCGGACGACGUCAGGCGUGACAUGCCACCAUGGCCCUUGGGAAGCACACACGGUCUAAUGACAUCGGACUUGGCAAUCUAUCAUCGCAAUUGUGCAGCACACGCAGUUGGAUGACAUCUCGCGUGGCAUGCCCUCCUGGACUUUGGCUAGCUCAUCCGGUCGAACGACGUCUGCGUGGCAUAUCAUCGUGUCCCUUGGCCAGCACACGGUUAGACAACAAUUGCCAAUGCUAUCAUCACCCAUGGGUAGCAUACACGGUUGGACGACGUCGGGCAUCACAUGUUAUCAUUUCCCUUUAGACAACACAAAUGGUAGGACGACGUCGACGUGGCAUGCCAUCUCCUCUUUUUGACUACACACAUCUAUAGUCUACGUCGUUUGUGAAAUGACAUUAUUGUCCUUGUGUAGCACACUCGGUUGAACAACGUCGGGCAGUAGAUGCCAUCAUUGCUGUUAGACAACACACACGUUCGGAUGACUUCGAUCGUUGCAUGCCAUCAUCGCCCUUUGACAGCUUACAUGAUCAAACUAUGUCAGGCGUGGCAUGCCAUGAUCUCCCUUAGGGAUGCACACAACGUCGGGUAAUAUCGGGCGUGGCAUCCCAUCAACACCCUUGGAAAGCAUACACGAUCCGAUGACAUCGGGCGUGGCAUAUUAUCAUCGCCCUAUGAGUGAACACGUAAUUGGACCACGUAGGGCGUUACAUGUCCACAUGGCCCUUAGCAUCACACAUGGUCGAAUGACGUCAGGUGUGGCAUGCCAUUAUCGCCUCGUGCAGCACACGCGUUCGGACAACGUCAGGAAUGACAUGUUAUCAUAGCCCUUGGGCAGACGACGUCGGGCGUGGCAUGCCAUCAUCGCCCUUAGAAAGAAUACCCAGUGAGACGAUGUUUGGCUUGGCUUGCCAUAAUCUCCCUUGAACCACAUACAUGGUUGGACUACGUCGAGCGUGGCAUGUGAUAUUCUCCCUUGGAAUGAACACACAGUCGGAGGAUAUCGGGCGUGGCAUUCCAUCAUCGCAAUAGGACAGCAUAAACAGGGUCAGACGAUGUCGGGCGUGGAAUGCCACAUUGCCCUUGGACAGCUUACCGUGUCAAACGACGUCAAGCAUGCCAUGCCAUUAUUGCCCUUGGGAAAUACCAGAGUCAGACAAAGUCUGGUGUGGCAUGGAAUCACUUCCCUUGGGCAGCAUACACGGUCGAACUACGUCGGGUGUGGCAUGCCAUCAUUGCCCUUGGACAACACAGAUGGUCGUACGACAUCAGGCGUGUCAUGUUAUCAUCACCCAUGGUUAGCAGACAAGGCGAGACGACGUCGUCCGUGGCAAUGCCAUAGUCACACUUGGACAGCACAAACGAUCGGACUACGUCGGGCAAGGCAUGACAUGAUGUCCCUUGGGCAGCAUACAUGGUCGGAUGACGUCGACCAUGGCAAUGUCAUCAUGUCACUUGGAUUUCACACACAGUCGAACGACGUCAAGCGUGGCAUGCCAUCAUCGCCCUUGGAAAGCAUACACGGUGGGACGAUAAUGGGCGUGGUAUGUUAUCAAUGAUCUUGAAGAGCACACACGAUUGAAUGAUGUCGAGAAUGUCAUGCCGGCAUGCACCUUGGGCAGCAAACAUGGUUGUACGAUGUCAGGUAUGGCAUACCAUCAUCUACAUUGUGCGGCACACGCAGUUGGACAAUGAUGAGCAUGACAUGCAAUCUUCGCCCUUGGACUGCACAAACAGUGUGACGACAUCGGGCGUGACAUGCCAUCAUUGCCCUUGGACAACAUAAACGGUCGAACUACUUCGGGCAUGGCAUGCCAUUAUUGCCCUUGGACAACAUAGACAAGGACACACUACGUGGGGCGUGGCAUGCCAUCAUCACCCUAGGAAAGUAUACACGACCAAAAACCGUCGGGUGUGGGAUAUUAUCAUCGCCUUUGAAAUGCACACACAUUCUCAUAAUGUUGGGCGUUGUGAUGCUAUCAUUGCCAUUGGGCAGCACACACGGUCGGACUAUGUAUGACGUUUAAUACCAUCAUUGCCCUUUUGACAGCACACAAAGUCGGACGACGUCGACAUGGCAUGCCAUCAUCACCAUUGGAUUGCACACACAGACGAACAAUGUCGGGCGUGGCAUGCUCGCAUGGCCAUUGGGCAGCACACACAGUCGGAUGACGUCGGGCUUGGAAUGCCAUCAUCGCCAUUGGGAAGCACAUGUGGUUGGAUGACGUCGGCCGUGUCAUGCCAUCUUGACCCUUGGAACACACAUACGGUGGGACAAUGUCGGGCAUGGCAUGCCAUCAUCGCCCUUGGACAACAUACACGGUCAGACUAUGUCAGGCGUGGCAUGCCAUCAUGGACCUUGUCCAGCACAUAUGGGUGGAAGAGGUUGGGCGUGGUAGGACAUCAUCGCCGUUGGACAACAUACAUAGGUUUGGACACGUCGUGCGUGGCAUGUUAUCAUCGCCUUUCAUAACACACGCAAUCGGAUGAAGUCGGGCGUGGCAUGCUCUUAUGGCCCCUAGGAAUCACACACGAUAAGAUGAAGUCGGGCAUGGCUUACCAUUAUCGCCGCAGGAAGCACCUGAUGUGGGACGACGCAAGGCAUUGCAUUUCAUAAUCACAAUUGGGCAGCACACGCGGUCGAACAACGUCAUGUUUGACAUGCCAUCUUCGACUUUGGAUAGCACAGACGGUGGUAAAACAUUGAGUGUGGCAUAUCAUAAUUGCUUAGGGCAGCACACAUGGUCGGACGACGUCGGGCGUUAGAUGAUCAUUUCCUUGGGGCAGCACAGACGAUUGGAAUAUUCCGCGCGUGGCAUGCCAUUAUUGAUCAUGGUUAUCGCAUUUGAACUAAUCCAAUAUAUCUUCUAGAUUUUCCCAUCGUGUUGUAUAGUCUUUAAUUUUUAACUUAAUACAGCACGAAGCAUAUUACUUUUCUAGUUUUACAUUAAUAUUAUUCUAUAUAAAUAAAGAUUUAUUAUUACUUUAUUAGAAAAAUUACACCAAAUUAUGGAUAUGACAAAGUAUAUCUAAAAAAUAUGCAAAAUAAAAACAAAAUUGCGUCAAACGGAUAUUCGAGCAAAAAGUUUCAAUCUUUUGAAGUUUCACUAAAUCAAAGAUCGAAGCUCAAAAAAGUAGUUGUAAAUUUGUGAAAUUUCAAGCGGCCAAAACUUUUGAAUCGGAUGAUCGAUUGAUGUAAAUUUUUAUCUAAGUAUGGUUAUUAUUUUAGAUCUACCAAAAAAAUCUCCAUAGGCUUUUUGGACGAGUCAAUAUUCCAAAAAACAUCUUUUAGACCAUUCAAUUUUGAAUUUCCCCAAUUUUAAAAAAAAUAGUUAUUCUUUAUUGCUAUGAAUCUGAUAAAAGAACAUAGAUUUUUGAGUUCGAAAUACCUUGGUAAAACAUCUGAGAAUGUCAAGUUUAAUGUUAGAUAACAUAUUUUAUGAUUAAAAUGUUUUAUCCCGUUCAAUUUAACAUUUCCCUUAAUUGUGUACACAUGGUCGGACAAUGUCGAGAAUGGCAUACCAUCAUCGGCAUUGGGCACCACACGCAGUCGGACGACAUCAGGCGUCAAAUGCCAUCUUUUCCCUUGGAUAGAAAACACGAUGGGAAAACUUCGGGUGUGGCAUGCCAUCAUCGCCUUGGACUACACACAUAGUUAGAUGAAGUCUAGCGUUGCAUGCCAUCAUGUCCCUUGGACAACACACACGGUAGGACUACGUCGGGCGUGGUAGGCCAUCUUCUCCCUUAGGAAGUAUACACAGGGUCAAUGAUGCCGGUCGUGGCAUGCCAUCAUCUCCCUUGGACAACAUACACGAUUGGAAGACGUCGGGCAUAUCAUGUCAUCAUCGCCCUUGGAAAGCACACACGAUUGCUCUAUGUUUGGCGUAGCGAUGCUAUAAUCACCCUUGGGCAGCACAAAAGGUCAGACGAUGUCAAGCGUUAAUUGCCAUCAUUUCCUUUGGACAACAUGAACAGUUGGACUACGUCGGGUGUGUCAUGUUAUCAUCUACCUUGGAAGCAUACAGGAUCGAACGACAUAAGGCGUAACAUGUUAUCAUCGCCCUUGAAAUGCACACACGAUUGGACAACGUCAGGCGUGGCAUGCCCGUAUGGACCUUAGGCGGCACACACGGUUAGAUGACGUCGGGCGUGGAAUGCCAUCUUCACCAUUGGGAAACACACACGGUCGGACGACGUUGGGCGUGACAUGCAAUCUUUGCCCUUGAAAAGCACACACUGUGGGACGACGAUGGGCAUGGAAAGCCAUCAUUGCCCAUACACAGCAUACACGGUUGGACUACCUCAGGCGUUGCAUGCCAUCAUGGCCUUUGUCAAGGACACAUGAUCGUUCAAUGUCGGUCAUGGCAAUGCAAUCAUCGCUCUUGGAAUGUACACAUGGUCAGAUGACGUAGGACAUGACAUGUUAUCUUUGCCAUUUGAGAGGACACACGAUCGGACAACUACAAAUGGUUAGAUGAGGUUGGGCGUGGCAUGUCAUCAUCGCCAUUCGACAGCACAUACAGUCAGAAGUGGCAUACCAUCAUCUCCAUUGGGCAGCAAACUCAGUUGGACGACGUCAGGCGUGACAUGCCAUCAUCGCCCUUGGACAACACACAUGGUGGGAUGACAUCAGGCGUCUCAUGCCAUCAUCACCCUUGGAAAACAUACACAGGGAUAGACGAUGUCACGCAUGGCUUGCAUUCAUCGCCCUUGGAAAGCAUACACGGUUGAAGGAAGUCGGGAGUGACAGUUUAUCAUUGCCUUUGGACUGCACAUACGCUCAGACGACGUUAGGUGUGGUAAUGUUAGAAUCUCCCUUGGGCAGCAAACAUGGUCGGAAAAAGUAGGGCGUUUAAUGCCAUCCAAUAUUUCCCUUUGGAAAGAACACAUGGUAGGACAACGACUACAUGACAUGUCUCAUCGCCUUUAGACUACACACAUUGACGGACGACGUCAAGCGUAGCAUGCCCGCAUAGACUUUGGGUAGCACACACAAACAUAUGAUGUCGUGCGUGGCAUGCAAUUAUCUCUAUUAGGCAGCACAUGCGACUAGACGACAUAAAGCGUGGCAUGUCCGCAUAGCCCUAGGGUAGCACACACGGUGAAAUAAUGUCGGACGUGGCAAUCCAUCAUUGCAAUUGUGCAGCACAUGUGGUCGGACGACAUCUCGCAUGGCAUGCCCUCAUGGACCUUGGCCAUCACACCCAGUCGAAUAACUUCUGGUGUGGCAUGCCAUAGUGGCCCUUGGCCAGCACACAUGGUCAGACGGCGUAUGCCAAUGCUAUCAUUGCCCUUGGGUAGCAUACACGGUUGGACGACGUCGGGCAUCAAAUGUCAUCAUUGCCCUUUGGAUAACAUAAAUGGUAUGACAAAGUCGACGUGGCAUGCCAUCAUCGCCUUUUGACUACACACACAGAUAGUUUACGUCGUGUGUGACAUGCUAUUAUUGUCCUUGUGCAGCACACAGGUUGAACUACAUCGGGCGUUAGAUUCCAUCGUUUCUCUUAGACAACACACACGGUUGGAUGACGUAGACCGUGGCAUGUCAUCAUCUCCCUUUGACAGCCUACGAGAUCGGACUAUGUCGGGCGUGGCAUGCCAAUCUCCCUUGGAAAGCACACACCGUUGGGCAAUGCCGGGCGUGGCAUCCCAUCAACACCCUUGGAAAGCAUACACGAUCCGAUGAAAUCGGGCGUGGCAUAUUAUCAUCGCCCUAUGACUGAACACAUGAUUCGACCACGUAGGGCGUUACAUGCCCACAUGGCCCUUGGGCUGCACAUGCAAUCGAAUGACAUCGGGCGUUGCGUGCCAUUAUCGCCUCGUGCAGCACACACGUUCGGACAUCUUUAGGAAUGACAUUCCAUCAUCGCCCUUGGGAAGCGCACAUGGUCAGAAAACGUCAGGUGUGGCAUGCCAUCAUCGCCCUUGGAAAGAAUACCAAGUCUGACGAUGUCGGGCAUGGCAUGCCAUAAUCGCCCUUGAACAACAUAUAUGGUUGGACUACGUCGAGCGUGGCAUGUGAUUUUCUCCCUUUGAAUGAACACACAGUCAGAGGAUAUUGGGCGUGGCAUUCCAUCAUCGUAAUUGGAAAAUAGAAACAGGGUCAAACGAUGUCGUGUGUUGGCAUUCCAUCAUCGCCCUUGGACAUCAUACCGUAUCAGACGAUGUCAAGCAUGCCGUGCCAUCAUUUCCCUUGGAAAACACCUAGAGUCAGAUGAAGUCAGGCGUGGUAUGGCAUCAUUGCCCUUGGGCAGCAUACACGGUCGAACUACGUCGGGCGUGGCAUGCCAUCAUUGCCCUUGGAUAACACAGAUGGUCCUACGACAUCAGGCGUGUCAUGUUAUCAUCACCCAUGGUUAGCAGACACGGUGAGACGACAACGUCCAUUGAAUUGCCAUCAUCCUAAUUGGACAGCACACAUGAUCAGACUACGUCGGGCAUGGCAUGACAUGAUGUCCCUUGGGCAGCAUACAUGGUCGGACGACAUCGACCAUGGCACUGUCAUCAUCGCCCUUUGUAUGCACACAUGGUCGAACGACGUCUUGCUUAGCAUGGCAUCAUCUCCCUUGAAAAGCAUACAUGAUCGGACGAUGUUGGGCGUGGUAUGUUAUCAAUGUUCUUGAAGAGCACACAUGAUUGAAAGAUGUCGGUCAUGUCAUGUCUGGAUGGACCUUGGGCAGCAUACAUGGUCGUAUGAUGUGAGGCAUGGCAUGCCAUCAUCUACUUUGUGCGGCACACGUGGUUUGACAAUGUUGAGCAUGACAUGCAAUCUUCGUCCUUGGACUGCACACACAGUGGGACGACGUCGAGCGUGACACGCCAUCAUCUCCCUUGGACAACAUACACGGUCGAACUACUUUGGGCGCGGCAUGCCAUCAUUGCCCUUGGAAACAUAGACAAGGAGAGACUACGUCGGGCGUGACAUGCCAUCAUCUCUCAUGUCUGCAUGGCCCAUGGGAAGCACACAUGGUCGGAUGAGGUCGGGCGUGGCAUGCCAUUAUCUCCCUUGUAAAUCACACACGUCCGAACGACGUCGGGCGUGACAUGCAAUCAUAGCCCUUUGGAAGCACACACAGUCAAAUGACGUUGGGCGUGGAUUGCCAUAAUCGCCCGUGGAAAGCAUACACGAUUGAAGGACGUCAGGCGUGGCAUGCCAUCAUUUCCCUUGGAUAGAAGAGACAGUCGUACAACAUAGGACAUGGCAUACCAUCAUCGCCAUUGGGUAGCACACACGUUCGGAUCACAACGGGCGUUAGAUGCCAUCAUUACCCUGGGGCAGCACACACGGUAGAACUACGUCAUGCGUGGCAUGCCAUUAUCGAUCAUGGUUGUAUCAUUCGUAGUUUUCUAAUAUAGCUUCUUGAUUUUCCCAUCUUAUUGUACUAGUCUUUCAUUUUAAUCUUAAUAAGGCGUGAAGAAUAUUAGUUUUCUAAUUAACAUUUAUAUUAUAAUAGAUAAAUACAAAUUUAAUAAUAUUUUUUUUAAAAAAAAGCAAAACAAAAUGAAGGAUAUGACCACGUAGAUCUAAAAAAUAUGCAGAAUAAUUAUUUUUUUUUGCGUAAAACAGAUAUUCUACCCAAAGUUUCAAUCAUUUCAAGUUUAACCAAAUAAAAGAUUGAAACACAAAAAAAGUGGUUGUAAAUAUGUGAAAUUACAAAAAGCCAUAACUUUUGACUCACAUGUCCGAUUGAGGCAUUUUUUUCUCUAUUUUGUUGUUUUUUUGAGAUCUGGUGAAAGCAAACCCUCAAAGGCGGUUGGGACAAGUCAAUUAUUAAAAAAACGUGUUUUAACCCAUUCAAGUUUUAAUUUCCCCUAAUUUUCAAGAAAACUGUAAUUCUUUAUUGCUAUGAAUCUUAUAACAGAAAAUAGAUUUUUUUGUUCGAAAUACCUGUGUAACACAUAUCAAAUUUAUAGUUUAACGUCAGAUAAUCAAUUUAAUGAGAAAAAUAUUUUAUCCCAUUUAAUAUUUUCCCUUAAUUUUGCCCACACUAUCAGACAAUGUCGAGCGUUGCAUGCAAUCAUCGCCAUUGGGUAGCACAUGUUGUCUGACGCCGUUAGGCCUGACAUGCCAUCUUCGGCCUUUGAAAACACACAUGGUGGGACGACGUCGGGCGUGGGAUGAUAUCAUCGCCCUUGGACAACUUACACUGUUGGACAACGUCGAGCAAUGCAUGCCAUAAUGUCCCUUGGACAACACACACGGCCGGACUGCGUCAGACGUACCAAGACAUCAUCGCCCUAGCGAAGCAUACACAGGGUCAUAUGAUGUGGCGCGUGGCAAGUCAUCAUCUACCUUGGACCGAAUACACGGUCGAACAAUGUCUAGCAUAACAUUUUAUCAUUGCCCAUGGAUAUCACACACGAUCGAGCGACAUCGGGCUUGGCAAUGCUAUAAUAAACCUUGGGCAGCAUGAAUAGUUGGACGACAUCGGGCGUUAAAUGUCGUCAUUGCCCUUUGACAGCAUACACGGUCGGACUAUGUUGGGUGUGGUAUGUUAUCAUCGCCCUUAAAAGCAUGCACGAUCGGAUGAUGUCAGGCGUGCCAUGUUAUCAUCGCCCUUGGACAACACACACGUUAGAACGACGUUGGGUGCGACAUGCUUGCAUGGCCCUUGGGAAGCACCCACAGCCGGAUUACGUCGGGCGUGGCAUGCCAUCAUGCCCUUGUACUAAACACACCAUUGGACCAGGUAGGGUGUGGCAUGCCCACAUGGCCCUUUGGCAGCACACAUGGUUGAAUGAGGUCGGGCAUGGCAUGCCAUUAUCGUCCUUGUGUAGCACACACGUUCGGACGACGUCGGUCAUGACAUGAUAUCAUAGCCCUUAGAAGCAUAGAGGGUCGAACAACGUUGGUUUUGACUUGCCAUCAUCGCCCUUUGGACAACCUACAUGGUCAGACGAUGUCGAGCGUGGCAUGGCAUCAUGACCCUUGCACAACACACAUGGUCGGACUACGUCAGGCAUGGUAGGCAUUCAUCGCCCUUGGGAAGCAUAAAUAGUCAUUGAAUGUUAUCAUCGGCCUUGGAUCGAAUAUUACGGUGGAAUGACAUCAUAAAUGACAUGAUAUCAUCUCCCUUAGAUAGCAUACAUGAUCGGACUACGUCAGCCUUGGCAAUGCAAUAAUCGCCCUUGGGCAGCACACACAGUUGGACAACGACGGGCAUUAAAUGUAAUUAUUGCCCUUGCACAAUAUACAUGGUCGGGCUACAUCGGGUGCGACAUUUUAUCAUCUCCCUUGGAAAGAAUACACGAUCAAACGAUGUGGAUCAUUGCAUAUUAUCAUCUCCCUAUGACUGAACACAUGAUUGGACAACGUAGUGCAUUACAUGCAAACAUGGCCCUUGGGAAGCACACACGGUCGAAUGACGUUGGGCAUAGCACACCACCAUUCCCAUUGGGCAGCACUCGUCGUCAGACGAUGUCGGACAUGACAUGUCAUCUUUGCCCUUGUACAACACACAUGGUGAACGGUGUCAGCCGUGGCAUGCCAUUAUCGCCCUUUGAUAACAUACACGGUCAAAAUACGUCAUGUGUGGCAUGCCAUCAUUGCUCUUGGCAAGCACACAUGGUCACACGAUGUCAGCCAUUACAAUGCCAUCAUUGUUCAUUCAAUCCACACACGAUUGAAUGACGUUAGGCGUGCCAUGCCAUCAUCGCCCUAGUAAAGCAUUCAUAAUUAGAUGAUGUCGGUUGUGGAAUGUUAUCAUCGCCCUUUGACAACACACGCUGUUGGAUGAAGUCGGGCGUGGCACGCUCUUAUGUCCCCUAGGCAUCACUCACAAUAAGAUGAAGUCAGCGUGGCAUACCAUUAAUGCCGUAAGGCAGCACAUGCUGUGGGACGAUGCAAGGCAUGGCAUUCCAUAAUCACAAUUGGGCAGCACAAGCGUCGAACAACGUCAUCUUUGACAUGCCAUCUUCGAAUUUGGAUAGCACACACGGUGGUAAAACAUUGAGCGUGGCAUAUCAUAAUUGCCUUUGGAUAGCUUACAUGGUAAGACUACGUCGAGCAUGGAAUGCCAUCAUGGCCCUUGCACCGCACACACGGUCAGACUACGUCAGGCAUGGAAGGCAUUCAUCGCCCUUGGGAAGCAUACAUGGUCAUGGAAUGUUAUCAUCGCCCUUGGAUAGAAUACAUGGUCGGACGACGUCAGAAUGAAAUGAUAUCAUCUCCGUAGGACAGCCCAUAUGAUCGGACUACGUCAUCCUUGGCAAUAUUAUAAUAGCCCUUGGGCAGUACACACAGUCGGAUGACGAUGGGCGUUAAAUGUGAUCAUUGCCCUUGGACAAUAUGCAUGGUUGUACUAUAUCGGGUGUGAGAUGUUAUCAUCUCCCUUGGAAAGAAUACACGAUUUGACGAUGUCGGGCAUUACAUGUUAUCAUCGCCCUUGGACAUCACAUACGAUCGGAAGAUUUCGGGAGUGGCAUGCCCGCAUGUCCAUUCGGCAGCAGACAUGGUUGGAUGGCCUCCGGCGUGGGAUGCCAUUAUCGCCUUUGGACAACAUACAUGGUGGGACAAGAUUGCGUUCUAUGCCUUCAUCCCCAUUAGGAAGUACACGCGGUCGGAUGAUGUCAGGCGUGACAUGCCAUCUUUGCCCUUGGACAACACACACGGUGGAAUGACUUCGGCAUGGUAUUCCAUAAUCGCACUUGGACAACAUAUAAGGUUGGAGAAUGUCAGGAAAGGAAUGAAAUCACGGCUCUUGUCCAGAACACAUGAUCGAACGACGUCAGGCAUAGCAGUCCAUCAUCGCCAUUGAACAAUAUAGACAGGGUUGAAUAACGUCAGGCGUGGCAGACCAUCAUCGCCCUUGGACAACAUACACAGUUGGACGAUGUUGAGCGUUGCAUGUUAUCAUCGACCAUGGACUGCACACACCAUCGGACGACGUUGGGAAUGGCAAUGGUAUCAUCUCCCUUGGGCACCACUAACACUCGGACUUCGCUGGGCGUUAAAUGCCAUCAUUGCCUUUUGGAGAGUUCACACGGUCGGAUGACGUCGACAUGGCAUGCCCUUAUCGCCUUUGGCAUGCAAUCAUGGCACUUGAACAGCACACACAGUCGUACUACAUCGGCCGUGGCAUGCUUUCAUCACCCUUGGAUAGCAUAUAUGGUAGAACUAUGUCGGCGUGGCAAGCCAUCAUCGCCCUUGUAAUGAACACACGGUCCGAUGAUGUCAGGCAUGUAAUGCCAUCAUCGCAAUUGGAAAACAUGCACAUGUUCAAAGUACGUAAGGCGUGGCAGGCCUUCGUCGCCCUUAGGAAGCAUACACAGGGUUUCACAAUGUAGAGCAUAUAAUGUAAUCAAUCGACCUUGAAUAGAAUACACAGUUGGACGACAUCAGGAAUGACAUGUUAUAAUCUCCCUUGGAAAGCAUACACGAUCGGACUACGUCAGCCUUUGUAGUGCUAUAACGCCCUUGGGCAGCACAUACAGUCUGACGACGACGGGCGUUAAAUGUGAUCAUUGCAGUUGGACAAUAUACAUGGUCGGACUAUGUCGGGUGUGACAUGUUAUUAUAACCCUUGGAAAGUAUACACGAUCGACGAUGUCAGGCAUUACAGGUUAUCAUUGCCCUUGGAAAUCACUACGAUCGUACGAUGUCGGGCGUGGCAUGCCCGCAUAGCCCUUGGGCGGCACACAUGCUUGGAUUAUGUUAGGAAUGGGAUGCCAUUAUCGCCUUUGUACAACAUACAUGGUGGGACGAGAUCGUGUGUGCUAUGCCAUCAUCGCCAUUGGAAAGCACAAGUUGUGGGAUGACGUCGGGCGUGACAUGCCAUCUUUGCCCUUCGACAGCACUCACGGUGGGACGACUUCGGUGAGGUAUGGCAUCAUCGCACUUGGACAGCAUAUACAGUUGGAGAACAUAAGGUGAGGCAUUCCAUCCUGGACCUUGGCCAGAACACACGGUCGAACGACGUCGGGCGUGGAAGGCCAUCAUCUCCCUUGAACAACAUUGAAAAGGUCCAAUAACAUCGGGCUUGGCAUACCAUCAUCGCCCUUGGACUACAUACCCAUUUGGACGAUGUUGGGCUUUGCAUGUUAUCAUCGCCCUUGGAAUGCAUAUACGGUCGGACGACGUUGGGCAUGGUAAUGCUAUAAUCGCCCAUUGGCACCACACACGGUCGGACGUCAGGCGUAACAUGUUAUCAUCUCCCUGGGAAUGCACACACAAUUGGAAAACAUCGGGCGUGGCAUUCCCGUAUGGACCUUGGGUGGCACACACUGUCAGAUGACGUCAGGCGUGGAAUGCCAUCUUAACCAUUGGGAAGCACACACAAUAGGAUGAUGUUGGGCAUGACAUGCCAUCUUUGCCCUUGGACAGCACACACGGUGGGACGACAUUAGGCAUAUCAAGCCAUCAUCGCCCAUAGACAGCCUACACGAUUGGACUAUGUCAGGAGUGGCAUGCCAUCAUGGCCUUUGUCCAGGACACACGAUAAGACAAUGUCGGUCCUGGCAAUGCAAUUAUUGCUCUUGGAAUGUAGACACGUUCAGAUGAUAUAGGACGUGUCAUGUUAUCUUUGCCAUUUCAGAGCACACACGAUCAGACGACUUCAGGUAUGGAAUGACCCCAUGUCUCUUUGGCAGCACAAAUGGUUAGAUGACGUCAGGCGUGGCAUGCCAUCUUCUCCAUUCGACAGCACAUACGGUCAGAAGUGGCAUACCAUCAUCUCCAUUGCGCAAUACACGCAGUCGGAUCACGUCAGGCGUGACAUGCGAUCAUCACCCUUGGACAACAUACACAUGGAUAGACAAUGUCGAGCAUGGCUUGUCAUCACCGCCCUUGAAAAUCAUACACUGUCAGACGAAGUCAGGAGUGACAUUUUAUCAUUGCCUUUGGACUGCACACACGCUCACUCGACGUUGGGUGUGGUAAUGUUAGAAUCUCCCUUGGGUAGCACACGUGGUCGGAAAAAGUAGGGCGUUUAAUGCCAUCCAAUAUUUCCCUUUGGAAAGAACACAUGGUAGGACAACAACGACAUGGCAUGUCUCAUCGAGUUUGGACUGCACACAUGGACGGACGACAUCAAGCGUGGCAUGCCGCAUAGCCCUUGGGUAGCACACACGAACGGAUGAUGUUGUGCGUUGCAUGCCAUUAUCUCCAUUAGGAAGCACAUGCGAUCAAACGGCAUUGGGCGUAACAUGUUAUCAUCGCCCUUGCAAAGCAGACAUGAUCGGACGACGUCAGGCGUGACAUGCCACCAUGGCCCUUGGGAAGCACACACGGUCUAAUGACGUCGGACUUGGCAAUCCAUCAUCGCAAUUGUGCAGCACCCGCGGUUGGAUGACAUCUCGCGUGGCAUGCCCUCCUUGACUUUGGCCAGCUCAUCCGGUCGAACGACGUCUGCGUGGCAUGUCAUCGUGUCCCUUGGCCAGCACACACGGUUAGACAACAAUUGCCAAUGCUAUCAUCGCCCAUGGGUAGAAUACACGGUUGGACGACGUCGGGAAUCACAUGUCAUCAUUUCCCUUUGGACAACACAAAUGGUAGGACGAUGUCGACGUGGCAUGCCAUCAUCGCCUUUUGACUACACACAUCUAUAGUCUACGUCGUGUGUGAAAUGACAUUAUUGUCCUUGUGCAGCACACUCGGUUGAACGACGUCGGGCAGUAGAUGCCAUCAUUGCUGUUAGACAACACACACGUUCGGAUGACUUCGAUCGUGGCAUGCCAUCAUCGCCCUUUGACAGCUUACAUGAUCAGACUAUGUCAGGCGUGGGAUACACACAACGUCGGGUAAUAUCGGGCGUGGCAUCCCAUCAGCACCCUUGGAAAGCAUACACGAUCUGAUGACAUCGGGCGUGGCAUAUUAUCAUCGCCCUAUGAGUGAACACGUAAUUGGACCACGUAGGGCGUUACAUGUCCACAUGGCCCUUAGAAUCACACAUGGUCAAAUGACGUCAGGUGUGGCAUGGCAUUAUCGCCUCGUGCAGCACAUGCGUUCGGACAAGGUCAGGAAUGACAUGUUAUCAUAGCCCUUGGGCAGACGACGUCGGGCGUGGCAUGCCAUCACCGCCCUUGGAAAGAAUACCGAGUGAGACGAUGUUGGGCUUGGCUUGCCAUAAUAUCCCUUGAACCACAUACAUGGUUGGACUACGUCGAGCGUGGCAUGUGAUAUUCUCCCUUGGAAUGAACAAACAGUCGGAGGAUAUCGGGCGUGGCAUUCCAUUAUCGCAAUAGAACAGCAUAAACAGGGUCAGACGAUGUCGGACGUGGAAUGCCACAUUUCCCUUGGACAACAUACCGUGUCAAACGAUGUCAAGCAUGCCAUGCCAUCAUUGCCCUUGGGAAAUACCAGAGUCAGACAAAGUCUAGUGUGGCAUGGCAUCACUUCCCUUGGGCAGCAUACACGGUCGAACUACGUCAGGCGUGGCAUGCCAUCAUUGCCCUUGGACAACACAGAUGGUCGUACGACAUCAGGCGUGUCAUGUUAUCAUCACCCACGGUUAGCAGACAAGGUGAGACGACGUCGUCCGUGGCAAUGCCAUAGUAACACUUGGACAGCACAAACGAUCGGACUACGUCGGGCAUGGCAUGACAUGAUGUCCCUUGGGCAGCAUAAAUGGUCGGAUGACGUCGACCAAGGCAAUGUCAUCAUCGCACUUUGAUUUCACACACAGUGGAACGACGUCAAGCGUGGCAUGCCAUCAUCUCCCUUGGAAAGCAUACACGAUCGGACGAUAAUGGGCGCGGUGUGUUAUCAAUGAUCUUGAAGAGCACACACGAUUGAAUGAUGUCGAGAAUGUCAUGACUGCAUGCACCUUGGGCAGCAAAAUGGUUUUACGAUGUCAGGCAUGGAAUACCAUCAUCUACAUUGUGCGGCACACGCAGUUGGACAAUGAUGAGCAUGACAUGCAAUCUUCGCCCUUGGACUGCACAAACAGUGUGACGACAUCGGGCGUGACAUGCCAUCAUUGCCCUUGGACAACAUACACGGUCGAACUACUUCGGGCAUGGCAUGCCAUUAUUGCCCUUGGACAACAUAGACAAGGACACACUACGUGGGGCGUGGCAUGCCAUCAUCGCCCUAUAGGAAAGUAUACACGACCAAAAACCGUCAGGUGUGGGAUAUUAUCAUCGCCUUUGAAAUGCACACACAUUCUCAUAAUGUUGGGCGUUGUGAUGCUAUCAUUGCCAUUGGGCAGCACACACGGUCGGACUAUGUAUGACGUUUAAUACCAUCAUUGCCCUUUGGACAGCACACAAAGUCGGACGACGUCGACAUGGCAUGCCAUCAUCAGCAUUGGAUCGCACACACAGACGAACAAUGUCGGGCGUGGCAUGCUCGCAUGGCCAUUGGGCAGCACACACAGUCGGAUGACGUCGGGCUUGGAAUGCCAUCAUCGCCAUUGGGAAGCACAUGUGGUUGGAUGACGUCGGCCGUGUCAUGCCAUCUUUACCCUUGGAACACACAAACGGUGGGACAAUGUCGGGCAUGGCAUGCCAUCAUCGCCCUUGGACAACAUACACGGUAAGACUAUGUCAGGCGUGGCAUGCCAUCAUGGACCUUGUCCAGCACAUAUGGGUGGAAGAGGUUGGGCAUGGUAGGCCAUCAUCGCCGUUGGACAGCAUACAUAGGUUCGGACACGUCGUGCGUGGCAUGUUAUCAUCGCCUUUCAUAAAACACGCAAUCGGAUGAAGUCGGGCAUGGCUUGCUCUUAUGGCCCCUAGGAAUCACAUACGAUAAGAUGAAGUCAAGCAUGGCUUACCAUUAUCACCACAGGAAGCACCUGAUGUGGGACGACGCAAGGCAUGACAUUUCAUAAUCACAAUUGGGCAGCACACGCGGUCGAACAACGUCAUGUUUGACAUGCCAUCUUCGAGUUUUGAUAGCAUAGACGGUGGUAAAACAUUGAGCGUGGCAUACCAUUAUGGCCCUUGGGCAGCACACACGGUCGGACGACGUCGGGCGUUAGAUGACCAUUUCCUUGGGGCAGCACAGACGAUUGGAAUAUUCCGCGCGUGGCAUGCCAUUAUUGAUCAUGGUUAUCGCAUUUGAACUAAUCCAAUAUAUCUUCUAGAUUUUCCCAUCGUGUUGUACUAGUCUUUAAUUUUUAACUUAAUACAGCACGAAGCAUAUUACUUUUCUAGUUUUACAUUAAUAUUAUUCUAUAUAAAUAAAGAUUUAUUAUUACUUUAUUAGAAAAAUUACACCAAAUUAUGGAUAUGACAAAGUAUAUCUAAAAAAUAUGCAAAAUAAAAACAAAAUUGCGUCAAACGGAUAUUCGAGCAAAAAGUUUCAAUCUUUUGAAGUUUCACUAAAUCAAAGAUCGAAGCUCAAAAAAAGUAGUUGUAAAUUUGUGAAAUUUCAAGCGGCCAAAACUUUUGAAUCGGAUGAUCGAUUGAUGUAAAUUUUUAUCUAAGUAUGGUUAUUAUUUUAGAUCUACCAAAAAAAUCUCCAUAGGCUUUUUGGACGAGUCAAUAUUCCAAAAAACAUCUUUUAGACCAUUCAAUUUUGAAUUUCCCCAAUUUUAAAAAAAAUAGUUAUUCUUUAUUGCUAUGAAUCUGAUAAAAGAACAUAGAUUUUUGAGUUCGAAAUACCUUGGUAAAACAUCUGAGAAUGUCAAAUUUAAUGUUAGAUAACAUAUUUUAUGAUUAAAAUGUUUUAUCCCGUUCAAUUUAACAUUUCCCUUAAUUGUGUACACAUGGUCGGACAAUGUCGAGAAUGGCAUACCAUCAUCGGCAUUGGGCACCACACGCAGUCGGACGACAUCAGGCGUCAAAUGCCAUCUUUUCCCUUGGAUAGAAAACACGAUGGGAAAACUUCGGGUGUGGCAUGCCAUCAUCGCCCUUGGACUACACACAUAGUUAGAUGAAGUCUAGCGUUGCAUGCCAUCAUGUCCCUUGGACAACACACACGGUAGGACUACGUCGGGCGUGGUAGGCCAUCUUCUCCAUUAGGAAGUAUACACAGGGUCAAUGAUGCCGGUCGUGGCAUGCCAUCAUCUCUCUUGGACAACAUACACGAUUGGAAGACAUCGGGCAUAUCAUGUCAUCAUCGCCCUUGGAAAGCACACACGAUUGCUCUAUGUUUGGCGUAGCGAUGCUAUAAUCACCCUUGGGCAGCACAAAAGGUCAGACGAUGUCAAGCGUUAAUUGCCAUCAUUUCCUUUGGACAGCAUGAACAGUUGGACUACGUCGGGUGUGUCAUGAUAUCAUCUACCUUGGAAGCAUACAGGAUCGAACGACAUAAGGCGUAACAUGUUAUCAUCGCCCUUGAAAUGCACACACGAUUGGACAACGUCAGGCGUGGCAUGCCCGUAUGGACCUUAGGCGGCACACACGGUUAGAUGACGUCGGGCGUGGAAUGCCAUCUUCACCAUUGGGAAACACACACGGUCGGACGACGUUGGGCGUGACAUGCAAUCUUUGCCCUCGAAAAGCACACACAGUGGGACGACGACGUGCAUGGAAAGCCAUCAUUGCCCAUACACAGCAUACACGGUUGGACUACCUCAGGCGUUGCAUGCCAUCAUGGCCUUUGUCCAGGACACAUGAUCGUUCAAUGUCGGUCAUGGCAAUGCAAUCAUCGCUCUUGGAAUGUACACAUGGUCAGAUGACGUAGGACAUGACAUGUUAUCUUUGCCAUUUGAGAGCACACACGAUCGGACAACUACAAAUGGUUAGAUGACGUUGGGCGUGGCAUGUCAUCAUCGCCAUUCGGCAGCACAUACAGUCAGAAGUGGCAUACCAUCAUCUCCAUUGGGCAGCAAACUCAGUUGGACGACGUCAGGCGUGACAUGCCAUCAUCGCCCUUGGACAACACACAUGGUGGGAUGACAUCAAGCGUCUCAUGCCAUCAUCACCCUUGGAAAACAUACACAGGGAUAGACGAUGUCACGCAUGGCUUGCAUUCAUCGCCCUUGGAAAGCAUACACGGUCGAAGGAAGUCGGGAGUGACAGUUUAUCAUUGCCUUUGGACUGCACAUACGCUCAGACGACGUUAGGUGGUAAUGUUAGAAUCUCCCUUGGGCAGCAAACAUGGUCGGAAAAAGUAGGGCGUUUAAUGCCAUCCAAUAUUUCCCUUAGGAAAGAACACAUGGUAGGACAACGACUACAUGACAUGUCUCAUCGCCUUUGGACUACCCACAUUGACGGACGACGUCAAGCGUAGCAUGCCCGCAUAGACUUUGGGUAGCACACACAAACAUAUGAUGUCGUGCGUGGCAUGCAAUUAUCUCUAUUAGGCAGCACAUGCGACUAGACGACAUAAAGCGUGGCAUGUCCCCAUAGCCCUAGGGUAGCACACACGGUGAAAUAAUGUCGGACGUGGCAAUCCAUCAUUGCAAUUGUGCAGCACAUGUGGUCGGACGACAUCUCGCAUGGCAUGCCCUCAUGGACCUUGGCCAUCAUACCCAGUCGAAUAACUUCUGGUGUGGCAUGCCAUAGUGGCCCUUGGCCAGCACACAUGGUCAGACGGCGUAUGCCAAUGCUAUCAUUGCCCUUGGGUAGCAUACACGGUUGGACGAUGUCGGGCAUCAAAUGUCAUCAUUGCCCUUUGGACAACAUAAAUGGUAUGACAAAGUCGACGUGGCAUGCCAUCAUCGCCUUUUGACUACACACACAGAUAGUUUACGUCGUGUGUGACAUGCUAUUAUUGUCCUUGUGCAGCACACAGGUUGAACUACAUCGGGCGUUAGAUUCCAUCGUUUCUCUUAGACAACACACACGGUUGGAUGACGUAGACCGUGGCAUGUCAUCAUCUCCCUUUGACACCCUACGAGAUCGGACUAUGUCGGGCGUGGCAUGCCAAUCUCCCUUGGAAAGCACACACCGUUGGGCAAUGCCGGGCGUGGCAUCCCAUCAACACCCUUGGAAAGCAUACACGAUCCGAUGAAAUCGGGCGUGGCAUAUUAUCAUCGCCCUAUGACUGAACACAUGAUUCGACCACGUAGGGCGUUACAUGCCCACAUGGCCCUUGGGCUGCACAUGCAAUCGAAUGACAUCGGGCGUUGCGUGCCAUUAUCGCCUCGUGCAGCACACACGUUCGGACAUCUUUAGGAAUGACAUUCCAUCAUCGCCCUUGGGAAGCGCACAUGGUCAGAAAACGUCAGGUGUGGCAUGCCAUCAUCGCCCUUGGAAAGAAUACCAAGUCUGACGAUGUCGGGCAUGGCAUGCCAUAAUCGCCCUUGAACAACAUAUAUGGUUGGACUACGUCGAGCGUGGCAUGUGAUUUUCUCCCUUUGAAUGAACACACAGUCAGAGGAUAUUGGGCGUGGAAUUCCAUCAUCGUAAUUGGAAAAUAGAAACAGGGUCAAACGAUGUCGGGUGUUGCAUUCCAUCAUCGCCCUUGGACAUCAUACCGUAUCAGACGAUGUCAAGCAUGCCGUGCCAUCAUUUCCCUUGGGAAACACCUAGAGUCAGACGAAGUCAGGCGUGGUAUGGCAUCAUUGCCCUUGGGCAGCAUACACGGUCGAACUACGUCGGGCGUGGCAUGCCAUCAUUGCCCUUGGAUAACACAGAUGGUCGUACGACAUCAGGCGUGUCAUGUUAUCAUCACCCAUGGUUAGCAGACACGGUGAGACGACAACGUCCAUUGAAUUGCCAUCAUCCUAAUUGGACAGCACACACGAUCAGACUACGUCGGGCAUGGCAUGACAUGAUGUCCCUUGGGCAGCAUACAUGGUCAAACGACAUCGACCAUGGCACUGUCAUCAUCGCCCUUUGUAUGCACACAAGGUCGAACGACGUCACGCUUAGCAUGGCAUCAUCUCCCUUGAAAAGCAUACAUGAUCGGACGAUGUUGGGCGUGGUAUGUUAUCAAUGUUCUUGAAGAGCACACAUGAUUGAAAGAUGUCGGGCAUGUCAUGUCUGGAUGGACCUUGGGCAGCAUACAUGGUCGUAUGAUGUGAGGCGUGGCAUGCCAUCAUCUACUUUGUGCGGCACACGUGGUUUGACAAUGUUGAGCAUGACAUGCAAUCUUCGCCCUUGGACUACACACAGAGUGGGACUACGUCGAGCGUGACAUGCCAUCAUCGCCCUUGGACAACAUACACGGUCGAACUACUUUGGGCGCGGCAUGCCAUCAUUGCCCUUGGAAAACAUAGACAAGGAGAGACUACGUCGGGCGUGACAUGCCAUCAUCUCUCAUGUCUGCAUGGCCCAUGGGAAGCACACAUGGUCGGAUGAGGUCGGGCGUGGCAUGCCAUUAUCUCUCUUGUAAAUCACACACGUCCGGAUGACGUCGGGCGUGACAUGCAAUCAUAGCCCUUUGGAAGCACACAGUCGGAUGACGUUGGGCGUGGAUUGCCAUAAUCGCCCGUGGAAAGCAUACACGAUUGAAGGACGUCAGGCGUGGCAUGCCAUCAUUUCCCUUGGAUAAAAGAGACAGUCGUACAACAUAGGACAUUGCAUACCAUCAUCGCCAUUGGGUAGCACACACGUUCGGAUCACAACGGGCGUUAGAUGCCAUCAUUACCCUGGGGCAGCACACACGGUAGAACUACGUCAUGCGUGGCAUGCCAUUAUCGAUCAUGGUUGUAUCAUUCAUAGUUUUCUAAUAUAGCUUUUUGAUUUUCCCAUCUUAUUGUACUAGUCUUUCAUUUUAAUCUUAAUAAGGCGUGAAGAAUAAUAGUUUUCUAAUUAACAUUUAUAUUAUAAUAGAUAAAUAAAAAUUUAAUAAUAUUUUUUUAAAAAAAAAGCAAAACAAAAUGAAGGAUAUGACCACGUAGAUCUAAAAAAUAUGCAGAAUAAUUAUUUUUUUUUGCGUAAAACAGAUAUUCUACCCAAAGUUUCAAUCAUUUCAAGUUUAACCAAAUAAAAGAUUGAAACACAAAAAAAGUGGUUGUAAAUAUGUGAAAUUACAAAAAGCCACAACUUUUGACUCACAUGUCCGAUUGAGGCAUUUUUUUCUCUAUUUUGUUGUUUUUUUGAGAUCUGUGAAAGCAAACCCUCAAAGGCGGUUGGGACAAGUCAAUUAUUAAAAAAACGUGUUUUAACCCAUUCAAGUUUUAAUUUCCCCUAAUUUUCAAGAAAACUGUAUUUCUUUAUUGCUAUGAAUCUUAUAACAGAAAAUAGAUUUUUGUGUUCGAAAUACCUGUGUAACACAUAUCAAAGUUUAUAGUUUAACGUCAGAUAAUCAAUUUAAUGAGAAAAAUAUUUUAUCCCAUUUAAUAUGUUUCCCUUAAUUUUGCCCACACUAUCAGACAAUGUCGAGCGUUGCAUGCAAUUAUCGCCAUUGGGUAGCACAUGUUGUCUGACGCCGUUAGGCCUGACAUGCCAUCUUCGGCCUUUGAAAACACACAUGGUGGGACGACGUCGGGCGUGGGAUGAUAUCAUCGCCCCUGGACAACUUACACUGUCGGACAACGUCGAGCGUGGCAUGCCAUAAUGGCCCUUUGACAACACACACGGCCGGACUACGUCAGACGUACCAAGCCAUCAUCGCCCUUGCGAAGCAUACACAGGAUCAUAUGAUGUGGCGCGUGGCAAGUCAUCAUCUACCUUGGACCGAAUACACGGUCGGACAAUGUCUAGCAUAACAUUUUAUCAUUGCCCAUGGAUAUCACACACGAUCGAGCAACAUCGGGCUUGGAAAUGCUAUAAUAAACCUUGGGCAGCACAAACAGUUGGACGACAUCGGGCGUUAAAUGUCGUCAUUGCCCUUUGACAACAUACACGGUCGGACUACGUUGGGUGGGUGUUGUAUGUUAUCAUCGCCCUUGAAAAGCAUGCACGAUCGGAUGAUGUCAGGCGUGCCAUGUUAUCAUCGCCCUUGGACAACACACACGUUAGAACGACGUUGGGUGCGACAUACUUGCAUGGCCCUUGGGAAGCACCCACAGUCGGAUUACGUCGGGCGUGGCAUGCCAUCAUCGCCCUUGUACUAAACACACCAUUGGACCAGGUAGGGUGUGGUAUGCCCACAUGGCCCUUUGGCAGCACACAUGGUUGAAUGAGGUCGGGCAUGGCAUGCCAUUAUCGUCCUUGUGUAGCACACACGUUCGAACAACGUCAGUCAUGACAUGAUAUCAUAGCCCUUAGAAGCAUAGAGGGUCGAACAACGUUGGUUUUGACUUUCCAUCAUCGCCUUUUGGACAACCUACAUGGUCAGACGAUGUCGAGCGUGGCAUGACAUCAUGACCCUUGCACAACACACAUGGUCGGACUACGUCAGGCAUGGUAGGCAUUCAUCGCCCUUGGGAAGAAUAAAUAGUCAUUGAAUGUUAUCAUCGGCCUUGGAUCGAAUAUUACGGUGGAAUGACAUCAUGAAUGACAUGAUAUCAUCUCCCUUAGAUAGCAUACAUGAUCGGACUACGUCAGCCUUGGCAAUGAAAUAAUCGCCCUUGGGCAGCACACACAGUUGGACAACGACGGGCAUUAAAUGUAAUCAUUGCCCUUGCACAAUAUACCUGGUCGGGCUACAUCGAGUGCGACAUUUUAUCAUCUCCCUUGGAAAGAAUACACGAUCAAGCGAUGUGGCUCAUGGCAUAUUAUCAUCUCCCUAUGAGUGAACACAUGAUUGGACAACGUAGUGCAUUACAUGCAAACAUGGCCCUUGAGAAGCACACACGGUCGAAUGACGUUGGGCAUAGCACACCAUCAUUCCCAUUGGGCAGCACUCGUCGUCAGACGAUGUCGGACAUGACAUGUCAUCUUUGCCCUUGUACAGCACACAUGGUGAACGGUGUCGGCCGUGGCAUGCCAUUAUCGCUCUUUAACAACAUACACGGUCAAAAUACGUCAGGUGUGGCAUUCCAUCAUUGCUCUUGGCAAGCACACAUGGUAACACGAUGUCAGCCAUUACAAUGCCAUCAUUGUUCAUUCAAUCCACACACGAUUGAAUGACGUUAGGCGUGCCUUGCCAUCAUCGCCCUAGUAAAGCAUUCAUAAUUAGAUGACAUCGGUUGUGGCAUGUUAUCAUCGCAAUUUGACAACACACGUAAUCGGAUGAAGUCGGGCGUGGCAUGCUCAUAUGUCCCCUAGGAAUCACUCACAAUAAGAUGAAGUCGGGCGUGGCUUACCAUUAAUGCCGUUAGGAAGCACAUGCCUUGGGACGACGCAAGGCAUGACAUUCCAUAAUCACAAUUGGGCAGCACAAGCAGUCCAACAACGUCAUGUUUGACAUGCAAUCUUCGACUUUGGAUAGCACACACGGUGGUAAAACAUUGAGUGUGGCAUAUCAUAAUUGCCUUUGGAUAGCUUACAUGGUAAGACUAUGUUGAGCAUGGAAGGCCAUCAUGGCCCUUGCACCGCACACACGGUCGGACUGCGUCAGGCAUGGAAGGCAAUUAUCGCCCUUGGGAAGCAUACAUGGUCAUGGAAUGUUAUCAUCGCCCUUGGAUAGAAUACACGGUCGAACGACGUCAGGAAUGAAAUGAUAUCAUCUCCGUAGGACAGCCCACAUGAUCGGACUACGUCAGCCUUGGCAAUAUUAUAAUCGCCCUUGGGUAGUACACACAGUCAGACGACGAUGGGCGUUAAAUGUGAUUAUUGCCCUUGGACAAUAUGCAUGGUUGUACUAUAUCGGGUGUGAGAUGUUAUCAUCUCCCUUGGAAAGAAUACACGAUUUGAGGAUGUCGGGCAUUACAUGUUAUCAUCACCCUUGGACAUCACAUACGAUCGGAAGAUGUCGGGGCGUGGCAUGCCCGCAUGUCCCUUCGGCAGCAGACAUGGUUGGAUGGCAUCCGGCGUGGGAUGCCAUUAUCUCCUUCGGACAACAUACGUGGUGGGACGAGAUUGCGUGCUAUGCAUCAUCGCAAUUAGGAAGCACACGCAAUCGGAUGAUGUCAGGCGUGACAUGCCGUCUUUGCCCUUGGACAACACACACGGUGCAACGACUUUGGAUUGGUAUUCCAUAAUCACACUUGGACAACAUAUACGGUUGGAGAAUGUCAGGCGAGGCAUACCAUCACGGCUCUUGUCCAGAACAAACGGUCAUACGACGUCGGGCGUGGCAGUCAAUCAUCGCCAUUGAACAAUAUAGACAGGGUCGAAUAACGUCGGAUGUGGCAUACCAUCAUCGCCCUUGGACAACAUACACAGUCGUACGAUGUUGAGCGUCGCAUGUUAUCAUCGACCAUGGACUGCACACACCGUCGGACGACGUUGGGAAUGGCAAUGGUAUCAUCUCCCUUGGGCACCACUCACAGUCGGACUUCGCCGGGCAUUAAAUGCCAUCAUUACCUUUUGGAGAGUUCACACGAUCAAAUGACGUCGACAUGGCAUGCCCUUAUCGCCUUUGGAUUGCACACACCAAUGGACAACGUCGGCCGUGGCAUGCUUUCAUCGCCCUUGGAUACCAUAUAUGGUAGAACUAUGUCGGGCGUGGCAUGCCAUCAUCGCCCUUGUAAUGAACACAUGGUCCGAUGAUGUCAGGCAUGUAAUGCCAUCAUCGCAAUUGGAAAACAUACACAUGUUCGAAAUACGGCAGGCGUGGCAGGCCUUCGUCGCCCUUAGGAAGAAUACACAGGGUUUCACAAUGUAGAGCAUAUAAUGUAAUCAUCGCCUUUGAAUAGAAUACACAGUUGGACGACAUCAGGAAUGACAUGUUAUCUUCUCCCUUGGACAGCACACACAAUCGGACUACGUCAGCCUUUCUAGUGCUAUAACGCCCUUGGGCAGCACAUACAGUCUGACGACGACGGGCGUUAAAUGUGAUCAUUGCACUUGGACAAUAUACAUGGUCGGACUAUGUCGGGUGUGACAUGUUAUUAUCACCCUUGUAAAGUAUACACGAUCGAACGAUGUCAGGCAUUACAGGUUAUCAUUGCCCUUGGAAAUCACAAACGAUCGUACGAUGUCGGGCGUGGCAUGCCUGCAUGGCCCUUGGGCGGCACACAUGGUUGGAUGACGUCAGGAAUGGGAUGCCAUCAUCGCCAUUGUACAACAUACAUGGUGGGACGAGAUCGUGCAUUCUAUUCCAUCAUCGCCAUUGGGAAGCACAAGCGGUCGGAUGACGUCGGGCGUGACAUGCCAUCUUUGCCCUUCGACAGCACUCACGGUGGGACGACUUCGGUGAGGUAUGACAUCAUCGCACUUGGACACCAUAUACAGUUGGAGAACAUAAGGUGAGGCAUUCCAUCCUGGACCUUGGCCAGAACACACGAUCGAACGACAUCGUGCGUGGAAGGCCAUCAUCUCCCUUGAACAACAUUGACAAGGUCCAAUAAUGUCGGGCUUGGCAUACCAUCAUCGCCCUUGGACAACAUACCCAUUCGGACGAUGUUUGGCUUUGCAUGUUAUCAUCACCCUUGGACUGCAUAUACGGUCAGAUGAUGUUGGGCAUGGUAAUGCUAUAAUCGCUUUGGCACCACACACGGUCGGACGUCGGUUGGCGAUAAAUGCCAUCAUAUCCUUGGACAGCAUAAACGGUUGGACUACGACGGUUGUGUCAUGUUAUCAUCUACCUUGGAAGCAUACACGAUCGAACAACGUCAGGCGUAACAUGUUAUCAUCUUCCUGGGAAUGCACACACUAUUGGAAAACGUCGGGCGUGGCAUGCCCGUAUGGACCUUGGGCGGCACACACUGUCAAAUGACGUCGGGCGUGGAAUGCCAUCUUCACCAUAGGGAAGCACACACAGUAGGAUGACGUUGGGCAUGACAUGCCAUCUUUGCCCUUGGACAGCACACACGGUGGGACGACAUUAGGACUAUCAAGCCAUCAUCGCCCAUAGAUAGCCUACACGAUUGGACUAUGUCAGGUGUGGCAUGCCAUCAUGGCCUUUGUCCAGGACACACGAUAAGACAAUGUCGGUCCUGGCAAUGCAAUUAUUGCUCUUGGAAUGUAGACACGUUCAGAUGAUAUUAGACGUGACAUGUUAUCUUUGCCAUUUCAGAGCACACACGAUCUGACGACUUCAGGUAUGGAAUGACCCCAUGGCUCUUUGGCAGCACAAAUGGUUAGAUGACGUCAGGCGUGGCAUGCCAUCUUCGCCAUUCGACAGCACAUACGGUCAGAAGUGGCAUACCAUCAUCUCUAUUGGGCAAUAUACGCAGUCGGAUCACGUCAGGCGUGACAUGCGAUCAUCACCCUUGGACAACAUACACAGGGAUAGACAAUGUCGAGCAUGGCUUGUCAUCACCGCCCUUGGAAAGCAUACAGUGUCAGACGAAGUCGGGAGUGACAUUUUAUGAUUGCCUUUGGACUACACACAAGCUCACACGACGUUGGGUGUGGUAAUGUUAGAAUCUCCCUUGGGUAGCACACGUGGUCGGAAAAAGUAGGGCGUUUAAUGCCAUCCAAUAUUUCCCUUUGGUAAGAACACAUGGUAGGACAACGACGACAUGGCAUGUCUCAUCGAGUUUGGACUGCACACAUGGACGAACGACAUCAAGCGUGGCAUGCCGCAUAGCCCUUGGGUAGCACACACGAACGGAUGAUGUUGUGCGUUGCAUGCCAUUAUCUCCAUUAGGAAGCACAUGCGAUCAAACGGCAUUGGGCGUAACAUGUUAUCAUCGCCCUUUGAAAGCUGACAUGAUCGGACGACGUCAGGCGUGACAUGCCACCAUGGCCCUUGGGAAGCACACACGGUCUAAUGACAUCGGACUUGGCAAUCUAUCAUCGCAAUUGUGCAGCACACGCAGUUGGAUGACAUCUCGCGUGGCAUGCCCUCCUGGACUUUGGCUAGCUCAUCCGAUCGAACGACGUCUGCGUGGCAUAUCAUCGUGUCCCUUGGCCAGCACACGGUUAGACAACAAUUGCCAAUGCUAUCAUCACCCAUGGGUAGCAUACACGGUUGGACGACGUCGGGCAUCACAUGUUAUCAUUUCCCUUUAGACAACACAAAUGGUAGGACGACGUCGACGUGGCAUGCCAUCUCCUCUUUUUGACUACACACAUCUAUAGUCUACGUCGUUUGUGAAAUGACAUUAUUGUCCUUGUGUAGCACACUCGGUUGAACAACGUCGGGCAGUAGAUGCCAUCAUUGCUGUUAGACAACACACACGUUCGGAUGACUUCGAUCGUUGCAUGCCAUCAUCGCCCUUUGACAGCUUACAUGAUCAAACUAUGUCAGGCGUGGCAUGCCAUGAUCUCCCUUAGGGAUGCACACAACGUCGGGUAAUAUCGGGCGUGGCAUCCCAUCAACACCCUUGGAAAGCAUACACGAUCCGAUGACAUCGGGCGUGGCAUAUUAUCAUCGCCCUAUGAGUGAACACGUAAUUGGACCACGUAGGGCGUUACAUGUCCACAUGGCCCUUAGCAUCACACAUGGUCGAAUGACGUCAGGUGUGGCAUGCCAUUAUCGCCUCGUGCAGCACACGCGUUCGGACAACGUCAGGAAUGACAUGUUAUCAUAGCCCUUGGGCAGACGACGUCGGGCGUGGCAUGCCAUCAUCGCCCUUAGAAAGAAUACCCAGUGAGACGAUGUUUGGCUUGGCUUGCCAUAAUCUCCCUUGAACCACAUACAUGGUUGGACUACGUCGAGCGUGGCAUGUGAUAUUCUCCCUUGGAAUGAACACACAGUCGGAGGAUAUCGGGCGUGGCAUUCCAUCAUCGCAAUAGGACAGCAUAAACAGGGUCAGACGAUGUCGGGCGUGGAAUGCCACAUUGCCCUUGGACAGCUUACCGUGUCAAACGACGUCAAGCAUGCCAUGCCAUUAUUGCCCUUGGGAAAUACCAGAGUCAGACAAAGUCUGGUGUGGCAUGGAAUCACUUCCCUUGGGCAGCAUACACGGUCGAACUACGUCGGGUGUGGCAUGCCAUCAUUGCCCUUGGACAACACAGAUGGUCGUACGACAUCAGGCGUGUCAUGUUAUCAUCACCCAUGGUUAGCAGACAAGGCGAGACGACGUCGUCCGUGGCAAUGCCAUAGUCACACUUGGACAGCACAAACGAUCGGACUACGUCGGGCAAGGCAUGACAUGAUGUCCCUUGGGCAGCAUACAUGGUCGGAUGACGUCGACCAUGGCAAUGUCAUCAUGUCACUUGGAUUUCACACACAGUCGAACGACGUCAAGCGUGGCAUGCCAUCAUCGCCCUUGGAAAGCAUACACGGUGGGACGAUAAUGGGCGUGGUAUGUUAUCAAUGAUCUUGAAGAGCACACACGAUUGAAUGAUGUCGAGAAUGUCAUGCCGGCAUGCACCUUGGGCAGCAAACAUGGUUGUACGAUGUCAGGUAUGGCAUACCAUCAUCUACAUUGUGCGGCACACGCAGUUGGACAAUGAUGAGCAUGACAUGCAAUCUUCGCCCUUGGACUGCACAAACAGUGUGACGACAUCGGGCGUGACAUGCCAUCAUUGCCCUUGGACAACAUAAACGGUCGAACUACUUCGGGCAUGGCAUGCCAUUAUUGCCCUUGGACAACAUAGACAAGGACACACUACGUGGGGCGUGGCAUGCCAUCAUCACCCUAGGAAAGUAUACACGACCAAAAACCGUCGGGUGUGGGAUAUUAUCAUCGCCUUUGAAAUGCACACACAUUCUCAUAAUGUUGGGCGUUGUGAUGCUAUCAUUGCCAUUGGGCAGCACACACGGUCGGACUAUGUAUGACGUUUAAUACCAUCAUUGCCCUUUUGACAGCACACAAAGUCGGACGACGUCGACAUGGCAUGCCAUCAUCACCAUUGGAUUGCACACACAGACGAACAAUGUCGGGCGUGGCAUGCUCGCAUGGCCAUUGGGCAGCACACACAGUCGGAUGACGUCGGGCUUGGAAUGCCAUCAUCGCCAUUGGGAAGCACAUGUGGUUGGAUGACGUCGGCCGUGUCAUGCCAUCUUGACCCUUGGAACACACAUACGGUGGGACAAUGUCGGGCAUGGCAUGCCAUCAUCGCCCUUGGACAACAUACACGGUCAGACUAUGUCAGGCGUGGCAUGCCAUCAUGGACCUUGUCCAGCACAUAUGGGUGGAAGAGGUUGGGCGUGGUAGGACAUCAUCGCCGUUGGACAACAUACAUAGGUUUGGACACGUCGUGCGUGGCAUGUUAUCAUCGCCCUUUCAUAACACACGCAAUCGGAUGAAGUCGGGCGUGGCAUGCUCUUAUGGCCCCUAGGAAUCACACACGAUAAGAUGAAGUCGGGCAUGGCUUACCAUUAUCGCCGCAGGAAGCACCUGAUGUGGGACGACGCAAGGCAUUGCAUUUCAUAAUCACAAUUGGGCAGCACACGCGGUCGAACAACGUCAUGUUUGACAUGCCAUCUUCGACUUUGGAUAGCACAGACGGUGGUAAAACAUUGAGUGUGGCAUAUCAUAAUUGCUUAGGAUAACUUACAUGGUAAGACUACGUCAAGCAUGGCAUGCCAUCAUGGCCCUUGCACAGCACACACAGUCGGACUACGUCAGGCGUAAAGGCAUUCAUCGCCCUUGGAAAGCAUACAUGGUCAUGGAAUGUUAUCAUCGCCCAUGGAUAGAACACACGGUUAGACGACGUCAGGAAUGAAAUGAUAUAAUCUCCCUAGGACAGCCCACAUGAUCGAACUACGUCAGCCUUGGCAAUCUUAUAAUCGCCCUUGGGCAGUACACACAGUCCGACGAUGAUGGGCGUUAAAUGUGAUCAUUGCCCUUGGACAAUAUACAUGGUCGUACUAUAUCGGGUGUGAGAUGUUAUCAUCUCCCUUGGAAAGAAUAUAGGAUUGGACGAUGUCGGGCGUUACAUGUUCUCAUCGCCCUUAGACAUCACACACGAUCGAAGGAUGUUGGGUGUGGCAUGCCCGCAUGUCCCUUGGGCAGCACACAUGGUUGGAUGACAUAAGGCAUAGGAUGCCAUCAUCGCCUUUGGACAAACUACAUGGCGGCACGACAUCGUCCAUGCUCUGCCAUCAUCGCCAUUGGGAAGCACACUCGGUCGGAUGAUGUCGGGCGUGACAUUCCAUCUUUGACCUUGGAUAUUACACACUGUGGGAUGACUUCGACGUGGUAUGCCAUCAUCGUAGUUGGACAGCAUAAACGGUUGGAGAACGUUAGGCGUGGCAUGUUAUCAUUGACCUUGGACUGCACACACGGCGUGACAUGCUAUCAUCUCCCUUGGAUAGCAUAUACAGUAGAACUACAUUGGGCGUGUUAUUCCAUCACCGCCCUUGGAAUGAAAAUACGGUAGGAUGAUGUCACGCACGGCAUGCAAUCAUUUUAAUUGGACAACAUACACACGGUUGGACAACGUCAGGCGUUGCAGGAAUUCAUCGCCCUUAGAAAGCAUACACAGGGUCGCACGUUGUCGAGCAUAUAAUGUAAUCAUCGCCCUUGGAUAGAAUACACAGUUGGAUGAUGUAAGGAAUUACAUGAUAUCAUCUCUCUUGGAAAGCACACACGAUUGGACUAUAUCAGCCUUGGCAAUGCUAUAAUCACCCUAGGGCAGCACAUACAAUUGGACGGCGACGGGCGUUAAAUGUGGUCAUUGCACUUGGACAAUAUACAUUGCAAAACUACGUUAGUUGUGACAUGUUAUUAUUACCAUUGGAAAGUAUACACGAUGGGACAAUGUCGGGCGGUACAUGUUAUCAUUGCCCUUGGAAAUCACAAACAAUCAUACAAUGUCAGGCGUGGCAUGCCCGCAUGACCCUUGGGCGCCACACAUGGUUGGAUGACGUUAGGUGUGGGAUGCAAUCAUUGUCUUUGGACAACAUACAUGGUGGGGCGAGAUCGUGCGUUCUAUGCCAUCAUCGCUAUUGGAAAGCACAAGCGGUCGGAUGACGUGAGGCGUGACAUGCCAUCUUUGCCCUUGGACAUUACACACGGUGGGACGACUUCGGCGUGGUAUGCCAUCAUCGCACUUGGACAGCAUAUACGGUUGGAGAAAGUUAGGUGAGGCAUACCAUUAUGGCCCUUGGGCAGCACACACGGUUGGACGACGUCGGGCGUUAGAUGACCAUUUCCUUGGGGCAGCACAGACGAUCGAAAUAUUCCGCGCGUGGCAUGCCAUUAUUUAUCAUGGUUAUCGCAUUUUAACUAAUCCAAUAUAUCUUCUAGAUUUUCCCAUCGUGUUGUAGUAGUCUUUAAUUUUUAACUUAAUACAGCACGAAGCAUAUUACUUUUCUAGUUUUACAUUAAUAUUAUUCUAUAUAAAUAAAGAUUUAUUAUUACUUUAUUAGAAAAAUUACACCAAAUUAUGGAUAUGACAAAGUAUAUCUAAAAAAUAUGGAGAAUGAAAAAAAAAUUGUGUCAAACGGAUAUUCGAGCCAAAAGUUUCAAUCUUUUGAAGUUUCACUAAAUCAGAGAUUGAAGCUCAAAAAAAGUAGUUGUAAAUUUGUGAAAUUUCAAGCGGCCAAAACUUUUGACUCGGAUGAUCGAUUGACGUAAAUUUUUAUCUCAGUAUGGUUAUUUUUUUAGAUCUACCAAACAAAUCUCCAUAGGCUAUUUGGACGAGUAAAUUUUCCAAAAAACAUCUUUUAGACCAUUUAAUUUUGAAUUUCCCCAAUUUUUUAAAAAAUAGUUAUUCUUUAUUGCUAUGAAUCUGAUAAAAGAACAUAGAUUUUUGAGUUCGAAAUACCUUGGUAAAACAUCUGAGAAUUUCAAGUUUAAUGUUAGAUAACAUAUUUUAUGAUUAAAAUGUUUUAUCCCGUUCAAUUUAACAUUUCCCUUAAUUGUGUACACAUGGUCGGACAAUGUCGAGAAUGGCAUACCAUCAUCGGCAUUGGGCAGCACACACAGUCGGACGACAUCAGGCGUCAAAUGCCAUCUUUUCCCUUGGAUAGAAAACACGAUGGGAAAACUUCGGGUGUGGCAUGCCAUCAUCGCUCUUGGACUACACACAUAGUUAGAUGAAGUCUAGCGUUGCAUGCCAUCAUGUCCCUUGGACAACACACACGGUAGGACUACGUAGGGUGUGGUAGGCCAUCUUCUCCCUUAGGAAGUAUACACAGGGUCAAUGAUGCCGGUCGUGGCAUGCCAUCAUCUCCCUUGGACAACAUACACGAUUGGAAGACAUCGGGCAUAUCAUGUCAUCAUCGCCCUUGGAAAGCACACACGAUUGCUCUAUGUUUGGCGUAGCGAUGCUAUAAUCACCCUUGGGCAGCACAAAAGGUCAGACGAUGUCAAGCGUUAAUUGCCAUCAUUUCCUUUGGACAGCAUGAACAGUUGGACUACGUCGGGUGUGUCAUGAUAUCAUCUACCUUGGAAGCAUACAGGAUCGAACGACAUAAGGCGUAACAUGUUAUCAUCGCCCUUGAAAUGCACACACGAUUGGACAACGUCAGGCGUGGCAUGCCCGUAUGGACCUUAGGCGGCACACACGGUUAGAUGACGUCGGGCGUGGAAUGCCAUCUUCACCAUUGGGAAACACACACGGUCGGACGACGUUGGGCGUGACAUGCAAUCUUUGCCCUUGAAAAGCACACACGGUGGGACGACGACGUGCAUGGAAAGCCAUCAUUGCCCAUACACAGCAUACACGGUUGGACUACCUCAGGCGUUGCAUGCCAUCAUGGCCUUUGUCCAGGACACAUGAUCGUUCAAUGUCGGUCAUGGCAAUGCAAUCAUCGCUCUUGGAAUGUACACAUGGUCAGAUGACGUAGGACAUGACAUGUUAUCUUUGCCAUUUGAGAGCACACACGAUCGGACAACUACAAAUGGUUAGAUGACGUUGGGCGUGGCAUGUCAUCAUCGCCAUUCGGCAGCACAUACAGUCAGAAGUGGCAUACCAUCAUCUCCAUUGGGCAGCAAACUCAGUUGGACGACGUCAGGCGUGACAUGCCAUCAUCGCCCUUGGACAACACACAUGGUGGGAUGACAUCAAGCGUCUCAUGCCAUCAUCACCCUUGGAAAACAUACACAGGGAUAGACGAUGUCACGCAUGGCUUGCAUUCAUCGCCCUUGGAAAGCAUACACGGUCGAAGGAAGUCGGGAGUGACAGUUUAUCAUUGCCUUUGGACUGCACAUACGCUCAGACGACGUUAGGUGGUAAUGUUAGAAUCUCCCUUGGGCAGCAAACAUGGUCGGAAAAAGUAGGGCGUUUAAUGCCAUCCAAUAUUUCCCUUAGGAAAGAACACAUGGUAGGACAACGACUACAUGACAUGUCUCAUCGCCUUUGGACUACCCACAUUGACGGACGACGUCAAGCGUAGCAUGCCCGCAUAGACUUUGGGUAGCACACACAAACAUAUGAUGUCGUGCGUGGCAUGCAAUUAUCUCUAUUAGGCAGCACAUGCGACUAGACGACAUAAAGCGUGGCAUGUCCGCAUAGCCCUAGGGUAGCACACACGGUGAAAUAAUGUCGGACGUGGCAAUCCAUCAUUGCAAUUGUGCAGCACAUGUGGUCGGACGACAUCUCGCAUGGCAUGCCCUCAUGGACCUUGGCCAUCAUACCCAGUCGAAUAACUUCUGGUGUGGCAUGCCAUAGUGGCCCUUGGCCAGCACACAUGGUCAGACGGCGUAUGCCAAUGCUAUCAUUGCCCUUGGGUAGCAUACACGGUUGGACGAUGUCGGGCAUCAAAUGUCAUCAUUGCCCUUUGGACAACAUAAAUGGUAUGACAAAGUCGACGUGGCAUGCCAUCAUCGCCUUUUGACUACACACACAGAUAGUUUACGUCGUGUGUGACAUGCUAUUAUUGUCCUUAUGCAGCACACAGGUUGAACUACAUCGGGCGUUAGAUUCCAUCGUUUCUCUUAGACAACACACACGGUUGGAUGACGUAGACCGUGGCAUGUCAUCAUCUCCCUUUGACACCCUACGAGAUCGGACUAUGUCGGGCGUGGCAUGCCAAUCUCCCUUGGAAAGCACACACCGUUGGGCAAUGCCGGGCGUGGCAUCCCAUCAACACCCUUGGAAAGCAUACACGAUCCGAUGAAAUCGGGCGUGGCAUAUUAUCAUCGCCCUAUGACUGAACACAUGAUUCGACCACGUAGGGCGUUACAUGCCCACAUGGCCCUUGGGCUGCACAUGCAAUCGAAUGACAUCGGGCGUUGCGUGCCAUUAUCGCCUCGUGCAGCACACACGUUCGGACAUCUUUAGGAAUGACAUUCCAUCAUCGCCCUUGGGAAGCGCACAUGGUCAGAAAACGUCAGGUGUGGCAUGCCAUCAUCGCCCUUGGAAAGAAUACCAAGUCUGACGAUGUCGGGCAUGGCAUGCCAUAAUCGCCCUUGAACAACAUAUAUGGUUGGACUACGUCGAGCGUGGCAUGUGAUUUUCUCCCUUUGAAUGAACACACAGUCAGAGGAUAUUGGGCGUGGAAUUCCAUCAUCGUAAUUGGAAAAUAGAAACAGGGUCAAACGAUGUCGGGUGUUGCAUUCCAUCAUCGCCCUUGGACAUCAUACCGUAUCAGACGAUGUCAAGCAUGCCGUGCCAUCAUUUCCCUUGGGAAACACCUAGAGUCAGACGAAGUCAGGCGUGGUAUGGCAUCAUUGCCCUUGGGCAGCAUACACGGUCGAACUACGUCGGGCGUGGCAUGCCAUCAUUGCCCUUGGAUAACACAGAUGGUCGUACGACAUCAGGCGUGUCAUGUUAUCAUCACCCAUGGUUAGCAGACACGGUGAGACGACAACGUCCAUUGAAUUGCCAUCAUCCUAAUUGGACAGCACACACGAUCAGACUACGUCGGGCAUGGCAUGACAUGAUGUCCCUUGGGCAGCAUACAUGGUCAAACGACAUCGACCAUGGCACUGUCAUCAUCGCCCUUUGUAUGCACACAAGGUCGAACGACGUCACGCUUAGCAUGGCAUCAUCUCCCUUGAAAAGCAUACAUGAUCGGACGAUGUUGGGCGUGGUAUGUUAUCAAUGUUCUUGAAGAGCACACAUGAUUGAAAGAUGUCGGGCAUGUCAUGUCUGGAUGGACCUUGGGCAGCAUACAUGGUCGUAUGAUGUGAGGCGUGGCAUGCCAUCAUCUACUUUGUGCGGCACACGUGGUUUGACAAUGUUGAGCAUGACAUGCAAUCUUCGCCCUUGGACUACACACGGUGCGGACACAUCACGUACACGGCGUACAUGCGCCAUCAUCAUUGCCCUUGGACAACAUAGACAAGGAGAGACUAGCGUGACAUGCCAUCACAUGGCCCAUGGGAAGCACACAUGGUCGGAUGAGGUCGGGCGUGGCAUGCCAUUAUCUCUCUUGUAAAUCACACACGUCCGGAUGACGUCGGGCGUGACAUGCAAUCAUAGCCCUUUGGAAGAAUGACGUUGGGCGUGGAUUGCCAUAAUCGCCCGUGGAAAGCAUACACGAUUGAAGGACGUCAGGCGUGGCAUGCCAUCAUUUCCCUUGGAUAAAAGAGACAGUCGUACAACAUAGGACAUUGCAUACCAUCAUCGCCAUUGGGUAGCACACACGUUCGGAUCACAACGGGCGUUAGAUGCCAUCAUUACCCUGGGGCAGCACACACGGUAGAACUACGUCAUGCGUGGCAUGCCAUUAUCGAUCAUGGUUGUAUCAUUCAUAGUUUUCUAAUAUAGCUUCUUGAUUUUCCCAUCUUAUUGUACUAGUCUUUCAUUUUAAUCUUAAUAAGGCGUGAAGAAUAAUAGUUUUCUAAUUAACAUUUAUAUUAUAAUAGAUAAAUAAAAAUUUAAUAAUAUUUUUUUAAAAAAAAAGCAAAACAAAAUGAAGGAUAUGACCACGUAGAUCUAAAAAAUAUGCAGAAUAAUUAUUUUUUUUUGCGUAAAACAGAUAUUCUACCCAAAGUUUCAAUCAUUUCAAGUUUAACCAAAUAAAAGAUUGAAACACAAAAAAAGUGGUUGUAAAUAUGUGAAAUUACAAAAAGCCACAACUUUUGACUCACAUGUCCGAUUGAGGCAUUUUUUUCUCUAUUUUGUUGUUUUUUUGAGAUCUGUGAAAGCAAACCCUCAAAGGCGGUUGGGACAAGUCAAUUAUUAAAAAAACGUGUUUUAACCCAUUCAAGUUUUAAUUUCCCCUAAUUUUCAAGAAAACUGUAUUUCUUUAUUGCUAUGAAUCUUAUAACAGAAAAUAGAUUUUUGUGUUCGAAAUACCUGUGUAACACAUAUCAAAGUUUAUAGUUUAACGUCAGAUAAUCAAUUUAAUGAGAAAAAUAUUUUAUCCCAUUUAAUAUGUUUCCCUUAAUUUUGCCCACACUAUCAGACAAUGUCGAGCGUUGCAUGCAAUUAUCGCCAUUGGGUAGCACAUGUUGUCUGACGCCGUUAGGCCUGACAUGCCAUCUUCGGCCUUUGAAAACACACAUGGUGGGACGACGUCGGGCGUGGGAUGAUAUCAUCGCCCCUGGACAACUUACACUGUCGGACAACGUCGAGCGUGGCAUGCCAUAAUGGCCCUUUGACAACACACACGGCCGGACUACGUCAGACGUACCAAGCCAUCAUCGCCCUUGCGAAGCAUACACAGGAUCAUAUGAUGUGGCGCGUGGCAAGUCAUCAUCUACCUUGGACCGAAUACACGGUCGGACAAUGUCUAGCAUAACAUUUUAUCAUUGCCCAUGGAUAUCACACACGAUCGAGCAACAUCGGGCUUGGAAAUGCUAUAAUAAACCUUGGGCAGCACAAACAGUUGGACGACAUCGGGCGUUAAAUGUCGUCAUUGCCCUUUGACAACAUACACGGUCGGACUACGUUGGGUGGGUGUUGUAUGUUAUCAUCGCCCUUGAAAAGCAUGCACGAUCGGAUGAUGUCAGGCGUGCCAUGUUAUCAUCGCCCUUGGACAACACACACGUUAGAACGACGUUGGGUGCGACAUACUUGCAUGGCCCUUGGGAAGCACCCACAGUCGGAUUACGUCGGGCGUGGCAUGCCAUCAUCGCCCUUGUACUAAACACACCAUUGGACCAGGUAGGGUGUGGUAUGCCCACAUGGCCCUUUGGCAGCACACAUGGUUGAAUGAGGUCGGGCAUGGCAUGCCAUUAUCGUCCUUGUGUAGCACACACGUUCGAACAACGUCAGUCAUGACAUGAUAUCAUAGCCUUAGAAGCAUAGAGGGUCGAACAACGUUGGUUUUGACUUUCCAUCAUCGCCUUUUGGACAACCUACAUGGUCAGACGAUGUCGAGCGUGGCAUGACAUCAUGACCCUUGCACAACACACAUGGUCGGACUACGUCAGGCAUGGUAGGCAUUCAUCGCCCUUGGGAAGAAUAAAUAGUCAUUGAAUGUUAUCAUCGGCCUUGGAUCGAAUAUUACGGUGGAAUGACAUCAUGAAUGACAUGAUAUCAUCUCCCUUAGAUAGCAUACAUGAUCGGACUACGUCAGCCUUGGCAAUGAAAUAAUCGCCCUUGGGCAGCACACACAGUUGGACAACGACGGGCAUUAAAUGUAAUCAUUGCCCUUGCACAAUAUACCUGGUCGGGCUACAUCGAGUGCGACAUUUUAUCAUCUCCCUUGGAAAGAAUACACGAUCAAGCGAUGUGGCUCAUGGCAUAUUAUCAUCUCCCUAUGAGUGAACACAUGAUUGGACAACGUAGUGCAUUACAUGCAAACAUGGCCCUUGAGAAGCACACACGGUCGAAUGACGUUGGGCAUAGCACACCAUCAUUCCCAUUGGGCAGCACUCGUCGUCAGACGAUGUCGGACAUGACAUGUCAUCUUUGCCCUUGUACAGCACACAUGGUGAACGGUGUCGGCCGUGGCAUGCCAUUAUCGCUCUUUAACAACAUACACGGUCAAAAUACGUCAGGUGUGGCAUUCCAUCAUUGCUCUUGGCAAGCACACAUGGUAACACGAUGUCAGCCAUUACAAUGCCAUCAUUGUUCAUUCAAUCCACACACGAUUGAAUGACGUUAGGCGUGCCUUGCCAUCAUCGCCCUAGUAAAGCAUUCAUAAUUAGAUGACAUCGGUUGUGGCAUGUUAUCAUCGCAAUUUGACAACACACGUAAUCGGAUGAAGUCGGGCGUGGCAUGCUCAUAUGUCCCCUAGGAAUCACUCACAAUAAGAUGAAGUCGGGCGUGGCUUACCAUUAAUGCCGUUAGGAAGCACAUGCCUUGGGAUGACGCAAGGCAUGACAUUCCAUAAUCACAAUUGGGCAGCACAAGCAGUCCAACAACGUCAUGUUUGACAUGCAAUCUUCGACUUUGGAUAGCACACACGGUGGUAAAACAUUGAGUGUGGCAUAUCAUAAUUGCCUUUGGAUAGCUUACAUGGUAAGACUAUGUUGAGCAUGGAAGGCCAUCAUGGCCCUUGCACCGCACACACGGUCGGACUGCGUCAGGCAUGGAAGGCAAUCAUCGCCCUUGGGAAGCAUACAUGGUCAUGGAAUGUUAUCAUCGCCCUUGGAUAGAAUACACGGUCGAACGACGUCAGGAAUGAAAUGAUAUCAUCUCCGUAGGACAGCCCACAUGAUCGGACUACGUCAGCCUUGGCAAUAUUAUAAUCGCCCUUGGGGUAGUACACACAGUCAGACGACGAUGGGCGUUAAAUGUGAUUAUUGCCCUUGGACAAUAUGCAUGGUUGUACUAUAUCGGGUGUGAGAUGUUAUCCAUCUCCCUUGGAAAGAAUACACGAUUUGAGGAUGUCGGGCAUUACAUGUUAUCAUCACCCUUGGACAUCACAUACGAUCGGAAGAUGUCGGGGCGUGGCAUGCCCGCAUGUCCCUUCGGCAGCAGACAUGGUUGGAUGGCUUCCGGCGUGGGAUGCCAUUAUCUCCUUCGGACAACAUACGCGUGGUGGGACGAGUUGCGUGCUAUGCCAUCAUCGCAAUUAGGAAGCACACGCAAUCGGAUGAUGUCAGGCGUGAAGAUGCCGUCUUUGCCCUUGGACAACACACACGGUGCANNNNNNNNNNNNNNNNNNNNNNNNNNNNNNNNNNNNNNNNNNNNNNNNNNNNNNNNNNNNNNNNNNNNNNNNNNNNNNNNNNNNNNNNNNNNNNNNNNNNAAGUGUCAAAAACACACCUAAACUAAACUCUUGAAAGUUUGAGUUUCAUAUCUAAACUAUCACUUUUUAAUUGAAAAACCACACCCCUUUCUCUUAUAUCAUUCUCAUCAUGGUGUGUGUGAUACACUCUCUCUUUUAUUUUAAACAAUUCCACAUCACAGUAUCACACUCCACAUAGACACAUUUAAUAUUGACAAUAUAACUUUGAAAUGUAUGUAAAAAUACAAUUAAACUUUGUAUACAAGAAUACAAUUACUUCUAUGGGAAUUUCUAUAAUGGACAACCGUCAGGUAAAAGCUAUUGUGAUGAUAUUGGUUUUUCUCACACUACCAAGGUCGUCAUAUACCUUGCCGAGGGUACAGAAUUUGAACUACUAAGUGGAUCCACUAGUCUAUGCUUAAAAGCACUAAGAAAUUAUCCAAAAAGUCUGACCCUCUUCUACCCAUGGUGGCUACAUGGUUUAUGGGGGCUGUGAGUUUUUGGAACUCUUUCUAAUAUCGCUGCUCAAUACUACUCCCAAAAUAUGAUGAUGAUUCUUAUGGUUUAAAAACAUAAUUCUUGUGAUUGAGAUAAUUGCUCAAAGGUUGGCUCAAAGUCCAUCUUUGUAACCUUCUUUAAAUGUGAAUACAUUUUAAUCAUUGGGAAUUCAUAGUCCCCAUAUACUCUUUGAAGAAAUUAACUUCAAUAUUUACUCUUUUCUCAACUUGAACUUUGUCUUAAAACAAGUUAAAAUAUUUGGAAAAGCCUUUUGAAAAACUCUAAAAACUCUUCUAGACUUGACUCUUACUUCAUCUGACUUUGAUCUUAACUUUCUUUGAAUUGGAUUAUGGAUUCAAGAUUCAUGAUCUCAUGCUUAUGGGUGAUUUCAUGAUGUUUAGACGUAUCUUAGAGUGUUGGAAUCUACUAGAAAAUAUAGUAUGUUGCUAAGGAACAAGUAUGGAAUGAUAGGGAAGAAAUGGGAAGAUCUGGUGUCCUGGCGCUAUGAGAGGUGUAGGGCGCCAAACUUAAAACUUCGGAGGCUUGGGUGGGAAGGGGUACUGGAUGGAGUGACAUCCCAUAGCCCAUACUUCAGAGACACCUUCUUUGGGGCUCUGAGAGUAGCGGCGUCCAGGCCCCUACCCCGGUGCAUUCUGAUUUUUCUUGCUCGGUUUUCAACUAUAAAUCUUCUAAUAAUUUCACUUGGUUCUUUCCCCAAAUAUGUAGAAUCGAUUACAUGUUUAAAGUAUGAAAGAUUUAACUUGAAAUCACACCUAAUUACAUGAAUUUGGAUCAAAAACUCCUUAACAAUUUCAAUGAAUCAAGAAAUCAAAGGAACUUCAACAAACCCAUCAAGAAUUCAUUUCUAACCUUUCAAAGACUUCAAUACGCUGAAAUAAAUCAUGAUUGGCGAGUGGGUGAAAUAACCCAACGCUAUGUGAUCUCACAGAACUCGUAGGGAUCACCCCUUUAAAAAUUUCACAAGCGAUUCUUGAAGAACUUGACAAUUUCCUUGCUUCUUCUUCUUCUCUUUUCUCUUAUUUUCUCCUCUAAAACCCUAACUCAAUUUUCAAAAACACAAACUGAAUAAGUUUAGUUUAGACCCCUAAGUAAUUACCAAAAAUUAAUUAAAAUAAUAGGAUAGCGGAAAGACCAAACCACCCUUCCAACAUCCAAUUUUUUUUACUUUUUCUUAAUUAGACAACCCAACUUCUAAGACAUAUCUCACUCAUAAAUUUUGGAAUUGAGUAAAUUUUGGCGGCAUUGGAAAGAUUAUUCCAAGAUCUUUCCUAAUAUAUCUGGAAACACACCUAAAUCAUCCUGAGAAAGGAGUUAUGAUCAUUUGAAAUUGACUAAAAACUCAACUUAACGUAGUUGACAAAUUUUCUAGAUUUUGUGUACUUCCCAAAAAUGACUUUCAAAUUCGUAACUUCUUCCUAGUUAUUUUUAUUUGCAAGAUGUUAUAGUUCCAAAUAAAUUCACUGAUAAAAAAUACCUAAAGCAACUAUUAGAGCAAUCCUUCAUAAGUAACAUGAUUGAAUACACCCAAAAUUAAUUCUAGUCUUUCCAACCAUCUCAUUUUAGCUAAGAUAUAAAAUCAGUAAAUAUUCAAAUGCAACGGACAGUAAUAUAAUACAUUCUUCAACUCAUAAUCACAAAGUUCAAACUUCAAAAUCAAUGAAUUUCUCAAUAUGGCUCGUAUGCCACACUUUAGAAGAAAUGUCUUGGAAGGGACGAUAAGAAAAUCCAACUUCAACAACACAUUCGUUGUUGAGAGGAGUAGAAGGAUCUGCCCCUUGGUCUCUGCAUUCAAUUGCCUACACAGCUACCGGGGGGAUCAACGAUUCGAAUACCCUUGGGAGCAUCAUCAUCACCCUUAGACUCGGGCUUUUCCUUUUCGGGAAUAAAGCUACUCAGAACCACCUGAUAAUGAACUAAAAAUCAUUAGCAAGUUCACAAUAAAUACUCAAAAAUAAGGGUAAGAACAUCCCAAGGCUGCAAGUUUUGCACACAACAAGGUACAAAGUAAGCUUUCUACUUAAGUGACAAAUAUAGGGGUGAGACUAUUGUCCACUGAAUUUCGAGUCAUGCACUAAGGAUAAGUAUAGUUAGAAUAACACCUGUACCGGGGUAGCAGCUAUGAGCUUUCCAGCAACGCAACCGCCAAGAACAAUAUGAUCUGACCUAGAUAACAUCACGCUAAGAUCACAUGUUCUACUACUUUUUGACAACAUGACUGACCCUGAUAAUGAGAUGAUGAAAAAUUGACCCUGCAUAUAAAUAACAAAAUAUAUCCAUACUUGAUGAGCAAUGCCAAAUAAGUAGGCUAGAAAUCAAUUAAUGUACAAUCGAUUAUCACCUUUAUAAAAUUCAAGCAUUAAUAUACAUAUCUAAUUUCACUACAUUUCCAAUUGAUGUACAUACAACUAGAUACUUGUGCAUAGUAUAUAAGGUAGAAACACCAAAACAAGUAAAAUCAAUUGACAAUUAAUAUGAGCUCAAUAGCAUAUUUUAAAUGUUUUAUUGUGUUUUUUUCUUCAAGCACAUUCAAUAUACUUGUGACUAAAACAAUUCAAAGCGCAAAAAAGGACUAGGGGUCAAUAAACUAAAAUAAGAUUUUCACAUCCUCUAACUGACUGUCAUUAGAAGUGGAGCUUGAAGUCCAUAUCGGUUGACUAAAUGCAGUAGAUUUUUCUAAAAUAACUUACUAAAUUUAGAACACGGUUAUUAAUAAUUAAAAUAACCGUUUCAAAAUUAAAAAUCCAUAAAAUUGAAAUCUUAUAUCUGCAAAUGAGUUCAACAAAAUCUAGUGAAAGAUAACAUACAUAGCUAGAGUCAUAAACUAACUAAGCAUAAACUAUCACAUCAUGCCUCGACAAAGAGGCAUGAAAAAUAGUAAGUGUGUCUAAGCUAAAAAUAAUACAUACCUCAUAUGUCACAAUGCCACCACCCGUUGCAGACUCUUGGAGGGUGACGUUGCAUAUGCCACCCGUUGCAGAAUGAACACAAAUUUUCAUAGGUCCUUGUUGUGAUAAAUUCAUUAUCUUAGACACAAUGUCCUGCGUAAAAGAUAAUAGGCUUUGCAUCAUUUAGUAAAAUCAACCGAAAAAUUCAUAAGACAUGAACUUCAAUUCAUGAGAACUUUUGAUCAUGGGUAUGAUAUAAAAACAAAUGCUUUAGGCUAAAAAUCAUUUAAGUAAAACAAAUCUUACCUCUCCAGUUUUCACAAGGAUUACCUGCGCCUUACCAACUACACCUGUCAAUCAUCAAGAAAAUCCAACAAUCACUAAUUAUAGUAAAAAAGUUUAUAAAAGUCAUAUAAAUGAUGUAUAUAAAUUAAAUUUUUCCCAAAUUAGAAGAAACAAUGAACACAUACAUACCAAAAAGUUCUCCAUGAUUCGAUGAAGUUUGAACGAUUUUAGCACCAACGGAGGUCUUUUGAGAAUCCAUCGAAUAGAGAAGUUGUUUUUGCUGUUGUUUAUAAAGAAUUUUGAUAACAGAGGAAGAAAUUUCUAAAAGUUGUUGGGAUUUAUAAUCUCGAUUUAGUUUGACCAAAGGUAAAACUUGGGUUUCUAAAUUUAAUUCUUUUAAAUGUUUGCACAAAUUGUCCCCUACAUUUGUGCUAUUUGAUUUUUGCCCCUUCUUUUUGCUCUUCAAAAAUAAUCAUAGGGGAAUUAAUGCUUCAUUUGUUAUCGCUAUUUUUAAAACAUCUGAAUUUGACUAUAUAUCUUAAUGAUUAAGAUCUUAUCUCUUUAUCUUAACAUUAAAUGAUUAAGAUGGUUUGUCAUUAAAUAUAUGAAUAUCUAAUUAACCUAUUUAACAAAACAAAAAUAAAUCUAAGCCUAUGUUUGCAGUGUUUCCACGCAUAUUUUGUUGACAAACCCAUUCUAUCAUCAUGUGCACAACUUGGAUGGAUUCCUUAUAGCCAAGUUAAAAAAGAUGAGCAAUUGCAAGUCAAUAUCAAAAAUGAUGUUUAGCGGUAAUUAAUAACAGUAAUUGCUUAAUCGACACAAAUAUGCUUUCUUAUAGACAAUUAACACUCUUGUAAAUAUUUCAAUUUUUAGAGAUAAUUAAUACUUUUUGUGAAUGUCCCUACAGUCUAUAGAGACAUUGAUUUCAAUGACAAUUAACUUAUCCCGGUAAAAACUUUAGCACUUUUUAUCAAUAUUCAUAUUUAUCAUAUAUUUUGUUGUUUAAACAUAUUAGCUAAGAUUGACAAGUAUUAUAUAUACUACAUACACAUGUAAUAUUCUUUUUAAAAAGAAAAAUUAUUAACACAUUAGAAUUCAAAAUACAUCAUAUAUCAUCAUAUUAUAUAUUAUUAAAAGUGGAAAGCUAGCUCUAAAAUCCAAAGUUGAAUUACUAUUUUAUUCUUCCACUAAAUUAAAACUUAAUCAAAUAUUAAUAUAUAUUAAUUAAUGGAAGGAUUUUACUUUCAUUCUUUCAUUGUGAUGCUAUAAAUAUAACUGAUUAGGGAAACUAAUUAAAUUAAACUAGAAGACAAAAAAAUUACCAUUUAAAUAUUAAAUGAUUAAAUUACCUUUAUGUUAAAGUACUACUAUUACAAGUUGGUAUAGUAAACAAUUAAUAUGAAAGAAACUAUUACAUCUUGCUGUUUUACUCCUAACUUGCAAAUUAAUUGAUAGUCAGUAUUUUGUGAAGUCUAAAAGUUAUUUCUUACUGACUUUAUUUAAGAAAAAAUUAUUAAAAUAAUUUUUUUAAUAAAAAAGCUGAAAAAAUCUUAGUUUCAAGACCUUAAAUUUUUCCCUAACAGUUACAUCCAUUAUAAACUUUAACUAAUAGUAAUUAACUAUUUUUUAAAAAUAAUUUAACAAUUUUUUUGUUUGUUAAUUUUACAGUCGAAAAAACUUCAUAAUUUUGAAUCAUCAAAAGGAUAGAGUACGUGUAAAUAUGAUUUAUAUACAUCAAUUUCAACAUUUAUUAUCUUCAUCACAAAUAAUUACAAUUUAUAUGUUAGGUGAACACCAUACAAACUACAAUUGAUAAUGAUCUAAUACACAUCAUAUAAGGAAGAAAUACAUUGACGUAAAUUUAUGUACAAAUUCUAAGAAAAACACUACUUGCAUUCGAUAAUAACUUCUUCAUAUAUAUGCAAUUAUAAAAGGAGGAGACUACAAAUUUGUAAAAAUCUGGCGAAAACAAUGUCACACAUGAACAUAUGAUCAUAACCGACGUUCCUCAAAUUCAUAUUUAAAUUAUGUGUUUUUGACAUAUAGAACAAGAAAUUAAUGUCAAGUGAGUACAUGUUUUUUAUAUAUUAUUAUAUUCUCACGCUCCGAGCCUACACCCUGGACGUGACCGCGCACUCGAGAAACAUUACUGGCCCCAAGCGAACCCUUGGCCUAACUCAACUCUCAGCGGAAGACUUACUCAACAAUAAGAGAACUUUAUAAGUAAAGUGUUAACUCAAAAUAUCUAACUCCGAAUAUUUAAAGAAACAUUCACUAGUCAAAGCGACAACUCAAGUCUAGAACAUAAUAACUGAAAUGAACAACACUCGUGAACUAAUAAUGUCUAACUACCUUUGAAGCCUCUACUAAUUAACUGAGAUGGAAGUCAGGACAUAAGAGCUACGCAAUUCUAAUAACAAAAUUGAAAUGAUAAACAUAAAUGAGGAUCCUCUGGAUGCAAGGAAGCUCACCAAACAACUCUAGAACUCAACUGGAUCAAUGUAACGCGGUUGAUGGUAUCGGUUACCUGCAUCAUAAAAGAUCCAGGUCAAAUGAGGUAAGUACAUGGAAUGUACGAGCAUGCAAUGGGAAAUCUAAACAUGACAUACGCUUGAAUUGGAACUAAAGAAAUAACUUACCUCGUCUUAACUCAACUCAACCUCGACUCUUUUCAACGUAAAAGCCAUAAUAAUAAUGCGAUAUGAAGAAAAAAUUUAAAAGAGUAGAUAAAAACUCAACGUAUUGAAAAAUAUAAUAUAACUCAAUUUGUAUGUAAAAUAAGAAAAUAAACAUUUUUUGGGAGAUUCUUUAUUUGACAACUAUGAUAAUUAGUAAUGUGAUCAUAUAAUGUCUUGCCCAAAGUAUCAAAACUGCUCUAUACCUUGCCAGGGUGUAAAACUCCUCUGUAACAACCUAGAAAAAUUUUUGAACUAAGAGUUGAGUCGUUCAUUGUAGUGAGUGAGAUUUUACCAUGGAAUUAAAAAUUUCUUAAGAACUAAGGUCAAUUCACUAGAUUUAGCACCUUGAGUUAGAAGAAUUAAUUUGGAAAUAGCAAAAUCUGAAAUUUUGGAAGUUAAACUAAGUGUGAGUUUUGAGUCAACUUCAAAUGACCUUAACUCCUAACACAGGAUGAGUUAAGUGUGCUAUAAUAUGCCAUAGGAAAGAUCUUUGAAUUAUCUUUCCAAGGCCGCAAAUUUUUCUAAGUUUUGAGUUCAGAUUAGGUAGAUAUGACCUUUUGAAGUUAGGUUGUGCAGUUAAAGAAAGUUAGCCAAAAAUAGUGAAGAGUAUUUUGGUCUUUUCCUUACCCAAUCAGAUUUAAUUCGUUUUUAGUAAGGUUCUAAGAGUCUAAUCUUAUUAGGUUCACUUUUAUACUCAUAAUAUACGCCUCGGGUUUUUGUUGAGAUUUCUAGAAAAGAAUAGAAGAGAAAAGAGGAGAGGAUCAAGCGUUCAUCGAGAUUCUUGCGGGAUAUCGUGGAUUUUUUGCAUGGGUUUCAUCCCUAAGAGGUAUCUAAGCUUCCGUAGUUUUCGGUUUGUUCAUCCACACACAAAUCAUGUUAUUUUCAGCGAAGUUUCAUUCUUAAAAUAAAAAAAUUAGAGUUCUUGAUGAGUUCUUGAUAGGUGUUCUUGAAAUUCAUUCUAAAUCUUGUUGUGUUGGGAUUUUGAUGAUUUCUUGAAAUGAAAUUGAGUUAUUUGAGUAUUGUUUUCAUUGAUUAGAGUGUAAUUAAGUUAACGAAGUGAAUCCAAGUGAUUGGAGAAGAAACCUUCGAUUCUAGACGAGUUCGGGUGAGAGAACGAGCAAGAAUUCAUCUCAAUCCCAUCAAUUAAGAUCACAAAAGGAAUUUCAAGAAAACUUAUCAAGAAUUCAAAUCCUUCAACCUUAAGAACAAAUUUGCAUUAUAAUAACAUGUUUGGCGUGUGGGUGAAUGAAUCCAACACUAUGAGAACUCACAUACCUCUUAGGGAUCAAACCCUUGGGGAAAUUCCACAACAAACUUCAAGUUUCUUGACAAACGCUUGAAUCUCCCCUCCCUCCCCCCCCCCCACCCACCCUUCCCCUUUUCUCUUCUUUUUUCUCUUCUUGAACUCUCUUCUUAAACCUAAGCGUAAAUUAGGAUUGUAAAACUGACCCAAAUCAGAUUUGACCCCAACAUAUUACUAAAAACCAUUUUAAUCUCAUUGGGUACGAAAAAAUACCAAAGUACCCCUCAUAUUUUAGGGUAACUUUCCUUUACUGGACAAACCGACUUCUAAUGAGCAUAACUCCCUCAUCCAAACUCAAAAUUUAGCAAACUUGUUGGCGUUAGAAAGAGGAUUCCAAUAUCUUUCAUUUGAUAUCUUAUGGGUCACCUAACUUAUCCUAAAGUUCUGGUCAUUUCAAGUUGACCCAAAACUCACAACUUAAGAAAAACUUGCAAAAAAAUCCUCAAAUUUGCUAUUUCCAAUUUAGCGCUUUAUAGUUUUAGCUCUUUCUAAGACGGGAUGUUACAAGAAGACUUGAGGGAUUUGGGGGAAUUGAGUGAAUAAGAGGAUUUAUGUUAAGUUAUAAGAGUAAAAAAGGUUAUAGGUGUAGUUACAAUGACAAAACAACAUAGUUUAGGGUUAAUUGUGUUGAGAAAGAUCAAAAUACUCUUAAUUAAAAUCUGCUAGAUAGGUCUACGGUUUGAAUCUAUGGGCUAUCCUGGUAAACUGUAGAACUUGUUACUAUGGCUCACUAUUUUUGAUCGAUUCUAUGAAACCUUCCUACGACCCAUCCCACUUUGUACGACUCAUAGACCCCUAUCCUUAGAACCCAUGUCUCAGUGAUAUCACACAAUCCAUCAUAAGAAGAUAAAAGAAAAGACAAGAGGCAUGUUCCACACGUCCUAAUACGUUGCUUAGUUUUCCAUGACAUGCAGUAGUUUGUAAGAAUUUGGUCCAAGCUAACUACAAUUUUAGUUGAAUUUGAGUAUUUAAACCUUUACAAUAUUUAUAAAAAGUCAUUCAAACAAGCUUGUACUUUUCUUCAUUUUAUGUUAUCUAUCAGCAUGGGAAUCGUCAUCAUAACCCUCGAAAGUGUCAUUAUAAACCACCUGGUAGUGAAUUGAAAAUCGUUAAAAAGAUAGAGGUGGGACCAUUAUCCAUUAAUAUUGAGUCAUGCACUACUAGUCAAUCCAAAUGCAAAAGCAAAGAACAUGAACCCAAGGACAGAGAUAGUUAAAAGUGCAACACGUGAAGACCACAUGUUCUACUAUUUCGGGGUGACAAUUUCAGCACAUAUAAGUGAAAUGAAAGCAUUUUGCUUAUAUUAUAAAUUGAAUGGAUCACUCAUAUUUUUUCUCUCCUUUUCUUGAAUGGAUUAAUAUGAUCUUCCAACUAUUUAAACUUAUACAAAUAUGGCAACAAUGGUUAACAUGAGAAUCCAUAUCCAGCUCAUAAUAUUGGUGAAAUGAAACAGAAUCUUUUUUUGGACAUCGAAGAACCUUAGAUGAUGCGAAAUCAACCCUGCAUAUAGACUGGUCAACAGAACGGGACGUACCGGUACCGUUCCGGUUCGUUCUGGGUUCGUCCUGUUUUUGGUUGCCUACGGGACGGGACGGGAUAGUCUGAACCGGUACACGGAACGGGACGGAACCGUGAUUUUGUACCGGUGUACGGUACCGGUUCAUCCCGGUUCAUUCCGGUUCCGGUCCGGUUCCCGUCCGAUUUUAUUUAAAAUAUAUUAAUUUUUUUAUAUUUUAUAUAAUUUAUAUUUAAUUUAAUUUUUUAAAAUACAAUUUUAUUUAUUUAAUAUUUACAAGAUACAAGUUAUAAAUAUAACUUAUAAAAUAAAUAUUAAUAAAUAUAAGUAAUAACUUAUAAAUAUAAACUAUAAGAUUUUUAAACUUUUAUAAAAUUUAUAGAAUUGCAAACUUAACAAGAACAAAAAAAUUAAUAAAAUAUCAAGAUAAACUUAAAGUAAAAAUUAUAGUAUAAAUUUAAAAACUAUUAGUUUAACUUAAAAAUAAAAACUUCAUUAUAUUUUUUCCAAAAUUUAAUAUCGUUGAAUUCCGUUGCAAACAACCGGUCCGUUCCGGUUCAUUAAUAAUCUUGUAUUAGUGGAACGGGACGGAAUUAUAUGAAUCAAAACUAUUAGUUUCCGGUCCGGUUCAUCCCGGUAUUUUCAACAUACCAGUCAACGGGUUCCGAUCCGGUGAAUACCGUCUCAUUCCGGUCCGGUGAACCGGUUUCGAUUCGUUGACCCUGCAUAUAAUAAGGAAUAGAAGACAUGCUUGAUGAUGAAUCUAUAAUAUCAAAUUCCGAGUUAAUCCCGGUAGAUCAACAUACAACAAUUCCGAUAGAUGUACAUCCGACAAUUGGUCCGGUAAGGUUGAGCCGUUGACAAGCUAAUCAAUUGAUAAUUAAUAUGACAUUUCGUUCCAAAUAAAUUAGUAAUUAAAUCAAUAAUUUGCUCACAUUUUUUCUGUCUAAAAAACUUCACAAGGUAAUCCUUCAAUUUCAUAUCAUCCGACAACUUGUAAAAUUUAAGCUAAUUAACUAUUGAUAUCGCCAAAUGAAAAUACAAGGGUAAAUUAAAUGGAGAAAAUAAGUCAUCACAAUAGAAAAGAAACAUUUUGAAGCUCAACCAAGUCAAUGUGAGGUAAUAUGGCGUAACAUCGUCUAUUAAUCCAAAAUUUAUUACGUUUUAUCCCACUUUAAGUACAUCCAACAUACUUAUGGGAAAAUAAAUAUAAAAAGGACUAAAGUCGGAGACUAGAUUUGUCACGACGUGAAGGUAAUAACGAAUGAAGCAUUUAGUCAAGUGUCUGUUCUUUUAGGACUCUGUUGUAACUUUUAUUAGGUUAUAGAUUAAGUACAUCAUACCUUUUUUUUAAAUCUCACUUGUUAAAAGAUAUAAGAAUCUUUUACACGACGUGAUUCUAAAUCAAUAAAACAUCUGUUCUUCUUGUUGGACUUCCUAAAUUUAGAAUUAUUUAUGAGAAUGCUCAAGUUUUUUAUAUAGGCUACUUAAGUUCUAGGUUUAAAAGAUAUAUAGAUUAUAUAUAUCAGUUACAUCACUAUUAGUACUGUCAAAAUAGAAAAUAAAAUGUAUUGCACGAUUAACUAAUUUUUGUAUUACAAAACUUGAAUGACUUCUUGAGAAAUAAGAGAUAUUGAAAUAAUAAACGUCAAGAUUGAAUGCAUUUAAUCCAAACUCAUGCUUAAUUAUUUGCUUGAAGAUGUCCAAUUUCUUGCUUAAGAUGACAAAACUUCACUUGGAAGUAAAAUUGUCAACAAGUAUUCUCAUGUGACAAUAUUUAAUUGAAUUUCACCAAUCUUUGCGUUUUUGAUAUCUUUUGAAUUUAUUGAGUUUUGUUUUGCAAAUUCACUUUAGACUUAAAAGUUCUUUUCUUAUGGUAUACUCACACUCCCAAGUAUUAUUUUUCUCCAUCUUCCAAUUUUUUUCUGCCAAGAUUUUCUUCCAAACAUCAUACUUUAUUGCCUUCUCACAAUUUUCUUUCUUAACAACGGCAAAGUUGCAUCUUUGGUAAAUGUCACUCAAUAUUUUUGUUCGUCUUGGAAGUGAUUCUUCAUCAUUUGAAUCUGAGAUUUCUCCUCCUUAUGGACAUCUUCCUCUUUCUCAUCCUCUUUUUGAUUUGACACAUCUAAAGAUAUGAUAGAAAUAUUAUAUACCUUGUUCUUAGUAUGUAUCUUAGAAAGGUCUGCACCAUGUCUUUUUGCUUGGGAAGCUUCAAACCAUGAAAAUUCAAGUGACAAAAUUUUUCGUGCCAAAGCCAUGAAUUAUCUACAACUUCAUUUUUUAAUGCAUUGUAAUGAAAUUGUAAAGGAAAUUUUGUUUAUAUCAUCUCUACUUCAACAAUGAUUUGAUUUGACCCAAUUUUAUCAUAAAUCUUGCAAUAAUUAUUCCUAACACAAGAGAAUAACCAUUUUCCAUGAAUUGACCAACAACACUAAGCAUAUUUUCUUUCAAUUCAGGAACAUAAAAACAUUAGUUUAGUUCCUUGAUAUUGCCAGCCAUUUGCAAUCUUAGACUAAGCCAGAUACACCUCAUAUAACCAUGUCAAAUUAUGCCACACAUAUUAUGGAAGAAUAGAGAAAAAGUACGAGAUCUUACAUAUUUAGACUAAUAUAUUCAUAAAUUUAAUAUAAUCUAAAUCAAUUUAUAAAUUUAUCUUUAAUAAAUUUAAAUGAUUACAUCCAUAUUCAAAACCUUCAACUAUAUAAAUAAAGUGUAAUAUAUAUGCUUUGCUAAUUGCUAGUGUUUUCUUGAAGGAUGAGAUUGUUUGAGAAAUCUUUAACUUGAAAAUAUAAGGGGCUAAAAAGGUUAGGGUUUAUGGGUAUGGAAAAAGUUGACAAACUAAAUUUCCCCUAAAGGCAUGACUUAUUCCAAUUUAGUUUGUAAAUAACUAAUGAUAUAUAAUGUAGUAAAAAAAAUUAUAUAUAAUGUAGUGGGAUUUGGCUAAUUAUCUAAAGCAGCACAGUGUAGACAACAUGGCCCUCAAGCAUGAUAAAAAAAUCAAAAAAGUUGUUCUCCACAAAAUCUAUGUAAUUGACGCAAGUGAUUUUUUCCCCUUUUAUUUCCGUACUUGCAGUAUAAUAUUGGUGAAAAUAACCAACUGAUUCAGUUGAGAUUUUUAUAGCUAUUUUUAUCUAUUACACUAGAUUUACAAAUUUAUAUAAAACUUGUAUAAUUUUAUCAGAAUCUUAAUUUUUGCGAAGUAGUUAUUGAUUGUGAUUUGGAACAGUGGGUCGAGCUUAAGCUCACCUAAUUAGCUUUGUAAUUUUAUUCAUAUUAGCAUUGUGAUUUUAUUCAUCAAUAUAAAGGUUUUGCCUCGGCGAUUAAAAAAAAUUAAAAGAAAAGGUAUAAUAAUGGUGAAAAUGUUAAUAAACAAAUUUAAAGUAGUUACAUUGUACUAUAUUAUACCUUUUCUACUAUUUUAUUGUAGCUUGAUAUGCCAUUGUGCUGAUAUCCAUGCACGCGGAAUAUUACAAUUUUUUUCCCAUUGUAACCUAUCUUUAUAGUGGCAGACAUUAUAAUAAAUCAAAUUUUUCGGGGCAAUUAUUUAGAACCCCUUUAGAUUAAUUUUAAAAAAUAGCUUUUAAAUAAAAAAUUAUUAAGUUAAAUUAAAAUGAAUUUAAGUUAAAAAGAUAUUUGACUUAUUUUAAGUAAUUUUAUACUUAUCUUUAAGUUGUUUUUUGACAUUGUUAAACACUUUGUAACUUAUUUUAAGUUAUUUUUCAUAUUUGUCAAACACUUCGAAGUCAAAAACCGACUUACGAGUUGAUUUGAUCAACUUUUAAGUCAUCCUUAGCAAUUAUAAUAUAAUUAGUGAUUAUAUUUACAUAUUUAUAACUAGAAAAAUAAUAUAAUAUGAAUACUUAUAAUUACCGACAUUCUAUAUAGAUAUUGCUAAAGACUUAAGCAAAUAUAAAUGUAGUAACUCACCUCAAUUGCCAUUAAAUAUAGUUGCAACAAAAUAAAUAUUAGAAGAAAAUUUUAUUGUCACUUCAUGUUUAUUUUGUAACCUUAAUAAAGAAAAGGGAGUGUAUCCAACUUAUAGAAUAGUAUCAUAUAUAUUCGCAUCAAUCUUUUAGAUGUUGUAAAAUGAAAAUCUUGAUCAGAACAUAUCUUAUGGACAUACGCAUGCAUAAUGUACAAAUGGAAAGAAUUUUGGCUAAUAUUCAAAAUGGCUCAAGGAAGAGAAAAGGGUCAUUAUUAUCUCGAGCUCCAAAGGCCACAUAUAUCACAUCGGUCGAGAACAUAAUUAAAUAAUAAAAAUGUGCUAUCUCUAAUAGUUUAAGUUUUUAAUGAGAUAAUCACAUACUUUAACAAUAUUCUUUCAAUGUAUAAAAAUAUUGUUUGGAAUGACGGUUUUACAUGGUACGUACCAUAUAGAAUAUUACAGAAAGCCACAACAUAUGAGAUAGUUGAUGUCGCGACCCAAAAGCCGAGGUCAGUGGCAGAGUCAGGAUUUUCACGAAGGGUGUUCCCCUGUUAAAGUGAAUCUGUUCUUCUUAAAAAGUGGGAAAAAAUUGCUAGUAGUGAAAUUCGAACACACAAACACUUAAAGCUUUCGUAUCUAUACUCUUUCAAGGCGCCUAAAAUCACUAGGCUACAUCGUAUUGUUGUGUCAAGGGUGUCCAAAAUAUGUUAUUUAACAACUUAAUUUACUAUUUACUUGUAUUUACAGUAUAAUAUUCCGACAAAGGUGUCCAAUUGGACACCCUGACACAAGUGUGGCGACGCCACUGGCCGAGGUCAUGAUGCUACACAUCCCGAGAAUUCCAAAAUGAUGUGUAAGUUGAAAGAAAUACAUAUACGAGACUCCCAAAGAGAAGUCAGGCCACAAAUGAUAGAAAACAAGCAAGAAUAUCUCAAAACCUGAUAGCAUAAGUAUAAAGAGCAGCAUCUAAUACAUUUUUAAAAUUUGAGAUACAUCUCAAAUCUUCAAAAGGAAUAAAGAUUUUUAAAUAUAGAUGGAGACUAAUGGCGAUGUGAAAGACAUAAUCUAACUCUAUCGAUCAGUUUGCAAGUUCCCUUCUAUCCUUAAUUAAUUUUUGAACUUUUAAGGAUAAUCGAGUCGUAGUGAUUCCCAACCAUUUUAUUCACAUGUUAUGGUUGUGUGAGUAAAAUUUUCACCGUUAACCAAAGAUUUUGAGUGAGUUUGGAUAUCAAAUAUAUGGAAAAAAAAUUACACUUAAAAUAAGUCAAUCCAAAUAGACGAACUAUAUUCAAUCAAAGUUUACACUCUUGGAUGAUCUUUAGAAAUGAAGCACAGAUGUAGUAAUUAAGUGAUCAACAUAACAAUAUUAUUGCUUAAAAUAAGUUAACAAGUACAUAAAGUAUAAAUUAAAUGGGAGAAAAGAGGACAACAACUAGCUACCAGUAUAUUAAAUAUUCAAUAACUGGCUAUGUUAUCUAUUUUUCUAAACGAUGACAAAUAUAUAGUUUUAAUUAUACCCAAAUGGCUUUAGCCCUUAUAAGCAAUUGCUUGAGCUUAUUACCCCUUAAAUUAAGGCUCAUUAUCUCAUUUGAACCACCCACUAAUUCUUUUCCAAUGAACACUGCUGGCACACUAGGCUUACACCCUAAUUCAACCAAUGCUUUCUCCAUUUCCAUCCCAUUUGAAAGUUCAUCAAGCUCAUAAAUCGUAGGGUUUGCACCAAAACUACGAAUUAGGGUCUCAAUGCUGUGAGAUAUGCAACAAUUACUCUUAGUGAAAAUGACCACUGGACUUUCACCUCCCAACUUCAUCACACUUUCCAUUUCAACAAAUUCGGAAAAUAAAAAGUUGUUAUAAUGUUUUCUUCUUGAUGAUUGAAGGAAGAUAUUGUUUUGGGAAAUUUGAACUUAAAUGAAGCUAUAUAUAAGGGAUUAAAGGUGAGUGUGGGAAAAGUUUAUACGUAAAAUAUCCAAAGCAUUUUGGAUCAUUAUUGCAAUUUAAUAUUUACAUAAACAAAAAAGACAUGAUAUUUGGCUUAUCCACAUGGAGGCUUAAGCAGCACAAUCUAGACAACAUGGUCCUCAAGAUGGAAAAGGAAAUCUAAAAAAUUAUUCCCUAAUCAAUAUAUAUAUAUAUAUAUUAUUAUUUGACAAAAAGGUUUUCCUUUUUUUCUAGUUCUGUAUAUUAUUGUUUACAUUCUCGUAAAAUAAAUAUGAUUUUUUUUCUUAUUUGGAAUUAAGGUGAUGGGGUUCAAUGUAAUUGUGAUACAUUAGAUAAAUUCUACGUCAGCAAAAUGCUGAUGAGAUGUUGGACAUAUAAGAAAAUAUUUUUUUUUCUAAUCGUCAAAACGCCUACACCGUAAAAGGGAAUGGUGUAUAUGUGUCACCCUUACUAAAUUAAUGAGAGUUUUUGGUCAAAAAAUAUCCUUCAAUUGUAUUUCAAACAUAAAUUAUAUUUUUAAAGUAUUAUUUUUAACAGAAAAAUCUUUUAACUAUAUCUCAAACUUAAAUUAUAUUCUUAAAGUAUCAUUUUUAACAGAAAAACAUCCUUUAAGUAUUUGUAAGUGAACGACUUUCAUCUUUUUGUUAGAUAUUAUCAAAAAAUUAAGGAAUUUUACAAAAAAUGAGUAGUUAACGUGACUAUCAACAAAAGUUAUUCUUGAAAAUUUCAUUACUUUCUACAAGAAGUUCUUUAAAAGUAAAUCUUAGACAUUGUUAGUCAUGGAAACUAAAAAUGAUUGGAAGGUCUGAGUGUACAUGAAUUGCCUUUUUCGUAAAAAAAGUUGAAGAUUAAUUAUUUUUACCUUUUUCUUGACCAAUUAAAUGAAUAGAUUUUCGGGUCAAUCUAAUAUGAAAGUGACCAAAAUAUUGAUUAUGUCUCAUAUUUGAGUUUCAUUCUGCAUUAUUAGAAGCGGAAGUCUCCAACAAAUGUCUUUUCUAGCAUAUUCAAUUGAGAAGAAACAUAUUUAAACUAAUAAUAUUUUUAAUUAAAAUUACAUAAAAAAUGAAUUGAAAAAACGGUCAAAUUAAAAGAUUUUGCAUAAUUCUUAACUCAAUUACGAAAAAGUUCAGGAUAAUAUUCUUGGCAUAUUUAAGAAUAAUAAUUAGGAAGGGAUGACUUAAUUUUUGUGGGAUAUAUCGAUUAGUUUUCUGAUAAAUUCAAGUAGAAGGAUGAAAAUUGUUUACUUUAAAAUACUUUAAGGAUGCUUUCUGCUAAAAAUGAUACUUUAAGGAUGUAGUUUAAAUUUGGGGUAUAAUUAAAGAAUGUUUUCUGCUAAAUAUGAUAUUUUAAGAAUGUAAUUUAAGUUUUGAAUAUAAUUGAAGAAUGUUUUUGGCCAAAAAACUCACCAAAUCACAAAUGGAAAAAACAAGAGAGAUUGCAUGUAUAAGGAAAAAGUGUAGCCCCUAAUUAAUGGUAAAUUUUAAGGUUGUUCGAACAUAGAUUCAAAUCGGACAAUAUCACUUGUUGGGGGCCGAUACUAAUGGUAUCACAGUCAAUGAUAGGACAAACAUCAAUAUUUUCGAUAAAAACACAAGCGAUGAUAGUGGAACAAAUUUCAAUAUGGUUAAUGAGCUCAUAGGUUGGGGGGUAUGUAAGAAUUCACUAAUGCUACUUGGAGAAAAUGAAUUGAGAAAACAUUUUUUUACCUUGUGGGUGUGUUUGGUAUGGAUAUUUUCCAUGUGUAGGUAUGUUAAAUGUUUGGAACAUAUUUUUUAAAGCAACUCAUUUUUCUCAAAUUUAAGAAAAAUAAUUUUUCUUUCAAAAUUAAGAAAAAUAUUUUUCAAAACUCUACUUUAUCCUUUAAUUUUUUUCUUAUCCUAUCCAUACCCCGUACCCGGCACUUUCCAUUAAAAAAAUUGAAAUUUUCUUAUUUUUUAAAUUUCAAAUAUAGUUUGGGUGUCGGGAUAAAGUCCUAGAUCAAAUAUUGGUGUUGACUUUUUAUCAAAAAUUUGUUGAAUGCCUUGAAUCGGACCCGUUACAACAGAAAGAACGGGGGUCUCGCUACCUGUUAGGGCGUAGCUUAGCACUAUAUAUAGACGUUAUGGCAAACCCUAUUCUGUAUUCUGUUCUUGCCUCUCCAUAAUAAAACUGCUCCCCCUCUUCCCGUGGACGUAGCCAAUUUAUUGGUGAACCACGUAAAUCUGUUGUCUUGUUUUUCGCGUUUAUAUUUUCUCGUAUUAUCUCGAAUUCCGCAUAUCAAAUUGGUAUCAGAGCCUCUCGGUUAAUCGGUGUUCUUGGAGAAUUCGAGAUGUCUGCUUUGAACGUGAAAAUCAACAAAUUCACAGGGAGGAACAGUUUCAGUUUAUGGCAGAUCAAGAUGCGGGCUUUGUUGAAACAGCAAGGCUUCUGGGCGUCGUUGUCGAAAGACAAGAACGCCGUCGUUACUCUUGAGAUGGUGAUUCUGGAGGAAAAAACGCACUCGACGAUCAUGUUGUAUCUCGCGGAUGGCGUCAUCACGGAGGUCUCGGAUGAAGAGACUGCUGCUGGUCUGUGGUUGAAGCUGGAGAGUUUGUACAUGACAAAAUCUCUAACCAACAAGCUGCUUCUAAAACAACGUCUAUUCGGUUUACGAAUGGCUGAAGGUACACAACUUAGGGAAUAUUUAGAGCAAUUGAAUACUUUGUUAUUAGAAUUGCGUAAUAUCGAUGUGAAGAUCGAGGAUGAAGAUGUUGCCCUGAUUCUGUUAGUAUCUCUCCCACUGUCGUUUGAGAAUAUUGUUCAAUCGUUCAUUGUUGGGAAAGAUAUUAUUUCGCUGGAAGAAGUCAGAUCGGCCCUUCAUAGCAGGGAAUUACGGCAUAAGGCUAACAGCACAAGUACGGACAUACAGCCUUCCGGUCUGUUCACCAGUAGCGGAAAGGGAAGGAAAAACGGCGAAAACAAAAAUAAGCCGAUGUCGAAGGGUGCAAAGCCGGAUGAUGUUUGUAAUUACUGCAAGGAGAAGGGACAUUGGAAAUUUGAUUGUCCGAAGAAGAAGAAGCAAUCGGAAAACAAUCAGUUUCUGCUGCUGUUGCUGAAGAAGACACAAAUUCUGAAGAAGACAUUGCCUUAGUUGCGGAUGAGCACACUCAUCAUUCAGAUGUGUGGGUUCUCGAUUCUGGGGCAUCAUAUCACAUCUGUCCUAGGAGAGAGUGGUUCACGACUUAUGAGCAGGUAAACGGAGGCAGUAUCUCGAUGGCCAAAAGUUCUGUCUGCAAGGUGGUUGGGACAGGCUCGAUCAAGAUAAGGACACAUGACGGUAGCUUCUACACAUUGAACGAGGUUAGGCACGUUCCAUUGAUGACGAAAAAUCUGAUAUAUCUCAAUUUUUUGGAUAGCAAGGGAUUCAGCUGGUCGGGAAAAGAUGGAGUCUUGCGGGUCUGGAAGGGUUCAAAUCUGAUUAUGAAAGGUGUCAUGCGUGGUACUUUGUAUUUUCUACAAGGUUCCACGGUUACAGGUUCAGCCCAUGUUGCAUCGUCAGAAAUUCACCAGGAGGAUAUGACUAAGUUAUGACACAUGAGACUUGGUCAUAUGGGUGAAAGAGGGAUGCAAAUUCUAUCAAAUGAGGAUCUUCUUGCUGGUCAUAAGGUUAAGAGCCUAGAGUUUUGUGAACAUUGUGUCUUUGGAAAACUACAUCGCAACAAGUUUCCAAAGGCCAUUCACAGAACAAAAGGCACACUUGAUGACAUCCAUUCUGAUUGCUGGGGUCCAUGCCGUGUUGAGUCUUUGGGAGGCUGCAGAUUUUUUGUGUCCAUUAUUGAUGACUACUCAGGGAUGACUUGGGUGUACAUGAUGAAGCAUAAAAGUGAAGCUUUCCAGAAGUUCAAGGAGUGGAAAAUUUUGAUGGAAAAUCAAACAGGGAAGAAGAUCAAGAGGUUGCAAACUGAUAAUGGGCUGGAAUUCUGCUGGUCUGAAUUUGAUCAAUUAUGUAAGGAUGAAGGGAUUGCUCGACAUCGUACAGUCAGAAAUACACCACAGCAGAACGGUGUAGCUGAGCGGAUGAAUCAAACACUUCUGGAGAGAGCAAGGUGCAUGCUCUCUAAUGUUGGGCUAGAUAGAAGAUUCUAGGCAGAAGCGGUUAGUACAGCUUGCUACUUGAUUAACCGCAGACCACAUACAGUCAUACAGUGCAAGACACCUAUGGAGAUGUGGUCAGGAAAAGCUGCUGAUUAUUCAAAUCUGAAAGCUUUUGGUUGUACGACUUACUAUCACGUCUGUGAAGGUAAGUUAGAACCAAGAGCUAAAAAGGGAGUAUUUGUGGGCUACGGAGAUGGAGUGAAAGGUUUCAGAAUCUCCGGCAGAAAAGAGGGUUAUUAUGAGCAGGAACAUUGUCUUUGAUGAAAGUUCUCUACUUAGAACCUUUGUGAAGCCUACAACUACGUCAAAAAAAUGGGAGUCUUGAUAAACAGGUGGAGUUUCAAGUCAUUUAGAACGAGAGCGAUUUGAAAGAACCUGAAGAGGAGAAUCAAGAGCCACAGACAGAAACUGAUAUUCCAGAAUCUAUGCCAUCAGAUAUCCAUCGGAUUAUAGCUCAUGAUCGGCCAAGGAGGGUUGGAGUUCGGCCACCUACGAGGUAUGGUUUUGAGGACAUGGUGGGUUAUGCACUGCAGGUUACUGAAUAGGUAGAUACAUCUGAGCGGUCUACUUACAAAGAAGCCAUUUUAAGUCCUGAUUCUGAAAAAUGGUUUGCUGCUAUGGGAGAUGAGAUGGAGUCCCUACACAAGAAUCGGACUUGGGAUCUGGUCAUACAGCCUUCGGGAAGAAAGAUUAUUACUUGCAAAUGGGUUUUCAAGAAGAAAGAAAGGAUAUCACCAGCAGAAGGAGUCAAGUAUAAAGACAAGGUUGUUGCUAGAGGUUUCAACCAAAGAGAGAGAGUGGACUACAAUGAGAUCUUCUCACCAGUGGUCAGACAUACUUCCAUCCGAGUGUUACUAGCGAUAGUUACACAUCAGAAUCUGGAGCUUGAACAACUUGAUGUGAAGACAACAUUUCUACAUGGAGAGUUGGAGGAAGAGAUAUACAUGACUCAGCCGGAUGGUUUCCAAGUUCCAGGGAAGGAAAAUCACGUCUGCAAGUUGAAGAAGUCCUUAUAUGGACUUAAGCAGUCUCCAAGGCAGUGGUACAAAAGGUUUGACAGCUAUAUGGUGAAGUUGGGCUAUACUCAGAGCUCAUAUGAUUGUUGUGUCUACUACAAUAGGCUCAAGGAUGAUUCAUUCAUCUAUCUAGUGCUUUAUGUAGAUGAUAUGUUGAUAGCUGCAAAGAAGAAGUAUGACAUUCAAAAGCUGGAGGGUUUACUUAGUGCUGAGUUUGAGAUGAAGGAUCUGGGAGCCGCUCGGAAGAUUCUAGGGAUGGAGAUCAUUAGAGACAGAGAGAGAAGGAAACUUUUCUUGUCAAAGAGAAGCUACACUCAGAAGGUCUUGGAGAGGUUUGGCAUGUCUUCAUCUAAGCCUAUUGAUACCCCCAGUGCUGCCAAUAUCCAUCUCACUGCGAUGUUCGCUCCACAGUCAGAAGAAGAGAAGGAGUAUAUGUCACGAGUUCCUUAUGCCAGUGCCGUAGGAAGUUUGAUGUAUGCUAUGGUCUGUACAAGGCCAGAUUUAGCACAUGCAGUCAGUGUAGUGAGCAGAUUCAUGGGAAAACCAGGGAGAGAACAUUGGCAGGCUGUGAAGAGAAUUUUCCGGUACCUUAGAGGUACAUUUGACGUUGGUCUCAUUUAUGGAGGUGAUACUCAGUGCUUGGUUACUGGCUAUUCUGAUUCAGACUAUGCUGGAAAUGUUGACACAAGAAGAUCGAUGACUGGCUAAGGGAGGAUCUGUCGUUAGUUGGAAGGCAAUUUUGCAACCUACAGUGACUUUGUCUACUACGGAAGCGGAGUACAUGGCCUUGACAGAGGCUGCAAAAGAAGGGAUUUGGCUGAAAGGGCUGGUUAGUGAUCUUGGUCUGCAUCAUGAUCAGGCUACGGUGUAUUGUGACAGUUUGAGCGCAAUUUAUCUAGCCAAGGAUCAAGUCCAUCAUGAGAGAACCAAGCAUAUUGACGUGAGGUAUCAUUUUCUGAGAAGUGAGAAGAGAAUCAAGGUGAAGAAAGUAGGAACUGCUGAUAAUCCUGCUGAUAUGUUCACAAAACUGGUUCCACAGAGCAAGUUUCAACACUGUUUGGACUUGCUCAACAUCAGAAGCUGUUAAUUGCCCUGCGGGGCAAUUCUGAGGAAGAGGAGAAGGCCUGGCAUUAUCAUAGUGCGUCUAAAGAAUCUGUUUGGAGAAUUCAAGUCAAGGUGGAGAUUUGUUGAAUGCCUUGAAUCGGACCCGUUACAACAGAAAGAACGGGGGUCUUAAAUGUUUGGAACAUAUUUUUUAAAGCAACUCAUUUUUCUCAAAUUUAAGGAAAAUAAUUUUUCUUUCAAAAUUAAGAAAAAUAUUUUUCAAAACUCUACUUUAUCCUUAAAUUUUUUUCUUAUCCUAUCCAUACCCCGUACCCGGCACUUUCCAUUAAAAAAAUUGAAAUUUUCUUAUUUUUCAAAUUACAAAUAUAGUUUGGGUGUCGGGAUAAGGUCCUAGAUCAAAUAUUGGUGUUGAUUUUUUAUCAUAAAUUUGUUGAAUGCCUUGAAUCGGACCCGUUACAACAGAAAGAACGGGGGUCUCGCUGCCUGUUAGGGCGUAGCUUAGCACUAUAUAUAGACGUUAUGGCAAACCCUAUUCUGUAUUCUGUUCUUGCCUCUCCAUAAUAAAACUGCUCUCCCUCUUCCCGUGGACGUAGACAAUUUAUUGGUGAACCACGUAAAUCUGUUGUCUUGUUUUUCACGUUUAUAUUUUCUCGUAUUAUCUCGAAUUCCGCAUAUCAAAUUUAUUUUUCUAAAGAGUGUUUUUUUAGUCUCAAGCCAAAAAUAAAAGGUAUUUUCUAAAGAAUAUUUUCAUUCACCAACUAAACAUUAAAAAAUAUUUUUCAUAAAAUAUUUUCUAGUCACCAACCAAACACGAGAAAACAAGUUAAUGGUCUUAAAUAUAUGUUGAUUUUAAAGAGUUACUAAAUGUUAGAAAGUGACAUUCGUUUAAGACGAAUUAAUUAAAAUGGAGGGAGUAGUAAAGGCAAAUCCCAAUCUUUUGCCUUGUAAAUAGAUAAUUGUAAUAGCUAGCAUCUUCGAAUAAAGAAAAAUCAGUAUAUCCAACUAAGUAAAAAAAAACAUAUGCUCACCAAUCCUUGUGAUGUGGGGAAAAGAAAGAUUGAGAAAGAUGGAAUAUUUGUAUAUGUUGUACAAAUGGUGUCCACAUUAUAACUAUAUCCGUACUUGUACAAAGACAAGAACAUAUAAUUAGAGGAAGGAAUUUAAAUUUGUAGAUUCUUGAUCUUCUUUAGUUCACAAAAUGAUUUGCCCAAAUUCCCUUUUAAUAUUCCAAACAGCUAAGAUGUAGAAUGAAUGUGUGUCUACAUAUGUACUUAUCAUCAUAUCAAGUGAUUCUCACAUAGGAAAAUGGCUCAAGGGAUAAAAAUGGGUCGAUGUUAUCUCGAAAGGCCAUAUAUAGUUUACAUGGUAGAGCUACAGCAUGAGAAUGUGACAAAAAAAAUUGAUUGUUAUUUUAUGAUGACACCUAAUAUAUUUACUAAAGAAUCAAGUUCUUCGGUUGCUUUCAAGUAUCGAAUAUAAUAAACGUAAGAAGUUUUAUAGUGAAAAACUCCUUGGUUAAGGAAGUAAAUGUUGAGUUGAAGCAAGGAGUGAAUGAGUAACUAAAAAUGUGGCGGAACUAAUUUGGACGGAAAUGAAAAAUCAUUUCUCUAUAUUGGCAGAAGAAAAGAAAAGUCAUUUAAUCAAUCUCAUUAAUUAAUUUUAAAAAAAAAAUUAAUUCAGAGAAUGUUAAUUAAUUAAUUUCGCAUGACGGAAUUGCUUGAAAAGUUGUAUAACGGUAAAGUCGCUUAUGUUCCUUCUAACGGUAAAGUCGUUCUAAUUGCUAAUUUUUGAGUUCGCUAGAAUUAUUGAAGUUUGAGAUAUCGUUACUUCUUUAAUAGUUAAUUCGUUUUAUCUUGGGAGGAAUUAAUCUAUAACCUCGAUUACUUGAGAGGAUUAAAUUUCUGAAGAAUUGUAAAUUCUGUGGCCUCGAAUUAUUUAUUUUAUGUUUGUCUGUUUCAUAUUUUUUUUUUCUAUUUUCAUAACUUGAAUAUAGGAGAUAAUAAUAGUAAAUAACCACGACCUUCUCUUCUCUCGUACAUUUAACUUCAAUCUCCAUUAAAACAGGAAUGGUUUAAGGUUAUAAAUCUAUAAGCGCAAAAGGAGGGUUUUGAGAUUUAGGAUUUGGAAGGUUAUAAAUAUUUUUAAAACUCUAUUAAUCAAUAAGAGUAAAAUAAUACUCACCAUAGGUGAGUCAAGUCAAAAUUUGACAAGUAAAAAGAGACGGAGGAAGUAAACCAUAACAAGCUAGUGUUUUCUCCCGUAUUCAGAUUAGCAAAUCAGAAAAAUAAUAAAAGAUGAAAAGAAAAACACAAAGAACUAUCCGAGUCCACGGAACCCAUUGUGUGUCCUUAAGAAAUUUAAUUCCCUCAAGUAUCCGAGGUUGCAGAUUAAUUUCUAUCAAGAUAAAACGGAUUAACCAUUAAAGAAAUAGUGGUACAUCAAACUCAAAUGACAGCAACGAAUCACACACACAGACAUGAUUGAUCAAUUUUUUUUUUGUAAGAAAUGUCUGCAAAAGAAGGGAAGAAUUCAAUGCUAAACAAUGAGAGACAGCCUCUCUAUUUAUAGCCAACAAAGGGUAAAGGUCACAACUCUUAGGAAAUAACACAACCUUCUAGAAAGGUCACAACACUUUGGAAAAGGCAUAACCUUUCAAAUGUCAGAUCACAACCCUUUAAAAAGGACACAACCUUUCAUAGAGGUCACAACCUUCGGAAGAGUCACAACCUUUCAUUUCCUGUUCACACCUUUAAAACCUAGCAAUCCCCCACAUGAAUAGGAAACGACUAUUUUUUAAAAAAAUAUAUAUACAUGAAAAAUUAUGUGAUUCAUAAGUAAGGUCAAUCGCAACUGGAGAAGUAGGUUUCCCAUUAAACUUUCCACAGUAAAAAUGUAUCGGAUAUACUCGGUCAAUCGGUAUCUUUGAACCGUCGAUCUUUGUUGUAUACUUAGACAACAUAAGUCACACAAUCAACCCUUGAAACUAUUUUUGGUUCUCAUUGUUUUUUUCUUUUCAGCCAUGAACACAUCUCGGUUAAUAAAUGCUUAAAGAACUGCUCUUAUCGGAUUCUCUUUGAAGCGGUUUACACUUCACACUUACAUGGGUGAUUUCGAAAUGUGUUAUUCCAUAGAUUUACACCAUUUGAUAUACCCUGUAUCAAACUUAGAAACCAUUAAAAAGUUUUAAUGUCUUUAUCCUUGUUACUGAAAACUGUCUUAUCAUGAGAAUGGACAAUACAAAAUAUUUUGACAAUGUUGAACCAUCAUUAAUGACUUUGUUUGAUAUUCUUGAACCUAGAUAUUGGGAUCUCCAGUCUUCUAGGUAGAGUUACCGCCACAAUGACUUGUUCUUGUCCAUAGUCUCAUUCUUUUUUAUAAUCUAUCAACUCUCUCUUAGGCCUUUUAUAAGUGGAUCGGACAUAUAAUAAUUUGACUUUGCAUAGUCAGUUAUGAUAAUUUCACUAGAGAGUAGUCCUCUAACGAUAUUAUGUCUACGUCAUAUGACGAGACCUUCCAUUAUACAUCAUGUUACAUGCCCAACCUAUUGAAAAUUAACUCUCACAGUUUAUGCAAACUAGAGCUAAAGGUUUGGGCCAAAAAUAUCUCAAAAAAUUUCAGAGUCAUUCAACUUCUUUACCGACCUUAUCUAGAGUGAUAAAUUCAUAUUUCAUAGUAGAGUGAGUGAAACGUUUCUGUUUGAAAGAUUUUCAAGAGACUACUCAUAUACCAAGAGUAAAUACAUAUCCACUUGUGAAUUUUAUUUCAUUUGACCUAGCGAUUCAAUUUACAUCACUAUUUUCUUCCAAUACUAUUGAAUAUUAGUUAUAAUGCAAAACAAUAGUUUUUAAGUAUAUUUUAAAUACUCAAAACUCUUUUCAUUGUCAUCCAAUGAGUUCGAUUGAGAUUACUUGUGAACCAACUUAGUUUACUAAUAGCACAUGCUAUACCUGAUCGCGUACACUUCAUGAUAUAUAUCAUACUCCUCAAUACUCUAAAAUAAUUCAAUUGUGAGUCACUUUUGCCUUUAUUCUUUUGAAGUACAAUCUCACAUUUAUUGGAGUCUUGACAAUAUUGAAAUCUAAAUACUUGAACUUGUCAAGUACCGUUUCAAUCACAUCAGUAAUUUCAACGUCUUUUGUAUUGAAGUUACUUUCUAGCAUAUGCUUAGUAACAUGUAUGUAAGAAAUGUCUGUUUUGAUGAUCAACAUGUUAUCAAUUUAAAAACAAACAAUGACCUUGUAAUUUGAAGUGUCCUUAAAGUAAAAACAUUUAUCGCAUUUAUUAAUCUUGAAUUGAUUUGCCAACAUAGUUUGGUCAAACUUCGCAUGUUUAUCUGGGCGCUUGUUUUUAGUCUUUAAAGUGACUUAACAAUUUUAUAGGCUUUUUUUUUCUUUAUCAGAAACCAUAAAGCCCUCAGGUUGUUCCGUGUAAAUUUCUUCCUACAAUUCUUUAUUAUACAACAACUAGAGCAAUUAACAUCUAAAUUGAUGUAAUCCUAGUUAAUGGCUAUUAUGUGUCAAAAUAAUUAAGGUUUUCAUAUUGUCUAAAGUCGAUGACAACAAGUCUUGCUUUGUAAUUGACAAUAGUUUCAUCAACUUUCUUUUCCUUUUGUAGAUACACUUUGAACACAAAUGCUUAUUUAUUGGAGGAAGAAUCAACCAACUCUCAAGUGUAGUUGCUCAAGAUUGAAUCUAUCUUACUAUUGACAACCUCUUUCCAAAGAGAAUGAGCCCUCAGAAGGCAUAUCUUCUUCGACUAUAUGAUCAUUUUCAAGAAAAAUGUUCCAAAAUUAAACUCGAAGGAAGUGUCCAUUGACAUUCUCUUUAUUAAGUACAUUUUUCUUUGGUUCUUUCCAAGGUCAUUUAGACCCUUCACAUGACUAUCCGAUGGUUUAGACUUAUGAAUCAUAAGUCAACAUGCUUUAAUAUUUGUAGCAUAUCCAAUGAACAUACAAUCCACAAUUUUAGGUCCUAUUUUUACCUUUUCGGGAACAGUUCCCUCAUUUUCAUUUCUCAUAUGGAAUAGACUGUAUUGAAAAUUGUUAGAUUGUUAUCUUUCAAAGAGUUAUUGCUUCUAUAUACUUUAAGAGGCGACAAACAUUUCUCUAUCAGGAUACAACAAAGUGUGAACAAAUAAAACUUUUUGUUGCUCCCUUCUUAAUAAACAAAAGUUUUUCAUUUGUGGCUGCCUUUACUAACAAACAAAAUUUUUUGUUAACAUUUCCUUCAAAGUUCAAUUUUUUUUUCCUGUCAACAAUUUCAUUAGAUUAAGGUGAGUAGAUGCAGUGAUUUGAUGGAUGAUUCCAUUUUCUGAAUGUAUUUCUGCAAAAGAAAAUUCAUUUCUUCAUACCUACUACUUCUAAUCAUGACAAUGAUUUUCAACUUCAGUUUUAUAUUGCCCAGAUAUUUCUAUCGCUUCAUCUUUACGAUUCAACAAAUAGAUGUAACAGUAUAUAAUGGAAUUGUCAAUAUAAUUUAUGAAACACAUUUUCUCACAACGAUAUGGUGUUGAUUUCAUAUCACAAAUGUCAGUGUAAGUCAAUUCUAAGGAAUUAAAAUUCUUAUCAACAAAUUUAUAAGUAUGCUUAUUAUACUUAGAUUCAACACAUACUUGACAUUUUGAUUUAUUGCACCAGAAGUUAGGCAAAACUUAUAAGUCGAUCAGUUUUCGAUUAGUUUUAGCAAGAUUUUAUAAUUGAAAUGUUCCAAGAGUUCAUGUCACAAACAAUUUGAUUCAAGCAAGUAAGAACAACCAGAAAUACUGAGUUUAAAAAGGACUUCUAUGAGGUAACUUUUUCUAAAAAAUAUUUUGUUCUUUACUUUUCAUAACUUUGUCAAAUAUAAACAUUGUUUUAGAGUCAAAACCUUGUCAUAUGUCCUUUUCAGAAGGACUUUUUCAUAACAUUCAAUUUGUUAUAGAAUUAACCAUUAUCAUAGUCUAAUCGGUCCAACAAGGGCAAUAUGACCAUAAUAUUUGUUUUACAAUACGAACAUAACAUAUCACUUUUCACCAAUGUUCAUGUCUAUACAAAUAGACAUAUCUUUUCAUGAAAAAUCACAAUAUUUUAAGUGACACUUUUUUUUAUCAAAGAAUACAAAUCUUUUGAAAGAGUAAUAUAACCUUGUGGUUUUAUACUAGCUAUAUAAUAUACUAGGAAAGAGAGACUCAACGGUCACAAUAUCAAAUAUACUUUAAGAAAAGUAAGUCUAAUUUUAUCUUUAUCACAAGUAAAGAACCCCCCCCCCCCCCAUAUUUUAAAUAUGUUCUUAGAAAUAUUUUUCAAGUAUCUGAAUCAUUUUUCACAUUUUUUUUAUACUUUCAUAUUGUAUACCGACAAAAUACACAUUGGCAACACGAAGCCUUCUUUUGGAGAUUUGAUCCAUAGAAACACUCAUUGCAGGCACAAAAAAAUCACUAAUUUUAUGUCACUAGUGUUUUUUCUUUUCCCUUUCUGUCAAACUCGACAGACCACGUAGUAUUUAGAAUACUAACAGUCAUACUUUCAUAUUGUAUACCAUCAAAAUACACAUUGGCAACACGAAGCCAUCUUUUGGAGAUUUGAUCCAUCGAAACACCCAUUACAGGCACAAAAAAAUCACUAAUUUUAUGUCACUAGUGUUUUUUCUUUUCCCUUUCUGUCAUAACUAGACAGACCGCGUAGUAUUUAGAAUACUAACAGUAAAGAUUCAAUCUUUAUACAACUUGUUUCUAGUUUAAUGAUGAAGUUUUUAUAUUCUUCUAAUCGUUAACCGAAUGAACCUUGAAUUCUAAUGAAGUUUUUAUAUUCUUCGAGUCAUUUUCACAUUCAGACAGAGUAGUAAACCAAAAAAAGUUCUAACCUCCACAAACCUAAAAUACAACAAUAAUUCUAGAUAAUGAUGAUAAUUUUAUUCUUUUUCAAAUCAUUUAGCUUUAAAAUUCCUGAGGAAGAUUUUGUACUCUUCAAGUCAGAAUAUUCAUUCAAACAUAGUACUUAUAAAGUUGGUGAAGUUUCUAUAUUCUUCACACUAAUGCACAAUCUUAUUUUGUUUGUGAAGUUCUUAUAUCCUUCAAACCAAAGGAGUAAACAAUCAGAAGAUUUUAGUCUCCAAAAGUCAGACACAAUUAAAUUUCACAUUAAGUAGAAAACUACAAAAAAAAAAUCCUCCUCUAAACAGAAUACAUAUUAUAAAGAUAUAAUCUAAGUUUAUCGCAUAAUGCCCGUCUAUCCUAAAAUUCAUGAAAUAAAUUUCAUAACUUAUAAAGGAUAGAAAUAAUAAUAAUAAUCAAGGGAAAUAAAGAUAGAACCUGAUUUUUACUCAUGUUGAAUCAUAAGGAAAGACGAAAAAUUCAAUGGGAUAGAUGUAGGGCCAAUUAAUCUAUAUGUCAGAUUCCAUGCAAGUCACUUUUCUUGCUACUUUUUUCAUUCUUUCCUAGUUUCAAUCAUAUUCCAAUUUUCCUUAAAAGAUAUUGAAUUUCAAUGAGAAACUAAACUUAUGUUCAAAUAUUGUUAUAAAACAACAUUUAUUCAUUUACUUCUUCUCAUAAUUAUAUAAAACCAAGAAUAUAGGAAAAAUAAUCAAAGUGCACAUCAUAACCUUAAUGCACAAAAUAAUUUUUCUCAUUGAGAGAAAAGUUGAAAGGGUGCAAUAUUUCAAAGCACUUGGGAAGAAAAUAAAAAUAAUCUCACCCAUCAAAGGAAAAUGUACUACAGAAAAUAUACUCAAACAUAUUAGUACUAAUUCAUCCCAAAACUCUUUUAUCAUAUGAUAAAAUAAUUAUCUUUUUAUUCGUUUCUUUUCAACCAAAAAACACAGAAAAUAAAAGUAAUUUCUUUACCACAUAAAAUGCCAUCAAUAUAAAUUUCUUAAGCUUAUUAUCUCCAAUAUUCAGAUUAGCAAAUCAGAAAAAUAAUAAAAGAUGAAAAGAAAAACACAAAGAACUAUCCGAGUCCACAAUAUUGACUGUGUGUCCUUAAGAAAUUUAAUCCCCUCAAGUACUCAAGGUUGCAAAUUAAUUACUCCCAUGAUAAAAUGGAUCAACCAUUAAAGAAGCAGCGGUACAUCAAACUAAUAAUCUCAGCAAACUCAAAUGAAAGCAACGGAUCACACACAGAGACACGAUCGACCAAUUUUGUUUUGUAAGAAAUGUAUGCAAAAGAAGGGAAGAAUUCAAUGCUAAACAAUGAGAGACAACUUCUCUAUUUAUAGCCAAUAAGGGGUAAAUGUCACAACUCUUAGGAAAGAAGACAACCUUCCAGAAAGGUCACAACACUUUGAAAAAGGCAUAACCUUUCAAACGUCACAACCCUUUAUAAAGAACACAACCUUUCAUAAAACUCACAACCUUCAGGGAAGUCACAACCUUUCAUUUCCUGUUCACACCUUUAAAACCCAACAACUAGAAAUAACUACUAAACUAAAAGGAAAAGCUCUACAAUGGACAAAAACUAUUGCACCAUAUACAAGUCCGCAUGGUUGAAUAUUUAUCGAGUCCUCACCAUCACUAAUAUUAUCAACUAUGCUAUAAUUAAUGUCAAAGGUAUCUUAAUUUUACUUCUCUCAUUAUAUUUAUUUCCUCAAUUAGAUAGAAUAUAAUUACAAAUAAAAAAAUAAAACAAAAUUGCAUAUAUCCUAUGAUGUAACCUCUAAUUGCCUACAAAUAAAGUAAUUAAUUAACCAUAGAAAAAGAAGAUUGUAUGCCCUCUCUAUAAUUGAACAAAUGAAAUUUGGCCCUUAAGGUAUCAACCAACAUUUUUCUCCCUCGUAGGGAAUCAAGUUAUGAUGAGAAUAAAAUCAAAUAUUACCCUUUUUAUUUUUCAUUUUAUCACACACGUGGUUUAUAUUUAUAAUAUAUAUAAAGAGAGAGAAAGAGAAUCACCAAAGUUUGAUACCUCCCAUCAUGCUUUUCAAACAGCAUGUACUAAGGAUAUCUUCUUUAUAUGGCAAAUGCUUCAAUACACUUCUCUAUUUCAAGGAAAAGAAUUUAGUGGUUUUAAAGGACUUGUAGUGCAACUUCAAUUGGUGCCAUUUGGCAAGAGAUAUAGGUCAUAUUUACCCCUCUCUUGUAAUAAACAAGCUAAGAUAGGGAUCGAGGCUAAACUCUCCACUCCAUAUUCAAUAAAACUCAAAUGGGUGGAUUUUUAAAUUUUUGGAAAUGUAAAUGUCUUGUAAAGUUAGUCUCUUGUGAAUUUAGAAUUGUGUCAUGUGAAAUAUUACUUCUACUGAGAUUUUUUUUUAACUAAUUAAGCAUUGUGUCACGUAAAAUAUCACUUUUUAUAAAAUUAAAAAAAAUCUUCUAAAAUUCGAACUUUUAACUUCUGAUAUAUGGAGGGACCCUAACAAUUAUUAUACGAUAUCCCUCAGUAUUGGAAUUAAUACUUCAUAUGGUCAUUCAACUAUGCACUCUUCUCUCACAAAGUCACUCAACUUUUGAUUUUCACUCAAAAGUUACUCAACUAUGCACUUCUUUCUCAGAAAGUCACUUAACUUUGAAUUUUAAUUCAAAAGUCACUCAACUAUCCACUCUUUCCUCCAAAAGUCACUCAAUCUAUUAAAUUAUUUUUUUAACUAAAAUUUGUUGAUAUUAAUUAUUUAUAUAACAGAUCAAAAAAAUUUAAAAAUAUAAAUACCAUUUAAACCAUUUAGUGAUCCAUCCACCUAACCCGACCCAUUAAAAAACAUGAUAUGACCCAUUUUAUUUUCUCUUUAAUCCUAAUUCAAAGUUUAAAGAGAGGAAUUAAUUUAGGAUUAAACAUAAAAUAAAAUGGGUCAUAUCAUAUUUUUUAAUAGGUCGGGUUAGGUGGGUGGAUCACUAAAUGAUUUAAUUUAUUUUUUAAAAUUUUUGGUUUGUUAUAUAAAUAAUUAAUAUCAAUAAAUUUUAAUUAAAAAAUAAUUUAAUAGAUUGAGCGACUUUCUGAGGAAAGAGUGGAUAGUUGAGUGACUUUUGAGUUAAAAUUCAAAGUUGAGUGACUUUCUGAGAAAGAGGUGAAUAGUUGAGUGACUUUCGUGUGAAAAUUGAAAGUUGAAUGAUUUUUUGAGAGAAGAGUGCAUAGUUGAGUGACACUUUCUUUGUCCAUGCAUCUUAUUAGGAAUAGAUAUUCAUUUAUAUUUGUCCAUUUUAGAAAAUUAAUUCUCCUCUUCUAGACUUGACUCUUACUUCAUCUGACUUUGAUCUUAACUUUCUUUGAAUUGGAUUAUGGAUUCAAGAUUCAUGAUCUCAUGCUUAUGGGUGAUUUCAUGAUGUUUAGACGUAUCUUAGAGUGUUGGAAUCUACUAGAAAAUAUAGGUAUGUUGCUAAGGAACAAGUAUGGAAUGAUAGGGAAGAAAUGGGAAGAUCUGGUGUCCUGGCGCUAUGAGAGGCGUAGGGCGCCAAACUUAAAACUUCGGAGGCUUGGGUGGGAAGGGGUACUGGAUGGAGCGACAUCCCAUAGCCCAUACUUUAGAGACACCUUCUUUGGGGCUCUGAGAGUAGCGGCGUCCAGGCCCCUACCCCGGUGCAUUCUGAUUUUUCUUGCUCGGUUUUCAACUAUAAAUCUUCUAAUAAUUUCACUUGGUUCUUUCCCCAAAUAUGUAGAAUCGAUUACAUGUUUAAAGUAUGAAAGAUUUAACUUGAAAUCACACCUAAUUACAUGAAUUUGGAUCAAAAACUCCUUAACAAUUUCAAUGAAUCAAGAAAUCAAAGGAACUUCAACAAACCCAUCAAGAAUUCAUUUCUAACCUUUCAAAGACUUCAAUACGCUGAAAUAAAUCAUGAUUGGCGAGUGGGUGAAAUAACCCAACGCUAUGUGAUCUCACAGAACUCGUAGGGAUCACCCCUUUAAAAAUUUCACAAGCGAUUCUUGAAGAACUUGACAAUUUCCUUGCUUCUUCUUCUUCUCUUUUCUCUUAUUUUUUCUCCUCUAAAACCCUAACUCAAUUUUCAAAAACACAAACUGAAUAAGUUUAGUUUAGACCCCUAAGUAAUUACCAAAAAUUAAUUAAAAUAAUAGGAUAGCGGAAAGACCAAACCACCCUUCCAACAUCCAAUUUUUUUUUACUUUUUCUUAAUUAGACAACCCAACUUCUAAGACAUAUCUCACUCAUAAAUUUUGGAAUUGAGUAAAUUUGGCGGCAUUGGAAAGAUUAUUCCAAGAUCUUUCCUAAUAUAUCUGGAAACACACCUAAAUCAUCCUGAGAAAGGAGUUAUGAUCAUUUGAAAUUGACUAAAAACUCAACUUAACGUAGUUGACAAAUUUUCUAGAUUUUGUGUACUUCCCAAAAAUGACUUUCAAAUUCGUAACUUCUUCCUAGUUAUUUUUAUUUGCAAGAUGUUAUAGUUCCAAAUAAAUUCACUGAUAAAAAAUACCUAAAGCAACUAUUAGAGCAAUCCUUCAUAAGUAACAUGAUUGAAUACACCCAAAAUUAAUUCUAGUCUUUCCAACCAUCUCAUUUUAAGCUAAGAUAUAAAAUCAGUAAAUAUUCAAAUGCAACGGACAGUAAUAUAAUACAUUCUUCAACUCAUAAUCACAAAGUUCAAACUUCAAAAUCAAUGAAUUUCUCAAUAUGGCUCGUAUGCCACACUUUAGAAGAAAUGUCUUGGAAGGGACGAUAAGAAAAUCCAACUUCAACAACACAUUCGUUGUUGAGAGGAGUAGAAGGAUCUGCCCCUUGGUCUCUGCAUUCAAUUGCCUACACAGCUACCGGGGGGAUCAACGAUUCGAAUACCCUUGGGAGCAUCAUCAUCACCCUUAGACUCGGGCUUUUCCUUUUCGGGAAUAAAGCUACUCAGAACCACCUGAUAAUGAACUAAAAAUCAUUAGCAAGUUCACAAUAAAUACUCAAAAAUAAGGGUAAGAACAUCCCAAGGCUGCAAGUUUUGCACACAACAAGGUACAAAGUAAGCUUUCUACUUAAGUGACAAAUAUAGGGGUGAGACUAUUGUCCACUGAAUUUCGAGUCAUGCACUAAGGAUAAGUAUAGUUAGAAUAACACCUGUACCGGGGUAGCAGCUAUGAGCUUUCCAGCAACGCAACCGCCAAGAACAAUAUGAUCUGACCUAGAUAACAUCACGCUAAGAUCACAUGUUCUACUACUUUUUGACAACAUGACUGACCCUGAUAAUGAGAUGAUGAAAAAUUGACCCUGCAUAUAAAUAACAAAAUAUAUCCAUACUUGAUGAGCAAUGCCAAAUAAGUAGGCUAGAAAUCAAUUAAUGUACAAUCGAUUAUCACCUUUAUAAAAUUCAAGCAUUAAUAUACAUAUCUAAUUUCACUACAUUUCCAAUUGAUGUACAUACAACUAGAUACUUGUGCAUAGUAUAUAAGGUAGAAACACCAAAACAAGUAAAAUCAAUUGACAAUUAAUAUGAGCUCAAUAGCAUAUUUUAAAUGUUUUAUUGUGUUUUUUUCUUCAAGCACAUUCAAUAUACUUGUGACUAAAACAAUUCAAAGCGCAAAAAAGGACUAGGGGUCAAUAAACUAAAAUAAGAUUUUCACAUCCUCUAACUGACUGUCAUUAGAAGUGGAGCUUGAAGUCCAUAUCGGUUGACUAAAUGCAGUAGAUUUUUCUAAAAUAACUUACUAAAUUUAGAACACGGUUAUUAAUAAUUAAAAUAACCGUUUCAAAAUUAAAAAUCCAUAAAAUUGAAAUCUUAUAUCUGCAAAUGAGUUCAACAAAAUCUAGUGAAAGAUAACAUACAUAGCUAGAGUCAUAAACUAACUAAGCAUAAACUAUCACAUCAUGCCUCGACAAAGAGGCAUGAAAAAUAGUAAGUGUGUCUAAGCUAAAAAUAAUACAUACCUCAUAUGUCACAAUGCCACCACCCGUUGCAGACUCUUGGAGGGUGACGUUGCAUAUGCCACCCGUUGCAGAAUGAACACAAAUUUUCAUAGGUCCUUGUUGUGAUAAAUUCAUUAUCUUAGACACAAUGUCCUGCGUAAAAGAUAAUAGGCUUUGCAUCAUUUAGUAAAAUCAACCGAAAAAUUCAUAAGACAUGAACUUCAAUUCAUGAGAACUUUUGAUCAUGGGUAUGAUAUAAAAACAAAUGCUUUAGGCUAAAAAUCAUUUAAGUAAAACAAAUCUUACCUCUCCAGUUUUCACAAGGAUUACCUGCGCCUUACCAACUACACCUGUCAAUCAUCAAGAAAAUCCAACAAUCACUAAUUAUAGUAAAAAAGUUUAUAAAAGUCAUAUAAAUGAUGUAUAUAAAUUAAAUUUUUCCCAAAUUAGAAGAAACAAUGAACACAUACAUACCAAAAAGUUCUCCAUGAUUCGAUGAAGUUUGAACGAUUUUAGCACCAACGGAGGUCUUUUGAGAAUCCAUCGAAUAGAGAAGUUGUUUUUGCUGUUGUUUAUAAAGAAUUUUGAUAACAGAGGAAGAAAUUUCUAAAAAUUGUUGGGAUUUAUAAUCUCGAUUUAGUUUGACCAAAGGUAAAACUUGGGUUUCUAAAUUUAAUUCUUUUAAAUGUUUGCACAAAUUGUCCCCUACAUUUGUGCUAUUUGAUUUUUGCCCCUUCUUUUUGCUCUUCAAAAAUAAUCAUAGGGGAAUUAAUGCUUCAUUUGUUAUCGCUAUUUUUAAAACAUCUGAAUUUGACUAUAUAUCUUAAUGAUUAAGAUCUUAUCUCUUUAUCUUAACAUUAAAUGAUUAAGAUGGUUUGUCAUUAAAUAUAUGAAUAUCUAAUUAACCUAUUUAACAAAACAAAAAUAAAUCUAAGCCUAUGUUUGCAGUGUUUCCACGCAUAUUUUGUUGACAAACCCAUUCUAUCAUCAUGUGCACAACUUGGAUGGAUUCCUUAUAGCCAAGUUAAAAAAGAUGAGCAAUUGCAAGUCAAUAUCAAAAAUGAUGUUUAGCGGUAAUUAAUAACAGUAAUUGCUUAAUCGACACAAAUAUGCUUUCUUAUAGACAAUUAACACUCUUGUAAAUAUUUCAAUUUUUAGAGAUAAUUAAUACUUUUUGUGAAUGUCCCUACAGUCUAUAGAGACAUUGAUUUCAAUGACAAUUAACUUAUCCCGGUAAAAACUUUAGCACUUUUUAUCAAUAUUCAUAUUUAUCAUAUAUUUUGUUGUUUAAACAUAUUAGCUAAGAUUGACAAGUAUUAUAUAUACUACAUACACAUGUAAUAUUCUUUUUAAAAAGAAAAAUUAUUAACACAUUAGAAUUCAAAAUACAUCAUAUAUCAUCAUAUUAUAUAUUAUUAAAAGUGGAAAGCUAGCUCUAAAAUCCAAAGUUGAAUUACUAUUUUAUUCUUCCACUAAAUUAAAACUUAAUCAAAUAUUAAUAUAUAUUAAUUAAUGGAAGGAUUUUACUUUCAUUCUUUCAUUGUGAUGCUAUAAAUAUAACUGAUUAGGGAAACUAAUUAAAUUAAACUAGAAGACAAAAAAAUUACCAUUUAAAUAUUAAAUGAUUAAAUUACCUUUAUGUUAAAGUACUACUAUUACAAGUUGGUAUAGUAAACAAUUAAUAUGAAAGAAACUAUUACAUCUUGCUGUUUUACUCCUAACUUGCAAAUUAAUUGAUAGUCAGUAUUUUGUGAAGUCUAAAAGUUAUUUCUUACUGACUUUAUUUAAGAAAAAAUUAUUAAAAUAAUUUUUUUAAUAAAAAAGCUGAAAAAAUCUUAGUUUCAAGACCUUAAAUUUUUCCCUAACAGUUACAUCCAUUAUAAACUUUAACUAAUAGUAAUUAACUAUUUUUUAAAAAUAAUUUAACAAUUUUUUUGUUUGUUAAUUUUACAGUCGAAAAAACUUCAUAAUUUUGAAUCAUCAAAAGGAUAGAGUACGUGUAAAUAUGAUUUAUAUACAUCAAUUUCAACAUUUAUUAUCUUCAUCACAAAUAAUUACAAUUUAUAUGUUAGGUGAACACCAUACAAACUACAAUUGAUAAUGAUCUAAUACACAUCAUAUAAGGAAGAAAUACAUUGACGUAAAUUUAUGUACAAAUUCUAAGAAAAACACUACUUGCAUUCGAUAAUAACUUCUUCAUAUAUAUGCAAUUAUAAAAGGAGGAGACUACAAAUUUGUAAAAAUCUGGCGAAAACAAUGUCACACAUGAACAUAUGAUCAUAACCGACGUUCCUCAAAUUCAUAUUUAAAUUAUGUGUUUUUGACAUAUAGAACAAGAAAUUAAUGUCAAGUGAGUACAUGUUUUUUAUAUAUUAUUAUAUUCUCACGCUCCGAGCCUACACCCUGGACGUGACCGCCACUCGAGAAACAUUACUGGCCCCAAGCGAACCCUUGGCCUAACUCAACUCUCAGCGGAAGACUUACUCAACAAUAAGAGAACUUUAUAAGUAAAGUGUUAACUCAAAAUAUCUAACUCCGAAUAUUUAAAGAAACAUUCACUAGUCAAAGCGACAACUCAAGUCUAGAACAUAAUAACUGAAAUGAACAACACUCGUGAACUAAUAAUGUCUAACUACCUUUGAAGCCUCUACUAAUUAACUGAGAUGGAAGUCAGGACAUAAGAGCUACGCAAUUCUAAUAACAAAAUUGAAAUGAUAAACAUAAAUGAGGAUCCUCUGGAUGCAAGGAAGCUCACCAAACAACUCUAGAACUCAACUGGAUCAAUGUAACGCGGUUGAUGGUAUCGGUUACCUGCAUCAUAAAAGAUCCAGGUCAAAUGAGGUAAGUACAUGGAAUGUACGAGCAUGCAAUGGGAAAUCUAAACAUGACAUACGCUUGAAUUGGAACUAAAGAAAUAACUUACCUCGUCUUAACUCAACUCAACCUCGACUCUUUUCAACGUAAAAGCCAUAAUAAUAAUGCGAUAUGAAGAAAAAAUUUAAAAGAGUAGAUAAAAACUCAACGUAUUGAAAAAUAUAAUAUAACUCAAUUUGUAUGUAAAAUAAGAAAAUAAACAUUUUUUGGGAGAUUCUUUAUUUGACAACUAUGAUAAUUAGUAAUGUGAUCAUAUAAUGUCUCGCCCAAAGUAUCAAAACUGCUCUAUACCUUGCCAGGGUGUAAAACUCCUCUGUAACAACCUAGAAAAAUUUUUGAACUAAGAGUUGAGUCGUUCAUUGUAGUGAGUGAGAUUUUACCAUGGAAUUAAAAAUUUCUUAAGAACUAAGGUCAAUUCACUAGAUUUAGCACCUUGAGUUAGAAGAAUUAAUUUGGAAAUAGCAAAAUCUGAAAUUUUGGAAGUUAAACUAAGUGUGAGUUUUGAGUCAACUUCAAAUGACCUUAACUCCUAACACAGGAUGAGUUAAGUGUGCUAUAAUAUGCCAUAGGAAAGAUCUUUGAAUUAUCUUUCCAAGGCCGCAAAUUUUUCUAAGUUUUGAGUUCAGAUUAGGUAGAUAUGACCUUUUGAAGUUAGGUUGUGCAGUUAAAGAAAGUUAGCCAAAAAUAGUGAAGAGUAUUUUGGUCUUUUCCUUACCCAAUCAGAUUUAAUUCGUUUUUAGUAAGGUUCUAAGAGUCUAAUCUUAUUAGGUUCACUUUUAUACUCAUAAUAUACGCCUCGGGUUUUUGUUGAGAUUUCUAGAAAAGAAUAGAAGAGAAAAGAGGAGAGGAUCAAGCGUUCAUCGAGAUUCUUGCGGGAUAUCGUGGAUUUUUUGCAUGGGUUUCAUCCCUAAGAGGUAUCUAAGCUUCCGUAGUUUUCGGUUUGUUCAUCCACACACAAAUCAUGUUAUUUUCAGCGAAGUUUCAUUCUUAAAAUAAAAAAAUUAGAGUUCUUGAUGAGUUCUUGAUAGGUGUUCUUGAAAUUCAUUCUAAAUCUUGUUGUGUUGGGAUUUUGAUGAUUUCUUGAAAUGAAAUUGAGUUAUUUGAGUAUUGUUUUCAUUAGAUUAGAGUGUAAUUAAGUUAACGAAGUGAAUCCAAGUGAUUGGAGAAGAAACCUUCGAUUCUAGACGAGUUCGGGUGAGAGAACGAGCAAGAAUUCAUCUCAAUCCCAUCAAUUAAGAUCACAAAAGGAAUUUCAAGAAAACUUAUCAAGAAUUCAAAUCCUUCAACCUUAAGAACAAAUUUGCAUUAUAAUAACAUGUUUGGCGUGUGGGUGAAUGAAUCCAACACUAUGAGAACUCACAUACCUCUUAGGGAUCAAACCCUUGGGGAAAUUCCACAACAAACUUCAAGUUUCUUGACAAACGCUUGAAUCUCCCCUCCCUCCCCCCCCACCCACCCUUCCCCUUUUCUCUUCUUUUCUCUUCUUGAACUCUCUUCUUAAACCUAAGCGUAAAUUAGGAUUGUAAAACUGACCCAAAUCAGAUUUGACCCCAACAUAUUACUAAAAACCAUUUUAAUCUCAUUGGGUACGAAAAAAUACCAAAGUACCCCUCAUAUUUUAGGGUAACUUUCCUUUACUGGACAAACCGACUUCUAAUGAGCAUAACUCCCUCAUCCAAACUCAAAAUUUAGCAAACUUGUUGGCGUUAGAAAGAGGAUUCCAAUAUCUUUCAUUUGAUAUCUUAUGGGUCACCUAACUUAUCCUAAAGUUCUGGUCAUUUCAAGUUGACCCAAAACUCACAACUUAAGAAAAACUUGCAAAAAAAUCCUCAAAUUUGCUAUUUCCAAUUUAGCGCUUUAUAGUUUUAGCUCUUUCUAAGACGGGAUGUUACAAGAAGACUUGAGGGAUUUGGGGAAAUUGAGUGAAUAAGAGGAUUUAUGUUAAGUUAUAAGAGUAAAAAAGGUUAUAGGUGUAGUUACAAUGACAAAACAACAUAGUUUAGGGGUUAAUUGUGUUGAGAAAGAUCAAAAUACUCUUAAUUAAAAUCUGCUAGAUAGGUCUACGGUUUGAAUCUAUGGGCUAUCCUGGUAAACUGUAGAACUUGUUACUAUGGCUCACUAUUUUUGAUCGAUUCUAUGAAACCUUCCUACGACCCAUCCCACUUUGUACGACUCAUAGACCCCUAUCCUUAGAACCCAUGUUCAGGCCCAAAAUUUUCACAAGUCUAAAUAACUUCUAUGGAUCCCACCUACGACCCAUAGACUAUAUCACGACUCUUCAAUCCUUUCGAGGACAUGGGUCUCAAAUCAAUUCUCUAAUUCACCUUAUGGGCACUUCCUACGACUCAUAGACCAUCCUAUGAUUCGCUUAUUUCUUUUGUAGGUCAACUUAUUCAGGCUUAAAAUUUUUCCAAAUCUAAAAUCGAGUCGUAUGAAUUCCUUCCUAUGAUCCAUUGGACUUCCUACAAUUUGUAGGUUGGAUUCAUUGAUCACCGCAUCAGUGAAAAAAAUGGAAAUUUUUCUUUUCGAUCACAACUUCCAAUAUCUGAGGUGUUACAAGAAGUUAAACUGAGACGAAUCCCAAAGAAACCUUUCCUCUAAUCUAAAGAGAUUGACUAACCAAUCUUAGAAAGAAGCCUAUUCAAAUUCCUUUGUAUGAUAAAAAGUAAAUCGUAAAAGGGCCUAAAAUACUCUCAAAGUAUUGCAAAUGGUACAAAAUUACCCUUCAUCCAUCUAUUGGCUCCAAAAUGUCCUUCCCACCAACCUAUUGGGUCCAAAAUACCCUUGUCAUUCACCUUUUGGUUCAAAAUUGACCACUUAUUUAACGGUUUUAUUUUUAAAUUAUUUAAAUAUUUUUUAAAAUACGUGUCGCUCAACUAUUUGUUAUAAUUUAACUUAUUAGUAUAAUUUAUAAAUCAAUCCACUACCCACCCCAUUACUAAUUAAAUCCGUCUAAAUUAAUGAACCCGUCACAUUAUUAAUGCAAGCUACUACCAAUUGAGUGUUUUUAAAAAUUAUAGAAUUAAAUUAUCAUACAUUCAAGUGGGUAAAUAAAAAUCAUCGAUAAACUUAAAUGUCUGACUAUGUUCAUCUUAAUUAUUCUUACGUCUCAAUUAUGUGAUGUUACUUCAUUGGUAACUUUUUUUCAAAAUAAUAUAUUAAAGUUUUACAACAAAUCGUAAUUAUUUAUAAAAUUGUAUUUUUAAAAAGUGCGUGAAUUUAUUCGGGAUGUAUUACUUAUUUACCUUUAAAAAUAAAUUUCUAAUUCAAUUUUGAAAGAAAGUGUCCUCCUAAAUAAGCGACUCAACCUAAAUUUAAUUGGGGCUUCGAUUCGGACUCGAAUAAUUUUGAAUGACAUUUUUAGGAAUCUAUAAUUUCAUCGUGUUUUAGUAGUGUUUAUGACAAUUUUGAUAUUAUAAUUGGAUUAUUGAUUGGGUGAGGUUUAGCUAGUAAUGAGUGGGUAAUGGGUUGAUUUAAAAAUUAUAUUAAUAAAUUAUAAUUAUAAUCAAUAGUUGAACGUCAAGUAUUCUAAAAAAUAUUUAAAGAGUUCAAUUUUAAAACAAUUAAAAAAGUGGUUAAUUUUGAACCCAAAAGUGGAUGACAAGGGUAUUUUGGAGCCAAUAAGUGGAUGAAAAGGACAUUUUGGAGCCAAUAGGUGGAUGAGAGGUAAUUUUGUACCAUUUUCAAUAAUUUAAGGGUAUUUUAGGCCCUUGUCCGAAAAUAAAUUAGCUAACAAAGAGAUUACAUUUUUCAUAUCUGUAGGAAUAACAUGCCAUUUGUCAAGUUGGAGGAGGACCUUACCCUCUCUUAAAAAUUAUUAUGAGAGUGAUACAAGAUCAUAAUCAGGCAAAUUCACUUUUAAAAAAAAUAUUUUUCACUGGUGGUUGGAAAUCACUAUUGACAUCUAACUUUUUUUUUGUACUUCCUAACAUAGGAUUAUUCAUAAAAAAUAUAUAUAUAUUUUUUAUUUUAUAAGGUCAGAUUUAUUUUAAAAGUUUGGUACUGUGAAAAUAUACAUAAAAUGUAUUUUUUUUUGUAAUAUUUUUGGUUACUUUAUUUGAACAUUGUUGGGGUAAACAUUUUGACUUCCCUCCAUUACCCCUUCCCUCAAUUCCGUCAGUUACACAGACAAGAGACGUGUAUUAUUAAUUGCUAAAUGUCAAAAUUAUAUGGAAAAAAUUGUCUCCAAAUUUAGUAAGAAUAAUUAGUUCUUCUCAAUUUUCGAUAUCCAUAUAUUUAUACAUUAAUUUUAUUUUAUAUAUUAUAUUAAAAUAUUGAAAUUAUGGAACAUGAACUUAACCACGUUUAAUUUGUUUAGCCUAACAGCAGUCUUACAAAAUAUUUUACCUUUAAGUUGAUGUCUUUUUUAAAAUAAAAUAAAAGGGAGUUUUUGUCGGAUACUUUCACAUUUGUAAUUCUAAUGCAUUUUUUACUUCCCAUUUUUAUUAUAUGAUUUCUAUCAUUGAUGAUGAUUCUUCCUUUUAUAAUUAAAAUUGUUAGAAUUCUACACUCCUGAAUUCUUCAAAAGAAUAGGUACUUACAAUAUGUUUCUGUUUUGUAUGAACAUUAACAAUAAAUAAUUCGAGUAAUACUUUGUAUUAUUUAUAAACUUCAAACAAUACAACGAUUACAAAACUAUAUAGUAAUGGAAUUAUAAACUCUAAUUUAUUCUACCCAAGACACAAAACUACUCCCUAGUUUUGUAUCUUCUAACGCUCUUCAAGUUCUUCAACUUGUAAAGAAACUCCUACUCACAAAACUAAGAUAGUAAACAAGAUUCUUGAAUACAACUUUUACAAUUAGAUACUCGAUCUCGCAGCACUCCCAAGUAAUAUCAAGACUCUUUCAAAAACCUCUUCAUAGUGUUUUGAUUUUCUCUCUAUGUAAGUGCGCAAAUUUUUCUGAUGAAAAUAACUCCAUAUUUAUAGAUCAUAAAUUUAGCAAAUCCUAGUUGAACUCAACUUGGACUUCUUAUUUGUUUUUGCCGCAUCAAAUAACAAAUUACGCUACUUCUUUCCUUAACCAACUAGAAUGUAGUUUUCCUUCAUUAAGUCAGCUUUGCUCCUCCCAAUAGGUUUGGAAACGAUUGAAAUCCUCCUUUCAAUAGUAUUGAAAUCUUCAAUUGGAAUCCUCUUUUCAAUAGAUUUGAAAUCUUCGACCUUCGAUUCAAGUUUGCGCUAUUAUGCUUCUUUGUCGGUCAUUGAAAUAAACACGUUCAAGUGGACAUUUUCAUGUGUACCGAACAAAAAUUUCUACACAUAAUAUUUUAAGAAUAAAUUUCUAGCAUAGGAAGUGAUUAAAUAAUGUAUAAUACUGGAUGAGGCUCCUCUCCAUCACUCAUUUUCAUCAUUUUCCUCAGUUCUUACUCGGAUGGAAGUCAUGUGUCAUAAUGCACCUGUAACAAUUAAAUAGUACAGAUUUCUCUCAUCUAGACGUGUACUUGACGAAAUGGAGGAAAAGAAUAAUGGAGGGGAACCAAAUCCAACAUUUACUAUUUUCAUAAUCGAGUGAUAAAGAACAUCACAAAUGACUCUCUUUAAAGUGUAAGAUUUAAAACUCUUAAAAAUAAGGCACGCUACCUAUUACAUCAGAUAAAUAUACUGUGGAACUGUAAAAAUUAUUUUGACGAGUGAUUGGUAUAUUGAACACCACAACAACAACCAUUUUCCCCAAAAUGAACAUAAAAUUUAGGAACUCCUUAAUGUCUAUCUACAGUACAGGCAGUGAGAUUUGGCCACAUUAGAAUUGUAUUUGUAAUAAUCAUUAACACAAGCAUGUAGGUCAAAGUAUUCAUAUAUGAGCUAAUGCUUUUGUGAUUAUAGAAUCACAAAUACUGAUAAAAUUAACGGUUGAAGUUAUUUUUUUUUUAAAAAAACAUUUAACUGAACAUAGCCCAAAAGCAUCAGUAAAAUGUAUCCUGUAAUUCCAUACUAAUAUAUUACAUGUUUGUACCAUAUAACGCCAAACUCAACUAAAUUUAGCUACUCGAUUUUCGAAGUUCAAAAAAUAACAAACGAUUGUGGUUUAAAAAAAUCAUUCGAACAAUUGACUACUCAAUUGUCAUCAUAGCCCCCAAACUCAGACUCUUCCUUUUUUGGAAUGAAGCUACUCACGACCACCUGGUAGUAAAUUGAAAAUCGUUAGCAAGUAAAUAAUAUACACUCAAACAUAAGAGUAAGUAUUAAUCGAGUAAUAAGAGAGCAACAUGCAUGUGAUGUCCAAAUUUGAAUCUUAUCGAAAUCAAAAGUCUUCUACUUAAGUGAACAAUAGAGGGGUGGGAUCAUUAUCCGCUGAAUUUUCAGUCAUGCACUACUAGUCAGUCCAAACGCACAAAAAAGGAGUUUGAAAUCAAUUAGGACAAAGAUAGUUAGAACAACACCUCUAGUGGAGUAGCAGCUAUGAGCCUUCCAAAAACGUAGCCGCAGAAAACAAUACGAUCUGGCCUAGAUAGUACCAUGUGAAGACCACAGAUUCUACUACUUUCAGACACCAUGAAUGACAAUGAUAAUGACAUGAUGAGAAAUCGACCCUACAUAUAACAAAUAAAAGAUAUGAUUGAUGAGCAACGCAAAAUAAGUAUACUAGAUGACAAACAUGAUUGAUGAGCAAUGCAAACUAAGUAUACUAGAAGACAAUCAAUGUAUAUUCGAUUAUCAGAUUUAUAAAAUUUAAGCAUUAAUAUUAAGGAAGAAAUAUAUCUGUCAUCAAUGCAGAAAUAUAAAAAUUAAGGAAAAUGAAGUCACAACUAAGUCAAUUUGUUGUAAUAUGGGCUUAAUAUUGUAUGUUAAAGGUGUUAUUGUAUUUCUGUUUCAGCCCACUUCAAGUACACCUAACAUACUUGUGAAAAAAAUACUUUGAACAUAAAAAAGGAUUAGGGGUGAAAAAAACUAAAAUAAGAUUCUCACACAACGUCAUUGACACCCAACUGCAAGUGAUUGUCAACAUAGAAGCGGAGCUACAAGCCCAUAUGGGGUCACUCAAAUUCAGUAGCUUUUGUUGAAAUAGUGUAUUAACUUUAGAUCACAGUUAUUAAUAUUUAAAUCAUUAUUCUAAAAUUAAAUACCCAUAAAGUUGAAAUCUUAUCUCUGCAAAUGAGUUCGUUAAGCGAAAUCCUAAAUCUAACGAACUCUAAAUAAUAUUGAUUGAAUUAACUGAUUUAUUAAACAAGCAAUGUAUUUAGUUAAUAUGUAACCCUUAGAGUCUGAAUCUAAAUGCUAACAGUGGGACUGAAAUUCAUCAACAUCUACUAGGCUAAGUCAUGAUAUAUUAUAAGGACAUUGAAACAUGUCCUUGUUACGUUGUUGAAGAUGAAGGAAGCUAAUGAUAGAAAUAUAUCUAAGGAACAGGUCUAAGGACAUGACAUGUUAACUGGUGUAAAAUUAGAGUCAUAUUAGGAACUCAACUACUAAAUUCUAACUUAUGUACAACUAAGCUAUUGUAUCGUGUAUGGAGCUAAAGUCGACUAGGAUAAGGUGUUGUAGUUAUAGUAGUAAUAGUAAACCUAUACUACUCAUGUAAAUUAUAAUUUUAUAUUGUAGUAGUUUUCUAUGUGUAGAUAGUAUAUGACUCUUCUCUUAUAUAAUAAGCAUGUACUCAAUAGUUUUAUUUAUUAAUACAAUACUUAAUUUCUCUAAACCUAACUUAAUAUUUUUUUACAUGAUAUAAGAGCUUGAAAGAUUUUCUGCUCUUUAAUGUAUGAGAUACAAAAUUCAAAAUAACCACCCGAUCGAAUUAUAAUGGCCUCUUCUACCAACACUCCAUCAAUCUCCUCACUUCACCAUUUUAUGGCAUCAUGUUCCAUUAAAUUCAAGCCAACAAAUUAUCAUAUAUGGAGAACACAAAUACCUCAAUUGAUUCAGGCGAUGAGAUUUACCUACCUCAUCAUAUUUAAUGAACCAACUAAAAGUGCGCAUUCCAUUGGUCAGAGUGUUGAGAAAGUUGUAGCAGUUGAGAAGGAUAAAUAAGACAACAAUAAUAUUAAUGACUAGAGGAUAAAGACACAUUCCUAAAGAGUUGGAUCCUUGGCACCUAGAGGAAGAGACUUCAAGUCUGCUGGACAAGGAACAAGUUCUUAUAAUACUUAAUAAAGAUCAUGUUCUUAGAACAAUUUUUCAAGUGAAAGUUAGAAGAGGAACAAUACUGAGGCAUGUAAAAUGUGUGGUACAAAUAACAAUAUUGUUUCAAAAUGUUUCUAUAUGUGGGACCACUCUUACCAAGUUGCAGACGAGUUACCACAAGCAUUGGUUGGUGUCAAUCUACAAAACACUAUUGAUGAAACUUUAUAUACGGACUCAGGAGCAGGUAGUCAUAUAACAAGUAACUCAGAUAAUUUAACUGAUCUUAAACACUAUAAUGGACCGGAAAAAAAUCAUUAUUGUGAAUGGAUAAAAAUUACACAUAACACAUAUUUGAAACAUAUCAGGAUAAGGCCCGCAGUUAACGUACUUGUUGUAGUUCCUAAGAUUAAUAAAUAUCUACUCUCAGUUAGUACACUUGCAAAUGAUAACUGUUGCACUCUUGAAUUUGAUGAAACUAACUUUGUUAUAAAGGACAAAAAGACAAAGGACACGGAUGGCUAAAUAUCUAAAAGUAAUGAACUCUAUUUUUGGAAGAUAUAAAUCUCUAUCCUUUAUUAAUUGAUGCACACAAUCGGAACACAUCAGACAACAUGUGGCAUAAUAGAUUAGAAAACCAUAGUUUGAAGUCUUUAAAAGUUUUGAGUGGUAGUAUUUGAACCAAUGUUAGCAGUAGGAAUAAAAUGCAUUUUGUUUGUUCUAGUAACCGAUGGAAAAAAGUUCUAAGCUUCGAUUUGAUUUGAGAAAUAAAGUUGAGAAGAAACCUUUAUUGAAAAUUAAUUGUGACUUGUGGAGACCAGCUCCUGUUGAAUCUUCUCAACAUAUGAAAUAUUAUGUUGUGUUUGUAUAUGGUAACACAAGAUACUGACAAAGAAAUCUUAAUUUUUUAUGUCUUUGUAAAAUUCUAGAAAAAUGGAGGAAAAACAAUUUUCUAAAGAAAUUAAGAAAUUUCAGUGUGAUGGAGGUGGUGAAUUUAUUAAAACAGACUUCGUAAAAUUUUGAAAGCUUGUGGCAUCGUGAGAAUAUUUCAUGCUAACCUCCAUUUAUAUCUGCAGGUUAAGUGUUUUCUUACUGUAGUGUUCCUCAUUAAUAUAUUGUCCUCCUCAGUCUGAACGAUGGUGAUUGUACUUGUAAGUUAUAUGAAAGGCAACCUGAUUGCAAUAGCUUAAAAGUUUUUUAUUGUAGACGUUUUUCAUAUAUCAAGGGUAGUACAAGUUCAAUAAAAAGAGAUUCCUUCGUGUGCUCAUAGGUUAUAUCAGCUUACACAAAGGAUAUACAUAUUAUCAUCCUUCUACAUGGAGGAUGUUCUUAUCCAGACAUGUUUUGUUUGAUUAAAACUAACAUUGAUAUUUCACAUCAUCUUCCUGCUUUUGUGGAAUCUCUCUUAACUAUAGGCACACGUUGAUCAUAAUUCAAUGGAAGUACAAGUUGAUAGUACACAAGUUACUCGUGAAAAUUCUAUUACAACAACUCAUAUACCCUUGGAGAUGAUAGUGCUAUGACCCGUCAGGUGCAGGUUCACAUGAUGAUAAUGAGGAACAAGUUGAAAGUGAUGAUACAGACAAUGGUAGUGAGACUCAGAUUGAUGAUACUUCUGUUGCAGGUUUAGGAUCAGAUAGUGGCAGUGAGGAUAAGGUUGCAUGUGCAAGUCCAUUCAGUGGCGGUUUAUCAAUCCACUUUCUAUGUGUUUAAUCCACAAGGAAUGCAUUUAGAAAUUGACUUCUUAAAACGGAAUAUGACAUAACAUCAGCAACCUGAAGAUACUACACUUAAUCAACUACUUUAGGUGAUGCACCUCUUGCACCACAAGGGCAUCAUAUGAUCACUGUAGGGUUUUAAAAGGUGUGAAUAGAAAAUGAAAAGUUGCGAUUUUUAUGAAAAGUUGAGACUUUUAUGAAAAGUUGUGACUUUUAUGAACGUGGUGACCAUUCCGAGAAAGAUUGUGACUUUCGAAAGGUUUGUGACCUUUCCAGUAAGACAUAAUAAGAUUUUUUUCACACUACAACUUUGUUUUAUAUAAAUUGAGGGAUUUCCUCUUAUUUUAAGAACAUAAUUUUCUGGACUUCUUCUACUAGUACUAAAUCUAGUAUUCAAAGUGUAUUUUACUGUCAUUGAGUGCAAGCUGACACCAUGGUGUUAGGUACCGACACACCGGUGAGUAACAUCGUUCUAUGUUGGGAGGAUAUAUUCUGUUAACCUCAGUUCUUAAGGGGAAUAAUUUCCUUAAGGGGAUAUUGUGCAUUCAUUGGGUUCGAUUUUCUUUAGUUUUACAACAAAUCGUAAUUAUUUAUAAAAUUGUAUUUUUAAAAAGUGCGUGAAUUUAGUUUCGGGAUGUAUUACUUAUUUACCUUUAAAAAUAAAUUUCUAAUUCAAUUUUGAAAGAAAGUGUCCUCCUAAAUAAGCGACUCAACCUAAAUUUAAUUGGGGCUUCGAUUCGGACUCGAAUAAUUUUGAAUGACAUUUUUAGGAAUCUAUAAUUUCAUCGUGUUUUAGUAGUGUUUAUGACAAUUUUGAUAUUAUAAUUGGAUUAUUGAUUGGGUGAGGUUUAGCUAGUAAUGAGUGGGUAAUGGGUUGAUUUAAAAAUUAUAUUAAUAAAUUAUAAUUAUAAUCAAUAGUUGAACGUCAAGUAUUCUAAAAAAUAUUUAAAGAGUUCAAUUUUAAAACAAUUAAAAAAGUGGUUAAUUUUGAACCCAAAAGUGGAUGACAAGGGUAUUUUGGAGCCAAUAAGUGGAUGAAAAGGACAUUUUGGAGCCAAUAGGUGGAUGAGAGGUAAUUUUGUACCAUUUUCAAUAAUUUAAGGGUAUUUUAGGCCCUUGUCCGAAAAUAAAUUAGCUAACAAAGAGAUUACAUUUUUCAUAUCUGUAGGAAUAACAUGCCAUUUGUCAAGUUGGAGGAGGACCUUACCCUCUCUUAAAAAUUAUUAUGAGAGUGAUACAAGAUCAUAAUCAGGCAAAUUCACUUUUAAAAAAAAUAUUUUUCACUGGUGGUUGGAAAUCACUAUUGACAUCUAACUUUUUUUUUGUACUUCCUAACAUAGGAUUAUUCAUAAAAAAUAUAUAUAUAUUUUUUAUUUUAUAAGGUCAGAUUUAUUUUAAAAGUUUGGUACUGUGAAAAUAUACAUAAAAUGUAUUUUUUUUUGUAAUAUUUUUGGUUACUUUAUUUGAACAUUGUUGGGGUAAACAUUUUGACUUCCCUCCAUUACCCCUUCCCUCAAUUCCGUCAGUUACACAGACAAGAGACGUGUAUUAUUAAUUGCUAAAUGUCAAAAUUAUAUGGAAAAAAUUGUCUCCAAAUUUAGUAAGAAUAAUUAGUUCUUCUCAAUUUUCGAUAUCCAUAUAUUUAUACAUUAAUUUUAUUUUAUAUAUUAUAUUAAAAUAUUGAAAUUAUGGAACAUGAACUUAACCACGUUUAAUUUGUUUAGCCUAACAGCAGUCUUACAAAAUAUUUUACCUUUAAGUUGAUGUCUUUUUUAAAAUAAAAUAAAAGGGAGUUUUUGUCGGAUACUUUCACAUUUGUAAUUCUAAUGCAUUUUUUACUUCCCAUUUUUAUUAUAUGAUUUCUAUCAUUGAUGAUGAUUCUUCCUUUUAUAAUUAAAAUUGUUAGAAUUCUACACUCCUGAAUUCUUCAAAAGAAUAGGUACUUACAAUAUGUUUCUGUUUUGUAUGAACAUUAACAAUAAAUAAUUCGAGUAAUACUUUGUAUUAUUUAUAAACUUCAAACAAUACAACGAUUACAAAACUAUAUAGUAAUGGAAUUAUAAACUCUAAUUUAUUCUACCCAAGACACAAAACUACUCCCUAGUUUUGUAUCUUCUAACGCUCUUCAAGUUCUUCAACUUGUAAAGAAACUCCUACUCACAAAACUAAGAUAGUAAACAAGAUUCUUGAAUACAACUUUUACAAUUAGAUACUCGAUCUCGCAGCACUCCCAAGUAAUAUCAAGACUCUUUCAAAAACCUCUUCAUAGUGUUUUGAUUUUCUCUCUAUGUAAGUGCGCAAAUUUUUCUGAUGAAAAUAACUCCAUAUUUAUAGAUCAUAAAUUUAGCAAAUCCUAGUUGAACUCAACUUGGACUUCUUAUUUGUUUUUGCCGCAUCAAAUAACAAAUUACGCUACUUCUUUCCUUAACCAACUAGAAUGUAGUUUUCCUUCAUUAAGUCAGCUUUGCUCCUCCCAAUAGGUUUGGAAACGAUUGAAAUCCUCCUUUCAAUAGUAUUGAAAUCUUCAAUUGGAAUCCUCUUUUCAAUAGAUUUGAAAUCUUCGACCUUCGAUUCAAGUUUGCGCUAUUAUGCUUCUUUGUCGGUCAUUGAAAUAAACACGUUCAAGUGGACAUUUUCAUGUGUACCGAACAAAAAUUUCUACACAUAAUAUUUUAAGAAUAAAUUUCUAGCAUAGGAAGUGAUUAAAUAAUGUAUAAUACUGGAUGAGGCUCCUCUCCAUCACUCAUUUUCAUCAUUUUCCUCAGUUCUUACUCGGAUGGAAGUCAUGUGUCAUAAUGCACCUGUAACAAUUAAAUAGUACAGAUUUCUCUCAUCUAGACGUGUACUUGACGAAAUGGAGGAAAAGAAUAAUGGAGGGGAACCAAAUCCAACAUUUACUAUUUUCAUAAUCGAGUGAUAAAGAACAUCACAAAUGACUCUCUUUAAAGUGUAAGAUUUAAAACUCUUAAAAAUAAGGCACGCUACCUAUUACAUCAGAUAAAUAUACUGUGGAACUGUAAAAAUUAUUUUGACGAGUGAUUGGUAUAUUGAACACCACAACAACAACCAUUUUCCCCAAAAUGAACAUAAAAUUUAGGAACUCCUUAAUGUCUAUCUACAGUACAGGCAGUGAGAUUUGGCCACAUUAGAAUUGUAUUUGUAAUAAUCAUUAACACAAGCAUGUAGGUCAAAGUAUUCAUAUAUGAGCUAAUGCUUUUGUGAUUAUAGAAUCACAAAUACUGAUAAAAUUAACGGUUGAAGUUAUUUUUUUUUUAAAAAAACAUUUAACUGAACAUAGCCCAAAAGCAUCAGUAAAAUGUAUCCUGUAAUUCCAUACUAAUAUAUUACAUGUUUGUACCAUAUAACGCCAAACUCAACUAAAUUUAGCUACUCGAUUUUCGAAGUUCAAAAAAUAACAAACGAUUGUGGUUUAAAAAAAUCAUUCGAACAAUUGACUACUCAAUUGUCAUCAUAGCCCCCAAACUCAGACUCUUCCUUUUUUGGAAUGAAGCUACUCACGACCACCUGGUAGUAAAUUGAAAAUCGUUAGCAAGUAAAUAAUAUACACUCAAACAUAAGAGUAAGUAUUAAUCGAGUAAUAAGAGAGCAACAUGCAUGUGAUGUCCAAAUUUGAAUCUUAUCGAAAUCAAAAGUCUUCUACUUAAGUGAACAAUAGAGGGGUGGGAUCAUUAUCCGCUGAAUUUUCAGUCAUGCACUACUAGUCAGUCCAAACGCACAAAAAAGGAGUUUGAAAUCAAUUAGGACAAAGAUAGUUAGAACAACACCUCUAGUGGAGUAGCAGCUAUGAGCCUUCCAAAAACGUAGCCGCAGAAAACAAUACGAUCUGGCCUAGAUAGUACCAUGUGAAGACCACAGAUUCUACUACUUUCAGACACCAUGAAUGACAAUGAUAAUGACAUGAUGAGAAAUCGACCCUACAUAUAACAAAUAAAAGAUAUGAUUGAUGAGCAACGCAAAAUAAGUAUACUAGAUGACAAACAUGAUUGAUGAGCAAUGCAAACUAAGUAUACUAGAAGACAAUCAAUGUAUAUUCGAUUAUCAGAUUUAUAAAAUUUAAGCAUUAAUAUUAAGGAAGAAAUAUAUCUGUCAUCAAUGCAGAAAUAUAAAAAUUAAGGAAAAUGAAGUCACAACUAAGUCAAUUUGUUGUAAUAUGGGCUUAAUAUUGUAUGUUAAAGGUGUUAUUGUAUUUCUGUUUCAGCCCACUUCAAGUACACCUAACAUACUUGUGAAAAAAAUACUUUGAACAUAAAAAAGGAUUAGGGGUGAAAAAAACUAAAAUAAGAUUCUCACACAACGUCAUUGACACCCAACUGCAAGUGAUUGUCAACAUAGAAGCGGAGCUACAAGCCCAUAUGGGGUCACUCAAAUUCAGUAGCUUUUGUUGAAAUAGUGUAUUAACUUUAGAUCACAGUUAUUAAUAUUUAAAUCAUUAUUCUAAAAUUAAAUACCCAUAAAGUUGAAAUCUUAUCUCUGCAAAUGAGUUCGUUAAGCGAAAUCCUAAAUCUAACGAACUCUAAAUAAUAUUGAUUGAAUUAACUGAUUUAUUAAACAAGCAAUGUAUUUAGUUAAUAUGUAACCCUUAGAGUCUGAAUCUAAAUGCUAACAGUGGGACUGAAAUUCAUCAACAUCUACUAGGCUAAGUCAUGAUAUAUUAUAAGGACAUUGAAACAUGUCCUUGUUACGUUGUUGAAGAUGAAGGAAGCUAAUGAUAGAAAUAUAUCUAAGGAACAGGUCUAAGGACAUGACAUGUUAACUGGUGUAAAAUUAGAGUCAUAUUAGGAACUCAACUACUAAAUUCUAACUUAUGUACAACUAAGCUAUUGUAUCGUGUAUGGAGCUAAAGUCGACUAGGAUAAGGUGUUGUAGUUAUAGUAGUAAUAGUAAACCUAUACUACUCAUGUAAAUUAUAAUUUUAUAUUGUAGUAGUUUUCUAUGUGUAGAUAGUAUAUGACUCUUCUCUUAUAUAAUAAGCAUGUACUCAAUAGUUUUAUUUAUUAAUACAAUACUUAAUUUCUCUAAACCUAACUUAAUAUUUUUUUACAUGAUAUAAGAGCUUGAAAGAUUUUCUGCUCUUUAAUGUAUGAGAUACAAAAUUCAAAAUAACCACCCGAUCGAAUUAUAAUGGCCUCUUCUACCAACACUCCAUCAAUCUCCUCACUUCACCAUUUUAUGGCAUCAUGUUCCAUUAAAUUCAAGCCAACAAAUUAUCAUAUAUGGAGAACACAAAUACCUCAAUUGAUUCAGGCGAUGAGAUUUACCUACCUCAUCAUAUUUAAUGAACCAACUAAAAGUGCGCAUUCCAUUGGUCAGAGUGUUGAGAAAGUUGUAGCAGUUGAGAAGGAUAAAUAAGACAACAAUAAUAUUAAUGACUAGAGGAUAAAGACACAUUCCUAAAGAGUUGGAUCCUUGGCACCUAGAGGAAGAGACUUCAAGUCUGCUGGACAAGGAACAAGUUCUUAUAAUACUUAAUAAAGAUCAUGUUCUUAGAACAAUUUUUCAAGUGAAAGUUAGAAGAGGAACAAUACUGAGGCAUGUAAAAUGUGUGGUACAAAUAACAAUAUUGUUUCAAAAUGUUUCUAUAUGUGGGACCACUCUUACCAAGUUGCAGACGAGUUACCACAAGCAUUGGUUGGUGUCAAUCUACAAAACACUAUUGAUGAAACUUUAUAUACGGACUCAGGAGCAGGUAGUCAUAUAACAAGUAACUCAGAUAAUUUAACUGAUCUUAAACACUAUAAUGGACCGGAAAAAAAUCAUUAUUGUGAAUGGAUAAAAAUUACACAUAACACAUAUUUGAAACAUAUCAGGAUAAGGCCCGCAGUUAACGUACUUGUUGUAGUUCCUAAGAUUAAUAAAUAUCUACUCUCAGUUAGUACACUUGCAAAUGAUAACUGUUGCACUCUUGAAUUUGAUGAAACUAACUUUGUUAUAAAGGACAAAAAGACAAAGGACACGGAUGGCUAAAUAUCUAAAAGUAAUGAACUCUAUUUUUGGAAGAUAUAAAUCUCUAUCCUUUAUUAAUUGAUGCACACAAUCGGAACACAUCAGACAACAUGUGGCAUAAUAGAUUAGAAAACCAUAGUUUGAAGUCUUUAAAAGUUUUGAGUGGUAGUAUUUGAACCAAUGUUAGCAGUAGGAAUAAAAUGCAUUUUGUUUGUUCUAGUAACCGAUGGAAAAAAGUUCUAAGCUUCGAUUUGAUUUGAGAAAUAAAGUUGAGAAGAAACCUUUAUUGAAAAUUAAUUGUGACUUGUGGAGACCAGCUCCUGUUGAAUCUUCUCAACAUAUGAAAUAUUAUGUUGUGUUUGUAUAUGGUAACACAAGAUACUGACAAAGAAAUCUUAAUUUUUUUAUGUCUUUGUAAAAUUCUAGAAAAAUGGAGGAAAAACAAUUUUCUAAAGAAAUUAAGAAAUUUCAGUGUGAUGGAGGUGGUGAAUUUAUUAAAACAGACUUCGUAAAAUUUUGAAAGCUUGUGGCAUCGUGAGAAUAUUUCAUGCUAACCUCCAUUUAUAUCUGCAGGUUAAGUGUUUUCUUACUGUAGUGUUCCUCAUUAAUAUAUUGUCCUCCUCAGUCUGAACGAUGGUGAUUGUACUUGUAAGUUAUAUGAAAGGCAACCUGAUUGCAAUAGCUUAAAAGUUUUUUAUUGUAGACGUUUUUCAUAUAUCAAGGGUAGUACAAGUUCAAUAAAAAGAGAUUCCUUCGUGUGCUCAUAGGUUAUAUCAGCUUACACAAAGGAUAUACAUAUUAUCAUCCUUCUACAUGGAGGAUGUUCUUAUCCAGACAUGUUUUGUUUGAUUAAAACUAACAUUGAUAUUUCACAUCAUCUUCCUGCUUUUGUGGAAUCUCUCUUAACUAUAGGCACACGUUGAUCAUAAUUCAAUGGAAGUACAAGUUGAUAGUACACAAGUUACUCGUGAAAAUUCUAUUACAACAACUCAUAUACCCUUGGAGAUGAUAGUGCUAUGACCCGUCAGGUGCAGGUUCACAUGAUGAUAAUGAGGAACAAGUUGAAAGUGAUGAUACAGACAAUGGUAGUGAGACUCAGAUUGAUGAUACUUCUGUUGCAGGUUUAGGAUCAGAUAGUGGCAGUGAGGAUAAGGUUGCAUGUGCAAGUCCAUUCAGUGGCGGUUUAUCAAUCCACUUUCUAUGUGUUUAAUCCACAAGGAAUGCAUUUAGAAAUUGACUUCUUAAAACGGAAUAUGACAUAACAUCAGCAACCUGAAGAUACUACACUUAAUCAACUACUUUAGGUGAUGCACCUCUUGCACCACAAGGGCAUCAUAUGAUCACUGUAGGGUUUUAAAAGGUGUGAAUAGAAAAUGAAAAGUUGCGAUUUUUAUGAAAAGUUGAGACUUUUAUGAAAAGUUGUGACUUUUAUGAACGUGGUGACCAUUCCGAGAAAGAUUGUGACUUUUCGAAAGGUUUGUGACCUUUCCAGUAAGACAUAAUAAGAUUUUUUUCACACUACACUUUGUUUUAUAUAAAUUGAGGGAUUUCCUCUUAUUUUAAGAACAUAAUUUUUCUGGACUUCUUCUACUAGUACUAAAUCUAGUAUUCAAAGUGUAUUUUACUGUCAUUGAGUGGUUUGCUGACACCAUGGUGUUAGGUACCGACACACCGGUGAGUAACAUCGUUCUAUGUUAGGAGGAUAUAUUCUGUUAACCUCAGUUCUUAAGGGGAAUAAUUUCCUUAAGGGGAUAUUGUGCAUUCAUUGGGUUCGAUUUUCUUUAUUUGAGAAAUAUAUUUUUAUAUUGUUUCUAAUCAGAAAUUUAUUUCCUCUGCUAGUCUUAAUUUUCUAGUUUUGAAAAUACUCUUUAAACUUUGCUGUUUCUUGCCAAGUUCUUCAAAGUUUUGUUCUAAGUAUCUUAGGAAUACAAGAUGAACAACAAUCACUAGACACAAGACAAAGGAACACCACAUAUACGUGUUGCUUCCAACAGCAAAGAGAUUUUGAGGGAACCAAAUACUACUAAGGAAGAACUAAGGUCACCUCAUUGACUUGCACCUAUGCACGAGGAAAUCAAUGUUUCACAUACUAAUAAGACAUGGAUAUUGGUGUCCAGAUCUCCUGGUAUAAACUUGGUUGAUUCAAAAUGGAUGUUCAAGAUAAUAUUGAAAGCUGGUAGAUAGCUGAUAGAUACAUGGUCAUACUUGUGGCCAGGGGAUUUUCGCAGCUUGAAGGGAUAUAUUUUGAAUAACAUUUAGCUAUGUGGUUAAAGUCAUAAAUAUUAAGGUGUUUCUAUCUAGUACAAUCAACUCAAACUAUGGAGUUAGGCAACUAGAUAUAUAUAUAUUAAAAAAUACAUUCUUCCAUAGUUUCCUACAAGAGGAGGUGUAGAUGAGUCAACCUACUGCAUUUAUUGAUCCUAAGUAUCUACAUCAUGGGUUUCUACCUAAAAAUGCAUUGUAUGGUCUUAAACAAGCACCAAGAACGUGAUUUUAUAGGUUUAGAAUACAUUUCGGUAAUGAUCUGGUUGAUCAAUUUUAAAAAGUUUCUCAAUCUAUCAUUUUGACCCUCCUGUUAUCGACCUUGAGUUACUGUUGCUUGAGUUUGAAGGGAUGGUUUUGAACUUGAGUAAAAAAUUUAGAAUUUAGUAAGUUUGUGAGUUUUGAAGGCUAAGCUGUUAAGAAAGUGAUUUUUAGAGUCUUUUGGAGUUUUUAGUGUCAGAAUAAAAUCUCAUCGAUUCUAUCAGUCUCGAACAGGUCCAAGCAAGUUGACAUGUUUACUAAUGUAGAGUUCAAGAGUUAUAUUUGGACUAGACUGCUAAAUCCUAACUUAUGUACAACUAAUAGGAAAAGGUAUUCUAUUAAUAGUAAACCUAUACUACUCAUGUAAAUUAUAAUUUUAUAUUGUAGUAGAAGUCUAAAUGUAGCUAGUACGAGAAUUUUUUCCUCUAUAAGGAGCAUGCACUCAAUAACUUUAUUUGUUAAUAAAAUCAUUGAUUUCUCUAAACCUAACGUGAGCUUUUGCACUUGUGGCAUACAUAAUUGUUGAUAGUUGGUAGAAAAAGCAAACAGCAGAUAGUUCAACCAAGAAACUCAUAAUAGUAAAAGCAACAAUACUUUAAGUGUGUUUUUGAUGAUUUCUCUAUAAAUUAAACGUUUAUUUGAAAAUGAGAAGUUAAAAAAGUUAAAUUUAUAGGUCACAUAACUAAUAAAUCUAGUAUGAAGACAACAACAUAUACACAGUCAAAUUUUCCAAACAUAGGUAAGUGUUUUUAAGCUAAAACGUAUACACACCUCAUGUGUCACAAUGUUACGAUCCAUUUCAGACUCUUCUUGUAAUGUGACACUACACACCUCUCCAGUAAGUUGAAUAGAAAUUUUCAUUUCUUCUUGUUGUGAGAAAUCCAUUAUCUUAUAUACAAUGUCCUGCGUAAAGUCAAACAAAAUAUUUACAUGACAAGAACUUUGCUCAAGCUAUUUUUUAAAAAGAAAUUUGAUUAUGGGUAUGAUAUAAAUAUUAUGUUUUAGUAAAAUUAAACUUCUAUAUUUUAAGAAAUGGAGCUAUGAGCCCCAUAAUAAUUCUCUAAUUAUUUGUUGCUUAAAUUUUUAAUCACAAAUCUACACAAGUUAUUAAUAUCUUCCUUAACUUCAAAUCCUCGAAGUAAUUUGUUAACAUGUUGGAGAUGAAAAAAACAGUAAAAGGUUCAAGGCAACGAUAAACCAAGAAUUGAAUGCAAUAGAAGGAAACAUAGGAUAGAAGGGUCAGGAUCUUCCCUAUUCAAAUAAAAGGGAAAAAACAGUGAUAAUUGGACAAAACACACAAAUAAAACUUUGAUGUGUCACAUGAAUUGAUAGCAAUACCUUAUUUAUCUCAAGAAGCACAAAAAAGUUACUUAUAAAAAAACAUAAGCUUAUUUUAUCAUUAGAGAGUCCAUUAAUUUUUGUAGUUUGGGUCUUUUAUUUCAUCCUUGAAUAUUUUUUCAUCAAUUUAUUAUUGAUGUAUCAACCCAAAUACAUAACAAGGAAGCUAACAAAAAAUUAAAUAUAGAAAUAAAUUAAUUUCUUCUUUUCUCAUAUGAAAUUCAAAACUCAAACUUGUUGCAGAACAACAAAAUACCAUAUAGGUUAAUCUAAGAUCUGCAAAUCAUGCUAUGAAAAAUACAUAUUUUACCUCCCCAACGUUCACACGUAUUAACUUUGUACCAACUGCACCUGACAACCAUCAAGAAAAUUCAAUAAUUACUUACUAUAGUAAUAAAGUUUUAAAAAAUUAUAUAAAAAAAGUAUAUAAGUAAAUCUUUCCCAAAUUAUAAAAAACAAUUAAAACAUAGAUACCAUGAUUCAACGAAAUUUGAGCAGCGUUAACAUCAACAGGAGACAAUUGGAGAUCCAUAGAAGAGAAAAAUUAUUUUAGCUAAUGUUCAACUAAAGAACUUUUUGAGAGGAAGAAAGUUAUCAUUUGUGUUUACUUCUUAAUAAGUUACGUUUGACCAAUCAGUUCAAUUAGAUUUUGUAAAUGUAAAUGCUUUAAAUAUUUUCACAAAUAGUCCCUUAUAUUGCUGAUAUUUUAUUUUUUGCUUAUACUUUUUUUUCUUCAAAAAUAUUUUUACAAAAUUGAGUAUAAUAGAACAUUGAUUUGUUUAGAUUAUUGCACGAGAUUAUUUUAAAUAUGAGUUUACUGCUUAAUUAGUUACAUUUGACCGAUCAGUUCAAUUAGAUUUUCUAAAUAUAAAAGGAAAAAUUAGUAAACUAGUCACAAUUCCUAAUUUAAUUAGUAAAAACAUCUACAUUUUAAAAUAUUUAUUCAAAAUGUCAAAAUGUCAAUAUUUUAAAAAUAAUUUGUAUCCAAAUACUAUUAUUUGUCUUUCCUUUUAUUUCUCAAAACAAUCCAACAUUAAAUAUAUUCACUACCAUUUAGACUUCUUCUAGACUUUAAUACCAUUAAAUUUAUUUUCAUCUUUAAGAUUUUCAAAAAAUAAAUUCUCUUUUAUCAUUUUCACUAUUAUUCUCUCUCAUUGUUGAAGAAGAACUAAUUAUUGAAGUUUAUAUCAAUUUGUUCAAAUCUAUCGAUUAAUUUAGAAAUCUCUCUAUACUUAAAGGUAUUUUUUGAAAUCAUCAUUUAUUUUGCGAGAUUUCAUAAGAUUUUGUUUUCGAAAUAAAAAGUUAUAUUGAAUUUUGGAUUGUAUGUAUUACAGAUUUUUCGUUAUUUUUUGAUUUUUAAAUAAGUUUGUUAACAUACUCAUUAAAUAUUUAUGCACUUCGGGAUUUUAGUAUUUGAAACACUAUUUUCAUAUUUCAGAUUUAGCAGAUUGUAAUUUGUGGUAAUUCACAUAAGCAUUCAUACAUAAUAUAUUGUUUGAUUUUUUUUUGUAUAUUCAUAUUUAAUAAUUUCAAAUUUUGCUUAUAGGGUUAUUAAUUCACAAAUAAACACAGAUUCAAAUUUGAAUUUGGUGAAAAGAAUUGAAUAAAAGGAACAUAGCAGACGAAGAAGAAAGAGAGAGUCAAAGACGAAGGUUGCGAAUUUUUAUUCAUAUCAGAAUAAUAUUCAUAUUAAUUUUUGUUUGUCAAUUAUUUUUCUUUUACUCAUCAUUUGUAUUUUUAUUAAGAACAUUGUAUUUCUUUUUUAUUUGUAGUCAUUCAAAUACAUAUCUCAUAUGAAUUUAUAUUUCUUAAACAUAGUGUAUCCUAUUUUUUAACAAUCAAUUUGUAUUUUUUUAGAAUAUUGUAUUCUGAUUAUAUCAUUUUCACUAUGUAUGUUAUCUCAUAUGAAUUUGUAUUUCUUAAACAUAUAUGUAUCCUAUUUUUCAACAGUUAAUUUGUAUUUUUUAAUUUUAAAAUAUUAUAUCCUGAUUAUAUUAUUUUACUAUGUAUGAUAUUUGUUUUCCAGAAUCUUGUAUUCUUAUUUUUUUCAUAGUCAUUUUGUAUUUAUUUUUUUAGAAUAUUAUAUCCUUCCUCAACAGAUUUAUUAUUUCCACCAAGUAUGUUAUUUAUUCCCCAAAAUCUUGUAUCCUUUCAUAAAUUAUAUUCAUAUAUAUAUAUAUAUUGAGAUACGUGUAUAUAUAUAUAUGGCAAUCAAGUAAUACAAUUUGAUCACCGAAAUACAAUUUGUAGUUUGAAAGAAAAAAAAAUCAAAUUUAAUUUGAAUAGUAAAGUGAGCACAUAAAAUGUAAAAAAUAUUGGUAUACAAUUAUAAUGAAAACAUAACAAAAGAAAGUUGAUCUAAUAGAAUGAAAAGAGGAUUUUCUUAAAAAAAAAUUGUAAAUCAUGAGAAUUUUAAGUGAUAUGUUCCUUUUCUAAAAAAAUAUUAUCUCACUUUUUCAUCAUACUAUUUUUUUGUAUUUUAUAUAUUAUUAUACAAUAUUCUAAAUAAAAACUAGGAUAAAUAGAAAUACAAAUACAAUACAUAUUGAAAUGAAUACGAAAUACAAGAUUUUCGAAGAAACAAAUAAAUACACAUGAAAAAGAUAUAUGAAUAUAAAUAUGUUUCUUAAAUAACUAUAGAUUCAUUUGGCAUACCUAUUGGAAUGAAUACAAACUAAUAAAAAAAAGUUUAAGAUUAUGGAGAGAAAAAAAACAAAGUUUAUGAGAAAAUUAAGUGAGCUUUAUCUUUUUUUAAAAAAAUAUUUUCUCCCUUGAUUUUCUCCCUUUUGUUAGUAAAUAAUUGUAUUCUUUAAAUAAAAACAAACAAUUAAAACAUAAAUAAGAUACAUAACAAAUUAAAAUUUUGACAUUUUUACUAAAUAUUGAAAGUGUUGCUAAUGAGCCCUCUUAAAUGUUAAAAUAUUGACAUUUUGAAAAAAUUCCAAAAUAUAAAUGCUUUAAAUGUUUUCACAAAUAGUCCUUAUAUUACUCAUAUUUUAUUUUUGCCUAUACUUUUUUUUCUUCAAAAAUAUUUUUACAAAAUUAAGUAUAAUAGAACAUUGAUAUGUUUAGAUUAUUGCACGAGAUUAUUUUAAAUGAUUUUAAGUUUUAUGUCUAACUUGUAAACUUUUUCGCUCUCUCCGCUACAUAAAAAAUUAAAUAUACAAGGUACAAACUAAUCUCUUCUAAAAUUUGAAUACUAUAUAGAGAUAAAUGUCAAAAACACACCCAAACUAUACAUUUUUUCUUAGUUUCAUACUUAAACUAUUGAAAGUUUGAGUUUCAUACCUAAACUAUCACUUUUUAGUUUGAAAAACACACCUUCCUCUCUUAUACCACUCUCAUCAUGGUAUGUGUGAUACACUCUCUCUUUUAUUUUAAAGAAUUUCCAUAUCACAGUAUCACACUCCAGAUAGACAACAUUUAAUCUUGACCCUCUGCUUUCAAUUUUUUUCAAUGUUUCGAUAUACAUAUCGAAAAUAUUUUUACUUGCCGCCACAAGACUUUUCAAAUUUUUAUAGUUAUUUAUGUUAUAUUUCGUACACUAGUGGAAUUCUUUUUCUAAAAAUAUAUAUACGUGUUUAUCUAACACAAAAUGAGAAAAACAUAAAAAAAAAAGGACGGGAAGAUUAAAUAGGAAGGGAUAAAUUUUUAUUUUUAAAAAAUAAAAUAUUAUCAAUUUCUAUGGGGGGGGGAUGAAUGGGUGAUUUUUUUUUUGGGGGGGAGGGGAGGAUGAAGUAUGAAAUGUUUAGAAAUAUUUAUAUAAAUGACUUUUUUUGGACUCCAAAUCAGACUUAGACGAAACUUAUUUUUCUAAGAGAAUCUUGUGUUUGCAAAAUCUUAACUCAAGAUCAUACCACGAUCGAACGUUUAAAUAUGAGAAUGCCCAAUAUACUUCUACACUAAACACUUUUUAAUUUUCUAAUUUGAAAUCUCUGCUGCCCAACCUACUUCUAUACUAAACACAUUAAUUUUCUAAUGGGAUAAUGUCCAAGUACCCCCUCAACCUAUGUCCGAAAUCUCAGAGACACACUUAUACUAUACUAAGGUCUUAUUACCCCCCUUAACUUAUUUUAUUAAUAAUUUUUUACCCCUUUUUAGCUUACGUGGCACUAUCUUGUGGGCCCAACGAUGGUUAACUUUUUUUUCGAACUAGUGCCACGUAGGCUAAAAAGGGGUAGAAAAUUACAUAUAAAAUAAGUUCAGGGGGUAAUAGGACCUUAGUAUAGUAUAAGUGUGUCUCUGGGAUUUCGGGCAUAGGUUGAGGGGGUACUUGGGUAUUUUCUCAUUUUCUAAUUGAAAUCUCUGCUUAACUCAAAAGAUUAAAAGAAGGAAAUUAUAGAAUGAUGUUUUUUAUAUGUACGUAGGCACAUAAAUUUUAAUAAAAUUCAUACAAAAUAUGAGUUAAAUUCAUGCUCAUUUGGAUUUAAUAAGUAAUUUAAUUCAGAAUACACAAUUAAAUAAGUUCAUUUAUUAGAUUCAAAUUCAAGAUUCAUUAGAUCUUGAGGUCCAAAUUUAUGUCAGAUAUCAAUAUAACACUUGUCAUCCUAGUCAAAUUCAAGACCAACAAAAUGAUGCCACAUAUUCAAAUAAGAUGUUAAUACUCAUUUAAUAUAAUGACCAAUCAAAAGUUGUCACAUAUUCAAAAUGACAUGUCUUGGUCAAUCACAUAAAUCUUUCACACAACAUAUUCAAUAACAGUGAUGACACACAUAAACCAAUCAGAGAUUAGAGUUUAGAUUGUAUAUUUAAGCUAGAGUUUGACUAUAUAUUUUGAAUCAUAUGUUCUAAUUUUGUCUUUAGUAAAUUCAUUUCCUUUACCAAAGUGCUUCUAUUUUGGUACGAUAUUUAAUUUUUGCACCUCAAAUUGGUAAGUUAUAAAAAUAAAUCCCCUACUUUCCAUUCAACAAAAUAAAUGGGACAAAAGUAUCAUUAAAACUUUGUUUAGAUGAUUGUUUUAUAAUAUAUUGUAUAUCAUAUGUAUAUUACAUUAUUUUAAUGAAUAUGAUGCUUAUAUAUAUAUAUAUAUAUAUAUAUAUAUAUAUAUAUAUAUAUAUAUAUAUAUAUAUAUAUAUAUAUAAAGCUAUGAUCUCCUUAAUUCAUUGAAGGUUUUAGUUUAGGGAAAAUUAUAUAUAAUAGCAAACUAAUAACCUAAAAUAAAUGGAGUAGCUAGGGUUUGAUUUAAUUGUGCUCCAUAGCAAAUGUUUGCAAAAAAAAUUUCAGGCGCCUAUCUCACAAAUAUCUCGUUCGCCACUCUCCUUCAAUCUCUCGCUCGCUUCCUCACUUUUUAUACAAACACAAGUGUAUAAAAAUUGUUACUAAGUGUAUAAAGCAGAGAAAAUUGUAUAAAUACAUAUAUUUUGUUCUCCUCUCUCCCCUCUUCCAGAUCUCGCUCGCCACUCUCCCAAAUCUCACUCGCCACCCUCGCCUUUCUCACUUAUACAAACAGAAGCGAAAUGUAUAAAUUGUGUUUCUGUUUGUAUAAAACGUGAGAAAAUUGUAUAUACACAUGUAAGUACAUAUAUUUUCGUCAUAUACACUUAUAACUAUACAAUAAAAAUACUCUUCUGCCCAGUUUCUUUUGCCUUUCUCUCUUUCUCGUUCUAUACAAUUUUCAAAUUGUAUCUAAUUUCUCUCUUUCUCGCUUUAUACAAUUCGAUUCAAUUGUAUAUUCCUUGUCAAGUCUCUUUUGUCCUUCUCUCUUUCUCAUUUUGUACAAAUUCAAAUUGUAUAUAAUCGUUCUAUACAUUUAUGAUAAUACAAUUCGUUUUAUACAGUUCAUUUUUAUACAGUUCUCUGCCCAAGUGUCUUUCUCUUUGUUGUUUUUUACACUUCGUUUUACACAAUUUGCUUCAACUGUAUAUAUAUAGCGAAUUAUACAAUUUCUAUGUAUGCUAUGGAGCGCAAUUAUGCAAACUUUGCUAUAGCAUACAAAUAUGAAUUUUUCAUUUGCUAUAUAUGAAAGUUGUCCUUUAGUCUAUGCCCCCACAAGAAAACUACUUACUAUAUGGCACGUGGCUUCGUGUAGAUGGAAACAAGUUGCUUGUUGGGUGAAAGAGAAUAGUACUCUUGAACACAUGUUUAUACCAAAUUGUACACGAUUAUAACUAUAUUACAUAGUAAUUGUUAAAUAAUUGUUGUUGUCUAAUCAUAUAUCAUAUAUAAAAGAGAACUUUAGGUCUGCCUACGUGGCAUCAUCACAAAUUAAAAUUCUCUUUUAAUUUAUUUAUUUUCAAAAUUAGUAUUCUUAUUUUAUGAAAAGUCAUUAUAUUUAUGCAAAGUUAUGACUUUUAUGAAAAAUUGUGACUUUAAUGAAGUGUUGUGACUUUUAUGAAAAAUUAUGACUUUUAUGAAUAAUUGUGACUUUAAUGAAGAGUUGCAACUUUUACGAAAAAUUGUGACUUUUAUGAAAGGUUGUGGCCUUCACAAAGUGUUGUAACUUUUCCAAAUAGGUGUAACCUUUCCGAUAAAUCACAAUAAACAUUUGUUCAUACUAUCAUUUGUUGUCUAUAAUUAGAAGAAUUUCUCUUAUUUAUAUUUUAAAACAACGAAAUGCUGAACCACUUUUUCUUCGUCACACUAAAUAUUUUUAUACUUUGCUCAUGUUGAGUGGCUCAUAUACCCCAUUGUUUAUGUUAUAGAUCUUGGUAUGUAUUUUUACACUCAUUAAUUUAUGUUUUAUUAUUAAGGAUAAAUGAUAGAGAUAAUAAUAUUUUUUUAUUUUCCUUUAAUAUAUUAAUGUUGUUACUACAUAUUAUUGUAUGUAAGAAGAUAUAUAAUAUUUUAGUUUUUAAUUACAGAUAGAUUUUAAGUAUUAUUUUAAAAAUUUUCAUGAUAUUAAAUUUCUCCGAAAANNNNNNNNNNNNNNNNNNNNNNNNNNNNNNNNNNNNNNNNNNNNNNNNNNNNNNNNNNNNNNNNNNNNNNNNNNNNNNNNNNNNNNNNNNNNNNNNNNNNUUUAAACUUUACCUAUCUUGGUUUGGUUUAGCUAAGUUGAUAUUGGUUGCCAAGAAAGUGACUAAGGCAACCUUUUCUUCUAUGGCUUCUCCUCACCCUGAUAUUGGGAGAGUUUUGGAAGUCCUAGAUGAGAUGAGAUUAAAACCUCUUUUAGAGACCUCCACCAAUCUAUCUACCACACCUCCAAAACAUUCCCUUGGAAUUAGGAAUGUCUUGGGAACCAACUUGGAAAAGUACCCCUUAUUAGACAAUUUCGUCCGUAGUUUUGACUUAAAAGUGGACGAUACAGUCGAUAAGGAGGCUGCAAAGUAUGCUAAGGAUCAUAAUAUCUUUGUGAACCUGAAACAUGAAAUUGCAGCUUUUAUCUGGAAUAUUCCAAAAAUUCAUUCAAUUCCAGAUGGGUUCUUUUCACCUGGUAUUUUAUGGUCUAAAAUGGUAUAUUACCCUUUUGACCGUAAUAAUACCCGGUUUGCUAACGAAAUGUUCAAUUAUUUGGAAUCUGCUGUGGGUCCCUAUUUUAGUACGUUACUAGGGGCUUACACAGGGGUUCCGUUAGCAACUGGUCGGUUAGCUCAGGUGAUUGAGGGAGGUGGUAAGAGACGUAUCUUUGCAAUUUGCAACUAUAUUAAGCAAAGAUUACUGUUUCCUGUCCACAAGUGGGCAAUGAAGGUUCUAUCCAGUAUUCCAACUGAUGGAACUUUCGACCAAGAGCGUCCGUUGUUGAGAUUUAAAUCAAAGAGAAAACGUCAAACAUUUUCCUUUGACUUAAAAUCAGCAACAGACCGUUGGCCAUUGUAUCAGUUAGAUGUGAAAAAUGCCUUCUUGCAUGGGGACUCGCACGAGGAGGUGUAUAUAGAGAUAGCACCCGGAUAUGGAAGGAAAGGGGAGUCACAAAAAGUAUGCAGAUUGAAGAAAGCCCUGUAUGGAUUGAAGCAAUCCCCGAGGGCGUGGUUUGAGAAGUUCAGUAAGGCCAUAGUUUAGUUUGGCUACAAAAAAAAGGUGUGCUUCUGAUCACACACAUUUCGUAAUAAAGGGUGCGAAAGUGAGCCGGAUCAUAGUAAAUGUUUAGAAUAUUGUGGUCACUGGUGAUGAUGUUGAUGAGAUUGCAAGAUUGAAGGCUUACCUGAGCCGCACCUUCGACAUAAACUUGGCAUGCUAAGGUACUUCUUGGACACAGAGGUUUUCGAGAUCUAUAAGAAGUAGAGCCAUCUCUCAAAUUAUGUCCUUGAUUUGAAGAAAACAGGGAUGUUAGGUUGCAAGGCCGCAAUUAGCCCAAUAGAAGAAAUAAGCUUGAAGAAAAGAGAAAAGAACCCUUGGAUGAUGCAGGCAUCAGAGGCUUGUGGGAAAACUUAGAUAUCUUACUAUCACUAGACCUGACAUUACCUAUGCUGUGGGGUUGGUAAGCCAGUAUAUGCAUGCUCCUUGUCAAGCACACCUACAUGUAGUAUACAGGAUCUUGAGGUACCUCAAAGGUUAUCUUGGCAAAGGGAUUGAUCAAGAAAGAUCUUUUGUUCUUCUUAUAUAUAAGAUCGUGAUUGGAUCCGCAUAUGUUGGUAAAGAGAAUAAUCUUAUCCUUUGAGAAUAAUCAAAAAUGGACAGUGUUCAAUUGGAACAUUCAAAGGUGACUAAAUUGGUCCUAGUUACUCUUCGGGCGGAGUGGAAGAAGGGGGGGAUUCUCGAACGCGGAAAAGGAUCCAAUGAAUUCGAAAGAAUUGAAGGAGUGUAAUUGGGAAUUAGCUUGGUGCUCUUACUGGCUUUCCUGCCAUGCCUACUCACUAUCUAUAUAUGUAUCCAUGAAUAAGCGGAAGAAGAGGAAUAGAGGUGCGCAGCAGAUACCUUUUAGUAUUCUAAGCCCCUUUGCUGAUUCGGCCUAUUUCCCUUAUACUAGAAAGGCCCCCCCGAAAUCUGACUUUCAAUUGGGAGUUUUCACGCCAGGAACCGCUUCGCCCCCUAACUUUGUUCUAUUCUAUUUGCCUUCUCCAACAUUUCCAUAAAUGCGGCUAGCUCUUUUGCUAACGACUGUACGACCAAUCUUUUCUUUCAGAAUCGUGGUCAGAAGCUUGGGCGAACUCUUUUGCAUGGGAAAGCCUGUCAAAGGCUAACUGGCUUAGGGAUCGGAGUUGCAAACUGCUCGACCUUAGGUAAGGUUGGGUAGGGAGGUCUUCCCACUUCCUCUUCCCAUUCAUGAAAGGGUACUAAGAAGAACUGAGGAAAGGAGCAGAGUUGAAGCUUGAGCGGUACUCCUUCUCUUUCAAACUCACUUCUUAAGGUUCGGAGAUGCUCGCCCGUCUACCGGGAUAGGAGAAAGAGAAGAUCUCGACUAGGAGUCAGAGGGAAUCUCUAGCGGAUCUUUUCUAAGCCAGGAAGAUGCCUCUGCUUAAGUUGCAAGUAUUGGGUUUUCAAACUGAGAUUUGACUUUCUGGGUUUACCAGAUCAAAGAAUCCCAGCAAUCAAGGAAGGGGAAAGAGAGCAAUAUACUCCCCUGCUUCACCUGAACCCUCUAUUCAUUCAACAGAAGCCAGGGGCUGAUUGAACGUAAUGGGUUGCUGCAUCUCAUGCGAUUGGAAGAGCACGAGAAGGACAAGCUACUGACUUUAUACUUCCUGUUCUAUUGGAAGAGAGAUGAGAUUCCUUCGGGACAGACUCCAUUCCGAAUGCCAAUAAGACCACUUCCUCAAUCCUGAGCAUCAUUUAACUCAAGAGCCUUGCGGCACUCCCACUUCUACUGGAUCUCAAUCUAUACACUUAGUGGAGCGCGAGCUUUAUAACUAUUUUCUGUGAGAUGGGUGCCUUCACCUCUGUAAGAACCUUUAUCUCGAAAGAGAUUAAGUAAGGCAAGUUUCUGACCAUUAAUUCUGUAACAAAGGAGCGUAGUGGCAGGCUCGCAUAGCUAAAGCCUUCAAGUCCUAUUAUCGGAGAGGGACUUUUUCCAUUAUUUAUCCUAUUUCCGAUCGGACCUUGCCAAUUCCUUUUCUAUCCCUAUAUUCGAAUUAGCCCGACUUGCCAUUAGAGUGUUCUUUCAGACGUUGAGAGGAAGGGACCCGCGGACACACCAUCAGAGCUAGAUUUAGCUUUGGAUCGAUCAAUUGCCCCAACCCCAUCAUCGAAUGAGGUUAAGCGCGCCUUUCGGAGACUUUGAUAAAGAAUGCCUUCCUUCGGCGAACGGCUAGACACUUCUAUAGUGGGAUCUCUUGAACCUAUGAAACUCGUGAAAGUGGGUGAACCCCUUGCCCCUUCUUAUUGCUAUUUGUGACGUCGAGUGCUUAAGUAAGAUCAGCAGUCUGGCAGGUCCUUGGACGCUGGCCCUUAGUAGUCUAGUCUACUCGGACCUCUACUAGGGCUAGAGCUAGCCGGAAAAAGAAGGGGAAAAAUAGGCGAUUCGAAUCCCCCUUCUUCUUCUUCCCACGAAACUGAAACUAAAGAAUUCCUUGUAGGGUCAGCUUACCAAUCGCUCUAUUUUCUCUUUCCUGCCUACAGCUCACGACGUACUUUCCUUUCUUUGAGCGACUGACCUGGAACAGGCCUAAAGUGCGCAACUUAUCCUUCUCUUCUCCGUUUCGUGGCUAUCGGACCUGAACCCAUUGAAAGUGAGAAAAGAAGUGUCGUAGCCUAUCCUUCUAUUCUCCAUUGAGUGGUGAGGACCGUUAUCCGUUGUUACUGAACCUGCUUGAUUCGUUGUAGACUGCUUUCAAACCCCACUGAACUAAGAAAGAGUCUCGUAUCGACCAAGUAUUUACUUAGAAUAGAUCUGUUUUGAUAGAUCCGUUUUGGCUUUCCUAUUCCAUAGAUCUUCCCUGAAGAACGGAAUGGAUUGAUCUGACCCACAAUCUGUCUCUUCAACCUUUGAGUAGACCAUAGGCGGGACUCUCUUUCGCCUAGGCAGAGAGGAGGGAAUGUAAGACGAGACUGAUUCAAGAGUCUUGGACAGAAGGGAGGGGACGGAGACGGAGCUUCCUUCUUGCCUUUCAUCAUUUCAGGAAAGCUUAUUUGAGCAGAGAAUUUCCUUUUAGUACAAUUUCUUUUCUCCUCAUUUCUUUCAUAGACAGAAAGGUAAGUAAAAACAACCCCGACAUUAAUAAACCACGAGCAAGUCAGAUUGGGAUCCCCAAUGACAAGCGAACGGGCAUUUUCGGGUCCAGAACAAACAAAAGAAGGGAAAGGCGGGUGGUUGAGACAGUGUAGUCCGUUUUCACAAGAGUACGGAGCUUCAAAUUUGAGAACUCUGUUUCCUGUGGGAGGGCGAAAGCUAAGGAAGGCUGUUUCCAAGGGCGGCAGGCAGGAUAAAUAAGGUGUGUAAGGCAGGGCCAAAGAAGGUAGCAUGGCUACUAGCGGCGAGACUACAUGCUUCAAUUUCAUAAGUGGGUGAAGGAAGAAUACCUGAGCUUCAAGCAAAGAAGGCGGGGACCUCGGGCCUUCGCAAAAUCAACGGUCUCACCGGGAACUAGACAAGCACCUAGAUGUAAAUUCUCAGGCCCUAGCCCGAAAUUCUUACUUCAUUCAUCACAGUUCCAGGCCCGUAGGAAUGGCUUUCUCCUUCUCCAAUUGUCGGGAGAGGUUUUCCGCUCCGGUCGUCCGGAAUUUUUUUUCGUAAAAAAGAAAGUAAAAAACAAGUGAGGAACCCUGGAAAUAAAAUGUUUGUUCCGAUAACGGGAAAGUUUAUCCCUCUGAUCUUAGUUGCGGCCCCCCGAUCAAACUAGAGCGUAAGGGCGCUUUUUUGUUUGCAUGAGUCCCGGCUUCUUUCCAACGGGCAGAUGACAUCUCUUGCCUGGUGAAUCAGCAUGUUCUAACACGUGUUGUUUGGUGUGAGUAUGUAUUUCAUAUUCGUUACAGGCCAAUCGGGGCUAAAGAAGGUCCAACAACGUGCGAUAUGUGGAUUUGAUUCACCCUUAGUAAUGAGAGGAUUGGUCCUCUCAUACCAGUGAAUUGGGUCGCAUACAUUGGAGCAAGAGAGUACUGGCUCGCCGCUGUGGAUGUAGGUGUUCCCAUGAAACGAACCGGUGCCACAUUCCGCUAGGAUACUGGCUGGAGUUGGUCUCACCGUAGUGACGAGAGUUCCAGCUCGAUGAAUCACCCAUUCCCUCUGUAUGUCCAAGCGCCAUCCACUUGUGAAUACAACAACCUGCCCACCGUAAUCAAGUAAGAGUUUCAAUAUUCACUAAGCUUCCUUUCAAUUAUCCCUAUAAUAAGGAAGACAUAGUGCUUGUUGAUGGCCACGAUUCCAAUAUGGCCCUCUGACCUUUUUUCCCGUGAAUAGCUCGGUUUAUGUGCGUCUUAAUCAUGGCCACUAAUCGACCGGUCACACUGGUCAGCGGCAUUCAUUCAGUUGUCCUGUUCAGAUGGAUGAGACAGUUCCCACUUGAAGCAUGCUUCAAGUCUAGCUUUGAGACAUUUACUGCAACCGGAACCUUCAUUCCUUAUUGUUGCAAUUCCAUGCUAGCAAGUUAGUUUCAUGUCGACUUGCGGAACAAUCACAUCAAUAUACACGAAAAUCGAAAUUGGAACUGGAACUUGAUAACGAACCUGGACUAACCCAGAUAGAGUCGUGGACAACAUGAAUUCGUGACAUACCGAGAUUGAUUCAUUUCAUCGAUGGAAAUGAGUCAAGUUACCUAACGUGACACACUAUAUACAUCAGCAGAGAUCACUACGGAUUUGAACUUUAGCACCCCCUCUUGCUUGUUAUUGUUAGGGGUAGAUGAACAGAGCAGAACGACUUCUCGCUAUGUUGUGCCUAGUAGUACCCGAAGCAUUGACAUUGAAAGAAGUCCCUCAAGCAUUUAAAAAAGAACAAAGACAAGGGUUAUACCUAUUGGAGAAUCCUUACUAGUCUCAUCGAUUACUCAAAAUUCCACUCAUACACAGGAAAGGAAAGAGAUUGAUACUUAUACUGAUAUCGAGCUGGAAGAGCACUGGAUAGAGACUAUAGGGUCUCAUCCCUGCUUCAACCAAGAGAUAGGGAGACAGCAUCGUAGCAUGAAAUGAGCCAAUGCCAAGUGCUCUCUUUGUUUGCCGCUCCUCUUCUUCCAAGGCAUUGAAUAAAUGAAGAGAGUGACCCUAGAAGAGGAGGCAAUCUCUGACAUUUUACUUAUACUUUACUCUCAACUUUGAGAAUUUCAACUUAUAUCAGAGCAGGGAAAGCGGAGAUGCUGGUAAUUAUAUACGUAGUAAUGAAUGCCCGACCUUUCUAGUGGAGCAAUCCUAUGGUUAGGAACGUGACACAUCAAUCCUUUGUACCGAAGUAAGGUUGACUGCGGACGAUAGUUAUACGUCCGCCAGCAGUCAAGAUUGAGAAAUUGUACAGAUUCCAUUCGACGAUUCAUGUCUUCAUUGGUAACUAAUCACCUUUGGGUAGAAGCAUGGUAACAAAAAGAAGAACGUCAGCCUUGAGGGUCUUCUAACUGAAGAUAAAGGACUGGUAAUUGAAUCAAUAACCGUAGUUACUAGACUAGCACUUAAAUUAGCUGUGACAGUAUCUGUUGGUGCGUCUUAUAUGUUUGAUCUUAAUGCCAUUGAACAGAGGAUCUUAAUGCUUGCUUGGAGAGCGCAAAUCCUUACGCGGUAAAUCAAUAGCAUUGGAUUUAGUUCUUUCCUUCUUUCUUACUUUCAUGGGUUGGUUUGGCCUUUUUCCGAGCUAUAGCAAAGAGCGAUUUAAGCGCGUCAUGUACGACCUUGGCAUUCAUCUUGUUGUUGUUAAGCAUAUUUUGGAAUAUGUUGUUGACACACUUCAUCAUAGUUUCUUUACUACUCCACUCCUUCAUUUCAUUUCAUCCUUACUCCAUAUUCGGAUGCAGAUUAAGGGGGAAAGACUUUGAUUGGGAAAGGGGCCUCCUCUGCCUACGGCCUGUUCGUUACUCACCUGGCUGACUACGGCACUGGGUUUUUUCUUGUAUGAGGACUCUUUACGCACUGAGACUUUCCUUGAAAAAAGCGGAGACCUUGCUUCUACUUUUAUCGUAGAUAGCUAAUAUGAGUAGGAAAUAUUUUCAAGAAAUGAAUGGAAUUUUCCAAUAGUAAUAAGCUAAUUGAUUUAGUACGUUUAGCUUGGAACUAUUAAACUUUACCCGAUGACCUAAGAAAAAACCAGUCUUACCUUUGAAUUUCUUCUCUGAUAUCUAUCUUUUGCCUUAACCACAUCAAAGAGGAAUUGAACCUCUUCUAGUUUUUUGAAAACUCUAAUCCAUUUGAUGUCCGCCACCCUUCCCCUCCUCCUUCCUCCGUUAGUUUAGCUGCAACGGCCGCAGACGCAGGAAGCAGUUCCUCUAUGGCAAAUUGGAAACGUCGAAGUAGGCUGUGGCUUAUAAAUAGGAAGAUAAGGCGUUAGCGGACCGACUUGACAGGACCCCCCUUUGCUCUAUCUAACUUGGCGUGCGCUCCUUCCGGCCCUGCGAGAACAUAUUCGGACACGCGCGCUACUCAUAUCGGUACUAGAAGCCCCCAGAGCAGGCCUGGAAGACUAUGAGCCCCACCUUCUGCGCGCGAGCCGAAUGACGUAGGUGCACAAGAGUACUUCGCGCCACAACCAUCUCCUUUUUAUAGGUUCUACG
rnacentral:lncRNA from 1 species